AUUAACUUGAAUAUUUUUUUAACUAAAAAAAUUGUUAUCUAGUUCGUGAUAUAACAAAUACUAACAUAUCAUCAAAUUGAUUAAUAAAUUAAGUGCAAAAAAGAAAAUGCAAAAAUUUAAUCUUUAUAGCUCAUAGAAAUAUAAUAUUAUAUACAUGUGUGUAAAAAACAACAUAUGACCAUAAUAUUAUCCACUCAUUAAACUUGCUGCACUAUUAUUUCUCAAUCUCUCCAUCUCUCGACCUUCAAGAACAUUACUACCAUAAUCUUCUUCUUGAAUUCAACCUCCAUUUCCUCAUCAUCAACAAUGCGACCAAUUUGCCUUGAUAGCCUUUCAACUCCUCCCACUUUCCUCCCUUUUGCAGACACUCUUUUUCUUUUUCUUUUUCUGUCUUUAAUAGCUUCAAUGGGAACAACCUCAUCUGACGACAAGUCCAUUCUUCAACUAGGACAGAGUUGGUAGUAGAUAUUCUAGUACUCUCAAACGAUGCCCAAACGGGGUCACCAGUGAUUGUUGUAUUAAAAGACAUUCUAUUUAAUUUUCCUCUGACUCUUGGUCGAUACCUUUUGUACAAAAUCUAUUUACUUCAGGAAUUUUAUACAUAUGUCGAUAUCAUAUUAAAGUGAAUUCAGAUCCUAUAUUAUUGACAUUAAAAUUUAGCCGAAUAGUAAAAAAUUUCCCUUUUUGUUUGUCACACAACUAUAUAGUCCCAUUUUUGGUUAUAAGCUCACGAUAUGCAAGGGAAAUGAAGAUCUAUUAAAAACUUCCCCAUAAUAUUAAACAUUAAACAAUAUCAACAUUUUGUGCAUAUGGUGCCUCGUCAACAAUUUGAUGUUCAUUUUGUUGCUCGGAGGAAUAUGACUACCUAUUAAUUAAUUAGCAAGAAUUGCGUUGCGAGUCCAUGUUUUUUGUCGUUUGGAUGGAGGAUGUGCUAUCUUUUUAUUGUAGAUGCUUUGUAAGGCUUUUGAUUUAAUGAUUGAAUGCAGUCAAUUAACAAAAGCUUACAUACAGUAUUAUGUAGUUGCUGAGAUGUCUAUUCUUGAUAAAGUCGAUUUAUUUACACCCAAGCCAACGGAAUCAAAGCCUUUUCGUUAAUAAUAUACACGGUAAUUGUUUUUGUUAAAUUGAUUUCUGGCUAACAAGAUCUUUGAAAGCAUUUAUUAAAGAAACCACUGACUCAUAAGAAAGCCAUGAUUAAAUACACAGCCAAGCAUGUGAGCUCGUUUUUCAAUCUCUUUGAUCACUCAUAAGCUUCUCUAUACCACUCACUGUAUCAUCCUUUUAAGUCAAUUUUGACUGAUCAUCAGAGAUCAUGCACCCCACCUUGAGAUGAUUGAUCACCAAUUUGGCAUUGUAACGUUGAUCACCUCUAAUUGGCCAUGCUAAAAUUGGGACCUCACAGCCAAUUGCUUCUACAGUUGAAUUUUAUCCACAGUGAGAUAAAAAUCCACCUAUUAAUUGAUAACUCAGUAUCAAUAAUUGUGGCACCAUUCCAUCUAUUAUCAAACCCUUUUUACCGACUCUACUAUCUAAACCACUACAAAAAUAAGCUGGUUAAAUGACGUGGAGGAUCCAAUCUAUUUACAUCAGUUUGAAUUACCUAAAUAAUCGGUGGAUUUGAUGCUUCUAAAUCAUUGGCUAAUGUUGAAUAAUCAUUUAAGGUGGGACCCAUUUCGGUACCAAAUGACAUGUAUAACACGGAUCCACAUGAUUUCAAAUCUAACCAUUGAAUGAUCUCAUCUUCGGUCAUGUUAGAACUUCGCCGGUUGGUUCUCAUCUCACAAUCACGAAGCACUGAACCAGCCGAUUUGUAAAAUUGUUCAGGUAACAAUUGGCCCACUCCCCACACUGGCAUCAACACCAUCGAUCCCUCCACUUGCUUCAUCCAGUGUGGUUGAUCACUCGGUUCUGAUGGGCCUAUUUAUUCUGAACCGGGUGCACCUCACAAAGGUUGUGGACCACCAGGAAGGGACCCGUGAGGCCUGCGUUUAAGAUCCGAUUCGAAUAAAGCAAUAUCCUUGGGUAACCCAAGAAGUAAACGGGCCUCUCCCGGUUUGACAUCCUGGAUGCGAGCCUGCCACAUGGCACACUCCACAGCUGCUGAGCAAGCAUCAGAAGUGAAGAACCCAACAAUGGGAACUUCAAAAUUCUUGAAAACAUCAGCCGUCCAGCCCAUCAUAACGCCGAUGACUACGCAAACAGGUCGGCUUUCGGGUUCCGGGUUGAAAGGAGGUUUCGAAGGCCUUGAAGCAUUUGGCUGUGCAUGACAACAUGGUGGUGAGAAGGAGGUGAUGGUAGUGGUUGAGAUGGGGAGGGUAUUUCGGUAAUUUCAAAUAGAGCGUAUUGGUGAAGAGAGGAAGGGGUGAUGCUGGUGGUAGAAACGUGAGAGGGAAUAAUGAGGGUAGAUUUGUAACAACGAGAAGUGAUUUGCUUGCAUAAUUCAAUGCAUGGAAACAGAUGUCCCUGACCGAAGAAUGGGACAAUCCAAAUCUCAGCCUCAGCAGCAUUCGCAACAGAGCUUGACAUCUUUUAUGAAUUAUUUGAGACUUAAUUGUUAUUGACUGCUUUUGCCAUCUUUCAUAAAACAUUCUUUGUUAUAUAUAAAGAGAUGACUUGAUGGAGAAGCAAGUGUUUUACUUUUAUAGUUUUACUAGUAGUUGAGCUCUGAUUUUGAUAAUUUGAUUGUUAGUUUUAGUUGGUUAGUUAUGAGAAAGCAUCUUUCACAAAAUUCAUUCCAGUUUCAACUAAAAUUAACAAUACUGUUCAAAUUAAUUACUGGAUCAACAAAUAGUCAUAGGCAAAUCUAUCCCUAGCGCUAGAUCUUGAACAUAAUUAUUAUCAUAAUCUCCCCUUCCCCCACCCCCCACCCCCAAAAAAAAAUUUACUAAAUAUCUUUUGUUAUAUAAUGAACAAGAUAAGUUGACGGAGAAGGGUUCUACUUUUACUAGUAAAUGAGCUUUGAGUAGUUAAGAAGGUUAGUUUUAGUUAGUUAAAUAUCUACCAUCCGAAUCAAAGUUCCUUAGACUAUUAUUCAAGUGAGAUGCUUGAGUAACAUAUACUUGUGUUAGUUGGUGCCUAACAAUUCGUGUGAUACAUGAAACCAACCACUAUGAAAUCCAAAUGAAGCUGGUAGGAUUAGAUUAAUUUAAAUGAAAAUAAAAAUUUGUUUAUGCUAUUUAUUAAUCUUAUAAUGUUGAAACUUGAAAGUUAAUUCUUCAACCUGUCAAUUGGUUCAUGACAUGGUUUAAUAUUCAAGUAAAUAAAUUUAUCGUUUAAAAUUAAUUUUUCAUGUGGUAAAAGCAAUACAAAAUAUGGGGUGGAGAGAAUAAUUUGUAGGGUAUACCCCCACCAUUUAUUUAAUUUCAUUAAAAAAAAAGAAAAGAAAUAAAGGCUUGUUCAACAUUCAAUUAAAAUUAACAAUUCCAUGAUAAAAUUACUUGAGAAUAAAAAUUAAAAAAAAAAAAGUAACACAAAAACGAGGAAUUUUUGAGUAACUGAAGAACCAUAGAUGUUUUUUGGUCAUGAGCAAUUUUUGAGUUGAGACAGAACUUGUAUAAAAAAAUAGUUUUGAAUAACUUCUUUUCUUUUUUCAUAAAUAUAGAUAUAAAAUUUUAAAGUCACCAAACACAAAACCAGGAAAAUGGAAAGGAAGCCCCUGUUUCUCCUCUGUUGCAAGAACAAAUUCGGUUUCUACAGGAGUACCUUCUAAAUGCACCAUUUGUAUUGCUUUGUUUCCACGUAAGCUAACGGAAUUUUUAAUGAAAUUAAAUAAAUACAAUCUCACUGACCGAAAAGUUCUGUAGCUGUUUCAAUUCAAUUGCAUACAUUGACGAAACAUUAAAUACGGAAAAAACAAAAAAGAAGUAAUAGGACAUGGGGAUUUCGAGAACUUCUAAAGAGAGAAAUCUAUUUAUAAGCAUUGAAAAUUAGCUCAUUAAAUUUGACAGAAUAAUAUACAAUCUCACUGUUGGCCAGAAAAUAAUAGUAAGAACUUGUGAACAUAUAUAAUCAAUUGUUUAUUACUUAAGCUCUUUUUCUUCGUUAUUUUGAAUGGGUGCAAAGAAGAGAAGUUUUGUACCCAAAUUCCAACUCGAAUUGUGUAGGCUGCUUGCAAGAGCUUCAUUAGAUUUUUAUUUGUCUUUUAAUAGUGCUACUCGAUAAAUACAGCUAGCUACCUGUCUUUUUUGUUACUGGACUAUAGAUCAAUUGACAGUUGAAGUUAUAUUAAUUUGUUGUACUGGAAUUGAAGCUUGUAUCUUAGCCAUUUCGUGAAGUGUCAAAUAUAUUUUUAAUUUCCUUAAAAUUGUUCAAAAUAUGUUUACACUUUUAAAGUCACUAUUAUACAUGAGUGCCCUAAAAUAGGAGAAGGCGAUUUGCCUGACAUUACCUGUUUCCUGUCAAAUCUAGCAGGUUUACUGAUUAGAUUUUAACAAGUCUCUUGGCAAAGUUUGCUAGAAAUGGAAUCAAAUUAUUCUAUUUAAUCUUACUGUCCAUACCCUAAUAGUUCUUGAUUUGCAUCACUGCAUCGUUCUAUAAUCUGUGUGCGUUGGCUUAUAAAGGCUAGCAAGGCUGACCAUUCGUAGCAUAGUUUUUUUUUUUUUUUUUUUCCACAAUGAAACUCCUAUUGAUUUGACUCAGUAUUUAGAGGCGUUAACGAGGGCACUAUACUAGACAUGGAUUUCUACCGCUUUUGGUUGUACAAUUGUUGUAAUCCUUGGCCAUCAAAUCAUUUUUACGUAGCUUUCUCAGAGUUCAUGCCAAGUGUACAUUAAUGUUUUUAUGUUUUGGAUGCAAGUGGGAUUCUAGUUCUCUAUGGCAGUUGAAGAGGUAAAUGGGCAUGGAGCUAUGCUCUAUCAUAGGCUUCGGCCGCUACAAGAAAUUUGAUUUCUUAAGACGAUAUUUUUUACAACUUUAAAUUUGGUCACAAAAUUGUAUUUAUUGUGACAAAUUUUUAAAAUCGUAGUUAAUAAUCUUGUCGUAACUUAUAUUGUUUUUUGUAACCAAUUGUUUUUAUUUUGAGACUUGUUCAUUGGUCAUUAAUUAAAUUUUUUUAUGACAAAAAUUAUUUUAGUCACCAAAAGAUAUAUUUUUUUGGCGCAAAAUCUUCCCUCCAAAAGUGAUUAUUUUGAGACAAUAUUUCACUAUUUAUGACAAAAUAAAUAGUCACGAAAUAUAAUGAUAGGCGACCAAAUUAUUUGGUAACUAAAAGAAGGGUGUAAAAUUGACUAAACAAUCUAUGACACAAAAUAUUAGUAGCCAAAAUUAUUGUUCUUUUGGCUAAUUUUAAGACCAUUUUUUUUUGUCAUAUAUAAUUACCUACCAUGACAAAAUUUAAAAAUAGUUGUUGAAUGUUUUGUCUUGAAUAAUUUUAUAUUUGAUAACCAAUUUUUUUUUUUCUUUUUGAGACAUAUUACUUGGUCCCUAUUUCAACUUCUUUUUGACGAACUUUAUAAUAGUCACAAAAGACUUUUUUUAUUUUUGGCAUAAAAAGUCUGUCCAAAGUUAGCUCUUUUGGGACAAUAUAUAAUCUUUUAUGACAAAAUAUAUAGUGGCGAAAUAUAAUUAUUUUUUACAAAGUUAUUUCGUAACUGAAAAAGAGGUGUAAAUAUAGUUAACCUAUUUGUGACAUAAAAUAUUAGUCUCCAAAACUAUUAUGUUUUUAGCCAAUUUUAAGACCCUAUUUUGUUGUCAUGGAUAAUUACCUAUUUUCAAAAAACUAAGAGAUAGCAAUCAAAAGUUUGUCUUGAUUGACAUUGUAUUUUAUGAGCAAAAUAUUUUGUUUCAGUGACACUUUACUUGGUCUUUGAUUAGACUUGUUUGUGAUGAUCAAUAGAAUUAUAUAAUAACCACUAAAUUUUUUUGGGUUAAAUUUUUAUAGAUACUAUUAAUUAAGUUGUUGACGAAAAUGAUCGAACUAAUACUAAUAUGGGAUACCAUCAAUAGCCGUAAUACUUAUGAAGCGAGAAAUUAUAAUAUGUAGUGAUUUAUUUAGAAUUAUUUUGACUACUUUAUUGAUUUCCAAAACAUAAAAUUCUCAACCCAAAAUUCCCCGCAUUGUGUUUUAUUUUGUCUCCUCACUCAGUUACUCUUUUAGCUAAAGUUGCUUUGGAAAAGUUGGAAUCUUUUGUUUGGGUGGAAAAUUUCCCACCAGAGAUUAGACAUGUAUUCACCUAGUUGAAGUAAUGAAAGUUUUACUUUCCCAUAAAAAAAAAAACUCACGGCUUGACAAAAAAAAGGAAAAAAAUUCUCACAGCUUGAUGGUCUCCUCUCUUUAAAAAUAAAAAUCCCUAGUUACUCUGCUCAAACUCGUUAAUAUUUGUUUCCACCACCUAAGCAGCCACUAGUAUCUUUUUUUUUCGCAAUUCACUUUUGCUGUGUUUCGUGGUUUGGAUGGAGAUCAUGACAAUAAUUGAACGAUGGUGAUAAAUAUCAAAGAAGGAGCUUACAUGCCCUAUAUAUCUCUCUUUGGAUGAAUAACGAAGGUGAACUUUCAAAGUACAGAGAUUUACAUGUUUUAAUUGUCAUUUACAUUGCUGCAUGCCCAUUGCUUGAUAAAAUACCGCAACAAACACGCAUUCUCGAUUUUCUCAUAAAUUUAUUUUCUUAGUCUGAAAAAAAAAUUGAAUGUUCAGAGAAUUUUGAAGGUUUUGGUGUAUGCAUUAAUAUUUUGAUUCUAUUUAUGUUGUUUAACUAAUGAAGAUGAUACAUCUAGCCUCUUUUUGCCCCUUGUUGUUUUUAUUCUUGUGCUUUAUAUACGGUUCAAGUGUGAUACACUUUAGUUUUUCUCAAGUGUUUGUUAGUAUUUCCCCAAGCAAAAUUUGUCACAGACUUUGAGUUCAAAAGUUGAAAUCAUAACUAACAUACUUCGAUUUUUUAUUUUCCUUUUUUCUUCGGGGUCCCAUAUAUCUUUCUAUAUGGCAUUGCUUGAGAAAUUGGUGUACUUAGAUCGUAAUAUUCUGUAGAAAUAAGCUAAUAUUUCAUUAGGUACAUUGUUUAAUAUGAUAAGUACUGUAUGGAAGUUUUACAGAUAAGCUCCUUGUAUAUUAUGCAUUAUGUUUUUAUCAUAUUGUUGCUUGGAACUUUGAAGGAUUGGCCACAGGGCUUUAGUCCUACAAGGACAUUUUAUAUUGGGAAAUUAUCAUUCGUAUACCCUAUAGAUGCUCUGUUAUAAAAAAUACUACAACACUUUGAGGGUGUAUCAAUCGUCCACAUUAAGUUGACAAAAUGUAUCUGUUGUCCACCAAACCGUUACUUGCCGUUUAAAUAGGAUAACGACAGAGGGGUAAUUUGGUCUUUUCAUAUGAUACAAGUGAUAAUUUAAGGGUAUACAAGUGAUACUUUUCAAGGGUAAAAUUGUCAAUUCGCUAUAAUUCCGUUAACUUUCAAACGGUAGCUAACGGUUUGAUGGUUGGUAGAUAGCUUUUGUCAAUUUGGGGUGGACGAUUGAUACACCCUCAAAGUGUUGAAGAACUUUUUAUAACAGAGCUUCCUACANNNNNNNNNNNNNNNNNNNNNNNNNNNNNNNNNNNNNNNNNNNNNNNNNNNNNNNNNNNNNNNNNNNNNNNNNNNNNNNNNNNNNNNNNNNNNNNNNNNNNNNNNNNNNNNNNNNNNNNNNNNNNNNNNNNNNNNNNNNNNNNNNNNNNNNNNNNNNNNNNNNNNNNNNNNNNNNNNNNNNNNNNNNNNNNNNNNNNNNNNNNNNNNNNNNNNNNNNNNNNNNNNNNNNNNNNNNNNNNNNNNNNNNNNNNNNNNNNNNNNNNNNNNNNNNNNNNNNNNNNNNNNNNNNNNNNNNNNNNNNNNNNNNNNNNNNNNNNNNNNNNNNNNNNNNNNNNNNNNNNNNNNNNNNNNNNNNNNNNNNNNNNNNNNNNNNNNNNNNNNNNNNNNNNNNNNNNNNNNNNNNNNNNNNNNNNNNNNNNNNNNNNNNNNNNNNNNNNNNNNNNNNNNNNNNNNNNNNNNNNNNNNNNNNNNNNNNNNNNNNNNNNNNNNNNNNNNNNNNNNNNNNNNNNNNNNNNNNNNNNNNNNNNNNNNNNNNNNNNNNNNNNNNNNNNNNNNNNNNNNNNNNNNNNNNNNNNNNNNNNNNNNNNNNNNNNNNNNNNNNNNNNNNNNNNNNNNNNNNNNNNNNNNNNNNNNNNNNNNNNNNNNNNNNNNNNNNNNNNNNNNNNNNNNNNNNNNNNNNNNNNNNNNNNNNNNNNNNNNNNNNNNNNNNNNNNNNNNNNNNNNNNNNNNNNNNNNNNNNNNNNNNNNNNNNNNNNNNNNNNNNNNNNNNNNNNNNNNNNNNNNNNNNNNNNNNNNNNNNNNNNNNNNNNNNNNNNNNNNNNNNNNNNNNNNNNNNNNNNNNNNNNNNNNNNNNNNNNNNNNNNNNNNNNNNNNNNNNNNNNNNNNNNNNNNNNNNNNNNNNNNNNNNNNNNNNNNNNNNNNNNNNNNNNNNNNNNNNNNNNNNNNNNNNNNNNNNNNNNNNNNNNNNNNNNNNNNNNNNNNNNNNNNNNNNNNNNNNNNNNNNNNNNNNNNNNNNNNNNNNNNNNNNNNNNNNNNNNNNNNNNNNNNNNNNNNNNNNNNNNNNNNNNNNNNNNNNNNNNNNNNNNNNNNNNNNNNNNNNNNNNNNNNNNNNNNNNNNNNNNNNNNNNNNNNNNNNNNNNNNNNNNNNNNNNNNNNNNNNNNNNNNNNNNNNNNNNNNNNNNNNGAGGAUGAAAUUUGCAAAAACCUUGUUCAUAGCUAUGGUAAUUAAGCAAAUUGAGUCUUCUUUUUUUGUUGUUUUUUAUUCACUUUUUCCUGUCCUUAAAACAAAUAAUGAGUUUUCUUGUUUUUAAUAUUUCUUAUAAACUUUAUGUUGUUUGGUAUAAAAUUAGGUAAUUGGAAAGGUCUCAUGUUGGAUGAAAUUAUCAAUUAUGUGCAGUCCCUACAGAAUCAAGUGGAGGUAACAUUGCUACUAAAAAACCUUAUUAACAUAGUUAUAAUGAAUUAAUCUUCUUUAAUAUAUUGCAAUAUUUUUUACUAUUUCUAGGUCUUUCUAUGUUGGUUUUGGAUCAUUGUAGUUGCUGAUUGUGAUUUAUUGCCGCCUAUGGUUGCUGACUUUUGUUUACUGCAGCUACUUUAUUAAAGCAAUUUUGGAUAUUGAAGUUUAUGGCCAACUUUUAUUAGAUACUUCUGACCUUUAUCGAUAUAUUUUCUGAACCUUUACACUUAAGAUGUGUGUGUGUUUUUUUUAAGUAAUUUAAUCCUUACUAACAUUUUCUAACAAAAUCAAUUACAGAAAUGAUUAGGAAAAAACAAGCAAAAUCAUUGUAAAGUGUCUUCUGCGCACCGUGGUUGCUCAAGUCUCAUGUGCAACAUGUGAAUGAAAUAGUACUUGAAAUAAUAGAGACUUUGUUUUAUGACUCUUAUAUUUACAUUUCUUUGCAAGGAACCAUACUUAAUUGUACCUAAUAGAAGAGAUAUCUUUUCACUAUAUAGUCUUAGUAUAAAAAGAUACCUCUUCUAUAAGGCACAAUUAACGGGACAUGUCUUUAUACUAAGACAUCAUUCAUAUUUAUCACACAAUAAUAGAAACUGCAACGGUAGCUGGAAUAUUAUGAAGUCAAAAUUGAGAACGACAUUAAAUCAUGAAUUCUUUAUGUGUUUACUCUAAUGCCUGACGGUAUUUAGUUCAAUUAACACAGAUUCGAAAUCCAAAUGAUUGAAGAGUUGUAUGGGUUCAAGUUCAGUAUUUAAUUACUAUAUAAUUAUACAUAAAUGUGGAUUUUGCAAUCUUGAACCCAUUUAAUUACUAAAAAAGGAUGACGAAUAGAAUUGGUGGAAAUUGACCACAAUCAUCUCUCUCUCUCGGCUUGCUCAAAUUUGGCCGAUCUGUGCGCUUGCUUAAGCUUGGCCGAUCUAUGCUUGCUCGAUUACUCUUCCUAUAUUCAGUCAGAGUCAACUGUUUGACAAGAGUCGAAGUCCAAGGUUCUUUUUUACAGGAUUUGAGCUACUUCUUUUAUUCUUCUUGCAUGUUCACUGAUAGCGGGUGGAAUUUGAGAUGUUCACUGAAGCUUUGAUGUGGUGUUCUGAUAGCGGGUGGAAUUUGAGAUUCUCCUUUCUUCUCUAUAUGAAGGUGCUUGUCAUGUGUCAAGAAAAAUAAAAUUAUUUACAAAAGAUUAUUUUAAGGAGAUUUAUUAUUAUUCGUGGAUCAGGAAGCUCAAAAAGUUUUCUUAUGUAGAACAUAAAAUGAUUUAAAUUUUGCCAUGGUAUAUCCUUUUCUUUGAUUGUGUUGUGGUUUUCCAGUUCUUGGAGAUGCAGAAGAAGUUUAUUUUGUUUUAUGGUAUCUUAUUUAUUUAUUGUUUUCACGAGGAAAUAGCUGUGCUUUUGGAAAUUAAUAUGCUGUGUUGUAAAUGUUGUGUGAAAUCCUUUUAUUGGUGUCUAUGUAAAGUGUUUCAGAUUUCAGACCUGAGAGUUAAUCUUCGCGUACCAGUUGGCUUUUGGGUUUAGUAUUGCUGCUUUUAACAUAAUUGACCUAUGGCCCAAAUCAUUUCUUAGGGCGAAGCAUAUGAAUGAUACAUAUUAUCUUUUUUUGGCCUUAUGUAUUGUUAUUUGCAGUGUGAUUUGGUCUAGCUUAAGAGCUUAAGCUUGCAAGUUGGAUUUGUCUAACAGGGAACAAUUUAAUUUGUUCAUCAUGAUGUUUAUAUCCAUUUUGUACUACUAUCAAUUUCAAUCAUGCCUAAUUUUUAUAUGUAUUUCUUGUGGACUCUCAGGUUCAGUGCACAAGAGGAUGAAGACGAUGGACACCCAAAUUUGAUGUGGAGAAUAAGUAUUGCAAAUGGUCCUUGAUUUACUUCUCCAAUUGACUUGAAUUGGUUUGACGCAAUUUAUAGUGUAUUUUUGUCAUCUUUGUAUGACUGGCAGGUCGUCCUGAUUUGGUACAUGACUGGACUCAGGAAUUGGACUCAUAUUUUUCAAACCAGAAUGCCAACAAUCAAGCAUUUUCUUUUGAAAGCACUGGCGUCUUCUUCAAUGCCAAAAAGGUUAGAGAUUUUUUGUAUCCUGUUUUGUAUUUGAUCAGUUUAGCAUGUGGGUGGCAAUCAAGAAAAGUUAUUCUAACAUUUUUGUGUUCCCGAAAAACUGCUGAUGAUGUGUAGUGCAGGAAAUGAAUUGUUUGUGACUUCUUUUUAUUCGUAUUCUUUCUUUUUUCUUUUCUCCCCAACAGGAUUAUGUAUUUCUGAAGAGCUUCUUGAAGUUGAUUACCUUGUAAGCCACUUUCUGUACUCUAUGCUCAGGAUGUGAUUUUGCCAAGCAUUAAAAUGGUUUAGGUCAGAACCAUCAUCUAAAGUUUACUUAAUGCAGCCGAGAAGCUGUAGUAGAGCAAUGAAGGCUGUUGGUGUUAUGAAGGCCAGCUGUGAAGAAAUAUUUGAACUUGUAAUGAGCAUGGAUGGGACACGAUACGAGUAUGCUUCUUUUCUAUUUUUUAAUUUUAGUUAUUUUAACAUAAUCAAGACUAUAUUGGCUGUCUCUGUAAGCUGAGUAUUAUAUUUCCUCUUGUAUGCUGUGAAAUUCACAUUGUCUCCAGUCCCGAUUCUGUAUGUGCCUUUUUGAAUAUAUUUAAUUAAUCUGCAUGGUGCUUUCUAAAGAUUAUUACAAACUUUUGUUGCUUAAGUAUAUGAAGAAUGUGGAAAUGAAAAUAGCUUUUGAAGUUUGAUGGAUUGCUUCAUUAAUAAAGAAAGACUGGGACUCAUUUUUAUAACUUUUCUCCACUUAGCUAAUGGUAUUUGAUGAAGACAAAAUAGAUGUAGCUAUCUGUAUUUUUUGUUGCUGAACUAUAGAUCAAUUGACGGUUGAAGUUAGUUAUAUUAAUUUGUUGUACUAGAAUUAAAGCUUGUAUCUUAGCCAUUUCAUGAAGUGUCAAAGACGUUCAUGUUUUUUAAAAAAAACAUGUUACACUUUUGAAGUCACUAUUACAUAAAAGAGUGUUCUAAAACAGGAGAAGGCGUGCUGCCUGAAAUUACCUGUUUCCGAUUUUAACAAGUCUCUUGGCAAGGUUUGCUAGUAAUGUGUUCAAAUUAUUCUAUUUAAUUUUACUGUCUGUACCCUAAUAAUUCUUGGUUUGCACCAUUGCAUUGUUCCAUAAUCUCUGUGCGUUGGCUUAUAAAGGCCAGCAAGGCUGAUCAUUUGUCAAAUAGUUAUUUCCAUGAAAUUCCUAUCAAUUUGACUCAGUAUUUAGAGGUCUUGAAGAGGGCAGUGUACUAGACGUGGAUUUCUUCCUCUUUUGGUUGUACAAUUGUUGUAUUUCUUGGCCAUCAGAUCUUUUUUAUGUAUCUUUCUCAAAGUUCAUGCCGCACGUACACCGUUUUUCAUGUUUUGUGCAGGUGGGAUUGUAGUCUUUUGUAUCGCAGCUUAGUUGAAGAGGUAGAUGGUCAUACGGCUAUUCUCUAUCAUAGGCUUCAGCUGGACUGGUUUCCAAUGUAAUAGUCUCUUGAUUCAAUCAUCUCAUUUAUGCUUUGGUCAGAAUAGAACAUUUAUUGUUUUCUUCUUUCCCCUUUCAUGUCUUCUGAUAUAAUAUGUGAGGAAAUUACCUAAAAUUUCUGUAUCCCAAUGUAAUUGUUGGAAUUCAGAAAUAAAAUAAAUACACCGUCUUGUUUUUCCCUCGGUUCAGUCCUAAGUUCUCUUUGGGCCUUCUGCAAGUUUUUAAACAUACUGUGACAGUAAAAAAUCUAGUGAUUGAGAUCAUUUUGAUGAAUUUAAUUUUAAUUCUUAGCUGAUACUUUUUCUGGAAUUUUUUUUCUUAUGUUUCCUCAAUAUGACUUAAAUAUAGGGCUUAGUUUGGUUUAGAAGUUCGUCUAAAACCUUCUCCUUGAUUCCAAAAAAAUUCUCUAGAAAGGUCUCAGAUGGAUUUUAGGGGAGUUCUGUGGCAAAUUUGAAAAGUUCAGGGGAAGGGUCUAAUGAAUUUUAAAACCACAUGGGUUAUCUGUUUUAUUCAGAGGAUAGUGGAAUUCCCUGAAAUUUAUCAUUUUUAUUUAAAUAAUCUUCCUACUUUCCUCUGCGGAAUUUAUUUACAUUUAUGAAUUCAUUUGGUUGCAGGUUUGUUUGGCCCCGCGGCCUUUGUUAAGUACGUUAUUGGCGUUGAAAUGACGCUGCGAGUUAUGGUAAGGUUCUUGCUUCCCCACUUCUUGAAAUUAAAUCUAUCUUUUCUGGCACUAGAAGUUUCCAUAAGCUGUGUUUUGUUAUCGCGCAGUUGUGUUAUUUCAUUCUAGGGAGCAUGAGAACUGUGGUCCACAGCCAGGAUAUGUACGAGCUCACGUGGAGAGUUAGUUUUCUGUCCUUUACUUUGGUUGAUGUAGAGAAUUAACAAGUGACUAAGUCAUGCCAAGUUGCACCACUUGCUUCCUGUAUUCUGAUUUCUCAGGUGGUGGAUUCAACAUUUCCCCACUCAAACCUCAAAAUGGUAGGCCCAGAACACAAGUACAGCAUCUUAUGCAGAUUGAUCUAAAAGGGUGGGGUGUUGGUUAUGUGUCAAUGUUUAGCAACACUGUCUUCUUCAGAUGUUAAAUAGCAUUGCUGGUAAGUUUCUUGCUUUCACAUUUUAUUUUGCGCUGUUAUGGGUUAAUAUGUUUCUGUUGGGUGGCCAUUUUAAGUCAUAUUUUUACGUGUUACUGUAUUUUCUUCAGUCCUUUUAUAGGGAACACACACAUACACGUAUGUAGAGUCACCUUUUAAUGAGGGAUCUACCAUUUUAAUAAAAUGAGGAAUGAGCUAAAAGAUAAAAAUUCACGAACUCCAAUGCAAUAUGUGUGUGUGCGUGUGCACACCUUUUCUAACUCUUGUUCUUAGUUAGAUAUUUUUCGGGAUUUCAGGCAAAUGAAAAAAGAGAUUAAGAGAAAGAGAAUAGGUGGAUGAUAACUUAAAUAUUCAUUUUUAUAUAUUUUGUUAAUGUCCUCUUUAAUGGAUUUCUAUGGAAUUAAUCUUUUUUUUUCAAUUAGUUGCAGCCCUAGAGGAAAAGUAGGGUGAUCAAAUUGAUUUAUCUCAUUUUUUUUUAGCAAUUUGCGACAUAAUGACCGUGAUAAUGCUUGUGACUGCUGGAAACUUUCUGAUGGAAAUAACUUCAGAGUUCGUAGCAAGCAUUUUUGUUAUGACAAAACAAAGGUUCCCGCGAAUUUUGGUUGUUGUUAGGCCACAAGUGCGUUUCACAUAUGCAAGGCGCAAGGGUAAUUCCGGAAAUACCAAUCGUGGCUGACGUGUCAUCAAGUAGUAUAGAGAGAAGAGUUUGUUAUGCAUUUCUGUUAGUGAUAAGUUGAUGGUAUUCUGUUUUGAUAAUUUGUUAGAGUUUUCUAUUAUUCUAUUUGGGCGUAAAAGUGAGGAGGUUAUAUGGAGAGGAGCUGUUUUUUGGGAAGGGGAUCUAGAGAAUUAUUUUGUAGUGAGCUUGCUCAUUUUGGGAGAGAUACCAAGCCUCUCGAAUGCUUGGGUGUUUUGGUUUAUUUCUGCAGAUAAAUACCAGUUUUCCUACUUCCAACAACAUUCUGUUCUCUACUGUGUUGUUUAUCUAACCAUUUCAGUUCAGGGCUUAUCAAAUUGGUAUCAGAGUAGUCACGUACCUAGAAAAUGACUGGCAAAAAUGUUGCUCAACGAAUGGAUUCCAUAGAGGAGGCGAUGGGUGCUGCGUAGGAGGAGUUUCAACGGGAAAUGAGAUCGUUGAAGGAUGAAAUAUAGAUGAUGAACAAACGAUUCGAACAGUUCAUCAAACUUCAAGAGGAUACGGGAGGUUCGUAUUCGAAUAAAAGGGAAAAGAUGCUCAGCCCCAACUUCGGCGGGUUGAGCUCAAGCGGAACUAGCCAUGAUUUCCGAUUCCGGAAACUUGAGAUGCCACUGUUCGAUGGCUCAAAUCUGGAUGGCUGGAUCUGAAGGCUGAACGAUAUUUUUCCGUAAAUCGGUUAUCCAAUGAAGAAAAACUUGAGGCAGCGAUAAUAGCUUUCGAGGGAGAUGCCCUGUUGUGGUAUCAAUGGGAGAAUAGGAAGAGAUCCAUGAUGGUUUGGGAAGAGAUGAGGCUACUAAUCUUGAAACAAUUCCGAGUAAUCCAAGCCGAUUCUCUCCAUGAACAAUGGCUAGCCCUUACUCAAGAUAGCAGUGUGCGAGAAUACCGCCGGAAAUUCAUCGAACUUUCGGCGCCGUUGGAGAACAUUACAGACGAACUAGCUCUGGGAAAUUUUAUCAAUGGGUUGAAGCCUGAAAUUCGGGUCGAGGUUCGGAUCAUGGAACCCAGUAAUUUGGGCCGGGCCAUGGACUUAGCCCAAAAGAUUGAGGAGAAACUGUGGGUGACCAAGGCCCACAAAGCAGACGGUGGGUUUCAUCGAGCAGGAGGGUCAACGCGAGGUGUGAACUUCCAUUCUGAAGCUUCGCAAUCUUCGUUUGGGGCAAAUCAUAACACGGCCCGAUUUUCGGGAGAGGUUAGGAGGUUGUCCGAUUCAGAAUUACAGAAGAAAGAGAGAAGGGACUAUGUUAUCGAUGUGAUGAAAAGUGGGCACCUGGGCAUCGCUGCAAGAAGAAAGAAUUGACUGUCCUUCUCACCUACGACAUGGACGAAGCAGAGCAGGAAGAGGAAGAAGGUUCGGGUGAAGGCGAUCCCGAACUGGAAACGGCCGAAAUUAAUCAAGGGAUAGAGGUCUCUCUUAACUCGGUGGUUGGUCUGACUACACCAAAGACGAUGAAGCUUAAGGCGUCUAUCGGGGAGCAAGAGGUGGUGGUACUGAUUGAUUCAGGUGCAACCCACAAUUUUAUUUCUCUAGAUUUGGUUAGUAAGAUGCAGAUACCCAUUGUUAAAACUGAGGCUUAUGGGGUGACUAUGGGUACUGGAGCGGCUGUAAGGGGAUAAGGUUUAUGUCGGGGAGUGACUAUUCAUCUACAGGGAAUAGAUAUUGUAGAGGAAUUCUUGCUGCUUGGGUUGGGGAGCUCGGAUGCUAUAUUAGGAGUUCAGUGGCUUGAAACUUUGGGGAUGACACACACAAAUUGGAAGACACAAGUGAUGAAGUUCAUGCUCGGAAAUGAAUCUGUUACUCUACGAGGGGAUCCUUCCCUUGGCAAGACUUUGGUUUCAUUGAAGGCAAUGAUGCGCACCAUUAAGCACGAGGGAGCUGGAAUUCUGGUGGAAUGUAAUCAAUUUGAAGGUCUGUGCGAAGUGAGCCCUGAGGUGCCACCGAAUCUAAACCAAGUCCUAGCAGAAUAUGAAUUGGUUUUUAACAUGCCCAUGGGCUUACCACCUACUAGGGGACAUGAGCAUUCCACUUUGCUCAAAGACGGCAGUCAACCUGUUAGUGUCCGACCAUACCGCUAUCCUCAUGCCCAGAAGGAUGAGAUUGAAAGACUGAUUCAGGAGAUGUUAGAUGCGGGAAUAAUCCAAGUCAGCAAUAGUCCAUUCUCGAGCCCAGUUUUGUUGGUUAAAAAGAAAGACAGAUCAUGGCGUUUUUGUGUGGAUUACAGGGCUCUCAACAAAACGACGGUACCAGAUAAGUAUCUCAUCCCUGUCAUUGAUGAACUCCUAGAUGAGUUACAUGGUGCCAGAAUUUUUUUCCAAGCUAGAUUUAAAUUUGGGCUACCAUCAAAUCAGAGUCAGUAGUCAGGAUGUUCAUAAGACUGCUUUUCGAACGCAUGAUGGACACUACAAGUUUCUCGUCAUGCCUUUUGGACUAACGAAUGCCCCGUCGACUUUCCAAUCCUUGAUGAAUGAUGUCUUCUGGCCUUAUCUUCGGAAGUUUGUUCUAGUGUUCUUUGAUGACAUUCUAAUUUACAGCCCUUCAGUGGAAUCCCAUCAGCAGCACUUGGCUCUCGUCUUGGGAAUAUUGCAGGCCAACAGCCUUUAUGCCAACCGAAAAAAAUGCGAGUUUGGAAGAACUCAAGUGGCAUAUUUAGGCCAUAUCAUCUCUGGACAAGGGGUGGCAGCGGAUCCAAGUAAAAUCCAAGCCAUUAACUUGUGGCCAACGCCCACUAAUCUGAAAGCGUUAAGGGGAUUUCUGGGAUUGACGGGGUAUUAUAGAAAGUUUGUGGCUGGGUAUGCUAGAAUCGCAUCGCCAUUGACUGAUCAGCUCAAGAAAGAUAGGUUUGGGUGGAGUCCAGAAGCUGCAGCGGCAUUUGAAGAACUCAAACAAGCUAUGUCUUCAGUCCCUGUGUUGGCAAUGCCUGAUUUCACAAAGCCAUUUAUUGUUGAGAAUGAUGCAUCUGGUUUUGGGUUAGGAGUUGUUCUACUACAGGGGCAACAACCAGUAGCUUACUACAGCCAAGUUUUGGGGCCCCGGGCUCGUCUUAAGUCCAUAUAUGAGAAAGAACUAAUGGCCAUAGUGUUUGCAAUCCUGAAAUGGCGGUCGUACUUGCUGGGAAGGCGAUUUAUUGUGCGAACAGACCAACAGAGCUUAAAAUUUCUUUUGAAGCAGAGGAUUGUUGGAGUUGAAUAUCAAAAAUGGAUCACCAAAAUCAUGGGAUAUGAUUUUGAUAUUCAAUAUCGUAUUGGGGCUGUUAACAUAUAUGUUUCCAUAAUAUUGAUUUUGAUGAUAACAAAAAAGAUUAAAAAUGAUUAAUCUUUUAAGCUCAAAUUAUUUUUUAUACAUUUUAAAUAAAUCAUUAUUUUUAUAUUAUAAAGGUUUUAUAUUUAAUGGAAAAAUGAUUUUAUGAAAUUGGUUGUUUUUCAAGUUUAUGAUUUAAUUGAAAGAGUUUUUGAAAACUUUGAAAUCAACAAGUAUUGCUUGAAAUUUUAGAGAAUGACUUAUUUUAAAAGUGUCAUAGCAUUUUGGGCUAUAUCAUAAUUUCAGAAAGUUUUGGGAUUAACAAAGCAUUACUUAGAAAUUCUGAAAUUGGACCUAUUUGUAAACUUUCAUAACAUUUUGGGCCAUACUGUAGUUUUAUAAAGUUUUGGGGUCAAACUAUAAUUUUAAAAAAUAGUGCACUGUGCAGGUUACUGUACCAAUCACUGUAGCAAAUGGCUAACCGUUUAUUUAAAAACGGCUAACCGAUAAUUUCCAGAAAGCAUGUUCUGCAAAGUAUUGUUAAAAUGAUGAUUCUGGAAACUAACGGUGAACCGUUUACUGAAAACGGUUAACCGAUUAUUUCCAGAUUGUUAACCUUGAACCGUUUAGUAAGAACGGUUAAACCAAAUUUGUUUUGCAGGUCUCUGGAAAUUAACGGCGAAAGGGUAAGCCUAAACGGCUAAUCGUUUAUUUAAAAAUUGGCCCAACGGUAACUUUGACCGGCCUAAACGGUUAACCGUUAAUGGUUAACGGCGAACCGUUUUCGAGCAAACAGUCUAUAACGGCUAGUUUUUCAGCUCCAACUAUAAAUAAGCUCAAUCCAAUUCAAACAAGAAGAAUUCCAACGAUCAUCAUUGAGCAAAAUAUUGAGAAUAUAACUUUCAUUGAGCUUUAAAUCCUUGUAUUCAUCUCAUUCAUUCACACAUUGAGCUUUCACUUGUGAUUAAACACAUUGUGUGAGAGAGAUUUAUUUGUAAUCCUUUUUGUAAAAUCAAGUUAAAAGAUUGUAAGUGUUGGGAUACACUUGGGUUAAGAGAUUGGGGAUAAUCUCUUGUUGUAAAGGUCCAUUGACACCUUGGAAGUCAAUUGUAAGCGUUUGAAGCCUUGGGAGGCUAGCUUAGUGAAAUCCUCAAGCUCGGUGAGCUUGGAGGCAUGGACGUAGGCGGGGAUUGCCGAACCACGUAAAAAUCAUUGUGUUUGUUUUCUCUUCCCUUACUCUUUUAUAUUGUGAUUGAUUUAUUUGUUAUUGCUUUAAAUUAGUUUUGGAUUUGCAUUGAGUUUUGUUUUAGAAUUGAAUAAUUUUUAAUAUCCCAAUUCACCCCCCUCUUGGGUUGCCUAGUUAGUAUUUCAUUUGGUAUCAGAGCGAGGUGUUCUUGUGUAGACUUAACCGUCUAGAGUUAAAGAUCCAUGGCAACCUAUAGUGACUCAACCUUUAGGGAAGGACAAUCCACAAUUAGACCACCGUUCUUCGACGGUAAUGACUACCCAUAUUGGAAAACUAGGAUGAGAAUUUAUUUACAAGCUUUAGAUUAUGAAAUUUGGGAAAUUGUUUGUGAUGGUCCAUUUAUGCCUUUGACUAAAAACGAAGUUGGGGAAGAUAUUCCAAAACCUUCACGGGAAUGGAAUGAAUUGGAAAAGAGAAAAGCUUCUCUAAAUUCCAAAGCCAUGAAUGCCUUGUUUUGUGCACUUGAUAAGAAAGAGUUUCAUAGAGUGUCUAGUUGUGAAAGUGCUAAUGAAAUUUGGCACAAACUUGAAGUUGUUUAUGAAGGCACGAAUCAAGUGAAAGAGUCUAAAAUUAGUAGGUACACUCGGCAAUAUGAAUUGUUCCAAAUGGAACAAAAUGAGAGUGUGUAUUCUAUGAAUACUAGAUUUACGGACAUAGUGAACACUCUAGGAGCCCUAGGAAAGACCUUUUCAAAUAGCGAGAAAGUUAAGAAAAUCAUUAGGUCGUUACCUAAGAAAUGGAGACCAAAAAGGACUGUCAUUGAGGAAGCUCAAGAUUUGAAUAUCUUACCUAUUGAUGAUUUAAUUGGUUCUCUUAUUUCUUAUGAGGAAGACAUGGCAGCCGAAAGAGGCAAUGAGGAGAAGAAGAAAAGCAUUGCUCUCAAAGCCUCGAAACAUGAGAGUGAUGAGGAAAGCGAGCUGGAUGAGGAGGAGAUGGAUAUGCUGGCUAGGAGGUUCAGAAAACUUUUUAAGAAAUCCGAUGAGCGAAGAAAAUUUAGAGACCUCAAGAACCGAAAGGAGAAGAAGGAAGUAAUCAAAUGUUAUGAGUGCAAGAAGCCUAGCCAUAUAAGAACGGAAUGCCCUCUUCUCAACAAGCUGAAGAAGAAAGCAAUGAUAGCCACAUGGGAUGAUAGCGAUGAGGAAACAAGUGAUGAUGAAGAGCAUCAAGAAAUGACAAAUCUAGCUCUCAUGGCAAUUGGAGAUGAAUCGAAUGAUGAACUUGAUGAGGUAAAUGAUCUUUUUACUUAUGAUGAAUUAUAUGAUGCUUUUAAAGAAUUACAUGAUAAUUGGAUAAAAAUUGGUAAAAAGAAUGCAUGUCUUAAAAAGAAAAUGGUAGAGCUCAAAAAUGAAAAUGAAUCUCUAUGUGCAAAGAUUACAUGCCUAGAAUUAGAGAAUAAAACAUUGCAUGAUAGAGUUGCAUUAUCAAAUGAGAAACCUAGUACUUCACAUGAGCAUCUAGAAUAUCACAUAGAUGACUUGAAAAAUGAAAAUGAAAUGCUUAAGAAGAAGAGCAAUGAGUUAAAUGAGAUUGUUUUAAGAUUUACAAAUGGACAAAAGAUGUUGGAUAACUUGAUUAAUUCACAAAAAAUGUGUGUUUGAUAAAGGAGGACUUGGUUAUAAGCCACAUUUGAAACAAAAGUAUUAUAGGAACUACUUUGUGAAGAGUACAUCUACUAACAAUCAAGUUGUAUGUCAUUAUUGUAAUCAAAACGAUCACAUGAAGCUUGGUUGUCCUAUUAAAAGAAAAGUAUAUUAUGGAGUAAAAUGUGUUUUGGUUCCAAAAGGAAAAAUUGCUAACACUCAAGGACCCAAGAGUAUUUGGGUACCAAAGGGCACAACGUGAAUGUUUUCUUUGUAGGUACCACAAUCAAGGAAUGGUGGAGAGUUCCUUGAUGAAAGCUUGUGAGGAUAAUCACUUGAGUAUGAUCUAGGAGAAAAAGAUGAGGCAAGAUGAUUUAAUUGUUUUGGUAACAAUUUUUGCCAUAUUAAUUUUGUUGAAUGAAUCAUGAUAAAUGAAUUUGCGAAAAUAUGCUUGUAUGUUUACAUGAUGGAAUUAUCAUUGUGUAUAACAUUGAGUGAUUUAUCAUGAUGCCUUUGUUUGAUUUUGAUGAUUGUAUGGUCUUUGAUUUCAUCUUCUUAAUUGUCUAUCAUCAUUGUCCAUCUCUUAUAAAUGUGUGAAUUCAUAUGCCAUUAAUUGUGUUAUAUCAUCAUUCAUGUAUAAAAUUGAACUUAGAAAUUAUGAGGAAAAAGUAGUAUCCUUCAUCUUUACAAUCAGUACAAGGAUCCCUUUUAAAUAGAGCAAUUAUAACAGAAAAGGAAACUAAUUAAGAGCUAAUAUUUGACAGCUAUCAUCUAUAUUUACAGAGGAAAGGAUCCUACAAUAUCUCUAGGAUUAAGGCUAAAUUCAAGGCCUAAUUUCCAACACUCCCCCUCAAGCUGGUUUGAAGAUAUCUUCCAUAGCCAGCUUGCUAGUCAACUUAUCAAAUUGCUUCUUGUGCAAUCCCUUUGUUAAUACAUCAGCUAACUGUUCAGUUGUUGGAAGAUAUGUCAUACAUAUUAUUCCAGUGUUGAGUUUCUCCUUGAUGAAGUGUUUAUCCACUUCUAUAUGUUUUGUUCGAUCAUGAAGAACUGGAUUAUGAGCUAUAGAAAUAGCAACUUUGUUGUCACAAUAGACUUUCAAAGGAGUUGAGAAAGUAAAUUUCAGUUCUUCAAGAAUUCUUUUUAUCCACAUAACCUCGCAGAUUCCAUGGGCAACAACUCUGAAUUCUGCUUCUGCACUACUUCUAGCAACCACAUUCUGUUUUUUACUCCGCCAUGUAACUAGGUUCCCACCAACAAAGGAACAGUAGCCAGAUGUUGAUCUCCUGUCAGUGACACUUCUUGCCCAGUCUGCAUCUGUGUAGACUUCAACUUGAAGAUGUCCAUGUUUUUUGAACAUUAGGCCCCUCCCUGGAGUUCCUUUUAGGUAUCUUAAGAUCCUGUAGACUGCCUCAAAAUGCUCUGCCCCUGGUGAGUGCAUAAACUGACUUACCAUGCUGACUGCAAAGGCGAUAUCAGGUCGCGUAUGAGACAAGUAGAUCAACUUCCCUAUGAGUUUUUGAUACUGUUCCCUAUCCUUUACUUCUUCAACCUUAGCAGGUUGUAACUUCAAGUUAGGAUCAAUUGGGGUCUCUACCAUCUUACAACCAAGCAAACCUGUUUCUCCAAGGAGAUCAAGAACAUAUUUCCUCUGAUUCACAAAUAUACCUUCCUUGGAUCUUGCAAAUUCCAUUCCAAGGAAAUACUUAAGGACUCCCAAAUCCUUAAUUUGAAACUUCUUUGCAAGUCUCUUCUUGAGGGCUGCUAAUUCUGUUUCAUCAUCACCAGUUAAAAUGAUAUCAUCAACGUAAACAAUCAAAAUUGCAAUUUUACCGUCUUUUGAGUGUUUAUAAAAUAUUGUGUGAUCUCCUUGACUCUGCAAGAAGCCAUAACUGAUAACUGCCUUUCCAAAGCGUUCAAACCAUGCUCUUGGUGACUGUUUGAGACCAUAUAAUGACUUUCUUAAUCUGCAGACUUUAUCACUACCAAGACUCUUCUCAAAUCCUGGUGGUAGACUCAUGAACACCUCCUCUUUAAGAUCACCAUUGAGAAAUGUAUUUUUAACGUCAAGUUGGUGUAAAGGCCAAUCACAAUUCACUGCAAGAGAUAACAAAAUUAUGAUAGAAUUUAUUUUAGCAACAGGAGUAAAAGUCUCAUGAUAGUAAAUCCCAUAAGUCUGAGUGAAGCCUUUAGCCACCAGCCUCGCCUUGUACCUCUCAACGCUUCCAUACGCGUUACAUUUUAUCCUAAACACCCACUUACACCCAACUAUUUUCUUGUCUCUGGGUGGAUCAACUAUCUCCCAAGUACCACUUCUCCUCAAGGCAUUCAUCUCCUCCAUGACUGCUAAUUUCCAAUUCGGGUCAUCCAGUGCUUCCUGUACAUUUCUUGGAACAAACAAGUGUGAAAUCCUAGAUGUGAAAGCUUUAUGGUUUUUUGACAGUCUUUGAUAGGAAAGAUAAUUUGCAAUAGGAUGUUUGGUGCAGUUUCGAACACCUUUCCUAAUAGCUAUAGGGACAUCAAGAUCAGAAAUAAUUGGUGAAUUAUUGGAAACAAUCGAAGGAAUCAAAGCUGGAGUUGGGAUUUGAUUACCUGAAAUUUCAGUGCCGGAACUCAGUUUUUCAAAUUGGGCUUGUGUAGGAUUGACAUUCAAGUCUUUACUUCUCAGAUGAAAUCUCUUCCUAGUAUAAACCUGAAGUUCAGAAUUUAGAUCAUGUUGAUCUGUUUGUAGUACUUCUCCCCCUGAACGAGAAUCCCUUGUACUAGGCUCUAAAGAACUUGUUUUUCUCAACUGAUCAUUAUCAGAAAAGUGUGGUCCUUGAAUAGGACAAAUAACAUUUGGAAGUGGGAUAGAAAUGUCCCAAAAAUUGUCUUCUACUCCAUUUGUCUCCCCCUGAAGAGAAUUUUUUAUGAAAUAAGGAGUUUUUUCCAAAAACGACACAUCCAUACUCACAUGAAAUGUUUUUGUUUGAGGGUCAAAACACUUAUACCCCUUUUUGUUCGAUGAAUAACCCAAAAAUACACACUUUAUAGCACGUGGGUCAAGUUUUGAACGAAAUUGACUUGGAACAUGAACAUAGACAGUACACCCAAAAACUUUGACGGGUAAAUCAGAAAACAACCUUGUUGCAGGAAAAAAUUCUUUAAGGCAAUCAAGAGGUGUUUUGUAUUUUAACACCUUGGUAGGCAUCCUGUUUAUUAAAUAAGCUGCUGUUAAAACCGCUUCACCCCAUAAAUACUUAGGAAUAUGCAUGUAAAACAUUAUGGCACGUGCUACCUCAAGUAAAUGUUUAUUUUUCCGUUCUGCAAUGCCAUUUUGUUGAGGGGUAUUCCGACAUGUAGAUUGAUGAAAAAUGCCUUUAUCAUUCAAAUACUCACCCAAGUGCUCAUUGAAAUAUUCUGUUCCAUUGUCAGAAUGUAAAAUACCAAUUCUAGUUUGAAAUUGAUUUUCAAUCAUAGUGUAAAAAUUUUCAAAUAAAUAUUUUACGUCAGAUUUUUUAUGCAUGAGAUAAAUCCAACAUAAACGAGUAUGGUCAUCAAUAAAAGUAACAAACCAUUUUUUACCGGAAAGGGUAGUGACCUGAGAAGGACCCCAAACAUCACUAUGAAUCAAAUAAAAAGGUUUGGAGGCCUGGUACUGUUUUGGCAAAUAAGUAGAACGAUGAAGUUUUGCAAAAGUGCAACAUUCACAAUAAAAAGAAGAGCAAUCAAUCCCUUUAAAUAAUUCUGGAAAUAAGUAUUUCAAAUAAAGAAAACUAGGAUGUCCUAGUCUAUAGUGCCAUAGCAUUAUUUUUUCUCGAACAGAAAUUGAACUAGUACUAAUAAAGUUCUGAGCUUUUUUAUUACUAAUAGGUACUUCAUCAAAGUAGUAAAGACCUUCAAUCAUCCUAGCACGUCCAAUCAUCAUCCCCGAGUUCUGGUCCUGAAAUUCACAAUGUGAUUCAAAUAAGGUAAUACGACAAUUAGAAUCUCUAGAUAAUUUACUAACAGACAAAAGACUGCAGGCUAAUUUAGGGACAUGAAGAACAAAAUUGAGAUUAAUUUUCUCGGUCAGUUUGAUAAGUCCUUCUCCUGCAAUAGGUGAAAAACUACCAUCGGCAAUUCUAAUUUUUUUAUUUCCAGAACAAGGAGAAUAGGUAUUAAAUAAAUGAAAAGAACUAGUCAUGUGAUCAGAGGCUCCAGAAUCUAUGAUCCAUGGAGAAGAGUUUAAACAAGAAAGGGCUAUAGGAUUUCUACCUGUUUUUGCCAAAGAAACACUAGGAAUACCAGACGAGAAGUUGGAUUUUAUCAGCUUCAGGAGUUGAUCAAUCUGCUCUUUGUUAAAGUGGCCUGAGUUGGCUUCAUUGGCCGAAGGAAUCCCACGAUUCUUCUCUCCUUGCUUGCUGCUUUUCCAGUUUUCAGGUUUGCCAUGAAGCUUCCAACACUUCUCACGUGUAUGGCGAGGCUUGUGGCAAUGAUCGCACCAGGCCUGUGACUUAUCAUCAGACCUGCGCUGAUAAUUUGCAGUCUUGUAGGCUGCUGCAUCAGUAAUUAAGGCAGAAUUCUCAAUUGACUCACCGGCACUCCUUUUCCUGAGCAUUACGCUCCUUCGACUUUCUUCUCUUCUGACUUCAGCAAAGACUUCGCCAAUGGGUGGUAGAGGAGGUCUGCCAAUAAUCCUCCCUCGUACUUCAUCAAACUCAACAUUGAGGCCGGCAAGAAACUUGUAAAUACGACUGUCUUCCACGGUUUUCUUGUGGUGGUUGCAGUCAUCAGCGGAUUUCCAUUCAUAUGUGUUGAAGAGGUCAAGAUCUUGCCACAACCUUUUCAAAGAAUUGAAAUAUUUGGUGACAGAAUCAUCACCUUGACGAAUCUCUCCCAACCUUAAAGUUAACUCAAAAACCUGAGAUUGGUUGCCCAGGUCAGAAUACAUCUGACUAACGUUGUCCCACAAUUCUUUAGCAGUAGGAUAGCACAUAUAAUUGGAGCUUAUAUCCUCCUCCAUGGAGUUGACCAGCCAUGUCAUAACCAUGGAAUUUUCAGCAUCCCAAGUGGCAUACAGCGGAUCAUCAUUAGCAGGAACCUUCUUGUCACCAGUGAUGUAACCAAUUUUUCCUUGCCCACGGAUAUACAUCCGGACAGAUUGCGACCAGCGGAGGAAGUUGUCGCCAUUUAAGCGGAUGGUGGUGAUUUGAACAGAAUGAGAGUUGGAGUGGUUUCGCAGGGUCUCAGAUGUUUUUUCUGGAAUGGCAGCAGCAAGGGUUUGAGUGGUUUCAGACGUGACUUCUGACAUGGUUGCAGACACGAUUCCCUAUGCUCUGAUACCAACUUAGAAAUUAUGAGGAAAAAGUAGUAUCCUUCAUUUUUACAAUCAGUACAAGGAUCCCUUUUAAAUAGAGCAAUUAUAACAGAAAAGGAAACUAAUUAAGAGCUAAUAUUUGACAACUAUCAUCUAUAUUUACAGAGGAAAGGAUCCUACAAUAUCUCUAGGAUUAAGGCUAAAAUCAAGGCCUAAUUUCCAACAAUUGACAUUAUUGUUUGAUACGAUUUCAUAUGUUUGGUCUUGUAUACAUUUAUGCCUCAUGCAUUAAAAUGGCUUAUAAAACAUUUUUGGAUCAAUUAGUUAGUAUUUCAGGGGCAAGUAAUCGAGUAACGGAUGCACUCUCACUCUUAACAGAACCAGCAGAGUGUUCAGCUUUGGCGAUUCCUCAGUGCCAACAUUGGGAUUCCUUAAAGGUUGAGUUGGCAGAGGAUACCUUUCUGAAGAAACUAAGGGAAGACAUAACUUCGGGUACACAAUCUCACGUGGGGUUCUCAGUUGAGCAUGGAGUAUUGUUCUACAAGAGUCGGCUGGUUAUUCCUCAGACUACUAAGCUUCUUUUUGCUCUCAUAGGAGAGUUUCACACCACUCCGAUUGGGGGACAUUCGGGAGAAACAAAAACUUACCAACGCUUAGCAGCAGAAUUGUAUUGGAUAGGUAUGCGCAAGGAUGUCACCAGAUUUGUACGGGAAUGCACCAUCUGCCAGCAGAAUAAGUACUUGGCCACUACUCCCGCAGGGUUACUUCAACCUAUUCGACUACCAGCCCAGGUUUGGGAGGAAGUCACACUUGAUUUUAUUGAGAGGUUGCCUCGUUCUGAAGGGUGGGAUGCCAUCUUAGUAGUGGUGGACAGGCUGAGUAAGUAGGCUCACUUCAUAGGAUUAAAACAUCAUUUUUCUGCUGUUUCGGUUGCUGGAAUCUUUGUUCGUGAAAUUGUUAGGCUUCAUGGGAUACCACGGUCAAUUAUCUCUGACCGAGAUAGGAUAUUCUUGAGCCAUUUUUGGAGUGAAUUGUUGAAGCUGCAGGGAACUACUCUCAAAAGAAGCACCGCCUAUCAUCCACAAUCUGAUGGACAAACAGAAGUUGUCAACCGUUGUUUGGAAACGUAUCUAUGCUGCUUUGCUUCUGGAAAACCUCGAAGUUGGGCUCGCUCGUUGGCAUGGGCUGAGUAUUGGCAUAAUACUUCCUUCUACUCUUCUACACAUUGUACUCCAUUUCGUGCUCUCUAUGGAAGGGAUCCACCCCCUCUUAUUCGGUAUGAGCAAGGAGCUGCUUCGGUAUCUUUGGUAGAACAGUUAAUGGAGGAUCGUGAUGCCAUACUGGACGACCUGAGGAUGCAGUUGCUUCGUGCCCAGCAGCGGAUGAAGCUGCAAGCUGAUCAAAAGCGCCAUCAUGUAGAGUUCAAUGCAGGUGAUUUGGUAUUUCUGAAACUAAGACCUUACCGGCAGCGCUCCCUCGCUCAACGUAAGUUUGAGAAAUUAGUUGCACGUUACUACGGUCCAUUUAAGGUUCUUCAGCGUGUCGGGAAGGUGGCAUACAAACUAGAACUGCCUCAAACAGCAAAACUCCACCCUAUCUUUCAUGUUUCGCAGUUGAAAGAUAAGGUUUCAAACAACAAACUACAUACUAGUUUUCCUACUUCCAACAACAUUCUGCUCUCUACUGUGUUGUUUAUCUAACCAUUUCAGUUCAGGGCUUAUCAGUUGUUUCUUAUGGUAUUUAUAUAUCCGACAUAUUCUAGUUCGACAUGUAACGAUGUAGUUUGGUUGGUUCUUCUUGCUUUUUGUGCAAUUUGUAACUGCAGAUACGUGUGGGAAAACAUUUAAUGGAUCUUGUUGCUGUUGAUUAGUUCAAAGACAAAGAGAAUGGACCAUGUAGCUAGGCGUCAAGGCUGUGAUGCACAAGUAACUAUUCUUUUCUUUUUUAUUUUUCCUUUUCCAUUGACGGAUUAGAAGAAAAUACUGCCUGUGAGAUACUACAAUAUAAAUAACUUCUGGUGGUUCAUUGAAUCUAUAACACUCUGAGCCCUAUUCUAAAAUAUGUAGGUUGCUUCCAAAAAAGGGCUUUUCUCACUGAUCUUUAAUCUUCAAGUAAGCUUGUUUCAUUUCAGAAGGUAUUAAGUUUCAAACUUAUCGUUUUGGGAGGUUGUAUGGUUGUAACGUAAGCAUCUGCAGGUUCCUGGUUCAACAAAUUAUAGUAUGGUAUUUUAUUUUGUCACAAGGGAAUUAAUUACAGGAUCCCUUUUGCAAUGGUUUGUUGACGGCGAUGAUGAAUUUCGCAAUGAAACUUAUCCCAUCCGUUCCUAAGGUAUCCGUCUUGGUCUUCAUGUAUUAGGACUAUGUUAACUAAUACGUACCCUCCGCUGCAUAGUACACUUUAAUUUGUACAAAGAAGGCAUGCAUUUAGGUGUAAAUGUAUUAAUGGGUUGUACCUUCAAACUUCAUUUCCUUUUUCUACCGAUUUGAAUUUGUUUUGCAUUUGUUCUUGAUUUUAAGCAUUGAAUCAUGCAGGGGUCAUGGAUCGUGCGCCAGAGUGAUGGAAGCACCCCUUGUUUAUUAGGAAAAGCAGUUGAUUGUAACUAUAUCCGCGGUCCUAAGUACUUAGAAGUAAAUGCUCUUCGAAUUUCUAUAGUACAUGGGAUGUGUUCCCUUUCGAAUAGCUUGUUCAAUACCAUUAACAUGGUUUAACAUUGUUCAUCUUUCUGCAGAUUGAUGUUGGCAUGUUCUUCUACUGUUGCUAAUGGAGUUUUGGGCCUUGUAAUUGGUGUAAUUACGGCAGUGGUGGUUGACAUGGCUUUCCUUGUACAGGUAUGUAUGAUUGUUUUUUUCCUCUACUUCUAAAUGGACACAAGGGAAAAGACAUGAUUUUGAGAUAUUGUACUGCAAUUUGCAUAUUUGCAUACUUGAAUGUUCUCAGAAUGGUAUAAUGCUUCGUGUAUGCAGGCAAAUACUACAGGUGAAUUACCGGAGCGGCUGAUUGGAGCUGUACGUGUUUCUUAUAUAGAACUCAAGUCUGCUAUUGUCCCAAAGUUGGAACCAGAGACAUCAUGACUGUGUUUUCAUUUCACCUCAACUGUUUGUUUUUAAUUUAAAAAAAAUCAUUUGUUUUAGGUAUACAUACAUGUAUUUUGAUCCCGUUUUCAUUGUAAUUUCUCAUUUACUUUGAAAGAAAGUCAUUGGUGUUUUCGAAUGGGAAUUUUGCAUUAAAAAAUAAAGAAUACUUAAUAGGAAAUUUCAUGAUUCUUUAGUUACUAUUUUUGGAAUGAGUGUAAUAGUAUUAAAGUUGGUUUCUACUCGCAAACAAGUGAACUACUCGAUCCCCAACUGUGACCACGCUAAUUGUCAUUGUUUAAUAGCUACUACUUUUAAAACUCAACAACUAACAAAAAUACUAAUAAAAAAAUGAUUUUCUUAUGAUGCUGUGAAAACAUUUAUGGGUUCACUUAUUUCCACAAGAUCUAUAACAUGGUCUUGACUUCACGAAAUUCUUUUAAUUUAAAGGGUGCUGGUAUGAGAAAAUCAGUUUUACGGAUUAAUUCCUUUUAAUAAUGGUCGAGUUAAUUUUACUAUACUCAUAAAACUAUUCUUAUUCUGAUAAUGCCACAAAUGUUAUGCUGUUUUCUUCAGCUAAUGAUCUUCUAUCAGGACUAGUUAGAAAUCAAAUGCUUAAAACACCAAUUGAAUGAAUGAUGCAGAAGUUUAAACAGUAUCUAAUUGAAAAUUGCCUGAAACAUGAAACAUCAAUUCAAGUCCUUCCUUAAACAGAGAAUGCAUCAAACAAAUCCAAAGUGUCUUUCAAGUCUGUAGCAUGACUAAAAAAUUGUAAAUGCGUUCAGAACCAAAUUAUUCAAGUACAGGAGAACGAGCAAGUUGAAUCAUGUACAAGAGGUUGACCUAGUUCUAGAUAGCUUCUUCACUGUACCUGAAGGGUUGGCUCAAUCUUUUCUUUAGAAUUCUGCACAUUUUGUAAUUACUCGUGUAAGCAAGCAUACAUUACAAUCAUAAUAAUAAUAAAGCAAGAGUAAUGAUACGACCACAACCUCUUGUGCACAAAUAAUAUUGUACAAACUAACAUGACAUAAUAUGAUUGAGUAAUGAUACGACCACAAUCUUUUGUGCACAAAUAAUAUUGUACAAACUAAUAUGAUGUAAUAUGAUUGAUUAAACAAAAACAUAACAUAACCCUUAUAAUUUAUUUAUUAUUAUUUUAUAUUUUCAAUCAAGCAAUCAUAUUAUGCCACGUUAAUAGCUAUAGAAAUAAUUUGCUAGAUAGUGCCAACACUUCAUUGAUACUCACCAUUUCAUUGAACAAUUUUUUUAUGGUGUCAUUGAGGUUGCCUUCCCCACAUCCUUCAUCAUCAUCUUUUUCUUCUUCGGUGACGUUCACUUUGUUUAGCAUUGGUGUGUCUAAGACUCCUUGAGAGAAGAUCUUCAUUUUUGGACACUGUCUCACAACUACUUGUUUCAAGGACGGGAAUUCAAGAGCGUAAUUACCCAAACAAAAGCUUGUUAGGAUUGGCAAACAAUCAAGUUCCAAGUACUUUAAUUCCUUGAAAACAAUGCAAUCUUUCGUUUUUUCUCCAACCUGCGAUUGUAUGAUUUCUUCUAUCAUUUUGCAAUCAGCUAUCUUUAUUCUUUGAAGAUUCACUAGAUUUUUAGAUGCUGAGAGCGUCAACGCAUUUAUCAACCCGUGACACUUCGAUACUUGUAGUCCCCACAGAUUUUCCAAAUGCCACGAAGGUGGUACUAAUUUUUGUAACUUACUACAUUCUGAUAUUUCUAGACUUCCCAAGUUUGCAAACGCUUUGUUGGAUUCGUCAUUUUCCUUCCAGAGAUGCUGCACUUUGUGUAAUUUAGACAGCUUUAACUCCCUCAAUUUAGGGAAUGCAACCUGAAAAUCAACAAAAUUAAGUUGUAAAUUAAAAUAUGUAUCCAAUCUCUGCAGUCUUCCCCUGCAUAUUUUAUGGACAAGAUUAAUCACGACAUUUUAUAUUUUUUUUUCCAAAUUAGUAUGCUUUGCAGUAGGAUCCCAAAUAUAAGUAUCAAAUCGAUUACCCUUUGAAACACAUAAAUGAAAUCUGAUACUAAAUCCAAAUGAAUUAGCUAGGAAAACAGAGAUGCGACAAGCAUAAUUGAAAUAUAGUUCAUCACCUCAUGUUACCAGUCAUCGAAAUAAUUUAAGACAUUUUUAUAAUUCAUACUAUAAAGUUAGUUAAUAACUACGGUUAUAUUGUUAAAUCAGAUAUAAAUUAAGACGACGUGCAAAAAGAUGAGUCAUUAAAUUUGAUUUGAUUCUAAUGAAAUUAUAUCUGUGCGAAUGAAAGUGAAGGGAAAAAUAAUAAUAAUGAUUACCUUUUCAUUGAAGAGAUGUUGUAUUUGAUUAGCUACCAAGAUGUUCUCUUCUGAUUUUAAUUUUUGAGCUUCCUUAUUAUCUGCUGUCAUGUGCAGUACAGAUGUAGAAUUGGAUAUGAAUGUUUCCAUAUCAGGGCAAUUCUCAAUAGUUAGAUAUCUCAACUCAGGCAGUUCAAUUAUAUUCCCAGUGAAGUUGUAGAAUCUUUUGAGUUUUGGAAGAUCAAUGAGCCUUAGCCAGGAAAGCCUAGGAAACAGGGGGCCUAUAUGUUCUUCCUUAGCAUUUAGCUCUUCCAAAUGAAGCACCUCUUCUAGUGAAUCACAAUUCCUCACUUCUAGGUACCUUAAAUUGUUCAAGCAUCGUAGCAGAUUGGCAGGAAUAGCACUCGACAUAUUCGUGCAGUCAUCCACCACCAGCUCUCUUAAAUUGUUGAAGAAGCUGACAGGCAGUGCUUGGCCAUGCCAUAUUUCUUGCAAGCGUGGAAAAUGCGAGAGUUGCAAAUCCUUUAUAUCACGAAAUCCAAUCUGCACAAACCAAAACAAUUGCACUGGAUAUAUACAAAUUUUUUUUUAAAGGCAUUAUAUAUAUACACAUUAAACUUACAUGUUUUGUGUUUUAACUUUUAAAAAUAUAUAUACAAGGGAGGUGUAUAUGCUUAAAUGUGCAAGUGCAGGGGAGAUGCAUGAACAAUUUGGGUGAAUCGAUUAACACAUACCAUUUCUUCAUAACACUUUUGUAUAGUGGAAUUAAGGUUGCCUUCCCAAUGGUGCGGUUCACCCUCUUCCUUUUUACUCACUUGGACUUUGUAUAGCUUUGGUGUGGAUAAGAUUCCCAGAGAAAAAGUCAUCAUGUCCGGACAAAGUGUCACAAAAACUUGUUCCAGUGAUGGGAAUUCAAGAGUGUAAUUCUCCAAACAAAAGCUGGUAAGCCUUGGUAAAUCAUCAAGUAUCAAAACUUUUAAUUUGCUGAAAGCAAUACGAUUCUCCUUCACUUCUUGUCCAACAUGUCCUACGAUUUCUUCUAAUUUUGGGCAACCCGAUACUUUAAGAUUCACUAGACUACUAGGAAUUCCAACCUUAUUAUGAAAUGUCUGUGUGCAUGUGUGUGUGUAUUAAAAAAGUAAAAAUGUAAGAAUAUCAUUCAACUAGAUUCAAAGUAUGGUUAAUCAUACAAUUAUACAUUUUAUGAACAUAACAAAUUAUGAAAUGUCUACUAGAUAUUUUUUGUCAAACAAAAACGGAACAAGAUAAAUAAAUAAAUAAAAGCCACAUAAACAAAGAUAAUAAAAAUGCAUUUACACUAUUUAGUAUUAGGAACGUAGCAAGAAUUUAAGGCAAUUUCUAAAUAUUUUAGACUUAUUUUGCAUCUUGACGCCAGUUUUUAAACAAAAUUUGCAAAUUUCAACUAUUCCUUUUGGGAAAAAAAAUCAACCAAAAUGCCGCUUUUUCCCUUUUUCCUUGGUCCCUUUUUUUUAUGUAUAUUUAAUUUUGGAAACAAAAUUAAAGUGGAUCUUUAUUAAGUACUUGCAGACUCGAGGAAAUUUCUUUACAAUCAAGGAUCAGUUGUAAAUAAUCAUGAAUUUGUGGUUAAUUAAUGGCAUAAUCAGUUCGAACUAAACAAGAGAUAUUAAUUAAAUUUGAAGACUUUUCUUUUCUUUUUUUUUUCUUUUUCCAAUCAAAAUGUGAAGAAUUAAGGAAAAGAGAAAUAUAUAGAUGAAUUUGUGAACCUAUAAGAUGAGUGACUAUCCUUUAAUUUUUGAUAAUUGUACUUAUUAAGAUAUGAGCAGAAACAAUUAAAUUGAAUUAUAUUAUGCUGUUGAAUCGUGAUUAAAAAAAUUAUAUUGUUGAUUCUAAUGCUGGCAAACCUAAAAACUGGACUUAAAAUGUAGAUUUGAGAGUGGUGGUUCGAAGUACAAUACUUGAAAUAAAUAAUCAGUGGCUGAAUAUCAUUUGUAACCCAAAAAUGGUUAAAAUAUUGUUGGAUGUAAUUUGAAAAAAAAAAAAAAAGAUUCGAAAUGAAUACAACAACCUUACCAAUGGAGGAAAAAUAUUCAUUAGGUUAUCACACCUAGAUAUCUCCAAAUUCUUCAAUUUCCUGAAAGACUCCAAAGCAAGCUGGUGGUGCCAUAUUGUUCUCAGGUUAGCCAUCCACGCAAUAUCUAAUACCUCCAACCUAGGAAGUAGUACCUGGCAGUUAAAGAUUAAAUAACUAAUUAAUCGGCAUAAUCUAUUGAUAACCAAAUUAGAGGCGGAUAUUAACUAAAUUUGAAGACUCAAGGAAAAGACAAAUUAAAUAUUGUGGCUAAAAUUAAUUAAAAAAAAAACCUUUUCGUCAAAGAGAGGUGGAGAUUGCAUUUCAGAAUGAAGGGUGUCUGCUGGUGAGCUCGUAGAGAUGAAUCUUAACAUAUUAUUGCAACCAUGGAUCUCCAGGUUUAGCAAAGAAGGGAAUUCAACAACUAAAUCUGAAUGAAUCUGUCCCGUAUUGGCAAAACUUGUUAGUUCUGGAAGCCAUUCUAGCUUGAGGGAGUGUAGUUUAGGAAAAACCUUUAAUUCAAUCAACUUUCCUUCAUCUCUUUCUGACCACCCCGUGGUGUCGACUACCCCUUCCAUUGACUCACAAUAGCUUAUCUCAAGAUGUUGGAGUUUCGCAAGACUAUUAACCAUAGAAUAUGAAAACAGAUACUUCAGACAAUCACAACUCCACACGAUGACCUUUGUUAAGUUUUGACAACAGUACAUUCCUUGAUUAUGAUCGGCCCAUAAUUUUUUCAUGUUUCUUAAGUUCCUGAUAUUCAAUUCCUCUAAGCUCGGAAGAAUAAUAACCUGCAAAGAAAACCCGUACAUUUUUGUUCCUUCAAGUACAACCGUCUAGUAUAAUAUUUUUUGAUGAUCGAAGAUUAAUCGUGAAUCCGUGAUAAUAAAUUAAUCAAUUAAUUAUUGAACAGAAAAUUAUCACCUUUGGAGCAGGGUCAUCAUCAGCAAUGAUUUCGUUAAAUCCCAAAGAAGAAGUUGGUUUCUCCCUGUCGGGUCCUAUAAACAAACAAAAACAAUAUACAUAAUUAAUCUUUGUUCUUUUUUUUUUUUUGGUCCAAAAUAAUUGAAGAGAAGUCCAUAAUCCCACCAAUACUUAACUUCAACACUUACCAAAAAUCAUUUCCAGAUCAUGGCAAAACUCCACUUCUACCUUUUGAAGCCGCAGUAGGUUUUUGGCUAUGGAGAAUGAGAAAAGAUGCUUCAAUUUGUAACAGGAAUAUACUUCUAUAAUCCUUAAGUUGCUGAAAGAUUGAUCUUCUGUGAGUUGGCUGUCACAUAUUGUCUCCAAAUUGAUCAAACGACGAAGAGACAAUGACUCCAGCAAGGGGAAGACUUUGCGACGAACCCGUCCAACUGAACGGACAAUAUGCAAAAUCUCAGAACAACUUUUUACAGAAAGAUGCUUCAAUCGUGGAAAACCUUCCCCAUCAUCUAAUUCACCCUUCAGUUCUUCUAGAUAGAGAUAUUCAGUUCUCUUCAACAACAGUUUCAUCCUGUAAUUCUGCAAAAGAAUGCCAAACUUUUCUAGCCCCUGGAGCUUCAUCAAUCUUGAUAAUCCAGAUUUAACGGACCGGCUGCUCCACCACGUAUUUCCUAUACAUAUCCUAUAGCUUUGCAAUUCCACAGAGACCAAAUCCUGUGGUAGAAUUUCGGCAUCCCGAACGUGUAUCUCCAAAGUAGUUAGCUUUGACAACCCCUUCAACUCAACAAGACUGGCGUUACUUCCUCCUUCAACCUUCUCCCACUGUGAAAAGCUGUUACUCAUAUAUAGUUCUUCUAAUCGAGAUAAUUUUGAUAUGACAUUUGGAGCUAUCACCACAAGGCUGCUACAAUUGCUCAAAUCUAGCAACUGUAAUCUCGUCAAUUGUCCAAUUACAAGUGGCAACUCCUUAACAUCAGAAUCUCGAAGGCUGAGAAUCUCUAAUUUCUUUAGCUGUCCAACUAUUGCUAUAUCUUUUAGUCCGCAACCAUCUAAACAAAAUGUUUGAAGGUUAAUGAGGCGACCAAGUGAUGAAGGUAAUGAAGAGAAAGGAAUUCUAGUAAGACUUAACACUUUGAGUUCUUCUGUCCCUUCAAAAAAGAGGUCUGAAAUUUGCAUAGGGCCAUAACCCUUUCCAAACAACAAAAAUAACUGGAGAUUGGGACAUUGCAACCUUUCAGGGAGCUCUUGGAUAUCUCUAUGAGGCAAUGAAAUAGCAAUUGGUCCUUUCUGUUUCGUCUCUUCCAUCUUUUUCUCAACGUCAGCAACAUUUGGAAUAUUAAACAUGCGCUUCUCUGCGGCAAUUGAUACGGCAACAACAUGAAUGACGUCAUGCAUUUUAACUUCAUCUUCAGCAUCACCGUCCAACAAUAAGCAUGAAGAUUUGAGAUUGUCGAUCAACCGAUGCACUCUACUCCUUGCUUCUUCCAAUGUGUAAACAUUUUCAAACAAACCCCAACCCACGCCAUAUCUCAAUAAGUCAGAAACUUCUAUGGCAUCACCUUCACUGUACAGACCACAAAGACGGAACAAAGAUUUUGCCUCCGCACUUUCCAAGAAGUCAUAACUCAAUAUUAUGGAGGUGUACACAUUUGCUUGCAUGCCAUGAAUUUCUCUUGCAUCCGAUCUUCUUAGCUGAUUCAAUGCAUCUUUCCAAAAGUCAAGCUCCUUAGUUUUCAGAGCAUUUGCAACUGUACUCAGUGCAACAGGCAAACCUCCGCAUCUUUCAACGAUCUCAUUUGCCAUACUUUGAAAAGCAGAUAUUUUAGUUGAAUCACCCACUAUCUUCUCAAAUAACUGCAAUGCUUCUUCUUUUGAUAAAGCAUCGAUCCAGAAAAUUUUCUGACAAUUCAUAUCAUUGCACAAUAAAUCUCGACUUCUAGACGUCAAUAUUAUUGUGCAUCUUCUCUGAUCAUCCUCUCUAUCUUUCUCAUCAACAUCUCCAGAAGGAAUUCCAACCGCAUCCAACUCAAGUUUUGUCCAAAUAUUAUCCAAUAUAAUGAGGACCCGCUUCUCUUGCUUCAACCUUUCACGCAGUCGAGAAGCUCUAUGGUGUAUACUAUCAUUCAAGUCAAAUUUCAUGCCUAAAUCAGAAGCGAGCUUGUCUUGAAUUUUCUGGGGAUCUGGGUUCUGUGUUACCUCAGCCAUAACGACCUUAUCGAUCAACUUAUCUUCCAUCACUUUCUUAGCAACUUGCUUGACUAGCGUGGUUUUACCCACGCCGCCCAUGCCGUAGACCCCAAUUAUGUUGAGCUUAUCAUCCUUCAACGCCUCCAUAACAUCCUGAAAUACUUUCAUUCUUGAAUCAAAGGCCUCGUUAUCUUUCCCGUCAUUAAGUCCUGUGCUCUUUGGAGUAGGACGGUAGGAAACAUUAGAGAAGUUGCCUUUUCCCACGAGACCAGCGGCAGCUUCUGCGGCCUUUGCUGCUUGUUUACUAAGCUUGUAACGGGACAUCAAAUUUGGGCACAAUCCUUUGAAGCAGAACUUCUUAGCUCUUUCUUCAUCAUCAAUGAUGGAUUUUGCAACCCCUUCACUUAUGAAUUCAUCAACGCUAUGUAGCCAGUCUGUGACACCCUCAUAAAGCUCAUCCCCUUGUAGCCUAGCAUGAUUAACUGGUUGCUGCACCGUUUCUCUUUUAUAUCCCAGCUGCUUUACUUGAUCUUUUAGAUCAUCUAUGUAGCUCUGGUACUUGAACACAUAAGAUAUCUGCCGUAUAAUCGGUUUGAACAAUGACUUUGCACCUUCUGAUACGAUGCUGGAGAAAGCUGCAAGACCCACCUCUGCCAUUGCCUGCUGCUUAACAAAUCUAAUAAAAUGUCAAAGAAAGGAAUUCAAAUAAAUUAAAAUGAACUAGAGGGAAAGACAAAAAAGGAAAAGGCAGUAAACAGUGUCGCAACAUUGAUCUUGAAUCAACUGAAACAUGAACAGAGCAUUUUUUCUUCUUUGUUAAGGAUCAGAGUUUUUGCUAUUAACAAAACCUACUUCAAGCGUCUUAAAAAAAAAAACUGUAAAUUUACCAUAAAUGAACAAUAACUACAAAACUCAAGCAAAACAAGCCACAGAAUUUUUAUCUUGGAAAGUGGAUGGAAUUAAGAAAGAAAUGCUAUAAAGAUCAAGCAUCAGAGAUUAUGCUAUUAAAAGAAAUUAAUUGAAGGUUUUAGAUCAAGUGCGCCUAUUUAAUUAUGUGGGGUCAGAAAGUUGAUGAGCCUCUGUGAUCGCCUUGAAUAUUUAAGAGCAAUUUCAAUGAGCAAAAAAUUUCUGUUACCUGCAGAGGAAUGUGAUUAUAGAGAGCUUAUAGGGUAAUGACAAUGAUUUGGAAAAGAAGAAGACUUAAUCAUGCAGCCCUUAAUAUUUAUUAAAUGACUUGUGAUCAUUUCUUUUAUGAAUAAAAUGCCAAUAGCAAAAAGAGAAAAAAGGGCGAAAUUUACUAAGUCUUAUUUUAUUUUUAAUUUCUUUUAUUUCCAUUCGCCGAAGAGGGAAUCUCUCCCUCUUUUUGUUUUUUUUUAAGGGGAAUCUCCUUACCUAAUAUGACAUAAUGAAAGCAAUCUGUAAAUAGUCAUAUAAUGUAAUAAUUAAAAAUACCCACAUAUUUAUAAUAUUAAUGAUGGGAUCCAUGUGUUUAUACUAAUUAAAUUGGUGGACCAGAAUUUAUUUGACCGUACUUGUUUUCUAUUUAAUUAAGAUUGAAACGAUAGAGAAAAAUUGUCGUAUUGAUUGUUUCGAUUGUGGAGUUCCAACACUGAAAGUGAAGAUUUCAUCAACUUUCUCACAUGGACACGUACCGUCAUGCAUAUUGCAUUAUUUUCCUAGAAAAGCAAGAUUAAUUCUUUUAAUAAUUGUGAAUUCAGGAAAACAGGUGGAUAAUAACUAAAAUAUUUAUUUUUAUAUUUUUGAUAAACGCACUCACUAUUAAUAGAAUUCAUUAGAUAUCAUAACUUAAAUAACUUUUUGUGAUUGAUUGAGGGUAUCUUUUACUUCCCAAUAAUUAACUUCUAUGUUGAUUCUCAGAAAAUUAAUUUUACGAAUAAUUUAGUAGGGUGUUUGGUAAAUGAUGAUUAUUUGACAAUCAGUUUUCAAAUAGUCUACUAUACAAAUUUGAUAAGUGAAAAUUGAAAGUGUAAUAUUCAUGUGCAAUGAUAAAAAUGUACUUGUUUGCUUAUUUGUAGCUUAUUUAGAAUAUUAUUAUUAACAUCAUUUUUUUAUUUACUGGAUUUUUAAAGAGUAUAUUCUACUUUCUUUAUUACAUAUCUAUAUCAUUUUUUUAUUAACUAUUUUAAUUUGCAAUAAAACUAACUUUAAUAUUUUUUAACUAAAAAAUUCAUGCUAACAUAUUAUUAAAUUGAUUAAUAAAUAAGUGCAAAAAGAAAAUGCAAAAAUUUAAUCUUUAUAUAAACUUUUAUGUACAUAAAACUAUUGCAAUCAAAGUAGUUCAUAAAAAUAAAAUAUUCUAUACAUGUGUGUAAAAAAAAAAUAUAACUACAAUAUUGUCCACUCAUUAAAUUUGCAGCACUAUUAUUUCUCAGUCUCCCCAUCUCUCGACCUUUACCUUUAGGAACAUUAACACCAUGAUCUUCUUCUUGAAUUCGACCUCCAUUUCCACAGUAUCAACAAGGCGAUCAAUUUGCUGUGACAGCCUUUCAACUCCUCCCACUUUCCUCCCUUUUGAGGCCGCCCUUUUUCUUUUUCUUUCUUUGAUAGCUUCAAUGGGAACAAACUCAUCUAACGACAAGUACAUUCUUCAACCACAGUAGAAUUGGUUGUUGAUAUUUUACUACUCUCAUAUGGUAUGUAAACAUGGUCACCAGUGAUUGUUAUAUUAAAAAAAAAUUCUAUUCAAUUUUUCCUCUGACUUUGUGUCGAUACCUUUCAUGCAAAAUCUAUUUGCUUCAGAAAUUUCUUCCGUAUGUUGAUAUCAUAUUAAAGUGAAUUCAAGAUCCUAUAUUAUUUUGCAUGACAUCAAAGUUUAGCCGAAUGGUAAAGAAUUUCCCUUUUUGUUUGUCCCACAACUAUAUAGUCUCAUUUUUGGCAAUAAGCUCACAAUAUGCACGGAAAUGAAGAUUUAUUAAAAACUUCCCUAUAAUAUUAAACACUAAACAAUAUCACUAUAACCAAAGUUGGCUGGUGUGAGUGGUUCGGCACUCUCACUCCUUAAGAGAGGUCAGGGGUUCAAGCCCCGCUCUCGUAUGGAGUCACCACUUUGGCCAGCACUUUACCCCUUAUGGGCCGACCCGGUGCGAGCGGGGAUUAGUCUGGGUUGUGGUACGGGCUUAAAGGUGCCUCCCACAGUUGGGGCCCACUCAGGACCACCUCGUGGUUCAGACCAAAAAAAAAAAAUAAACAAUAUCACUAUGUUGUGCAUAUGGUGCCUCGUCAACAAUUUGAUGUUCAUUUUGUUGCUCGGGUGAAUAUGACUACUUGGGUUGCGAGUCCAUGCUUUUGUCGUUUGGAUGGAGGACGGGCCAUCUUUUUAUUUUAGAUGGUUUGUAGGACUUUUGAUAAUUAUUUUUCUAAAACUGAUUUCUGGUUAAUAAGACCUAUGAAAGCAUUCGAAGAAGCCACCGAACUCAGAGGAAAGCCAUGGUUAAAUAUACUGCGAAGUAUGUGAGCUCGUUUUUUAAUCUCUUGAUCACUCAUAAGCUUUUCUAUACCACUCACUAUAUCAUCCUUUUGAAUCAAUUUUGAUUGAUCAUCAGAGAUCAUGUACCCACCUUGAGAUGAUUGAUCACAAAUUUGGCAUUGUAAUGUUGGUCACCUCUAAUUGGCCAUGCUAAAAUUGGGACUUGACAACCAAUUGUUUCACUGUUGAAUUCCAUCCACAGUGAGAUAAAAAUUCACCCGUUGAUUCAUGUCCCGCUCUCUUAUGAAGUCACCACUUUGGCCAGUACUUUACCCUUUAUGGGCCAACCCGGUGCGAGCGGGGAUUAGUCUGAGUUGUGGUACGGGCUUAAAGGUGUCUUCCACAGUUGGAGCCCACUCAGGACCACCUCGUGGUUCAAACAAAAAAAAAAAAAUCCACCCGUUGAUUGAUGACUCAAUAUCAAUAAUUGUGGGGCUCAUCCAUCUAUUAUCAAACCCGUUUCACCGACUUUAUUAUCCAAACCACUACGAAAAUAACUGCCUUCUACUGGUUUGUUCAAAUGACGUAGAGGAUCCAAUCUACCUGCACCACCUUGAAUUACCCAAAUAAACGGUCGAUUUGAUGCUUCUAAAGCAUUGGCUAGUACUAGGUACUCAUCUAAGGUCGGAUCCACUUCAGUACCAAAUGACACAUAUAACACAGAUCCGCGUGAUUUCAAAUUCAAUCAUUGAACGAUCUCAUCUUCCGUCAUGUUAGAACUCCGCCGGUUGGUUCUCAUCUCAUGAUCAUGAAGCACUUAACCGGCCAAUUUGUAAAAUUGUUCAGGUAACAGUGGGCCCACUCCCCACAUCGGCUUUCUCAAUUCAUUGGCUAAAUAAUUAUAAAUGGUCCCUCAAGACCAUCACACGUGUUGAACAUCAACGCCAUUGAUCCCUCCGCUUCCUUCAUCCAGUGUGGUUGAUCACCGGCCUCUGGUGGACCUAUUUUCUCGGAACCAGGUGCACCUCUCAGAGGUGGUGGACCACCAGGAGGGUGCCCAUGAGGCCUUGUUUAAGAUUCGAUUCAAAUAAAGCCAUAUCCUCGGGUAACCCAGGAAGUAAAUGGGCCUCUCCCGGUUUGACAUCUUGGAUGCGAGCCUACCACAUGGCACACUCCACAGCUGCCGAGCAAGCACCAGAAGUGAAGAACCCAACAAUGGGAACUUCAAAAAUCUUGAAAACAUCAGCCGUCCAGCCCAUCAUAACGUCGAUGACUGCACAAACGGGUCGGCUUUUGGGUUCCCGGGUUGAAAGGAGGUUUCGAAGGCCUUGAAGCAUUUGGUUGUGCAUGACAACAUGGGGGUGAGGAGACGAAGGAGGGUAUUUUAGUAAUUUCAAAUAGAGGGUAUUGGUGAAGAGGGGAAGGGGUGAUGCUGUGUUGAAUCAAAAUAGAGUAAAAACUCUAAUUGAUCAAGAAGAAGAAAAACACUCUUUAGAAUAAUCUCACAAAAUUGCAAAAGAGAAGAACUCUUAAGAAAACUUUCAAAUGCUUAUAAUAAAGCUUUGAUUGUUAAAUUAUAAAACUCAAAUACAAAUAAGGUAUUUAUAGGUUACAAGAAACAAUCUAAACCACUCAUUAAAAUAACCACAAACUAAUUUAAACCAUUGAAAUUAAACAUGAGAAAAAUACCUAAUUUUCACCUAACUAAAUUGAUGUAAGCAAUGACAUCAAAUUAAUUUGGGUGUGGACUUAUUUGGGCUAAUAUUGACUUCUCAACACUCCCCCUCAAUGUUAGCCCAAUUCUUUGAAUCACGCCAAGCUGACGACGGAAAUGUUCAAACUUUCCAACACUCAAGCUUUUUGUAAACAAGUCCGCAGUUUGCUCAUCUGUCUUGACUUGCCUCAUCUCAAUCUCUUCUUGCAGAACUUUUUCCCUAACAAAGUGGUAAUGCACUUCCACAUGUUUAGUUCUUGCAUGAAAAACAGGAUUCUCCGCCAGCCGAAUUGCCGAUUGGUUGUCACAGUACAACAGAACUGCAUAAUCUACUGGUUGAUGUAGAUCAUUCAUUAGUUGUAUCAGCCACGUGCUUUCUUGAGCUGCCAUUGCUGCUGCUCGGUACUCUGCUUCCGUAGUUGACAAGGACACAGUCGGUUGUCUCUUGCUACACCAAGAAAUCGUUCCAGAUCCAAGGGUAAACAUAUACCCAGUAGUUGAUCUGCGAGUAUCGUGAUCUCCUGCAUAGUCAGCAUCACAGUAGCCAACUAGUUUGUAAUUUCCACCUUUCUUGUAUAGAAGACCAUAGUCUAUUGUACUCUUCACAUAUCUGAGUACUCGCCGAACCGCUUCUAAAUGAGACUUCUUCGGAUUUUGCAUGUAUCGACUCAUCACACCAACUGCAUAAGAAAUGUCAGGUCGAGUCAAGGUUAAGUAGAUUAGACUACCCACUAAUUGUCGAUACAUCGAUGCAUCUUCCAGGUCUUUGCCUUCAUGUGCACACAUCUUGGCAUUUGGUUCCAUCGGCGUUGAGAUCGGCUUACAUUCUAGCAUCCCAAACUUCUUCAACAAAUCUUUGGCAUAUUUCUGUUGACAAAGAAAUAUCCCUUCUUUCAUCUGAUCAACCUCUAGCUCAAGGAAAUGCUUAAGUUGUCCAAGUUCUUUCAUUUGAAAACGAACUGACAAGUUCUCCUUUGUUCGGAAAAUUUCUUCAAUAUCAUCUCCAGUGAUGAUUAGAUCAUCUACGUACACGAGCACAAUAGCUAUCCUUUCUCCAUUAGCUUUAGCAAACAAGCUGGAGUCUGCAGAUGUUACUGAAUACCCACUUUGAGUUAGAAAUUCAGCAAUCUUGCCAUACCACGCCCUGGGUGCUUGUUUUAGUCCGUAGAGAGCCUUUUGCAGCUUACACACAUACUCAGGAUGACCUCGGUUCUGAAAACCCAUCGGUUGAAUCAUGUAGAUCUCCCGAUCCAGCUCUCCAUGGAGAAAGGCAUUCUUCACGUCCAUCUGCCACAAGUUCCAGCUUUUGUUGGCUGCAAGUGCAAGUAAGACUCGGACGGUUGUAAGUUUUGCCAUUGGACUAAACGUUUCGUCAUAGUUUAGUCCAUAUUGUUGAGAGAAACCACGAGCUACCAAUCGAGCCUUGUACCUCUCGAUUGACCCAUCUAGACGGUGCUUUAUUUUGUAAACCCAUCUGCAGGAUAUGGGUUUCACAUCUUUUGGCUUUGGCACGAGUUCCCAGGUCUGAUUUUGCUCAAGUGUAGUGAUCUCGUCUUUCAUAGCUGUCAUCCACUCAGAACUCUGUGAUGCUUCUUCGAAUGUCUCAGGUUCUAUUCCAGUUGCUUCUUCAACUAUGGCUGCAUUAGCGUAUUUGGGAUUUGGCCUUCGGGUUCUUGUUGACCUUCGUAAUGGAGUUGAUUCUUCCGUUUCACUAGGCACACCUUCUUCAUCUGGUUGUCGAUACACCCCAGAUUGCCAAGGAUUUAGAGUUACUCUUCGUUCGCUAUCACUAUCGCAUAGAUCCCCAGCUGAGCUUAGAUGAAUUUGGACAGUAUGCUCCCCCAUCUUUUGUUGUAGCAUGUCUUCGAAUUCUUUCGAGUCUGGCAGCACUUCUUUUUCUGAGGUCCACCAUGAGGAUGCUUCAUCAAACACCACAUCUCGUGAUGUGUAGCACCUUUCAUUUACUGGAUCACAACACUUCCACCCUUUUCGCUGGUUGUCGUAUCCUACAAAGAUACAUCUGACAGCUUUCUUAUCGAUCUUGCUACGUAGAUGGUCAGGAACAAAUACAUAGCAUACACAGCCGAAUACUCGAAGAUAGCUAACUGUAGGUUUCUUGUUCCACAAUUUCUCAAAGGGUGAAACAAACUCCAACCUUGGUUGAGGAAGCUUGUUGAUGACAUGAGCUGCAGUUCUCAUACCUUCGGCCCAAAAUCUUCCAGGUACAUUCUUCGCAUGUAGCAUACUCCGGUAAAUUUCAGCAAGAUGCCGAUUCUUCCUCUCUGCUACACCAUUUUGUUGUGGCGUAUUAGCACAAGUAUACUGAUGACGUAUUUAGCAUUCCCGUAGGUAUUGAGAAAACUCUCUCGAGCUAUACUCACCCUCGUUGUCUGUGCGCAAGCAACGAAUCUUUUGCUCCACUUCUCCUUCGACUAUCUCUUUGAACUCUUUGAACUUUGAGAAUGCUUCAGAUUUUUCUUUCAUGAAGAAAGCCCAUACAUAUCUGGAGAAAUCAUCAAUGAACGUAACCAUAUACCACAUUCCGCCAAUUGAUGGUUGCUUAACGGGUCCAAACACAUCAGAGUGAAUUAACUCUAAUGGUUUAUUUGCUUUAAACUUCGACUCCUCGUAUGGCAAUUGAUGUGCUUUACCAUAUUGACAUCCCGCGCAAACAAUAUUUGUUCUCACGUCAAGUUGAGGAAGUCCUUUAAGCAUCGACUUCUUCACCAUCACACUUAGCUUGGAAUAAUUAACAUGACCUAGCCGCAUGUGCCACAGAUCUGCCGUCUCAUUCCUUCUUGUCUUGUCUACGUAUGCAGACUCAGCUGACAUCACAUAAACUGACUCCAAUUGUCGUCCCUCCAUCGUAGGCUUUUCUGAGAUCUUUAAGUCUCGGAAUACCUUCACAUUUUGUGGACCAAACAAGACAUAGUGGCCUGAUGAUGUCAAUUGAGCUACGGAUAGCAAAUUUUUCUUCAUUCCUGGAACAUGGUAGACAUCUUGAAGUGGCACUUGGUUGGGACUAUAUCGAGGUGUAACGAUCGCUUUACCGAUGUGAGCUAUCGGUAACCUUGAGUUGUCAGUUGUUACCACCACACGAUUUCCCUUGUACUCAGAACAAUUUUGCAACUUCUGUCUAUCACCCGUCAUGUGAUUUGAGCAGCCUGAGUCUACGAUCCAAUCAUUCUCGUAGUUAAUCUUUUCUGGUGUUGUUACCGUGAGAGCUAAUUCUUCUUCCUCCAUAGCGAGUAAUGCUUCGGCAUCCCAGUUAUCUUCACUAUCUUCUUUAGAACUAGAAGUAGCAAUAUUGCUUUCGGUAGACUUCUUUUUGGACCAACAAUCUCUCUUCAUGUGGCCCUUCUUCCCGCAAUUGUAACAUUCGCCAUCAAACUUUCUAUUACUGUCGCGAUUCUUCGAAGCUCCCCCUGGACGAGAGCCAUUCCCUCCCUGAUGACUUUUUGUCUGUUCACCAGUCUUUCUAGAUCCGCCUUUGUUGUGCUGUCUUGAACCACCUCUGCUUUGGUUGGUGUAAAGCGCUUCCUCUUCACCCUUUAGUGAGACUCCUCCCAUUUUCUUGGCCAUAGCUUCUUGGCCUGUCAGCAAAUUUUCAAACUCAACAAGUGAUGGUUGUGUCGGCCAUCCUUGCACAGCGGCUACAAAGCUUCGGUAUUCGGGUCUCAAGCCAUGGACAAUUAUUCUUUUUAUCCUGGCUUCCCCAAUAGCAGCUAUUGGAUCUAAUUCUGAAAUUUCACGGCAUAUCGACUUCACCUUGUGAAAGUAUUGGGCAAUCGCCAUGUCGCGUUGCGCCAUUGAUAGAAGUUCAUUCUCGAGAAGUUGCAAUUUUGUAUCGUUCCUCUUCGAAAAGAGUGUAGCGAAGGUGUCCCACGCUUCCUUCGGUGAUUUAGCAUCCCGAAUGUGCUCCAACAUUUCUUCUUCUAUUGUGGUCUUUAAAGCAAACAUUGCUUUGCCUGCUUUAAUUUUCCACUUCCGCAAGACGCCGUUAGCAUCUUCCGCUGCCGGUUGUGUAACUUCACUACCACCGACAACCUCCCACAAGUCUUGACCUUGAAGGUAAGACUCUAUACACGUUGCCCACGUGUUAUAGUUUUGGUUGUUGAGCUUUUUGAUUCCUCCAACAACUUGAAGAUCACCCAUCGUAUCGGUAUCGACAAGACUUUGACUACACCGAACAAGCUUGAGUGACUACCGUGCAGAGUAAUACACUACUCUUGACACAAAGAAGCUCCCUCUCAAGGUUUGUGAUAACCCCAGCAAUAAUCUCAAGAAAUCUUUUCUGAUGUGGAAGAUCAGUCAAAACUGCAACCACAGAGCAUACUCGGAAUUUCAAGAGACUUUACAACCAAUGCUCUGAUACCAAAUGUUGAAUCAAAAUAGAGUAAAAACUCUAAUUGAUCAAGAAGAAGAAAAACUCUCUUUAGAAUAAUCUCACAAAAUUGCAAAAGAGAAGAACUCUUAAGAAAACUUUCAAAUGCUUAUAAUAAAGCUUUGAUUGUUAAAUUAUAAAACUCAAAUACAAAUAAGGUAUUUAUAGGUUACAAGAAACAAUCUAAACCACUCAUUAAAAUAACCACAAACUAAUUUAAACCAUUGAAAUUAAACAUGAGAAAAAUACCUAAUUUUCACCUAACUAAAUUGAUGUAAGCAAUGACAUCAAAUUAAUUUGGGUGUGGACUUAUUUGGGCUAAUAUUGACUUCUCAACAUGCUGGUGGCGGAAAUGUGAGAGGGAAUGGUGAGGGUAGAUUUGUAAUUACGAGAAGCGAUUUGCUUGCAUAAUUUAAUGCAUGGAAAUAGAUGUCCCUGACCAAAGAAUGGGACAAUCCAAAUCUCGGCCUCAGCAGCGCUGCAGCAGUAGCAACAGAGCUUGACAUCUUUUUGAAUUAUUUGAUACUUAAUUGUUACUGUUUGCUUUUACCAUCUUUCAUAAAACACUCUUUGUUAUAUAUAAAGGGAUGACUUAAUGGAGAAGUAAGUGUUUUAGUUUUACAGUUUUACUAGUAGGUGAGCUCGGAGUUUGAUAAUUUGAUUGUUAGUUUUAGUUGGUUAGUUAUGAGAAAGCAUCUUUAAGAAAAUUCAUUCCAGUUUCAACUAAAAUUAAUAAUAUUGUUCAAAUUAAUUACUCGAUAAAUAAAUAAUUAGAGAUAAAUUUAUCCCUAAUCUCACAUUUAUAAAAUAAGGAUUGAAAUAAGUUUUUGUGGGUUCGAACUCAAGCCCUCAAGUCGAGCGGCUGGAUCUUGACUACUUUGACUUAAUUAUUAUUAUUAUUAUAUAUAUAUAUAUAUAUUUUUUUUUUCAUUCUGUCACGGAACAUCUUUUGUUAUAUAAUGAAGAAGAUAAGUUGACGAAGAAGAGUUCUACUUUUACUAGUAGAUGAGCUUUGAGUUGACAACGUUAGUUUUAGUUAGUGAAAUAUCUACCAUCCAAAUCAACGUUCUUUAGACUAUUAUUCAAGUGAGAUGUCUGAGUAACAUACGCUUGAGUUGGUCGGUGCCUGGCAAUUCGUGUGAUACAUGAAACCAACCGAUAUGAAAACCAAAUCAAGUUGGUAGGAUUACAUUAAUUUAAAUUAACUUUCAAGUUCUAAUAUUAUAAGAUAAAUAAAUAGCAUAAAAUAAUUUUUAUUUUCAAGUAAAUAUGUUUAUCGUUUAAAAAUUAUUUUUUCUUGCGGUAAAUGCAACACUAAAUAAGGAGUGAAUAGGGUAAUUUGUAGGGUAUACCCCCACCUUUUAUUUCAUUUCAUUAUUAAAAAAUAAAGGCUUGAUUCAACAUUCAAGUAAAAUUAACAAUUCCAUGAUAAAAUUGCUUGAGAAUAAGAAUUAAAAUAAAAAAAGAAAACAGCAACUCAAAAACGACAUACAAAUACCGCAUAGAGGUUUUUCGUCGCAAGAUAUUUUUGGGUUGAGCAACACUUGUAUAACAGAGCAUACAGACUGAAUGACGGUGAGAAUAAGAAGGAAAACGGCGCCACACACCGAAAUGCCAGCCCAUGGAGUAUUGAAGUAAUUUUGUUUCAAGUUUGCCCUCCAUUUGUAGCACGUUCUUUUGCAGUGAUCAUUCAAUCCUUUGCAUAGCCCAGAAAAAUAGAAGCUAUCAGACAGCAGAGUAGUACCUCUAGAAAGGUUAUUUAUAAGCAUUGACGCAGUCUCUUUAUCCGGCAACCGGUUCUCAAUGAUUCCGUUCUGAACAAGCAACUCGACGUCCUUCGCUGUGUUCACGAGAUGAUGAAUAAGGAACACAUAAUCAUUUAUGUAAUUCUCUGAGUAAUGCCGUUGUUCAAAGGCAAUGAGAUUACGAAAUAAGGAUUCCGUUUCCAGCUGUAGCUUCAGUUUCGGAAUAUGCAAUGUCCUGUUUUUGAAUUCUAUGGCGAACAAAUCAUUGCUCUUGCUCAAACUGAAGUGGACUCCAGCUUGGUGGAGAUCAGUCACACUUGGUGCGGUUUUGCCUUUGUGGUAUUGCUGACCUUCUUGUUUUUCCUGAUUCCUCGAUGAUGGUAGAUGACAAAUCCUUAGAAAAUCAAGGAAAUGCUCGACCCUAACCUCAGUGUAAGGAGGGAAUUUUUGCUGAUUACCUUGUACUGCCUCUAAACCCUUGAAAUACUCGUAUGUGACUGUGAUGAUGGUUGGAUUUUCAUGUUGGUCGGGGAUUUCAAUAGCAAAAAGAUCCUCAAGAAUGAAGAAAGGAAGCUGAUUCUCAAGCAACCACAUAUCAUACCAUAUAUCCUCUAUUAAAUAGGGUUUAAGAAAUAUAUAAUCAUCUUUUUUUUGAAGUUGACGGAAAUGAUGCCUCAAUAAGAGUUCAAUGAUGAAGGCAGCAUCCAGCAGAAUCAUUUCAACAAAUUUAUCACUACUUAGUUCGACUUUUUCUGCAUAAGAACCUCGUAAUUCUGCUUCUCUGAGCUUUAUAAUUUGAACAAACUCGUCAAAGCUUAUUUUGGUCCGUUGAAGAAAGUAACGCAGGUACCGCUGUUUAUGUUCUUCCAUGAACUGUAAGUUUGCUUUGCCAUGGUGAAGAGGGCCAAUUGAGACUACCUGAGCUGUAUAUGCCUUUUCAUUUAUCUGACGUAAUCGCUCCGGAACUCUGUAGAUGCAGCAGUUUGAGGGCAAUGGUGAUAAUUUUUCCAACUUAACUUGCAAGCACUCUUCCAUGUUAUAAACUGAAAACAUGGCGCGAAAUUUGAUCAAUUCACUAGUUUAUAUAAUAUUCUUGAACCUCAUCUUAAGCAAAGCAACAAAAGCCUUCACUGUUUCUUAACAACUUUAUUGCUCUAACACAUAGCAUAACAUUUUUAAAUUUGCAUAAAGCACAAUAGUACUUUAGUUUGUAACAACAGCACAGAUAAUAAAUAGCAUUUUAUAGCUUUAACAAAAGCAUACAAAAUUCUUAAACCUUGUUUCAAGCAAUUCAUUAAUGCCACAAGGAUGUCUUUUUGCUUCCUACAGUUUUUAUUGAAAUUCAUAUAUUCUUCUUUAUCAAAUUAAGUAAUUUUCCUUUUUCAAAAAAUCAAGAAGGUUUCGACUGCAUGGAAAUACAGCACACAAUUACUACUAUUCCCGGAGUAAGAAAUUCAUAAAUGCAAUAUAAACAUACAUUUUCAUAAGACAUCAGAAUCAAAGAAUCAUCAAUGCAUCAAAUCUGUACACCCAAAAAAGUUGAAAGCACCAAGAGAAAAUUAUACCGCAUGGACCCUUUACAACCCUUAUAACGAGUUCAGACAGCUACAAUGUGCAAUACAAAAUUUCCCAAUACUAUUUAGAACAAAGUCUAGAAAACAAAACUUAUAUAUUGUACAAAAUCAUGAAAACCAGAAAUGACAAAAAACCUGCAAAUGUAAUUUUUGGGUUUCUUCAACAUAUCUUCCAUCCAAAUCAAACAAGAAUCGAUAAAUCAACAACAUUCAUCUUUAAAUGACAUAUUACCACAAUAAAAUUGUCAACCAAGCCUCAUAUAAACCUUUUUUGUGUUUUGUGGUAAAUAUAUUUGUUAUUCUCUAAGAAUACUAGGGAAAAAAGAAACCCACUUUCUUAAUCAAGAAUCAAAUAAUAUAUAUUUAUCUAAGCUGAAGUAAGUCUUCGGUUUGAUGAAAUAGCUUGCAAUGUGAUUUAGAUUGGAAAGGAAGUUGAUUUUUGCUGGUUGAGAGAGAGAGAUUUGAGACUUAAGAGUGUUGCUAAUCUUCGAUCGUGUAAACAAGGGUAACUGGGUCAUAGUUCAAAAUAAGGGUCCAAAAUUUACUAAAGCUAUUAAGGAGCCCAAAACUCAUAAUGGCUUGCCCAAAAUAAAUAAAAUUUUCGAGCAUUAAGUUUUUGUUUCUUCUUGAGAUUUCCUUGCCGUACUUACCCAUAUUUCGAUAUUGCCUCCAAGUAAACUUAUAUAUAUUGAUUAACAAUAUAAACAAGCACUAUGAAGUUUUAGGCAUGAAAGAACAUUAGGAUUGAAAUGAAAACCAUCUAUUUAAGUAACAAAUUCUUCUGAUAAUUUGAUGCUUAAUUUAGAGCAGAGAUGACAUAUCAAUCACGUUAUGAUGUGGAAGUUAUGAUUAUAUUCAUCUUAAGAAUAAGAUCUUUCAGACACUGGCAGAUUAGUAUAAAAAAUACUCAGCAUAAGACCUACAAACUAGAAAUCACGCACCAAUUAUUGAACUCAGCACAUAAGUUGAUCUUUUAUAAGCUAUAAAACAAAUCUGCUAUAACAUAAGAAAGUGGGAUUUAUCACCAGACAAGUAUUUUGGUGAAAUUCAAGCUGACGGAAGGAUAUCCAAAGCAACCUCCUUAAGGGAAGGCAUCACUUCCUGCUGAUGCAAACAUGUAUAUUUAUUACUCACUUUCUUGAGGACCUUCUAGGAACCUGGGCAGCACCUAACAGAAAGUGGAAAAGAAUAAAAUGUAAAAUAUAAGUUAAACAGCAGGAAAACAGUGAGUGAUACUAGGCAAGCAUUAAUAUGUUGCCGCAGGAAAAGUGUCAGUAACUAGCUAGCAAACCUGAAAAGGGUUCCUCCAUUGUGACCCUUAAAAUUGUGAAUGUAAAAUAUGGUCUCCAUCACAGGAAAAAGUGUUUUGGAUAGUGCAGCCAGCUUAGGGUAGAAGAAUGACGGAUAAUCUUUAGCUCAUUUAAGGAAAUCCUCUCUGAUCCUUUCAUUGCACAUUCCAAAACAACUCUACUACAACCAAGUUACCAAUUCUUUUUGUUAAGUCAUUGUUAUUUGUUAAAAAAAAAAAAUCUUCCUUGCAACAUUUUAUUGAAAGAUAUAACAUGAUCAUCCCUACUAAUUCCCUUUUAGAUUUCUGUGAGUGAAUUUCAAAUUAUUGUAUUCAAAAAUAGAAGCAAAAGACCCACUUUACUUUCAAUUUCUGCAACAAGAUACCAAUUGAAGGACCAAAAAGUUGUAAACAACCAAUUCAAUGGGUGGGCAUCUAGAAACUGCUAUAUAGCAUCAAGAUCAUACUAAAUUUACAGAAAGUACGAUAAUAAUGAAAGAAUGGUGAAGGAUACACCCAGACCUUAUCCGGUCAAGUUCUCCAUUGAAUAUAAUCAGUUUCCGGGCAGUAUUGAAGACAACUUCUUUGUAAAGCUCUUCAACGACAAGCAUUUCUACAAGACAAAAGAAAAGCAAAAUUAAUUACCUUAAGGAAUGAAUAUCAAUGAGAAGACAACGUGUAAGACUACCAUUGACAUUAAAAUAUGGAUACGCGACUAGAAACAAUUCAUCUUCCGGCUUCACACGGUCUGCCUUUUUAACCUUCUCAGUGAAUCCAAAAUCCUCAAAGAAUGAAGGUUUUGUUAGAUAGUCCAACUUAAAUGAUGAUCCUUCAAAGACCUAUUUUCUUGCAAAUUUGACUUCAUUUGCCUCUGGGAAAAACUAAAAACCAAAUGACAGACCAAGAUCACAAAACGAAUCAUGAACAUAGAUAUCAGAUAAUCAGAAAUGGGCAUUAAACAGACUACUAACAAAUAGGAAAUGCAUACAGAAAACAUUAUUCAUACACCUUAUGCACAUGAAAUAUAUAUGCAGUGGGAUCCUCUUGUGAAUUUAGUUUAUAUCCUAAAAUGAGACAAUGAACAAUUGGAUGCCAUCUAAGGGCUAACAUUUGUUUGAUUAUUAUAUGAAAAAAAAAAACAAAACAGAGUUGAUUGAUGGCCUUUGAUGGAUUGCCUACACUCCUAAAGUGCAGAGAGCCUGAUUAAUUGCUUUACCUGCCCCCCACACACACACUUGAUUUUAUUAUCUCUCUUUUCAAAUAUAUAAUCAUUGCCUGUCUUUCAUCCUGAUCCAGCUCUCCUUCCAGGCACCAGCUGUGUUUUCUUCAAUUCAGUGAAGCAUUCACUUUCAGGUAAGAAUAAACUUGUCCUUCCUCAAAAAUCAGCUUCUCACCAUGAAGCUUUCUUUUUCAAAACAAUUACUAGUCUAGCAUAAUGCAUCUAAUUGAAGACAACUCAGAAUUGAAAAAGCCAUACUUUAAUGUCUGCUGUUGGGACCUCAAGACCAGGAAAAAAAAGCUUCUUUCUAACUGUUGGAUUAACAAGUAGAAAUAGCUUUUUUCUGAAGGACCCAACAUUGCAUUGAAAAAUUCAACAAAAGGACUGGCGUCAUAUUUAGUCCUGCUAGAAUUUUGUGCACUUAACACAAUGGUUAAUAAUUGGCCCAGCAGACACUUUGUCGAACUACUGGCAAACCUUGACUGUGGAAAUGCAUAUUUCAAAUGUUGGCAGACUCUAGCUUCUUGAUGUACUGUUGAUAAAAAUGCCUAUUUCAAAAGUUGGCAGGCUCAAACUGCCGAGACUUUGGUUUCUUACAUUUCAAACCCACAAAUAAAACUUUGGCAGAACCCCAGAAAGAGCUACACCUCCCAAAUUUGAUGACAUAUGAAGAGACCAUGCCUAGUGCUUGGUUCGGCAAAUGAGUAAGUUUGAAAUAAAUUGAGGGAAACCUUUCCCACAGAGAGUCAUUUUGAAGGUUACAAUUUGAAGACUUUGUCCCCUGUCGCCCGUAACCUUCUUUGAUCUCUUUUCUUAGUCAUGAAUAAUCAAACAUGUGUUAGUGGUUGGAUGCAAUCCACUCGCUGACAUCUCAUGUCCACAAUCAAUCAACCAUAUUUUAAUAGAAAUGGAAACAUUUUAAUUAAAAAAGAAUGAGAUAGGAACAAAAUCAAGCUUGGCAGACAUGGGUCUAUGAGAUUUUAAAGAUGCUUGGUGAAAGUCGUAUUCAAGAGUUCAACAAUCAGUUCCAUCACCUAUGGCAAAGUAACCACCGCAACUAAAGCAAUUACAAAACAUCAAGAAGCUUGAACUUGGCAAGAGGUCUCAUUAACAGUAUACCUCAGAAAUUAAGACAGAAUUAAAGUGCAAGCUUUUGGAUUUAUUUAAACACUGAAAAUAAUAUGGGUAGAAGCUCCUAUGGUCACAGCAAACAAUUACAAAGCACAAAACCCAAAAAACAGAUAUGCAAAAAGCUGCAAAAGAACAUUAUUAGCAAUUGACAUCUGCUUUUGCUCAGACAAAGGUUCUCAUAACAAAGGACUUAGUGAUUAUCUGUCAUAUGUUUAUGUUAAGGGGAAAAAAGAAGUUUGUUUUAGUCAAUCUCAUGUCUAUUGGCAUUCAUAAGGAGCCCAAAAAUAAAAGAAAAAAUAAAGAGUUAGUAGGUGUUUCUUGCAACACAAAGAAAAUUUAUCAUCCAUGAAAAACUUAGUAUGGAAAAAGCUAACUCAUUUAUCUGCCAAUGCAGAAAAACUUGUUGUCUACCCACUAAGGACCCACCAUUGGCAGGUCUGAUGGAUCCCAUGGAUGGGAACCACAAAUAUUUUAUUCUAAAUGACAUGGGUAUUGCACCCAUAUCAUUUAAUUUGUAGAUUCCACUGAUGGAACUCAUCAAACUUGCCAAAUGGCAAGUCCUCCGUGGGUAGGCGCAUCACUUCAGCAUCCUUCUCCACCGAUGACCAAAUCUGGACUCAUUUAAAAAGAAUACAAAGCAAACUAACUGACAAAAAUUGCAUAUAGAGGUCUAGGAGCCAAAUCAAUGUUGUUAACUCAUCCAAUUAAUACAUUCUCUUAGAGGUCAUACCUUGGUAACUCAUUUCAAAAGAAAUUAAAAGAAAAAUGACUGCACAAAUUGUACUGAGCUCAAGAAGACCUGUUCAAGGUGUUCACUUGUCCAACUAAUAAAAGUCAUCAAGGAUUGUAUCAGGGACUUGGGACCAAUCCUGCCUUAACGAGAGAAAGGGAAUUUAGGAUGAAGAAGAUAACCUCUUUUCCUAGAGCAAAUUAAGCUGGUAAAAUCUUGGCAGUUGCACUUGGGGCAGAAAUUAGUUCCACCUUGGUUUACAGGACAGAAAUUCGUCAUAUGCAUGUAUUUAUUUAUAUUUUAUACACAUACGCAUACAUGUACACACAAACACUACCUUCACUUUGAAGAAAAGAUUAAAAUAACACUGCUCACAUACACAAUACUUACUAUUCUAGUUCGUGUGACUUUCUCCGGAGUCACAAAUAGGUCAAAGAAUUCGCGUAUUAACCGCAUACUUCCAGUCAUUUCUAUUCCUCCUUCACCAUCACCUUUCCCACAAUUACAAAAAGUGAGAGGUAGUAACCAACAUAUUUGGGUUGUUCUUCGGUAAGGGGUGGGAGGUAAGGGUUAGUUGUGGAGGGCACCUGGUACAGAAUCAAGGCCAGCUGUUGGGAAUUUGAUCUCCUGUAACAUAUACUUGUUCAUCAUAAACUAUAUACUUAUUCUGCAGUCGAUGUGGGCAUAUAGCUCUUCAAUUAUCCAGUAAUAACUCACCAUCAACUUCCUGCCAUCCUUCAUGGCUAAUUCAGCAGCUAUUUUUGCCUGUUUAAAGGGCAAAAGCCCAAACUAAGCAGAUGCUCCUACUCCGAUACUUAUUAUCUAACUACUACAGAACAGAUGAUACACAUCAAGUUGUGUCAAGAGAGACACCAAGUUGUGUUUUCCAAGAGGUUCCAAAGAGGUUUUGUGUUAGAGUGCAAUUUAUGCACUAGUUUUGAAUUGUUUACUUCCUUAAUAUCGAUGUUUUGCACUUAAUAAUAGUGAUUUACUUGUGUUUUAUUUUUAUAGGUGCAAUUAUAUUGAUUGGUGCAAAAAUUGAGCUACAAGACGAUGUUUAAGGAUGAUUGUUCUCUUGGAGAAAUUAUGAGCGUCAGAAGAACUUUGUUGAUAAGGCGUGGGCGCGUGCUGUCAACUACGGACCUGCAGUUUUUAGUUUAACGUGUUUUGUAUUUUUGGUUAUUUUUAUAAUUACGAAUUUAAUAUUUCAGAUAUUAGUAUUUUAUUUUAAAUAGAACUCUAGAGGAGAAGAGAGAGAGAGUAUUUAAGGGAAGAAUCUAUUGUGAAAAAAGGGAGAUUUUUGGAAAAGAAAGAAACCCUAGAUCUAAAUUUUUCUCUUCUCUCCAUGAAGAACUAAAUCUAUUAUUCUGUUUGAAGGUUAAUGAAGCUUUUAUUCAUCACUACUGUGAGAUCUUUCUUAUGCUUUAAUUGUUUUAUUGCUUUUUGGGUAUUUGUUUAUUCUCUGAAUUAUUUUCAUGAUUAUGUUUGUUAAUUAGAUAAUUGGCUACUAUUUAAUUAUCAACUUAAUCUAUUGUCAAUUAAAGGAUUCAUCGUAUGAAGAUUUUAAUGUUUGUGACAAAUAACAUAGCAGAGAGUUGUGUUGUGAGAAUAAACAAUCUAAUUUAAAUGAACCAUCGUAUGUGUUUGUUGAUUAGGAUUUGGGUCUCUCUGGUUUUUCAAGCUGUCAAUUGAUUAAAUCCUAUGAUCGUAUCUAGGGUUAUCUAUUGAUUAGGGAAAUAACCAACGGUCAUACCUUGGUUAUCGACUAAUUAAGGAGAUAUUGGCUAUUAGAGGGUCUCAGUAGCUAUAACCGGUCUAUUCAUAAGUAGUAAUAAUUUAUAUUUGAAUCAAUGAUCAGUAGUCGAAUCAAGCUGAGUUAAUUCCUUCAACCAGAGCUUUCUCCAAUUUGAAUUACAACUUUAAUUUGCAUUCUUGUUAUUUUAAUUUGAUUGUUAUUAUUGUCACAAAACCCUCAUUUUAUAUUUUACGUUUUAAAAGGAUUUAAAUAAUUACCGAUCUCUGUGGACACGACUUUGCUCAAUCACUAUACACAAUUUAUUUAGAGUAGGUAUUUAUUUUUGUUGGCUUCGACAACCUUCAAAUUUUGGCGCCGUUGCCGGGGAUUGGUGUCAUUUAUUUAAUCCUUUUUACGUUUUACUUGGUGUAUGGUUCGUUCUUCUUGUACAGGUACACUUUCGUUUGAUCCUUAAAUUGAGAAGACAGCUCGCCAGCUGAGACAGCAGACGAAGCGAGCUAAGCAACGACACUCAUCGCCUUGCUUUCUGAAACAGAUACGGUGCCUGAUUUAGUUGAAUCAUCAAGCGAUUUAGAAGAACAAGUGAUGGAUAGAGCUGCACCUGUAGAAAGAACUCUUAGAGAGUUAGCCGAACCAGACUUGAAUCAGCAACCACUCUACAUUCAAUAUGUAGACUUGGAGGUAAAUUUUGAAUUAAAGUCUGGUCUUAUUCAUUUAUUACCCAAGUUUCAUGGUUUUGCAGGUGAAGAUCCUCAUAAACAUCUCAAGGAGUUUCAUGUUAUGCGUUCAAGUAUGAGGCCACAAGGCGUGACUGAAGAGCAAAUUAAGUUGUGUGCUUUUCCUUUCUCUUUAGAUGGGCUAGCUAAAGACUGGUUGUAUUACUGUUAGAGUGCAACUUAGCAUAUAAUUUUUUAGGCAAGAAAGAUCACUCAGGAGUUUUCUCUAAAACUGAAUUUUAUUUUAUCUGGUGCAUGUUAAAUGAUGUGAGGCCUAAUUUAGGUUUUUGGUUAGCAGAUCAAUUUCAAAGUGUGCUUAAACGGUAUAGGACUUUAUUUCUUGGUCCAUACAUUACUCUGUUAGCUAUAAACCUAUGUGUGCUUGAUCCUGACAAUAAUGAUUUGCAUCCUGCUUGCAAAAAAGAAUUUUUGGAUAUGUUUAUGUUUGAAAGAACAGGUGUGGUCGAAUUCAAGGAGCGGAGAUUUCAGUUUACUAAACCAGGGCCCACUCAACCUCCGAAGAAGCUUUAUGCUAGGAGUGGUGCUACCUCUGAUGACGAGUUUGACGACGACACUGCUGCCCCGCCAACUAUUCCUUCUACAUCCGCACCACCUUUGAGCAUUCAGUUAGAGAAAAUGGAGCACAAGCUGAAUAAGAUGGAGCAAAAUUUGGCCACAUACUUCGAGAAUGUGGGAUUUACCUCACCAUUUCCGCCAAGCCAAUAGACGUUAUGUGGAUCAAAGCUCACAAUUCAGGGAAGUUUUUUUUGCCUUUAAUCUUUUAUCCUUACGCUUUAAUUUUUAUGUGAGCUUUGAUUAUCUUACAUUGGGGACAAUGUAAGUUCUUGGUGUGGGGGAGGGAUUUUUGCAUUAUUGAUGUCUGGAAUUAUUAUUUUCACUCUACUCAUCUAUUUUCACUCUACUCGUCCUUAAAUGAUUUUGGAGUUAGUAUGCUUCAUAUAUUAUUAAUUUCCUUUUCCUUUCUCUCUCACUACUCUUUUCCCAUCUAUCUCAAAUUAUUUACAUCUAUUUUUUUUUCUAUCAUACUCUUUCAUCACUUACAUUUUAUCUUUCAUUUUUUUACUACAUACAUCUUUCUCGCUUAUUAUUUUUUUACCUUUCUUUUUAUAUCUCACUCAUACCUUCUUCUCAUUCUACACCACUCUUGAUGGUUGAUUCAUUUGAAGAGUGUACAUGAUUUGAUGGCAAAUUUACCAACUUUGUGAGGAUUUGAGCCUGUGAGCAACCACUUUGCUCUAAUUAUUUUUGUUAUGUGAAUAUCAAUCUUAGUUUGUAUAUUCUAGAACUUGCUUUGUUAAGCAUGUUGAAGCCACAUUACGGGAUUUUAUGCAUUAAAAUGAUAAGGGCAAACCAUUUACCAUUUUUCUAUUCUCGCAUUUUCUUUUUUCUCUACCCGAAGACCUUUAUUUGCUACCUUUGUUUGAGCCUUAACCAUUACCCAUCUAAUUCUUUCCAUCUACUUAACCAUUUUUCUUCUUUUUGAGCCUAAUUUAAGGAGAUAUUUGGACUCAUUGUGUGGAUAUAUUUUGUUGCUUUUUCUACCUUGUAUUAAAGUUUCUCAAUUAGAUCAACAAGCAUUAUGCUUGAAUUAAAUUGUGCAAGGUUCGUUUCUUUUGUUUGAUUAAAAAAAAACAACAAAAAAAAGGAAAAAGAAAAAAAAGUGAAAAAAAAAUCGAAAAAAAAAAUUGAAAAAAAAGGUUUACAUUCUUGGUGACUUGAGUAGAAAUAAGCAUUUUGAUAUCAUAAGUUCAUUCAAUGAGUUCAUUCUUCUCAUUUUGAUCUCUUUUUCUUUCAUAAACCUUUCUUUUUUAUUUAACCUAUUUAACUCCAUUACAACCCUUUUAAGACCCUUAAUUUUUUGCAUUUUAUUUAUGUUUUAUGGAUUGAGAUGUGAUAUAUGAGCAAGCUUAUGGUAAUAGCAUUCUUUGAUUUGAUUUGAGUGAAUAAAUGACACCCUAAACACUUUGAGUGCAUGGAGUGAAGUCAAUGAGAGGGCUAUUAAAUCUUGUUGCACUUGAAUUUUGAAUGGAUCUUCUUGGUGGUUGAAUGUUCUUAUUCUAUCUUAUGAGAUUCUAUGCUUUAAAAUCCUUGCCUCUCGAAUGUUGAUCGACUUAAAUUCUUGAGGUAUGCUUGCUUAAAAUUGUUUUUGGAUGAGUUGAGAUGAAAAUUGAGUGGAGAUUUGGGAUUAGUCUUGAGUUAUAUGCUUGAGGACAAGCAUCAUCUUGGUGUGGGGAAUUUGUUAGAGUGCAAUUUAUGCACUAGUUUUGCAUUGUUUACUUCCCUUAAUAUCGAUGUUUUGCACUUAAUAAUAAUGAUUUACUUGUGUUUUACUUUUGUAGGUGCAAUUCUAUUGAUUCUUGAUAAAAUUGAGUUAUACGAUGAUGUUUAAAGAUGAUUGUUCUCUUGGAGAAAUUUAGAGAGUCAUAAGAACUUUGUUGAUACGGCGUGGGUUCUUGCUGUCAACUGCGGACCUGCAGUUUUUAGUUUAACAUGUUUUGUAUUUUUGGUUAUUUUUGUAAUUAUGAAUUUAAUAUUUCAGAUAUUAGUAUUUUAUUUUAAAUAGAACUCUAAAAGAGAAGAGUGAGAGAGUAUUUAAGGGAGGAAUCUAUUGUGAAAAAGGAUUUGGAUUGGAGAAAAAGAAAGAAACCCUAGAUCUAAUUUUUCUCUUCUCUCUAGGAAGAACUAAACUUAUUUUUCUGGUUGAAGGUUAAUAAAGCUUUGAUUCAUCACUACUGUGAGAUCUUUCUUAUGCUUUAGUUGUUUUAUUACUCUUUGGGUAUUUGUUUAUUCUCUGAAUUAGUUUCAUGAUUAUGUUUGUUAAUUAGGUAAUUGGCCACUAUUUAAUUAUCAACUUAAUCUAUUGUCAAUUAAAGGAUUCAUCGUAUGAAGAUUUUAAUGUUUGUGACAAAUAACAUAGUAGUGAGUUGUGUUAUGAGAAUAAACAAUCUAAUUUAAAUGAAUCAUCAUAUGUGUUGAUUAGGAUUUGGGUCUCUCUUGUUUUUCAGGCUGUCAAUUGAUUAAAUCCUAUGAUCGUAUCUAGGGUUGUCUAUUGAUUAGGGAAAUAUCCAACGGUCGUACCUUGGUUAUUGACUAUUUAAGGAGAGAUUGGCAAUUAGAGGGUCUCAAUAGCUAUAACCGGUCUAUUCAUAAGUAAUAAUAAUCUAUAUUUGAAUCAAUGAUCAGUAGUCAAAUCAAGCUGAGUUAAUUUCUUCAACCAGAGCUUUCUCCAAUUUGAAUUACAACUUUAAUUUGCAUUCUUGUUAUUUUAAUUUGAUUUUUAUUAUUGUCAACAAAACCCCCAUUUUAUGUUUUACGUUUUAAAAGGAUUUAAAUAAUUACCGAUCUCUAUGGACACGACCCUGCUCAAUCACUAUACACAAUUUAUUUAGAGUAGUAAUUUAUUUUUGUUGGCUUCGACAACCAUCAAUUACUUGCCACCUGGAUCGAUUACAACAUGGAAUGGUUUGAAGAAGCAGUUCCUUGAGAAGUACUUUCCUGUUGUAAGAGCUGCCAACAUCAGAAAAGUCAUUUGUGGGAUCAGACAACUUCUUGGGGAGACUUUGUAUGAGUAUUGGGAGCGAUUCAAACAAUUGUGUGCCAGCUGUCCUCAGCAUCAGAUUUCUGAUCAACUUCUUAUUUAAUAUUUUUACGAAGGACUGUCAUUGAUGGACAGGAGUAUGAUAGAUGCUGCUAGUGGAGGUGUGUUGGUGAACAAGACCCCUACUCAAGCAAGGGAGUUGAUUGCAAAUAUGGCUGCCAAUGCACAACAAUGUGGCAGCAGGUAAGAUCUCACUUCAAGGAAGGUGAAUUAGGUAAAUAUUUCUUCUGUUGAACAACGUUUAGAUAAACUUACUUCUCUUGUGGAAAAGUUUGUUGUAGGUAAUGUGCAACAGGUGAAGACUUGUGGCAUUUGUUACAAUAUGGGUCAUUCAACCGAUAUGUGUCCUACAUUUCAAGAAGAACCCGUUGAACAAACCAAUGCAGUUAGAGGAUUUCCAGGCAUGCCUUAGAGGAGGUAUGAUCCUUAUACACAAACAUACAAUCCGGGAUGGAAGGAUCAUCCCAACUUCAGCUAUGGAGUUAGACCAUCAUGAUUCCCGCAACAGUAUCCACCAAGACAACCAGCACCUCCACAGUCAAACUCCAAGUCAGGUAUAUCUCUUGAAGAAAUUGUUAAAUCACUUGUGACUAACACUCAACAAUUUCAACAGGCAACUACAGCAAGCAUUCAGAAUUUGGAGAACCAAAUGAGUCAAUUGGCGACUACAGUGAGCCGUCUGGAGUCUCAAGUAUUAGGGAGAUUGCCUUCACAAUCUGAGGUGAAUCCAAAGUAAAACGUUAGUGCUGUCAUCCUUAGAAGAGGGAAGGAGUUGCAAGAUCCCAGUAAGAAAGUGACAAAGCAUGUAGAAGAUGAGUUUGAGAAGAAUGAAUUGAUGCCUAAAUCUCAAGAUGCGCAACCCACCAAAGCGAAACCCCUACCUAUUGUGAUACCUCCUCCUUUCCUAAGCCGGUUUGCAAAAUCCAAGAAGGAGGAACAAGAGAAAGACAUCCUUGAGACAUUUCGCAAGGUUAAGGUAAAUAUUCCUUUAUUAGAUGCUAUAAAACAAAUACCUCGAUAUGCUAAAAUCCUUAAGGAACUAUGCACCUCCAAGAGAAAAGUAAGAGGAGAUGAAAAAGUUCACAUGGGGGAGAAUGUUUCAGCAAUUCUCCAAAAGAAACUACCUCCUAAGUGCAAGGAUCCAGGUAUGUUUACUAUCCCUUGUAAAAUUGGUAGUGUUAGAGUUGAAAAUGCUAUGUUAGAUCUAUGAGCUUUUAUUAAUGUCAUGCCUCGUUCCAUUUAUUCAUCUUUGAAUGUUGGGCCAUUAAAAGAAACUGGCGUGAUAAUUCAACUAGCUGAUAGGUCUAAUGUAUAUCCUGAUGGGGUAUUAGAAGAUGUUUUAGUACAAGUUAAUGAGUUGGUUUUUCCUGCUGAUUUUUAUGUACUUGAUAUGGAAGAGGAUAACUCCUCUAAUUCUGUCCCAAUUUUGCUAGGAAGACCUUUUCUUAAGACUGCUAGGACUAAAAUGGAUGUACAUAAAGGGACUCUCACUAUGGAGUUUGAUGGAGAGGUUAUAGAAUUCAAUAUGAAUGAUGCCAUGAAAUAUCCUAGUGAAGAACAUUCGGUAUUUUCUGUGGAUGUUAUUAACCCUAUAGUGCAGGAAGUUUUUUACAAGAAAAAGACGAAGAUAUUUCAUGAUAGAAUGAUUUUGAGAAAGGAGUUCUUUGUUGGUCAAAAAGUUCUUCUUUUUCAUUCUGAGCUUAAACUUUUUCCGGGUAAAUUACGUCCUUGCUGGGUUGGACCUUUUAUUGUUACUAAUGUUUUUCCUCAUGGUGCAGUUGAGAUUCAGAGUUCGACCUCUGACAAAGUUUUUAAGGUUAAUGGUCAUCACUUAAAACCUUUUUAUGAAGGUUUUUCGGUGAAUAUUGUGGAGAAUGUGGCUCUCGAGAGUCUCAAUUAUGGAGAUUGAUGCAUAAACGUGUCUAGCCAAAGACAUAAAACAAAGGCGCUUUUUGGGAGGCAACCCAAAUGAUUUAUUUAUUUUGGUUUUUGUUAUAUCUUCUUUUAGUUUUGAUUCAGAUUAUUUUUUGAAAAAAAAUAAUGUGUUUGCUUAUUUUGGUCAGAAGAAAAUUUUUGAUAAGGCGUGCUCACGUCUUAACUAAUAAGUACUUCUGUGAUUUUUAAAGUAAAAUGGUUUUAAGGCGUGCCCACGUGCUUAUUAGAAAAGUACUUCUGAAUUUUUUUUUAGUGUCUCAAAGUGAUUCAUCACUAAAAAAAAAUGAAAAAAAAAAUUAUUUAUUUAUUUAUUGAUUUGAAAAUUAAAAAAAAAAGAAAAAAAGAGUUUUUUUCUUCUUUUUCUUCUUUUCUUUCUUAUAUAUAUUUAUUUAUUUUAAAAAAUAAAAAAUCACUAUUCACAAAUCCCUAAUUCAAAAAUUACUGUUGAUUAUCGUUUUCCAGCAGCGCGCCUCGGCUCCAGCCUUCACUGAGCAACCAGCAGCAGCAGACGAGCACGCUCAGCCCCAGCCGCAGCGCGCAGCAUCAGCCCUAGCCGCAGCACACAGCAUCAGUCCCAACCGUAGCGCGCAACGUAACGCAACCAGCGUCACCAGCGCAGUAGAACCAACCCCAACCCGUGCAUCAAGCUACAGCCGAGCAGCAAUCGUCCGCAACCCGCCUACGCACUGUAUUCCAACCGGGUAAAUCGAAAUCCGUGAGUGCAAUUAUUAUAACAAUGCCGAAGAGGAAAGCAUCAACUUCCAAGUCAUCUAAAAAGACACCCGUCGCAAAGAAGUCCAAGAUUGCCGCUCCCACUACGGUUCCAUGGAACACAGUUUCAGAUUCACGCCAAGCCGUGAGACAAAGAACGAAACAUGGAAAGGGCAUGAGUGUUUUACUACUUGCGGAAUCCAAUCUUGGAGGGGGCCUCGCAUUCACGACUCAACAAGAGAAAGAAAGGUACAAAGAUAUUUCCAAGCAAAAAAUACUUCCAGCUAAGUAUAUUCAUUACCCGACUCUUGAAAAAUUGAAUGUUAAGGAUAAUUUUGAUUCUUUGAUAGAUAAGAUUGGUUUGCGUAAGUUUGUUGAUGUUGAUUGUUUGAGUUAUGUUGAGUUGAUUAGGGAGUUUUAUGCUACUUUUCAAUUUAAUAUACCGUAUGAUUUUACUUUGCAUACCCCGGAUAUUAUAAAGUUUAGGUUAAUGGGAUGGAGUUUUUCACACUCGAUCAUAGAUUUUAACCUAGCUUUAGGAUUCAUUGAUGAUGAUUAUUCUUCUAGUGAUGCAUAUUUAGGAACAACUUGUGACUUUAGCGAAAAUUUUGAGCCUUAUGGUCUUUGGCGUAAUUUAUCUGUUGAUCACAAUGCCUAUAACCCAAGUAAAUCAAUGAGUUCUUUCUUACGUGACCCUGUUUUGAAAUGUGUGCAUCGAUUCUUAGCAUAUAAUUUUUUAGGAAAGAAAGAUCACUCAGGAGUUUUCUCUAAAACUGAAUUUUAUUUUAUCUGGUUUAUGUUAAAUGAUGUGAGGCCUAAUUUAGGUUUUUGGUUAGUAGAUCAAUUUCAAAGUGUGCUUAAACGGUAUAGGACUUUAUUUCUUGGUCCAUACAUUACUCGGUUAGCUAUAAACUUAUGUGUGCUUGAUCCUAACAAUAAUGAUUUGCAUCCUGCUUGCAAAAAGGAAUUUUUGGAUAUAUCUGUGUUUGAAAGAACAGGUGUAGUCGAAUUCAAGGAGGGGAGAUUUCAGUUUACUGAACCAGGACCCACUCAACUUCCAAAAAAGCUUUAUGCUAGGAGUGGUGCUACCUCUGAUGACGAGUUUGACGACAAAACUGCUGCCUCACCAACUAUUCCUUCUACAUCCGCACCACCUUUGAGCAUUCAGUUAGAGAAAAUGGAGCACAAGCUGGACAAGAUGGAGCAGAAUUUGGCCGCAUACUUCGAGAGUGUGAGAUUUAUCCCACCAUUUCCGCUAAGCCCAUAGACGUUAUGAGGAUCAAAGCUCACAAUUCAGGGAAGUUUUUGCCUUUAAUCUUUUAUCCUUACACUUUAAUUUUUAUGUGAGCUUUGAUUAUCUUACAUUGGGGACAAUGUAAGUUCUUGGUGUGGGGGAGGGAUUUUUGCAUUAUUGAUGUCUGGAAGUAUUAUUUUCACUCUACUCAUCUAUUUUCACUCUACUCAUCCUUAAAUGAUUUUAGAGUUAGUAUGCUGCAUAUAUUAUUAUUUUUCUUUUCUUUUCCUUCUCACUACUUUUUUCCCAUCUAUCUCAAAUUAUUCAUAUCUAUUUUUAUUUUACCAUAUUCUUUCAUCACUCACAUUUUAUCUUUCAUUUUUUUUCUACAUACAUCUUUCUCGCUUAUUAUCCUUUUUACCUUUCCUUUUAUAUAUCACUCAUACCUUCUUCUCAUUCUACACCACUAUUGAUGGUUGAUUCAUUUGAAGAGUAUACAUGAUUUAAUGGCAAAUUUACCAACUUUGUGAGGAUUUGAGCCUAUGAGCAACCACUUUGCUCUAUUUAUUUUUGUUAUGUGAAUAUCAAUCUUAGUUUGUUUAUUCUAGAACUUGCUUUGUUGUGCAUGUUGAAGCCGCAUUACGGGAUUUUAUGCAUUAAAAUGAUAAGGGCAAACCGCUUUCCAUUUUUCUAUUCUCACAUUUUUCUUCUUUUUCUCCACCCGAAAACCUUUAUUUGUUAUCUUUGUUUGAGCCUUAAACAUUACCCAUCUAAUUCUCUCCGUCUACUUAACCAUUUUUCUUCUUUUUGAGCCUCAAUUUAAGGAGAUUUUUGGACUCAUUGGGUGGAUAUAUUUUGUUGCUUUUUCUACCUUGUAUUAAAGUUUCUCAAAUAGAUCAACAAGCAUUAUGCUUGAAUUAAAUUGUGCAAGGUUCGUUUUUGUUGUUUGAUUAAAAAAAAAGGAAAAAAACAAAAAAAAAAAAGAAAAAAAUGUUUACAUUCUUGGUGACUUGAGUAGAAAUAACCGUUUCGAUAUCAUAAGAUUCAUUCAAUGAGUUCAUUCUUCUCAUUUUGAUCUCUUUUUCUUUCAUAGACCUUUCUUUUUCAUUUAACCCAUUUAACCCCGUUACAACCUUUUUAAGACCAUUAGAUUUUUGCAUUUAAUUCAUGUUUUGUGGAUUGAGAUGUGAUAUAUAAGCAAGCUUAUGGUAAUAGCAUUCUUUGAUUUGAUUUGAGUGCAUAAAUGACGCCCUAAACACUUUGAGUGAAUGGAGUGAAGUCAAUGAGAGGGCUAUUAAAUCUUGUUGCACUUGAAUUUUGAAUGGAUCUUCUUGGCAGUUGAAUGUUUUUAUUCUAGCUUAUGAGAUUCUAUGCUUUAAAAUCCUUGUCUCUUGAAUGUUGAUCGACUUAAAUUCUUGAGGUAUGCUUGCUUAAAAUUGUUUUUGGAUGAGUUGAGAUGAGAAUUGAGUGGAGAUUUGGGAUUAGUCUUGAGUUAUAUGCUUGAGGACAAGCAUCAUUUUGGUGUGGGGGAAUUUGUUAGAGUGCAAUUUAUGCACUAGUUUUGAAUUGUUUACUUCCCUUAAUAUCGAUGUUUUGCACUUAAUAAUAGUGAUUUACUUGUAUUUUAUUUUUAUAGGUGCAAUUCUAUUGAUUGGUGCAAAAAUUGAGCUACAAGAUGAUGUUUAAGGAUGAUUAUUCUCUUGGAGAAAUUAUGAGCGUCAGAAGAACUUUGUUGAUAACGCGUGGGCGCGUGCUUUCAUCUACGGACCUGUAGUUUUUAAUUUAAUGUGUUUUGUAUUUUUGGUUAUUUUUAUAAUUACGAAUUUAAUAUUUCAGAUAUUAGUAUUUUAUUUUAAAUAGAACUCUAGAGGAGAAGAGAGAUAGAGUAUUUAAGGGAGGAAUCUAUUGUGAAAAAAAGGAGAUUUUUGGAAAAGAAAGAAACCCUAGAUCUAAUUUUUUCUCUUCUCUCUAUGAAGAACUAAACCUAUUAUUCUGGUUGAAGGUUAAUGAAGCUUUGAUUCAUCACUACUGUGAGAUCUUUCUUAUGCUUUAAUUGUUUUAUUGCUUUUUGGGUAUUUGUUUAUUCUCUGAAUUAUUUUCAUGAUUAUGUUUGUUAAUUAGAUAAUUGGCCACUAUUUAAUUAUCAACUUAAUCUAUUGUCAAUUAAAGGAUUCAUCGUAUGAAGAUUUUAAUGUUUGUGACAAAUAACAUAGCAGAGAGUUGUGUUGUGAGAAUAAACAAUCUAAUUUAAAUGAACCAUCGUAUGUGUUUGUUGAUUAGGAUUUGGGUCUCUCUGGUUUUUCAAGCUGUCAAUUGAUUAAAUCCUAUGAUCGUAUCUAGGGUUGUCUAUUGAUUAGGGAAAUAACCAAUGGUCAUACCUUGGUUAUCGACUAGUUAAGGAGAGAUUGGCUAUUAGAGGAUCUCAGUAGCUAUAACCGGUCUAUUCAUAAGUAGUAAUAAUUUAUAUUUGAAUCAAUGAUCAGUAGUCGAAUCAAGUUGAGUUAAUUCCUUCAACCAGAGCUUUCUCCAAUUUGAAUUACAACUUUAAUUUGCAUUCUUGUUAUUUUAAUUUGAUUUUUAUUAUUUUCAACAAAACCCCCAUUUUAUAUUUUACGUUUUAAAAGGAUUUAAAUAAUUACCGAUCUCUGUGGGCACGACCCUGCUCAAUCACUAUACACAAUUUAUUUAGAGUAGGUAUUUAUUUUUGUCGGCUUCGACAACCAUCAUUUUGUUUCUUUAUGUAAUUUUUAGACUGCUCUGACAACUCAUCUUAAAGGUGCCACUCAUCCAAUAUGAUAUGGUGACAGUAGUUUAGAGUUUUAAACUAAAUGCAGAGCUAAUAGUAUUUUGGAAAUAUAAUCAUCCUAAGAUACUAACAAAAACAACAACUUCGGUGUAGAGAGAAAAUGAUUUCACAAAAGCAGAUGUUUUGAUUUAAGUCUCCAAAACCCCCACCAAAGAAAUGUUCAACGGAUAUAGAAAUAUGAUCCACAUAUCUGUAACUUAAACUGUGAAAUUUGUUGAUGCUGUUCUAAAAUUGCCACAAUCUAUCUACCCCAUGAAUGUUAUUGGAUAAAACAACAAGCAGGACCCAAUGCCUGUUUUCUAAUAGCUUCAAAAAGGCCAAAUUGGUUUUGAAAUGUCUCCAGCUUUUCAUUUAACAAGUUUAAGGAUCCCUUCGGCAUUGCAAUUGGGGAGCUCAGAUAUAUAAAAGUCUGGUAAACUCUUACAGCCGCAGCUUUUGAGCAAAAAUAAUUUUAUCUCAUAAUAUUUUGACAAAAAACUUAUAUCACCUUUUAUCAGUUUUGUAAAAAAUAUUAUUUAUAAGUCAUAUUUACCAAACACAAUCAACUUUUACAUCACAAUUAUAGCUUCUUUUUUUUCACCACACAUAUACAGUUAAAAUCUACAAGAACUCGAUAUCAAAUAGAUCCUAAAGCUUAAUCUAAUAAAAAGGUAAAUAAACAAAUGCAGAAGCCAGCGUACUUGAUCAAGACGCUCUGAAUAGUCACUGGGAAAGGGAAUAUCGACGUUAAUGGGGUUAUUGCCAUCGCUUGAAACCGAAUUGGUGAGACAAUUGCGUUUUCUUCUGUACGGAGAAAAUGUGACGAUUCUUUGACCACUGAAAAUUUCGAUUCUACAAUUUACCUGCAAUUAGUGACAAUUAUUCCGUUUAGAAACAAUUUUAAAAAAAAUAAAAAGUAAUAAUUACAAACUCAGAGUAUACCUGUGGACGUGGAAUUGAAGAAACUGGAAUAGGAAGCGUAGGGAGGGCAAUGGCUGUAUUGGAGGAUAACGGCAUUUUGAACCUCAAAGUAAAGAGAGAGAGAGAGAAGAAACGCUUCCCUUUCAAAUACCGCGCUCUUUUGUACCUGGGAAUUUAACUAAUUCAUGCGAAUAAAAAAAUUUAUAAAUUUGGUAAAUUAUUUAUUAAAAAAUAUUGAGAGGUUGUGCAUUAUUUUAUUAGUAAUGACAUGGUAAUAAUCAAAUUAGUUAAAUUAAAAUAGUUGUUGACUCAGUAAUUUAUUUUUAUUAUUUUUAUAUAUUUAUUUAAUUAAUUAAUUAAUGUUAUAUCUAUUUAUAUAAAAAUGUACAGUUCUAUCCUCACUCUUAUUUUAUUUUUAUUAUUUUAAAAAAAAUGGUCUGCGUUAUUAAGGUUAAGGGUGACAACUGGGAUUAAUAUACGGUUUAUUCGAGUGCUUAAAACCUAAUAAAUAUCCACUAACUCAUAUAUAGUAAAAAUAUAAUUAUUUUAAAAAAAAUUAAUAUAAACUAAACAAAUUGAUUGGAUUUUGUUUCUCAAGGUACAUCAUUAGAACGUUACUUUUAACUGAACAAAAGCACACAUAACUAGCACAUUCGCCACAAAAGCCUCGGCUUAGUGGUCGGCUUAUUAAUUAUCCUAAUUAAAUCAUGGUCAUAAAUUUGAGUCCCGGCAGGAAUUAUUAGGCUAGGUAGCUUUUAUAGACUACACUAUAAAUACAUGUAUUUUAAUUCUCGCGGGUAUUGCUUCUAGUAGUUAUCCAUCCGAGUAUAGUGCUUUGUAGCUUUCUUCACGACCUUCCCCAAUUUCAAUGAUUGUUAAUCAAUCUUCAUAGAAAAUGUGAUAAGACUGUAUUUAGAGAAAAGCUCAAUAAAUGAUUUUUAUAGGUCAUCAUUUCAUUUAAUUUUCCGUUAUAUAUAUAUAUUCACCUUUCUCAGAGGCCAAGAAGUCUUCGACAGAAAUGUGAUCCUUGAGCUUCUCCCAAGUUUCAAUUAAUUCGCUUUGAGUGAGGAUAUUUUCUGGUGGCCUCAAAUACAAUGUUUUGUUCAGUACUCGAGGAGCAUUUAUUGUCUUAAUAGUAUUUAUGGCAACAUCAUCGAUAUGCACAGUAAAAAAAAAGAUAAUCAUUUUGUUUAAUAUGAACAUAAAUUGUCAAAUUCUGAAUCAUAUUAUAGUGAACGAUAUUGUCGUAUGGUGUGUGUAUGUACUAUCUAUAGUUUUAAUAUUAUUAAUAAGGAGUUAAAAGUCUUGAUUUAAUUUUAAAUUGUUAUUCCUCUAACUUCACCGUCUCCAUAGAUGCAGACUCUAUCUUUUGAAGGGCGGGGGUAGCUAUAUUUGAGAGAGGUGUCUGGGGAACCAACCAGCAAAAAAUAGCUAGCAGAAACAUAAAUGACAAGGAUUUGAGCAGCCUUGAUUGCCCUUCUCACACAUGCGCUCUGUGUUCUCCCUCCAGCUCUCACUCACUCACGCCCAAAUCUCACCUCACUCACGUAUCUCUCCUUUCUGACCGGUGGUUUUCUCUCUCUCGCCGUGGGUCUCUAGGCUGGCGGGGAUUUCUCGACUUGACUACUAAAACAUAAUCCAAAAACUAUCUCGACUUGACUACUAAAACAUAAUCCAAAAACUACUAAGAUAUAUAUAUAUUACUAUGAUAUACACAAUAUGAAGAAACUGCAGUUAUAUUUCAAAUAUUUUAUGAAGGAAGAGGCUGUAUGGAUUAUCCAAAGGUGCUGAAAUUAAGAGACCCACGCCAACCGACAGAGUGAGUGAAUAUAAGGGGGUUAUUGGGUAAAAAUCACAUAACGCGCAAGCGAAAUUUUAGAUUAUAUUUUUUAAUACUCUCCGAGUCUCUCUUUCUCUUUCUUUUUUGGUUUGAACCACGAGGUGGUCCUGAGUGGGUCCCAACUAUGGAAAGCACUUUUAAGCCCGUACCACAACUUAGACUAAUCCCCACUCGCACCGGGUCGGCCCGUAAGGGGUAAAGUGCUGGGCAAAGUGGUGACUCCAUACGAGAGCGGGACUUGAACCCCUGACCUCUCUUAAGGAGUGAGAGUGCCGAACCACUCACACCAACCAACUUUGGUUAACUCUCUUUCUCUUUUUCUUUUUUUAAAUAAAUGUCAGUAUAAAAUUAGAAAAUUUUAGAUAUAAAAUUUGGCGAUGACCAAACAAAAAUUGCAGGGGAAACCUUGAUAUCAUUGAAAUACUAAUCAUAGACACUGCAGUAUAAAUAACUUCUUGUGAUCUACUCAACUUUAACACUUUAAUCCAUAUUCUAAAAUUUGCAUGUUUGUUAGGAUUUUUAUUAUUGAUACUGUUGUAUCAAUAAAAUUAUAAUUUAUUCAUAUGGAAUGAAAACAUCAAGAAAGGACCUCUGAAGUUUAUUAUAACAGAAAAAAAUGGUCCAUAAGUCUAUUUAUUAUUUUAUUUAUUCAAUACAAAUGGCCAACUUUAAAAAUGGUAAAAGUCACACAAUGCACAAGUAAAAUUUUAGAAUUAAAUUUUUUAAUUCUCUUUGAGUCUCUCUCUCUUUAAAAAAUAAACCUCACUGUAAAAUUAGAAAAAUUUUAGACGUAAAAUUUGACAAUCACCAAAUAGAAAACAUAGGCAAAUGAAAAUGGAGGAGCCCUAUUUUCAUUAGAAUAUUGAUCAUAGAUACUAUAAUGUAAAUCAUUUGUUGUGGUUCAUUCAACCUGUCACACUCUAAGCCAUUUUCUAAAAUUUGUAAGGUUUAUAGGAUUUUUAUUAUUGCCAUCAUUGUAUCAAUAAUAUUAUAAAUUAUAUAUUCUAUUGUAAUGAAAAUUUGUGCAAUCUUAGGUAUGUAUUAUAUUAAAUUGUGUGGAUUAAUUAAGAAUAUUUUUGGAGACAAAAGAAGUGUGUGUAUGUAAGAAUAAUGAUAAAAAAUUUCUAAAUAAAGGUGAUUGCUUCAUUGACAAGUACAUAUUUAUAUUCCUCUAUUAGUAUUUGGGUUGUAAACUCUGUUUAUAAAGUGAAUAUAUUGUGGUAAGCGAUGUGGGAAAUAUCGGAUGCGAAAUAUUGAGAGAUCAUUAACGCAUAUAUUUAUUGAAGAUGCAUAUAGAGGAAAGAGUGUAGAUCCGGCCGUAACACUUAUGAAGCUUUCCCUAAGUAUUCUCAUGCUUGCUUAACUAUUCCGAAGUAUUUUUCAUAGUGUGCAUAUUUACUUUAUGGUGUCUUUAUUCGUCUCAAAUGAUUACUACAGUUCUUUUGGGAUGAAAGGUCAUUUAUUUUGUUAAUUUUAAACAAUAGAAAAAAUAAAUAAUGGUAACGAAAGACUAAUUGUGAUAUUGAAGCGUACGGACUUUAACUCAAUCCAAAAAUUAGUAGGACCCACAUAUAUUUGAUGACGCUGAAAGUUACAUCAAUUGUAACUUAGAAACAUCCAAAUAUUAGACAAUAAUACACAAUAACAAUGCAUAUAAUUUGGGUUUGAUUUUUAAAAAAUUAUUUGAAUAUCACUUAUCCUUAAGAUAUUAAUUUGAAUAUAUUUUAAUAGUAAAUAAUAAAAAUUUGUUUAGUUAUUAUUUGUAUUUCAUACAUUGCAUGUUAGAUUUGUUUGAAUUUUAAGUUGUUGCGAAUAAAUAUUUAUGUUGUGAAAGUCGAAUUCAAUAGCUACAAAAGCAGAGAUAAUUGUAUUUUAUAUAGUUUUUAAGAAUACAAGGAUAAGAUCAUAACGCAUGAGAUAACGGUAUUUUAUAUUAAAAGACCAUAAUGCAUGUAUUUGAGCCAUUUAUAUUGAAGACACAUAUAGAGGAAUGAGUGCAGAUCCGACCAUAACUAUUGUGAAGCUUUCCUCAAGUAUUCUCAUGCACCCAAACCUUAUCUGGUCAAGGUUUCUGAUUGAAUAUAAUCAAUUUCCGUGCAGUACCGAAGACAGCUUCUGUUGGUAGUUGAAUUUGUGGGGAAUGACAAAUGUAGAGAAAUACAACAAUAAUGGUGGAACUUUAUUACGUAAAGUAAUGUGUUUACAACUAACUCUGUAUGUAGUAAGAAAAAUAAUAGUAAUAAGUAAACUUGCAAAAAUUUUGUGUGCUUGAAGGCACGUUACAAAUGUCGCUUUCCUUAAGACGUUAUUUGCCCCCACCAAUUGAGUGAUGCACAUGGGUUAAGCAAAUACGCAUCCAGGAUACAAUGAAGCACUUGUUUGUUUGCUAGUGUUGUGCAUCAACGAAAGCAAACCAGAAUACUCUUGAAUGUUGCAAGCCUGCCAAGAAACAAUAAAUUGUUCCUGCAGAAAACAAUAUAUUGGAUUGUGAAUGCACAAAAGAAAUGGGUGUUUUGUGUUGAAAUUCGUACUAGAAAGGAAUGCUAAGAAAAGAGUGGUGUAGGAUCAUUGAUUUCAUGUCUAAAUGGCUUAAACAUGACCCCUAUUUAUGGAUAUACUUGUGCCCCCUCAUUUGGGUUGUCAUCUUCAUGAUACCCCUUCAUUCAUGGCCAUUGGAUCUAUAUUUAAUUUUAAUCAAUGGUCCAAAUUGAACCAUCACCAUUUCAAAUGAAAUGUCACCAUGAAAUGAUGCAUCUCUAAGUGAAAUGUUACCAUGAAAAGUUAUAUCAUUUAGUAAAAAGAUACAUUUUCUAUAAGACAUAAUUAAAUAGACAUGUCCUUACAACAAGACAUCAUUUAAUUAGACAUGUCUUUAGUGAAAUGUACUUUUUCUAUAAGGCAGAAUUAAUAAGACAUGUCUUCACCAUAAGACACAAUUUAUUUUGAAAAUUUUCCAACAGCUUAUCUGUAAAGCUCUUCAACCACAAGCAUUUCUACAAGGCAAAAGACUAGGACGUGUUGGAAUGAAUAUCAAUAAGGGAAUGUCUUAUGAAUUUGGUUUAUAUCCUAAUAUAAGACAAUCAAUAAAUAUUGGAUGCAAUCUAAGGGCUAACAUUUGAUUGAUCAUUGUACGAAAAAAAAAGGUACAAAAAUACAAAACAGAGCUGAUUGAUGGCCUUUAACAGUCAGUUCUAUGACAAAGUAACCACCACAACAAAUGGAAUUAUAAGACAUCAAGAAACUUGAACUUGGCAGGAGGUCUCAUUAGCAGUAUACCUCAGAAAUUAAGACAGAGACUUUAAAAUGCAAGCUUAUGGAGUAAUUUAAGCACUGAAACUAAUAACAGUGAUGCAAAAAAAGGUGCAGAAGUACGGUAUUAGCAAUUGACCUCUGCUUUUGCUUGGACAAAGGUUUUCAUCACAAGGGACUCAUUAGUUGCCCUUGCCUCACACGAUUGGAUGCUAAGGGGAAAAAGGAAGCUUCUAACGGCAUUCACAGAGAACCUAUAAAACUAAAAAAAAAAAAAAUCAUCCAUGAAAAGGCUACUAACAAAAAAACUAACUCUUUUAUCUGCCACUGACCUAAUCCGCACUCAUUUAAUUAAAAAAGAAUUAAAAGCAAAACUAAAAGAUACAAAUUGCGUACAAGUCUAGGAGCCAUAUCAAAGGCGUUAUAUAACUUUUCCAAUUAAUAAAUUCUCUUAAGGGCCAUACCGUGCUCAUCAUUUCAAAAGCAAUUAAGGAUAAGAACUUUCAUCAUUAAUUGAUAUGGCCAGUGUAGAAAAAAUGAAAAAGCCCUCCAAGAUCAAAGCACAAGGAUCAGUUUAGAAUUACACUUUUUAAAUUUUGGUUAAUAAAUAAACGUUUAUAUGAAAAUAGAAAAUCUUUUUGGAAUAACCUUUUUUUUUCUUUUUUUAAUGAAUGUGGAUAUAAAAUUUUAAAAUCGCCAAACCGAAAAGAAAAACAGGGGAAUGAAAAGAGAGCCCACGUUUCUCCUCUCUUUUGUUUUUAUUGUUAUCAAACAGGGGAAUGAAAAGAGUGCUCUGUUUCUCCCCUGUUUUGAUUUUUUUAUUACUAAACAGGGGAAUGAAGAGAUCAGCUCUUGUCGCAAGCGCAAAUUUUUGUUUCUAAAUGCAGUUGGUUGUAACUAUAUUCGCAGUCCCUAGUACUUAGAAGUAAAGGCUCUUGGAAUUUCUAUUGUAGUACAUGAGAUGUUUCCCGUUCAAAUAGCUCGCCCGAUACCAUUAGCAUGUUCAUCUCUCUAUAGAUUGAUGUUGACAUAGAUGUUAUUCUACUUUUGCUAGUGGAGUUUUGGGCCUUGUCGUAAUUGGUGGAAUUACGACAUCGGUGGCUGACAUGGCUUUCCUUGUACAGGUAUGUAUGAUUGUUUUUUUUGCACGUCUAAAUGGCACUGUUGAAAAGCUUAAAAUUGAACUGAUAAUUUUGUUUGGAAGCUCAGAAAAUUCAUGAGAAAGUGAAAUAGAAUAUUCUGGAUUUCUUUUCUUUCCAUAACAUACAAAUGACAAACGUAGCAGUAUUUAUACUCGUUGCUUACAUCAUAAAAACAGAAUUAAAGCAAGUUAUACAACUAUAACAUAAUAAAAACCGUGCUUAACUAAUUGGCUGAGCUAGCAUAUACUUCUUUAACUAACACAUGCUUAUCGUGCAGCUACUCUUUAGUUCACACGUGCUCAGUGUGCUUCCUUAACAGACACAAGGGAAAAGACAUGAUUUUGAGAUAUAACGCUUGAAUGUUCUCGGAAUGGCAUAACGCUUUGUGUGUCUCGGACCUGUUAAGAAUAACAUAUGCUGAGUCAGCUGCUGAGUCAUCAAGCCACGCUGGAAGUUAGUUUUGCAGUUAGUUAGAGAGCUUAUCAGCUUCCCUCCAAAAGUUUGUUAUGUGUAUUAGAAUCUGGGCUCACGAGUUUUGUGAGAUUGUAACCUUAAGAAGAUUCUCACACUACUAUAAAUUGUAUUGUGACUCAAUUAAUAAAAUAAGUUGAAGCUUUGCAUUUUCUCUCAGUCAAAAUUUUCUCUCUGUUUUUCUAACCAAACAAGAUCUACAGAGCAUCUUGUAUUUUAACUUGGUAUCAGAGCUUGAAUCCAAUGGCCUUAAUCGGUUCCAAUCAACAGUCAAGCAACACUUCCAUAACUUCUUUCACCUUCACAAAUCCAAUUAAGCUUGAUCGUGCAAACUAUACGAUCUGGAAACAAUAAGUACUUUCUUCAAUUCGUGGCAAUGGUCUUGAAGGCUAUAUUGAUGGAUCAAGGAUCUGUCCUAGUCAAUUUCUUUCUCCAGAGGCUAGAUCUGAAGGUUCUUCUUCUUCUAACAUCGAAGGUCAAGAGAAUCCAGAGUAUGCAGCCUGGAGACGUCAAGAUUAGCUCCUGCUCAGCUGGAUUCUGUCGUCCAUGAAUGUAGAUAUUCUCAGUCUUGUGGUAAGCUCUAAGACUUCUUUUGAGUUGUGGAAAAAUCUAGAAAAAUAAUUUGGAUCUGAAUCUAUGGCUAAGAAGGUUCAUCUAAAAAUGCUUUUGAGUAACCUGCGAAAAGGAUCUCUAACCAUGUCUGAGUAUUUUACAAAGCUUAAGUCAGUUACAGAUGGUCUUGCUUUAGUUGGUAGCCCUGUGCAUGAUUCGGAUUUAGUCACUCAUCUUAUUACUAGUCUAGAUCAGUCAUAUUAUCCUGUAGUAGUCUAUAUUGAGGCAAACAUGUUGAAAAUGGAUCUUAGUGAGGCUUAUGCUAUGCUUCUCACACAUGAAGCUAGACUUGAGAAUAAUAAGCUUCAUGAUAGUAAGGAAACCAAGAACAAUUAUGCAGCAAAUGUAGCUCAGGCUGGAAAUUUUUCAAAGAAAGGUAAUAACAAUAAUCAAAACAACUGGAAGGCUGGAGGAAACAAUUGGAAUAAUAACUCUGGUGGAAGAGGUGGUUUUGGUGGUAAUGGAAGAGGUGGUUACCAAGGGUUCAAUCCAGGAAGAGGAAACUAGAAUAAUAAUAAUUUCAGAGGUGUUGCUGGUGGAUUUAAUAGUGGAUUUCCUGGUCCCGGUGGCUUCAAUAACAAUUAUGGCAGAGGUGGUUUCAACUCAGGAGGUGCUGGAAAGAAUUUUGCUCAGGGAACUGGUGCUGCUUGUCAGAUAUGCUUCAGGUUUAAUCACACAGCAGCUGAUUGCAGAGACAGGUUCAACCGAAAUUUUAUCCCAAAUUUUCCAGCUCCAGCUCCAAAUCACUUCUGUAAUCAGCAUCAAGGACCAAGAGCAGUCUUCAUAACAACAUCUGAAGGAGCUGCUGAUCAGGGAUGGUUUCUGGAUAGUGGUGCAACUCACCACUUAACCAACACAGUUCAGAAUCUGAGUGAUGGUAAAAUCUAUUUUGGCUCAAACUUACUUACUGUUGGUAAUGGCCAAGGUCUUAGAAUUACUCACAUAGGUUAUACACAACUUCACACUUCUUUUGGCACCUGUUUACAACUACAUAAUAUUUUGUGUGUCCCUCAAAUUACCAAGAACCUCAUUAGUAUUUCCAAACUCCUCACUGAUAAUGAUAUAACCAUUGAAUUUUUCUCUGAUGUUUGCUUUCUAAAGGACAAGGUGAAGGGCACUCUGUUGGCUCAGGGGAUAGCCUAUACAAGCUACUAUCAAAAGAGGAAUCUCUCUCUUCUUCCACUUCUGUUCUGCCAGUGUCUCAUCCUAGUUCUAUGAUGUCAACUCUUUCCUGCAAUAAUGUAGUUACUUCUGUUCAAAGUUCAAAUAAUGACUUCUGUUUUAAGUCUACAUUUCCUGUAAGCUUUCAAACUUCAAGUUAUGUGUCAGCAAAUAUGUUGCACAAUAGACUUGGUCAUCCAAGUAAACAUGUCAUACAAACUAUUCUCAGAAACAAUUGUUUAAUGUCAGCCAAUGUUAGUAAAUCAAAUUUUCUUUUCUGUGAUGCCUGUCAAUUGGGAAAGUUACAUCAAUUACACUUUCCUGCUACUGAAAUCAAAACAAAAAACCCCUUAGAAUUAAUACACACAGACUUAUGAGGACCAGCACCAGUUUUAUCACUAGAUGGCUAUAGAUACUAUAUUUCCUUUGUUGAUGACUUCACCCGAUAUUGUUGGAUCUUUCCUUUAGUUUUAAAAUCUGAUGCUCUUACUACUUUCAAAAACUUCAAGAGCUUAGUUGAGAAACAAUUCAGUCUGCCUAUCAAAAUUCUGCGGUCUGAUAUGGGAGGUGAAUUCAAAGCUUUUCAGUCCUUUCUUCAACAAGAAGGUAUCCAAGCUAGAUUUAGUUGUCCCUAUACUCACCAUCAAAAUGGUGUUGUUGAGAGAAAAUAUAGACACUUAGUAGAAACUGGAUUAACACUCCUUACUCAAGUAAAAAUGCCUAUUUCUUUCUCGUGGGAGGCUUUCCAUACAGCCUCCUAUCUCAUUAAUAGAAUGCCUACCACUACACUGAACAACUUAUCUCCCUAUCAAAAGCUUCAUAAUCAGCCACCAAACUAUCAACUUCUCAGAGUUUUUGGUUGUGCUUCCUAUCCUUUUCUCAAGCCUUAUAAUGAUCACAAGCUUGAUUUUCAUUCCCAAAAAUGCUUGUUCUUAGGUUACAGCCCUCUUCAGAAAGGAUAUAGGUGUCUAACAAAGUCAGGUAAAGUAUAUGUUGCUACUCAUAUUGUUUUUAAUGAAUCUGAUUUUCCCUAUUCAGAGUUGUUCUCUUCAUCUGAGUCUUCUUCCAAUUCUCUAUCAUCAUACUCUCCAUCUAUUUGUAUCCUUAAUGACAGUGGCUUGCAUCAAUCAUCAGCUACAUCUCCUACUUCAGCAAAGUUACCAACUAUACAUUCACCUCAACAUCCUCACCAAGCCCCACACUCUCCUUGUCCCUCUCCAGUCUCAGAUUCCUACAGCUAAUCAUCACCACAUUCUUCAUCACAUAAUGCUUUAGCCAAUCCCUCUGAUGAAUUACAACCAUCAUCUCAACCUGUCAUUUCAACUCAUCAGAUGGUCACUCGAGCCAAAUCUGGUAUUUUUAAACCAAAGACCUACCUUACAGCUACCCAAGACCUUGAACCAGUGAGUGUUAAAGCAACCCUAAUUGAUACAAAGUGGAAAAUGGCUAUGCAAGAAGAGUAUAAUGCCUUGCAGAAGAAUGGCACCUGGACAUUAGUUCCAGCUGAAACAGCUACAAAACUUGUUGGCAAUAAGUGGGUUUUUCGAGUUAAAUAUAACCCAGAUGGCAGCAUUUCCAAGUAUAAGGCUCGGUUGGAUGCAAAAGGUUUUCAUCAAACCUAUGGAGUAGAUUUCUUUGAAACUUUUAGUCCAGUUGUUAAACCCUGCACUGUUCGUAUUGUUCUCAGCUUAGCAGUCAUGCAUUGUUGGCCAGUUCGGCAAUUAGAUGUUAACAAUGCCUUUCUUAAUGGCAUGCUUACUGAAGAUGUGUUUAUGCCUCAGCUAGAAGGCUUUAUCAGCUCUCAGUUUCUCAAUCAUGUCUGCAAAUUACAAAAAGCCCUUUAUGGUCUUAAACAGGCUCCAAGGGCUUGGUAUGAUAGAUUGAAAGGGUCUUUAGUUCAGUGGGGUUUCAAAUCUUCAAAGUCAGAUACUUCACUGUUUUUCAAGCAUAUUGGCAAUAAUGUUCUCAUCAUCCUUGUUUAUGUAGAUGAUAUCCUGAUAACAGGCUCUAGUGAUGUUUAUAUUUAAGAGGUUAUCAGUCUACUUAGCUCAGAAUUUGCACUUAAAGAUUUAGGAGAUUUUAACUACUUUCUUGGGGUAGAAGUGACUCCAUCUGCUGAAGGAUUACAUCUAUCUCAAACUAAGUAUGUUGGUGACAUCUUAAGAAAAGCUCAUAUGCUUGAGAGUAAAGGUUGUAAUACACCUAUCAGUGUUGCUGAUAAAUUGCAGAAGGACAAAGGCUGCUCAUUUACAAAUCCCUCACUUUACAGAAGCAUCAUUGGUUCUCUGCAGUAUCUGACACUGACCAGACCAGAUAUUGCAUUCACUGUAAACAAAUUGAGUCAGUUUUUAGCUGCUCCAACUAUCUUGCAUUGGCAGGCUUGCAAGAGGGUAUUACGAUAUCUACAAAGCACAUCACAUUUUAGACUGCAAUUCUUCAAGUCAGGUUCUCCAAGUCUCAUAGCAUAUUCUGAUGCAGAUUGGGGGUCUGAUCCAGAUGAUAGAAGAUCUGUUGGAGGGUAUUGUGUUUAUCUUGGAUCCAAUCUUGUGUCUUGGUCAUGUAAGAAACAGAACAUUGUUUCCAGGUCAUCUGUUGAAUCUGAGUAUAGAGCAUGGCCUUAGCUACAUCUGAGGUUUUGUGGAUUACAUAUCUAUUAAAAAAGCUCAAAGUAUCACUUCCCAAACCUCUUGUUCUUUACUGUGACAACAGCAGUGCAGAAGCUUUGGCUAGCAAUCCUAAGUAUCAUUCCAGAACUAAACAUAUAGAACUGGAUUUACAUUUUUUCAGAGAACACAUUGCCAACAAGGAUCUCUUCAUUGAACAUGUGUCUAGUUCUGAUAAGCUAGCUGAUGUGCUUACCAAACCUCUGAGUUUUGAUCAUUUUGCCUAUAUGCAAACUAAGGUCAAUGUCUGCCCAUGACCUUGAGCUUACGGGGGCAUUUUAAGAAUAACAUAUGCUGAGUCAUCAAGCCAUGCUGGAAGUCAGUUUUGCAGUUAGUUAGAGAGCUUAUCAGCUUCCCUCCAAAAGUUUGUUAUGUGUAUUAGAAUCUGGGCUCACGAGUUUUGUGAGAUUGUAACCUUGAGAAGAUUCUCACACUACUAUAAAUUGUAUUGUGACUCAAUUAAUAAAAUAAGUUGAAGCUUUGCAUUUUCUCUCAGUCAAAAUUUUCUCUCUAUUUUUCUAAGUAACCAAACAAGAUCUACAGAGCAUUUUGUAUUUUAACUGGAGCGGCUGAUUGGUGCUGUACGUGUUACAUUUUUACUUUUUUAACUCAAGUCUGCUGUUGUCCCAAAGUUGGAACUAGAGAUAUCAUUUCACCUCAACUGUGUUUUUUUUUUAAUUAAAAAAAUCAUUUGUUUUAGGUAUACAUACAUGUAUUUUAAUUCUAUUUUCCUUGUAAUUUCUCCUUUACUUUGAAUGAAAGUCAUUGGUGUUUUCGAAUGGGAAUUUUGCAUUAAAAAAUUAAGAAUAGUUAAUAGGAAAUUUCCUGAUUCUUUAGUUACUAUUUUUGGUAUGAGUGUAAUUAGUAGUAAAGUUGGUUUCUACUCGCAAACAAGUGAACUGCUCGAUUCCCAAGUGCUAUUAACCAGUUUCCAACUUUUUAAUAUACACUAAUUGUUCCUGUUUAAUAGCUACUACUAUUAAAACUCAACAGCUAACAAAAAUACUAAAAAAAAUGAUUUUUUCUUAUGAUGCUGUGAAAAAAAUUACGGGUUUACUUAUUUCCACGAGAUCUUGUAUAGUGUUCUUGUAUAGUGGAAUUAAGAUUGUCUUCCCGAUGGUGCAAUUCACCCUCUUCCUUUACAGUCACUUGCACUUUGUGCAGCUUUGGUGUGGAUAAGAUUCCCAGGGAAAAAGUCUUCAUGUUCGGACAAUGUGUCACAAAUACUCGUUCCAAUGAUGGGAAUUCAAGAGGGUAAUUCUCCAAACAAAAGCUGGUAAGCCUUGGUAAAUACGACUCUCCUUCACUUCUUCUCCAGCAUGUCCUACGAUUUCUUCUAAUUUUUUGCAGUUCCAUACAUAAAGAUUCACCAGACUAGUAGGAAUUCCAACCUGAAAAUAAGCAGAGUGUGUGUGUGUGUGUGUAUAUAUAUAUAUUAAAAAAGUAAAUAUGUAAGAGUAUCAUUCAACUAGGCUCAAAGAAUGUUUAAUCAUACAAUUAUACGUUUUAUGAACAUAACAAACUGUGAAAUAUCUACUAGAUAUUUUUUGUUAAACAAAAAAGGUAACAAGAUAAAUAAAUAAAUAAAAGCCAGAUAAACAAAGAUGAUAAAAAUGUAUUUACACUAUUUAGUAUUAGGGACGUAGAAAGAAUUUAUGGCAAUUUCUAAAUAUUUUGGACUUAUUUUGCAUCUUGAUAUAAGUUUUUAAGCAUAAAUUUGCAAAUUUCAACUAUUCCUUUAAAAAAAAAACUCAACUAAAAUGCCUCUUUUUCCCUUUUCCUUGGUCCCUAUUUUUUAUGUAUAUAUAAAAAUGGAAAAAAAAAUUUUGGAAAAGACUUCCCAGUACUGUCAACAAGGGAUUGCUGUAAAGUGGAUCUUUAUUAAGUACUUCCAGACUCGAGGAAAUUUCUUUACAAUCAAGGGUCAGUUGUAAACAAUCAUGAAUUUGUGGUUAAUUAAUGGCAUAAUCAAUUCUUAACUAAACUGGAGAUAUUAAUUAAAUUUGAAGACUUUUUUUUUUUCCAAUCGAAAUGUGAAGAAUUAAGGAAAAGAGAAAUAUAUAGAUGAAUUUGUGAACCUAUAAGAUGAGUGACUAUCCUUUAAUUUUUGAAAAUUGUACUUAUUAAGACAUGAGCAGAAACAAUUAAAUUGAAUUAUAUUAUGCUGUUGAAUCGUGAUUAAAAAAAUUAUAUUGUUGAUUCUAAUGCUGGCGAACCUAAAAACUGGACUUAAAACGUAGAUUUCAGAGUGGUGGUUUGAAGUACAAUACUUGAAAUAAAUAAUCAGUGGCUAAAUAUCAUUUGUAAACCCAAAAAUGGUUAAAAUAUUGUUGAAUGUUAUUUGAAAAAAAAAAAAAAGAGAUUCAAAAUGAAUAUUCUUACCAAUGGAGGAAAAAUAUUCUUUAGGUUAUCACACCAAGAUAUCUCCAAAUUCUUCAAUUUGCUGAAAGACUCCGAAGCAAGCUGGUGGUGCCAUAUUUUUCUCAAAUUAUCCAUCCAGUCAAUACGUAAUACCUCCAACCUAGGAAGUCGUACCUGACAGUUAAAGAUUAAAUAACUAAUUAAUCAAUUAAUGGCAUAAUCAAUUGAUAAAUAAAUUAGAGGCGGAUAUUAACUAAAUUUGAAGACUCAAGGAAAAGACAAAUUAAAUAUUGUGACUAAAAUAAAUUUAAAAAAAAAAAAAACCUUUUCGUCAAAGAGAGGAGGUUGCAUUUCAGAAUGAAUGGUGUCUUCUGGUGAGCUCGUGGAGAUGAAUCUUAACAUAUUCCAGCAACUCUGAAUCUCGAGGUUUAGCAAAGAAGGGAAUUCAACAACUAAAUCUGAAUGAAUAUGUCCCGUAUUGGCAAAGCUUGUUAGUUCUGGAAGCCAAUAGAGCCGCAGGAAGUGUAGUUUAGGAAAUACCUUUAAUUCAAUCAACUUUCCUUCAUCUCUUUCUGACCAUCCCGUGGUGUCGACUACCCCUUCCAUUGACUCACAAUAGCUUAUCUCAAGAUGUUGGAGCUGCAAAAGGCUAUUAACCAUAGAAUAUGAAAACAGAUACUUCAUACGAUGACAACCGACCACGUGCAGCUUUGUUAGAUUUUGACAACAGUACAUUCCUUGAUUAUGAUCGGCCCAUAAUUUUUUCAUGUUUCUCAAGUCCCUGAGAUUCAAUUCCUCUAAGCUCGGAAGAAUAACCUGCAAAGAAAACCCGUACAUUUUUGUUCCUUCAAGUACAACCGUCUAGUAUAAUAUUCUUUUGAUGAUCGAAGAUUAAUCGUGAUAAUAAAUUAAUCAAUUAAUUAUUGAACAGAAAAUUAUCACCUUUGGAGCAGGAUCAUCAUCAGAAAUGAUUUCGUUGAAUCCCAAAGAAGUUGUUGGUUUGUCCAUGUCGGGUCCUAUAAACAAACAAAAACAAUAUACAUAAUUAAUCUUUGUCGUUGUCUUUUUUUUUCAAAAUAAUUGAGGCGAAGUCCAUAAAUCCACCAACACUUAAUUUCAACACUUACCAACAAUCAUUUCCAGAUCAUCGCAAAAAAACACUUCUACCUUUUGAAGCCACAGUAGGUUUUUGGCCAUGGAGAAUGAGAAAAGAUGCUUCAAUUCGUGACAGUCUGAUACUUUUAUAAUCCUUAAGUUGCUGAAAGAUUGAUCUUCUGUGAGUUGGCUGUCACAUAUUGUCUCCAAAUUUAUCAAACGACGAAGAGACAAUGACUCCAGCAAGGGGAAGACUUUGCGACGAACCCGUCCAACUGAACAGACAAUAUGCAAAAUCUCAGACCAACUUUUUACAGCAAGGUGCUUCAAUCGUGGAAAACCUUCCCCAUCAUCUAAUUCAUGAACAACAUUCUGAACACCCUUCAGUUCUUCUAGAUAGAGAUAUUCAGUUCUCUUCAACAACAGUUUCAUCCUGUAAUUCUGCAAAAGAAUGCCAAACUUUUCCAGCCUCUGGAGCUUCAUCAAUCUUGAUAAUCCAGAUUUAACGGACCAGCUGCUCCCCCACUUAUUUCCUAUACAUAUCCUAUAGGUAGAAGUGUUCUAGCUAUUAAUUUUAUACAUAUCUUCUAUAGGUGUAUUCUAAUUAAUUUCAUACAUCAGAUUUUUAGAUAAAAAUAAAGAAGUAAAAAAAAAAAAUCUUCACAUCAUCUUAAGAAAUUCAAAGCCAUGAUACCACAUCCAAUCACGAGAAUCCAUUUUCCUAUGAUCACUGACCUUUAGGUGCGGUGCUUGGUUUGAAGAAGGGAAAGGGGGUGAGGAAAGUAAUUUGAAUUCCUUUCUUAUUUCCGUUGUUUGGUCGGUCAUAAUAUAAAAGAAUUUAAUUUUCAUUAAAAUUUAAUAUAAUCAUAAUGUGGAAUUUAGAUUUCUCAAUAAAGAGUGAUGAAUCUUGGUUUGGGUCUGUUUUGAGUUUAUUUUCAUUUAUUUGGCUAUGUUUUGAUAGCGAAUUUUGAUAUGUCAAUAUAACGUGUAAUUGUUUUGGGUUGAGCUGGUAAUUAUGCUGGAUUAGAUUGGUUUGGUUUUGGUGCUUCUCUGAUGGAACACUGUUUUUUUUAGAAAUUUUGAAUGUAAUAUGAGACUACAUUUAGUUUAAUUGAACACUGCAUCUAGUCUAAUUACUAGAAGUGCGGCAUUUGGUUUGGUUUAUCCUAUAUUCUCCAGAAUUUCACUUGCAUCUGGUUUUGUUGCAUAUGUUUGCUUGCAUUUGAUGGCAGUAGCAGACUGUUUGGUUUUGUGACAUUUGAUGGCAGUUUGGUCUGUUCUUGGUGUUGGUUUAAGAUUGUUCCUGUUGUGCUGAUGUUAAUUGCAGGUGCUUGAAUCAGCUAGGGUUGCUGGUUUAUUCAGAUGGUUGACUCAGGCGUUGUUACUGGUUAAUUCAGGUGGCUGACUCAAGUUGUUCAUUUAAUGUUAGGAAGCAAAUUAAGAAUUAAUGAAGUAUUCAUUAAACUAUAAUUAUUGUAGUUAUUUUAUUUCAUAACUGAAUUAUAAUCUAUGAUACUUGUGAACAAAUUAGAGAAUUUUUAUAUAUGAAUUAUAUAUAUGUGUAUGUACAUUUUGCUAAUAAUUUAAAGAAUAUAUUUCAAUUCCCACAAAAAAAUGGCUCCAAUUUCAAUAAUUCCCGCCAAAUAAUUAAAUUUUUUUAAUUUACCACCAAAAUAUAUCUUAAAGAAAUUUUAGUUAUUCUUGCUAGAUUUAACAAAAAUGAUUUGUAGGAUUAACAUUUAAUUAAAAUAAUUAAAUAAUUUUAUUAUUCCAAUUAAAUAUGUCAUGUUUAUACGACAGACAAUAUUCAUGAAUGGGAAGUAUUAGUUACGUAUUUUUCCUUGGGAUUUCAGGCAAAUGAAAAAAAGAUUGAGAAUGAUUUCAAGAGGACAGGUGGAUGAUAAGUAUUCAUUUUUGUAUAUUUGUCUAAUGUCCUCAUUAGUGGAUUUUUAUGGUAUUGAUCUUUUUUUUUUUUUUUUUAAUUUUCAAUUAGUUGCAGCCCUAGAGGAAGAGCAGGCUGAUCAAAUUGAUUUGUCUUGUUUUUCGGGCAAUCUACGACAUGAUGACCGUGAUAAUGCUCGUGACUGCUGGAAACUUUCUGAUGGAAAUAACUUUAGAGUUCGUAGCAAGCAUUUUUGUUAUGACAAAACAAAGGUUCCCCCAUAAUUUGUUUGUUUGUUAUGGUAUUUAUAUAUCCUGCAUAGGCUAGGUAGACAAGUUAUGAUGUACGUGUUUCUCAUAUAGAACUCAAGUCUGCUGUUGUCCCAAAGUUGGAACCAGAGAUAUCAUGACUCUGGUUUCAUUUCACCUCAACUGUGUUUUUUUUUUUAAUUAAAAAAAUAUUUGUUUUAGGUAUACAUACAUGUAUUUUGAUUCUAUUUUCAUUGUAAUUUCUCAUUUACUUUGAAUGAAAGUCAUUGGUGUUUUCGAAUGGGAAUUUUGCAUUAAAAAAUGAAGAAUAGUGAAUAGGAAAUUUCUUGAUUCUUUAGUUACUAUUUUUGGUACGAGUGCCAUUAGUAGUAAAGUUGGUUUCUACUCGCAAACAAGUGAACUGCUCGAUUCCCGAGUGGUAUCAACCGGUUUCCAACUUUUUAAUAUACACUAAUUGUUAUUGUUUAAUAGCUACUACUAUUAAAACUCAACAGCUAACAAAAAUACUUAAAAAAAAUGAUUUUUCUUAUGAUGCUGUGAAAAAAAUUACGGGUUUACUUCUUUCCACGAGAUCUAUAACAUGGUCUUGAUUUCACGAAAUUCUUUUAAUUUAAAGCGUGCUGGUGUGAGAAGGUCAGUUUGACUGAUUAAUUCUUUUUAACAGUGGUCGAGAUAAUUUUACUAUACUCGAAAAUAUUCUUAUUCUGAUAAAGCCAUAAAUGUUAUGCUGUUUUCUUCGGCUAAUGAUCUUCUAUCAGGAGAGGUUAGAAAUCAAAUGCUUAAAAGACCAAUUGAACGAAUAAUACAGAAAUUUAGGCAGAAUCUAAUCGAAUAUUGUAUGAAACAUGAAACAUCAAUUCAAGUCCUUUCUUAAACAAAGAAUGCAUCAAACAAAAUCCAAAGUGUCUUGCAAGUUUGUAGCAUGAGCAAAAAAUUGUAAAUAUGUAGAACCAAAUUAUUCAAGUACAGAAGAACGAGCAAGCUAAAUCAUGUAUAAGAGAUUGGCCUGGUUCAGGAUAGCUUCUUCACUGUAGCUGAAGGGUUGGCUCAAUCUCUUCUUUAGAAUUCUGCAGAUUUUGUAAUUACUCGUGUAAGCAAGCAUACAUUGCCACCAUAAGAAUAAUAAAGCAAGAGUAAUGAUAUGACCACCACCUCUUGUGCACAAACAAUAUUGUAUAAACUAAUGCGACAUAAUAUGAUUGGUUAAAUAAAAACAUUACAUGGCCCUCAUAAUUUAUUUAUUUAUUUAUUAUUAUUAUUAUAUAUUUUCAAUCAACCAAUCAUAUUAUAUCACAUUAGUUUCUAUAAAAUAAUUUGCUAAAUAGCACCGAAACUUAAUUGAUACUCACCAUUUCAUUGAACAAUUUUUUUAUGGUGUCAUUGAGGUUGCCUUCCCAACAUCCUUCAUCAUCAUCAUCUUCUUCAUCAUCAUCAUCUUCUUCUUCAUCAUCUUCAUCAUCAUCAUCUUUUUCUUCUUCGGUGACGUUCACUUUGUUUAGCAUUGGUGUGUCUAAGACUCCUUGAGAGAAGAUCUUCAUUUUUGGACACUGUCUCACAACUACUUGUUCCAAGGAUGGGAACUCAAGAGCGUAAUUACCCAAACAAAAGCUUGUUAGGCUUGGCAAACAAUCAAGUCCCAAGUACUCCAAUUUCCUGAAAACAAUGCAAUCGUCCGCUUCUUCUCCAACCUGCGACUGUAUAAUUUCUUCCAUCAUUUUGCAAUCAGUUAUCUUCAUUCUUUCAAGAUUCACUAGACUUUCAGAUGUUGAGAGCGUCAAUAAAUUUAUCAACCCAUGACACUUCGAUACUUCCAGAGUCGCAAGAUUUUCCAAAUGCCACGAAGCUGGUACUAAUUUCUGCAACUUACUACAUUCAAAUAUUUCUAGACUUUUCAAGUUUGCAAACACUUUGUUGGAUUUGGCAUUUUCCUUCCAGAGAUGCUGCACUUUGUGUAAUCCAGAUAGCUUUAACUUCAUCAAUUGAGGGAAUGCAACCUGGAAAUCAACAAAAUUAAGUUGUAAAUGAAAAUAUGUAUCCAAUCUCUGCAGUCUUCCCCUGCAUAUUUUAUGGACAAGAUUAAUCACGGCAUUUUAUAUUUUAUUUCCAAAUUAGUAUGCUUUGCAGUAGGAUCCCAAAUAUAAGUAUCAAAUCGAUUACCCUUUGAAACACAUAAAUGAAAUCUGAUCCUAAAUCCAAUAUGAAUUAGCUAGGAAAACAGAGACCUAACACGCAUAAUCGAUAUAGUUCAUCACCUCCUGUCACUAGGCAUCUAAUUAAUUUGAGACAUUUUUUUAAUUCAUACUAUAAAGUUAGUUAAUAACUACGGUUAUAUUGUUAAACAUGUAUAAAUUAAGACGACGUGCAAAAAGAUGAGUCAUUAAAUUUGAUUUGAUUCUAAUGAAAUUAUAUCUGUGUGAAUGAAAGUGAAGGGAAAAAUAAUAAUAAUGUUACCUUUUCAUCGAAGAGAUGUUGUAUUUGAUUAGCUACCAAGAGGUUCUCUUCUUAUUUUAAUUUUUGAGCUUCCUUAUUAUCUGUUGUCAUGUGCAGUACAGAUGUAGAAUUGGACAUGAAUGUUUCCAUAUCAGGGCAAUUCUCAAUAGUUAGAUAUCUCAACUCAGGCAGUUCAAUUAUAUUCCCAGUGAAGUUGCAGAAUCUUUUGAGUUUUGGAAGGUCAAUGAGCCUUAGCUCAAAAAGCCUAGGAAACAGGGGGCCUAUAUGUUCUUCCUUGGCAUUUAGCUCUUCCAAAUGAAGCACCUCUUCUAGUGAAUCACAAUUCCUCACUUCCAGCCAUCUCAAAUUGUUCAAGCACCGUAUCAGAUUGGCAGGAAUAGCACUCGACAUAUUCGUGCGGUCAUCCACCACCAGGUGUCUUAAAUUGUUGAAGAAGCUGACAGGCAGUGCUUGGCCAUGCGAGAGUUGCAAAUGGUUUAUAUCAAGGAAUCCAAUCUGCACAAACCAAAACAAUUGCACUGGAUAUAUACAAUUUUUUCUUUCUGAAAGGCAUAGAUAUAUGUACAUUAAACUUACAUGUUUUCUGCUUUAACUUCUAAAAAUAUAUAUACAAGGCAGGUGUAUAUGCUUAAAUGUGCAAGUGCAGGGGAGAUGCAUGAACAAUUUGGGUGAAUCGAUUAACACAUACCAUCUUUUUGUAACAUAUGUUUAAAUGUGCAAGCGCAAGGGAGAUGCAUAAGCAACUUGGAUGAAUCGAUUAGCACAUACCAUUUCUUCGUAACACUUUUGUAUAGUGGAAUUAAGCUUGUUGCCUUCCCAAUGGUGCAGUUCACCCUCUUCCUUUUCAGUCACUUGCACUUUGCAUGGCUUUGUAAUGGAUAAGAUUCCCUGAGAAAAAGUCUUCAUGUCCGGACAACGUAUCAUAGAAACUCGUUCCAAUGAUGGGAAUUCAAGAGUGCAAUUCUCCAAACAAAAGCUGGUAAGCCUUGGUAAAUCAUCAAGUAUCAAAACUUUUAAUUCGCUGAAAGCAAUACGAUUCUCCUUCACUUCUUCUCCAACAUGUCCUACGAUUUCUUCUAAUUUUUGGCAAUCUGAUACUUAAAGAUUCACCAGACUACUAGGAAUUCCAACCUGAAAAUAAGCAAAAGUGUGUGUGUAAGAGUAUCAUUCAACUAGGUCCAAAGUAUGUUUAAAACAUACAAUUAUAUGUUAACAUAACAAACCAUGAAAUGUCUACUAGAUAAUUUUUGUUAAACAAAAAAGGCAACAAGAUAAAUAAAUAAAUAAAAGCCAGAUAAACAAAGACAAUAAAAAUGCAUUUACACUAUUUAGUAUUAGGAGCGUAGAAAGAAUUUAAGGCAAUUUCUAAAUAUUUUAGACUUAUUUUGCAUCUUGAUGCCAGUUUUUAAACAAAAUUUGCAAAUUUCAACUAUUCCUUCUGGGAAAAAAAAAAAUCAACCACCAACAAAGUGUUGGCUCCAUUGGCAAUGGAGUCCCCUUAAGUGGUUUGACUGGGUUUGCUCCCCAGUUCGAGUCGCAGGGAAGUCGCCUUUGUUGGGAGAACUUGUGCCUCCCGGUUCGAGCGGGGACUUCUAGUCUGGGUUGUGGUACGGGCUUAAAGGUGCCUUCCACAGUUGGGGCCCUCCCCAGGAUACCUCGUGAUUAAUAUAAAAAAAAAAAAAAAAUCAACCAAAAUGCCGCUUUUUCCCUUUUUCCCUUUUUCCUUGGUCCCUUUUUUUUAUGUAUAUUUAAUUUUGGAAACAAAAUUAAAGUGGAUCUUUAUUAAGUACUUCUAGACUCGAGGAAAUUUCUUUACAAUCAAGGAUCAAUUGUAAAUAAUCAUGAAUUUGUGGUUAAUUAAUGGCAUAAUCAGUUCGUAACUAAACAAGAGAUAUUAAUUAAAUUUGAAAACUUUUCUUUUCUUUUUUUCUUUUUCCAAUCGAAAUGUGAAGAAUUAAGGAAAAGAGAAAUAUAUAGAUGAAUUUGUGAACCUAUAAGAUGAGUGACCAUCCUUUAAUUUUUGAAAAUUGUACUUAUUAAGAUAUGAGCAGAAACAAUUAAAUUGAAUUAUAUUAUGCUGUUGAAUCGUGAUUAAAAAAAUUAUAUUGUUGAUUCUAAUGCUGGCGAACCUAAAAACUGGACUUAAAAUGUAGAUUUGAGAGUGGUGGUUCGAAGUACAAUACUUGAAAUAAAUAAUCAGUGGCUGAAUAUCAUUUGUAAACCCAAAAAUGGUUAAAAUAUUGUUGGAUGUAAUUAAAAAAAAAAAGAUUCGAAAUGAAUACAACAACCUUACCAAUGGAGGAAAAAUAUUCUUUAGGUUAUCACACCACCAUAUGUCCAAAUUCUUCAAUUUGCUGAAAGACUCCGAAGCAAGCUGGUGGUGCCAUAUUUUUCUCAAACUAUCCAUCAAGUCAAUACGUAAUACCUCCAACCUAGGAAGUCGUACUUGGCAGUUAAAGAUUAAAUAACUAAUUAAUCAAUUAAUGGCAUAAUCAAUUGAUAACUAAAUUAGAGGCGAAUAUUAACUAAAUUUGAAGACUCAAGGAAAAGACAAAUUAAGUAUUGGGACUAAAAUUAAUUUUUUUUUUAUUUUAAAAAAAACCUUUUCGUCAAUGAGAGGAGGAGGUUGCAUUUCAGAAUGAAUGGUGUCUUCUGGUGAGCUCGUAGAAAUGAAUCUUAACAUAUUACUGCAACUAUCAAUCUUGAGUAUUUGCAAAGAAGGGAAUUCAACAACUAAAUCUGAAUGAAUAUGUCUCGUGUUUGCAAAGCUUGUUAGUUUAAAAAGCCCAUAGAGCUGCAGGGAGUGUAGUUUAGGAAAAACCUUUAAUUCAAUCAACUUUCCUUCAUCUCUUUCUGACCACCCCGUGGUGUCGACUACCCCUUUCAUUGACUCACAAGAUCGUAUUUCAAGAUGUUGGAGUUGCAAAAGACUAUUAACCAUAGAAUACGAAAACAGAUACUUCAAAUGAUCACAACCGUCCACGAUCACCUUUGUUAAAUUUUGACAACAGUACAUUCCUUGAUUAUGAUCGGCCCAUAAUUUUUUCAUGUUUCCUAAAUGAAAGAGAUUCAAUUCCUCUAAGCUCGGAAGAAUAACCUGCAAAGAAAACCCGUACAUUUUUGUUCCUUCAAGUACAACCGUCUAGUAUAAUAUUCUUUUGAUGAUCGAAGAUUAAUCGUGAUAAUAAAUUAAUCAAUUAAUUAUUGAACAGAAAAUUAUCACCUUUGGAGCAGUAUCAUCAUCAGCAAUGAUUUCGUUGAAUCCCAAAGAAGUUGUUGGUUUCUCCCUGUCGGGUCCUAUAAACAAACAAAAACAAUACACAUAAUUAAUCUUUGUCGUUGUUUUUUUUUUCAAAAUAAUUGAGGCGAAGUCCAUAAAUCCACCAACACUUAAUUUCAACACUUACCAACAAUCAUUUCCAGAUCAUCGCAAACAAACACUUCUACCUUUUGAAGCCGCAGUAGGUUUUUUGCCAUGGAGAAUGAGAAAAGAUGCUUCAAUUUGUGACAGGAUUGUACUCCUAUAAUCCUUAAGUUGCUGAAAGAUUGAUCUUCUGUGAGUUGGCUAUCACAUAUUGUCUCCAACUUGUUCAAAAACCAAAGAGACAAUGACUCCAGCAAGGGAAAGACUGUACAAUGAACCCGUCCAACUGAACCGACAAUAAGCAAAAUCUCAGAACAACUUUCUACACGAAGAUGCUUCAAUCGUGGAAAACCUUCCCCAUCAUCUAAUUCAUGAGCAACAUUCUGAACACUCUUCAGUUCGUUUAGAUGGAUCUCUUCAGCUUCUUUCAGCAACAUUUUCGUCCCAUAAUUCUCCAAAAGACUGCUAACAUUUUCUAGCCCAUCGAGCUCCACCAUUCUUGAUGUUUCAGAAUUAACGCCCCACAUGCGCCACGCUUCUCCUAUACAUAUCUUAUAUCUUUGCAAUUCCACAGAGACUAAAUCCUGCGGCAGAAUUUGGGCAUCCCAAAAUUGUAUCUCCAAAGUAGUUAGCUUUGACAGCCCCUUCAAUUCAGCAAGACUGGCGGUACUUCCUCCUUCAACCUUAUCCCACUGCGAAAAGCUGUCACCCAUAUAUAGUUCUUCUAAUUGAGAAAAUUUUGAUAUGAGAUUUGGUGCUAUCACUACAAGGCUCCUACAAUUGCUCAAAUCUAGCAAUUGUAACCGCGUCAAUUGUCCAAUUUCAAGUGGUAACUGCUUAAUGUCGGAAUCUCGAAAGCUAAGAAUCUCUAAUUUCUUUAGCUGUCCAAUUGCAGCUACAUCUUCUAGUUGGCACCAGUCUAAACACAAUGUUUGAAGGUUAAUGAGGCGACCAAGUGAUGAAGGUAAUGAAGAGAAAGGAAUUCUAGUAAGGCUUAAAACUUUGAGUUCUUUCGUCCCUUCAAAAAAGAGGUCUGAAAUUUGCAUACGGCCAUUACCCUCUGCAGACAACAAAAAUAACUGGAGAUUGGGACAUUGCAACCUUUCAGGGAGCUCUUGAAUAUCUCUCUGGGGUAAUGAAAUGGCAAUUGGAUCUUUCCGUAUUGUCUCUUCCAUCUUUUUCUCUAAGUCGGCAACAUUUGGAAUAUUAAACAUGCGCUUCUCUGCGGCAAUUGAUACGGCAACAACAUGAAUGACGUCAUGCAUUUUAGCUUCAUCUUCAGCAUCACCGUCCAACAAUAAGCAUGAAGAUUUGAGGUUGUCGAUCAACCGAUGCACUCUACUCCUUGCUUCUUCCAAUGUGUAAACAUUUUCAAACAAACCCCAACCCACACCAUAUCUCAAUAAGUCAGAAACUUGUAUGGCAUGACCUUCACUGUAUAGACCACAAAGACGGAACAGAGAUUUUGCCUCCUCACUUUCCAAGAAGUCAUGACUCAAUUUUAUGGAGGUGUACACAUUUGCUUGCAUGCCAUGAAUUUCUCUUGCAUCCGAUCUUCUUAGCUGAUUCAAUGCAUCUUUCCAAAAGUCACGCUCCUUAGUUUUCAGAGCAUUUGCAACUGUACUCAGUGCAACAGGCAAACCUCCGCAUCUUUCAAUGAUCUCAUUUGCUAUACUUUGAAAAGCAGAUAUUUUAGUUGAAUCACCCACUAUCUUCUCAAAUAACUGCAAUGCUUCUUCUUUUGAUAAAGCAUCGAUCCAGAAAUUUUUCUGAGAAUUCAUAUCAAUGCACAAUAAAUCUCGACUUCUAGACGUCAAUAUUAUUGUGCAUCUUCUCUGAUCAUCCUCUCUAUCUUUCUCAUCAACAUCUCCAGAAGGAAUUCCAACCGCAUCUAACUCAAGUUUUGUCCAAAUAUUAUCCAAUAUAAUGAGGACCCGCUUCUCUUGCUUCAACCUUUCACGCAGUCGAGAAGCUCUAUGGUGUAUACUAUCAUUCAAGUCAAAUUUCAUGCCUAAAUCAGAAGCGAGCUUGUCUUGAAUUUUCUGGGGAUCUGGGUUCUGUAUUACCUCAGCCAUAACGACCUUAUCGAUCAACUUAUCUUCCAUCACUUUCUUAGCAACUUGCUUGACUAGCGUGGUUUUACCCACGCCGCCCAUGCCGUAGACCCCAAUUAUGUUGAGCUUAUCAUCCUUCAACGCCUCCAUAACAUCCUGAAAUACUUUCAUUCUUGAAUCAAAGGCCUCGUUAUCUUUCCCGUCAUUAAGUCCUGUGCUCUUUGGAGUAGGACGGUAGGAAACAUUAGAGAAGUUGCCUUUUCCCACGAGACCAGCGGCAGCUUCUGCGGCCUUUGCUGCUUGUUUACUAAGCUUGUAACGGGACAUCAAAUUUGGGCACAAUCCUUUGAAGCAGAACUUUUUAGCUCUUUCUUCAUCAUCAAUGAUGGAUUUUGCAACCCCUUCACUGAUGAAUUCAUCAACGCUAUGUAGCCAGUCUGUGACACCCUCAUAAAGCUCAUCCCCUUGUAGCCUAGCAUGAUUAACUGGUUGCUGCACCAUUUCUCUCUUAUAUCCCAGCUGCUUCACUUGAACUUUUAGCUCAUCUAUGUAGCUCUGGUACUUGAACACAUCAGAUAUCUGCCGUGUAAUCGGGUUGAACAGUGACUUUGCACCUUCUGAUACACAGUUGGUUAAAAAAGCCAGACACGCUUCUAUAGCCAUUGCCGGUUGCUUAACAAUAUAUAUCUAGUUUUUGGCUGUUGAAAAAAAAAAUGGAUUCAAAUAAAUUAAAUGAACUAGCGGGGAAGAAAAAGAAAGAAACGACAACAAACAACUUUUUAGAAAAAGGUUUCAGGGGCCUGAAUGGAAAACCAACAAUUUUUUGAGGAAAGAAAACUUUUUUGGAAGAUGGAUGCAAAUUAACCAUUAAUAAUACUGCAUAAGAACACAGAAGUUAACAAUAAACAGUAACUUAAAACUCAAGAAAAUUAAAUGACAAGAUUAAGACAAACAAGAGAUAGUUUUUGUCGGACAUUAAGAAACAACUGCUAUCAAGAUCAAAGAUUAGAAAUUAUGCUAUUGAAAGAAAUUAUUAAAGUAAUUAGAACAAACGCACCUCUUCAAUUAUCUAGGAUCACAGAGUUUAUGAGCUUCACUCUUGGCCUUCGAUUUAUAAGAAAAAUUUUAAUGAGCAAAAGAUCACUGUUGACUGCAGAAGAAUGUGAGUAAGCAAUACAAUUGAAUUGUAAAAGAACAAGACUUAAAGCGUGCACCCCAACAGAACACAUGUUCAUUUUUAACAAAGUGAUCAAUAACUAUAUUCGUUAUUUAAUUGAUAUUGUAACCAAUUCUAAGAGAAUAUAAUAAUCAGCAAACAAACAACAUUGAUCUUAUGCCUACUGAUAUUUAAACAGAGAAUUCUUUCUUCUUUUUCUCUUCAUGGAUUAGAGUUUUUGCUAUUAACAGAAUGGUUUCAAGGGUCUGAAUAAAAUCCCAGACUUUUUUUUAACUUUGUUUUCUGUGGGAAAAUGGAUUCAAAUUAACCAAAGCCAAUAAUAAGAUCACAGACUUUAACAAUGAACAAUAACUUAAGCAAAACCAAUGACAAGAUUAAAACAAACCAGAGAAAUUUUUUCUCGGAAAGUAGAUGAAAAGCAAGUAAGAACUGCUAUUAAAGGAUAUUAUUAAAGGAUUUAGAACAUGUAUACCUCUUUAAUUAUAUGGGAUCAGAGAAUCGAUGACCUCCACUAUUCGCUUCGGAUAUUAAGUAAGAACUGCUAUUAAAAGAAUGAGUUGAUGAGAGUAAUAACAAUGAAUUGCAAAAUAGGAAGACUCAAUCAUGCACCCCUUUUAUACCUGAUCAUAUUAAGAAGUCGUUAAAGAAUAACGACUAAAUUAGGAAUUAAUUCUGAAGUUCAGAAUCAAGAACAGAGACGAAGCUUUAAUAAAGCAUGCAGUGAGAUACAAGAAAUGGAUCUGAUAAAAUACAUUAAAAAAAUUUGUUCAACCUAGUUAAGCUGAUGAAAGCACUAGUUGUUGGCUCUACGUUUCAUAUGUUCUAAUGAAAUAAUUAAGUUGAAGUUUUCAACGAAUAAAUACCUGUUUCGCUUGAAUAGCUUUGGCAUAUACAUUACUUGUGUCCUGUGAAAUUGAAAAGGUUAUUGAUUUACAAAGCUUAUUAGUAGAGAAAAGCUACGUAAGAUGCCUGAUAAAAGAUAAAGCAAGAGCUUGAAUGAAGAAUGACAUUUUAGAAAGAAACUAAAGUGUAAUCAUCAAAGUAGGAUCAAUAAUGUACCACUUUCCUUGCAAAUCUGGUGGGUUUUCUGAAUAGAUUUUUACAUUAUUCUUCUAUUUAACCAUUUUGGCUUUACCCUAAGCAUUCUUGGUUGGCAUUGUCCUGUAAUCUGCGUGCCCUGGAUACGUGAGAGGGAAUGAUGAGGGUAGAUAUGCAAUUUCAAGAAGCGAUUUGCUUGUAUAAUUCAAUGCAUGGAAAGAGAUGUACCUGACCAGAAAAAAAAGGGGACCAUCCAUAUCUGAGCUUGACUUUUUAGAUAGAUAAAUAUUCUUAUUACUGUUGAUAAUGGAGAAGGGUUCUACUUUUACUUUGCCAUCUUUGAUAUAAAACAGCAUGAUUCCUUUUUUUCAAACACUUGCCUAAGUCUAUUUUUUAUUUUUCUUAUUUUCAGAAAGAGAUUAGCUUAAUUUAAAUUAUAUUCAAGUACAAAGUGUUAUACACUCAUAAAACGACAAAUAGGCAUGUAUUGAUCACGCGCAAUCUGUUUUUUUUCCCCCUUUUUUUUUUAAUCCAGUCUUCUUAUUUAAAAAAAAGAAUUUAUUUGCUUUAUUUUAAAUUAUUUUUUCAUGCGGUAAAUGCAAUACUGAGUAAUGGGUGAGCAAAAUAUUUACAGGCACACCCCCUUUUAAUGAUUUCGUACUAAAAUUAAAAAUUGACGAUUCCAUAAUAAAGUUCAAAGAGUAACUGAAGACCCAUAAAUGUUUUUUGGUCAUGAGCAAUUUUUGAGUUGGGACAGCACUCCUAUGAAAAAAAAUAGUUUUUUUUUUCUUUAAGCAUGAGCAUAUUAAUUCUUUUUUUAUAAAUCAACGUGAAUAUAAAAUUAAAAAAUAGUUUUGAAUAACUUCUUUUCUUUUUUCAUAAAUAUAGAUAUAAAAUUUUAAAGUCACCAAACACAAAACCAGGAAAAUGGAAAGGAAGCCCCUGUUUCUCCGCUGCUGCAAGCACAAAUUCGGUUUCUACAGGAGUACCUUCUAAAUGCACCAUUUGUAUUGCUUUGUCUCCACUUGAGCUAAUGGAAUUUGAUGAAGACAAAAUAGAUAUGAGUCGUGCUAUUCACACCCCUCGAUAAUUCUUUCAAAAUCCCUUUUCUAAUUAUACCCCGUUAAUACCCUUGUUCGCUAUGAAAAUAAAGCAAAUGCCUGUAUAAAAAGCUGGCUCUAAUAAUCUACUUGAAUUUACAUCAGAAAAGAGUGGACUUUGAGAAAUAAGAAGUCAAUAUGGAGAAUUUUACCAAAAUAAUCCAUUUUUAUAUACAGGGAAUGGUAUUUUCUGAUAUAGGGAGGAGUGGAGAAAUUAAAUUCAGCAAAAUAAAGAACCUCCAUCGAGAAGCAAAAAUGAUGAUAUCUUUGUCGUGAAGAGAUUUCUGCCUCAUACAAAUUUUUUAUUCUAGAAUGCUUGAAACCGAAAAGUUCUGUAGCUGUUUCAAUUCAAUUGCAUACAUUGACGAAACAUUAAAUACGAAAAAAACAAAAAAGAAAUAAUAGGACAUGGGGAUUUAGAGAACUUCUAAAGAGAGAAAUGUAUUUAUUGUUGGGAAAAUAUGCUCUUUAAAAGCAUAUGUGUUUAUUUAAUUGUAAUAAACUAUUUUUCUGAUUAAUAAAAUAAAUGAGGCAUUUUAUUCAAAUAUCUUAAUUGCAUUAAUACUUGUAUUAAAGUCCAUUUAAUCAUAUUAUAUGUAUUUAUGUGAUCACCAUGUGGAUUCACAGAAGACAUAAAUACAAGUUAUCUUAUGAUUAAAUAAAUUUAGUUCGCAGUUGAUAAAUAAAGUUGGGCACUUUAUUUAGGUAUAGACUGUAAUAAAUUCAUUGAAUGAUUUGUCUUAAUUAUGUAUGAAUUUAUUGAUGUAGUACGACUACAUUGAACAGGAUCACAUAUGAGAUUUAAUUAACUUUGUAAUAACUGUCAGACUUAUUAAAUCUCAUAGGCAUUGAUUUUACUGUAAUCUUAAUCUUGAGUUAAUUAUGAUUUCAUGAUUGUAAUUGUUAUUCCAUUUGAGUUACCAAUGGGCAUGACACAUACUUGUAGUCUACAUUACCCGGUAUCUUGGUGGGAACAAUUAUGAGUAUUGGAGUUAUGGAUUAACAAUAUAGAAUUUGUACAACACAUCUCUUGAUGGGUUUUCGGUACUUGAUCAUAGAAUUCUCUGGCCAGAGUGUGUCAACAUAUUUAGUAUGUUGAAAAUGAUCAUUAGAGAAAACCAGUAAGGAUCAAGGAAUAAGAUGUUAUUAAAUUGAUUGGACAGUUGAGAUAUCAAUUUAAUUAACGAUGUGGUACAAAGGAUUGUGCAGUAAAGAAAUCAAUGUGGCUUGGGACGAAUUAUUAUUCGAGCAUACAAUUAUGGAAGUCAGUUCCAAUCUUUUAGUGGAGUAGAUUUGGAAUUAAAUAAUUAGGCUAGUUUAAUUACAGGUAGGGAUGGCAAUGGGGAGGGGAGGGGAGGGGACCAAUCUCCCUAUACCCAUCCCCGAUAUUUUAUUAUGUCCCCGUCCCCUCUCCGUCCCCGUCAGAAUUGCUUAAGUGAAUCCCCAUCCCCUCCCCGAAUAAUAACAGGGGAUCCCCGAGGGUCCCCGGUUCCCGAAUAAUUAAUAGUCUAAUACAUUUUUUUUUAUUUUCGAUUUUAAAUUAAUCAUAUUAAAAUAAAAAAUUCAGAUAAAAAUAAAGUUCAAAAUAUAUCUUGCAUUAAUAUUGAUCAAUUUCAAAGUCACAUUCAAAAUAUAAAUUAUUAAAAUAAUUAUCUUUGUCAAUGACUCAAUCUUCAUAAUCCUACAAUAAAAAGAAAAAAAAUUAUUUUUAUAUCGGUAAUAAAAUAAAUGUAGAUACUUAAUUAAUAUUUUUAAUAAAACUAUUUACUUCCUGCUCCUCCUGUUCUUCCUCGAGAAAUGUGGCAAAUUGAGAGUUAGCCUCAGAUUUCAAACCUAAAACAAUGAAAAUGAUAUGAGUAACGUAACUUAUAAGCGCAAAUAUUAAUAACUGUAUAAUAUAAUUACAAUGUAAAAUAAAUUCAUACUGCUAUUGUAAGCUCGUAACCAACUUUAACAGCACAUUAAGGCCUCCAAUGUGCUUGGAUGAAGUUUGUUACGGUGUGGGCUCACAAUUCUAGCACUAGUGCGAAAAGCUGAUUCAGAAGCAACUGUUGUAAUUGGAAUUGCCAAAAUAUCUCUAGCAAUUCGAGCUAAUGUAGGAUACAAAUUAGGAUUAGAACUAUUGUAAAUUAUAAUUAGGCAGCUCUCUCCUGUAUCAUUGUGGUUUGGAUUAAAAAUUUAAGACUUUAAUUAGUUAAUUAAGUUUAAAAGUUUAAUAAUAUAACUAUUUUAAUAUUUAUUAUUUUUAACAAUAUUUAUAAUUUUGUUAUUUAUUUAUUAGUAAUUUUAAAAAUAAAAAUAAAAAUAAAAAUUAAAAUGGGGAAAUGGGUAGGGGAUGGGGAUUCCACCUCAUCCCCGUCCCCUCCCCGAAUAAAAAAUUGGGUAAAAAAUUUUCCCCGUCCCCUCCCCGAAUAAAAAAUUGGGUAUAAAAUUAUCCCCGUACCCUCCCCGAAUGGGGAAAAUCCCCGAGGGUACCCGUCCCCGUGGGGAUUUUUGCCAUCCCUAAUUACAGGCCUAAUUAUUGUAGCCACUAUUGUAUGUUCCCAAAUGAUCCCCGGGUUAGCUCAUUUAAUUGAUUGCACCACUGCUGGACUAAUAAGCAAGAUAACUAGCUAUUUGGGCCAAAAGCCUAAAUAUAUCAUUUAGUGGGAGGCUCCAUUUAAUAAGCUUAUGUGUAAGGGGCCUUAUGUUAUUUUACAUGGUGGGUCCCCUAUUAAAUGAAAAGUAACGUGAGUUUUAUUUUGGGGAAUCCUUGGAGCCUAGGGUUUUCACUAAAGGGAGAUAUAUAAGGCUUAUUUUCCCAAAAAAGAAAAAGAGAAGCCACUUUAUACAGAUCUGAGAAAAAGAUUUUUCUCUCCAUUGUUGAGAGAAAAAUUUUCUCGUGCUAGUUGCUUUGGUAGUGAUAAAGGCGCCCACACGUCAAGUGCAGAUCGAACCUGAGUCAUAACCUGGAAGAUCAUUGGAAACAGUUCGUGAUCUAACAAGCGUGGUGGUGACGGAUCGUGAUCUAACAGGAGUGGUGGUGGUGGAUCGUGAUCUAGGAGCCUAAAUCACUUCAGCGGUAAAAGCCAACUCAGAUUUUCAAGGUACGAUUUCUAGAAUACAAAUUCUUAUAUAUUAUAUGAGAGCGAUCUUCAAAAGGUUUUAUAAAAAUUCAAAAACCUAAUUUUUCCCCAACAUUUAUAAGCAUUGAAAAUUAGCUCAUUAAAUUUGAAAGAAUAAUAUACAAUCUCACUGUUGGCCAGAAAAUAAUAGAAGAACUUGUGAACAUAUAUAAUCAAUUGCUUAUUACUUAAGCUUUUUCUCCGUUAUUUUGAAUGGGUGCAAAGGAGAGAAGUUUUGUACCCAAAUCCAACCCGAAUUGUGUAGGCUGCUUGCAAGAGCUUCAUUAGAUUUUUAUUUGUCUUUUAACUUAACUUCCUUCGUGGUUAAAAUUGUAAAAACAAAUGCGGUUUUAAUAGAAUUAUUGAGGAGUGCCAAUAGUGCUACUCAAUAAAUACAACUAUCUGUCUUUUUUGUUACUGGACUAUAGAUCAAUUGACAGUUGAAGUUAUAUUAAUUUGUUGUACUGGAAUUGAAGCUUGUAUCUUAGCCAUUUCGUGAAGUGUCAAAUAUAUUUUUAAUUUCCUUAAAAUUGUUCAAAAUAUGUUUACACUUUUAAAGUCACUAUUAUACAUGAGUGCCCUAAAAUAAGAGAAGGCGAUUUGCCUGACAUUACCUGUUUCCUGUCAAAUCUAGCAGGUUUACUGAUUAGAUUUUAACAAGUCUCUUGGCAAAGUUUGCUAGAAAUGGAAUCAAAUUAUUCUAUUUAAUCUUACUGUAUAUACCCUAAUAGUUCUUGGUUUGCAUCACUGCAUCGUUCUAUAAUCUGUGUGCGUUGGCUUAUAAGGGCUAGCAAGGCUGACCGUUCGUAGCAUAGUUUUUUUUUUUUUUUUUUUUCCCACAAUGAAAUUCCCAUUGAUUUGACUCAGUAUUUAGAGGUGUUAACGAGGGCACUAUACUAGACAUGGAUUUCUACCUCUUUUGGUUGUACAAUUGUUGUAAUCCUUGGCCAUCAAAUCAUUUUUACGUAGCUUUCUCAGAGUUCAUGCCAAGUGUACAUUAAUGUAUUUAUGUUUUGGGUGCAAGUGGGAUUCUAGUUCUCUAUGGCAGUUGAAGAGGUAAAUGGGCAUAGAGCUAUGCUCUAUCAUAGGCUUCGGCCACUACAAGAAAUUUAAUUUUUUAAGACGAUAUUUUUUACAACAACUUUAAAUUUGGUCACAAAAUGAUAUUUAUUGUGACAAAUUUUUGAAAUCGUAGCUAAUAAUCUUGUCCUAACUUAUAUUGUUUUUUGUAACCAAUUGUUUUUAUUUUGAGACUUGUUCAUAUAUUGGUCAUUAAUUAAAUUUUUUUAUGACAAAAAUUAUUUUAGUCACCAAAAGAUAUAAUUUUUUGGCACAAAAUCUUCUCUCCAAAAGUGAUUAUUUUGAGACAAUAUUUCACUAUUUAUGACAAAAUAAAUAGUCACGAAAUAUAAUUAUAGGCGACCAAAUUAUUUGGUAACUAAAAGAGGGGUGUAAAAUUGACUAAACAAUCUAUGACACAAAAUAUUAGUAGCCAAAAUUAUUGUUCUUUUGGCUAAUUUUAAGACCAUUUUUUUGUCAUAUAUAAUUACCUACAGUGAUAAAAUUAAAAAAUAGUCGUUGAAUGUUUUGUCUUGAAUAAUUUUAUAUUUGAUAACCAAUUUUUUUUCUUUUUGAGACAUAUUACUUGGUCCCUAUUUCAACUUCUUUUUGACGAACUUUAUAAUAGUCACAAAAGACUUUUUUUUUUUUUUUGGGCAUAAAAAGUCUGUCCAAAGUUAGCUCUUUUGGGACAAUAUAUAAUCUUUUAUGACAAAAUAUAUAGUGGCGAAAUAUAAUUAUUUUUUACAAAGUUAUUUCGUAGCUGAAAAAGAGGUGUAAAUUUAGUUAACCUAUUUGUGACAUAAAAUAUUAGUCUCCAAAACUAUUAUGCUUUUAGCUAAUUUUAAGACCCUAUUUUGUUGUCAUGGAUAAUUACCUAUUUUAAAAAAAACUAAGAGAUAGUAAUCAAAAGUUUUGUCUUGAUUGACAUUGUAUUUUAUGAGCAAAAUAUUUUGUUUCAGUGACACUUUACUUGGUCUCUCAUUAGAGUUGUUUGUGAUGAUCAAUAGAAUUAUAUAAUAACCACUAAAUUUUUUUGGGUUAAAUUUUUAUAGAUACUAUUAAUUAAGUUGUUGACGAAAAUGAUCAACCAAUACUAAUAUGGAAUACCAUCAACAGCCGUAAUACUUAUGAAGCGAGAAAUUAUAAUAUGUAGUGAAAAAGUUUUCACAGUAGUCCCUAGUAUUUAGAAUUAUUUUGACUUACUUUAUUUACUUCCAAAACAUAAAAUUCUCAACCCAAAAUUCCCCGCAUUGUGUUUUAUUUUGUCUCCUCACUCAGUUAAGAGUAACUCACGGCUUGACAAAAAAAAGGAAAAAAAUUCUCACAGCUUGAUGUUCUCCUCUCUUUAAAAAUAAAAAUCCCUAGUUACUAUUUGUUUCCACCACCAAAGCAGCCACUCGUAUCUUUUAUUAAGCAUAAUAUUUUUCUUAAAACCUAAUUGAUCAUUCUUUAACGUCUCCAGGAUUAUAUAUGGCUCGCUAUUUUUCUCCUUCAAUUGAAUAGAAGUCUAGAAUUUUUUUUUUUUUCGCAAUUCACUUUUGCUGUGUUUCGUGGUUUGGACGGAGAUCAUGUCAAUAAUUGAACGAUGGGGAUAAAUAUCAAAGAAGGAGCUUACAUGCCCUAUAUAUCUCUCUUUGGAUGAAUAACGAUGGUGAGCUUUCAAAGUACAGAGAUUUACAUGUUUUAAUUGUCAUUUACAUUGCUGCAUGCCAAUUGUUUGAUAAAAUAUCGCAACAAAUACGCAUUCUCGAUUUUCUCAUAAAUUUAUUUUCUUAGUCUGAAAAAAAUUGAAUGUUUAGAGAAUUUUGAAGGUUUUGGUGUAUGUAUUAAUAUUUUGAUUCUAGCCUCAUUUUGCCCCUUGUUGUUUUUAUUCUUGUUUUUUAUAUACGGUUCAAGUGUGAUACACUUUAGUUUUUCUCAACUGUUUGUUAGUUUUUCCCGAAGCAAAAUUUGUCAGACUUUGAGUUCAAAAGUUGAAAUCAUAACUAACAUACUUCGAUUUUUUAUUUUCCUUUUUUCUUCGGUGUCUUUCUAUAUGGCAUUGCUUGAGAAAUUGGUGUACUUAGAUCGUAAUAUUCUGUAGAAAUAAGCCAAUAUUUCAUUGGGUACAUUGUUUAAUAUGAUAAGUACUGUAUGGAAGUUUUACAGAUAAGCUCCUUAUAUAUUAUGCAUUAUGUUUUUAUCAUAUUGUUGCUUGGAACUUUGAAGGAUUGGCCACAGGGCUUUAGUCCUACAUGGACAUUUUAUAUUUAAUAGCUGGUUAGGCAUUUUAUUUGAUGUUAUUUGGACUUGUAGGUCUUAAAAGUUUUGUUCAAUAAUUUUAUAAAGCUUAAUUUCAUAGGUGCUGAUUAGGCAUUUCACGAGGAAAUAGCUGUGCUUUUGGAAAUUAAUAUGCUGUGUUGUCAAUGUUGUGUAAAAUCCUUUUAUUGGUGUCUAUGUAAAGUGUUUCAGAUUUCAGACCUGAGAGUUAAUCUUCGCGUACCAGUUGGCUUUUGGGUUUAGUAUUGCUGCUUUUAACAUAUUUGACCUAUGGCCCAAAUCAUUUCUAUAGGGCGAAGCAUAUGAAUGAUACAUAUUAUCUUUUUUUGGCCUUAUGUAUUGUUAUUUGCACGGUGAUUUGGUCUAGCUUAAGAGCUUAAGCUUGCAGGUUGGAUUUGUCUGACAGGGAACAAUUUAAUUUGUUCAUCGUGAUGUUUAUAUCCAUUUUGUACUACUAUCAAUUUCAAUCAUGCCUAAUUUUUAUAUGUAUUUCUCGUGGACUCUCAGGUUCAGUGCACAAGAGGAUGAAGACGAUGGACACCCAAAUUUGAUGUGGAGAACAACUAUUGCAAAUGGUCCUUGAUUUACUUCUCCAAUUGACUUGAAUUGGUUUUACGCAAUUUAUAGUGUAUUUUUGUCAUCUUUGUAUGACUUGCAGGUCGUCCUGAUUUGGUACAUGACUGGACACAGGAAUUGGACUCAUAUUUUUCAAACCAGAAUGCCAACAAUCAAGGAUUUUCUUUUGAAAGCACUGGCGUCUUCUUCAAUGCCAAAAAGGUUAGAGAUUUUCUGUAUCCUGUUUUGUAUUUGAUCAGUUUAGCAUGUGGGUGGCAAUCAAGAAAAGUUAUUAUAACAUUUUUGUGUUCCCGAAAAACUGCUGAUGAUGUGUGACUUCUUUUUAUUUGUAUUCUUUCUUUUUUCUUUUCUCCCCAACAGUAUUAUGCAUUUCGAAGAGCUUCUUGAAGUUGAUUACCAUGUAUGCCACUUUCUUUACUCUAUGCUCAGGAUGUGAUUUUGCCAAGCAUUAAAAUGGUUUAGGUCAGAACCAUCAUCUAAAGUUUACUUAAAGUUGACGGAUUAAUUCCUUUUAAUAAUGGUCGAGUUAAUUUUACUAUACUCAUAAAACUAUUCUUAUUCUGAUAAUGCCACAAAUGUUAUGAUGUUUUCUUCAGCUAAUGAUCUUCUAUCAGGACUAGUUAGAAAUCAAAUGCUUAAAACACCGAUUGAAUGAAUAAUGCAGAAGUUUAAACAGUAUCUAAUUGAAAAUUGCAUGAAACAUGAAACAUCAAUUCAAGUCCUUCCUUAAACAGAGAAUGCAUCAAACAAAUCCAAAGUGUCUUGCAUGUCUGUAGCAUGACAAAAAAGUUGCAAAUGCGUUUAGAACCAAAUUAUUCAAGUACAGGAGAACGAGCAAGUUGAAUCAUGUACACGAGAUUGGCCUGGUUUGAGAUAGCUUCUUCACUGUACCUGAAGGGUUGGCUCAAUCUUUUCUUUAGAAUUCUGCACAUUUUGUAAUUACUCGUGUAAGCAAGCAUACAUUACAACCAUAAUAAUAAUAAAGCAAGAGUAAUGAUACGACCACCACCUCUUGUACACAAACAAUAUUGUAUAAACUAAUACGACAUAAUAUGAUUGGUUGAACAAAAACAUUACAUGGCCCUCAUAAUUUAUUUAUUUAUUUAUUAUUAUAUAUUUUCAGUCAACCAAUCAUAUUAUAUCACAUUAGUUUCUAUAAAAUAAUUUUCUAAAUAGCACCAAAACUUAAUUGAUACUCACCAUUUCAUUGAACAAUUUUUUUAUGGUGUCAUUGAGGUUGCCUUCCCAACAUCCUUCAUCAUCAUCUUUUUCUUCUUCGGUGACGUUCACUUUGUUUAGCAUUGGUGUGUCUAAGACUCCUUGAGAGAAGAUCUUCAUUUUUGGACACUGUCUCACAACUACUUGUUUCAAGGACGGGAAUUCAAGAGCGUAAUUACCUAAACAAAAGCUUGUUAGGCUUGGCAAACAAUCAAGUCCCAAGUACUUUAAUUCCUUGAAAACAAUGCAAUCUUUCGCUUCUUCUGCAACCGGCGACUGUAUGAUUUCUUCUAUCCUUUUGCAAUCAGCUAUCGUCAUACUUUGAAGAAUUAUCAGACUUCUAGAUGUUGAGAGCGUCAACAAAUUUAUCAACCUGUGACACUUCGAUACUUUCAAAGCCUCAAGAUUUUCCAAAUGCCACGAAGCUGGUACUAAUUUCUGUAACUUACUACAUUCAAAUAUUUCUAGACUUUUCAAGUUUGCAAACGCUUUGUUGGAUUCGUCAUUUUCCUUCCAGAGAUGCUGCACUUUGUGUAAUCUAGAUAGCUUUAACUCCUUCAAUUGAGGGAAUGUAAGCUGAAAAUCAACAAAAUUAAGUUGUAAAUGAAAAUAUGUAUCCAAUCUCUGCAGUAUUCCCCUGCAUAUUUUAUGGACAAGAUUAAUCACGGCAUUUUAUAUUUUAUUUCCAAAUUAGUAUGCUUUGCAGUAGGAUCCCAAAUAUAAGUAUCAAAUCGAUUACCCUUUGAAACACAUAAAUGAAAUCUGAUACUAAAUCCAAUAUGAAUUAGCUAGGAAAACAGAGAUGCGACAAGCAUAAUUGAUAUAGUUCAUCACCUCAUGUUACCAGUCAUCGAAAUAAUUUAAGACAUUUUUUUAAUUCAUACUAUAAAGUUAGUUCAUAACUGUAGUUGUAUUGUUAAUUCAUAUAUGAAUCAAGAUGACAUGCAAAAAGAUGAGUCAUAAAAUUUGAUUUGAUUCUAAUGAAAUUACAUCUGUGCAAACAAAAGUGAAGGGGAAAAUAAAAAUAAUAAUAAUAAUCACCUUUUCAUCGAAGAGGGGUUGUACUUGAUGAGCCAGCAAAAAGUUCUCUUCUGAUGUUAAUUUUUGAGGUUCCUUGUUAUUUGUUGUCACAUGCACUACCGAGUUGGAUAUGAAUGUUUCCAUAUCAGGGCAAUUCUCAAUAGUUAGAUUCUCCAACUCAGACAGUUCAAUUAUAUUCCCAGUGAAGUUACAGAAUCUUUUGAGUUUUGGAAGAUCAAUAAGCCUUAGUCUGUUAAGCCUAGGAAACCGGGGGCCUAUAUGUUCUUCCUUAGCAUUUAGCUCUUCUAAAUGAAGCACCUCUUCUAUUAAAUCACAAUUCCUCACUUCCAGGCAUCUCAAAUUGUUCAAGCAACGUAGCAGAUUGGUAGGAAUAGCACUCGACAUAUUCGUGCAGUCAUCCACAGCCAGUUGUCGUAAAUUGUUGAAGAAGCUGACAGGCACUGCUUGGCCGUGCCAUAUUUCUCUCAAGCGUGGAAAAUGUGAGAGUUGCAAAUGCUCUAUGUCACGGAAUCCAAUCUGCAUAAACCAAAACAAUUGCACUGGAUAUAUAUAAAUUUCUUUUUUUGAAAGGCAUUAGAUAUAUAUAUACAUUAAACUUACAUGUUUUGUGCUAUAACUUCUAAAAAUAUAUUUACAACGCAUGUGUAUAUGUUUAAAUGUGGUAUAGUGGAAUUAAGCUUAUUGCCAUUACUUCGAAGUGGUGUUCGUAACACCAUUACUUCGCAAAGUGAAUCGAUAAACACAUACCAUUACUUGGANNNNNNNNNNNNNNNNNNNNNNNNNNNNNNNNNNNGCCUUCCCAAUGGUGUUCACCCUCUUCCCUUUCAGUCACUUGCACUACGUAUAGCUUUGGUGUGGAUGAGAUUCCCCGAGAAAAAGUCUUCAUGUUCGGACAAUGUGUCAUAGAAACUUGUUCCAAUGAUGGGAAUUCAAGAGUGUAAUUCUCCAAACAAAAGCUGGUAAGCCUUGGUAAAUCAUCAAGUUCCAAAAGUUUUAAUUCGUUGAAAGCAAUACGAUUCUCCUUCGCUUCUUCUCCAACAUGUCCUAUGAUUUCUUCUAUUUUUGCACAGUCUGAUACAUCAAGAUUCACUAGACUAUUGGGAAUUCCAACCUGAAAUAAAGAGUAGCAUUCAACUAGAUCAAAGUAUGUCAAAAUCAUACAAUUGUUUUAUGAAAAAUAACAAUUUUGAGGAAUUGAAAGAUAACUAAUUUAAUUUUUUUUUGGAAAGACUAAUAAUGAAUGAAUUAAUGAUUAAAUAAUAUUAUUAGUUAUAUCUAUUUAAUAUUAAUGUUAUCAAAUAUAGAUUUUUCAUAAAAAAUAAUUCUUAACUAUAUAAUUAAUAAUUAGAGAGAUGUUAAUAAGCUUUUUGAUUUCCUAAAAUACGUAAUUUAAAAAAAAUUAGAAUUAUUAAAAAAAUUCAAAAAAUGAGGCCUUCACAAAAUAUGGGACCUUAGGCGACCGCCUUGUUCGCCUAUACCUAAAGCCACCCCUGCAUGGGACUGUAAUAGAGUGAAUAUUUGAGGAAAUUUUUUAAUCAACGGUCGACUCAAAAUGACCAUCAUGAAUUUGUGCUUAAUCAAUGGCGUAAUCAAUUCAUAACUAAACCAGAGAUAUUAACUACAUUUGAACACUUUUCUUUAUUUUUUAUUUUUAAAUCGAAAUCUAAAGACCCAAGGAAAAGAGAAAUAUAUAUGAAUUUGUGAACUUAAAAGCUGAGUAACUAAGUAUCUUUUAAUUUCUGAAAAUCUUAUUUAUUAGGAUAUAAGAAAAAAAAACAAUUAAAUUGAAUUAUAUUAUGCUGUUAAAUCGUGUUUAAAACAAUUACUUUAAUGCAGGUGAACCUAUAAAUUAGAUUGAAAAUGCAGAGUUCAGAAUGGUGAUUUGAAGUACACUACUUUUUUGCCCUCCAGAAGUUUGAAGUAAAAUACUUGCAAUAAAUAAUUUGUGAAUGAAAAUUAUUUGUAAACACAAAAAUGAUUAAAAUAAUUGUUGAAUGUUACUUGAAAUAAAAAUUCAAAAUGAAUAUAGCAAUCUUACCAAUGGAGGAAAAAUAUUCAGUAGAUUAUUACACCCAGAUAUCUUCAAUUUUUUCAAUUUGCUAAAAGACUUCGAAGCAAGCUGGUGGUGCCAUAUUUUUCUCAACUUAUCCGCCUCACUAAUAUGUAAUACCUCCAGACUUGGGAGUCGUACCUGAAGUUAAAAAUUCAAUGCAAUUAGAGAUGUAUAUUAAUUAAAUUUGAAGACUCAACGAAAAGAGAAUUUAAAAAUUCAAUGAAAAAAAACCUUUUCAUCAAAGAGGGAUUGAGGUUGCAUUUCAGUGUGAAUGACGUCUUCUGGUGAGGCAAAGCUACUUAGUUUUGGAAGCCAAUGGAGCGACAGGUAGUGUAGUUUGGGAAAAACCUUAAAUUCAUCUCUUCCUCCUAACGUCGUGGUGUUGACUACCCCUUCAAUUGACCGGCAAUUACGAAUCUCAAGAUGUUGGAGUUGCCCAAGACUAUUAACCAUAGAAUAUGAAAACAAAUACUUCAGACGAUGACAACUCCACACGGUCACUUUUGUUAAAUUUUGACAACAAUAUAUUCCCUGAAAUUGAUCGGACCAUAAUUUUUUGAUAUUUGUUAAACUGACAAGUUCCAGUUCCUCCAAGCGUGGAAAAGUAACCUGCAAAGAAAAACCAUACAUUUUUGUUCUUUCAACUACAACUUCUAAUAUAAUAUUCUUUCGAUGAUUGAAGAUCAAUCGUGAUAAUAUAUUAAUUAAUUAAUUAUUAAACAGAAAAUUAUUACCUGGUGAACAGGAUCAUCCUCUGCAUUGAUUUCUAUGAAUCCCUGAGUUGUUGGUGGUUUCUCCAUGUCGGGCCCUAUAAAUGAACCAAAACAAUAUACAAUAAACAUCCGUUGUUUUUUUCACCAAAAAAAAAAAAAAGAAAAAAAGAAAGAGUCAAUGUCAAUAAUCCUACCAAUAAUUAAUUUCAACACUUACCAAUAAUCAUUUUCAAAUCAUCGCAGUCUUCCACUUUUACUUUUUGAAGCCGCAAUAGGUUUUUGGCCAUAGAGAAUGAGAAGAGAUACUUCAAUUUUCGACAGGAAUCUACGUUUAUAAUCCUUAAGUUGCUGAAGGAUUGAUCUUCUCUGAGUUGGCUGUAGCAUAUCGUCUCCAAAUUAGUUAAAAACAUAAGAGACAAUGCCUCCAGCAAGGGAAAGACUUCGCAACGAACCCGUCUAACUGAACCGACAAUAUGUAAAAUCUCAGAACAGUCUGUUACGAGAAGACGCUUCAAUCGUGGAAAACCUUCCCCAUCGUCUAAUUCAUGAACAACACUUUGAACACCCUCCAAUGUUUCUAGCCAGAGAUCUUCAGUUCUCUGCAGCAACAUUUUUGUCCCAUCAUUCUCCUUAAGAAUGCUAACUUUUUUUAUCCCCUUGAGCAUCAUCAAUCUUGAUGCUUCGGAUUUGACGAGCAAUGGGUCAAACUCAUCUUCGGGCCCAUCUCCUAUACGUAUCUUAUAUCUUUGCAAUUCCACAGAGACAAAAUCCGGCGGCAGAAUUUCGGCAUCCGGAACUUCUAUCUCCAAAGUAGUUAGCUCUGUCAACCUCUCCAAUUCGACAAGACUGGCAUUACUUCCUCCUUCAACCUUCUCCCACCCUGAAAAACCGUUACCCAUAUACAAUUCUUCUAAUUGAGAUAAUUUUGAUAUGACAUUCGGUGCUAUCACCUCAAGCCACCAACAAUUGCUCAAAUCUAGCAAUUGUAACCGCGUCAAUUGUCCAAUUUCAACUGGUAGCUGGUUGAUAUUGGAAUAUGCGAGGCUGAGAAUCUCUAAUUUCUUUAGUUGUCCAAUUGCCGCUAUAUCUGCUAGUUCGCACCAGUCUAAACACAAUGUUUGAAGGUUAAUGAGGCGACCAAGUGAUGAAGGUAAUGAAGAAGAGCCAAUUCCAGGAAACUGUAAAACUUUGAGUCCUUCCAUCCCUUCAAAAAAGUGGUCUGAAACUUGCAUAGGGCCAUUACCCUCCGUAUACAACAAAAAUAACUGGAGAUUGGGACAUUGCAACCUUUCAGGGAGCUCUUGAAUAUCUCUAUGAGGUAAUGAAAUAGCAAUUGGAUCUUUCUGUAUUGUCUCUUCCAUCUUUUUCUCCAAGUCAGCAACAUUUGGAACAUUAAACAUGCGCUCCUCUGUGGCAAUUGAUACGGCAACAACAUGAAUGACGUCAUGCAUUUUAACUUCAUCUUCAGCAUCACCGUCCAACAAUAAGCAUGAAGAUUUGAGGUUGUCGAUCAACCGAUGCACUCUACUCCUUGCUUCUUCCAAUGUGUAAACAUUUUCAAACAAACCCCAACCCACACCAUAUCUCAAUAAGUCAGAAACUUGUAUGACAUUACCUUCACUGUAUAGACUACAAAGACGGAACAGAGAUUUUGCCUCCUCACUUUCCAAGAAGUCAUAACUCAAUUUUAUGGAGGUGUACACAUUUGCUUGCAUGCCAUGAAUUUCUCUAGCAUCCGAUCUUCUUAGCUGAUUCAAUGCAUCUUUCCAAAAGUAACGCUCUUUAGUUUUCAGAGCAUUUGCAACUGUACUCAGUGCAACAGGCAAACCUCCGCAUCUUUCAACGAUCUCAUUUGCUAUACUUUGAAAAGCAGAUAUUUUAGUUGAAUCACCCAAUAUCUUUUCAAAAACUGCAAUGCUUCUUUUGGUGGCAAAGCAUCGAUCGGGAAAUUUUUCUGAGAAUUCAUAUCAAUGCGCAAUAAAUCUCGACUUCUAGACGUCAAUAUUAUUGUGCAUCGUCUCUGAUCAUCCUUUGUAUCUUUCUCAUCAACAUCCCCACAAGGAAUUCCAACUUUUUCGAACUCGAGUUUUUUCCAAAUAUUAUCCAAUAUAACGAGGACCUGCUUCUCGUUCUUCAAUCUUUCACGUAAUCGAUCUGCUCUUUCGAAUUUAUUCUCAUCCGAGCCAAAUUUCAUGCCUAAGUCAAAAGCAAGUUUCUUUUGAAUUUCCUGAUGAUCUGGGGUCUGUGUUACCUCAGCCAUAACGACCUUAUCGAACACCUUAUCUUCCAUAACUUGCCUUGCAACUUGCUUGACUAGCGUGGUUUUACCCACGCCGCCCAUCCCGCAGACCCCAAUUAUCUUGAGCUUAUCAUCCUUCAACGCCUCCACAACAUCUUGAAAUACUUUCAUUCUUGAAUCAAAGGCCUCGAAAUCUUUCACUUGCAUAUGUUCUGCCCGCUUUGGAGCAGGACGGUAGGAAACAUUAGAGAAGUUACCUUUUCCCAUGAGACUAGCAGCAGCUUCUGCGGCCUUUGCUGCUUGUCUACUGAGCUUGUAACGAGAAAUCAAGUUUGGGCACAAUCCUUUGAAACAGAACUUCUUAGCUCUAUCUUCAUCAUCAGUGAUGGAUUUCGCAGCUCCCUGAGUGAAUUCCUUGACGCUAUUAAGCCAGUCUGCAACAUCCUUAUAAAUCUCAUCUCCUUGUUGAGUAGCCUGAUGAACGGGUAUUUCCACCCUUUCUCUUUUAUAUCCCAACUGUUUCACUUGAUCUUUUAGGCCAUCUAUGUAGCUCUGGUACUUGAACACAUAAGAGAUCUGCCGUAUAAUCGGUUUGAACAGUGACUUUGCAUCUUCUGAUACGAUGCUGGAAAAAGCAGCCAGACCCACUUCUACAACCAUUGCCUGUUGCUUAACAAUAUAUGUAUAUAUAUGAAUAAAAUGAAUAAAAAUGUCAAAGAAAGGAAUACAAAUAAAUUAAAAUGAACUAGAGGGAAAGACAGAGAAAGAAAAGACCGCAAACAACAUCGCGAUAUUGAUUUUGAACCAACUGAUACCUAAGUAGAGAAUUUCUUUUUCUAUCUUAAGGAUCAGAGGUUUCGCUAUUAACAGAAAGGUAUCCUUUAAGGAAAGUUGAUGGAAAUUAAGAAAGAAUGGCUAUCAAGAUCAAGUAUUCUGCUACUAAAAAUAAAUGAUAUGACUUAAGAAAAGUAAAUGAUAUGAUUAAGAAAAACCAGAGAAUUUUUUCCUAGGAAAGUUGAUGGAAAUUAAGAAAGAACCGCUAUGAAGAUCAAGUAUCAGAGAUUCUGCUACUAAAAGAAUAUUACAGGUUUUAGAACAAGUGCACCUCUUUACCUGUCUGGGAUCAGAGUCGAUGAGCUGCUGUAUUCACCUUGAAUAUAGAAGAAAUAUUACAGGUUUUGACUAAAGAGGAAUGUGAGGAACGAGUUGAUGAGAGUAAUAACAAUGAAUUUCCAAAAGAAGACGACUUGAGCAUUAAGCAUGCACCCCCUUUAUCAAUCAAAUAUUGGUACGUAUGUACGUAGGGACCAUUAUGCGUAUAUGAAGUCCAUUAGUUGCAAUCAGAAACCCUGGCCCAAUUUAAUUGGCACUCGAUUUUUGAUAAGAAGAAGGCAAGGAUAAGGACAAAGUCAAUCAAUCACCAACAGUAAUUACUUCAAUCUUUGUCAAUCUACUUAAAUUGUCGAUCAACAUGAAAAUUGUUUAAAUUGAUAUUUGUAAAUCAAUCAAUUUUCUAGUUACUAUGAUUAUAACGUUUCACCUUUCAUAUUGGAUUUUAUCUUUUCGAAAGUUUUCAAAUAUGAGUGUCAAUAAUUAUUGAGACUCCAAGCCGUGCUCUCAAGAUCGUGCUGACAAAUCACUAUUGACUUUGUUUAUGCAAAAUUCAAAGAAAAAAAGUUAUGGUUUUGUAUUGCCAGCCCUGCUACUUUUUGUUUUUUUCAUUUGUAUUAUUUACGAAUUAUUUUUUAACAGAAACAUGAGAACUCAUCAUCGUACAAAAUUGCAUGAAAAAAUCUUCAAAUUUAUAAAAGUAAAUUUCGUUGACAGAUUGUGGAUAUGUUAGAAAGAAUAAGGAUAAGAAUGAGUUAAGAAAUAAUAUAUAUAUAUAUAUAGAUAGAGAGAGAGAGAGAGAGUGAAAGUAAACAAUGUUUUGGUACAUUUGGUAUUGUUUUCAAAAUAUUUUGAAAAGAAAAAUUUUCAAUUAUCCACCUAGGAAUUAUCUUAUUAUCCAAAAAGUUAUAAAAAUUUAAAAAUAUUUAAUUUUAUACCCAUUAUUACAAUGUGUAUCAACUGUUUACUAAAAAAAUAAAGUUACUCCUAAAACAUAAUCACCACUACAAUUUUGUGUUCGCUUCUAUUUUGUCACUUUGAACGAAUAACUUUAUAUUUUUAACAGAUGUUUCAUACAAAUUGCAUACAUUGGAUGUAAAAUUAAAUAAAUUUAAAUUUUUAUAAUAAUUUUAAUAAUUGAAUAAACUUUGAGUAAAUGACUGAUAAUUUCUCUUUUAUAAGCUACAAGAAGUUAAAAAGAAAAAAGAAAAAAUAGGAUGAUAAUUUCUCUUUAAUAUGCCUCAGAUGAUUUAUUGUUUCGGGUCUAAGAUUUUAAAUAUUCAACUUAAAAGAUUAAUAUAUUAUAAAUUAAUUAAUUAAAUAAUCAUUAAGCAACUAAAUUGGGUCCCCUGGAUGUCAAUUCCUUUAUUAUUGACGCAACUAUUUUUUUAUGGCAAAUAAUUAUUAAUGCACUUACGGAACUUUUGCAUAUCUACACAGCGAUUUUAAAUAUUACUGGUAACUGCUGAGAAAUGUGCGAGAAAGAAGUUGAUGAGAGUAAUAACAGCGACUUGCAAAAGGAAAAGACAGAAUCAUUCAGACAUUCACCCCUUUUUGUAUCACGUACUUGGUUACUGUUUCCCUGUUGACGCAUGUAUAAAUUUGAGUGAUUUUUCUGCACUUUUUUGGCUGUUGCUUAACAAUGUGUGUGUGUGUGUGUGUGUGUGUAUUUGCUGUUGAAAAAUUUGGAUUCAAAUAAAUUAACUGAAAGAUUAGAGUUUUGACUAUUAACUGAAAGGUUUCAAGGGUAUGAAUGAAAAGCAACAUUCUUUUUUAGAAACUAUUUUAGAGGAGAGAUGCAAAUUAACAAAUGCUAAUAACAAGAACACAGAAGUUAACAAUGAACAGUAACUUAAAUCAAGAAAAUUAAAUGACAAAAUUAAGACAAAUAGGAGAUAUUUUUUCGUGGACGUUAAGAAAUAACUGCUGUCAAGAAUAAGGAGAUUAUGCUAUUAAUAGAAAUUAUCAAAGGAUUUAGGACAAGUUCACCUCUUUAAUUAUCCGGGAUCAGAUAGUUGAUGAGCUUCUCUAUUUGAUCUUGAAUAUUUAAGAAUAAUUUUAAUGAGCAAAAAGAUCACUGGUAACUGCUGAAAAAUAAGUGAGAAAAGAGUUGAUGAGAAUAAUAACAAUGAAUUGAAUAAAAAAAGGACUUAAUCAUGCACCCCCUUUGCAUAUCAUGUAUAGAAUAAUUACAUGUAUUAUUAUAAUUUUGGGUUCGAUAUCCUUGUAUUAGUGUCUAAGAUUUUCAUGAAGAAUUAAACUUGAAAUGACCAAAAGAGGAAGCUGCGGUGUAUUGUUGGACCCAAUUAAGUUGAAGAAAGCACUAGUUCACAACCUUACGUUUGGAUAUAUUCUAAAGAAAUAAUUAAACAGCAAAUGAUCAUCACAUGCACUUUAAUGAUUUGAUCUAUUGUUUUCAAAAGAAAUUGCAAUUAACAGUUUUUGUCAAAAGUUCGCACUGUGUGAAACUAGUGUUAAUAUAAUUUAAAAAAUUACUUUCAAUAGCAUAUGGAAUAAUUAUAAUAUUAUUAAUACCUAAGAUAUAUUUAUAUUUAUUAUAAAAAAUUCAGUUAAAUAUUUGUGUUAACUAGAAUUUAUAAUUAAUAUAAUAUAUCUUAGGUAUUAAUAAUAUUAUAAUUAUUCCAUAUGCUAUUGAAAAUAAUUUAAAUUUUUAGACGUUUAUUUUCAUAUUAAGUUUUUAUUUAUUAUAAAAUUUAGUUUAAUAUAGUAUAAGCUUGUAAAGUAUUAAAAUAUUUUUUUUCAUAUUUUUUAAAAAUAUUAAAAUUAUUUUAAUAUAUAUAUAUUAACAUUGAAGCCAAUUUUUUGAGUUAAUAGAGCUAGUAGGUGUUACACUAAAAAAGAGUAUCUUAGUAUCUCUUAUUGAGUGGGAGAGCCAAAUGAAUCGAAAAAUUCAUGUUUGGUUCGGGAAGGGAUCAUCGAAGUUUUGAGAUGAAUGGAAAGAUAAUCUACUUUCAUUAAGUGAUUUAUUAGAUAAUCGCAAACUGAGGAUUUUGAAUAGUAUUCAAAAUUCAGAAGAAAUGCAGAGAGGGGCCAUUGAACGGCCGGAAAAAGCCCGGCCCGGUUACAAAAAAUCAAAAUAGAAGCAGAUCAAUAUUGAAAAUAUAUAGAUCUAUAUAAUCAUUUUUUCAAAUAUCGAGAUGUAGCUAUAAAAGAAAAAAUAAAUUAAAAAAUUUUAAAUUUUAAAUUUUAAUAUGGCCAUCGUAGGGUUAGAAUCCCCGCUCCAACCCGAUUUGGAGAUGUGCUUGGUCUAUUUAUGUUUUGGAAAAAGAAAAACCAAAGAAAAAAAAUACGCACCCGACCAAAUCAAGUAACUCAUCAAAUAAAAAAUAAAAAAGGAAAGAAAUUUAAUGACUUGCGUGCAAUUUUGGAUCUGAAAUUAAAAUUACAUAAAAAUUCAGGCUUACGUACCUUGAUAUUUACAGCUUAUUUGAUGGCCUCAACAAGUUUAAGCAGCAUCAAAAUGUUGUGGCUCCUUCAAUGACAACAUCGACUUGUUUGACAGCUCCAACAAGGCUACGAUGAUCAGAAAAUGAGCCCUCAAUCAACCAGCGCCUUGCUCUUUGUCAUUUUUCCUCUUGUUAGUUUUCUUCUACAUAUAAUUAUUACACUGGGAAGUAUACACACACCUCUUUUCUUUUUAUAGUACCUUACUAUUAUAUCUUUACAAAACAAUAUCACCCUAAGACAUAUAUGUAUGAAAUAAAUAUAUAAGGAACUGACGAAAUAAAAUUAGAUCUAACACUAGUUUCAUGUGGUGUGUGAACUUUUGACAAUCCUCUCAUACCCCAACAAAAACUUUGUCAUAUUACGAAAGUUAUCACGACCAUAGACUUUUCAAUUGCAUAUUGGAAUUGCAAUGUCAUUUUAUUAUAGUAAUGUCAUUUCCAUUAUUCAUAGUGGCAGACAAUGGACAUCACGGGACACGGCGAGAAGUUAUCACGACCAUAGACUUUUCUAAUUUAUGAAAUAAAUGAAAUUAGAUCUAAUUCUAGUUUUAAGUGGUGUGAACUUUUGACAAUCCUCCCAUAUCCUAACAAAAGCUUUGUCAUAUUGCGAAAAUACCUUUCCAAUGUUUCAAUUGCAAUGUCAUUGCCAUUAUUCAUAGUGGCAGACAAUGGACAUCACGGGACAUGGCUAGAAGUCUAUGUUACGGCUUAUGUAAGUAACAGUAGCCAAUGGGGAACUUCCACAGGGGCUAUAGGAGAGAGAAAGAGGUCCCAAUACAAGUGUUAGAGUGCAAUUUAUACACUAGUUUUGCAUUGUUUACUUCCCUUAAUAUCAAUGUUUUGCAUUUAAUAAUAAUGAUUUACUUGUGUUUUACUUUUGUAGGUGCAAUUCUAUUGAUUUGUUAUAAAAUUGAGGUAUAAGAUGAUGUUUAAAGAUGAUUGUUCUCUUAGAGAAAUUUAGAGCGUCAGAAGAACUUUAUUGAUAAAGCGUGGGCGCGUGCUGUCAACUGCGGACCUGCAGUUUUUAGUUUAAUGUGUUUUGUAUUUUUGGCUAUUUUUGUAAUUACGAAUUUAAUAUUUCAAAUAUUAGUAUUUUAUUUUAAAUAGAACUCUAAAAGAGAAGAGAGAGAGAGUAUUUAAGGGAGGAAUCUAUUGUGAAAAAGGGGGGAUUUUAAUUGGAGAAAAAGAAAGAAACCCUAGAUCUAAUUUUUCUCUUCUCUCUAUGAAGAACUAAACUUAUUUUUUCUGGUGGAAGGUUAAUGAAGCUUUGAUUCAUCAAUACUGUGAGAUCUUUCUUAUGCUUUAAUUGUUUUAUUACUUUUUGGGUAUUUGUUUAUUCUCUGAAUUUGUUUCAUGAUUAUGUUUGUUAAUUAGGUAAUUGGCCACUAUUUAAUUAUCAACUUAAUCUAUUGUCAAUUAAAGAAUUCAUCGUAUGAAGAGUUUAAUGUUUGUGACAAAUAACAUAGCAGUGAGUUGUGUUAUGGGAAUAAACAAUCUAAUUUAAAUGAAUCAUUAUAUGUGUUGAUUAGGAUUUGGGUCUCUAUGGUUUUUCAGGCUGUCAAUUGAUUAAAUCCUAUGAUCGUAUCUAGGGUUGUCUAUUGAUUAGGGAAAUAUCCAACGGUCGUACCUUGGUUAUCGACUAGUUAAGGAGAGAUUGGCUAUUAGAGGGUCUCAAUAGCUAUAACCGGUCUAUUCAUAAGUAAUAAUAAUCUAUUUUUGAAUCAAUGAUUAGUAGUCGAAUCAAGCUGAGUUAAUUCCUUCAACCAGAGCUUUCUCCAAUUUGAAUUACAACUUUAAUUUGCAUUUUUGUUAUUUUAAUUUGAUUUUUUAUUAUUGUCAACAAUUCCCCCAUUUUACGUUUUACGUUUCAAAAGGAUUUAAAUAAUUACCGAUCUCUGUGGACACGACCCUGCUCAAUCACUAUACACAAUUUAUUUAGAGUAGGAAUUUAUUUUUGUUGGCUUCGACAACCAUCAACAAGGUGAUGGAAAUGGGAAAGUUCGAAGCUGUUACUUUCAGCUUCUGCACCGUAGCCAUGUCCCACGGGACAAGGCUAGAAGUUAUCAUGACCAUAGACUUUUCUAAUUUAUUUUUUCCUUUCAAAAAGGGACAAGGAUAAGUUUGGGAGAAUGAUUAUAUUUUUAAUAAAAGAAUUCUUUUUUAUUAUAAUACUUUUUGUCUUUAUUAAUUUAAAAAUAUUAACUCUUAUAUUUUAAUAAAUAUAAAUAUAAUAUUAUAAUAACAUAUAACAAUAUAUACAAAAAUUUAAAAAAAAUUAAGAUUUUAUUAAAAUAAAUUUUAUAAUAAAUACAAAUACAUUAUUAAUAUAAUUUUAAUAAUUUGCAUUUUAAAAAGUAAUACUGAUAUUAAUUUUUUAAAUAUUAAUUUUUUAAAUUAUAUUACUCUACCAAAAAAAAUUAAACUAUUAAAUUAUAUUGAUAUUUAUUACAAAAUUUGCAAUUAAUUCUUAUUAUAUUUUUAAUUGGAAUUUGUUCCUGUGAUAUAACAACAAUUGCUACAGUUUUUUUCCCUAAAUAAAGAUGGAGUUAUAAAUUAUUUGUGUAAGUGUCAUGAAAGUAAUAGUUGAAUAACAAUAAUGGGGCUUUAGGCAAUUUUUUCAUGAGGUCUUCUUGCAAUUUCAACACUUAAACAUACUUGUCCUUGAUCCCAAUUUAUUUACCCCAUUUGGGCCCACGAUGAGAUAAAUAUAUUCCUGUGAGAUGAAAAACAUCAGGAGAAGAAAAUGUUUUAUUAUAAUAAAAAAACAAGUGGUCCAUAAGUCUAUUUAUUACUUUUUUUAUUCAAUACAAAUGGCCAACUUAAAAAAUGAUAAAAAUCACAUAACGCACAAGCAAAAAUUUAGAUUUACAUUUUUUUAGUUCUCUCCGUGUCUCUCUUUCUCUUUUUUUUUUUUAAAAAAAAUAAAUGUCAGUGUAAAAUUAGAAAAAUUUUAGAUAUAAACUUUGGCGAUGACCAAACAAAAAUUGCAAGGGAAAGAAAAUAGAGGACCCUUGAUAUCAUUGAAAUACUGAUCAUAGACACUACAAUAUAAAUAACUUGUUGUGAUCCACUCAACUUGUAACACUUUAAUCCAUAUUCUAAAAUUUGUAUGCUUGUUAGGAAUUUUAUUAUUGACAUUACUGUACCAAUAAAAGUCUAAUUUAUUCAUAUGGAAAGAAAACAUCAAGAAAGGACCUCUGAUUUUUAUUAUAACAGAAAAAAGUGGUCCAUAAGUUUAUUUAUUAUUUUAUUUAUUCAAUACAAAUUGCCAACUUAAAAAAUGGUAAAAAUCACAAAAUGCACAAGUAAAAUUUUAGAAUUACAUUUUUUUAAUUCUCUUUGAGUCUCUCUCUCUCUCUUUAAAAAAUAAACCUCACUGUAAAAUUAGAAAAAUUUUAGACAUAAAAUUUGACAAUCACCAAACAGAAAAUGUAGGGAAAUGAAAAUGGAGGAGCCCUAUUAUCAUUAGAAUAUUGAUCAUAGAUACUAUAAUGUAAAUGAUUUGUUGUGGUUCAUUCAACCUGUCACACUCUAAGCCAUUUUCUAAAAUUUGUAAGGUUUAUAGGAUUUUUAUUAUUGGCAUCAUUGUAUCAAUAAUAUUAUAAAUUAUAUAUUCUAUUGUAAUGAAAAUUUAUGUAAUCUUAGGUAUUUAUUUAUUGUAAUAAUAAAAAAUUUCUAAAUAAAGGUGAUUGCUUCAUUGACAAGUACAUAUUUAUAUUCUCUAUUAGUAUUUGGGUUGUAAACUUUGUUUAUAAAGUGAAUAUAUUGUGGUAAGCGAUGUGGGCAAUAUCGGAUGCAAAAUAUUGAGAGAUCAUUAACGCAUAUAUUUAUUGAAGACGCAUAUAGAGGAAAGAGUGUAGAUCCGGCCGUAACAAUUAUGAAGCUUUCCCCAAGUAUUCUCACGCUUCCUUAACUGUUGCAAAGUAUUUUUCAUAGUGUGCAGAUUUACUUUAUGGUGUCUUAAUUCGUCUAAAAUGAUUACUUUAGUUCUUUUGGGAUGAAAGGUCAUUUAUUGUGUUAGUAUUAAACAAUAGAAAAAAUAAGUAAUGGUAACGAAAGACUAAUUUGUGAUAUUGAAGCAUACAUGCUUAACUCAAUCCAAAACUUAGUAAGUUAGCUCAAGAGUUAAGAGUUGUCCAAAUCUUAUAUGCUGAACCCAAGUUCAAUACUCAAUUGAUGCAGGAUGUUAUUCCUAACACCGCCCCUCAUGCGUAGGAUUGGCAAAAAAACUCGAGUCAGUCCCGCCUAGACCUGCAAGCUUUAUUUAUGGCCAGCAUGAUGAAGUUACAGAUAUUAACCUAAAAAUUUGAAACUUACUAUGAAUGGCCUUGGUUAAAGACUUUUGUAACUUUAAUUUAUAACAAGUAUGUAUACACACACACACACAUGUUUAGAUUGCAUUUGGAUGACUUUUUUAUCAAUGCAAACAAUAUCAAAUUUAUCGGAUUAAUUUGAAUCUGAUCUAUAUCCGAUUUUGCCCGCCAUANNNNNNNNNNNNNNNNNNNNNNNNNNNNNNNNNNNNNNNNNNNNNNNNNNNNNNNNNNNNNNNNNNNNNNNNNNNNNNNNNNNNNNNNNNNNNNNNNNNNNNNNNNNNNNNNNNNNNNNNNNNNNNNNNNNNNNNNNNNNNNNNNNNNNNNNNNNNNNNNNNNNNNNNNNNNNNNNNNNNNNNNNNNNNNNNNNNNNNNNNNNNNNNNNNNNNNNNNNNNNNNNNNNNNNNNNNNNNNNNNNNNNNNNNNNNNNNNNNNNNNNNNNNNNNNNNNNNNNNNNNNNNNNNNNNNNNNNNNNNNNNNNNNNNNNNNNNNNNNNNNNNNNNNNNNNNNNNNNNNNNNNNNNNNNNNNNNNNNNNNNNNNNNNNNNNNNNNNNNNNNNNNNNNNNNNNNNNNNNNNNNNNNNNNNNNNNNNNNNNNNNNNNNNNNNNNNNNNNNNNNNNNNNNNNNNNNNNNNNNNNNNNNNNNNNNNNNNNNNNNNNNNNNNNNNNNNNNNNNNNNNNNNNNNNNNNNNNNNNNNNNNNNNNNNNNNNNNNNNNNNNNNNNNNNNNNNNNNNNNNNNNNNNNNNNNNNNNNNNNNNNNNNNNNNNNNNNNNNNNNNNNNNNNNNNNNNNNNNNNNNNNNNNNNNNNNNNNNNNNNNNNNNNNNNNNNNNNNNNNNNNNNNNNNNNNNNNNNNNNNNNNNNNNNNNNNNNNNNNNNNNNNNNNNNNNNNNNNNNNNNNNNNNNNNNNNNNNNNNNNNNNNNNNNNNNNNNNNNNNNNNNNNNNNNNNNNNNNNNNNNNNNNNNNNNNNNNNNNNNNNNNNNNNNNNNNNNNNNNNNNNNNNNNNNNNNNNNNNNNNNNNNNNNNNNNNNNNNNNNNNNNNNNNNNNNNNNNNNNNNNNNNNNNNNNNNNNNNNNNNNNNNNNNNNNNNNNNNNNNNNNNNNNNNNNNNNNNNNNNNNNNNNNNNNNNNNNNNNNNNNNNNNNNNNNNNNNNNNNNNNNNNNNNNNNNNNNNNNNNNNNNNNNNNNNNNNNNNNNNNNNNNNNNNNNNNNNNNNNNNNNNNNNNNNNNNNNNNNNNNNNNNNNNNNNNNNNNNNNNNNNNNNNNNNNNNNNNNNNNNNNNNNNNNNNNNNNNNNNNNNNNNNNNNNNNNNNNNNNNNNNNNNNNNNNNNNNNNNNNNNNNNNNNNNNNNNNNNNNNNNNNNNNNNNNNNNNNNNNNNNNNNNNNNNNNUACCUCUUUUAACGACAAGAUUCGUAGUAGAUGAUAAAAAGAAAAUUAACUUCAAAUUUUUUCAUUAAAUGUAAAUCUGAUUGAAGUAGUUUAAAUUUUUCUAGUAGACUAAUAUAUAUAACUUAAAUAAUUAAUUUCAUUAUUAAUUUUUAAAAUGUUAACUAAUAUAUUUUUAAUUUAUUAUAAAAAUUUUAAAUAAAUCCUUGGAUUAAAUAGAUUUUACAAUUAAUGUAAUACUUCUGAUUUAUUAAUAAUAUUAAAAUUAUUUUAUAUGAUAUUCAAAAUAAUUUAAACUUAUAUAUAUAUUAAUAUUAUGUCUAUUUAUUAUAAUAUGGUUUAAUAUUAUACGGGAUUGUAAAAUAUUAAAAUAUUUUUCAAUAUCCAAUUAUUUUAAUAUGUAUAUAUCAUUACAUUUAUUUUAGUAUCGUAUUUAUAUUUAUUAUAAAAUAUAAAAUUAAUAAAAUUAAAGAGUAUUGCAGUAAAGUAAAAAAAAAAAGUCUUAUUAUCUCUUAUUCACAAUAUGAGAUUCUACAAAAUUAUUUCCCGAAACGGGUGUCCUUUUCUUAUUUUCAAAAGAAAAAAUAAAGUAAGAAUAAGUCCAUGGGUUUCAAAAACUUCUAGUCUUAUCCCGGGACUACAUUGUCUGCCACUAUAACUAAUGGAAAUGACAAUACAAUUGACAUUGCCUUUCGCAACAUGACAAAUUUUUGGUGGGAUAUGGAAGAAUUGUCAAAAGUUCACGCCAUGUAAGAGUUUUUGGUGGGAUGUGGGAGGAUUGUCAAAAUAUCACACCACGUGAUAUAACCACAAUUGCUAUGGUUUUUAUUUUUUAAAUAAUGAUGGGAGUUAUAAAUUAUUUAUAUAAAUUUGCGUAGAAACUAAUGUAACAUAAAAGAAGUAGCUGAAUAAUAAUAUUUGGUGCUUUAGGUAAUUUUUAUAUGAGCCUUUCUUUUAUUUAGCGGCUCUAGUGCUUAAACAAACUUGUUCUCGAUCUUAAUUUACUGACCCCAUUUAAGCCUAUGAUGACAUAAUUAAACAUAUUCUUUUGUGACGAAAACAUCAAGAGAAGACAUCUCAUGUUUUAUUAUAACAGAAAAGAAGUGAUCCAAACGUCUAUUCGUUAUUUUAUUUAUUCAAUAUAAAUGGUCAACUUUAAAAAAAUGAUAAAAAUCACACAACGCUCAAGUAAAAAUUUAGAAUUACAUUUUUUAAAACUCUCUGAGUCUCUCUCUCCUGCCCCCCCCCCCCCCUCUUUUUUUUAAAAUAAACCUUAGUGUAAAAUUAGAAGAAUUUUAGAUAUAAAAUUUGGCAAUCGCUAAACAGAAAAGUAGCGGAUUGAAAAUAAAAAAGCUCUAUUAUCAUAGGAAUAUUGAUUAUACAUAAUAUAAUAACUUGUUGUGGUUCAUUGUAGCACUCUGAGCCAUACUUUAAAAUUUACUGGUUUGUUAAUGCUUUUAUUAUUGACAUUAUUGUGUCAAUAUUACUAUAAUUUAUUCAUUUUAUUGUAAUGAUAAUUUGUGUAGUCUUAGGUACUUAUUAUAUUAAAUUAUGUAAAUUAAUUGAGAAUACUUUUAGAGACAAAAGAAACACGUGUAUGUAGGAUUAAUAAUCGAAGAAUUGUAAAUGAAGGUGAUUGCUUCAUUGAGAGGCAUAUUGAAUAAUUAUGGAGGUUGCACUAUUUCGGAAGCACAUAUUUAUACUUCCCUAUCAGGAUUUGGGGUAAACGAAGUGCUUUAUCUAUUGCAGUAAGCAAUGUGGGCAAUAUCAGAGGCGAAAUAUUAAAAGAUUAUAACGCAUAUAUUUGAGCCAUUUAUAUUGAAGACACAUAUAGAGGAAAGAGUGCAGAUCAGGCUUUCCUCAAGUAUUCUCAUGCUUCCGCAACUGUUCUGAACUAUUCUUCAUUGUGGGCAGAUUUACUUAAUUACCAACACUAUGAUUCAAUACUUCAAAGGUUGAGGAAAUGUCAAAAUAUGAAAUGAAAAUACUUAAAUACCCUUCUACCUAACAAAACUUGGUACUUCUAACUGCACUCGCAGAGAAUAUAUAAAAUUAAAAAAAUAUAUAUUCAUCCAUGAAAAGCUUCGUAACAGAAAAACCAUCUUUAAAAAAAAUAAAAAUAAAAUUAAAAAAAAAAAACAGAAAAACCGACUCAUUUAUCUGCCAAUGAACCAAUUGGGACUCAUUUAAAAAAGAAUACAAAGCAAAAGUGAAUGACACAAAUUGCAUAGAUAUCUAGGUAUAAUUUGUCCAAGUAAUAAAUUCUCCUAGGUCAAAAGCAAUUAACGAUGAAAACUUUCUUCAUUAAGGUUCUGGCCUACGUAAAAAAACAGAAAAAACCACCCCAAGGUCAAAGCACAACGAUAAGUUUAGAACUGCAGUUUUUAAUUUUUUUUAAUAAAUCAAUGUGUAUCAAAAAUAGAUAAUAAUUUUGGAUAACUUUUUUUGAUAAAUAUAGACAUAAAAUUUUAAAAUCACCAAACAGAAAAACAGGGGAAUUAAAAGAGAGCCCUUGUUUCUCCUCUGUUUUGUUUGUUAUCAAACAGUGAAAUGAAAAGAUCGCAAGCGGAAAUUUUGUUUCUGCGUUGUAUCUUCUCAAUGCUGCAUGCAUUCAAAUUAAACCUUAUAUAUGCUAGCAAACUAGCUACUCUGCAUGUAAGUUCUCGAUAAGUCCAAAUAAUAGAAUAAUUGUAAAAUGUUAAAAUUCAGUAAUUAAUUAUACAUAUUUAUUUAUUCAAAAAUUAUUAUUAUUAAUUAUUGUCAAUAUAUAUUAAUAUUCUGAUUAAUUGUAAAAAAUUUAUCAUUCAUAACAAUAAUAAUGAUGAUGAUGAUAAUAAUAAUAAUAAUUCAAAAUAUAUUAAUUAAUUAUAAUAAUAUAUUAAUUAUUUAAUAAUAGUAAUAAAUGUAAAAUGUAUAAAUUGAUUAGAAUAGUUAUAUUAAUAAAUUAUAAACAUAUAUUAAUUAAUCAUAAUAAUUUUUUAAUUGAGGACAAAAUAGACAUUUUAUAGUUUGUGAGAGGGGGUAAAAUGGUCAAUCUUGGGAACGGGGGAUUGAUUCCCACCACCUUCCUUGGGAAUCAAUCUUCCAUUCCUCAUUCCUAAAUUUGGGUGGCCCCAUAAUUCUGAUUUGGAUCCCUGCCUCCAUCAUUAAUGAUUUCGAUUUCGGAUUCCGAUUCCCCAAUCCAAGAAGUAAAGGCACCAUUAUUGUUAAUUGGUUCAAACACACAAAGAGAAUGUACCAUGUAGCUAGGCGUCAAGGUUGUGUUGCACAAGUAACCUUUUUCUUUUCUUUUUAUUUUUCUUGUUUUCCUUAACGGAUCAGAAGAAAUUGGUGCCUUUGAGAUACCACAAUGUAAAUAAGUACUUGUGGUUCAUUGAAUCGGUAACACUCGGUACCCUAAGGUUGCUUUGGAAAAAAGGCUUUUCUCACUGAUCGCCAAUAUCCAAGUAAGUUUGUUUCAUUUCAGAAGGUGCAAAGUUUCAAACUUGUUGUAUUGGGAUGUAACAAACUUUGGCCUCAUAUGCCUGCUGUGACGUUAGACUGUUCAUUUUGAUUGUUUCCUACCUUCCACUUACGCCAUUGUAGCACUGUAUUAUUCACCAUUUUAACUGUUUAAAUGAAAUUUUAUUUUUGUCAAAAAUAAAAUGACACCAUUAAAAUUUAGAAAAAUAAUAAUGUAGAUCCCAAAUUUUUAAAAAAGAAUACCAAUAUUCCCCUUGACUACAAUACCCUUAGUAGGUGGUAAUAAAAAAAAAUUGGCUUAAAAUUUUUACGAAAUGUAAAUAUGAUUUAAAUAAUUUAAAUUUUCCAGUAGACUAAUAUAUAUAAUUUAAAUAUUAAUUUUUAAAAUUUAAAUUAAUUUAUUUGUAUUUAUAAAAUAGUUGUAAUUAUUUUAAAAUUUAACUAAAUCCUUAGGUUAAAUAGAUUUUACAAUUAAUAUAAUAUUUCUCAUGUAUUAAUAAUAUUAAAAUUAUUUUAUAUGAUAUUGAAAAUAACCUAAAUUUUUAUAUAUUUAUUUGAAUAUUAUGCUCUAUUUAUUAUAAUUUGGUUUAAUAGAAUACGAGAUUGUAAAAUAUUAAAAUUUUAAAUAUUGAAAUUAUUUUAAUAUGUAUAUAUUAUUAUAUUUAUUUUAAUAUCCUAUUUAUAUUUAUCAUAAAUUAUUAGAGUUAAUUUUUUUAGUUAAUAAAUUUAAAAAAUAUUAUAAUUUUAAAAAAAAAGUCUUGUUGUCCGUUAUUCACGAUAUGAGGUUCUACAAAAUUAUUUCUCCAGGCGGGUGUCCUUUUUUUAUUUUCAAAAGGAAAAACAAGUUCAGGGCCUCAGGGGUUUCAAAAAAUUCUGGUCCUAUCUACCACUAUGACUAAUGGGAAAUGACAUUGCAAUUGACAUUGCUUUCCGCAAUAUGACAAAUUAUUGGAGGGAUAUGGGAGAAUUGUCAAACGUUCACACACGCGAGAGCUUUAGGUGGGAUAGGGGAGGAUUGUCAAGAGUUCACACCACGAGAAACUAAUGAUAGGCCUAAUUUCGUUGUCAGUUCUUUAUUUAUUUAUUUUAUUUAUUUCAUACAUUAUUGUUUUUAUAAAGGUAUAAAAGUAAAGUAAAAUACCAGGGGUGCUGUUAAGUUACAACUUAUGUAACUUGCAAUUUUUUCAAAAAUAAUGUAAAAAAUUUAAUAGGUGGUGGGACCCACAUAUUUUUUAAGAGACUUAAGUUACAACAGUUGUAACUUAACAAAAUCUAAAUAUUAGACAAUAAUGCAUAUAAUUUGGGUUUGAUUUUUAAAAGAUUAUUUGAGUACCACCUAUCCUUAUGAUAUUAAUCUGAUUAUAUCUUAAUAUUAAAUAAUCAAAAUUUGUUUAAUUAUUAUUUGUAUUUCAUACAUUACAUAUUAGAUUUGUUUGAAUUUUAAGUUGUUGCUAAUAAAUAUUUAUGUUGUCAAAGUCAAAGUCAAUAGCUACAAAAGCAGAGAUAAUGGUAUUGUAUAUAGUUUUUAAGAAUGCAAGGAUAAGCUGGAUAAUUGACUUAAAUUCUAAUGAUUAAAAGAGCAACUAUCCCUUAAGUUAUAAUGUCAAUUUCUUUAAUUAGAAAUUUUUUUUUUCAUGUGAUAUAACCUCAAUUGCUACAAUUUUUUUUAUAAUAAUAAUGGGAGUUAUAAAUUAUUUAUAUAAAAUUUGGGUUGAAACUAAUGUAACCUAAAAGUGGUUGCUAAAUAACAAUAUUUGAAACUUUAAGUAAUUUUCAUGAGUCCUUUUUAUAUUCAGCAACUUGAAUUGGGGGAAAUCCGACUUGAAUUGGCGGUUGAUUUUGGUGAUGUGGCUUUUGGUUUACGCCGGCUUUACAGUGGCGGAAGACUGGAUUUACGGUUGCCGAAUGCUAGGGAUUAUGGUGGUGGUGUAAAUUGACGGAAAAAGAAGGUGUUUUGGUGGCGGCGCAUCUAGGAAGCACUCGUGGGUUGUCGUUUCGUGUGCUGACAACGGGCGGCGAUCAAGGGCUGAAGUUGGUUGGUUUUUGGUCAACGGAGGCCGGCGAGUUUGUUGGUGGAGGUGGUUGGUGGAGAAAGUGGCUGAAUGGUGGUGGGUUGCUUGGUGGAGCCGUGGGUUUGGGUUGGUGAUUUGCGGCUGUUGAGGCAGCGAUGACUGAGGCUUGGUCAACUGUGGCUAGUGAGGUUUGUGGUGGUGUUGGCUGGCUGAUCGGCGGUGGUGGGCGGCGGUGGAGGUUGAUGUGACGGGUUGGGUUUUCAAAUUUGUAAAUUUUGUUUUUUGAUGGAUUUGGUUUGGAUAGGUAUGGUGUAUCUAGGAAAGAUGUGCGAUUCGCACAUAAUCAUCUUGAUACCAAUUGAUGGAGCGAGGCGUAGCGGAAGCAGAAUUGAUAGGGUAAGAAACAUUAGAUAUUGUUCUAGUACUAGACCAAGCCAACGCGAUUAGUUCACGCUCUAAUCGAAGCAUGAUUAGAUAUCGUUAUAAUCCAAAUGACUCAAUGAGAUUUUUAAUAAUGCGUAAUACGAGAUUAGAUGACACUCUAAUCCAAACGACUCUACAAGAGAGAUUUUGAUAAAUAAUCCUAGAGAAAAUUAUAAAAGAGGGGUUUUAUUUAAUAAUUGAACUUGAAGUUAUGAAAAUAAUGACAAGACAUCUUUAUUUUUUUUAUUACAAAUAUCUUUAUUUAUAAUAGAAGAAACCCGCUUUCCUAAGUUAACCUAAAAAGAAAAUUUAAAUCAUAAUUAUAAUGGAAAUAAAAGAUUAAAAUACAUACCAUAAUUAACUCAAACUAAAAUAGAAAAUCAUAAAAUAAUAAAUAUUCUAGAAUUAUAAAUUAUCUAAAAUAACGUUAAUUAACUUCUUAAAUCACUUCUUUGGUGUUAACCAUUUUGCAUCCAACCUCGCUUUAAAGGUUUGAACCAACGUUACCAACAAUAAUGUAUCAAAUUCCAAUCUAACUUAAGAUCCUGAUACAUCUACCGAUGUCCUUGUUUGAUUAGACAAUAAUGAGUCUAUCUCAUCACUUGUUACCUCUUUCUUGAAGGCUGCAUCUGUUGAAGUGAUAGUCUCGUUUAGAGUUUAAAGAUCUUCUUCCAUGUUAAAUAAAAUGGGCAUUUGAUUAAAAAACUUUAUCUCUAUCUCCUUCUAUCAAAUAACGACAACUAUCCGAAGGGAAAAAAAAUUAGAAAAGUCCAUGGGUCACAAUAAUUUAUGGUCUGUUCCCGGACCCCAUUAUCUGCCACUAUCAAUGAUGAAAAUGAAAAUAAAUGGCAUCUUCCCAAAAUGGCAAAAGAUUUUUGGGGGAUAUGGGGGAAUUGUCAAAAGUUCACACAACGCGAAACAAGUGUUACAUCCAAUUUUAUUUCGUCAUAUAAUGAUAAUAUCAAAUAAUGACAACCAUCCAAAAGUAUGAUGGGUCUUCCACAAUUUUGAAAAUGUCGUCAACAUUUAAUCUUCAAUGCUAAAGAAGAUGAAAUGACCAAAAAUGACACGCAGGACCAACUUACAGACUAAAUGGCUCUGACCACAUGUAACAAACUUUGGCUUUAUGUCCUUGCUGAGGCGUUAGACUGUUGGUCAUUUUGAUUGCUUUUUACCUUCCAUUUACGCCAUUGUAGCAUUGUACUAUUCACCAUUUUAGCUGUUUAAAUGAAAUUGUUAUUUUUUUUUCCAAAAAUAAAAUGACACCCUUAAAAUUUUAGAAAAUAGCCAUGUAGAUCCCAAAUUUUUAAUAAAGAACACUAAUAUCAUUUUUGACUAUAGUACUCUUAGUAGAUGGUAACAAAAAAAAAUGACUGCAAAAGUUUUUACUAAAUGUAAAUAUGAUUUAAAUAGUUUAAAUUUUCUAGUAGACUAGUAUGUCUAAUUUAAAUAAUUAAUUUUUAAAAUGUAAUUUAAUAUAUUUAUUUUAAUAAUAUAUUUAUCAUAAAAAUUUUAAACAAAUCCUUGGGUUAAAUAGAUUUUAUAAUUAAUAUAAUAUUUCUCAUGUUUUAAUAAUAUUAAAAUUAUUUGAUAUGAUAUUGAAAAUAAUUAAAACUUUUAUAUAUUUAUUUGAAUAUUAUUUCUCUAUUUAUUAUAAUUUGGUUUAAUAGAAUACGAGAUUGUAAAAUAUUAAAAUAUUUUUAGGUAUUAAAAUUAUUUUAAUAUGUACAUAUUAUUAUAUUUAUUUUAAUAUCCUGCUUAUAUUUAUUAUAAAAUAUUAAAAUUAAUUUUUUUAGUUAAUAAAUUUAAAAAUAUAUAUUAUAAUUAAAAAAAGAGUCUUAUUGUCUGUUAUUUACGAUAUGAGGUUCUACAAAAUUAUUUUCAAAAGGAAAAAUAAGUCUAAGGGUUUCAACAAAUUCUAGUCCUAUCUGCCACUAUGACUAAUGGAAACGACAUUGCAAUUGACAUUGCUUUUUGUAAUAUGACAAAUUUUUGGAGGCAUAUGGGAGAAUCAUCAAAUGUUCACACUACGCGGGAGUUUUGGAUGGGAUCAGGGAGGAUUGUCAAGAGUUCACACCACGAGAAACCAAUGAUAGCCCUAAUUUCGCUGUCAGUUCUUUGUUUAUUUAUUUUAUUUAUUUCAUACAUUGUUGUCUUGUUGGCAUUGUUUUGUAAAAUAAAAGUAAAGUAAACUAUUAGGGUGCUGCUAGGUUAAGUUGUUGUAACUUACAGUCCCUUAAAAAAUAAUGUAAAAAAUUUAACAUGUGGUGGGAUCCACAUAUGUUUGAAGAGGCCGUAAGUUACAGUAGUUGUGACUUAGCAAAAUCCAAAUAUUAGACAAUAACGCACAUUAACAAUGCAUAUAAUUUGGGUUUUAUUUUUUUUUAAUUAUUUGAGUAUUAUCUAUCCUUAAGAUAUUAAUGUGAAUAUAAUUUAAUAUUAAAUAAUCAAAAUCUAUUUAAUCAUAAUAUAUAUUUCAUACAUUGCAUGUUUAAUCAAAAUCUGAUUGCUUUUUACCUUCUAUUUCGCCCACUGUAGCAUUCUACUAUUUACCAUUUUAGCUAUUUAAAUGAAAUUUAUUUUUUUUCCAAAAAUAAAAUGACACCCUUAAAAUUUUAGAAAAUAGUCAUGCAGACGCCAAAAUUUUAAUAAAGAACACCAAUACCCUUUUUGACUAUAGUACUCUUAUGGUAGCCACAAAAAAAAAAUGACUUCAAAUUUUUUUACUAAAUGUAAAUAUGAUUUAAAUAGUUUAAAUUUUCUAGUAGACUAGUAUGUAUAAUGUAAAUAAUUAAUUUUUAAAAUGUAAUUUAAUAUAUUUAUUAUAAAAAUUUUAAACAAAUCCUUGGGUUAAAUAGUUUUUAUAAUUAAUAUAAUAUUUCUCAUGUUUUAAUAAUAUUAAAAUUAUUUUAUAUGAUAUUGAAAAUUAUUUUAUAUGUAAAUCAUAUUUACAUUUAAUAGAAUACGAGAUUGUAAAAUAUUAAAAUAUUUUUUGGUAUUGAAAUUAUUUUAAUAUGUAUAUAUUAUUAUAUUUAUUUUGAUAUCCUACUUAUAUUUAUUAUAAAAUAUUAAAAUUAAUUUUUUUAGUUAAUAAUUUAAAAAAAAAUAUUAUAGUUAAAAAAAAAGAGUCUCAUUGUCCGUUAUUCACGAUAUGAGGUUCUACAAAAUUAUUUUCAAAAGGAAAAAUAAGUCCAGGGCUUUCAACAAAUUCUAGUCCUUCUGCCACUAUGACUAAUGGAGACGCAUUGAAUUGACAAUGCUUUUUGCAAUAUGACAAAUUUUUGGAGGGAUAUGAGAGAAUCGUCAAGCUUUCACACCAUGCGAGAGCUUUAGGUGGGAUAUGGGAGAAUUGUCAAGAGUUCACACCACGAGAAAUUAAUGACAAGCCUAAUUUCGUUGUCAGUUCUUUAUUUAUUUAUUUUAUUGAUUUCAUACAUUAUUGUCUUGUUGGUACUAUUUUGUAAAGAUAUAAAAGUACAAGUAAAAUAUUAGGGAAAGUAAAGUAAAAUAUUGGAGGUGAUGCUAAGUUACAGCUGCUAUAACUUACAGUUCCUUCAAAAAUAAUGUAAAAAAUUUAACACGUGGUGGGACCCACAUUAUGUUUGAAGAGGCCGUAAGUUAUAGCAGUUGUAAACUAGUAAAAUCCAAAUAUUAGACAAUAAUACACAUUAACAAUGCAUAUAAUUUGGGUUUGAUUUUUAAAAAAAUUAUAUGAGCAUUACCUAUCCUUAAGAUAUUAAUGAGAAUAUAUUUUAAUAUUAAAUAAUCAAAAUAUGUUUAAUCAUAAUAUGUAAUUCAUACAUUGCAUGUUAGAUUUGUUUGGAUUUUAAGUUGUUGCUAAUAAAUAUUUAUGUUGUGAAAGUCGAAUUCAAUAGCUACAAAAGCAGAGAUACUGGUAUUUUAUGUAGUUUUUAAGAAUACAAGAAUAAGACCAUAAUGCAUGAGAUAAUGGUAUUUUAUAUUAAAAGACCAUAACACAUGUAUUUGAGCCAUUUAUAUUGAGGACACAUAUAAAGCGAAGAGUGCAGAUCCGGCCGUAACUAUUGUGAAGCUUUCCUCAAGUAUUCUCAUGCACACAGCCCUUAUCUGGUCAAGUUCUCUGAUUCAAUAUAAUCAAUUUCCGAGUAGUACUGACGACAGCUUCUCUGUAAAGCUCUUCAACCACAAGCAUUUCUACAAGGCAAAAGACUAGGACGUAUUGGAAUGAAUAUCAAUAAGGGAAUGUCUUAUGAAUUUAGUUUAUAUCCUAAUAUAAGACAAUCAGUAAAUAUUGGAUGCAAUCUAAGGGCUAACAUUUGAUUGAUCAUUAUACGAAAAAAAAAAAAGGUGCAAAAAUACAAAACAUAGCUGAUUGAUGGCCUCUCACAGUCAGUUAUAUGACAAAGUAGCCACCACAACAAACUUUUUUUUUUGAACUGAUUAAGCAUCAGGUUACUGUAUUACACAUAGAGAUAUAUAUAACUGCUAUGACAGCAAGUCAUUAUACUGAUAUUUACAAUCAGAUAUAUACAUGAGACUUAUAUUAUUACAUUUUUAUUAUAUGAAGUACAUGCCCAUCCAAAUCUCCCUCACGGAGGAGGGAUGUCUCUACUCCACUCACAUUUCGCAAGGGAGAAAGACGUUAUAAGAAGUUUUCACCACAACAAACUUGAACUUGGGUGGAGGUCUCAUUAGUAGUAUACCUCAGAAAUUAAGACAAAGACUUUAAAAUGCAAACUUAUGGAGCAAUUUAAGCACUGAAACUAAUAACAGUACGGUAUUAGCAAUUGACCUCUGCUUUUGCUUAGACAAAGGUUUUCAUCACAAUGGACUCAUUAGUUGCCCUUGCCUCACACGUUUGGAUGCUAAGGGGAAAAAGGAAGCUUGAAUUAGUCAAUCUCAUUUCUAAUGGCAUUCACAGAGAACUUAUAAAACAAAAAAAAAAAAAAAUUAUAAAAAAAAAUUCAUCCAUAAAAAGCUUAGUAACGGAAAAAUCGACUCUUUUAUCUGCCACUGACGAAAAAAAAACUGAAGUAUUAAAUAGAUAAAGAAUUUAAUUUUUUUCUUGGAAAAACUAAUAAUAAAUUAACAAUUAGAUAAUACUAUUAAUUAGAGAUCUUUAAUAUUAAGGUUGUCAAAGAUAGAAUGUGUAUAAAAAUUCUUAAUUAUAAGAUAAUUACUAACUAAAAAGAGGCCUAAAAAAGAAGAUUUGCUAUUAUAAGUAAUACCAAAAAUAAAAAGGGAGACUUCCUAAUUGUGUAAUUGGUUAAAAAAGAGGAUUUGCUAUUAUAGGCCUAAUUUGCCUAUGCUUAAAACCGUUCCUGGAUGUAAAAAAAUAAAAAUUAUUGUUAAAUUCCUGACUAAUAAGGUCAUUGAAAGUAUUCAAAGGACCUGAACUUAUAGGAAAGCCAGCCAUGAUGAACUAUACCACGUUGCAAGUGAGCUCGUAUCUUCACCCCUUGAUCUGCCAUCGGCAUUUCUCUUCCACUCACUAUACCAUCCUUUUCAAUCGAUUUUUAUAGAUCAUAAGAGACCAUGUGGCCCACCUUAUUUUUAUUUUGGAUCCAUAACCCAAAGCUGGCCCAAGUUCUGAUUCCAGAAUCAUUUGUCUACAAAGUGACCUCAUUCCGGCAAUUGGUUUAUGCUAAUAGCACGUGCAAUUUUCAUUUUCUUCUUUUUAUUAAUUAAUUUCAUCAUUAUUAUUUGCUUAUUAUUUUAAAAUUAAAGCUAGCAUUUUUCAAAUUAAUUAAUUAAAUUGUAUUAAUGAAAUUAAUCUUUCAUUUUCUUUUCUCUUUCAAUGCACAAAGCCAAACAACCAUUCUCGCUUCAAAUACCGAAGAGCUCCUGACUACGGCUGUCAAUGCUUCUAUAUUUACGUGCUGUGCUGCAUCACUCUUAGCGAAAGCUUGAAUGAAUGAUUAAAGACAAAAGCUUAUAUAAAAGCAGAUGCCGGAGGCAGUCAAAAAGCAUUUGAGAGAGAAGCUAAACAGCAAAUCAUCAAACGCACUUCAAUGACUUUAUUUUGAUUUUGAUUUUUGUUUCGAAAGAAGUAGAAAAGUCCAUGGGUCACGAUAACUGCUUGUCCUAUGCCGUGACCUCAUUGUCCACCGCUAGUGUCAAAUAGAUUAAUCUUUCUAGUAGAUUAAUAUAAUUUAUAAUUUUAAUUUCAGUAUUAAUUUUUAAAAUGUUAGUUGUUAUAUUUAUUUUAAUAAUAUAUCUAUUUUUAGUAUAAAAAAUUUAAAUGUAUAUUUAGAUUAAAUAGAAUUUAUAAUUAAUAUAAUAUAUCUCAUGUAUUAAUGAUAUUUAAAUUAUUUUAUAUAAUAUUAAGCCUAACUUAGAAUUAUAUAUAUUUAUUUUAAUAUUAUGUUUCUAUAUAUUAUAUAAUAUUAAGCCUAACUUAGAAUUAUAUAUUAUGUUUCUGAGCCUCUCUCUAUAACACUAUAUAGAACCCUAAGCCUAAGUGUCACGGGAUGAGUGUUUUGCGCAGCUAACCCGUGCGGCACUUAGACAACUUUGCCGAAUGUUGCUAAGUAAGCCUAGAGAUUCUCGAACAAGAGAAGAGAGCAAUUGAGCCAAAGAAACUUGUAUUGCACAAAGAGAGAUUACAAUGCUUGUUGGAUACAAAUGCCUAAUGCCAUCCCAUAUUUAUAGGGGAGGCUUUGUCAAACUUGGCCUAACUUUGCCAAACUUUGCCAAACUCUAGAGUAUUCUACAAUUUCCUAGCUAUUUACAUGUGCUGGAAUUGUAUAAAGAAUUCUAGAAUAUUUACAUGUUCACAUGUGCUAGAGUUUCCUAGAACCUUCCGGAAUUGGGCCAAGCUAGCACUCUUGGCUUUGUGUUGGCUCUCUAGCUCGAAAUUGGGGCAAUUGGGCUAGCGAAUUGGGCGGUCCGCAACAACCUCCCCCACCUAUGCUCGCGGCGUCCUCGUCGCGCUCUCAUGCUUGAACCUCUGGAUGUGCUCAGCGAAUUGCCACAAACCAUCUUCACGUUCCCAAGUGGCUUCACUCUCGGGGAGGUUUUUCCAUUUCACCAAGUACUCGCUAUGUGCUGGCACGCCCCUCCUCGAAACCGUGCGGUCCGCAAUGAUGUAGUCCACAUCUUUGUCGAAUGCGGUGACAACGGCAGUUGGUGCGCGCCUUGAUUCUCCGCGACCUGGUUCUCCCAUGUCUUCGUGAUAUGGCUUGAGAAGGCUCACAUGGAAGACCGGAUGGAUCUUGAGUCUUGGCGGAAGUUGGAGUUGAUACGAGACGUUGCCCACACGUCGAACAACUCGGAAGGGUCCCUCGUAGCGCCUCACUAACCCCUUGUGAACUUUCCGCAAUGUCUUGAAUUGUUGGGGUAGGAGCUUGAUCAUGACUUGAUCUCCUUCCUUGUACUCAACAUGCCGUCUCCUUGUAUCCGCCCAUUUCUUCAUUUUCCUCGCGGCUUUGUCGAGGUAGGCUCGCGUGAUGUCCGCUUCCUCAUGCCAUUCGCGGGCGAGCUUGUGUGCCGCGGGGCUUUUCCCUCCGUAAGUCGAGGCUAUGGCAUUGGGAGUCAUUGGCUGGAAUCCCAUGAUGAUCUCGAACGGACUCUUGCCCGUAGCCUCGCUUCGCUGCAAGUUAUAAGAAAAUUGGGCGAUGUCGAGUAGCUUCGCCCAAUCCCGCUGGUGAGCGCUCACAUAAUGCCUCAGAUACAUCUCGAGGAGGCCGUUAAUGCGCUCGGUCUGCCCAUCCGUUUGUGGGUGGAAGCUUGUCGAGAACUUGAGAUCGGUCCCCAACAUCUUAAAGAGUUCCGUCCAAAACCGCCCAGUGAACCAAGGGUCUCGGUCGCUCACAAUGCUCUUCGGAACUCCCCAAAGCUUCACAAUGUGCUUGACAAAUAGGCGGGCUGCCUCAUCCGCUUUGCAAUCCACUGGUGCGGCAAUGAAUGUGGCGUACUUGCUGUGUCGGUCGACAAUGACCAUGAUGCUUCCGCAACCUUCGGACUUGGGCAGCGAUGUGAUGAAGUCCAUGGAGACACUUUCCCAUGGCCUUGUUGCUAGUGGUAGCGGCUCCAACAAUCCCGCUGGAAGUUGAUGAUCCACCUUGUCUUGUUGGCACACAAGACAAGUUCGCACAUAUGCCUCGAUGUCGUCCCUCAUGUGCGGCCAAAAAUACGAGGCUUGAACUAGUGCGGUGGUGCGCUCGAUUCCUGGGUGACCAGCCCACUUGGAGUCGUGGCACUCCUUGAUAACUUCCUUCCGCAAAUUUCCCCACCUUGGCACAAACAGCCGAUCUCCCUUGGUGAGGAGGAUGCCUUCCUCUUGCCAAAAUCGCCUUGUCUUCCCUUCGAGCACCUUCUCCAGCAAAUCCUUUGUUAGCGGGUCUUGUUGGAGGCCUUCCUUGAUGCGUGAGACAAGGUCGGACUUCGGUUGGCUCAUGCUAAGUGUUGCCAAUUCCGCCUUGCGGCUUAGAGCGUCCGCAACGACAUUGGCUUUCCCCGGUUUGUACUCUAGCCGAUAGUCGAAUUCCGCAAGGAAAUCUUGCCACCGUGUUUGCUUCGGACUCAACUUCUUUUGAGUUUGAAAGUAGCUUGUCGCCACGUUGUCCGUUAUGAUCGUGAAGUGUGAGCCAAGCAAGUAAUGUCGCCACACUCUUAGACAAUGGAUGAUGGCUGUCAUCUCCUUUUCUUGCACCGUGUAGCGGCGUUCCGUAUCAUUUAGCUUUCGACUCUCGAACGCUAUUGGGUGGCCUUCUUGCAUAAGGACUCCACCUAUGGCGAAAUCCGAGGCAUCUGUUUGAACUUCGAAGGGCUUGGUGUGGUCCGGAAGAGCGAGGACUGGUUCCUCCGAAAUUGCCUUCUUCAACUCCUCGAAUGGACGUUGGCACUCUUCGGAUCAAUGCCACGUUCUGUUUUUCUUGAGCAUAUCCGUCAAGGGUGCCGCCUUGGCUGAAUAGCCCUUGAUGAAAUGGCGGUAGUAAUUCACCAACCCAAGGAACGAGCGAAGCUCGGGUACUUUCGAGGGAGGCUCCCAAUCGAGGAUGGCCUCUACUUUGUCAUUCUCCAUCAUGAUCUUCCCGCCCGCAAUCUUAUGGCCAAGGAACUCCACCUCUUGUUGGGCAAACGAGCACUUCUCUAGUUUGAGGAAGAGCUCAUUGUCUUGAAGUACUUGGAGGACUUUUUGCAAGUGUUGGGCAUGAUCCUCGAGUGUGGUGCUAUACACCACGAUGUCGUCCAAGUACACGACCACGAAGCGGUCGAGGAAUGGUUGGAGUACCUUGUUCAUGAGUGUGCAAAAUGUGGCGGGUGCAUUAGUAAGGCCAAAAGGCAUCACAAGGAAUUCGAAAGACCCGUACCUUGUUGUGCACGCUGUCUUUGGUUCGUCUCCCUUGGCGAUGCGCACUUGGUAGUACCCGGAGCGCAAGUCAAGUUUGGUGAAGUACCGCGCUUUGCCAAGCUGGUCGAACAAGUCCGCAAUCAAUGGAAUCGGAUACUUGUUCUUGAUGGUGAUCUUGUUGAGCGCUCUAUAGUCGAUGCACAUCCGCAGCGAUCCAUCCUUUUUCUUUUGGAAGAGGACCGGUGCACCGAAUGGGGCCUUUGAGGGGCGAACGUAGCCUGCGUCCAGCAAGUCUUUGAGCUGUCUCCGCAACUCCUCUAAUUCGGGUGGCGCCAUGCGGUAGGGCGCCAAGGCUGGUGGCUUCGCGCCUUGUUCUAGCUCAAUCGCAUGAUCUACCUCUCGCGGAGGUGGGAGCUUCUUCGGAAGUUCUGGAGGCAUCACGUCCUUGUACUCAUUGAGGACGGCUUGAAUUCGCGGAGGGACUUGGCUUGGCGACGUUCCGCUAUUUCCUUCCUCGUUUAGUUCCCGAAUGGAGACCAAGAAGCUUGGGUCCUUCUUGAAAGCCCUCUUGAAUUGCAUGGCGGAGAGUUUCUUCUCCUCGGACUUGCCUCGUUCGGUGGGUACCAUGCAUGCUUUGCUCCCAUCGAGGAUGCUUAGGGAGUUUGUAGCGGGCAGCGGGAAGGCAUGGACUUGGUCGAAGAAUUCCAUGCCAAGGACCAUCUUGAAGUCAUCCAUGGGCACAAUGGAGAAAUCAAGCUUUCCGCUCCAUGUACCGAGUGUGAUGUGCACGCCUUGUGCAAUUCCCGCAAUUGGUUUGGCGGGUGAGUUUACUGCCUUCAUUGUGCCUCCUUCCUUGGUGGCCUUGAGGCCUAAACGCUUGGCCUCGUCUACGGACACGAAAUUGUGUGUUGCUCCCGUGUCUAGCAGCGCGCGAACAGACUGGCCGUUUACCUUUGCGCUAACAUACAUGAGCCCUUUCUUGGCUAGUGCGGGCUGUUGGCGGUUGAGUGCCCCGAGGCGUUGGAGAGAACCCAUGCUGAGUUGGGGUUCCUCCGUGGACAUUGUGGGGUUGCUCUUGAGUUGGGCAGCAAGAACAUUAAGCGACCGCUUCUCCGGACAGUCGCGUACCCAAUUUGGACCGUUGCAUAUGAAGCAUGGGCUUCGCGGCUUUGGCGCCUCCUUCUUGCCCUCCGAUUUUCCUUGCCAACUCUUGUUGCUAGACGGCUUUUUCUGCCCCCAAUCUUUGCGGUUGUUACCCUUGUCCUUGCGACUCUCUCCCCCACCUUUGCCUUGGUUGGCCUUUUUGUCCUUGGAUUGGGUAGAGUAUUCGGUGAGCGACUCCGCAACGGCGAUGGCGUCGUCAAGUGUUUGAACACCACGCCUAUCAAGCUCGGUCUUGGCCCAAUCCUUGAGGCCAUCUUGGAAGUAGAAGAGUGAAUCUUUGUCGGACAUGUCACUUAUCUCCAACAUGAGGGUAGAGAACUCGUUAAUGUAGUCCCGAAUGCUACCCGAUUGCUUGAGGCGACGUAAGCGCGCUCGCGCUUCCUUCUCUGCAUUGCUUGGGGUGAACUGCUUUCGGAGUUCUUGCUUGAAGUCGGCCCAAGUGUCGAUGGUGCAAAUGCCCUUGCCCAUCUCGCCAUGCUUGCGACGCCACCAUAGUUGUGCAGCGCCUCUAAGAUAGGUGGGUGCAGUGCCCACUUUCGAUGCCUCAUCUCGUACACCCAUGGCAUCGAAGUAUUGAUCCAGCCCGAACAGGAAGUUGUCCACGAUUGUGGCAUUGCGUGUGCCAUCGUAGGUGUCGGGCUUUGGCACAUCAAUGCGGCGCGCAUCACUCGAGUUUGCGGAAGCUGGACUUGCGGAGAGUGUGCGCUUGUGCCAUGCCCAAUCCGAGCGGACUUCAUCCACUUCCGCACGGACAGCACGUAGUUCGUCCUGAACAAAACUACGAAGUUUUAGCAACUCAUCAUGGAAAGAAUGAAACUCACCUCGGAGAAUGUUCGCUUGCUCAUGCAUGAGAGCUUUUGUGGCCACCGUGAACUCGGCGUAUUCUCCCUCGAGAUUGUCCACUCUUCUCUCUAAUCCCUCAAGGCUAUCUUGAGUGGCGGACAAGGCUAUUUCGAGAGUGCCUACACGAGGCUCCAAAGCAUCCACGGAUGGGGCCUUGGACUUGCCGCGAUUCUUGCCUUGGGCGCGUUCUCCCUCUCGGCCGCGGCUUGGUUCUGGUGGAACAUCCACACCAACAAAACCCUCUUGUGCUACGUUUGAAGGGUUGGCCAUUGCUUUGUGAGCUAAUUUGCGUGCGUGCAAACCUUAGCUCUGAUACCACUUGUCACGGGAUGAGUGUUUUGCGCAGCUAACCCGUGCGGCACUUAGACAACUUUGCCGAAUGUUGCUAAGUAAGCCUAGAGAUUCUCGAACAAGAGAAGAGAGCAAUUGAGCCAAAGAAACUUGUAUUGCACAAAGAGAGAUUACAAUGCUUGUUGGAUACAAAUGCCUAAUGCCAUCCCAUAUUUAUAGGGGAGGCUUUGUCAAACUUGGCCUAACUUUGCCAAACUUUGCCAAACUCUAGAGUAUUCUACAAUUUCCUAGCUAUUUACAUGUGCUGGAAUUGUAUAAAGAAUUCUAGAAUAUUUACAUGUUCACAUGUGCUAGAGUUUCCUAGAACCUUCCGGAAUUGGGCCAAGCUAGCACUCUUGGCUUUGUGUUGGCUCUCUAGCCCGAAAUUGAGGCAAUUGGGCUAGCGAAUUGGGCAGUCCGCAACAUAAGUCUCACAUUCGCAACCGCCCCACAUAUCAGAACCACAGCGAACUGCCUCCGACCCUUCGGACCCAAAAAAAUGAUUGUAUUCCUGCUCUUUCACUUUAAUAAUUUUUUGUAUUAUUCCAUAUCUUUCACUUUAAUAACCCAAAAGCUUUCCUCUGUUUCAACCCAAAAGCUCAAAUUCCUUUUUUCAAUCGAAAAUUGUGUUUGCCUAAUUUUUUAACCAUUUUUAUAUGUCCGUUAAACUUGACAGCCAAUGUGGUCUAUUCGCUAAACAGAGUAAACGAUAACAAUCAAUGGAAAUUGAAACAAAACCCACCAAUCAACAAAACAGAAUAGCCGAGGAAUCCAAUUUCAGGAAACAGCAGUUUCAAAACUCACCAGAGACAAAUGAUAAAACGAAGCUACGCCGUUCCUCGAUCGGUGAUAACUGGCUACAAGGUUUCUUCGCAUUCGUUGGCCUAAUUUUUUAACCAUUUUUAUAUGUCCGUUAUGCUUGACAGCCAAUGUGGUCUAUUCGCUAAACAGAGUAAACGAUAACAAUCAAUGGAAAUUGAAACAAAACCCACCAAUCAACAAUGUGGUCUAUUCGCUAAAUGGUUAAAAAAUCUAACCUUUGUUCACAAUAAUUGUAUUUGCCUCACUGUUUUUGUUUUAUGAGAUCUAUAAUUGAUCUUGGGAUAUUACUUUCUAGUUCUCAUGCAAGCAAGUUACUACCUUCCCACUGCAUCUCCUCCUUUAUCUGCUAUUCAAGAGUUGCGUGCCAUAAUCUGGUGUUACCUCUGCAAGAUUGUGAAUGAAUAUAACGCCUCUAAAUUUAUUUUAUACAUAAUGCUGAUGCUGAAUAAUAUAUUGUAGCUCCUGUCAUAUUCUACUUUGACUUUUUAUAUUCUGUUUCAUAUAAAAAUCUUAUUCAACUUUAGUUGUUCAUGAGCAAAUGUCACAUGUAUAAGCCCAAAUGAUGUUUAAAGGUAGCGCGGCUACCUUUAGUUUGAGCUGACAAUGGAUGAAAAAGAUAUUGAAACUGAUAUUUUGCUGUUUUUCUGAUUUUUCAAAGUAUUUUAGAUCCUGACUUUUGUUAAGUUGUUUCCAACACCUCGUGCCAAAUGAAAGCACAAUCUUUCUGAUUCAGAUGUCUUGUUAAUUAUGCUUCAUUUUUUCAUUAAAGAUUGGAUGGUUACAUGGAUUGAUGGAGUUGGAGUUCAACCAAUAAUUCUAAUUUUUUGGACUUAAAAUGCCUUUUUCUUCUGUAUAAAAACUUUAGUAAGUGCUAUUGAGUUGACAGAAGUUGCAUACUUACAGGUUGUUUCACACUUUUUAGUAGUUUUACAUAUAUGAAUUUCUGUUUUUUGAAUUGCAGAAAGGAGGUGGAACUAUUGAUUUGGAGCCUUAUCUUACUCACUCAUCGACAACGGAGCCUACCCUCACUCCCAUGGCAGUGGAACGGACAACGACUACUAGGGCUGCAACAUCAGUUGGUUUGGGUCUGUUUUGGGUUUAUUGUCAUUUAUUUGGGUAUGUUUUGAUAGCGAAUUUUGAUAUGUCAAUAGAAUGUGUAAUUGUUUUGGGUUGAGCUGGUAAUUAUGCUGGAUUAGAUUGGUUUGGUUUUGGUGCUUCUCUGAUGGAACACUGCUUUUUUUAGAAAUUUUGAAUGUAAUAUGAGACUACAUUUAGUUUAAUUGAACACUGCAUCUAGUCUAAUUACUAGAAGUGUGGCAUUUGGUUUGGUUUAUCCGAUAUUCUCCAGAAUUUCACUUGCAUCUGGUUUUGUUGCAUAUGUUUGUUUGCUUGCAUUUGAUGGCAGUAGCAGACUGUUUGUUUUUGUGACAUUUGAUGGCAGUUUGGUCUGUUCUUGGUGUUGAUUUAAGAUUCUUCCUGUUGUGCUGAUGUUAAUUGCAGGUGCUUGAAUCAGCUAGGGUUGCUGGUUUAUUCAGAUGGUUGACUCAGGCGUUGCUACUGGUUAAUUCAGGUGGCUGACUCAAGUUGUUCAUUUAAUGUUAGGAAGCAAAUUAGGAAUUAAUGAAGUAUUCAUUUAACUAUAAUUAUUGUAGUUAUUUUAUUUCAUAACUGAAUUAUAAUCUAUGAUACUUGUGAACAAAUUAGAGAAUUUUUAUAUAUGAAUUAUAUAUAUGUGUGUGUAUGUACAUUUUGCUAUUUAUAUAAUAAUUUAAAGAAUAUAUUUCAAUUCCCACAAAAAAAAGGCUCCAAUUUCAAUAAUUCCCGCCAAAUAAUUAAAUUUUUUUAAUUUACCACCAAAAUAUAUCUUAAGUUAUUCUUGCUAGAUUUAACAAAAAUAAUUUGUAGGAUUAACAUUUAAUUAAAAUAAUUAAAUAAUUUUAUUAUUCCAAUUAAAUAUGUCAUGCUUAUACGACAGACAAUAAUCAUGAAUGGGAAGUAUUAGUAACAUAUUCUUCCUUGGGAUUUCAGGCAAAUGAAAAAAAGAUUGAGAAUGAUUUCAAGAGGACAGGUGGAUGAUAAAUAUUCAUUUUUGUAUAUUUGGCUAAUGUCCUCAUUAGUGGAUUUUUAUGGUAUUGAUCUUUUUCUUUUUUUAAAAAAAUUUUCAAUUAGUUGCAGCCCUAGAGGAAGAGCAGGCUGAUCAAAUUGAUUUGUCUUGUUUUUCGGGCAAUCUACGACACGAUGACCGUGAUAAUGCUCGUGACUGCUGGAAACUUUCUGAUGGAAAUAACUUUAGAGUUCGUAGCAAGCAUUUUUGUUAUGACAAAACAAAGGUUCCCCCAUAUUUUGUUUGUUUGUUAUGGUAUUUAUAUAUCCUGCAUAGGCUAGGUAGACAGGUUAUGAUGUAGUUUGGUUGGCUCUUCUUGUGCUUUGUGCAAUUUGUAACUGCAGAUACCUGUGGUAAAACAUUUAAUGGAUCUUGUUGCUGUUGAUUGGUUCAAAGACACAAAGAGAAUGGACCAUGUAGCUAGGCGUCAAGGCUGUGCUGCACAAGUAACUAUUCUUUUCUUUUUAUUUAAAAAAAUAAAACACAUUGCCAACAAGGAUCUCUUCAUUGAACAUGUGUCUAGUUCUGAUAAGCUAGCUGAUGUGCUUACCAAACCUCUGAGUUUUGAUCAUUUUGCCUAUAUGCAAACUAAGGUCAAUGUCUGCCCAUGACCUUGAGCUUACGGGGGCAUUUUAAGAAUAACAUAUGCUGAGUCAUCAAGCCAUGCUGGAAGUCAGUUUUGCAGUUAGUUAGAGAGCUUAUCAGCUUCCCUCCAAAAGUUUGUUAUGUGUAUUAGAAUCUGGGCUCACGAGUUUUGUGAGAUUGUAACCUUGAGAAGAUUCUCACACUACUAUAAAUUGUAUUGUGACUCAAUUAAUAAAAUAAGUUGAAGCUUUGCAUUUUCUCUCAGUCAAAAUUUUCUCUCUAUUUUUCUAAGUAACCAAACAAGAUCUACAGAGCAUUUUGUAUUUUAACUGGAGCGGCUGAUUGGUGCUGUACGUGUUACAUUUUUACUUUUUUAACUCAAGUCUGCUGUUGUCCCAAAGUUGGAACUAGAGAUAUCAUUUCACCUCAACUGUGUUUUUUUUUUAAUUAAAAAAAUCAUUUGUUUUAGGUAUACAUACAUGUAUUUUAAUUCUAUUUUCCUUGUAAUUUCUCCUUUACUUUGAAUGAAAGUCAUUGGUGUUUUCGAAUGGGAAUUUUGCAUUAAAAAAUUAAGAAUAGUUAAUAGGAAAUUUCCUGAUUCUUUAGUUACUAUUUUUGGUAUGAGUGUAAUUAGUAGUAAAGUUGGUUUCUACUCGCAAACAAGUGAACUGCUCGAUUCCCAAGUGCUAUUAACCAGUUUCCAACUUUUUAAUAUACACUAAUUGUUCCUGUUUAAUAGCUACUACUAUUAAAACUCAACAGCUAACAAAAAUACUAAAAAAAAAUGAUUUUUUCUUAUGAUGCUGUGAAAAAAAUUACGGGUUUACUUAUUUCCACGAGAUCUUGUAUAGUGUUCUUGUAUAGUGGAAUUAAGAUUGUCUUCCCGAUGGUGCAAUUCACCCUCUUCCUUUACAGUCACUUGCACUUUGUGCAGCUUUGGUGUGGAUAAGAUUCCCAGGGAAAAAGUCUUCAUGUUCGGACAAUGUGUCACAAAUACUCGUUCCAAUGAUGGGAAUUCAAGAGUGUAAUUCUCCAAACAAAAGCUGGUAAGCCUUGGUAAAUCAUCAAGUUCCAAAAGUUUUAAUUCUUUGAAAGCAAUACGAUUCUCCUUCGUUUCUUCUCCAGCAUGUCCUACGAUUUGUUCUAAUUUUUUGCAGUUCCAUACAUAAAGAUUCACCAGACUAGUAGGAAUUCCAACCUGAAAAUAAGCAGAGAGUGUGUGUGUGUGUUAAAAAAGUAAAAAUGUAAGAGUGUCAUUCAACUAAGCUCAAAGUAUGUUUGAUAAUACAAUUAUACGUUUUAUGAACAUAACAAACUGUGAAAUGUCUACUAGAUAUUUUUUGUUAAACAAAAAACGUAACAAGAUAAAUAAAUAAAUAAAUAAAAGCCAGAUAAACAAAGAUGAUAAAAAUGUAUUUACACUAUUUAGUAUUAGGGACGUAGAAAGAAUUUAAGGCAAUUUCUAAAUAUUUUAGACUUAUUUUGCAUCUUGAUAUAAGUUUUUAAGCAUAAAUUUGCACAUUUCAACUAUUCCUUUAAAAAGAACUCAACUAAAAUGCCUCUUUUUCCCUUUUCCUUGGUCCCCUUUUUUUUAUAUAUAUAUAAAAAUGGAAAAAAAAAUUUGGAAAAGACUUCUUAGUACUGUCAACAAGGGAUUGCUGUAAAGUGGAUCUUUAUUAAGUACUUCCAGACUCGAGGAAAUUUCUUUACAAUCUCAAAAAAAUAGUAAACAAUCAUGAAUUUGUGGUUAAUUAAUGGCAUAAUCAAUUCUUAACUAAACUGGAGAUAUUAAUUAAAUUUGAAGACUUUUUUUUUCCGAUCGAAAUGUGAAGAACUAUGGAACAGAGAAAUAUAUAGAUGAAUUUGUGAACUUAUAAGAUGAGUGACUAUCCUUUAAUUUUUGAAAAUCGUACUUAUUAAGAUAUGAGCAAAAACAAUUAAAUUGAAUUAUAUUAUGCUGUUGAAUCUGUUUAAAAAAAUUAUAUUGUUGAUUCUAAUGCUGGUGAACCUAAAAACUAGACUUAAAACGUAGAUUUCAGAGUGGUGGUUUGAAGUACAAUAUUUGAAAUAAAUAAUUAGUGGCUGAAUAUCAUUUGUAAACACAGAAAUGAUUAAAAAAUUGUUGAAUGUUAUUUGAAAAAAAAAAUCGAAAUGAAUACAGAAACCUUACCAAUGGAGGAAAAAUAUUCAUUAGGUUAUCACACUCUUCUAUCUCCAAAUUCUUCAAUUUCCUGAAAGACUCUGAAGCAAGCUGGUGGUGCCAUAUUGUUCUUAGGUUAUCCAUCCACGCAAUAUAUAAUACCUCCAACCUAGGAAGUCGUACCUGGCAGUUAAAGAUUAAAUAACUAAUUAAUCAAUUAAUGGCAUAAUCAAUUGAUAACUAAAUUAGAGGCGGAUAUUAACUAAAUUUGAAGACUCAAGGAAAAGACAAAUCAAGUAUUGUGACUAAAAUUAUUUUUUUAAUUAAAAAAAAAACCUUUUCAUCAAAGAGAGGAGGAGGUUGCAUUUCAGAAUGAAUGGUAUCUUCUGGUGAGCUCGUAGAGAUGAAUCUUAACAUAUUACUGCAACAACCAAUCAUGAGGUUUAGCAAAGAAGGGAAUUCAACAACUAAAUCUGUAUGAAUAUGUCCCAUAUUGGCAAAGCUACUUAGUCUUGGAAGCCAUUCUAGCUGCAGGGAGUGUAGCUUAGGAAAAACCUUUAAUUCAAUCAACUUUCCUUCAUCUCUUUCUGACCAUCCCGUGGUGUCGACUACCCCUUCCAUUGACUCACAAUAGCUUAUCUCAAGAUGUUGGAGUUGCAAAAGGCUAUUAACCAUAGAAUAUGAAAACAGAUACUUCAGACGAUAACACCUUUCCACAGUCACUUUUGUUAAAUUUUGACAACAGUACAUUCUUUGAUUAUGAUCGGCCCAUAAUUUUUUCAUGUUUCUUAAGUCCCUGAGAUUCAAUUCCUCUAAGCUCGGAAGAAUAACCUGCAAAGAAAACCCGUACAUUUUUGUUCCUUCAAGUACAACCGUCUAGUAUAAUAUUCUUUUGAUGAUCGAAGAUUAAUCGUGAUAAUAAAUUAAUCAAUUAAUUAUUGAACAGAAAAUUAUCACCUUUGGAGCAGGAUCAUCAUCAGCAAUGAGUUCCUUGAAUCCCAAAGAAGUUGUUGGUUUGUCCAUGUCGGGUCCUAUAAACAAACAAAAACAAUAUACAUAAUUAAUCUUUGUCGUUGUCUUUUUUUUAAAAAAAUAAUUGAGGCGAAGUCCAUAAAUCCACCAACACUUAAUUUCAACACUUACCAACAAUCAUUUCCAGAUCAUCGCAAAAAAACACUUCUACCUUUUGAAGCCGCAGUAGGUUUUUGGCCAUGGAGAAUGAGAAAAGAUGCUUCAAUUCGUGACAGUCUGAUACUUUUAUAAUCCUUAAGUUGCUGAAAGAUUGAUCUUCUGUGAGUUGGAUGUCACAUAUUGUCUCCAAAUUGAUCAAACGACGAAGAGACAAUGACUCCAGCAAGGGGAAGACUUUGCGACGAACCCGUCCAACUGAACAGACAAUAUGCAAAAUCUCAGAACAACUUUUUACAGAAAGAUGCUUCAAUCGUGGAAAACCUUCCCCAUCAUCUAAUUCAUGAACAACAUUCUGAACACCCUUCAGUUCUCCUAGAUAGAGAUAUUCAGUUCUCUUCAACAACAGUUUCAUCCUGUAAUUCUGCAAAAGAAUGCCAAACUUUUCUAGCCCCUGGAGCUUCAUCAAUCUUGAUAAUCCAGUUUUAACGGACCAGCUGCUCCACCACUUAUUUCCUAUACAUAUCUUAUAGCUUUGCAAUUCCACAGAGACCAAAUCCUGCGGUAGAAUUUCGGCAUCCCGAACGUGUAUCUCCAAAGUAGUUAGCUUUGACAACCCCUUCAACUCAACAAGACUGGCGUUACUUCCUCCUUCAACCUUCUCCCACAGUGAAAAGCUGUUACCAAUAUAUAGUUCUUCUAAUCGAGAUAAUUUUGAUAUGACAUUUGGAGCUAUCACCACAAGGCUGCUACAAUUGCUCAAAUCUAGCAACUGUAAUCUCGUCAAUUGUCCAAUUACAAGUGGCAACUCCUUAACAUCAGAAUCUCGGAAGCUGAGAAUCUCUAAUUUCCUUAGCUGUCCAAUUAUAGUUAUAUCGUUCAGUCGGCAACCAUCUAAACAUAAUGUUUGAACGUUAAUGAGGCAACCAAGUGAUGAAGGUAAUGAAGAGAAAAAUAUUCCAGUAAAAUCUAAAACUUUGAGUUCUUCUGUCCCUUCAAAAAAGAGGUCUGAAAUUUGCAAAGAGCUAUCACGCUUUGAAAACAACAAAAGAACUCGAGACGGGGACAUUCCAACCUUUCGGGAAGCUCUUGAAUAUCUCUAUAAGGUAAAGAAAUAGCUAUUGGACCUUCCCGUAUUGUCUCUUCCAUCUUUUUCUCCACGUAGGCAACAUUUGGAAUAUUAAACAUGAGCUCCUCUUCUGCAAUUGAUACAGUAACAGCAUGAAUGAUGUCAUGCAUUUUAACUUCAUCUUCGGCAUCACUGUCCAACAAUAAGCACGAAGAUUUGAGUUUGCCGAUCAACGUAUGCACUCUACUCCUUGCUUCUUCCAGUGUGUAAACGUUUUUAAAAUAGCCCAUACCCAUACCAUAUCUCAAUAAGUCAGAAACAUGUAUACCACGACCUUCAUUAUAUAGACCACAAAGAAGGAACAGAGAUUUUGCUUCCUUACUUCCCAGUAAGUCGUAACUCAAUUUUAUGGAGAUGUACACAUUUCUUUCCAUUCCAUCAAUUUCUUUUGCAUUGGAACUUCUUAGCUGACGCAGCACAUCCUUCCAAGUGUCAAGCCUCUCAUUUUUCAAAGCUUUUGCAAGUGUAAUCAGUGCAACAGGCAAUCCUCCGCAUUUUUCAACGAUCUCAUCUGCUAAAGGUUGAAAAGCAGAUGCUUUUGCAGAAUUACACACUAUCUUUCCAAACAAUUGCAAUGCUUCUUCCUUUGAUAAAACUUCAAUUGAGAAAUCCUUCUGAGAUUUCAUAUCAUUGCGCAAUAAAUCUCGACUUCUAGACGUCAAUAUUAUUGUGCGUCUUCUCCGAUCGUCCUCUCUAUCUUUCUCAUCAACAUCCCCAUAAGGAAUUCCAACUGUAUCGAACUCAAGUUUUGUCCAAAUAUUAUCCAGUAUAAUGAGGAGCCGCUUCUCUUGCUUCAACCUUUGACACAGUCGAGAAGCUCUUUGAAAUUCAUUCUCAUUCAAGUCAAAUUCCAUGCCUAAAUCAAAAGCAAGUUUGUCUUGAAUUUUAUGAUGAUCUGGGGUCUGUGUUAUCUCAGCCAUAACGAACUUAUCGAACAACUUAUCUUCCAUCACUUGGUUUGCAACUUGUUUGACCAGCGUGGUUUUGCCCACGCCGCCCAUCCCAUAGACCCCAAUUAUGUUGACUUUGUCAUCCUUCACCGCCUCCACAACAUCUUGAAAUACUUUCAUUCUUGAAUCAAACGCCUCGAAAUCUUUCACUUGCAUAUGUUCUGCCCGCUUUGGAGCAGGACGGUAGGAAACAUUGGAGAAGUUGCCUUUUCCCACGAGACUAGCGGCAGCUUCUGCCGCCUUUGCUGCUUGUUUACUAAGCUUGUAACGAGAAAUCAAGUUUGGGCAUAAUCCUUUGAAGCAGGACUUCUUAGCUCUAUCUUCAUCAUCAAUGACGGAUUUUGCAACCCCUUCACUGAUGAAUUCAUUAACGCUAUGUAGCCAGUCUGUGACACCCUCAUAAAGCUCAUCCCCUUGUAGCCUAGCAUGAUUAACUGGUUGCUGCACCAUUUCUCUCUUAUAUCCCAGCUGCUUCACUUGAACUUUUAGCUCAUCUAUGUAGCUCUGGUACUUGAACACAUAAGAUAUCUGCCGUGUAAUCGGGUUGAACAGUGACUUUGCACCUUCUGAUACACAGUUGGUUAAAAAAGCGAGACACGCUUCUAUAGCCAUUGCCUGUUGCUUAACAAUAUAUAUCUAGUUUUUUGGCUGUUGAAAAAAAAAAAUGGAUUCAAAUAAAUUAAAUGAACUAGCGGGGAAGAAAAAGAAAGAAACGACAACAAACAACUUUUUAGAAAAAGGUUUCAGGGGCCUGAAUGGAAAACCAACAAUUUUUUGAGGAAAGAAAACUUUUUUGGAAGAUGGAUGCAAAUUAACCAUUAAUAAUACUGCAUAAGAACACAGAAGUUGACAAUAAACAGUAACUUAAAACUCAAGAAAAUUAAAUGACAAGAUUAAGACAAACAAGAGAUAGUUUUUGUCGGACAUUAAGAAACAACUGCUAUCAAGAUCAAAGAUUAGAAAUUAUGCUAUUGAAAGAAAUUAUUAAAGUAUUUAGAACAAACGCACCUCUUCAAUUAUCUAGGAUCACGGAGUUUAUGAGCUUCACUCUUGGCCUUCGAUUUAUAAGAAAAAAUUUAAUGAGCAAAAGAUCACUGUUGACUGCAGAAGAAUGUGAGUAAGCAAUACAAUUGAAUUGUAAAAGAACAAGACUUAAAGCGUGCACCCCGUGUUCAUAUAAACAGAACACAUGUUCAUUUUUAACAAAGUGAUCAAUAACUAUAUUCGUUAUUUAAUUGAUAUUGUAACCAAUUCUAAGAGAAUAUAAUAAUAAUCAUUCAAUCCAUAAAUUUAGAAUUAGAUUUUUUUAACUCUUUAUUUAAAUAUAAACCUUAAUGGAAAAUUAUAAAAGUUUAGAGAUAAAAUUUUUCAAUCACCAAACGAAAAAAACAGGGGAAUGAAAACAGAGGAAUCUUGUUUUAACUAUUUUUUUUUCCUCAACUCUUGUUCUUAUAUUAAUAAUCUUGUUUUGAUGAUAGUGCUCGUGACUGCGGGAAAAUUUGUACUGGAAACAACUCAAUUUCGGAAGAAAACUUAAUUUUGCAAGUGAUGAAUUUGAACUCGUUGGAUUGGUUGAUUUAUGAUUGACUGAAUUUCACUUUUGCCCAAAAGAUCUUUAACCAAAGUUUAAUAGCCAUCAUGUACUCCUUAAAAGCAAUUUUUUUUUUUAGAUUUGACUGAAUUUGAACUUGUUGGAUUGGUUGUUUUUAGAUUAUUAAUAUGAGAUAUUACAACGUAAAUAUUUUCAUGUGGUUGAGCCCUAUUCUAAAAUCUGUAUAGUUAGCUUUAGAAAAAGGGCUUUUCCUGCUGAUCUGUAAUCUUCAAAUAAACUUAGAUACAAAUAAUGAAAUAAAAGACAACAAACACGCNNNNNNNNNNNNNNNNNNNNNNNNNNNNNNNNNNNNNNNNNNNNNNNNNNNNNNNNNNNNNNNNNNNNNNNNNNNNNNNNNNNNNNNNNNNNNNNNNNNNNNNNNNNNNNNNNNNNNNNNNNNNNNNNNNNNNNNNNNNNNNNNNNNNNNNNNNNNNNNNNNNNNNNNNNNNNNNNNNNNNNNNNNNNNNNNNNNNNNNNNNNNNNNNNNNNNNNNNNNNNNNNNNNNNNNNNNNNNNNNNNNNNNNNNNNNNNNNNNNNNNNNNNNNNNNNNNNNNNNNNNNNNNNNNNNNNNNNNNNNNNNNNNNNNNNNNNNNNNNNNNNNNNNNNNNNNNNNNNNNNNNNNNNNNNNNNNNNNNNNNNNNNNNNNNNNNNNNNNNNNNNNNNNNNNNNNNNNNNNNNNNNNNNNNNNNNNNNNNNNNNNNNNNNNNNNNNNNNNNNNNNNNNNNNNNNNNNNNNNNNNNNNNNNNNNNNNNNNNNNNNNNNNNNNNNNNNNNNNNNNNNNNNNNNNNNNNNNNNNNNNNNNNNNNNNNNNNNNNNNNNNNNNNNNNNNNNNNNNNNNNNNNNNNNNNNNNNNNNNNNNNNNNNNNNNNNNNNNNNNNNNNNNNNNNNNNNNNNNNNNNNNNNNNNNNNNNNNNNNNNNNNNNNNNNNNNNNNNNNNNNNNNNNNNNNNNNNNNNNNNNNNNNNNNNNNNNNNNNNNNNNNNNNNNNNNNNNNNNNNNNNNNNNNNNNNNNNNNNNNNNNNNNNNNNNNNNNNNNNNNNNNNNNNNNNNNNNNNNNNNNNNNNNNNNNNNNNNNNNNNNNNNNNNNNNNNNNNNNNNNNNNNNNNNNNNNNNNNNNNNNNNNNNNNNNNNNNNNNNNNNNNNNNNNNNNNNNNNNNNNNNNNNNNNNNNNNNNNNNNNNNNNNNNNNNNNNNNNNNNNNNNNNNNNNNNNNNNNNNNNNNNNNNNNNNNNNNNNNNNNNNNNNNNNNNNNNNNNNNNNNNNNNNNNNNNNNNNNNNNNNNNNNNNNNNNNNNNNNNNNNNNNNNNNNNNNNNNNNNNNNNNNNNNNNNNNNNNNNNNNNNNNNNNNNNNNNNNNNNNNNNNNNNNNNNNNNNNNNNNNNNNNNNNNNNNNNNNNNNNNNNNNNNNNNNNNNNNNNNNNNNNNNNNNNNNNNNNNNNNNNNNNNNNNNNNNNNNNNNNNNNNNNNNNNNNNNNNNNNNNNNNNNNNNNNNNNNNNNNNNNNNNNNNNNNNNNNNNNNNNNNNNNNNNNNNNNNNNNNNNNNNNNNNNNNNNNNNNNNNNNNNNNNNNNNNNNNNNNNNNNNNNNNNNNNNNNNNNNNNNNNNNNNNNNNNNNNNNNNNNNNNNNNNNNNNNNNNNNNNNNNNNNNNNNNNNNNNNNNNNNNNNNNNNNNNNNNNNNNNNNNNNNNNNNNNNNNNNNNNNNNNNNNNNNNNNNNNNNNNNNNNNNNNNNNUAAACUUUUUUUUGGGGGGGGGGGGGGGGAGCAUGCAAAUUUACCAAAAGAAAUAAUAAGAGCACAGGCUUUAACAAUGAAUAGUAACUUAAAACUCAUGCAAAAUAAGUUACAAUAUGAAAACAAACCAGAGAAAAUUUUUUCUUGGAAAGUAGAUGGAACUUAAGAAAGAGCAGAUGUCAAGAUCAAGGAUCAGGGAUUCUACUAUUAAAAAAAAAAAAAAAUUAUUCAAGGAUUUAGAAAACGUGCACCUCUUUAAUUAUCUGGGAUUAGAGAGUUGGUGAGCUUCUCUAUUUGGCCUUCAAUAUUUAAGAACAAGUUGAAAGAGGAAAAAGAUCACUGGUAACUGCUGAGGAAUGUGUGAGAAAAGAGUUGAUGAGAGCAAUAACAAUGACCUGCAAAAGAAAAAGAAUUAGUCACGCACCGCUUUUCUAUAUCAUGUAUUUGGUUAUUGUUGCCCUGUUGACGCAUGUUGAAGAAGAAAGCACUAGUACACAACUCUAUGUUUUCAUAUAUUCUAAAGAAAUAAUUAAGUUUUCAUAGAAUAAUACCUGUUGUGUUUGAAUAAUUUGGUAUCUACAUUGCUUGUGUACUGUGAAAUUGAAAUGAAUAUUGAUUGACAGAGCAAUGUAUAUACCUAAUAAAACAUAAAGCAAAUCCUUGAACGAAUGAUUCGGGACUAAAACUUUUAUAAAAGCAAAUACCGGAAACACACAAAAAGCAUUUAAGAUAGAAACUAAACAGCAAAUAAUCGAAGUAAGAUCAAUAAUAUAUGAUUUGAUUUAUGCAUAUUCAAAAACCAAAAUUUAAAAUAAAAUAAAAAAUAAAGUUUGAUUUAUUCUUUCCACAAAAAACAGGGGAGUGAAAACAGAGGCAGCUUGUUUUACCAAUUUUUUCUUCUUAAUUUCCGGCAAAAAAAAAAAUUCAAUAAACAGGGGAAUGAAAACAAAGGAACGAAAACAGAGGAAACUUGCUUUUCAGGCUAUCUUGUGACAUGAUGAUAUUGCUCGUGAAUGCAUGAAAAUUUCUAAUGCAAACAGCUCAAUUUGGGAUGAUAAGCUUAAGUUUGCAAGUGAUGCAAGUAAAUAAGUUUUUGCGGUUAAUUGAAUCUUUAAUACUCUGGGCCCUAUUCUAAAAUUUGUAGGUUGCUUCAGAAGAAAGGGCGGUUCUCACUCAUCUUUAAUCUCCAAGUAAAAUUAGAUACAAAGCAAAUCUAAUAAAAUGACAAACAAACAAACAAAACAAAGAAAAGACAGGAGGCAAACAACAUUGAUCUUAAGCCAACUGAUAUUUAAACAGAGAAUUCUUUUCUUUUAUUUUUUUAACCACCUUUUGCUCAAGGAUUAGAGUUUUUAUAUUAACAGAAAGGUUUCAGGGGUCUGAAUAAAAGCCCACAAUUUCUCUAAUUGUUUUUUUUUUUUUUUUUUUGGGAAAAAUGGAUGCAAAUUAUCCAAAGCUAAUAAUAAGAACACAGACAUUACAAAUGAACAAUAACUUAAAACUCAAGCAAAAUAAAUGACAAGAUGAAAACAAACAAGAUAAAUUUUUUCUUGGAAAUUAGAUGGAAAUUAAGGACUGCUAGUAAAAGAUAUUAUUAGAUGAUUUAGAACAUGUGUACCUCUUUAAUUGUCUGGGAUCAAAGAAUUGAUGAGCUUCUCCAUUCGCAUUGAAUAUUAAGUAAGAACGGGUAUUCAAAGAAAUUAUUAGGAAAAAUUUUAAUGAGUAAAAGAUCACUGUUAACUGCAGACGAAUGUCCUAGUAAAAUGUUGAUUUGUGUAAUAACAAUGAAUUGCAAAAGAAGAAAACUUAAUCAUGCACCCCUUUUAUACCCGAGUUUUAAGAUUUAAUUUUUGAAGUUCAGAAUCAAGACCAAAAGCCGAAGCUUUAACAAGGCAUGCAGUGAGAUACAAGAAAUGGAUCGGGUAAAAUACUUUAAAAAAUGUUGUUCAACUCAAUUAACUUGAAGAAAGCACUAAUUUCAUAUGUUCUAAUGAAAUAAUCAAGUUAAAAGUUUUCAACGAAUAAAUACCUGUUGCGCUUGAAUAAUUUUGGCAUAUACAUUACUUGUAUCCUGUGAAAUUGAAAAGAAUAUUGAUAUGCAGAGCUUAUUAGUAGAGAGAAAGCUUUGUAAGAUGCCUGAUAAAAGAGAAACCAAAAGCUUGAAUGAGGAAUGACAUCUUAGAAAGAAACUAAACAUCAAAGUAGGAUCAAUAAUGACUUGAUUUAUGCUUUUUUGUUAUUUCAUUUGUUCUGUCAACAAAUGAUGCCUCGUUAUUACGAGUUCCAACCUGGACGUUAUGCACAAAUUGUUUUUAUGUUUAACAGAAAAAAAUGAAAGCAGGUCACCAUACAAAAUUGCAUGAACAAAUCUUCAAUUUAAUGAUUAUAAAAUAAAAUAAAUUUUAUUAAUAGAUUAUGGGUAUGUUAACGUUAGGGAUUUGAUCAGAUGAUCAUAUGAUUUACUAAACGCUUUAACAAGAACAAGAAAAAGAAUUAAUGGGUUAAAAAAAAUUUAAAAAUAAAAUAAGAGAGAAGUAAAGAACUUAUUUGCAAUUACCAAACUGAAAAAAUGCGAAAUGAAAACAAGGGAGCCCUGUUUUUCCUCACAUUUUUUUUCUCUCUUUUUCAAGUGGUGAGAAUGAUAGCAGAAAAUGCGAGCUCACUAUUUUCAUUUGUUGGCCUAAAAGCCUUCCUCCAAGAGAUGCAUAAAUUUUAUUUGUACAUUUGUUCCAUUUUAAGUACACAUUGUUGCAUGCAUUUUGAACUGUAUUAUCAAUCCUUUUUGUUUUCAGUUGGUUAGUUCAUAAUAACAAAUGAAUUAUAUUAUUUUGCAUGGAUCGAAAUUUAACUUUCCCUCUUUAUUUGUCCCACAACUAAAUAGUCUCAUCUUUUGUAGUAAGCUCGCAGUACGUACGGGGAACUACUGUAUGGGUGCUUUAGCCUAAAAUGAAGAUCUAUUAAAAAUUUCCCUAAUAUCAUGAUAUUAAACAUUAAAUAAUAUCAACAUUUUGACUUCCAUUUUGUUUUUUGGAUGGAGGAUGUUCCAUCUUCUAUUUUAGGUGCUUUGUAAGACUUUUAAUUGAACAAUUGAUGCAAUCAGUAACAAAGGCUUUACUUACAUAUGCAAGUAAAAUUUGCAGGUUGCUUCAGAAGAACGGGCAGUUCUCACUCAUCUUUAAUCUCCAAGUAAAAUUAGAUACAAAGCAAAUCUAAUAAAAUGACAAACAAACAAACAAAACAAAGAAAAGACAGGAGGCAAACAACAUUGAUCUUAAGCCAACUGAUAAUUAAACAGAGAAUUCUUUUUUUUUUUAACCUUUUGCUCAAGGAUUAGAGUUUUUACAUUAACAGAAAGGUUUCAGGGGUCUGAAUAAAAGCCCACAAUUUCUCUAUUUUAUUUUUAUUUUUAUUUUUUGAAAGGAGCUUCACUAUUGGCCUUGAACAUAUAAGAAUAAGCAAAAGAUCAAUGUCAACUGCAAAGGAAUGUGAGUAUGUCAAAGUCAUGGGCGGUUUGGCACCAUUAACAUAUUUCAAAAUGGCCACCCUAAUUGAAGGAAAUUAAAGGCCAAGUAGAUGCCGCCCAAGGAAAGAAACAAAAGAGAAUGAAGAAAAAGAAGAAAGAGAGAAGAAAAAGAGAUGUCGGGCCGAAGAAGGAAAAGAAAAGAAAAAUUAAUAAAAUAAUAAUAAUAAUUAAAUAUUAAACAAAUAGUAGCUAAUUUUGGCUAUAAAACCGCUAGCUCCCUUCAUUUGUAAAUCAUCUAGUUCUUCAGUUCUUUUCUUUAUUUAGAGAGCGAUUUUAAGAGUCUAGUGAUUUGAGAGUUUAGGUGUAUUGGGAUUUUGGGUAGUGAGCUAAAAUACCACAAUACUUGUAACUUCUUUUCACUAGUAAAAUACUUUCCUUCUGUUUUCACCUGUGAACGUAGGCUAAAAGCUGAACCACGUAAUUUCUUGUGUCUAUUUUUUGUACUUGUUCUUUAUUUUCUUCCAAUUUCACUUUAGCUGCGUGUUUGCUUCACUCACCAAUUUUGUAAUAGUGAAUCAGAGCUAUUAGUUGUAUUUUUUGGAGUCGGGUACUGUUCACGUAAGGGGUACUAUUCACGUAUAUGGCACUGUUCACGUAUACGGUACUAUUCACGUAAAACGAUGGGAGGAUCCAAGAAUUUUGCGGUGCAAAGCAGGGAAUAGUGGUGUGAGUAAAACAACUGUGUGGUUUUGUACAUGUCUAGGAAAGUUCUAUCACAAAGGCGAUAAGAGCUUAAGGAGUCUGGGUUUUAAGUGGGACCAUUGUGACCCCUCCAAUGUUUCCUGGGAACUUUCUUGGUGUGCAUUCUCACACAUACUCACAACUAUUCAAGGUGGUACACUUGCUUGUGUGCGGUAUUUAUCAAUAAAAUGGCGGCAAAGUAUGAAAUUGAGAAAUUUAACGGAAACAAUUUUUCAUUGUGGAAAAUGAAGAUGAAAGCUGUAUUGAGAAAAAAUAAUUGCUUAGCAGUAAUUGGAGAAAGGCUUUUGGAGAUAACUGAUGACAAGUGGAACGAGAUAGAUGGCAACACCAUUUCUGAUCUACACUUGGCACUUGCAGAUGGAGUAUUAUCUAGUGUGGCAGAGAAAAAUACAGCGAAGGAAAUAUGGGAUACUCUCACAAAAUUGUAUGAGGCUAAGUCACUACACAGCAAAAUCUUCUUAAAGAGGAAACUUUAUACUCUUCGAAUGGUGGAAUCUACAAUGGUGAUCGACCACAUCAACACCUUGAAGACUCUAUUUUCACAACUCACAACGUUGGGUCAUAAUAUAGAGGAGAAUAAACAUGUAGAGCUUGUACUUCAAAGUCUACCAAAUUCGUAUGAUCAACUCAUCAUCAACCUAACGAACAACAAUCCAGCGGAUAGUCUAGUUUUCGACGAUGUUGCAGCUUUCCUAUUAAAUGAGGAGAGCAGGCGAAAAAAUAAGAAAAACAGACAAGCAAUUUCGCAGCAAGCGGCGGUGCUAUCGGUGACGAGAGGGAGAUCAACGGAACGUGGCCCUAGUGGGAGUCAAAAUCAUAGUAAAUCAAAAUCCAGAAGUAAGAAGAAUGUUAAAUGCUACAACUGUGGCAAGAAAGGACACGUCAAGAAAGAGUAUUGGAGUAACUAGAAGAGAAAAGAGGAUAAAGAACCUGAGUCAUCAAAUGCUCAGGGGUGUGUAGCAAGUACCUCAGAUGAUAGCGAAAUUCUUUACACUGGGGCAAUAACUAUUUCAGAAGGCAGAAAACGACUAUCUAAUGUCUGGCUUAUAGACUCAGGAGCUACCUGGCACAUGACGGAGAGAAUGGUUCUAGACAUAUGAACCUAUCUCAGGAGGAUCUGUAUAUAUGUGAGAUGAUCAUGCCUUGGAGAUCGCUGGUAUUGGUACUAUCAAAAUAAAAAUAUUUGAUGGUACAAUUCGCACAAUUGGGGAGGUACGACAUGUCAAUGACCUGAAGAAAAAUCUAUUGUCUUUGGGACAAAUAGGCAGUUAUGGGUGCAAAACUCAUGUGGAGAAUGGAAUUAUGAAGAUUGUUAAAGGAGAGCUUGUAUUGAUGAAGGCAGAAAAGAUCGGUGCUAAUCUAUUCAUGCUUAAAGGAGAGUCACUACAGGAGGCUGAUGCGUGUGUCGCAUCAAAUGGAGAAGAGUUAAUGAUGAUGUGACAUCUCAAACUUGGCCACAUGUCGGAACAUUGUUUGAAGAUUCUCUCUGAGCGAAAAUUACUUCCAGGGCUUAAAUCGGUAAGUUUACCUUUUUGCGAGCAUUGUGUUACCAGUAAGCAGCAUAGAUUAAAAUUUAGUAGAUCUAUUCUAGAAGUAAAUAUAUUCUAGACUUGAUUCAUUCUGAUGUUUGGAAAUCACCGGAUAUAUCCAUGGGAGGUGCAAAGUACAUGGCGACUUUCAUUGAUAAUUAUUCCAGAAGAUGUUGUGUGUAUCUAAUUAAGAAAAAGUUAGAUGUAUUUCCAGUGUUUAAAGAAUACAAAGCGCGGGUGAAACUUGAAUCUGGUAAAAAGAUUAAGUGCUUGAGGACGGAUAAUGGUGGAGAGUAUACAGACGGCGAGUUUCUUGCUUUCUGUAAGCAAGAAGGUAUUUAGAGACAGUUCACCAUAGCAUACACUCCUCAACAAAACGGAGUGGCGGAGCGGAUGAACAGAACUCUUACAGAAAGAAUAAGAGCUAUGUUGAGGACUGCUGGUCUACCUAAUUCAUUCUGGGCAGAAGCAGCCAAAACUGCUUGUUAUAUAGUAAAUCGGUUGCCAUCUACAGCUAUUAGGCUAAAGACAACGAUGGAGAUGUGGACUGGAAAGCCAACUGAUUAUUCCUACCUACAUGCAUUUAAAUGUCCUGUGUACGUGAUGUACAAUGCCCAAGAAAGAACAAAGCUGGAUCCAAAAUCUAGAAUAUGUAUCUUCUUGAGAUAUGCUGAUGGAAUAAAGGGGUAUCGUCUGUGGGACCCCACUGCCCACAAGAUCGUUAUCAGCAGAGAUGUUAUCUUCAUAGAAGAUCAACUGCAAAGGAAAGAUGAAGAUGAUAGUAGUGUAAAAGAAAAGUCAGAGACUAUACCGGUAUAUGUGGAAAAUAAUCCAUAAGAUUCAGAUUCUUCUGAAGCAGAACCAGAGCACGAGCAACAAAAACCAGUCGAGUCUGAGGCUCCAGAAGUUCGUCGGUCAACUCGUGAGAGACGACCGCCAAUGUGGCACUCGGAGUAUGUUACAGAGAUCAACGUUGCAUACUGUCUUCUAAUAGAGGAUAGAGAGCCUUUAACUUUCCAUCAAGCUUUAGAAAGCUCAGAUGUUGCUUUGUGGAUGACAGCAAUGCAGGAAGAAAUAAAGCUCUACAUAAUAACAAGACAUGAGAACUUGUACCACUACCACGUGGAAGAAAAGCCAUUGGAAACAAAUGGGUCUACAAAAUCAAACGUGAAGGCAAUGACCAAGUAGAGCGGUGUCGUGCGAGAUUGGUGGUGAAAGGAUAUGCUCAGAAAGAAGGUAUUGACUUCAACGAGAUAUUUUCGCCGGUGGUUUGCCUCACGACGGUCAGAGUAGUCUUGGCAAUGUGUGCUACAUUUGACCUACAUUUAGAGCAGUUAGAUGUGAAAACUACAUUUCUUCAUGGAGAACUUGAAGAAGAAAUAUAUAUGCUCCAACCAGAAGGUUUUGCAGAAACAGGAAAAGAGAACUUGGUUUGCAGGUUGAACAAAUCUUUAUUCGGUCUCAAACAGGCGCUGAGGUGUUGGUAUAAGAGAUUUGAUUCCUUUAUCAUGAGCCUUGGAUACAACAGACUCAGUUCAUACCAUUGUGCAUAUUAUAAAAGGUUUGCAGAUAAUGAUUUCAUUAUUUUACUAUUGUAUGUGGAUGACAUGUUGGUAGCAGGCCCUAACAAAGAUCGAAUCCAAGAAUUGAAGGCACAGUUGGCUAGGGAGUUUGAAAUGAAGGACUUGGGACCAGCAAACAAGAUUUUAGGAAUGCAAAUUCACCGAGACAUAAAUAACAGGAAGAUUUGGCUUUAGCAGAAGAAUUACUUGAAGAAAAUCUUGUGGCGCUUCAACAUGCAAGAUUGUAAGUCAAUUUCUACCCCACUUCCUGUUAAUUUCAAAUUAUCCUCAAGUAUGUGUCCUAGCAAUGAAGCAGAGAGGAAGGAGAUGUCUCGAGUACCGUAUGCAUCAGUAGUGGGAAGUUUAAUGUUCGCUAUGAUAUGUACUAGACCAGACAUUGCACAAGUAGUGGGAGCAGUCAGUCGAUACAUGGCGAAUCCCGGUGGAGAGCAUUGGAUAGUUGUGAAGAGGAUUCUGAGAUACAUCAAAGGAACCUCAGAUGUUGCAUUAUGUUACGUAGGAUCAGAGUUUACUGUCAAGGGCUAUGUGGAUUCAGAUUUUGCAGGAGAUCUUGAUAAAAGAAAAUCCACUACUAGUUAUGUGUUUACACUUGCGGGAGCAGCUGUAAGCUGGGUUUCGAAACUGCAGACUGUUGUGGCUUUAUCUACAAUAGAAGCAUAAUACAUGGCAGCUACACAAGCUUGCGAGGAAGCUAUUUGGAUACAAAGAUUAUUGGAGGAGCUCGGGCACAAACAAGAGAAAAAUUAUGUGUUUUGUGACAGUCAGAGUGUCUUUCACAUUGCAAGAAAUCCAGCCUUUUAUUCCAAGACAAAGCAUAUAGGAGUUCAGUAUCACUUCGUUCGAGAAGUAGUGGAAGAUGGAAAUAUGGAUUUACAGAAAAUCCAUACGAAGGAGAACCUAGCAGAUGUUUUGACUAAGCCGAUAAAUGCUGACAAGUUUAUCUGGAGUAGAUCUUCUUGUGGCCUAGCAGAAACGUAGGCAACAUGAUUAUGGCGAAGCAGAAAGGAUGUUGUGGACAUUGAUUGAUUCUCAAUCUAAUCUCCAGGUGGGAGAAUGUCAAAGUCAUGGGCGGUUUAGCAUCAUUAACAUAUUUCAAAAUGGCCACCCAAAUUGAAGGAAAUUAAAGGCCAAGUAGAUGCCGCCCAAGGAAAGAAACAAAAGAAAAAGAAGAAAAAGAAGAAAGAGAGAAGAAAAAGAGAUGUCAGGUCGAAGAAGGAAAAGAAAAGAAAAAUUAAUAAAAUAAUAAUAAUAAUUAAAUAUUAAAUGAACGGUAGCUAAUUUUGGCUAUAAAACCGCUGGCUCCCUUCAUUUGUAAAUCAUCGAGUUCUUCAGUUCUUUUCUUUAUUUAAAGAGUGAUUUUAAGAGUCUAGUGAUUUGAGAGUUUGGGUGUAUUGGGAUUUUGGGUAGUAAGCUAAAAUACCACAAUACUUGUAAAUCAUUUUCACUAGUAAAAUAUUUUCCUCAUGUUUUCGCCCGUGGACGUAGGCUAAAAGUCGAACCACGUAAUUUCUUGUGUCCAUUUUUUGUGCUUGUUCUUUAUUUUUUUUCCAAUUUCACUUUAUCUGCAUGUCUGCUUCACCCACCAAGUUCCUAACAGAGUAAAGAUUUCAUCAGAGUAAGUAAUACAAAUGAAUUGUAAAAGAACAAGACUUAAGCGUGCACCCCGUGUUUUGUUUUAUUCGUAUAAACAUAACAUGUUCAUUUUUAACAAAGUGGUCAAUAACUCUAUUCGCUAUGAAAAUGAUAUUGUACCCAAUUUUAAGAGAGCAUAACAAUAACCAUUCAAUGCAUAAAUUUAGAAUUUUUUUUUUGUAAUUCUUUAUUUAAAUAUAAACGUCGAUGGAAAAUUAUAAAAAUUUAGAUAUGAAAUUUUAAGUCACCAGACAAAAAAAAAAAAAAAAAAAAGGGGAACAGAAAUAGAGGAAUCUUGCUUUACCUUUUUUUUUUUUUCCUUUAACUCUUGUUCUUAUAUAAAUAAUCUUGUUUUGAUGAUUGUAACUCGUGACUGCGGGAAAUUUUCUAAUGGAAACAACUAAUUUCGGAAGAUAAGCUUAAUUACGCAAGUGAUGAAUUUGUUCAAUUGACUCUGUACUUGAACUAGUUGGAUUGGUUGAUUGAUGAUUGACUAAAUUUGAAUUAAGUUUAAUAGCUAUGAUGUGCUCCUUAAAAGCAAACGUAAAUCUUUUUUAGAUUUGACUGAAUUUGGGAACCUGUUGGAUUGAUUGUUUUUAGAUCAUUAAUAUCGGUUACUACAACGUAAAUAUUUUAUUGUGGUUGAGUCCUAUUCUCAAAUCAGUAGGUUGCCUUAGAAAAAGGGCUUUUCUCACUGAUCUUUUUUUUUUCUUUAAUUCACACGCACUUGAUUAUUGACUUCUUUCAUGAAGAAAUAAACUUGUAAUGACUUAAAGAUUUAAUUUCAAGUUAGAAUCAAUACCAAAAGACGGAGGUUUAACAAAGCCGUUUAGUGUGAUAAAAGUACUUUAAAAAAUGUUGUUCGACCCAAUUAAGUUGAAGAAAUAACAAAGUUUUCAUGGAAUAAAUACCGGUUGUGCUUUAAUGAUUUUGGCAUAGACAUUGCUUGUGUACUGUGAAAUCGAAAUGAAUUACUGUGAAAUUGAAAUGAAUAUUAAGUGACAGCGCGAUGUAUAUGCCUAAUAAAAGAUCAGCAAAAGCUUGGAUGAAUGAUUGAGGACCAAAACUUUUAUAAAAGCAUUUUUGAGAGAAACUAAACACCAAAUUAUCAAAGUAAGAUCAACAGUAUAUGAUUUGAUUUAUACAUAUUCAAAAACAAAAUAAUGAUUAAUAAUAAAGUUUGAUUUUGUAUUGCCAACGAUGCUUUUUUGUUGUUUCAUUUGUUCGACGUGGCCUUAUUUACAAAUUGGUUUAUGUUAACAGAAACAUAAAAUUCACAUCACACAAAAUUCCACGAACAAAUAUUAAGAGAACGUAAUAAUAAUCACUCAAUGCAUAAGGGUAAAUUUAGAAUUACAUAUUCUUUUUUAUUUAAUAAAAUCCCAACGGGAAGUCAUAAAAAUUUAGAUAUAAAAUUUUCAAUCACCAAACAAAAAAACAGGGGGAAUGAAAACACAGAAAACUUAUUUUAACUUUUUUUUCAUCUAACUCUUGUUCUUAUAUAAUAUUUUCCCUAGUAUUUCAGGCAAAAAAAAAAAAUCAAUAGAGAGCAAGUUGCUCAAAUUGAUUUAUCUUGUUUUUCAGGCAAUCUUGUGAUAUGAUGAUAAAGCUCAUGAAUGCUAGAAAACUUCUAAUGCAAACAACUCUAUUUGGGAUGAUAAGCUUAAUUUUACAAGCGAUAAAUAUAAAUAACUUUUUGUGGUUAAUUGAAUUUGUAAUUACUCUUAGCCCUAUUCUAAAAUUUGUAGGCUGCUUCAGAAAAGAAAAAAAAAAAUUCUUACUCAUCUUUAAUCUUCAAGUAAAAAGCAAAUCUAAUAAAAUGAAAAACAAACAAACAAGUAAAAGACAGCAAACAAACAACAUUUAACCAACUGAUAUUUAAACAAGGAAUUCUUUCUUCUUCCUUUUUCUUCCCCCCCCCCCCCCCCCCCCCGGGGCUCAUGGAUUAGAGUUUUUGCUAUUAACUGAAAGGUUUCAAGGGUCUGAAUAAAAUCCCAGACUUUUUUUUUUAAUUAACCAAAGCCAUAUAAUAAGAUCACAGACUUUAACAAUGAACAAUAAUUUGAAACUCAAGCAAAACCAAUGACAAGAUUAAAACAAACCAGAGAAAUUUUUUCUUGGAAAGUAGAUGAAAACUAAGUAAGAACUGCUAUUAAAGGAUAUUAUUAAAGGAUUUAGAACAUGUAUACCUCUUUAUUUAUAUGGGAUCAGAGAGUCGAUGACCUCCUCUAUUCGCUUCGGAUAUUAAGUAAGAACUGCUAUCAAAAGAAUGAAUUGAUGAGAGAAAUAACAGUGAAUUGCAAAAGAGGAAGACUUAAUCACGUACCCCUAUUAUACCCGAUUUUUAAGAUUUAAUUUUGAAGUCCAGAAUCAAGACAAAAGACGAAGCCUUAAAAAAUAUGCAGUGAGAAUAAUUAAGUUGAAGAAAGCACUAGUUUAUGGCUCAGUGUUUCAUAUGCUGUAAUGAAAUAAUUAAGUUGAAGUUUUUAACGAAUAAAUACAUGUUGUGCUAGAAUAAUUUUAGAAGAAUAUUGGCUUAUAGAGCAUAUUAGUAGGGAUAAGAUAGAAUAAAUGAAAUAAUAAAAAGCAUAACUGAUCAAGUCAUUAUUGAUCUUACUUUGAUUAUUACAUUGCACAUUAGUUUCUUUCUAAAAAUGUCAUUCUUCAUUCAAGCUUUUGCUUUAUCUUUUAUCAGGCAUCCUACUGUUGAUGCCCAAAUCUGAUCUAGUCUAUUAGUGACUUAAUAUCAGACUUCUACACUAGCAUUAGAUUUAUUUGGUAGAGAAUCGAUUGGUCAAUUGUCAAGAUGUCCUGCAACCACUAGCGAUUAACCUGCGAAUACCUGAAAUCAUAGAAGACGGUCAGAGGCGCUGGAAGUUUUUCCGGCGUGAACCCUCUAACGCUCAAGUCAGUUUCUGGGCCUUUGCCAAAAAACUUGUGCCACCACUCAUAUGGCUUAAUAAACAUUAACUUAAAAACCAAAAGCUUUUUGAGUAACUUGCAGAAAAAUGAAAUAGAGUGUAAAAGAAAGGAUUUUCCAUGAGAAGAAGAGAGAAAAAGAUGCCUUACAGACCCCGAAAAAAUAAAUAAAUCCUCCUUUUAAGGUCACGCCCCACUCCCCUCUUUUCCCCUUUGUUCUCCUCCACUUACGGAAGUUAAGGAUGAGUAAAAGUAAUGCCUCUACUCUCCAUUUUUUUCUCCUUUUUCCGUUACCAAACACUAGUCCCCCAGUUUCUAGUGUUGAGAGUUUUAACGAAUCAAGACUGGAAACUAUAUGAAUUUUAAAGUGACCUUGAUGUGGUUGGCAUAAAUCGGCUCGGGAUUGCUAAAAUUAACCUUACUAUUUGCAAAAAAUUUCAAGUUUUAAACUUUUACAUGCCUUUAAAUAUACCAUUUUCCUACUUGCAUAAUCAUGUAAAGCAGGUUUCAUAAGUUCACGUAUUUAUCUCACCUAAAGUAGGUUUUGAGACUUAGUCAUUUAUCUGCUUUAGAAUAUUUUUCACUCAUAUAACUCUUGCUCGCCUAAUCUUGGUCGGGCAAGAGCAGGCAAACUUUGACUUCAUCUCACUGCGAGGAGGUUUAAAGACUGUAAGCCUUUUACUUGAAGUACCCUUUGUUUUUUUUUUUUUUAACUUUCUGCUCGCCUUCACAUGGUUGAGCAGAUUCUGGCAAGCUUGAUUUCUUAUCUCGCCAUCGAGCAGACUUUGAGACUUUAAAGUCUUUUGUGUGCCUUAGAAACUUUCUUGGGAUUUUUGUUCUCUGCUCGCCUUUACAUGGUCGAGCAGAUUCUGGCGAGCUUGGCUUCCUGUCUCGCCAUCAAGGAGGCUUUGCGACUUUGGAGCCUUUGCUUGCCUUAGAAACUUUUUUGGAACUUUUGUGGUCUGCUCGCCUUCGCUUAGUCGAGCAGAUCCUGGCAUGCUUGGCUUCCUGUCUUGCCAUAAAAUAGGCUUUGAGACUUUGGAGCCUUUGCUUGCCUUAGAAACUUUUUUGGAAUUCUCAUUUUUUGCUCGCCUUCACAUGGUCGAGCAGAUUCUGGCGAGCUUGGCUUCCUGUCUCGCCAUUGAGGAGGCUUUGAGACUUUGAAGCCUUUGCUUGCCUUAGAAACUUUUUUGGAACUUUUGUGGUCUGCUCGCCUUCGCUUGGUCGAGCAGAUCCUGGCAUGCUUGGCUUCCUGUCUCGCCAUAAAAUAGGCUUUGAGGCUUUGGAGCCUUUGCUUGCCUUAGAAACUUUUUUGGAACUUUUGUGGUCUGCUCGCCUUCGCUUGGUCGAGCAGAUCCUGGUAUGCUUGGCUUCCUGUCUCACCAUAAAACAGGCUUUGAGACUUUGGAGCCUUUGCGUGCCUUAGAAGAUUUUUGAAACUUUUUUGGUCUGCUCGCUUUCGCUUGGUCGAGCAGAUCCUGGCAUGCUUGGCUUCCUGUCUCACCAUAAAACAGGCUUUGAGACUUUGGAGCCUUUGCGUGCCUUAGAAGAUUUUUGAAACUUUUUUGGUCUGCUCGCCUUCGCUUGGUUGAGCAGAUCCUGGCAUGCUUGGCUUCCUGUCUCGCCAUAAAACAGGCUUUGAGACUUUGGAGCCUUUGCGUGCCUUAGAAGAUUUUUGAAACUUUUUUGGUCUGCUCGCCUUCGCUUGGUCGAGCAGAUCCUGGCAUGCUUGCUUCCUGUCUCGCCAUAAAACAGGCUUUGAGACUUUGGAGCCUUUGCGUGCCUUAGAAGAUUUUUGAAACUUUUUUGGUCUGCUCGCCUUCGCUUGGUCGAGCAGAUCCUGGCAUGCUUGCUUCCUGUCUCGCCAUAAAACAGGCUUUGAGACUUUGGAGCCUUUGCGUGCCUUAGAAGAUUUUUGAAACUUUUUUGGUCUGCUCGCCUUCGCUUGGUCGAGUAAAUGUGGCUUCCUGUCUCGCCAUAAAACAAGCUUUGAGACUUUAGAGCCUUUGCGUGAUGAUGGGUGUCGAAGCCAACAAAAAUAAAUUCCUACUCUAAAUAAAUUGUGUAUAGUGAUUGAGCAGGGUCGUGUCCACAGAGAUCGGUAAUUAUUUAAAUCCUUUUGAAACGUAAAAAUAAAAUGGGGGUUUUGUUGACAAUAAUAAAAAUCAAAUUAAAAUAACGAGAAUGCAAAUUAAAGUUGUAAUUCAAAUUGGAGAAAGCUCUGGUUGAAGGAAUUAACUCAGCUUGAUUCGACUACUGAUCAUUGAUUCAAAUAAAGAUUAUUAUUACUUAUGAAUAGACCGGUUAUAGCUAUUGAGACCCUCUAAUAGCCAAUCUCUCCUUAACUAGUCGAUAACCAAGGUACGACCGUUGGAUAUUUCCCUAAUCAAAUAGACAACCCUAGAUACGAUCAUAAGAUUUAAUCAAUUGACAGCCUGAAAAACCAGAGAGACCCAAAUCCUAAUCAACACAUAUGAUGAUUCAUUUAAAUUAGAUUGUUUAUUCUCACAACACAACUCUCUGCUAUGUUAUUUGUCACAAAUAUUAAAUUCUUCAUACGAUGAAUCCUUUAAUUGACAAUAGAUUAAGUUGAUAAUUAAAUAGUGGCCAAUUACCUAAUUAACAAACAUAAUCAUGAAACUAAUUCAGAGAAUAAACAAAUACCCAAAGAGCAAUAAAACAAUUAAAGCACAAGAAAGAUCUCACAGUAGUGAUGAAUCAAAGCUUCAUUAUCCUUCAACCAGAAAAUAAGUUUAGUUCUCCAUAGAGAGAAGAGAAAAAUUAGCUCUAGGGUUUCUUUCUUUUUCUCCAAUCCCAAAAAAUCCCCCUUUUCACAAUAGAUUCCUCCCUUAAAUACUCUCUCUCUCUUCUCUUUUAGAGUUCUAUUUAAAAUAAAAUACUAAUAUUUGAAAUAUUAAAUUCGUAAUAAAAAAAUAGCCAAAAAUACAAAACACGUUAAACUAAAAACUGCAAGUCCGCAGUUGACAGCACGCGCCCACGCCUUAUCAACAAAGUUCUUCUGCCGCUCAUAAUUUCUCCAAGAAAACAAUCAUCCUUAAACAUCAUCUUAUAGCUCAAUUUUAUCACCAAUCAAUAGAAUUGCACCUACAAAAGUAAAACACAAGUAAAUCACUAUUAUUAAAUGCAAAACAUCGAUAUUAAGGGAAGUAAACAAUGCAAAACUAGUGCAUAAAUUGCACUCUAACACGUGCCUUCAAUGUGCUCUUAUUUGAGGUUUUUGCUUUAAAUCCUUACAUAUGGAUAACCAUCAAAAAUUUAAUUUCGGACUUGUAACUUAUAACUUGUCCAGAAAAUAGCUCUCAUUUACAACUUGCGCUUUAGCUAUUUAUAUAUGUUUGGGCCUUUGAUGGAUAAACAUCCUUGGUGUUUUUAUUACCAUCUAUAAUAUUUGGUUAGCAAUAUUAUUAAAGACCUUUGCUAAAGGUGCAGAGCACCAUUUACCAACACUAAAGAUAUUAAAAUUUAUAUAUAAAAUAAAUCAUAUUAUAUAAAAUAUGUAAUCAACAAAUAAAUGGUACCAUAAAAGUUUAAGCAAAGUCAUAUCACUGUAUCAAGGAAAUACGAUCUCAUGCUAACCCAAGUUCCAUCAAUCCUUCGGUCAAGCAUGUUGUGUGCUAAUAUAUGACUAUGCUAUAUAUUCUAUAAUAUGUAAUCUUAACUAUUUUCUAUUAACGACUUAAUAAGUCAAAACCCCAUCCAUCAGAUUUUUGAAGUCAAGUAGUGGAUUUAAAGGAUAAAUAUAAAACUGAGGUAUUAGAACAAGUGCACCUGAGAUUGUGCUCUGCAUUAUUUCAUUAGUACUUCAUCAAACAAAUCUCGAGCUUGACUCUGCUUUGCUCCCUUCUUAGAAUUAUUCUUGCAAUAUUUUAACAUGGGCACAAAACGGAUAAAAUAUGAAGGAAACAAAAAUCCAACUUCAUCAAUUCUUUGAAGCUUGAAGACAUGCCUAUCAAGCAUAUAUGUAGUGUAUGUAGUGUAAUCAGCAACAAACUCACUUUUGAACUUUCAUAUCCCUUGAGGCGAUUUAACGAAUAGCUCCUGAUUUGAAUUUUAACAAUUCGGCCUCAACUUGUAAUGAACCGAGUUUCAUACCAGAAUUGUCUAAAUACUUUCCCUGCAUAUUCUUCACAUGAAAACUAGCAGCAUGAUUGAUUGAUGGGGUGUAAAACCAGCAGGAAAUAUCUUGAAGAAACCACAGAUCCGUGGAUUUUUUAUGCUUACCACCAAAUGAAUUUAACAAUUUGUGUGAUCUUUAUUUUAAGAAAUUGAACAUUGCUAAUACCGCAAAUCGAUUGCUCUUUUGAACAGACUUUAUAUCUUGAGUUCGAUGAAAAGAGAACAAUCAAUCAAGAAAUAUAAAUACAUCAGCAAAAUAAUGAUGGUAGCAGCAUUACACAUCUAAUUAGCCAUAACGAAGCUGAAUAAUUAGCCAUAAUAAAUCUGAAAUGUUAACAUUAUGUCAAGCAUGUUGUUGGAAAAUACUAAAUUAAUUCAUUUGCAAGUAUAAUAGCAUGUAAUCUUGAAUUAUGAAUGAAGCCCAUUCUAACAAGCUAAUUUUGUGAAGGAACAUUAUCAACGAAUUCCAAGGGAUAAUAUUCAAUUUCAGCAAAUAUAUCAUGCACGGUAUUGAAACAUGCAUGUUAUUAAAGAAUUUCCAAGCAUCUCUCAGUUGAUAAAUCAAUCAUCAUAGCAAUUGGAAAUUGAAUUUUAAUGACAAUAUACUUAAAGCAAUAAAUAAGCCAAAACCUUUACAGGUAAGCAUUCCAUCCAGCCUUGAUUGGCUUCCGUGUUUGAGCCAGCUUAUCAAUUUGUGCAUGAUAAUAUUAUGCCUUUGGCUUGGCCGGAUGCAAAAUUGGUAGAGACAAGAAGUUGGCUUUUUGUAUCGAUUCCCCACAGACGGUGCCAAAUGUUGAUGCCCAAAUCUGAUCUAGUCUAUUAGCGACUUAAUAUCAAACUUCUACACCAGCAUUAGAUUUAUUUGGUAGAGAAUCGAUUGGUCAAUCGUCAAGAUGUCCUGCAACCACUAGCGAUUAACUUGCGAAUAUUUAAAAUCAUAGAAGACGGUCAGAGGCGCCGAAAGUUUUUCCGGCGUGAACCCUCCGACGCUCAAGUCAGUUUCUGGGCCUUUGCCAAAAAACUUGUGCUACCACUCAUAUGGCUUAAUAAACAUUACCUUAAAAACCAAAAGUUUUUUGAGUAAUUUGCAGAAAAAUGAAAUAGAGUGUAAAAGAAAGGAUUUUCCAUGAGAGGAAGAGAGAAAAAGAUGCCCUGCAGACCCCGAAAAAAUAAAUAAAUCCUCCUUUUAAGGUCAUGCCCCACUCCCCUCUUUUCCCCUUUGUUCUCCUCCACUUAUUGAAGUUAAGGAUGAGAUAAAAGUAAUGCCUCCACUGUCCAUUUUUUUUCUCCUUUUUCCGUUACCAAACACCUACAAAUCUUAUCCCUACUAAUAUCCUCUAUAAGCCAAUAUUCUUCUAAAAUUAUUAAAUGCCAUUCUUCAUUCAAGCUUUCAUGGACAUUAUUUACAAAUUGUUCUUGUAUUUGACAGAAAAAUGAAAACGCCUCGUCAUACAAAACUGGAUGAACAAAUCUUCUGUUUAAUUGUGAUAAAAUAAUAAAUUCCAUUAACAGAUUCAGCUGUAUGUUAAUGUGAGGGAUUUGAUCAGAUGAUCAUAUAAUUUACUACACGCUUUAAGAAGAACAAGAAUUGAUGACUUAAAAAUUAAAAAAUAAACAAAUAAAGAGUAGAUACAAAGAAUGUUAUUUGCAAUCACCAAACUGAAGAACAUGGGAAUGAUAACAGAGGACGGUUGAUGCAACAUUAUGAAGUCAAAAUUAAGAAAGGCCUUUUUUCCUUUUUUUUUUUUACAUUAUUCUAUUUAAUCUUACAUAAGGCGCACACUACGAAUAUAAAUUAAAUUCAUAAUUAAGAAUAAACGAUAAACCCUAACAAUCAUCUAGCAAGUACCGUGUAGACUGCAUCAAAAAUUUAGAUUUAAAUUUUUACAAUCACCAAAUGGAAAAACAGGGGACUGAAAACAAAGGAGCCCUGUUUCCAGAAACCGGGGAGUUUCCGGGUUUCUGGAAACAAACUCAGAAACGAAUGAACUGGCUGCCGGCGGUACUUUCUAGAUAAAUCGCUUGGUGUAUAUAAGCUUUCAUGGUCUGGUUUUAGUCUGGUUAGGUUCAGCCACUGUGACUGUUAGGGAUUCUCGUAAACUGAAUUUAAAGUUGCGGCUUAAAGUGUUUACCAACUUAAAACCAGAGCUAUAAAGUGUUUGAUGAAUUAUUUUUUAAUUUAAAAAAAAAAAACUGAUUUAGCGGGAUAAAAUAAUGCUCCAUUCCGUUUAGUAUGUGAAGUCCAGAGUAUUACCUACUACUAACUAAAUCCGCUUGAUUCACAAGACUACCAAGAGAUAACUGAAUCUUCAAUGUAAUAAAAUAAUAAUCAGCCUCACAGGAUACAUAAAAAGCUCAUUUAUCACAAUCAUAUCCUAGUGCAUCAUAAAUUUAGAUUAUUUACUUUUACUAUUAGGAAACCUACUUAUAUAAGGCGCAAACCACAAAUUCUAAAUUAAAUACCUAACUAGGAAUAAAAGAUAAACCCUAACAGUCAUACACCAGGUGCCGUGUAGCCUGCAUCAUAAAUUCUGAUUUAAAUAUUUGCAAUCACCGAACAGAAAAACAGGGGAACGAAAACAGAGGAGCCCUAUUUUUCCAUUUUUUUAACCCUUAACUCUUGCUCUUCUAAUUAUAUUUUUCCUUGGAAUUUCAAGUAUGAGAUGAAUUUGGAGAAAGUAAAUAAAUUUGAAUUACGUGAAAAAUUCUAAUUUUUUUAACCCUUAACAGUUGGUAUAUUUUUUUUAGGUCAUAUAUUAAUAAUUUCUUUUAAAAAAAAUUUAUAAUAUCAAUUAAUAUUAUAACCUACAGAUUAAUACAGAUAAAAAUAUGAUUGAUUUAUCUCCACCACCUAAGUCUUAGCCAAAUUUAAUUAAAGAUUAAUUUAAUAAAUUACCGAAAAUAAUAAAGUAAACGAAAAAUAAAGCACGCAAUUAAGUAAUCAUGCUUCUAAAGGGCUAAUUAACCAUAAUAGGCAUAGGUAUUAAUUUGACUUCUAUGAAAGUCCCUUCUAGUUUCUCAAAAUUCAAAAAUUACAAUAAAAAGCCAAAGAAAAAGUCAAUGCUUCUAAAGUAGAAAAGUUUGAGUACUAGAUAGGCUGCCCAAAAUACAUUUUCAUUACUCACAUAUCUCUAUAGAAAGUAAUUUUUUUAAUAAAAACAACCUAUUUGGCUAAUAUUCAGUCGUCUUUUUUGUUGAUGGAAUUAUCCUCUUAACAAUAUUUUAAAAAGUUUACAUGAAUAUUCCUUUUUUUUUAAAAAAAAGAAUUAAUAACGUGUAUUGUUAGGAUAAAAAUGAUCAUCAAUACGUAUGUAUAUAGGCACAAAUAUAUGAAAAAAAAUCAAGUUUAAGUACAAUGUAUAGGUCAAUGCCUAAGAGUCAAGCCUAAAUUAGGGCAACAUAUAACUACAAAAUACAAUUUCGUACACUACAAAAUUUUGAUAUCAGCAGUAGGGGUAUAAAAAAAUCAUUGUUGCCAAAAAUCCAAAAGCUAACUAGAGGUUUGGUUUUGUUUCAAAAAUUAAAAAAACAAGUCAAUUCGUAAAAUCAAAAACAGAAAAAGAAAAACAAAAUAUAGAGGAAUUUACAGUUUAAAAAGAAAAACCAAGCCAAAACGAAAUUGAAUCGAAAGUCGAACCAACUCAGUUCAGUUUGAUUUGAAUUUUAUUUUAUAAAAAAAAAUGAUCGGAACCAACUAAACUGUAUUAUGUUAUAAAUUAUUAUAUAACAUAAAUUUUUGAAUACCUUUGUGACGAGCACAAUUUAAAAUUUUAUGAUUUUAAAUUUUAACAUUAAUGGAGAGUUAAUACUCCACCAUUUUCCAAUUUUUACAAUACAUAUUACUAGUUUAGAUAUGCUGUAUAUUAUUGUUAUAAUUUUUCGAGCAAGAUAAUAUUUGUCAAUUGGUGUUAUGACAUCAAAAUACUUGGUAUUAGUUAGUGCUAAGUGCUUCUUUUUCUUAAAAAAAGCGGUUCCUUAGUUUUAAAACAAAAAUCAUUAUCCUGAAAUUCUCCAUUUGCUUUGUUAACAGAUAUAACAAAAUAAAGUGAUAAAAGUUUAAUUUAUAAAACUUCGGCAUUUAUAUCUAUCAGAUUCAACACUUUAGUGUCAUAGAUUUAUUUCGGUGGAGCACGAUGUGGGUCGGGCCAGGCUUAGAAUUUUAAGCACGAGAGCCUUAAAAAUAUGAUAUGAUUAGAGAUGGACUGAGCACAGCACGAUGAAAAUGCCCACAAUAAGCACAUUAUAUUUUUUUUUUAUUGAAAAUAAACUUAAAAUUUUAUGUUUUAUAAAUAACUUGAAGUUGAAUUUUUUAAAUUCAUUUAAUUCUUAGUUUAAAAAAAUAUUAUAAUUAAUUUAUAUUCAUAAUUUAUUAAAUAAAUAAUUGAUAUCAUGAUUUUAAUGAAUAAAAUUAUAAAUAUCACGAUUUUAUAAAUAUGCAUUAAUAUUAUUGUGAACUAUGAUCUAUGACUCUAUGUAACUCUAAGUUAACAAUUAAGUUAGCCCUUAAGAAAAUAUUAUUAUUAUUGUUGUUGUUGUUGUUGUUGUUGUUGUUGUUGUUGAGUAUUAAAAAAAUUAUAAUACUAAGAGAUCAAACUUAGUAAUUAAUAUUAAAUUUUCUUACUAUUAUUAGUUUAUUAUUAUUGAAUAUAAACUUGAGUUUUGAUUUUUUGAUUCUAUUAAAUUUGAAUAAAAGUAUAGACCUAAGAAAAAUAUAUAGACUUGAAAAAAAUAUGCCAACAGUUUAGUAUGCCCCUUAAAAAAUUUAAAAAAAAAAAGAAAAAAACUUAGUGAGCUUUUUUUCUUAGGCAUGGCACGGCAUGUAUCGGCAUGUGUGCUAGGCCGAACCUAAACAAAAAAAUAAAUAAAUAAAUCUUGACACGACACAACACAAGCAUAAGCACGCAUGGGCCUUACUUACCGCCCGACCCAUUGAGCAUCUCUAACUGUAUCUAUCUCCGCCAUAAUAAAUUAAACAUCGGGUAACUACUAGACUAGGCAUUAGCACAUAAACUAACUAACUAUAGUACCAAAAAGAAUGAUGCGACAUUGUAAAAGAGAUGGGGCAAAGGGCAGAAUGGGAAACGAAUGAACCAAAUAAUAGUAUAUAAUAAUAUGAAUUUGGUAAAAAUAAAAAAUAAAUAAAGUAAAGUGGUGACACGUACCUCCUUUUAUUUCUCGAUCGAGUAGUGCAGAAAGUGGAGUGUGUGUGUGUGUGUUAAUUGUGAAAUGUCAGCCAAUUUUUUCUCUCUCAUUCUGAAACAGCUCAGCAGGAAUGGUGUACACUAGAGACGUCUGUCUGUCAGUCAGAACUGCCAAAAGAGCAAAACGGGUGCACGUACAAAUUAAAGCAGCCAAUCAGCGAUAUAUUUCAGUUACUUAAAGCUAGCACAGAGGGAACAAGCAAUGUGCAGGGCCAAAAGAGAUGAGACCCCUGAACCCGAACCCUCCUGAAUGAUCUGAUCACAUCUGAUUCGAUGUCUCGAGUCAUUAGAUUUAACAUAUUUUAAAAAUAUUUCUCAGUUAAUAUGUGAUUUAAUUAAAGGUCAAGUUUACAUCUGAAACUGAACUUAUUAAAAAUUAAUUUGAAAUAACAUCUAAGCUAUCUAUUUGUUUAUAAUAAAAUUUAAUUGUCAUAUCAGAAUUAUUUUCCGUUAGACUUUACAAUAAGUUAAUCCCAAAUAAAUUGACAAUUUCAAUUUUAAAGUUAGUUUGUAACUUUAAAAUAAUUUUCUAAUAAAAAUUUAAUCUGAAACAUCUGCAAUAAUAUCAAGUAUUUUGAUGUCAUAACACCAAUGUUUCACAUGCACACACAAGUCAUAUAUAAGUUAAUAAAAACAUCAUUUGUUAUUAACAAAAUCAUGUUAAUUUUUAAUUCUUAAAUUAACUCCCUGUUAAAUUUUGGCUAAAUCAUUAUUGCAAUUUAUAAAUUAAUAUUUAUAAAAAAUUAUGAAUCAUCCAAAAAGCUGCUUGAUAUAGAUUAAUUUCAUGGUCAUCAAUUUUUUUUUUAUUUAUACACCUUUAAAUUAUCACUUGUAUCAUAUGAAAAGACUAUAUUACCCCUCUAACAUCAUCAUAUUUAAACGGCAACUAAGCUAUGGUGAACGACAUUAUAUUUUGUCAACUUAAGAUGAAUGACUGAUAUACGCUAAAAGUAUUGUAGUAAAUUUGAUAAUAAAGUAUACAAUUGAUAAUUUUCCUAUUUAUAAUUUAUCCCCUUAAUUAUGAGUAAUUUUGUUUUUGUCUUCAUUUGUCCCUUUCCUACAAAACCAUUACUAAUGUACAAGUUACAUAUAUAAAACAUUCUUCUUUAAUCAAGUUUGGAAUAUUUUCAUCCUUAUGUAAAAUUAUGCAUAUAUCUUUUGAGUUUCUCAAUUGUACUUGAAAAAAAAAAUUACAUUUAAUCACGGUUGGUUAUCCAUAAAAAAUUUUAGGUGGAAAGUUCACGCGUUUUAAAAUUUAAUUGUGGAAUUAUAUUACAUUUAUUAUUUAGUUUCAAUUUAAUCAUGUAUCAAAUUCAUGUUUUAAAACAUGUGGAAAUUUAUAAUAUAUAAUGAUUCUAUGUAAAUAUAUUAUCUCAUUUCUUCAUUCUUUUGUUAUUAGUUCUCCUCCACUGCAUUAGAUAUAUUUUGAAGUUUUCUAAUGUAAAUGUUACUAACAAAUACGCAUUGAAUAAUUAUCGGGUAGUUUAUAUUAUAAUUUAAUAAUAGCCACAACAUAAAUGUACAAUUUGGUGAUAGUAAAUGACAUUACAUGAAAAUGAAAUCAUCAUGUUGCAAACAAGAUGCAACCAAGGGAUUGCAAACAAUGUUAAGUUACUAUUGGGUCACUUGAACUCCUGGGCUCUCUCCUGUGUAAUUUAUAUUAGACUGUCGCGUACAAAACGCAGACAUAUAUAUACAUACAAGUAGUGCUUUGGCAACAGACACAAUAACCAAGAAGCAGCCCUUGUUUUCAAAUUCAUUCAAAUGCCAGCCUGCAGUUUUGAAUCCUUCAAAUGCCAGCCUGCAGUUUUGAAUCCUUCAAAUUGUGCUCCACCUUUUGAGGGGACGAUGAAGAGUGAAAGAAGAGACAAAUGGCAGAAUAUCAUCCAUUGCAAUGCCUCGUUUCUUAUAUUUCCAUGCCCGAACAGCAAAUUCCACCAAUCUUUUUGCUGCCUUUUCCCUAUCCACUACUGAAGAAACAAUCUCCACCGCCUCUUGGUUCGAAAUCACAUCCCAAACCUGAAGAACAAUCCAUAAUUGAUCUUUCAAACAUUGACAUUAGUUCAGAUCAAAAGAUAAUUCCAAUAUGUGGAUACGUACCCCGUCCGAUGCCAGAAUGACAAAUUGGUCUCGUGUUGUUAUGUUUCUUUGCGUUACAUGGAGCACGGAGAUUAGGCCAUAGUCCUUGACACAGUAAUCACCCAAGGCUCUUGAUAUGGCUAGUCCCGGAGUCUCACCAUUCGGCAUCCAGACUCUGUAUACGCCCGGCUCAUCAUUUAAGCAAAACACAAGCCCUUUGGACUGCGUUAUUCGCUCCGCUUCCUCUGUAUAGGCCAGUGAAGACAAGAACCCGUACGCAGACCUUAAAACACACCCAUAUAUACACCUACACGAGGCAGAAAUAUUUAAGAGAAGAUGAGAUAAUUGAGAUCUGAUUGGUAAAAUAUUGUUAAUUAGUAAAAAAUAAUUAAUAUACUUGCUAUUUAAGUAUUUUACUAAUAUUUUAAACAUCGGUAUUCAAUGAUGUUAAUAUGUGAUUUUAAUAUUAAAUUUAUGUUCUCAUUUAUAACAGUAUGGUCAUCAGUAUUCACAACACAUCAUAUAUUAAUGUAUGGGUUUAUUAAUAUUAACAAACAUUUAUUUCCAAAUAAAUAUGGUAGCCUUAGUAUUUAAGAAUAUUCUUUAUUGUCUAGUCGUCUGUCCAAGGAAGAACGGGCCAUCAUCAAAUUUAUCAAGGGCCUUCUCUAAGUAAUCAAAAGCAGGACCUGUGACAAAUUAAAACUUUUUCCGUGAGUUCAGCACAUAUAUAUACAUAUUCAAAAUGCAUUCUAUUAUAAACAAGUAAGCAAGUUUCAAAUCCUACCAGCUUGUUUUGCUGGGUCUCCUUUGAAUGAAGUAUACACAUCGUUGGUGAAGGUAUCGAUGUGGGAAAACAGUUCAUCAGCAAACUUUCGUUUCUCAGGAUCCUACAAUAUUUUCACAACAUUACUUUACUCAAAGUUGAGAGAGAGAGAGAGAGAGAGAGAAGCUUUUAUUAAAAGCAACAAUGUAAUCAGCAAAAUCUUACAUCAGGUAAAAGUGAAGGCCCUUCAAAAUUGCUGUCAACAUAUUUAAUCAAAUCAAGAGAUUCUCCAAUAACUUUGCCAUUGUGCUCCAGUGCUGGAACCUGUAAAGAAGAACUCUAAUAGGUAAAUAUACUUCAUAACUCCAGCAAUGAUCUCUAAUCUUGCACGAAAAUGUAACAAUCAGUUUAACUCUUUCGUUGUGUUUUCUUGCAAGCAAGCAACUUGCUCAAAUCAGAAUAUGUUAAGAUUUUACUAGGCACACAAAGCACAAAGACACCAUUCCAAUUUUAUUCAGGAACUCCUCCGCACAGAUUACAAGCAUUUCAAUUUCAAAGAUGGGGCAUAAGUGUUGGAGAAUUAACAAAUAAAACACACAAAAAACACACUAUUUUAUUUCUUCAACAACACUCCUCACCAAUUACAACUCUUAUCUUUCACUCUCUACACCUUAGAGAUUUUGCUACUUCACUUGAUGAUUAAACCAAAGGGGAGAGGGGGUAUUUAUACAUGAAACAAACUAAUCACAACCAUUCAUUUAUUCAACUAAUACACAAAUCCUCACCAUCCAUUAAAACCUACCACUCACCUACUUCACCAACCACACCUAACACACCUAACACAAAUAAUUCAAACCUCACCAACCAUACCUACUCAUGGAACCUUCCAUGAGUUGGGCUUGAUUUGGAUCAAGUUUAUGAUCCAACACCUCCCCUUAAACUUGAUCCUGUGACACCAAGCAAACUUCUGAAUCUUAUAAAGUCUUCUUGCUUGAGUGGCUUAGUGAAGAUAUCAGCUGUUUGAUCAUGUGAUUUUACAUACUUGAUUUGCACUUCUUUUGUUGCAAUACACUCUCUUAUAAAAUGAUAGCGAGUGUCUAUGUGUUUACUUCGAUCAUGAAAGACUGGAUUCUUGGAUAGGGCAAUUGCUGAUUUGUUAUCAACACAAAUCUCGGUUGGCUCUUCUUGUGCCAAACUCAACUCCUUCAGCAAAUUUCUGAGCCAAAUUGCAUGACAAACACUUGAUGUGGCAGCUACAUAUUCAGCUUCACAGGUGGAUAGCGUGACAAUUGGUUGCUUCUUUGACAUCCAUGUGAAAGCAGUAUCUCCCAUGAAGAACACAAAUCCUGUGGUGCUCUUUCAAUCAUCUACAUCUCCACCCCAAUCGCUAUCGCUAUAUCCAACAAGCUUAUAGUCAUUAGAAAAUGAGUACAGCAAGCUGAAAUUAGUUGUACCUUUGAUGUAGCGAAGGAUUCUUUUUGCAGCUUUAAAAUGGGUGGUCUUUGGAUUCUCCAUGUAUCGGCUCACAAGUCCAACAGCAUAAAGGAUAUCUGGUCUUGUGCAUGUCAAAUAACGUAGGCUUCCAACCAAACUUUUAAAGAAUGUUGGAUCUAUAUCUUCGCCUUCAUCAAGUUUGGAUAACUUGACUCCGCAUUCCACUGGCGUGCUUAUAGGCUUGCAAUAAUUCAUCUUGAUCCUUUUGAGAAUCUCCUUUGCAUAGCUUUCUUGGGAGAUAAAUAUGUCUUCUUCCUUUUGCUUGACUUCAAUGCCGAGGUAAUAUGCCAUCAGUCCGAUGUCAGUCAUCUCGAACUCUUUGAUCAUCACUCUCUUGAACUCUUCAAACAAGCUUGGAUUACUUCCAGUAAAGAUGAGAUCAUCCACACACAGGCACACAAUCAAAAUAUCUCCAUCUUUUUCUUUGACGUAGAGAGCAUGUUCAUAUGGGCAUUUAGUGAAGCCUUUCUCUUGAAAAUACUUGUCAAUUCUGCUAUUCCAUGCCCUUGGUGCUUGCUUUAACCCGUAGAGAGCUUUCUUCAAUCUCAAAACUUUGUCUUCAUGUCCUUUCACCACAUAGCCUAUUGGUUGUUCGAUGUAAACUUCUUCUUCAAGGAAUCCAUUCAAGAAAGCAGACUUCACAUCCAUUUGAAAAAUCUUCCAUUUGUUCUGAGCAGCCAAAGAAAUAAUAAGUCUAAUAGUUUCAAGUCGAGCUACAGGAGCAAAUACCUCGUCAUAGUCUAUGCCAGCCUUUUGACUAUAGCCUUUUGCAACUAGCCUUGCCUUGUGCUUUUCAAUUUCUCCCUUCGCAUUUCUUUUUGUUUUAUACACCCAUUUGACACCGAUCGCCUUGUGACCUUUUGGAAGAGUAGUAAGCUCCCAAGUAUCAUUCUUCACAAUGGCUUUGAUUUCUUCAUCCAUUGCAGUUCUCCACUUCUCAUCUAGUAUAGCUUCUUAGAAGUUGACUGGCUCACAAUCAGCAAAGAGGCAAAAGAGAGUGAGAUUAUCAUGUCUCUCAGUUACCUCAUAGAGAUCUUGAAGACUCCUUGUACGUUCUUCGAUUCUUUCAUUUAAGAAAGACGGCGGUGAAUCUCUGCAUGUGGUUGGUGCUGGUGAGAUAGGUGGAGUAGCAAGCUAUUGUUGUUCGUCUACUUGUUUUAUCUGUGUAUGAUCAUUUUCUUCAAUGGGAAAGAAGUUGAAGUCAUCCACACCAGAGCCAAAAUCCCAUUCUCCUUCUUCAUCAAAAAUUACAUCUCGACUGAUCACGAUCUUCCCGUUGUUUGGAUUGUAAAGCUUGUAUCCUUUGGAGUUGUUGUCGUAGCUGAUGAAGAUGAACUUCUCACUUUUGUCAUCCAGCUUGGCUCUACUUUCGUCUGGUACAUAUACAUGGGCAAUGCUUCCGAAAACUCUUAGAUGGGUGAUGCCGGGUUUUCUUCCACUCCAAGCUUCUUGUGGCGUCUUGCCCCACACGCUUCUUGUUGGAGAUCGAUUGGAUAAGUAGACUGCACAUGCAACUGCUUCAGCCCAAAAUUCUUUAGGUAGCCUCUUACUCUUAAGCAUGCUUCUUGCCAUGUCGAGGAUGGUUCUGUUCUUCCUUUCUGCAACACCAUUUUGUUGGGGGGAUCUUGGAACUGUCAAAGGGCGUCGAAUUCCAUUUGCUUCACAAAACUCUAAAAAUUCUUUGGAAGUGAACUCACCACCUCGAUCAGAUCUCAUGGCUUUAAUCUGGUAUCCACUUUCUUUUUCCACUGCAGCUUUAAACUUCUUGAAAGCUUCAAAGACUUCUGAUUUUUGCUUCAAAAAAUACACCCAAGUUUUUCUUGAAAAAUCAUCUAUGAAGAGAAGGAAGUAGUUACUUUUACCAAGGGAGUUUGGCUUGAAUGGACCGCACACAUCAGUAUGAAUAAGCUCGAGUGGCUUCUGAGCUCUUGAGUUUGACUCCUUUGGAAAGCUCUUUCUGAACUGCUUGCCAAGUAAACAUCCUUCACAAAGUUGAUCAGGGUGAUUGAUGUAUGGUAAGCCUUUCACCAUGUUCUUCUUAGAUAGUAGCUCCAGUCCUCCAAAGUUGAGAUGCCCAUAUCGAAGAUGCCAAGUCCAGGAUUGAUCUUUGUGACAGGCUUUGAGACAUUUUGCAACAUCAUUUUGAAUAUUUAAUGGAAACAUUCUAUUCUUUGACAUUUUCACCUUUGUAAUUAGAUUUCCUUUAUCAUCUCUUAGGAAAAGACUAUAAUCUUUUAAGUGAAUAUCAUAGCCUUUUUCAAAAAGUUGACCCAAACUAAGAAUGUUGCUUUUCAUAUUGGGCACAUAGUAAACAUUCGAAAUUAUUUGGUGACUACCAUCUUUUGCACGAAAAAGAAUGUUACCUCUACCCUUCACUGGUACUUUUGAAUCAUCUCCAAAAGCAACACUGCCAUUCACAGAUUCACUUAGCUGCACGAACAUGCUUUUGUUCCCACUCAUAUGAUUGCUAGCACCUGUGUCAAGAUACCAUGUAUUUUCUUGACCCCCACUUGUGUCAUUGCGUGCUAGUAAAAGUGUGCCAUCUUCACCAUUUUUCUCUUCAGCAUAGUUCACUCUCUCCUCAAUUCUAGUGCUUGGAGCUCUGCAUUCUGAAGCAUAAUGCCCAAACUUUUGACAAUUAUAGCACUGUACUUGAGAUUUGUCAUACCCUCGAUCUUGGAUUGCCUCUGCCUCGUCCUCUGCUUGAGCUUUCUCCUUUUGGCCAUAAUUGGAGUUGUUAUUGAAAUUCCCAACCCUCGUCCAUGACCCACGACCUCUACCUCGUCCCUCGACCUCUACCUCGGACAUAGUGUCUUCUCUCGUUGUCGGAGCUUUCUUCUCUUUUCUUUGGAUUGACUUCCAUCUUGAGAAGUUGUUCUUCGAUUCCCUGCUUCUUUUUUUGUUUCUCUUCAUAGGCUUGUAACCUUCCUUAAAGUUGCUCGAUCGUCAUAUCUUCCACGAACCUUCUUUACUUGCUCCGCUCCUUUGUAAGAGGUCUCUAGUUUCUCCCAUGCUUCUUUUGAGGAGGUUGUACCAGCAAUCUUUUCAAAAGCAUCUUCAUCUAAUGAUUGAAAGAUGAGAUACUUUGCUUUAUUCUCUUUCUUCUUCAAGUCUUUUAAAUUCUCCUUCUGCGCCGCAGUUAAAGUGGCUUCAUUUUCUGGCACAAUAAAGCCUUUCUCCACGACAUCCCAUACGUCAUGUGCACCCAAUAGAGCUUUCAUUUUAAUACUCCAAUUGUCAAACUUACUUCCCUUUAAUUGUGGAACUUAAAAUGACAUCAUACCAUUGUUUGCCAUAACUCACAAAUUGAGUGAAAAUUUGGAGAUUCUGAAAGCACAGAUGGAUCCGGCACGUCGAAAAACCUUGGGAAGGACUCGAGUCAACUUUCAGUCAACGGUCAACGUCGGUCAACGGUCAACACCGGCUUGGUAGUCUUGGUUUGGUCCGGAUUGGUUCAGCUCCAGUUGGCUCGGUUCGACUCGGCUCGGUUCAGCUCGGCUCGGCUUGGUUCAGUUCGGCUCAGCUUGGUUCAACUCGGUGAGUCGACUCAGCUUCAGGACAGAAAACUUCCGAUGGCAAGUGUGGGUGCGUUCGGUCUCGGAUCGGGAUGAUUUUUGCGGCGUCACGUUCCUCUCGUCAAGAUCUUCGAUUUGAUAUGCUAUAUGACUAUAUAUAGCAUCAAACACUAGCUCUGAUACCACUUUGUUGGAGAAUUAACAAAUAAAACACACAAAAAACACACUAUUUUAUUUCUUCAACAACACUCCUCACCAAUUACAACUCUUAUCUUUCACUCUCUACACCUUAGAGAUUUUGCUACUUCACUUGAUGAUUAAACCAAAGGGGAGAGGGGGUAUUUAUACAUGAAACAAACUAAUCACAACCAUUCAUUUAUUCAACUAAUACACAAAUCCUCACCAUCCAUUAAAACCUACCACUCACCUACUUCACCAACCACACCUAACACACCUAACACAAAUAAUUCAAACCUCACCAACCAUACCUACUCAUGGAACCUUCCAUGAGUUGGGCUUGAUUUGGAUCAAGUUUAUGAUCCAACAAUAAGGACACAGAGUCACAUAAUUAGGCUAUUUGGUAUUGAGGUGCUGUAGUUUUUUUAGCUACAGCUGCCACGGACCCAAAAAAAAAAAACUGUAACUAUAAAAUAAAAGUUAAAAAUGCGUAAUAAAUAUGAAUUUUAAAUUAAGAUUUUGACAAAAAUAGUAGAAAUAUUAUAAUUUUACAAAACACUUUUAACUCUAUACCUUUUAAUCCACGGCCGCCCUACCUCAAUACCNNNNNNNNNNNNNNNNNNNNNNNNNNNNNNNNNNNNNNNNNNNNNNNNNNNNNNNNNNNNNNNNNNNNNNNNNNNNNNNNNNNNNNNNNNNNNNNNNNNNNNNNNNNNNNNNNNNNNNNNNNNNNNNNNNNNNNNNNNNNNNNNNNNNNNNNNNNNNNNNNNNNNNNNNNNNNNNNNNNNNNNNNNNNNNNNNNNNNNNNNNNNNNNNNNNNNNNNNNNNNNNNNNNNNNNNNNNNNNNNNNNNNNNNNNNNNNNNNNNNNNNNNNNNNNNNNNNNNNNNNNNNNNNNNNNNNNNNNNNNNNNNNNNNNNNNNNNNNNNNNNNNNNNNNNNNNNNNNNNNNNNNNNNNNNNNNNNNNNNNNNNNNNNNNNNNNNNNNNNNNNNNNNNNNNNNNNNNNNNNNNNNNNNNNNNNNNNNNNNNNNNNNNNNNNNNNNNNNNNNNNNNNNNNNNNNNNNNNNNNNNNNNNNNNNNNNNNNNNNNNNNNNNNNNNNNNNNNNNNNNNNNNNNNNNNNNNNNNNNNNNNNNNNNNNNNNNNNNNNNNNNNNNNNNNNNNNNNNNNNNNNNNNNNNNNNNNNNNNNNNNNNNNNNNNNNNNNNNNNNNNNNNNNNNNNNNNNNNNNNNNNNNNNNNNNNNNNNNNNNNNNNNNNNNNNNNNNNNNNNNNNNNNNNNNNNNNNNNNNNNNNNNNNNNNNNNNNNNNNNNNNNNNNNNNNNNNNNNNNNNNNNNCUGGAAAGAGCUCAAGCUAAUUAAUUGAUUUUUAUCUUUUGGAUGCACUUAAUUGUAAUUAACCGGAUCAAAUUUUGAAACCAAAAUAAUUCACGGGGCAUUCUAGCUUCUAGCUAAUUCAUCCAAAAAAAUAUAAAAUUAUAUAAAAAUAAUAAAAAUACGUGUGAUGUCAGCUUGAUGCGUACAUUCAAAGUUCCAAUUGAAAACAAAUAGAUAUUCAUUUUUCUUGUCAAAUUAUUGAAAGAGACAUCUCUUAAUUUCUUCCAUCACCAGCAACGGUUGAGUGACCUUGUCUUACAUUGUGCAGCAGCCUCCUCGAAGUUAAAAAAAAAAAAAAAAAAUAGCCCAUUAUCUUGGCUUUUGGCUGGAUCCAAAUUUUUGUUAAAUACAAAUAAAUAUAAUAUCAACUUAAAUAUUCCAAUAAACCUUCUAAUAUCUUCUUUGAACAGUUUUAUUUUUAUUUUAUGAGGAGGGAAGAGUAAACCAUUAAAACUAUAAUUCAUCAUAAAUUUAUUGUACCAAUUUUUUUUUUAAAUCCAUAAUUUUGUGAAAUAUAAAUUUUAAGAAUUGAAAAAUAUCAUUAUAGCUUUCAUAUCCAAAGUUAAUUUUGAUAUUUUUGUACAAUUACAUAAUCUUCAAAUGUGGAUAAUGUAAAAGAUGAAAAUUGUCAAAUUAUUAGAUAAUUGUUUUUACAAAAUUUUAACGAUCAGAAAAAUCUUAAUUUAUAUGUCUUAGUUUAAAGAAUUGGUAUUAUCAAAUGUUACUUAAAUGUAAAUAUAAUAUAAAUAUUUUGUGUAUUUAUAUGUUACGUUUAUGAUUUGAUCACUGUUUAUCUAAAUUUUAAUAAAAUCAGACAUAUUUAUGUAAUUUACUCAUAAAAAAAUAAUCCAUGAUUUAAUUUGCAAUGAUCAAAUUGUUGUAUUUUGUCAUAUCAAAAUACAUAUUUUUGUACAAUUACCCAUAAAGUUUAUGCUACAAUCAAGCUAUUUAUAAUAUAAGUGUGAUUUUUGAAUUUAAUAUUGAUAUUAGUAUUAAAUAUGAUAAUAGAAAAAUAUUUUAUUAGAUAUUAAUUGGGUCAUUUGUGUUAUUGUUUUUAAAAAUUAAUGACCUGCAACAUUAAUUGUCAAUAAUGGGUUUUUUUAAAACAUGCUGGUGCCCGGAUGUAAAUGCCGGUACCUCCCAAGUCAGUAGCCUUAUUAUAACAGUGUAUUCCCGUCAGCAUAUUGGCCUGCCCCUGUACCAUUACUCCAAUUGAUGCUGAAAAUAUAACAACAUCAGUGACCGCGUUGUCGUUUCCCGUGAUGUUUAUUCCGAUGCCGGAGAAAUCCUUUUCGCGAUCAUCCCCGCCGAUGUUGAUGUGUUGGCCGAUGAAGGAAUUUCUUAUAUACGUUUCGUGGCCAUCUUGGAUGGAAAUGCCAGCGGUAGUGAAAUGCGAAAUGUAACAAUUGUCCACUGUGGUUCUUAUUGAAUUUAUAAUGGCAAUGCCGCCACCCCUAAAAUUGGAGUCCAACAUAAGCUCCUUCAAAGUAAUGUAUUCGUAUAAUGACGAUGAUGAUGACGAUCUUAACUCUAUGAGAUGUCCGUUGCCCGAAAAAUCAUCCGAUGCUCGGAGGGACCCACCGUGUACCUAUGUAUACAUAUAUAGAUGUUAAAAGUAAGAAUUAAAGUAAGAAUUAAAUUUUAAAUUAAUAUGUGAUUUGGUAUGAUUCCUAGUUACAAAAUUUUGGCAUUUUGUAUUCGGUUUUGUAGUCCUUCAUAAGACUGGCAAAAAUCAUUAUCAAUUAAACAUUAUGUUGUUAUAUUUUUUUAAUGAUCUUUAUUUUAUUUGCUUUAAACAAUAUCUAUUUUUCAAAAACAAUACUUUUGACAAGCAAACCCUAAAGUGGGAUUGAAGCAGAGAUGAAAGAGAAAGCAUGCAUUUUGCACAUGUUUAUAAAAACAAGAGAGUAUAUUUAAUCUCAAUCUGUAAUUCUGUAUAAUGUAUUAUUCUUAAGUUUGAAUCAAAUUAUUCUUGAUUCCAUCUGCCAAUCCAUCUCGGGCCAUUGAAUUAUGCAUAGCUAUUAUGGUAAUGGUCUCUUUAUUCUCCUCACAAUCAAUUAAUUGUGAUGACCAUACUGUUCUCACGAUUCUCAACCGCAAAAAAUUUAAAUAUUGUAUUGUACAUUUUUAUAAACAAAUUUUAUGUCAUCUCCAUUAUUGUGGAAUUUUAAUAUCCUAAUACAAUAUUAUGAUAGUAAUUGGGUCAAUAUGGGUAUUGGGUCAUAUUAUCGUUAUAAAUAUUAAUUUAUUAUAACUGAGUGUGUAAAGUAUCUUUUUUUAUUGUUGUACCAUAUUUAACUUUUGGCUGCAAAUAUAUAUAUACUUAGCAUUAUUUAUAUCAAUAAGUUAAUAUAUAUAUCCUUUUCUUUAGCAUCAAAUUUAAGUUUUUAAAAAGUUAUGAUAAUUCACUAAUUUGGUAUUUAGGAAAUUAAAUCCAUAUCAAUUUAUUAGAUAUCUUAAACCGUAUGUAAAAAUAGAAUAUUGACCAUUAUUCUAUUAGUAAUAUAUCCAUUAAAGAUUUUGACGUGCUAUGGUCUAAAAAAAUUAACUUGGCGGGAUGUUAUGAUUAUAUUCAAGGUGAUAGGCAAGAAAGUUAUGAGGAGACCCCAUUGAAGCCUAUAUAUUAUAGUAUGCAUAAAGACUCAAAAAGUGCACUUGAAAUAACAGUUGUCACUGACAGGUUAAGAUAAGCUACCAAAUUGGCACUUAAAGGAAGAAAUUCUAGUAUUAGUGUCAUAUUUUAUGCCAUAUUAUGUAAUGCAUAUUAGUAAUGAUUUCUUCAUAAUAUCGCAUAUAUAUAAAAGUUCAUCCUAGCUAGAUGCAUUGUAGAUUUUGUAAGAAUUAUUUUACUCUGUCCAAAUGAGUUCACAUUAUUAUCCAAUUUUCCUUUUUUUAAGUUGAUUUAUGAAAGAAAAAAAAAAAUGACACCAAUGUUUUCCACGUCGCCGCAAGUCUCAUCGAUAAAAGUCCAUCUACAAAUUAGUUCAUAAUUCUUUUUGUAACUUCGCUAAAAGCUAGUCAAGUCAUUGCUAGCAAGCCUCAAAAGCACGAAGUACGCGAAUCACGGCGAUAACUGAUAAUAACUUGGUUGUCCGGUUUCGCAUACUAAUUAGCUUGAUUGAAAAUCGUGAAGUAUGGGGCACGACUAACGCAACGCAUACGUCUCAUGCAUUAGGCAAAUAUUGUACGCGACCCAUGUUGAGAGCACAAAUCCACUAUCUACAAGUACUAUAUAUAGAGCUGCAAUGCGUGCUUCAAGUAUUCACAACUUACCCCCAGCUGGCUAGCUAGCCUCUAUAAUUUGAAGGGAAAAAAAAAAAAAAAAAACCUUGUUCAACUUGCAAAUACCUACCAAUUAUUAUGGAGAAAAGCUUUGAUAUCAUUGCCCUGUCUAUGAUCAUUCUGGUGACUUAUUCAUCUAAAAUGGUGUCGGUCGCCGGCCGGUCGCUGCAUGAACCAUCCAUUGUUGAGAAGCAUGAAAAAUGGAUGGCUGAGCAUGGGCGCACUUACAAGGACGACCUGGAGAAGGAAAAGCGGUUUAAGAUAUUCAAAGAAAACCUUGAAUACAUUGAGAAAGCCAAUGAGGAGGCGAAUCGGACGUACAAGUUAGGCACCAAUGAAUUUUCAGACUUAACUAAUGAGGAGUUUCGUGCUUCAUAUACAGGAUACAGGGUGCCAAGCCAGUCAUCUUCAUCACGGCAAUCCACAACAGCAUCCUUCAAGUAUCAAAACCUGACUGACGUUCCAACUAGCAUGGACUGGAGAGAGAAAGGAGCUGUCACUCCUAUUAAGAACCAAGGUCAAUGUGGUAAGUAAAUCGUAUACUAAAUAUUUAUGAAGUAACUAUAAUAGAUUAUUUAGCCUCCAACCUCUUUCAGAACUCAAACUCAGUUGACCAUCAGCUAAUUAAUAAAAACAGCUUGACAACCGUCUGCCAAACCCCUGCUGGGGCAUGUUUCAUGUAACUUAAUCAAGCCUUUUUUUUUUUUUUUUCCCUUAAUAUGUACGAUGCAGGAGACUGUUGGGCAUUUUCAACUGUGGCGGCGGUGGAAGGGGUGACUGAGAUUAGUAGUGGUAAUCUUAUUCCACUUUCGGAGCAGCAAAUACUAGACUGCUCAAUAGAUGGUAACCGUGGAUGCGGUGGCGGUUGGAUGGACAAUGCCUUUAAAUAUAUUAUAAAAAACCAGGGUAUUGCCUCAGAAGCGGAUUAUCCAUACAAGGAAGUCCAAGGGACUUGUGAAGACGCACAGGUCAAGGCAGCUGCUAAAAUUAGUAACUUUGAAGAUGUAAAACCCAAUGAUGAGCAGGCUUUACUCCAAGCUGUAGCCAUGCAGCCAGUAUCAAUUUGCAUUGAAGGAAGUGGACCAGACUUCCAGAGUUACAAAGGCGGUAUUUUUAACGGAGGAUGUGGAACUCAGUGUUCUCAUGCUGUUGCUAUCGUUGGAUAUGGGGCAACUGAAGAUGGAAUGAAGUAUUGGUUAAUUAAGAAUUCAUGGGGGGAGAGCUGGGGUGAGGCCGGCUACAUGAGGAUUCUCAGAGAUGUUGAAGCACCUGAAGGUCUCUGUGGCAUUGCCACUAAACCUUCCUACCCAGUUGCAUGAGUAGCAGUAUUUUAUAUUAUAAUAUUAUUAGCCGCCUCUUAGUAAUGAUGUCUUCAAGCCUACACAUGCAUUAGCCUCGAAAGGCUUAUACGAACCGUAUGAAUCGUAUGAUUCUGUGGUUUUACCUAUGUUGAGUAUUUCAUAAGUUGUAAUUGAACGCCAAUAUUUGGUAUUAGUUAAUGUUAAAUCUCUCGUUUAAAUAUAAGUUUGAUCUUUGCAGUAAUUAGUCAUUUACAUUUAAUGUCACGGAUACUCAAUUCGACCAAGAAAUACAUAGUUUAUAUCUUAGUUACUCUGAUAUUUUAUGUGGCAUGUUAUAUGUAGUUCAUUGAUCAAGUUGUAAGAAUAGUAUGUAAAUAAUUAAUAAUAAAUUUAUUUAUUAUCAUUUAUGAGACAAUAAAUGAUUAGUGGAACAUUAAUUAAAAUACAAACUAUUAUUAUUUAUUUAAGAAAUAUAUAUUGGUCAAUGAAAUUAAUGCAAGACAAAAAGUAACUGAAUUUUGAUUACACGCUUGAUGUCUGGAAGUACAAUGAUUAUGAAUUUGUGUUUAAUUAGGUCAAAGUUUUAAGUUAAAAUAAUCAAACCUAUAUACUCACACUAACUUUUAAAGUUUGAGUGGAAUUUGCCCGCUUUAAUUGGGGUCUCAUACAGCAAAAAAUUUUUGGCCAUCUUGAAUUUCUUUUUCUAUUUACUUAUAAAAAUUUAAAGGCUUGGUAAUUUCCCUCCCCCAAAUUCUGUCUUUAUUCCUAAGUAAAUUAGUUAGUCAUUAUUUCAAUAAUUAAAAUUAUUCUAAGUUCUAAAUUUUGGGCGUGGAGGGAAAGUUAAGCGCAAGUAGCCGUGACUGAUUAAUAUUAAACAAUAUAAUUUAAUGCAUUUUUUUCUUCAUCUAUUUUUUUAAUAUUAGUUUUUGAACAAAAUAGUAGAACGAUAGUUAGAAUUUAUUAAUCAAAUUUUUUUACUUUCAUAUCCAUAUUAUAUUGUCAAUAAUAGUGUCAUGUAAUUAUAAUUAAAAGUAUUUGCAAAUAAUUUUGAAAGUCGACCGCCUCAUCAAAAACUCAGGAUGGCCGAGUGGUCUAAGGCGCCAGACUCAAGUCUGGUCUUCGAAAGAGGGCGUGGGUUCAAAUCCCACUUCUGACAAUGUAAUUUUUUAUUUUUUAUUCAUUUUUUUACAACGUUACGACUAAACGACGUCAUUUUCAUUAAACGGCAAGUCGUUUCAGUCGUCUUCUUUAACGGAAUAAAAAAUAUCUAAACCGAAGACCAAUGUUUCCAAACCCGCUAUAAACCCUACAGAUAACCCUCAUUGCCACUCGCAUCACUGAGUUCUUAACCUGAGUUAAAAUGGCCGAGUCCGCAUCCGAACUCAGUGAGUUCCGGAUUUUUCCGGCGGACUCACCGCCACCACAACCGAAUUCAACCGGAGUUCCGGUUCAUAAUCUAACACCAGAGGAGCUCGUGGCCAAAGCCAUAGCUCCAGUUAAGAAACAGUUUCUUCGUCAUUAAAUUCCAAAAUAAAUUUUAACAUAAUAAUUAAUUCUUUUAAUAGAUAAAAUUUUCUAUAUGCACGAUUGAAUUCAGCCCCAAAAUGUUAAUUAAAAAACAAUUAUCCAAUAUUCAAGAUAGUUUGAAUCGUCAUUCUCAUAUCGUUAUAAUGUCAUGAAAUAAUUGUACAAAAACAAAUGACCAAUAAAUUCACAAACGUAUAAUAUUGCCUAAUGUAAAUAACUUAUUAAUUAAUAUUGAUAUAUUAUUAAUUACUUAAUGUUUUACCUUUUUAUAAAACAUAAAAUUAUGUUUACUUCCAUUCAAGAUAUCCCAAAAAAAUUAAUCUUUUUGGAUGAUUCAUAAUUUUCAAGAGGAUGUUUUUACACCAUACCAUCGUCAAAUUGAUAAGGGCCAUGUUAUUUUUUAUUUAAUUGAUUUAAAUUUCAACUAGAGAGCUAUUGGAAUCGAUCACUGUAAAAGUUAAGUUGUGAUGUAAUCACACAAUCUUGAGAUCUGCUAUUAGAAAAAUAAUUGAAGAACCAAAUCCCAAUGAAAAUACAUCCAAAAUGAUGUCGUUUUGAAUUUGUUCCCAAAAAAAAAAAAAAAUUAAACUCACUAAAAAACAACAUGUGUGUUUUUGUUAACCUUUUAUCGAAUUGUAAUUUAAAUAUUUAUCAUGUACUUUUAUAUUCUAUUCAGGGCUGGCUCAACCAUAUUUGAGGCCUUAGGCAAAUGGUUUUAAUUAGUUUUUCUUAAAAUUUAGGACAAAAAAUAUGUUUAUUAGUUAUGAGUGAUGAUACAGCCACAAACUCUUGUACAAACUGACGUGGUAUUAAUUCAUUGGUUGAAUGAAAAUAUAAAAUAAUAAAAACAAAUCACGUGAGCCAAGUGAUAUUUAAUUCAACCAAUCUUAUCAUGCCACAUCAGUUUGUACAAGAGUUUGUGGUUAUAUCAUUACUCAUUAGUUAUAUAAUAUUUAUUGAAAAUCAAUUCUUUAAACACUCUCUAAAAUGUAAAAUUAUUAAAUAAAAUUAUAUUACACUAUUGUCAAUCCUUGAAAUUUUAAUUCAAUUAUAAUAUUUUUACUUUUUUUUUUAACUCAAAUUACAUCUUUUAUACUACUUCUUUUCUACAUUAAAUUAAUUUUUUUAUUCUUCUAUUUUCUAAAGUUUUUUGAUAUAGUUAUUUAUUUCACAAUAGAAAAAAAAAAGCACACAAAAAAUAGUAGAUGAAUAAAAGAAUGUAUUAAAAAGAAAUAAGAACACAUAAAUAAUACGAUUAAUUAAGAGAAUAAUAAAAAAUAAAAUCUGAAAUUUGAAAUUUGAGAUGAAAUCAUAAAUUAACUUUAUCUUUAUAUUAAUUAUUUGAAGAUUUGAGUAAUGACUAAUAGCCAUAGAGAAUAGAAAAAAACUAUUAGAUUUUUUCUUUUUUUUCUUGAGUGGAAAGUAGAGGAAGCAAGAUUUUUUUUCCCCUCUCUCUCUUUCUUGCUCUCAAAAACGAAGAACAUAUGCUGUCUUCAUUGUUAGAAGAAAAAUUUAAUGGAUAAGUAAUAAAAUGUGGGGCUUUUAUAGAGGUUUAAAAUGAAUAUAAAACUUUUAUAUAAGUUGUUAAUUCUAACAAUGAAAUAACGAAUUUAUAGGAUUGAAACUAUUAAUUUAUCGGUUUUGUAGGAAUUAAAACUACUAAGUACUACAUUAAAUAAACUUUAUAGGAACUCGGUAGUUUAUUUGAGAAAAGAUAAUUACAAAAUAAUAAUAAAUUAGAUGCAUGAUAAUGACUUUUAAAUUCACUUUCCUCUUUUAUAUACAAAAUAAUCAUCUUAUAGGAUUUUCUUGUAAAGUAGGGCUCUAAGCAACCGCCUAAGUUGUCUAGAGAUCGAACUGCUACUGAUUCUAUUACUAAUUUUGAAAUUUUCAGACAUAUUUAAGCUCCACUAUUUUAUUUUUUUAAUCAAAAUAGUAUGUUUAUUAAUAAUGAUUAUAAAAAAAAGAUAAUGAUUCAAUAAUGUUGUUUAUAUAUAUUGAAUCAACUUUAAAAGUCAACAUUUACUUUACACACUCGUAUAAAUGCUAAAAUAACCCUUUAUUUAUGUAUUUUUUAAGGCUGUAGAAUGUAUUCAUUACAAAGAUACAGUACAUUUAAUUUGUGGUAUUCAAAAUUUGAUGAUUACCAUUUUUGAGUUGAUGGUCUUAUGCUUCAUAUUUGCAUUAAUUUUAUGUUUAAUAGUAUGACAGUGAUUUCAUGUAAAGUUUUAUUUCCUAAUUACAAUUUUAAAUUAAUGUUCCUAAAUUUCAUAUUAUCAUUAGUUUCAUAUAUCUUUUAUGUUCAAUAUUAAUGAUUUCAUGUAAUACUCCAAUGAAUUCUAGCUUAAUUAUUACAAUUGUAAGUAGAUGAUCAUAUUAUUUUAUGCUUAAUUUUAUAAUUAAAUUAACGAAUGAAACUGUUGCUACCUUUUCAUAAUUAUUUAUUUUCCAGGAAUCAUUUUUUAGCACUUCUCAAUGUCAUUAUUUGAAAAUUAAAUGAGGGGUUGGGUUUGUAUUCAUUACAUCGGAUGAUUUAUAUUUAAAUAAAUUAUUUCAAUCUCAUAUCGUUAUAUUAUGGGUGAUUUUAUAUCCACAUUUAAAUUUUUAAAGUUGUUAUCUUAACUUUUUAAAAUCAGAGUUGUGUUUAUUUAUCAAUUUAAAACGUCAAUAAUCUACUAUUGGCGUAACAAUUGAUAUUCUCAUUUUGGAAUCAUCAAGAAUCUUAAAAUUUUCAAAGCCACCAUGCUCAAUUUAUACACGAAAAAGAGGAGGGGGGGGGGGGGGGGUAAGAUGCAUGAUCAGAAAUGAAUUUGGCAAGUAUUUGAUUGAGUUGAGAGGUCACUAAUCUCACUUAAUUUGCGAAUCACAAUAUGAUUGUUUUCAAUCGGCACCAAAACGAAGGGCUGGUUUUGGUUAUUAUAGUGCCUUGUUCUAUGAAGGAUUUUGGUUACCCACAUAUGGGAUUGAUCUUUGCUUCUACUCAGUAUAAAUUCUUGAAUUAUACUAUAUAUAUAAAAAAAUAAAAAUUAUAGAACAUGCUAUAAGCGUAUAAAUUGAGACUUUCGUUAAAUUUUAAUUUAUAAUAUUUUUCCGGAGAAAAGUAAUUAGCAUGAAACACAACAGCGGUGAAUCAUCUCAUUUUUCAAGAAAUAAUAUUUGUCAGAGCUUUUUUUUUUAUAUUAGUUUAUAAUUAACUUUAAUAUGUAAUAAUAUAGCAUAUUCUGGGAAACCUGUUGGGAUAAUUGUUUUUAAUAUUAUUAUGAUAUUACACAUGAUUGGCAGUCGCAACUCAUCAUCAUCAUCUGAAACCAUAUUAACAAACAUUUAUUUAACAAUAUUCUUUAUGUAAACAGGAUUACCCUAAACCCAAUUAAUAUCUGCAGGGAUCAGACGACUGUUAGAACAUAUGUUAAAUUUGUAUAAUAUAUGAUUUAAAAAUUUAAAAAAUAAAUUUUUCUUUUUUGGAGAUAACAGUUGGUAUAUUUAGGAUUAGUAAAACUAAAUGUUUUAUUUUUAUUCUAUGUGCUCCAUCAUGGCAGUAGUUAUUUUUUUGCGAUUAAACAUACUAUUUUGAUUUAAAUGGAUUACAAAAUGGCACAUUUUUUUAACCCUUAACAGUUGGUAUAUUUUUUUUUAACCCUUAACAGUUGGUAUAUAUUUUUUAAUAAGAUUAUUAAUGCAUCAAGUAAUCUUGUUUUGAUGAUUGUAACUCGUGACUGCGGGAAAAUUUCUAAUGGAAACAACUCAAUUUCGGAAGAAAACUUGAUUUUGCAAGUGAUGAAUUUGAACUCGUUGGAUUGGUUGAUUUAUGAUUGACUGAAUUUCACUUUUCCUCAUAAGAUCUUUAACCAAAGUUUAAUAGCUAUCAUGUACUCCUUAAAAGCAAUUUUUUUUUUUAGAUUUGACUGAAUUUGAACUUGUUGGAUUGGUUGCUUUUAGAUUAUUAAUAUGAGAUAUUACAACGUAAAUAUUUUCAUGUGGUUGAGCCCUAUUCUAAAAUCUGUAUAGUUAGCUUUAGAAAAAGGGCUUUUCCUGCUGAUCUGUAAUCUUGAAAUAAACUUAGAUACAAAUAAUGAAAUAAAGGACAACAAACAAGCAAUACUGAUACAAAGCCAACAGAUCAGAGUUUUUGGUACAAAUCCAAUAAAAGACAAUAAACUUAGGACCUUUUUUUCUUGCUUUCUUUUGUUGAAGGAUUAGAGUUUUUGGUAUUAUCAGUAAAGGUUUCAAGGAGUAAAAGCCUAUAAACUUUUUUUUUGGGGGAGCGCCGCCGGGGGGGGCGGGGGAGAGCAUGCAAAUUAACCAAAAGAAAUAAUAAGAGCACAGGCUUUAACAAUGAAUACUGACUUAAAACUCAUGCAAAAUAAGUUACAAUACUAAAACAAACCAGAGAAAUUUUUUUCUUGGAAAGUAGAUGGAACUUAUGAAAGAGCAGAUGUCAAGGAUUUAGAAAACGUGCACCUCUUUAAUUACCUGGGAUUAGAGAGUUGGUGAGCUUCUCUAUUUAAGAACAAGUUGAAAGAGGAAAAAGAUCACUGGUAACUGCUGAGGAAUGUGUGAGAAAAGAGUUGAUGAGAGCAAUAACAAUGACCUGCAAAAGAAACAGAAUUAGUCAUUCACCGCUUUUCUAUAUCAUGUAUUUGGUUAUUGUUGCCCUGUUGACGCAUGUUGAAGAAGAAAGCACUAGUUCACAACUCUACGUUUUCAUAUAUUCUAAAGAAAUAAUUAAGCUUUCAUAGAAUAAUACCUGUUGUGUUUGAGUAAUUUUGGUAUAUACAUUGCUUGUGUACUGUGAAAUUGAAAUGAAUAUUGAUUGACAGAGCAAUGUAUAUGCCUAAUAAAACACAAAGCAAAUACCGGAAUUCCCCUUUUAAGGUGAAGGCCUUACUCAAUUCCUAUUGGAAUUGCAACGAAUGAUUCGGGACUAAAACUUUUAUAAAAGCAAAUACCGGAAACACACAAAAAGCAUUUAAGAGAGAAACUAAACAGCAAAUAAUAGAAGUAAGAUCAAUAAUAUAUGAUUUGAUUUAUGCAUAUUCAAAAACCAAAAUAUAAAAUAAAAUAAAAAAAUAAAGUUUGAUUUAUUCUUUCCACAAAAAACAGGGGAAUGAAAACAGAGGCAACUUGUUUUACCAAUUUUUUCUUCUUAAUUUCCGGCAAAAAAAAAAAAUUCAAUAAACAGGGGAAUGAACACAAAGGAACGAAAACAGAGGAAACUUGCUUUUCAGGCUAUCUUGUGACAUGAUGAUAUUGCUCGUGAAUGCAUGAAAAUUUCUAAUGCAAACAGCUCAAUUUGGGAUGAUAAGCUUAAGUUUGCAAGUGAUGCAAGUAAAUAAGUUUUUGCGGUUAAUUGAAUCUUUAAUACUCUGGGCCCUAUUCUAAAAUUUGUAGGUUGCUUCAGAAGAAAGGGCAGUUCUCACUCAUCUUUAAUCUCCAAGUAAAAUUAGAUACAAAGCAAAUCUAAUAAAAUGACAAACAAACAAACAAACAAAACAAAGAAAAGACAGGAGGCAAACAACAUUGAUCUUAAGCCAACUGAUAUUUUAAACAGAGAAUUCUUUUCUUUUAUUUUUUUUAACCACCUUUUGCUCAAGGAUUAGAGUUUUUAUAUUAACAGAAAGGUUUCAGGGGUCUGAAUAAAAGCCCACAAUUUCUCUAAUUGUUAUUUUUUUUUUUAUUAUUGAAAGGAGCUUCACUAUUGGCCUUGAACAUAUAAGAAUGAGCAAAAGAUCAAUGUCAACUGCCGAGGAAUGUGAGUAAAGAUUUCAUCAGAGUAAGUAAUACAAAUGAAUUGUAAAAGAACAAGACUUAAGCGUGCACCCCGUGUUUUGUUUUAUUGUACGUAUAAACAUAACAUGUUCAUUUUUAACAAAGUGGUCAAUUACUCUUUUUUUUUUUGGUACAAAGACGUGCCUAGCAUAGACUAGGGCAAAACAAAACGGGGGUGUGAAACCCCAAUACAAUUAUGACGAAUCCAAAACCCAGCCCCUAAAGGAAGAGAAUUGAAAAUGUGCAAUCCAACAGGGAGUGAAAGAGCAGAGUUUGCAAGAAAGUCAGCUGCAAAAUUUGAUUCUCUGUAAACAUGCUUGACCUGCACUUGCCAGGUUUUGUUAAGCAAUUCCUUAAUACCCCUGACAAGAGAAGCAUGUGCAUUUGGCCUAAUCUCGUCAUCCGCCACCAAAAGAGUAACACAAAGGCUGUCAAUCUCCACAUGAAGCUGCCGAAUUCCAUUAUCCCAAGCCAGACAUAACCCUUGAUAAAGGCCCCAUAACUCAGCACCAGUGAUGGUACCCACACCAAUAUUCAUUCCAAAACCAAUUAUCCACUCUCCAUAACAGUUUCUAAUCAAGCCAUCUGCACUAGACAGACCAGAACUUUUACGAGCUCCAUCUGUGUCGAGUUUAAACCAAGGCCAAGUAGGUGCCACCCAUCCAAAAUAUUCUCAAUCUUCAUGGCAGCAGGAACCAAACAACUCUAAUUAAUCUUUUGAAUUUCUUCUGUACGGAUCUUAAUAUCCAUUACAACAGUACUCUUGCUGUUGCUGGUAAAAACACCAUUAUGCAGAUUUUGGUUACGCCAAAACCAAAGCCUCCAAACUGUGACCCCAAAAAGACACGGCCAGUCAAACAUACCAUCAUACUUCCACAAGUUCCUCAAAUUAUAUAACAUCCAAUCUCGGAGAUUCAAACUAAAAAAUUAAUGACUAAUCCCAUGGGGUAUCAAUGACGACCAGACAUGCUUAGCACUGGGGCAAUCCCGUAGCACAUGAAGAGUAUUUUCAACAACACAGCCACACUUUGCACAGCUCAUAUCAUCAACAAUAUGUCUCCGGAAAAGUUCUGCUUUAGUUUUAAGUCUAUUUUGACCCACCACCCACAGAAAGGUUUUGAUACGUUGGGGACCUCUCCACUGCCAAAGAAUGCGCCAAAAUGAUUCUUCAUUGUGAACCUCCAUUUUUGACAAAGCCCUAUAUGCUGAAUUAGUAGUGAAAUCUCCUGACUUAGAAUAUGCCCAGUUCAUGUAAUCAUCCUCAUCAUUUACACUGGGAGGCUUGGUGGCUGCAAUUUUGAGAAGUAAAUGAUGGGGCAAUAAAUUCUCAAAAAGCCGCCAAUUCCAAGUACCCUCAACAGUGAUAAACCUCACCACGCACUCCUCAAGCUGCUCUAAAGGUAUCGGCUGCAAAGCGAAAGUAUACAAAGGGUAUUCCUCUGUUACCCAAUUAUCCCACCAAAAUCUAACUCGGUUGCCAUUUCCAAUGUCCCAUUUGAUCCCUUUUAAAACCUCAUGCCAAAUGCCUCCCACAGCCUUCCACAUGUAAGAGCCACAUUUCGUAGGUAAUGUGCUGGGGAGAGCAUUAGGAGCCAGCCCAUACUUAGACAAGAGAACCUUCAACCAUAAACUAUUUGGAGAAGCAAUUAAACCGCCCCCAAUCUUCAUGAGCAGAGCAUCAUUCAUUAAAUUAAGCUGCUUAAGACCAAGGCCUCCGCUAGGUUUCGGUUGACAUAUUGUAUCCUAUUUCACUAAACUGAUUUUCUUCUUGUCUGCUGUCCCGCUCCAAAUAAACCUCCUACAAGCCUGAUCAAUUUUCUCCCGAAUACCAAACGGAAUCCUCGUGGUCUGCAUUGCAUAAAUAGGAAUCGCCUGGAUUACCGAUUGAGUGAGAGUGAUCCUACCCGCCAAGGACAAAUGUAUCGCAUUCCACCGCAACAAAUGUUGGUUCACUUUGUCCAAAAUUCCCUGAUAAGUUAGCUUAUUAACCCGUGAAUGAAUAAUUGGCAUUCCUAAAUAUUUCCCUAGGUUUUUUGUGACAGAAAAACUGAAGGAAUCACCAAUUUCCUUAGCCUCAGCAAACUUUACGUUGUGGGAGAAAAAAACUUAUGUCUUUGUUUUACUAACUUUCUCUCCAGAGCUCAUACAAUAAACAUUCAACACUUCAUUUAUAACCAUUGCUUGCCUAGAGGAAGCCUCUGCAAGCAAGAUAAGAUCGUUAGCAAAAAAUAAGUGAGAUAAAGAGGUACCUGCACGAGACAGUUUAAUAGGUUUCCAGUACCCUCUCUUCACAGUGUCAUUUACUCCAUGGCUUAACCUUUCUAUACAUAACACAAAGAUAUAUGGGGAAAUGGGGUCUCCCUGUCUAAUACCCCUAGAAGGGGUAAAACUCUCCGUAAUUUCUCCAUUCCAUAGAAGUUGCAUAGUCGCCGUUGUAAUACAUUCCAUAAUAAGCUGAACCAAAACAGUAGGCAAUCCAAACUCCCUCAAGGUUUCAUAAAUAAAAUCCCAGCUUAAACGAUCAUACGCCUUUUCCAAAUCCACCUUAAUGGCCAUCUGCCCAAUCCUCCCUUUCUUACGUCUCAUCUAAUGAAUAACUUCCUGAGCAACCACUAUGUUUUCCGUUAUGUGUCUCCCCGGGAUAAAACUAGUCAGGGUAGGAAUGAGGUCAGGCAAGAUAGAUUUCAGCCGGUUAGCUAAUAACUUAGUGAUAGUUUUAUAGAUAACCGGGCAAAGACUAAUCGGACGAAAAAGCUUAAGGCUAAUAGGAUUAUCCGACUUAGGAACCAACACAAUCAGAGUUUUGUUCAGCUCCUUAAGGAUCUCGUUGCCAUUAAAAAUACCUUUUAUAAGACUACAGACAGAUUUUCCCACUACAUGCCACUGGGUCUGGUAAAAGAGAGCAUGCAACCCGCCUAUUCCAGGGGCUUUCAAAGCCUUCAUGCUGAAGAUCACAUUCUUAAUUUCCUCAUCCUCCACUGCUUGUCCCAAAGCUUGCAUUCGACUUUCCUCAAGGACUGGGAAGGCGUUAACAACAUGGUAUGGAUGAUAGAUUGCAUCCUCUUUGGGAUAGAGCUUUGAAAAGAAGGACACAGCAUAAUCUCUAAUCUCAUCAUUAUUCAACAACCAAUAACUCUAUUCGUUAUGAAAUUGAUAUUGUACCCAAUUUUAAGAGAGCAUAAUAAUAACCAUUCAAUGCAUAAAUUUAGAAUUAGGUUUUUUUUUGUAAUUCUUUAUUUAAAUAUAAACUUCAAUGGAAAAUUAUAAAAAUUUAGAUAUAAAAUUUUAAAUCACCGGACCAAAAAAAAAAAAAAGGGGAACGGAAAUAGAGGAAUCUUGCUUUACCUUUUUUUCCUUUAACUCUUGUUCUUAUAUAAAUAAUCUUGUUUUGAUGAUUGUAACUCAUGACUGCGGGAAAAUUUCUAAUGGAUUUGUUAUGCAAGUGAUGGAUUUGUUCAAUUGACUCUGUACUUGAACUAGUUGGAUUGGUUGAUUGAUGAUUGACUAAAUUUGAAUUAAGUUUAAUAGCUUAGCUAUCAUGUACUCCUUAAAAGCAAACGUAAAUCUUUUUUAGAUUUGAAUGAAUUUGGGAACCUGUUGGAUUGAUUGUUUAUAGAUCAUUAAUUUCAGAUACUACAACGUAAAUAUUUUCUUGUGGUUGAAUACCGGUUCUGCUUUAAUGAUUUUGGCAUAGACAUUGCUUGUGAACUGUGAAAUUGAAAUGAAUAUUAAGUGACAGCGCGAUGUAUAUGCCUAAUAAAAGAUCAGCAAAAGCUUGGAUGAAUGAUUGAAGACCAAAACUUUUAUAAAAGCAUUUUUGAGAGAAACUAAACACCAAAUUAUCAAAGUAAGAUCAACAGUAUAUGAUUUGAUCUAUACACAUUCAAAAACAAAAUGAUGAUUAAUAAUAAAGUUUGAUUUUGUAUUGCCAACGAUGCUUUUUUGUUGUUUCAUUUGUUCGACGUGGCCUUAUUUACAAAUUGGUUUAUGUUAACAGAAACAUGAAAUUCACAUCACACAAAAUUGCACGAACAAAUAUUAAGAGAACGUAAUAAUAAUCAGUCAAUGCGUAAGGGUAAAUUUAGAAUUACAUAUUCUUUUUUAUUUAAUAAAAUCCCAACGGGAAGUCAUAAAAAUUUAGAUAUAAAAUUUUCAAUCACCAAACGAAAAAACAGGGGGAAUGAAAACACAGAAAACUUGUUUUACCUUUUUUUUUUUCAUCUAAUUCCUGUUCUUAUAUAAUAUUUUCCCUAGUAUUUCGGGCAAGAAAAAAAAAAUUCAACAAAGAGCAAGUUGCUCAGAUUGAUUUAUCUUGUUUUUCAGGUUAUCUUGUGAAAUGAUGAUAAUGCUCAUGAAUGCUAGAAAACUUCUAAUGCAAACAACUCUAUUUGGGAUGAUAAGCCUAAUUUUACAAGCGAUAAAUAUAAAUAACUUUUUGUGGUCAAUUGAAUUUGUAAUUACUCUUAGCCCUAUUCUAAAAUUUGCAGGCUGCUUGAGAAAAAAGAAUAUUUCUCACUCAUCUUUAAUCUUCAAGGAAAAAACAAAUCUAAUAAAAUGACAAACAAACAAACAAACAUAUAAAAGACAGCAAACAAACAACAUUGAUCUUAUGCCUACUGAUAUUUAAACAGAGAAUUCUUUCUUCUUUUUCUCUUCAUGGAUUAGAGUUUUUGCUAUUAACAGAAAGGUUUCAAGGGUCUGAAUACAAUCCCAGACUUUUUUUUAACUUUGUUUUUUGUGGGAAAAUGGAUUCAAGUUAACCAAAGCCAAUAAUAAGAUCACAGACUUUAACAAUGAACAAUAACUUAAGCAAAACCAAUGACAAGAUUAAAACAAACCAGAGAAAUUUUUCUCGGAAAGUAGAUGAAAAGCAAGUAAGAACUGCUAUUAAAUAUUAUUAAAGGAUUUAGAACAUGUAUACCUCUUUAAUUAUAUGGGAUCAGAGAAAUGACCUUCUCUAUUCGCUUCGGAUAUUAAGUAAGAACUGCUAUUAAAAGAAUGAAUUGAUGAGAGUAAUAACAAUGAAUUGCAAAAUAGGAAGACUCAAUCAUGCACCCCUUUUAUACCCGAUUUUUAAGAUUUAAUUUUGAAGUUCACCAAUCAAGAACAAAGAAAAAACCUUAAUAAAGAAUGCAGUGAGAAUAAUUAAGUUAAAGAAAGUACUAGGUUAUGGCUCUGCGUUUCAUAUGCUGUAAUGAAAUAAUUAAGUUGAAGUUUUUAACGAUUAAAUACCUGUUGUGCUAGAAUAAUUUUAGAAGAAUAUUGGCUUAUAGAGCAUAUUAGUAGGGAUAAGAUUUGUAAGAUGCCAGAUAAAAGAUAAAGCGAAAGCUUGAAUGAAGAAUGGCAUUUAAUAAUUAUAGAAGAAUAUUGGCUUAUAGAGCAUUUUAGUAGUGAUAAGAUUUGUGGACAGAAUAAAUGAAAUAAUAAAAGGCAUAACUGAUCAAGUCAUUAUUGAUCUUACUUUGAUUAUUACAUUGCACAUUAGUUUCUUUCUAAAAAUGCCAUUCUUCAUUCAAGCUUUCGCUUUAUCUUUCAUCAGGCAUCCUACAAAUCUUAUCCCAACUAAUAUGCUCUAUAAGCCAAUAUUCUUCUAAAAUUAUUAAAUUCCAUUCUUCAUUCAAGCUUUCAUGGACACUAUUUACAAAUUGUUCUUGUAUUUGACAGAAAAAUGAAAACUCCUCAUCAUACAAAACUGCAUGAACAAAUCUUCAAUUUAAUUAUGAUAAAAUAAUUAAUUCCAUUAAUAGAUUAUGUUGUUUUUUUUUUUUUUGUCUUGACCACAAGGUAUCCUGGGAAGGGCCCCAACUGUGGGAGGCAUUUUUAAGCCCGUACCACAACCCAUACUAGAAGUCCCCACUCGAACCGGGAGGCACAAGUUCUCCCAACAAAGGCGACUUCCCUGCAAUUCGAACUGGGGAGCAAACCCAGUCAAUCCACUUAAGGGGACUCCAUUGCCAGUGGAGCCAACACUUUGUUGGUUAUGUUGUAUGUUAAUGUGAGGGAUUUGAUCAGGUGAUCAUAUAAUUUACUAAACGCUUUAAGAAGAACAAGAAUUAAUGAGUUAAAAAUUAAAAAAUAAAUAAAUAAAGAGUAGAUGGAAAGAAUGUUAUUUGCAAUCACUAAACCAAAGAACAGGGGAAUGAUAAGAGAGGACGGUUACUGCAACAUUAUGAAGUCAAAAUUAAGAAAGGCAUUCUUUUUUUUUUCACAUUAUUCUAUUUAAUCUUUCAUAAGGCGCACACUACGAAUCUAAAUUAAAUUCAUAAUUAAGAAUAAAAGAUAAACCCAAACAAUCAUCUAGCAGGUGCCGUGUAGACUGCAUCAAAAAUUUAGAUUUAGAUUUUUACAAUCACCAAAUGGAAAAACAGGGGAAUGAAAACAAAGGUGCCGUGUUUGUAGAAACAGGGGAGUUUCCGGGUUUCUGGAAACAAACUCAGAAACGAAUAAAUCUCUUGGUGUAUAUAAGCUUUCAUCAUCUGGUUUUAGUUUGGUUAGGUUUAACUACAUUUCCUGGGUAGCAUUACUUAUGCUAGUAUAUUCAUUUCUACCCAAGCCACAGUGACUGUUAGGAGUUCUCGUAAACUGAAUUUAAAGUUGCGGCUUAAAGUGUUUACCAACUUAAAACCAGAGCUAUAAAGUGUUUGAUGAAUUAUUUUUUCAUUAAAAAAAAAAAAACUGAUUUAGCGGGAUAAAAUAAUGCUCCAUUCCGUUUAGUAAGUGAAGUCCAGAGUAUUACCUACUACUAACUAAAUCCGCUUGAUUCACAAGACUACCAAGAGAUGACUGAAUCUUCAAUGUAAUAAAAUAAUAAUCAGCCUCACAGGAUACAUAAAAAGCUCAUUUUUCACAACCAUAUCCUAGUGCAUCAUAAACUUGAUUAUUUAAUUUUACUAUUAGGAAACCUACUUAUAUAAGGCGCACACUACAAAUUCUAAAUUAAAUUUUCAACUAAGAAUAAAAGGUAAACCCUAGCAGUCUUCCACCAGGUGCCGUGUAGCCUGCAUCAUAAAUUUUGAUUUAAAUCUUUGUAAUCACCGAACAGAAAAACAGGGGAAUGAAAACAGAGGAGCCCUCAUUUUUUUAACCCUUAACUCUUGUUCUUCUAAUUAUAUUUUUACUUGGAAUUUCAGGCAAACAACAAAAAAUAGUGACAACUAUUCAGAGAGAACAGGUGGAUGAUAGCAAAAAUAUUUUUAAUUAAUAUGCAUGAUUAACUCUUGUUCUUCAUUAUUGGUAGUCUCUGUGGGCUCAUUUCGUCUCCAGACCUGAUAUUGUAUAUCUCUUUUUGAAUAUGCAUGCUGCUGAAUAAAGAUGAUUACUUCCAAAUUUUUGUUGCUUUUUUUUUUUUUUUUUGGGCUUUGGUGCAUGAAGAAUGUGGAAAUAGAAAUAGCUUUCGAAGUUUAAUGGCUUGCUUCAUUAGUAAAGAAAGACAAGGAUAUCUGUCCCUUUUUGUUACUGAAUUAUUGAUCAAUUGACGGUUGAAGUUGGUUAUAUUAAUUUGUUGUACAAGAAUUGAAGCUUAUAUCUUAGCCGUUUCGUGAAGUGUCAAAUAUGUUCUUUCCUUGCAAUUGUUCAAAAUAUGUUAUUCUUUUGAAGUCACUAUUACAUAAAGGGUGUUGUAAAAUAGGGAAAGGCGGGUUUAUGAUUAGAUUUUAAUAUGUUUAAUUCAAGGAUUAACCGAAGCUAUUAACCAACGGCUACUAACCGAAAACCGAAUUUAACAAUAAACACUAACUCAGAAUUCAAGAAAAUUAAAUGACAAGAUUGAGACAAAUGAGAGAUAUUUUUCUUGGACAUUAAGAAAGAACUACUACCAAGAUCAAGGAUUAGAGAUUAUAUAUGCUAUUAUUAAUAGAAAUUAUUAAAGGAUUUAGAACAAGUUCACCUCGUUAAUUAUCUGGGAUGAUGAGUUUCUAUAUUCACCUUGAAUAUAUAAUAACAAUUUUAGUGAGCAAAAGAUCACUGGUAACUGCAGAGGAAUGUGUGAGUUUAAGAGCUUAUUAGAGUAAGCAAUACAAAUGAAUUUUCAAAUUAUGUACUUGGUCAUUGUUGUCCUACUGACGCACGUUUUUUUUCAUGAAUAAUUGCCAGAUCAGAAAAGAAUAAAUUCGGUUGAUUGAAAGAUUGCUGAAGUAAGUAAAACAAUCUUCAUAUCGAACAUGAUUCCAAUUAAAUUAAUCUUUUUAUAAGAUGACUAAUAAAAGAUAAAAGUAGAAGCUUUGAUGAAUGAACGAUGACCAAAACUUUUGUAAAAGCGGAUGCCGAUAAAAUAAACAAAAGGCACUUUAAAAAGAAACUAAAGUGCGAUCAUCAAAGUAAGAUCACUAAUGAUGCUUCGCUAUCACAAGGUCCGCAUGGACAUUAUUUACAAAUUGUUCUUAUGUUUCACAGAAAAAAAUGAAACACUGUUCAUCAUACAAAAUUGCAUGACCGAAUCUUCAAUUUUUAUAAUUAUAAAAUAAUGGAUUAUGGGUAUGUUAAUGUUACGGAUAUGAUCAGAUCAUCAUAUAAGUUACUAGAAGCAUUAACAAGAACAAGAUCUAAUGAGCUAAAAGUUUUUUUUUUAAAAAAAGUUAAAUAAAUAAAGAGUAAAAGUAAAAAAAUGUUAUUUGCAAUCACCAAAAUGAAAACAGAGGAGCCCUGUUUUUCCUCUUGUUUCUACUUCUCUCUUUUUCAAGUAGUAGAAAAUGAUAUCAGAGUAUGAGAGCUCACUGCUUUCAUUAGUUGGAAAGUGUCGCCUAAAACACUUCCUCUGCUGGGUGGAAUUGUUGGCUUGAAGAGAUGAGUUCUUGUCACGAGCACAAAUUUUAGCUGUACAUUAUUUCCUUUUAAAUGCACCAUUGUUGCACAGAUUUGAACCAUAUGAUCAUUAGUUUUUUGUUUUGAUUUGGUUAGUUCGUGAUGACAAAUGAAUUAUUUUCAUCACAUUGUCAUUAUGGUAAAAAGUUGCCCUCUUUGUUACUUCCACAGCUAUUUAGUUUAAUAUUUUGUAAUAAGAUCACAAAGUGCGUGGGAACUAUUGUUCGGGUACUUUAGCCUAAAAUGAAGAUCUAUUAAAAAUUUCCCUGAUGUCAUGAUAUAAAACAAUAAAAGGUACCAACUUCAGCUUAAAUUCAUAUAAAAUUAAACCUUACCACAUACUGUAUUGAAACAAAUUACUCAUCUUUAUUGGUAACAUCAUCACCUUCAUAAAAUAUAUGGUAUCGUACAAAGUUCUUGCGCUGGGUUCGGGCAUCUAACAACGAGGACACAGCAACCUAUUCGCUAGGUUAGAGACCAAAUAGCCAACAGCAAAAUGUGCACGACGCAUGUCACUAUCAUGAAAACAACAUUCUUUUUCUUUUUUUUUUUCCCCUCAAUAAUUUCAGAUAUAAUAUUUUAACUAAGUUUGUAACACUGUUGAUUGAAAUUAUCAAGUACGAAUGUGUGUAGAUUUUAACAUGUGCACUCAUAAUUAUUAUUGUGCAGUUUUAGACUUGGUUGGGUAUUGAGGUGCUAAAACUUUUGCCGUAAGAAAAAAAAGUUUUGCAAAAGUUUUAAGUAUAAAAUAAAAGUUAAUAGUAUAUAAUAAAUUUAGUUUUUUUAAUAAUAAUUUUGAUAAAAUUAUAAAAGAUAUAAUAAAUUUUUUAUCAUAUAAGUGUAAAAUCAAAUCAUCUUAACUUUUAAACUACAACAACUAUAACAUUUUAACUGUUCAAUCUCAAUCCUAAAUAGACCCUUAAUUUAUAAUUAGAUUGUCACUAAAAGAUUUUAAGUAUGUAUUUUAGAAUUUAACGAAUACACUUUUAAACUACCUUUGUCAGAUGAAAUGUUGGGAAAUUUUUAUUAAGCUCCAAAAGUGUUUGAAAUAAAUUUAUGUUUUUAUGAUACCAAAAAAAAAAAGAUUUAUGAACAUUUUUGUGAAGCUUAGGCGAAAAUUUUUGUUAGGCUCUAUUGGGCUAGAUGAGCAGCUCGGGCAGUUAAUUAUCGCCCAAAAAGCCCAACCCAGAUUACAACAAGCUGGGAUUUGGUUAGCUCGUUGACGGCCAUUUGGGUAUGCAUGAAUUGGGUGGAUGAUUAAUAAAUACGAUUUAUUAAUUAUUUCGCCGAUUUGAAUAUUCUCCUAAUUUAAUCUUUUCUAAUAUUAUAAUAACGAGAUUUUGACAUGUGUUAUACCUGUGUUAUUUUAAUAAUCCAAUAGAUAAUAUCUACUUUAUUUUUAUCUUUCGUUAUUAAAUACAAAAACACUAAUAGAAAAAAAAAAUGACUUAACUCUUUUUAUAUUUUUAAUUUUUAUUUAUUUCCGUUUAUUGCUUUCCUAGCAAUGUUCAUCUUUUUACUCUACAACAUCCAUAACCUUAACUUUGGAAAUAAAAGAGAAUAUGCGAAAGUAUAAGUAGGAGAAAGACUUCAUUGAAAUCAAACGAAUUGGGCAACGUUAGAUUUUUCUUUAAAAUUCUCAUGCGAUAUUAAUUAGUAGUAUUAUCGUUGUUGCCUGCCUACUUCUAACCUCAACCAAUAUAUGAUCAAUGCUUGAUUUGGUCAAUCUAAAUAAUUAUAAUCGAUGAUAGGAUAUUGUUGAAGGGCGGCCCUAAGGAUGAGAGAGGGAAUGCGUGUGCAAGCCACAUGUGUGAAGAAAAAGAAAAACGCAAGAGUGAAGAUGACGGCGAUUAAGAUCGUGUUUGAUUUCUUUUCCUGUUUAAUUUUAGUUAAUAUGCUGUUGUUAGUUCCAAAAUUUGAGUUAGCAACAAAAUGACAUGUUUUUGUGUUUAAUAAGGAAAAAGUAAAUAAUAGAUUUUCUAUAGGAUUCUUGGAAUGGAUUAGAUUAGACUAUGGAGAGAAAUAUAUUUGAAAAUAUUAGUGUUGAGUCAUUCUAAUGUCUUUAAUAGUAAAUUCAAUUAAGAAUAUUUUAGUAAUAUAAUUUUUUAUUAAAAUUAGAGUGUUCAAAGUUAGUAAUAAAAAAUUCAUAUAACUCUGGAUUUUUUUAUUGAAUUUAUAUAACUCUGGAUUCUUUUUUUUUUUUUUUUUUCCAACACUGAUAUGGUUCUGUUCUGUGUAUUUAUAUACAAUUUAAUGUUUACAUACAAGUUAAAUUAUAUACAAUCCUUCAAGUCGUAACUCAAUUUUAUGGAGGUUUAUACAUCUUUCAACGAUCAAUUUAAUAUUUAUAUACAAACCUCCGCAUCUUUCAACGAUCUCAUCUGCUGAUUUUUUGUAUUCCUGUUCUUUCACUUCAAUAAUUUUUUGUAUUAUUCCAUAUCUUUCACUUUAAUAACCCAAAAGCUUUCCUCUGUUUCAAUCGAAAGAAAACCCUAGCUUAAACUAAGAGAAAAUUUACAUAUUAAAGCUAAUUAGUACUGAAUUUUUUCUGGUGGUGCGACCAGAGGUGGAAACAGGGUAUGAAAAUGCGUUACUGGUGAGGUUGCUGCUUAAGAUGAGAAUGCAUUCUUUUCAAAAAUCCUUGGUAGGUGUUAUCUAAUUAUCUUUGAUGGAAUAUUAAAUGGCUAAAAAUCUGUCAUACGUUCAAACUUUGUUUUUGUUUAGAAGAAUGGUGUUGACUGUAUAUUCGUUUGGAAGAAUGGUGUUGAUUGUAUAUUCAUUUGCUUAGCCUUUUGACAGAUGGAUUUGGAACUGACGACAAAUGUGAUUCAAUUUACAAGGUUUUCGAGGGGCUCACCGUGGAAGGGAUAUUGAAGAACUGGUCUAAGAUAAAGCCUAUGAUUGUGAAAGAUUGGAGUGAGAAUAUAGAUGCUCUUUUUCAUCUUUUUGGCAAGGUCAGAGAUGAAUGGAUAGAUAAGGAUUUAUUUGACUACUUGGACUGGUGCUAAUAGGUAUUUUAGGCAAGCUUUUUGAGAUAACACUGAGCAAGUUAUACUACUAUUUUGCACAUGAUGAUCUCGAAAAGUAAAAUAAAAUAAAUUAUUAACUUUUACUUUCAUCUUUUGCAUAGCAAUCAAUGUGGUGCUUGUUCUGUGACAACUUUGAUAAUCUACUUAAUUAUUGGUUAGCAUUUGGACCAAAAAAGUUCUUAUGAUUUACAUGUUUUGUAGAAAUGCAUGAACCUUAAAUGUGCUGAUCAGGGAGUUUAAUUAUUGCACCUUGAAAUUCAUUUAUUGUUAACUAAUUGGCUUUCCUUUGCAUAAAGCCACUUAUAAGGCUUGAGUGGACGUCUUUAUGGGCAUAUUAUUUGUAUUUCUAUAUGCAUGCCUUUAUCAUUUAAUGUGCUGCUUUUAUUUCUUUAUGCAUGCCUUUAUCAUUUAAUGGCCAGCUCCCUCUCCUCUUUUGUAAUUUGAAUAGUAGUAUGGGCCUCCAUUUUACAAAUCUUUAACAUCUUUUGCUGUAAAUUAAUUUUUCUUUCAAAUAUUCACUACUAGAAAAAUAGUCUUUACUGACUUUACAAUAGUAUCAGAAAUUACUUUCACUGACACUUGUUAAUUGUGUCAGUAAUCUGGGAGUCAGAAAAAUAGUGACACUUAUAAGUGGUGUCAGUGAUUACUAUUACUACAGUAUCACCGAUAUUAUGACACCAUAGUGUUAGUAGUUAUUGAUAUUUUAUUAGUGUCUAUAAUUACUGUUACCAUGGUAUCACUAAUUAAUAUAUUUUUUUAAAAAUAAAAAAUUGAAUUGGAUCAUUGCCUAUUGAUUUAUUUGUAAAAUUAAAAGCACCACAAAAUAACAAAAAGAAAUUGAUUUAUAUCACAAAAUCUUUCAUUUCACAUUUAAAUAUUAUUAGUAUAUAACUAAAUAAUCCAAAUUCAAUACAUAAAAAUUUCUACCAUCCAAUCAAAUGCCUACUACUUGUGGCUAAAUUUAUAAAUCUAGAAGUUAAAUUGAGAAUGAUGACUGUCUUUCACUCUUUGAAUAUGAGUAGUAUAAUUGCGUUAUCACACCAGCAGCUUCUCCAUUUAAUAAACUGUAUGGGUUAUGAUACAAGUGAAGUUGAGGAAUAAACACUUCAAACACAUUGAGCAAAUAUGCAUACAUGGAAAAGGGAGAAAAAAUUAGCUGCCAAUUCCCAACCAUUAGAGAAACAAUGGUUAAUAUAAAUAAAUCUAUUUUGUUCUAAAGAAAAAAUAUUCAUACACUAUUUAUAAGUAAACUCAAUUAUUUCUAAUGGUGGAGCACAUAUGUGUGAACAACAGAGCAUCACAUAGCUCAAAGUACAUUAACUGUUCUGUGUCUUAUUCAUUUUUCACUUUAGCUUUUAUUUUAGCAAUUUUUUGAGAAUAAGCUCCAACUCAGAAGGUGAAAUCCAACUUCCAUAUGUAGACAUUCUUGCAGCUGACAGCAAUUAGUUUGGGACUACGGCUUUUUUGAGCAUCUGGCAUGGAUUACAUUGAGAUAUACAAUUUACAUACAAACAUUAAAGAACUAAAACAUUAUUUAUAUUUAGAGACAAUUCAAAUGUCAGCAAACAUUAUUUAUAUUGGUUUAGCAAGUGGCACGACAAUUUUUUAGAUAGAAAUGUACAGAAACUAUAAAGGAAAAACAUUAUCAAGACACCAUUAAAGAAUCAUAGAGUACCUUUACCGGAUUUGUUUGCUUUGCAGGUGGGCUGUGAUGAUGAUGAGCAUAAAGCAUUUUCAUUUAAGCGGACAAGUGCCUUAGCUUCUUUACUUACUACAGACCACGUGUUCUCCCCAUCUAGCCUUGCACUUCCAAAAUCAUGAAAUCCAUCUUUGUGGAAUGUCUUAAUGCCAGGAGUGCGUGAAAAUUCUGGGAGUGCAUUGGCCUUCUAAAUAAAAAGAAACUCGUAAAUAAUUCUUGUGUCAAGUAACAAGGACAAAAAUUUACUUGGAAGCAGCGCAUCCAUGAAAAGAUAGACGCAGAUAGCUACAGAGACACAGUCAACACAUAAUAGCUAAUCCUAAACCUUAUUGGAUAUAAUACCUCAUUAGCAGAGAUUGCUUCGUCAUCUGAGGUACAUGUUGAUGCCUUCCUUGGCGAGAAGAUAAAACCAACCUCAUCAGGAAAUUCAGGCGUUUCAACCUCGUCUUCCACAAAGACACUUAUUUGCUUCUGUUACAGCGACAUACACAAAUGUCAGUUUCUCCUAAGAAAACUGGUCGGAACCUGAAAAUUCUAUUCAAAUUUAAUCACUUGCCUUUGGUGAUAAACUGCCAGCAAUCCUUCCACAAGUUUCUCCAUGAGUACCUGUAUGUCAGAAACCAAAUCUGUGCUUUGGAACCUAAACAUGAAUAUCGAUGAACAACACCCUCAACAAUCUCAUUAGCGUCAAAAACAUUUUAUUACAAAAUAAUACUACGGUUUCGGAGCGCACCUUUCAGUAUGUCUAGUCGCGAUUGAAGUUGCACUACUUCCUAUCAAUUUACAAAAAUCAUAGCAUGAAUAAAUAAAACAAUUGCCUCUAAAUUUACAAAAUCAACGUCAUCACAUCAAUUACGUGAUGGAUAACAAUUUAAGUAAAUUUUAAUAAAAAAUUAUUCAACAAUUAAAUCGAAUGACAAUUAAAUUAGUAAAUUGAAUACUGACCUCUUUCUCCGAUGGCCCACCCAACGAAACACAAUUAUCUCGUAAAUCGACGUUAAAAUCUUCCUCAUCUGCAAAUCAAAAAAUUUGAAAAACAGAGAAAUGCUUAAAACGCGUACAGUGUUUAGUGUAUACAUAACAUAAGAGUAUUUAAAAAAUAAUGGCAACCCUGUAUGAAAUGUCAAUCAAAUUACCAGAAAUGCUUUGAUCAGAAUCUUCAUCUCCCUGAAAGCGCAUAAGAUCCCGGCAAAAUGAAAAGAAAAAAAUAAAACGAAUUAUCAUCUACAAAAAAAAACAACUUUAGUUGGUUAAAAUCUACAAACUAAGUGCGGCUCGGAUAGCAGAAUAUGACUAGAAAAACAAAAACAUUAUUGAGUAACCAGAACAUCUAACAUCGCAUAUGGGCACCAGAACAAAAUUCAUGCAAAAAUAUGGAAGUUGAAAAAUCAGCAAAUGCCGCUAACCGAGUUAAUGGAAUGCGAAACCUGCCUAGAUAGUGGAGGAGUUCCGGUAAAGGAGGACCAUCAAGCACAGCUAAGGAGGAAGAAUGCAACUUAAAAUAGUUAUAGUUUCAUUACGAAUUAAAAAAGUUUAAUCCUCUAAUUUUCAAUACAAUGGCAUCUCCUAUUCAUGCGCAUGCAUCAGCAGCAUUGUUAUUGAUAGAACUGAAAAAUUGGCACUCGGAUAAUCAUAUGGUUGUAGACACUGCUCCAAAAUAAUCAUUAAACAUGGAAACUAAUAAGGCCACAGGUUCUGGAAUGCCAAAAGCUGCACGCAUAUAUAUGGGUCAGUCACGAAUAAAAAGAAACGAAUUAUCAUAACCUCGACACGAAUGGGCGUAGUCACUAUAGGAUCAGAGCGGCACAGCCCUCAGCCACUAUAGGCAGGGGUUAUAUUAAUGGUUGUGAAUGAAUAAAUUCAAAUAUCAACUUUAGUAAUCAACUUAUUAAUUUACAAGUAUUUUUUUAUAUUAUGAUAUCGUAUACUCUACUAAUUGUAUUUAAAAUAUACACACACACAUACAUACAUAUAUACCAACUUAUAAUUGUGAGGUAAGCUAAGACUCGAAGCUAUUCCUUAACAAUCUAACACUCUAUAUAAUCUCAAGUGUGGAAAACCAGCAGAGAAACCAAGUUGCUUAAACUCUUGUUCAGUCAUGUGUUUACCUUUGGCCCUGUAGAUGGUCAUAACAAAAAUGUCCCCUUCUAAGAGAGCACGAGUCCUCUGACUUUCAUUUGAAUCAUCAGGCAGCACAGGCUCGCAAGCAAUCAGUUUUCCUCCUGCAGGAAUAGCCUUGUAACAAUUCUCCAUUAUCAGCUUGCAUUCAUCAUCAGUCCAUGUAGUUAAAACCCACUUCAUAAAGAUAGCAUCAGCGGCAGGAAUGGACUUAAACAUGUCCCCACCAAUAUGGGUCACUCCAGGGAUACUUGGAGCUUCGGCAACAACCUCAGGCAAAUCAAAAUUGAUCCCUUCACAUAUAAAACGAUGUUUCUAUAAUAUCAUCCUCAGGCAAUCACCUGCACUCCCACCCACAUCAACCAAUCGCUUCACACCUUUGAACCCAUCGUAACCGUCCAAAAUGGACGUCAUGAACGGCACGGACACUCCCGACAUGGCUUUUCGCAUCAAGCCGUUCAUUUCAGGCAUCUUCCCAUAAUAACUAUAUGUCGGCUCGCCAUGGACUUUCACAAAUGGCUCAAUAGUUGGGUCCAGAAUGGCCUCGUGCACCAAAGGCCACGCGCUCAUAAGCGCGUCCUGGUGAUGCUGGAGCACGUAGGGCGCGUACGAUUGACCCUCGGCAUCAGUAACGAGGGAUUUCCCAAUCUCGGUGAGGCUGUACUUCCUUUCGCCUCCAAAUUCGCGAUGCUCCGAGAACACGCCGUAGUUGGUGAGCAAGCGGAGGAUACGUUGCAAGUUCUCGGCGUCCCCACCGCCGGAUGGGAGGAUACGUGUCAAGAUCUGGGAGGCGGAGAGAGGGGUGUUGGCCAGUCUUCCCUUCUUCCCGCCAUCUCUGCACUCGUUAUCUUCCAUUACUGCUUACUGACCUUUGAUUUCGCAGCACCAUGCCGGCCAAACAAAAAGAUAAGACCUGAGCACUUUUUGACAAUUUGAAUGUUAGGGAUUUUUCAGAUGUGGGGAGCUUAGGAGGGAACGAAUACUUUGGUAGAGGGAGUUGAAAAGUUGUAUUUUGGAUAAGAUAAAGAUUUGUUCAUUUGUUUUGUUUUUAUCCACUCAAAAAGUACAAAUUCUAAAAAAAUUAAAAAUAAUUCGUAGUCUAGUGGUCUUUUGAUUCAAUGUAGAAGUUCUAGGUUUAAGCAGUCUUGGGUUCGAAUUCAGACUAAAACAAAAUUAGAAUGAUAAUUUUUAAUUACUGAUACUUAAGCGUCAUUGAUCGCUAUUACUAAAGUUAUUGAUACUUCAGUAUUAGUAAUUAGUGAUACAUAUCUGUUAAACGCGGAAAAUAAUCUAAAUAUAUGUAUAUAUUGAUACUUUUAAAUAAAGUGUCAGAACACAAGUAUCAGUAAAGACCAUUUUUCUAGUAGUGAUUUUGGAGGUCAUUGGAAUUCCUGUAGGUCUAUUUACCAGAUUUUAGUAAGUUUAAGGUUUUAAUUUUGCUUAGACUUUAAUUUUUCUGAAAGAUUGUAGUAUUGAUCCUUAAAGAAAGAUCAUGCUACUUCAAAUUAUUUUGAAGUGUUGCUAGUUAUAGCCUUACAUAUAAAAUUCCAUUUGUCUGGAAAUUUAUUGAUAGCUGUUACAGCAGCAUAUUUUAUGACUCUACUUCUUAGUUAUGUAAGUUCAUUAUGUUUAGGUCAGAGGCAGUCAGCUGUGGGGAAUUGAUAUAUACACAGAUGACUUUGAUCUUGUUGCCGGUAUGUGGUUCUAUGAAUAAUUGUUCACAAUAAUUGUGUUUGCCUCACUGUUUUUGUUUUAUGAGAUCUAUAAUUGAUCUUGGGAUAUUACUUUCUAGUUCUCAUGCAAGCAAGUUACUACCUUCCCACUGUAUCUCCUCCUUUAUCUGCUAUUCAAGAGUUGCGUGCCAUAAUCUGGUGUUACCUCUGCAAGAUUGUGAAUGAAUAUAAUGCCUCUAAAUUUAUUUUAUACAUAAUGCUGAUGCUGAAUAAUAUAUUGUAGCUCCUGUCAUAUUCUACUUUGACUUUUUAUAUUCUGUUUCAUAUAAAAAUCUUAUUCAACUUUAGUUGUUCAUGAGCAAAUGUCACAUGUAUAAGCCCAAAUGAUGUUUAAAGGUAGCGCAGCUACCUUUAGUUUGAGCUUACAAUGGAUGAAAAAGAAAUUGAAACUGAUAUUUUGCUGUUUUUCUGAUUUUUCAAAGUAUUUUAGAUCCUGACUUUUGUUUGGACUUGAUGGUUAUAGAUUGUGUCUAGAUUUGUUAAGUUGUUUCCAACACCUCGUGCCAAAUGAAAGCACAAUCUUUCUGAUUCAGAUGUCUUGUUAAUUGAAGAGAGCUCAUUGUGCUGAGUUAAAACAAGAAAGGAAGCCAGCAGUCAAGAUUCUUCAGCAAUGCCAUGUCAGUGCUGAGUCAGCUGAUUCUGUUAAGGAUUGUUGAAAGCUCACGUGACUAUUAGUUAGUUAAUUAGCUUUUAGUUAGUAAUGCAGGAUUCUGAUUGGUUGAUUAAUUGCAAUGCUUAUUUGAUCAAUUGUAGCUUGGAAAUAAACUGUAUAUAAACAGAGUCUAUAACGAUUGCUUCAAUUAAUGAAAAGAAAAUAUUCCAGAGAGUUCAUCUAUUUUCUCAGUAACCAAACAAGCAUUUAGCUUAAUUUGCUAUUAUUUUACAUGGUAUCAGGGCCACAAUAUGGCAAGCUCAAGCAAUCCAAACGGAAAUUCAAACACAAUCACUGCAAAUCAAUCAAUACAAACCACAUUCUCCUUCAUAUCACCAAUCAAGUUAGAUCGAUCUAACUACAUGCUCUGGCGAAAUCAAGUUCUAGCCUCUAUAAGAGGAAACAGACUUGAAGGUUACAUUAAUGGAGAGAAGGUUGCUCCCAAUCAGUUUAUCACAACUGGAGGAUAUGCUGGAGCAGCAGGUAGUUCUACUCAACAGAAAGAAAAUCCAGAAUAUACAGUCUGGAGAUCACAAGAUCAGACAUUACUAAGCUGGCUGUUGAGCUCAGUCACUGAAGGUAUUCUCCGCCUUGUUCAUUCUUGCAAUACUUCAUAUGAUAUAUGGAAAACAUUGGAGAAAAAGUUUGGUGCAAAAUCUGAAGCAAGAGUACUUCAACUUAGAUAUGAAAUGAGUGUUUUAAGAAAAGAUUCACUGAAUAUAGAAGAUUAUUGUUUGAAGAUGAAACAAAUAGCAGAUAAACUAGCAUGUGCUGGUAAUCCAGUUUCAGAUAAAGAUUUGCUGCAACAAAUUCUAAAUGGUCUUGGACAAGGAUAUCUUGAUUUAGCUACAUUCAUAACAGCAAGUAAACUUGAUUAUGAUGAUGCAUAUGCACUACUACUUACUCAUGAAACAAGACUUGAACAGAGUAUGAAUGAAAAACAGAUGUUCAAUGCAAAUUUUGCCAAUUUUACUCCUAAUAACAGUGGAUAUGGUAUGAUGAAUGCCUUUUAUGCACAAGCAAGAGGCAAUGCUCGAAGAGGUGGAUAUAAUGGAGGUUUUCACAGUGGCAAUCAAGGAGGAAGAAAUAAUUUUCAUACUGGAAGGGGAAUGUUUGUUAACUCUCAUCCAAGAGGUUUUCCCUCUGGAACUGGAAAUUUUGGUAACAGUCAUGGUAGAGGUCAGAUGAUUGGUAAUAAUAAACAGAUGCAAUUUAUGAGAGGUCAAUACAGUAGUAACUCUGGUAUGCCAAACUCUGAUGGUAAUGAUGAGCAAAGUGUUGUAUGUCAAAUUUGUUUUAAAUCUGGGCAUACAACAACAGAAUGUUGGCAUAGAUUUGAAGAGAAUUAUGUACCACAAUACAUGAAGAAAUGAAGAAAUUAGAGAUGAGCUUAUAUGGCAUAUUAUGAUGCACCAACUGAAAAUUCAUGGUCAACUGCUUGUUCAGGAAUGCCUCAAAUGCACAAUCCAUCAUUCACCCCAUACAUGUCUGAUUCAGUGAACUUGUUAGGAGCUGGAGCUGGAGCUGCCUAUGUUGCUAAUUUUGAAGGUCCAGCAGAUGAAGGAUGGUAUCUUGACAGUGGGGCUACACAUCAUUUGACAAACAACAUGGCAAAUAUGCAUGUCAGAGAUGAAUUCAAUGGUAAUGACAAGCUGAUUAUUGGCAAUGGUAAAGGUCUGUCAAUCACACACAUUGGUAGCACUACUUUUUCAGUUCAAGGUUCUAAGUCACAAGCUGCACGUAAAUGCAUUACACUUAAAGAUAUACUGCUUGUUCCUUCUAUCACAAAGAAUUUAAUAAGUGUUUCUAAACUUACUGCUGAUAAUAACCUAUCUAUUGAAUUCUUUGGAUGUAUCUGUUAUGUGAAGGAUUCACUGGAGGGGAAGGUUCUGCUACAGGGUAUUGCUGAGAAAGGUCUAUACAAAUUGCUGAUCAAAUCAUCUUCAAAAUCAUCACUACAACCUACAUACACCUCUUUUCUUUCUCAAAGCUCAAUAAAUCAACCUUUGUCUAUGUUGUCUCUCUGUCAUUUCAGUUCUGCAACUAAUAAUACUUGUUCUGCAAAUUGUUUUCAUUCAAAUAAAAACUCUUGUACUGAUUCAUCAUCAAAUAAAAUGUCUCUAUUUCACAGAAGAUUUGGUCAUCCCAAUGCUCAAAGUUUCAUUCACUUACUUAUACUUGUGCAUCCUAACUUGUUAUCUACAAAUAUGCUUAAUCAAGUAAUAAAGCAUUUAUGUGAAGCAUGUCAGCUGGGCAAAUUUCAUAGACUUCAUUUUCCUAUAACUGAUAUUAAGUCUAAAUCAGCACUAGAACUAAUCCAUACUGAUCUAUGGGGCCCUUCACUAAUAUGUUCUAGAGAAGGUUAUAGAUAUUAUAUUAGUUUUGUGGAUGAUCACACUAGAUACACCUGGAUAUACCCUCUGAAAUUAAAAUCAGAAGCUCUAGAAGUGUUCAAAUUGUUUAAACUUCAAGUUGAAAAUCAGUUUCAAACCACCAUCAAAGCUCUACAAUCUGACUGGGGGGGAGAGUAUAGACCAUUCACUACUUUUCUAAAUGAAUGUGGUAUUCUUUUCAGACACUCUUGUCCCUACACACAUUAUCGAAAUGGCCUUGUUGAAAGAAAACACAGACAGAUUAUAGAAUUAGGCUUAACACUUCUAGCACAAGUUAAACUUCCAUUCCAGUUUUGGUGGGAUGCUUUUCAUACCUCGGUUUAUCAUAUUAACAGACUUCCUACCUCUGCCCUUAAGAUGUCUAUUCCAUAUGAAAAAUUAUACAGACAUAAAGCUGAUUACAACAUGCUGAAAUGCUUUGGUUGUGCUUGUUAUCCAUACUUGAGAGAUUACAAUAAGCAUAAAUUUGAUUAUCAUACAACCAAGUGCAUCUUUCUUUGUUAUAGUCCUUUUCAUAAAGGUUUCAAGUGCUUUCAUCCCUCUGGUCGUGUGUAUAUUGCUAGACAUGUCAAUUUUGAUGAAACUUCAUAUCCAUUCUUUUCAGAUCCUGAUUUUCAUUCUUUGAAUAAAUCUCAGUCCAACUCUUAUGAUUCCAUUACACCUAUACAAGUAUUUCAAUUGUCUACCUUACCUGUCAUAUCAGUUUUUUUGAAUAACAGCAAUGAGUCUCUUUCUCAAGCAUAUACCAGUAGUGAUAACUUUCCUUCAGCAGUAGAUUCAACACAAGUACAUGUCUCAGAUCAACAACUCUCAAACACAAACAAUGUCUCAGAUCAACAACCAAUUUUACCUGCACCUACAACAUUACCUUCUCCAGAUGAAAUUCCACAAACUCAACCUAUUCUAAACUCACCAUCUCUAAACCACCAUCCUAUGAUUACUAGAGGAAAGGCAGGUAUCUUUAAGCCAAAGCUAUGUACUGCAGUUUUGUUGUACAAAGAACCAAAAACUAUUCAGGAGGCUCUCAACAAUGAAAGGUGGUUUCAGGCAAUGAAAGCUGAAUAUAAUGCAUUGAUAUCAAAUGGCACUUGGACAUUGGUACCAAGAACAGAAAAUCAUAAGCUUAUUGGUAACAAAUGGGUUUUCAGAAUAAAAACCAAUACUGAUGGAAGUGUUGAGAAAUAUAAGGCAAGAUUGGUUGCUAAAGGAUUUCAGCAGAUUGAGGGUGUUAACUACUUCGAGACUUUCAGUCCAGUGGUAAAAUCAGCAACAGUUAGAGUGAUCUUAAGUUUGGCAGUGAUGAACCAGUGGCAAAUACGACAAGUUGAUGUGAAUAAUGCAUUCUUAAAUGGAGAUCUAACUGAAGAAGUUUAUAUGAGACAGCCAGAAGGAUUUGUUGAUCCACAAAGACCAGACUCUGUAUGUAAACUGCACAAAGCUCUUUAUGGCCUGAAACAAGCUCCUCGUGGUUGGUUUGACAAACUGAAAAGUAGUCUUAUACAAUGGGGAUUCAAGAAUUCUAAGUCUGACACAUCUCUAUUCUUGAGAAGAACCAAGAGCUCAAUCAUUAUAAUUCUGAUAUAUGUAGAUGAUAUAUUGAUUAUAGGAUCAGAUUGUGUUGAGUUGGAAGAGUUUAUUAAGUUGUUCAGCUCUACAUUUGCAUUAAAGGAUCUGGGGAGACUAUCUUACUUUCUGGGUAUAGAAGUAUUAUAUGGUCAUGAUAGUAUAUACCUGUCACAAAAGAAGUAUAUCCGAGACUUGCUUGCAAAAGUUGACAUGCUUGAAUGCAAGGGAACAAACACACCAAUGAGUAGCAGUAAAGAUUACAGAUUGCAGAAGAGUGUUGAGGGAGAAAUGGGCUAUUAUAUUGAAGAUCCCACUCAUUACAGAAGCAUAGUUGGAGGACUGCAGUAUUUGGUUUUAACUAGACCUGAGAUAGCUUAUUCUAUUUACAAACUAAGUCAGUAUGUGUCUUCACCAACUCUUCAACAACUUAUGGCAUGUAAACGAGUGCUAAGAUAUUUGAAGGAAACACAAGAAUAUGGUCUAAAGUUUGUUAGAGAAGGUGACAUGAAGCUUACAGCAUUUACAGAUGCUGAUUGGGGAAGUGAUCUUGAUGACAGAAGAUCAGUUGGAGCUUAUUGUGUAUACUUGGGAAACAAUUUAAUCUCAUGGUCCUCAAAGAAACAAUCAGUGGUUACCAAGUCAUCAGCUGAAAGUGAAUACAGGGCUCUUGCUGCAGCUGUUUCUGAAAUAACAUGGCUAAAGUCAUUGUUCCUUGAAAUUGGUUUAUGUUGUGAUGAAAGCCAAUCAUAUGGUGUGACAAUGUGAGUGCUGCUGAACUUGCUCGCAAUCCAGUAUUUCACUCAAGAACAAAACACAUAGAAAUUGAUCUACACUUUAUCAGAGACAAGGUUUUGGCUGGAGACUUGAAGAUACUAUAUGUUCCCAAUGCAGAGCAAAUAGCUGACAUAUUAACUAAGCCACUGAACUCUUCUCAAUUCAAACCUAAGGCUCAAACUCAAUGUGGAGCUAUGUCCCUUGAGUUUGAGGGGGGCUGUGAAGAGAGCUCACUGUGCUGAGUUAAAACAAGAAAGGAAGCCAGCAGUCAAGAUUCUUCAGCAAUGCCACGUCAGUGCUGAGUCAGCUGAUUCUGUUAAGGAUUGUUGAAAGCUCACGUGACUAUUAGUUAGUUAAUUAGCUUUUAGUUAGUGAUGUAGGAUUCUGAUUGGUUGAUUAAUUGCAAUGCUUAUUUGAUCAAUUGUAGCUUGGAAAUAAACUGUAUAUAAACAGAGUCUGUAACGAUUGCUUCAAUUAAUGAAAAGAAAAUAUUCCAGAGAGUUCAUCUAUUUUCUCAGUAACCAAACAAGCAUUUAGCUUAAUUUGCUAUUAUUUUACAUUAAUUAUGCUUCAUUUUUUCGUUAAAGAUUGGAUGGUUGCAUGGAUUGAUGGAGUUGGAGUUCAACCAAUAAUUCUAAUUUUUUGGACUUAAAAUGCCUUUUUCUUCGGUAUAAAAACUUUAGUAAGUGCUAUUGAGUUGACAGAAGUUGAAUACUUACAGGUUGUUUCACACUUUUUAAUAGUUUUACAUAUAUGAAUUUCUGUUUUUUGAUUUUCAGAAAGGAGGUGGAACUAUUGAUUUGGAACCUUAUCUUACUCAUUCAUCGACAACGGAGCCUACCCUCGCUCCCAUGGCAGUGGAACGGACAACGACUACUAGGGCUGCAACAUCAGUUGGUUUGGGUCUGUUUUGAGUUUAUUUUCAUUUAUUUGGCUAUGUUUUGAUAGCGAAUUUUGAUAUGUCAAUGUAGGGUGCGUUUGGGAUUGAGGUGCUGUAGCUUUUAAGCUAUAGCCACUGUGAAAAAAAAGUUGUAAUUAUGAAAUAAAAGUUAAUAAUAUAUAAUAAAUAUAAAUUUUAAAUAAUAAUUUUAUUAAAAUUAUUAAAGAUAUAAUAAAUUUUAUAUUAUACAAGUGAAAAAUUAUAUCAACAUAACUUAAAAGCUACAGCAGUUAGUGUUUACCAAACACUUUAGUGCUGUAGCUUUUAAGCUACAGCUGGCCAACCUCAAUCCCAAACGCACCUGUAAUGUGUAAUUGUUUUGGGUUGAGCUGGUAAUUAUGCUGGAUUAGAUUGGUUUGGUUUUGGUGCUUCUCUGAUGGAACACUGUUUUUUUUAGAAAUUUUGAAUGUAAUAUGAGACUACAUUUAGUUUAAUUGAACACUGCAUCUAGUCUAAUUACUAGAAGUGCGGCAUUUGGUUUGGUUUAUCCGAUAUUCUCCAGAAUUUCACUUGCAUCUGGUUUUGUUGCAUAUGUUUGCUUGCAUUUGGUGGCAGUAGCAGACUGUUUGGUUUUGUGACAUUUGAUGGCAGUUUUGUCUGUUCUUGGUGUUGAUUUAAGAUUGUUCCUGUUGUGCUGAUGUUAAUUGCAGGUGCUUGAAUCAGCUAGGGUUGCUGGUUUAUUCAGAUGGUUGACUCAGGCGUUGUUACUGGUUAAUUCAGGUGGCUGACUCAAGUUGUUCAUUUAAUGUUAGGAAGCAAAUUAAGAAUUAAUGAAGUAUUCAUUUAACUAUAAUUAUUGUAGUUAUUUUAUUUCAUAACUGAAUUAUAAUCUAUGAUACUUGUGAACAAAUUAGAGAAUUUUUAUAUAUGAAUUAUAUAUAUGUGUAUGUACAUUUUGCUAAUAAUUUAAAGAAUAUAUUUCAAUUCCCACAAAAAAAUGGCUCCAAUUUCAAUAAUUCCCGCCAAAUAAUUAAAUUUUUUUAAUUUACCAGCAAAAUAUAUCUUAAAGAAAUUUUAGUUAUUCUUGCUAGAUUUAACAAAAAUGAUUUGUAGGAUUAACAUUUAAUUAAAAUAAUUAAAUAAUUUUAUUAUUCCAAUUAAAUAUGUCAUGUUUAUACGACAGACAAUAUUCAUGAAUGGGAAGUAUUAGUUACAUAUUUUUCCUUGGGAUUUCAGGCAAAUGAAAAAAAGAUUGAGAAUGAUUUCAAGAGGACAGGUGGAUGAUAAGUAUUCAUUUUUGUAUAUUUGUCUAAUGUCCUCAUUAGUGGAUUUUUAUUAGGGAUGGCAAUGGGGAGAGGAGGGGAGGGGACCAAUCUCCCCGUACCCAUCCCUGAUAUUUUGCGUAUGUCCCCGUCCCCUCUCCAUCCCCAUCAAAAUUAUUUAAGAGAAUCCCCAUCCCCUCCCCGAAUAAUAACAGGGGAUCCCCGAGGGUCCCCGAUCCCCGAAUAACUAAUACAUUUUUUUUAUUUUCGAUUUUGAGUUAAUCAUAUUAAAAUAAAAAAUUCAAAUAAAAGUAAAGUUCAAAAUAUAUCUUACAUUAAUAUCCAUUACAAAAGUCACAUACAUUAAAUUAGUAAGUAACGCAGCAUGCAAGAGAUACAAACUAUCAUGAACAAAUUAAUAGCCUAAUACAAAAUUGUUACAAAUAAAAUCAAAUUUAGAUUAAAAAUUAACUUUUCAAUGGUGGCGUGGGCACUUUAUAAAUGUGGACUAUUCCCUUUACAUCACAAUAGUUAAGUCGAAGCAAAUCAAGAGUAAAUAUUAGAUUAGAUUAUAUAUUAAAAUUGUGAUUUGCUGUGGGCAAUUAUAACAUCUAAAAAAAAAUAGAUUUAAGAUAAAUAAAAAAUAGAUUUAAGUUUAAAAUAUUUAAUGAAUAUUAAAAUUAAAACAAAAGUUUUGGGCUAAUAGAAUCUGUCCGGUCUUUUUAAUGUCCUAAAUAAAAAUUUAGGACUUUAAUUAGUUAAUUAGGCCUAAAAAUUUAAUAAUAUAAAUAUUUUGAUAUUUUUUAUUUUUACCAAUACUUAUAAUUUUAUAAUUCAAAUUUUAUUAUUUAUUUACUAGUAAUUUUAAAAAAUAAAAAUUAAAUUAAAAAUUAAAAUGGGGAAAUGGGUAGGGGAUGGGGAUUCCACCUCAUCCCUGUCCCCUCCCCGAAUAAGAAAUUGGGUACAAAAAUUUCCCCGUCCCUUCCCCGAAUAAGAAAUUAGGUAUGAAAUUAUCCCCAUACCCUCCCCGAAUGGGGAAAAUCCCCGAGCGUACCCGUCCCCGUGGGAAUUUUUGCCAUCCCUAAUUUUUAUGGUAUUGAUCUUUUUUUUUUUUAAUUUUCAGUUAGUUGCAGCCCUAGAGGAAGAGCAGGCUGAUCAAAUUGAUUUGUCUUGUUUUUCGGGCAAUCUACGACAUGAUGACCGUGAUAAUGCUCGUGACUGCUGGAAACUUUCUGAUGGAAAUAACUUUAGAGUUCGUAGCAAGCAUUUUUGUUAUGACAAAACAAAGGUUCCCCCAUAUUUUGUUUGUUUGUUAUGGUAUUUAUAUAUCCUGCAUUGGCUAGGUAGACAGGUUAUGAUGUACGUGUUUCUCAUAUAGAACUCAAGUCUGCUGUUGUCCCAAAGUUGGAACCAGAGAUAUCAUGACUCUGGUUUCAUUUCACCUCAACUGUGUUUUUUUUUUUUUAAUUAAAAAAAUAUUUGUUUUAGGUAUACAUACAUGUAUUUUGAUUCUAUUUUCAUUGUAAUUUCUCAUUUACUUUGAAUGAAAGUCAUUGGUGUUUUCGAAUGGGAAUUUUGCAUUAAAAAAUGAAGAAUAGUGAAUAGGAAAUUUCUUGAUUCUUUAGUUACUAUUUUUGGUAUGAGUGCCAUUAGUAGUAAGGUUGGUUUCUACUCGCAAACAAGUGAACUGCUCGAUUCCCGAGUGGUAUCAACCAGUUUCCAACUUUUUAAUAUACACUAAUUGUUAGUGUUUAAUAGCUACUGCUAUUAAAAUUCAACAGCUAACAAAAAUACUUAAAAAAAAUGAUUUUUCUUAUGAUGUUGGGAAAAAAAUUAUGGGUUUACUUAUUUCCACGAGAUCUAUAACAUGGUCUUGACUUCACGAAAUUCUUUUAAUUUAAAGCGUGCUGGUGUGAGAAGGUCAGUUUGACGGAUUAAUUCUUUUCAACAGUGGUCAAGAUAAUUUUACUAUACUAAAAAAUAUUCUUAUUCUGAUAAUGCCACAAAUGUUAUGCUGUUUUCUUCGGCUAAUGAUCUUCUAUUAGGAGAGGUUAGAAAUCAAAUGCUUAAAAGACCAAUUGAACGAAUAAUACAGAAAUUUAGGCAGAAUCUAAUCGAAUAUUGCAUGAAACAUGAAACAUCAAUUCAAGUCUUUUCUUAAACGGAGAAUGCAUCAAACAAAAUCCAAAGUGUCUUGCAAGUCUGUAGCAUGAGCAAAAAAUUGUAAAUAUGUUGAACCAAAUUAUUCAAGUACAGAAGAACGAGCAAGCUAAAUCAUGUAUAAGAGAUUGGCCUGGUUCGGGAUAGCUUCUUCACUGUACCUGAAGGGUUGGCUCAAUCUCUUCUUUAGAAUUCUGCAGAUUUUGUAAUUACUCGUGUAAGCAAGCAUACAUUGCCACCAUAAGAAUAAUAAAGCUAGAGUAAUGAUAUGACCACCACCUCUUGUGCACAAACAAUAUUGUAUAAACUAAUGCGACAUAAUAUGAUUGGUUAAACAAAAACAUUACAUGGCCCUCAUAAUUUAUUUAUUUAUUAUUAUUAUUAUAUAUUUUCAGUCAACCAAUCAUAUUAUAUUACAUUAGUUUCUAUAAAAUAAUUUGCUAAAUAGCACCAAAACUUAAUUGAUACUCACCAUUUCAUUGAACAAUUUUUUCAUGGUGUCAUUGAGAUUGCCUUCCCAACAUCCUUUAUCAUCAUCUUUUUCUUCUUCGGUGACGUUCACUUUGUUUAGCAUUGGUGUGUCUAAGACUCCUUGAGAGAAGAUCUUCAUUUUUGGACACUGUCUCACAACUACUUGUUUCAAGGACGGGAAUUCAAGAGCGUAAUUACCUAAACAAAAGCUUGUUAGGCUUGGCAAACAAUCAAGUCCCAAGUACUUCAAUUUGUUGAAAACAAUGCAAUCUUUCGAUUCUUCUCCAACCUGCGACUGUAUGAUUUCUUCCAUCAUUUUGCAAUCAGUUAUCUUCAUUCUUCUGAGAUUAACCAGAUUUUUAGAUGCUGAGAGCGUCAACACAUUUAUCAACCCGUGACACUUCGAUACUUUCAAAACCUCAAGGUUUUCCAAAUGCCACGAAGGUGGUACUAAUUUUUGCAACUUACCACAUUCCGAUAUUUUUAGACUUUCCAAAUUUGCAAAUACUUUGUUGGAUUCGGCAUUUUCCUUCCAGAGAUGCUGCAAUUUGUGUAAUCCAGACAACUCUAACCCCCACAAUUGAGGGAAAGCAACCUGAAAAUCAACAAAAUUAAGUUGUAAAUGAAAAUAUGUAUCCAAUCUCUGCAGUCUUCCUCUGCAUAUUUUAUGGACAAGAUUAAUCACGGCAUUUUAUAUUUUAUUUUCCAAAUUAGUAUGCUUUGCAGUAGGAUCCCAAAUAUAAGUAUCAAAUCGAUUACUCUUUGAAACACAUAAAUGAAAUCUGAUGCUAAAUCCAAUAUGAAUUAGCUAGGAAAACAGAGAUGUUACACACAUAAUUAAUAUAGUUCAUCACCUCGUGUUACCAGGCAUCCAAUUAAUUUCUGACAUUUUUAUAAUUCAUACUAUAAAGUUAGUUAAUAACGGAGGUUAUAUUGUUAAAUCAGAUAUAAAUUAAGACGACAUGCAAAAAGAUGAGUCAUUAAAUUUGAUUUGAUUCUAAUGAAAUUACAUCUGUGCGAAUGAAAGUGAAGGGAAAAAUAAUAAUAAUGAUUACCUUUUCAUCGAAGAGAUGUUGUAUUUGAUUAGCUACCAAGAGGUUCUCUUCUGAUUUUAAUUUUUGAGCUUCCUUAUUAUCUGCUGUCAUGUGCAGUACAGAUGUAGAAUUGGAUAUGAAUGUUUCCAUAUCAGGGCAAUUCUCAAUAGUUAGAUAACUCAGCAGUUCAAUUAUAUUCCCAGUGAAGUUGCAGAAUCUUUUGAGUUUUGGAAGAUCAAUGAGCCUUAGGUUGGAAAGCUUAGGAAACAGGGGGCCUAUAUGUUCUUUGUCAGCAUUAAUUAGCUCUUCCAAAUGGAGCACCUCUUCUAGUGAAUCACAAUUCGUCACUGCCAGGCAUUCCAAAUUGUUCAAGCACCGUAGCAGAUUGGCAGGAAUAGCACUCGACAUAUUCGUGCAGUCAUCCACUUCCAGCUUUCUUAAAUUGUUGAAGAAGCUGACAGGCAGUUCUUGGCCAUGCCAUAUUUCUUUCAAACGUGGAAAACGUGAGAGUUGCAAAUACUCUAUAUCACGAAAUCCAAUCUGCACAAACCAAAACAAUUGCACUGGAUAUAUACAAUUUUUUUUUAAAGGCAUUAGAUAUAUAUAUAUAUAUAUAUAUACACACACACACACACACACACAUUAAACUUACAUGUUUUGUGUUUUAACUUCUAAAACUACAUAUACAAGGUAGGUGUAUAUGUUUAAAUGUGCAAGCGUAGGGGAGAUGCAUGAACAAUUUGGGUGAAUCGAUUAACACAGACCAUCUUUUUGUAACAUAUUUUUAAAUGUGCAAGUGCAAGGGAGAUGCAUGAGCAAUUUGGAUGAAUUGAUGAGCACAUACCAUUUCUUUGUAACACUUCUGUAUAGUGGAAUUAAGAUUGCCUUCCCGAUGGUACAAUUCACUGUCUUCCUUUUUACUAACUUGCACUUUGUACAGCUUUGGUGUGGAUAAGAUUCCCUGGGGAAAAGUCUUCAUGUUCGGACAAUGUGUCACCGAAACUCGUUCCAAUGAUGGGAAUUCAAGAGUAUAAUUCUCCAAACAAAAGCUGGUAAGCCUUGGUAAAUAAUCAAGUAUCAAAACUUUUAAUUCGCUGAAAGCAAUACGAUUCUCCUUCACUUCUUCUCCAACAUGUCCUACGAUUUCUUCUAAUUUUUGGCAAUUCGAUACAUUAAGAUUCACCAGACUACUAGGAAUUCCAACCUGAAAAUAAGCAAAAGUGUGUGUAUAUUAAAAAAGUAAAAAUGUAAGAAUAUCAUUCAACUAGCACCACAACAGAAAUGGCUUUUUGCAACAAAAAGAUUUUGUUGCCUAAAGUGCCAAUUUUGUUGCCAUAGGUUAUUGCUACAAAAACAAGCUUGUCGGCCCGGUCGUCGGCCUAGCACUGUCGCCCUCUAUGUUUAACAACAUAUCAAAACAUUUCUCGCCUCAAACUUCCUUUCGCAACAAAACAGAUUCGUUGUGAAGGAGUCUUCAACUUGUUUAGAGAAUAAUUUGGCAACAAACAUUUUUGUUGCGCUAAACAGUUUUACACAACAAACUAAUUUUGUUUCUAUAUAGUUAUUUACUACAAAACUAAUUUGUUGCUAAGAAAUAAAGUACAUUUUAUAAAAAAAACGUGUACCAACAAAGGUGUUUGUUAGCUAAGAUCAUUUUAGGCAACAAAACUACUUUGUUUCUUUAUGUUGAAAAUUUUACAAAUUUGCAAUAAAUAUUUAUAUAUUUUUAGAAACAAAUCAAUUUUGUCAUUAAAAAAUAGUACAAUUUUUUUUUAAUAAUAUCAUGGUAUAAAAGGAAGCAAACCAAGUUCGUUGGGAAAGAUACCAAUUUUUUCCCCCACCAUGACAAUAAUAAACUAGAAAUAUAUGUUGAGAAAUCUAACAAAAAAAUCAUUAAUGUCAUUGAACUAAUUUAAAAGUUAAAGGCCCAUUCAGUAUCCAAGCUAUAUAUAUAUAUAUACAAAACUGACUUUAAGAAUCACAUAUGAUAGUCAAAUACAAAAGUGGAUUGUCAUCUAUCCCAAAAAUGUAAUGAGCAAAAAUUAUAAACGAUCUCUAAUUACAACUACUCCAAACUCCAAAUACUUAAAGAUAUGACAUGCACCAGCAGUAACCAAAAAGAUCAAGUGAUGACCAAUUCAAAAUACUAACAAGUUCAAGAUACUCUAAGGACAUCAUUGAAAUGAGUAAUCAUUGAGUAGCUGAAUCUGUAAAGCAAAAAGUGGAUCCUUGAGAAGAAAAAAAUUGCUGCAUCAUACCCUCAAAUUGGGACAAUCUGGACUCCAAUUGAUCAAUAGUCUUCUUUUGUUCUUGAAGCUCAACAUCUUGUGAAUCCAAUCUACUUUGUUGUGAAGAUAUAAUACCAUGCAAUCUGUCAGCCUCAGAAGUAUCAACACCAUGGUUUGAAGUUGGGCGUGGUCCGUUGCCAAGUCCUCGAAAAUAGCCUGUUUUCUUUCCAAGUACUUCAAUGCAUAUUUCCUUUUGAGUUAGUGGUUUUGCUUCUUGAGGAUCUAUUUGUUGCUGUUGUUGUAUCUCUACCAUUUGGUCCUAUACAUAAAGCUUUGUUAGUAAAUGAAGGAAGAAAAAAAAGAAUUUUAUUAAUUAAAUAGUUGAAAUUUAAUCCAUUGGUCAUGGAAUUAAUUUGUAUUAAGGCAUAAAUUGAAAAAAAAAAAAAAGAAACUUGCUGUUAUACUUAUAAAUCUAAUUAUUUGAUAUUUCAAAUAAUAAAGUUAAUUAGAGCAUGAAAGAAAAAUUAAGAAAAAAAAACUCAAUGAGUAAACUUUCAUCAACAGUAUGUAGGUGAUAAGAAAUAAUAAAAUUAAAAAUUUUGUUUCCAACAAAGCAUCUUACAUGGUUUAAGUGUGCCAUCUCAUUCACCCAACCUUUUGUCUUGCUGAAAUGAUUGACGCGAAAUAAUUCUAUUUCACCAUCAACCAUGUCAUCCUCAAGAUAAUUAACAAAAGGUCUUGAUCCCCCACAAUGGACAUAUGGGAGCUUAGCACGAUUAGCUUUGUUUUUGGUAGAUUGAGUCUACAUUAAAAAAAUAUAACAGUGGAAAAUAAGAUACAUAUACAAGCAUAUUGACAACUAGUUGGACAAUUUAAAGUUCAUAAUAUGAAUAUCAUUGGACCUGGAAACUUGCGGAAUUGUAAAUGUUAUGACAAAGCCAAGCCCAAUCAUCUGGACAUAUGCCUGGAUAUGAAUGCUUAAGUGCCUCUUCAAAGGAUGGAUAAUCCAAGUAAUGAUCAUACAUCCAAUGUCUCAUAUCAUGAUAUCUCCCACCCAUAAUGUUAUUCACACAUCGACGAACAUGUGGUACGUUCAAAUCAAUCUCAAACUUUGACUGAAUUUAGGAAAAAAAAGAUAUCUCAGUUUAUAAUUAAAAAAAAUGACAUAUGAAGAAUAUUAAUAAUCAUAAGUACUUACUAAUAGUCGAUCAAACAAAACCUACCAAUUAAACUCUUUAAAUACCAAAUUCUAGAGUUGUAACAACACCUUGCACAAACUCUUGGCUGGGCAUAACAGGCUAAGAUUGGGGAAUUGUAGAUGCGACAACAAUUUCUGCUCUUACACGUUUGGUAACUCUAUGUCCAGGACCCAUCUAGUAAUUAUUAAAAAUAUACAUUAGAGUUUAUUAAUAAUCAACAUAAAAAUAAAUCAAGAUAACUAUAAUUUUGUCAAAGAAAUUAUAACAUGAAAGAUCCUAUUACUGGGCAUAGAUCCUAAAUUCAUUUGACUAUUGUCCACAAACUCAGGUUCUUCACCAUGAAAAACCCAUGAAAAAUCCAUUAACUUUAAUUUAACAAAUUAAAAAUUGAAACAAAGACCCACUUAAUAAAUAAUUAAAGCAAAACCCACUAAACAAAAUCAAACUCAACAGGCCAAUAUAUAAAAUAAAACUAAAUUUACUUGAAGAAAUCGUUGUCUUGAGUGGUGCCUUCCAAGUACAACUCUUCAAUGGCUUAAAGCUUGGGCAGAGAGAAUGACUCCAAGGCAGGGCAAAAGAAACAAGCGAAGAGUAAAGUGGAAAUAUUCUAGAAGCAAUAUUUUAAUUAAGAAAAAAUUGGAGAUGGAAACUUUACUUCGGUUAGCACGCGGUUUAUUAAAUAAAGGGCGCGGAAAUAAAAAAUUAAAAAGCCUCCCACAAAGUCAUGUUUGCUUUUAUAUUAUCUUUAUAUUUUCAUUUAUUAAUUUAAUAUUUUUGUUAACCUUUGCGCAACAAAAUUAAUCUCGUUGCAAAAAACUCUGAGAGUACAAAACAAAUUUUCUCGCUAAUCACAACCUUUUGCAAUAUUUCAUUUGUUGCAACUGAUUUAAGUGUUUGUUGUGGAAAAACUUGAGCAACGAAACAUAUUUUGCCUUCAUUAAGCUUGUUAGGCAACAAGAACACUUUUGUUGCCAAACAUAGCGUAGGGCAAGAAAAUAUUUUGUUGCCAUAUAUUCUAAUUUUCUUGCCUAUUCCACAUCAUUAAGAAGAAUAAAAUCUGUUUAGCUAUAGCGAUAAAGACUAAUUUUUGUUGCAAGAUAUGAAUUUUAGCAAUAAAGUAAGUUUUGUUGCAAUAGAAUUUGUAGCCAAUACUCUAUUUUCUUGUGGUGUAGGUUCAAAGUAUGUUUAAUCAUACAAUUAUACGUUUUAUAAACAUAACAAACCAUGAAAUGUCUACUAGAUAAUUUUUUGUUAAACAAAAAAAGCAACAAGAUAAAUAAAUAAAUAAAAGCCAGAUAAACAAAGAUAAUAAAAAUGCAUUUACACUAUUUACUAUUAGGAAUGUAGAAAGAAUUUAAGGCAAUUUCUAAAUAUUUUAGACUUAUUUUGCAUCUUGAUAUCAGUUUUUAAGCAUAAAUUUGCAAAUUUCAACUAUUCCUUUUGGGGAAAAAAAAAUCAACCAAAAUGCCGCUUUUUCCCUUUUCCUUGGUCCCUUUUUUUUAUGUACAUUUAAAAAUGGGAAAAAAAAUUGGAAAAGACUUCCCAAUAUUGUCAACAAGGGACUGCUGCUGUAAAGUGGAUCUUUAUUAAGUACUUCCAGACUCAAGGAAAUUUCUUUACAAUCACGGGUCAGUUGUAAAUAAUCAUCAAUUUGUGGUUAAUUAAUGGCAUAAUCAAUUCGUAACUAAACAAGAGAUAUUAAUUAAAUUUGAAGACUUUUAUUUUCUUUUUUUUCUUUUUCCAAUCGAAAUGUGAAGAAUUAAGGAAAAGAGAAAUAUAUAGAUGAAUUUAUGAACCUAUAAGAUGAGUGACUAUCCUUUAAUUUUUGAAAAUCGUACUUUUUAAGAUAUGAGCAAAAACUAUUUAAUUGAAUUAUAUUAUGCUGUUGAAUCGUGUUUGAAAAAUUUAUAUUGUUAAUUCUAAUGCUGACGAACCUAAAAACCGGACUUAAAACGUAGAUUUCAGGGUGGUGGUUCGAAGUACGAUACUUGAAAUAAAUAAUCAGUGGCUGAAUAUCAUUUGUAAACAAAAAAUGGUUAAAAUAUUGUUGGAUGUAAUUUGAAAAAAAAAAAAAAGAUUCGAAAUGAAUACAGCGAACUUACCAAUGGAGGAAAAAUAUUCUUUAGGUUAUCACACCAAUUUAUCUCCAAAUUCUUCAAUUUGCUGAAAGACUCCGAAGCAAGCUGGUGGUGCCAUAUUCUUCUCAAAUUAUCCAUCCUCCCAAUAUCUAAUACCUCCAACCUAGGAAGUCGUACCUGGCAGUUAAAGAUUAAAUAACUAAUUGAUCAAUUAAUGGCAUAAUCAAUUGAUAACUAAAUUAGAGGCGGAUAUUAACUAAUUUUGAAGACUCAAGGAAAAGAAAAAUUAAGUAUUGUGACUAAAAUUAAUUUUUUUUAUUAAAAAAAAAACUUUUCGUCAAAGAGAGGAGGAGGUUGCAUUUCAGAAUGAUUGGUGUCUUCUGGUGAGCUCGUAGAGAUGAAUCUUAACAUAUUUCUGCAACCACGAAACUUGAGGUUUAGCAAAGAAGGGAAUUCAACAACUGAAUCUGAAUGAAUAUGUCCCGUAUUGGCAAAGCUUGUUAGUUUAUAAAGCCCAUAGAGCUGUAGGGAGUGUAGUUUAGGAAAAACCUUUAAUUCAAUCAACUUUCCUUCAUCUCUUUCUGACCACCCCGUGGUGUCGACUACCCUUUCCAUUGACCAACAAGUGGUUAUCUCAAGAUGUUGGAGUUUCGCAAGACUAUUAACCAUAGAAUAUGAAAACAGAUACUUCAUACGAUGACAACUGACCACGUGCAGCUUUGUUAGAUUUUGAUAACAGUACAUUCCUUGAUUAUGAUCGGCCCAUAAUUUUUUCAUGUUUCUUAAGUCCCUGAGAUUCAAUUCCUCUAAGCUCGGAAGAAUAACCUGCAAAGAAAACCCGUACAUUUUUGUUCCUUCAAGUACAACCGUCUAGUAUAAUAUUUUUUUGAUGAUCGAAGAUUAAUGGUGAUAAUAAAUUAAUCAAUUAAUUAUUGAACAGAAAAUUAUCACCUUUGGAGCAGUAUCAUCAUCAGCAAUGAUUUCGUUGAAUCCCAAAGAAGUUGUUGGUUUCUCCCUGUCGGGUCCUAUAAACAAACAAAAACAAUAUAUACAUAAUUAAUCUUUGUUUUUUUUUGGUCCAAAAUAAUUGAGGAGAAGUCCAUAAUCACACCAACACUUACCAACAAUCAUUUCCAGAUCAUCGCAAGAAGCCACUUCUACCUUUUGAAGCUGCAGUAGGUUUUUGGCUAUGGAGAAUGAGAAAAGAUGCUUCAAUUCGCGACAGGAUUUUACUUCGAUAAUCCUUAAGUUGCUGAAAGAUUGAUCUUCUGUGAGUUGGCUGUCACAUAUUGUCUCCAAAUUAUUCAAAUAGCUAAGAGACAAUGACUCCAGCAAGGGAAAGACUGUCCAAUGAACCCGUCCAACUGAACCAACAAUAUGCGAAAUAUCAUAACAAUAUUCUACACGAAGAUGCUUCAAUCGUGGAAAACCUUCCCCAUCAUCUAAUUCAUGAACAACAUUCUGAACACCCUUCAGUUCGAUUAGAUGGAUCUCUUCAGUUAACUUCAGCAACAUUUUCGUCCCAUAAUUCUCCCAAAGAGUGCUAACAUUUUCUAACCCAUGGAGCUCCACCAAUCUUGAUGUUUCAGAAUUAACGCGCCACCACGCUUCUCCUAUACAUAUCUUAUAUCUUUGCAAUUCCACAGGGACCCAAUCCUGCGGCAGAAUUUGGGCAUCCCGAACGUGUAUCUCCAAGGUACUUAGCUUUGACAACCCCUUCAAUUCAGCAAGACUGGCGUUACUUCCUCCUUCAACCUUAUCCCACUGCGAAAAACUGUCACCCAUAUAUAGUUCUUCCAAUCGAGAAAAAUUUGAUAUGACAUUUGGUGCUAUCACUACAAGGCUCCUACAAUGUUGGGUGCAAGCGGAAGUGCAGAAAAAUUUUUAUUUAAGAACAGAGUAUUUUGCUGGAAAUUUCUGAAACUUUAUUGCUUAAUUCAUUUUUUUCGUUUCUCUCUUCCUUUUCAUACAACCAGAGUUCUAUAUUUAUAUGCAUUAUAGACAACUCUAGAGAUUACAUUAAUCAUGCUUUACAUUUCCAAAGCUACAUUGCAAACAUCAAUUCUACCCUUUACUUCAUGUUGAAAAACAAACCAAAUAACCCUUCAAACUUCUUGCUCAAUUUACUAGAUUAUUAAUUAUAUCUCAACACCCCCUCUUAAUUAGUAAUCUUCAAUUGCUUCUUGAAUUUUUCAAACUUCUCAAUGUUGAUUGCUUUGGUCAGAAAAUCUGCUGGCUGCUCAUUAGUGCUGAUAAACUCCAUAUUAACUUCUCCUUUGUUUACUAAGUCACGGAUGUAGUGAUAACGCAGCUCAAUGUGCUUAGAUUUAGCAUGAAAUACGGGGUUCUUUGUUAGAGCAAUGGCUGACAUGUUGUCACAAUAAAUUGUUGUUGCAGCAUCUUGAUUGAAUUGCAAAUCCUUGAGAAUUCUUCUAAGCCAAACGGCUUCACAAGCUGAUUCAGUUGCUGCAAUGUACUCUGCCUCGGCUGAGGAUAAAGCUACUGACUUCUGCUUCCUUGAGCUCCAUGAAAUCACAUUUGUACCAAGACAAAAUAAAUAACCUGAUGUGCUUUUUCUGUUAUCAAGGGAACCAGCCCAGUCACUGUCAGUAAAACCAACAAGCUUGCAAUUGUCUUCUUUUUCAUACAUGAUCCCCUGCUUUUUUGUUCCUUGAAGAUACCUUAAGAUUCUCUUUGCUGCAAUAUAAUGGGACUUCCUUGGAUCAUUCAUAAAUCUAGAAAGAACACUAACUGAGUGCAAAAUGUCAGGUCUUGAGUUGGUUAGAUAAAUCAAUGAACCAACCAAGCUUCUAUAGAUUCUUGCGUCAGCCUUUUCUUCUUUUUCAUCAUGUUUCAAUUUUUCAUUCAAACCCAUAGGAGUAGGUGCUGGUUUGCAUUUGAACAUGUGGAAUUUCUUCAACAAAUCUUCUACGUAUUUUUCUUGACAAAAGAAGAUUUUACCUCUGGCUUGCUUCACUUGAAUGCCAAGAAAAUACAUCAUUAAGCCCAAGUCAGUCAUCUCAAAUUCAUCUAGCAUGCUUUUUUUAAACUCUUCCACCAUUUUCAGAUUAGUGCCACAAUAAAUUAGAUCAUCAACAUAAAGGCAAACAAUAAGGAAAUCAGUACCUUCCUUUUUGACAUAAAGAGAAGGUUCACUUGAGCUUCUGUCAAAUCCAUUUUUAACAAAAUAUCUAUCAAUUCUACUAUUCCACGCUCGAGGGGCUUGCUUCAAGCCAUACAAGGCUUUUCGGAGUCGAUAAACUUUGUUUUCUUCACCUUUUACUUCAUAUCCUUUAGGCUGCUCAACAUAAACCUCUUCUUCAAUUUCACCAUUUAGAAAUGCCGAUUUUACAUCUAGCUGAAACACAUUUAAUUCCAUUUGGGCUGCCAAGGCAAGAACAGUUCGAAUAGUCUCCAUUCGAGCUACGGGAGCAAACGUUUCUGUAAAAUCAACUCCAGGCAGCUGAGAGUAUCCUUUGGCAACGAGCCGCGCCUUAUAUUUUUGAACUGAACCAUCUUCAUUGUACUUGAUUUUGAAGAUCCAUUUCAGCCCAAUUGUUUCUUUUCCAUUUGGCAAAUUAACCAUCUCCCAAGUUUUAUUUUUCACAAUGGUGGCCAUUUCCUCGUUCAUUGCUUUGAUCCAAUCUUCAUUUCUUGAGGCCUCCUCAAAGUCUUGAGGCUCACAAGAAAAUAAAGCAAGUUCACAUGACUCAUAAAUUUCUCUCAUUGACUUUAUCUUCCUUGGAGGGCUUUCAUCAUCCGAAGAAACUUUCUGCUGCUGAAUUUNNNNNNNNNNNNNNNNNNNNNNNNNNNNNNNNNNNNNNNNNNNNNNNNNNNNNNNNNNNNNNNNNNNNNNNNNNNNNNNNNNNNNNNNNNNNNNNNNNNNNNNNNNNNNNNNNNNNNNNNNNNNNNNNNNNNNNNNNNNNNNNNNNNNNNNNNNNNNNNNNNNNNNNNNNNNNNNNNNNNNNNNNNNNNNNNNNNNNNNNNNNNNNNNNNNNNNNNNNNNNNNNNNNNNNNNNNNNNNNNNNNNNNNNNNNNNNNNNNNNNNNNNNNNNNNNNNNNNNNNNNNNNNNNNNNNNNNNNNNNNNNNNNNNNNNNNNNNNNNNNNNNNNNNNNNNNNNNNNNNNNNNNNNNNNNNNNNNNNNNNNNNNNNNNNNNNNNNNNNNNNNNNNNNNNNNNNNNNNNNNNNNNNNNNNNNNNNNNNNNNNNNNNNNNNNNNNNNNNNNNNNNNNNNNNNNNNNNNNNNNNNNNNNNNNNNNNNNNNNNNNNNNNNNNNNNNNNNNNNNNNNNNNNNNNNNNNNNNNNNNNNNNNNNNNNNNNNNNNNNNNNNNNNNNNNNNNNNNNNNNNNNNNNNNNNNNNNNNNNNNNNNNNNNNNNNNNNNNNNNNNNNNNNNNNNNNNNNNNNNNNNNNNNNNNNNNNNNNNNNNNNNNNNNNNNNNNNNNNNNNNNNNNNNNNNNNNNNNNNNNNNNNNNNNNNNNNNNNNNNNNNNNNNNNNNNNNNNNNNNNNNNNNNNNNNNNNNNNNNNNNNNNNNNNNNNNNNNNNNNNNNNNNNNNNNNNNNNNNNNNNNNNNNNNNNNNNNNNNNNNNNNNNNNNNNNNNNNNNNNNNNNNNNNNNNNNNNNNNNNNNNNNNNNNNNNNNNNNNNNNNNNNNNNNNNNNNNNNNNNNNNNNNNNNNNNNNNNNNNNNNNNNNNNNNNNNNNNNNNNNNNNNNNNNNNNNNNNNNNNNNNNNNNNNNNNNNNNNNNNNNNNNNNNNNNNNNNNNNNNNNNNNNNNNNNNNNNNNNNNNNNNNNNNNNNNNNNNNNNNNNNNNNNNNNNNNNNNNNNNNNNNNNNNNNNNNNNNNNNNNNNNNNNNNNNNNNNNNNNNNNNNNNNNNNNNNNNNNNNNNNNNNNNNNNNNNNNNNNNNNNNNNNNNNNNNNNNNNNNNAACUUGAUGGUGACUGCCUUUUCGGACCUUGAAAUUCUUGUUUUAGGAUUUCCCAAGCAUUUUUGGCCUUUUUGACACCAAAUAUUCUGGGGAAAAUUGACUUACUAACACCUUGCUGGAUAUAUCGAAGUGCCGUGGCAUUUCUCUGUAUGUUUUCUUUGUACUGCUGUUGAUGUGCUGGAGUCCAAUCUGAAGAACUUGCUGAUUCUGGUGGUUCAGCAUAUCCAUCUUCAACAACAAGGUGUUGGGUGCAAGCGGAAGUGCAGAAAAAUUUUUAUUUAAGAACAGAGUAUUUUGCUGGAAAUUUUUAUUUACAAUUGCUCAAAUCUAGCAAUUGUAACCCCGUCAAUUGUCCAAUUUCAAGUGGUAACUGCUUAAUGUCGGAAUAUCGAAAGCUAAGAAUCUCCAAUUUCUUUAGUUGUCCAAUUGCCGCUACAUCUUCUAGUUGGCACCAGUCUAAACACAAUGUUUGAAGGUUAAUGAGGCGACCGAGUGACGAAGGUAAUGAAGAGAAAGGAAUUCUAGUAAGACUUAAAACUUUGAGUUCUUCUGUCCCUUCAAAAAAGAGAUCUGAAAUUUGCAUAGGGCCAUUACCCUUUCUAAACAACAAAAAUAACUGGAGAUUGGGACAUUGCAACCUUUCAGGGAGCUCUUGAAUAUUUCUCUGGGGUAAUGAAAUGGCAAUUGGAUCUUUCCGUAUUGUCUCUUCCAUCUUUUUCUCUAAGUCGGCAACAUUUGGAAUAUUAAACAUGCGCUUCUCUGCGGCAAUUGAUACGGCAACAACAUGAGUGACGUCAUGCAUUUUAACUUCAUCUUUAGCAUCACCGUCCAACAAUAAGCAUGAAGAUUUGAGGUUGUCGAUCAACCGAUGCACUCUACUCCUUGCUUCUUCCGAUGUGUAAACAUUUUCAAAUAAACGCCAACCCACACCAUAUCUCAAUAAGUUAGAAACUUGUAUGACAUAACCUUCACUGUAUAGACCACAAAGACGGAACAGAGAUUUUGCCUCCUCACUUUCCAAGAAGUCAUAACUCAAUUUUAUGGAGGUGUAAACAUUUGCUUGCAUGCCAUGAAUUUCUCUUGCAUCCGAUCUUCUUAGCUGAUUCAAUGCAUCUUUCCAAAAGUCAAGCUCCUUAGUUUUCAGAGCAUUUGCAACUGUACUCAGUGCAACAGGCAAACCUCCGCAUCUUUCAACGAUCUCAUUGGCUGUACUUUGAAAAGCAGAUAUUUUAGUUGAAUCACCCACUAUCUCCUCAAAUAACUGCAAUGCUUCUUUUGGUGGCAAAGCAUCGAUCUGGAAAUUUUUCUGAGAAUUCAUAUCAAUGCGCAAUAAAUCUUGCUUUCUAGACGUCAAUAUUAUUGUGCAUCUUCUCUGAUCAUCCUUUCUAUCUUUCUCAGCAACAUCCCCGGUUGGAAUUCCAAAUUUAUCCAACUCAAGUUUUGUCCAAAUAUUAUCUAAUAUAAUGAGGAGCUGCUUCUCUUUCUUCAAUCUUUCAUGUAAUCGUUCAGCUCUUUGGAAUUCAUUCUCAUUCAGGCCAAAUUCCAUGCCUAAAUCAAAAGCAAGUUUGUUUUGAAUUUUAUGAUGAUCUGGGGUCUGUGUUACCUCAGCCAUAACGACCUUAUCGAACAAGUUUUCUUCCAUCACUUGCUUUGCAACUUGCUUGACUAUCGUGGUUUUACCCACGCCGCCCAUCCCGUGGACCCCAAUUAUGUUGAGCUUAUCAUCCCUCAACGCCUCCAUAACAUCUUGAAAUACUUUCAUUCUUGAAUCAAACGCCUCGAAAUCUUUCACUUGAAUAUGUUCUGCCAGCUUUGGAGUAGGACGGUGGGAAACAUUAGAGAAGUUGCCUUUUCCCACGAGACUAGCGGCAGCUUCUGCGGCCUUUGCUGCUUGUCUACUGAGCUUGUAACGGGAAAUCAAGUUUGGGCACGAUCCUUUGAAACAGAACUUCUUAGCUCUAUCUUCAUCAUCAGUGAUGGAUUUUGCAGCGCCCUGAGUGAAUUCCUUGACACUAUUAAGCCAGUCUGCAACAUCCUUAUAAAUCUCAUCUCCUUGUUGAGUAGCCUGAUGAACGGGUAUUUCCACCCUUUCUCUUUUGUGUUCCAGCUGCUUCACUUGAUCUUUUAGGCCAUCUAUGUAGCUCUGGUACUUGAACACAUAAGAUAUCUGCCGUAUAAUCGGUUUGAAUAGUGACUUUACACCUUCUGAUACGAUGCUGGAAAAAGCAGCCAGACCCACUUCUGCAGCCAUUGCCUGUUGCUUAACAGUAUAUAUAUAUAAAUAUAUAUAUAUAUAUAAAGUGAAUAAAAAUGUCAAAUAAAGGAAUACAAAUAAAUUAAAAUGAACUAGAGGGAAAGACAGAGAAAGAAUAGACCGCAAACAACAUCACGAUAUUGAUCUUGAACCAACUGAUACCUAAGUGGAGAAUUUCUUUUUCUAUCUUAAGGAUCAGAGGUUUCGCUAUUAACAGAAAGGUAUCCUUCAAGGAAAGUUGAUGGAAAUUAAGAAAGAAUGGCUAUCAAGAUCAAGUAUUCUGCUACUAAAAAUAAAUGAUAUGAUUAAGAAAAACCAGAGAAUUUUUUCCUAGGAAAGUUGAUGGAAAUUAAGAAAGCACCGCUAUGAAGAUCAAGUAUCAGAGAUUCUGCUACUAAAAGAAUAUUACAGGUUUUAGAACAAGUGCACCUCUUUACCUGUCUGGGAUCAGAGUUGAUGAGCUGCUGUAUUCACCUUGAAUAUAGAAGAAAUAUUACAGAUUUUGACUAAAGAGGAAUGUGAGGAACGAGUUGAUGAGAGUAAUAACAAUGAAUUUCCAAAAGAAGACGACUUGAGCAUUAAGCAUGCACCCCCUUUUUCAAUCAAAUAUUGGUACGUAUGUACGUAGGGACCAUUAUGCGUAUAUGAAGUCCAUUAGUUGCAAUCAGAAACCCUGGACCAAUUUAAAUGACACUCGAUUUUUGAUAAGAAGAAGGCAAGGAUAAGGACAAAGUCAAUCAAUCACCAACAGUAAUUACUUCAAUCUUUGUCAAUCUACUUAAAUUGUCGAUCAACAUGAAAAUUGUUUAAAUUGAUAUUUGUAAAUCAAUCAAUUUUCUAGUUACUAUGAUUAUAGCGUUUCACCUUUCAUAUUGGAUUUUAUCUUUUCGAAAGUUUUCAAAUAUGAGUGUCAAUAAUUAUUGAGACUCCAAGCCGUGCUCUCAAGAUCGUGCUGACACAUCACUAUUAACUUUAUUUAUGCAUAUUUCAAAGAAAAAAAGUUAUGGUUUUGUAUUGCCAGCCCUGCUACUUUUUGUUUUUUUUCAUUUGUAUUAUUUACGAUUUUUUUUUAACAGAAACAUGAGAACUCAUCAUCGUACAAAAUUGUAUGAAAAAAUCUUCAAAUUUAUAAAAGUAAAUUUCAUUGACAGAUUGUGGAUAUGUUAGCAAGAAUAAGGAUAAGAAUGAGUUAAGAAAUUAAAAAGAAAAAAAAUAUAGUGUAAGUAAACAAUGUUUUGGUACAUUUGGUAUUGUUUUCAAAAUAUUUUGAAAAGAAAAAUUUUCAAUCAUCCACCUAAAAAUUAUUUUAUUAUCCAAAAGUUAUGAAAAUUUAAAUAUACUUAAUUUUAUACCCAUUAUUACAAUGUGUAUCAACUGUUUACUAAAAAAAUAAAGUUACUCCUAAAACGUAAUCACCACUACAAUUUUAUGUUCGCUUCUAUUUUGUCACUUUGAACGAAUAACUUUGAGUAAAUGACUGAUAAUUUCUCUUUUAUAAGCUACAAGAAGUUAAAAAAAGAAAAAAGAAAAAAUAGGAUGAUAAUUUCUCUUUUAUUUGCCUCAGAUGAUUUAUUGUUUCGGGUCUAAGAUUUUAAAUAUUCAACUUAAAAGAUUAAUAUAUUAUAAAUUAAUUAAUUAAAUAAUCAUUAAGCAAAUAAAUUGUGUCCCUGGAUGUCAAUUCCUUUAAUAUUGACGCAACUAUUUUUUUCUGGCAAAUAAUUAUUAAUGCACUUACGGAACUUUGCAUAUCUACACAGCGAUUUUAAAUAUUACUGGUAACUGCUAAGAAAUGUGCGAGAAAGGAGUUGAUGAGAGUAAUAACAGCGACUUGCAAAAGGAAAAGACAGAAUCAUUCACCCCUUUUUGUAUCACGUAUUUGGUUACUGUUUCCCUGUUGACGCAUGUAUAAAUUUGAGUGGUUUUUCUCCACGUUUUUGAGUGGUCUUUCUGCACUUUUUAACAAUAUGAUAAUUGACAGGUUAAUUAUUUUAUAUCUUUUAUAAAAUUACUAUUAAAGGAGAUUUUCUGCACGCAUGUAUAAUAUUUUAUAUCUUUAUUUAUAUUACUAUUAAUUUUAAAUUAAAAUUAUUUAUAUUUAUUCAUAUUCAAAUAUUUAUUAUUAGUUAUAUUAACUAUAAUAUAAUUAAAUAAUACAUUAUUUAGUUAUAUUUUCAAUAUAAUAAAAAUUAAUAAUAUAAUAAUAAAAUUUAUUUAAACAUUUAUUAACAUGUAAUAAAUUUUGUUUUUGUGUACAAUACAAUAAAUUGAUAACUAAAAUAAAUAUUAUUAACAUUAUUUUAUUAUUUUAUUACCUCAAUAUUAUUAGUAAUUAUAAGAAUUCCUUGAAAGUUAAUGAUUUUACUUUUUUGAUUAAUAAGGAUAAUUUUAUAUUUUUAUAGUAUGUAUGACGGCUUGCCUCCUGCAUGCGUCUAAGUGCAACCUUCCUAUAUAAUCGGUUGCUUUGCUUGUGAAACUACAUCAAACCCUAAUCCUGAUCCUGAUCCUGCUGAGAUGAGUGUUAUAUAUGCUGAAGCAAAUUAAACACGCACAUCAUCAAUUUGAUUCGAUAUGCGCACCGUCUUACGUAUAAAUACCAAAAGAAAUCAUAAUAUACAUCUUAGUACUGAUAGUCGUGAUCACAAAUUAGGAACACAAUAUAUACACAUGCAUAAUAUAAAGAAAACACGAGGUAAAUUAAAAGCGUGUAAAUAUUCAUUUUUUUCAAAUAUUGAGAUGUAGCUAUAAAAGAAAAAAUAAAUUAAAAAAUUUUAAAUUUUAAUAUGGCCAUCGUAGAGUUAGAAUCCCCGCUCCAACCCAAUUUGGAGAUGUGCUUGGUCUAUUUAUGUUUUGGAAAAAGAAAAACCAAAGGAAAAAAAAAUACACACACGACCAAAUCAAGCAAUUCAUCAAAUAAAAAAUAAAAAAAGGAAAGAAAUUUAAUGACUUGCAUGCAAUUUUGGAUCUGAAAUUAAAAUUACAUAAAAAUUAAGGAUUACCUACCUUAAUAUUUACAGCUUAUUUGAUGGACUCAACAGGUUUAAGCAACAUCAAAAUGUUUGUGGCUCCUUAAAUGAGCCCCCGACAUGGUGCAAAUGACAACAUCGACUUGUUUGACAGCUCCAACAAGGCUACGAUGAUCAGAAAAUGAGCCCUCAAUCAACAAGCUAAGAUUGGCUUCUCUAUCCUCUUCUCCCCACAACCAGCGCCUUGCUCUUUGUCAUUUUUCCUCUUGUUAGUUUUCUUCUACAUAUAAUUAUUACACUGGGAAGUACACACCCCUCUUUUCUUUUUAUAGUACCUUACUAUUAUAUCUUUACAAAACAAUAUCACCCUAAGACAGAUAUGUAUGAAAUAAAUGAAAUAAAUAUAUAAGGAACUGACGAAAUAAAAUUAUCAUGACCAUAGACUUUUCUAAUUUAUUUUUUCCUUUAAAAAACGACAAGGAUAAGUUUGGGAAAAUGAUUAUAUUUUUAAUAAAAGAAUUCUUUUUUAUUAUAAGGAUCCACCUACGUUACAAUAGUGAUACCAUACUACAGUUUUUGUCUUUAUUUAGUUGAGUCGUUGGAUGUUUUACUGGUCAAUCUAAUGGCUGAAAUUAAUUAUUAGAUAAUUGAUGCGGCAACCUGCAACCGUUGGAGCCGGUUGCGUUUUAAUGUAAUGUAAUAUCAUUUGCGAGCUUGUGCUGAGAAAGUUUGUUGUACUGCAUCAAUGGAACUGAUUUGGUCAGGAUUUAUGGAUAUAGAGAAAGAGGAGUGUUAGAAAAGAAAACGGUGCAGAAGAUUGUCCCUUCAUCCAUUUGGCCUUUGGUAGGGGCUUCCUUUGAUUUUCACCUGGACUUCAUAAAUUCCUCAAAUUUCCUUCUUGAUAACAGUAAUCCUGCAUUCGGAGAGAGGUAAGUCACCAUGUUUCGUCACAAACGUGGCCAUCUCUUCUCCAUUCGAUUGGUUGCUUUUUAAAUCCAAUGGUUAUAUUAGAUGAGGACAAAAAUUGUGGUAUGGUACCACUGUUGUAACAUAAGUGGAUCCUUAUUAUAAUACUUUUUGUCUUAAUUAAUUUAAAAAUAUUGACUCUUAUAUUUUAAUAAAUAUAAAUAUAAUAUUAUAAUAAAAUAUAACAAUAUAUACAAAUAUUUAAAAAAUUUAAGAUUUUAUUAAAAUAAAUUUUAUAAUAAAUACAAAUAUAUUAUUAAUAUAAUUAUAAUAAUUUGCAUUUUAAAAAGUAAUACUGCUAUAAAUUUUUUAAAUUAUAUUACUCUACCAAAAAAAUAAACUAUUAAAUUAUAUUGAUAUUUAUUAAAAAAUUUGCAAUUAAUUCUUAUUAUAUUUUUAAUUGGAAUUUUUUUCUUGUGAUAUAACAACAAUUGCUACAGUUUUUUCCCUAAAUAAAGAUGGAGUUAUAAAUUAUUUGUAUAAGUGUCAUGAAAGUAAUAGUUGAAUAACAAUAAUGGGGCUUUAGGCAAUUUUUUUAUGAGGUCUUCUUACAAUUUCAACACUUAAACAGACUUGUCCUUGAUCCCAAUUUAUUUACUGCAUUUGGGCCCACGAUGAGAUAAAUAUAUUCCUGUGAGAUGAAAAACAUCAGGAGAAGAAAAUGUUUUAUUAUAAUAAAAAAAAAAGUGGUCCAUAUGUUACCUGUUACCUGCAGAGGAAUGUGAUUAUAGAGAGCUUAUGAGAGUAACGACAAUGAUUUGCAAAAGAAGAAGACUUAAUCAUGCAGCCCUUAGUAUUUAUCAAAUGAUUAGUGAUCAUUUCUUUUAUAAAUAAAAUGCCAACAGCAAAAAGAAAAAAAAAAGGUUAAAUUUAUUAAGUCUUAUUUUAAUUUUAAUUUCUUUUAUUUUCAUUCGCCGAAGAGGGAAUCUCUUUUCCUAAUGUGACAUAAUUAAAGCAAUCUAUAAAUAAUACAAUAAUCAGAUAAUAUAAUAAUUAAAAAGACGCACAUGUUUAUAAUAAUAAUGAUGGGAUCCAUAUGUUUAUACUGAUUAAAUUGGUGGACCAGAAUUUAUUUGACCUUACUUGUUUUCUAUUUAAUUAAAAAUUGAAACGACAGAGAAAAAAUGUCGUACUGAUGGUUUCGAUUGUGGAGUUCCGCUGUGGAUAGCACAUCCAAUAGUGAAAAAUGAAGCUUUCGUCAACUAUCUCACAUCCACGCGUACCAUCAUGCAUAAUUGGAUAUUGCAUUAUUUCUUUAGAAAAGCAAGAUUAAUUCUUUUAACAAGCAAACGCAUAUACAUAGAAUAAUUAUAUGUAUUUGUUGGUUCAAGAAACUUAACUGACAAGAUUGAGACAAACAGGAGAUUUUAAUUUUUUUUGGACAUUAAGAAAUAACAGCUGUCAAGAUCAAGGAGAUUAUGCUAUUAACAGAAAUUAUUAAAGGAUUUAGAACAAGUUAACCUCUUCAGUUAUCCGGGAUCAUACGGUUGAUGAGCUUCUCUGUUUGGCCUUGAAUAUUUAAGAAUAAUUUUGAUGAGCAAAAAGAUCACUGGUAACUGCUGAGAAAUGUGUGAGAAAAGAGCUGAUUAGCGUAAUAACAAUGAAUUGCAAAAGAAAAAGACUUAAGGGUAAUUUUUGGAAACCUCCCCUGAGGUUUGCCCUUGCUACACUUAGAGAGAAUGUAUGCAUAUAUUGACAUAUAGCACCCCUGACCGUGUAUGAGCGUUAGAGUGCCGUUUGGUUGUUAAGGGCAAUAACGUAAUUGCAAAAAUAAAGAGGCUGACUGCAGAAAGAACGCAAUAGCUUUUGCUUCCUCUCCAUGUCUUCGUUCUUGUUCUUUCUCUCGCUCUCAAAAGAAUUUGGAGGCAGAAAAGGAAAAAAAAAAAAUUCUUCUUUUCUUUCUCUUUUCCCCCCUUCCUCUCCACCCAUUUCGUUCUUUUAUCAGUAAAGCUGAAAAACAAAGGCCACUAUUCCUGCAUCACCACCAGUUUGUCGUAUUGCUUUGCUAGUCAACAAAAAUUCUAACCCCAUGUUAAAAAAUAACAUCAAUAUUAAUGCUUCUUCUUCUUAUGAUUCUUUCACCUCUUUAGAAAAUGGUGCACUAGUUAUUCAUAACAAAAGAGAAAGAAAACCAGCAGGCACCCCAUGUAGCUUUCUUUUUCAAUUUUCUUUUGUAUAUGGGUUAAAUUCUUUUAAGGCGAAUUGCAAGUUUUAAUUUUUGUUUUUCCGUUUUUUGUUUGAUACGCACACACGCAUAAAUCCAGAUGAGAGGUGGUUUUUAUAUGCUGUUCAAUCUAAUUAUAAAGCACAUCUAAAAAAUUGUGGUACUAGAGGCCAUUCUUCUGACUGUGGCCGAGUGUUUUCCAGGUUCUUCUCUUUCUCCUAAAUUUACUCCCUUUUUUAUUCUUUCAACAAAAAUGAGAUUCUUUGCUCCUUCAAGUGGAACCUCGGGGGCAAAUUACCUCCACAAAUUGACCCACGGGCCACGGCUACUAGAUUUGGAGGGGAGAGAGAGUGACCUACGGCUGCUGGAAUUGGAGGGGGGAGAGAGUGACCCACGGCGGCUGGAAUUGAAGGGGGGAGAGAGAGUGAACCGUGCGUUUUGUGCUAGAUUUGGAGAUCCGAGGGGAGAAAGAGAGUGUGACCCGUGACCCACAACUGUUGGAUUUGGAGGGGAAAGAGAGUGAGAGCUGUCGACGGAGCGUGGUGAGGAAGAAUGGGAAAUUGGUGGCUUGGUAAGAUUAGUGGCAUGAGCUGUGAGGGAGAGCGAGAGAGGGUGUGCUGCGAACGUUGCGUGUGUGUUGCAAAUGGUGUUGCACAGUUCUUUCAAUCAAACCCUAAGAUCCUCACAAAAUCAUGCCAAAAUAUUGAUUCACCAGGCCUUUUAAUUAAGUUAAAAGCUUCUGUUUUGUUAUCUUCUGCAAUGAAAGAAGCAUCGUCAAGUCUGCAACUCCACGUUGCUGCAAGUAUUGUCAGUUAUUGAACUGUGCAGUGAAGGGCAUUAUUGUACUUUCGGUAACAGAGCAAACGGCAGUCUAACACUGAUACACGGUCAGGGGUGCUAUAUGUCAAUAUAUGCAUACAUUCUCUCCAAGUGUAACAAGGGCAAACCUCAGGGGAGGUUUCCAAAAAUUACCCAAAGACUUAAUCAUGCACCCCUUUUCAUAUCACGUAUUUGGUUACUGUUGCCUUGUUGACAUAUGUGUAUAAUAAGGGUCCGCCUAAGUUACAGCUAAUGUAAGUUGAAGAAAGCACUAGUUCACGACUUUACCUUUGGAUAUAUUCUAAAGAGAUAAUUAAGUUUGAUAAAAGAUAAAGCAAAAGCUUGAAUGCAUGAUUGAGGGCGAAGACUUUUAUUAAAGCAGAUGCCGAAAGCACACGAAAAGCUUGAAUGUUGUGGCUCCUUAAGUGAGGCCCAGACAUGGUGCAAAAGACAAAAUCGACUUGUUUGACAGCUUCAACAAGGCUACGAUGAUCAGAAGAUGAGCCCUCAAUCAAGAGAGCUCCCUGCCUCUUAAAUGAUAAAUUAAAAGCAAUUGUAGCUUGUCGACAUCAGGCCAAUUUCAGGCCUUUGAAGAGCACAAAUGACAUGGCCUUGACCAAAGAUUGCCUUCUCUAUCCUCUGCCGACACAUCCACUUCUCUCCACAACCAACGCCUUGCUCUCUGUCAUUUUUCCUCUUGUUAAUUUUCUUCUACAUAUAAUUAUUACGCUGGGAAGCAUACACACACCUCUUUUCUUUUUUUUCUUUUUUUCAAACUACUAAAUAUUAUGGGAAAAUGAUCGAAACCCUUUUUUUUUUUCUUUCUAGUUAACAUUAUCAGGUGUAUUUUUGGCUUUUCACACUUGCAUAAAAAAUUGAUAAAAAUUUGAAACAUAAAAUUCACUUUAUUACCUUUUACUUUUGUAAAUAAACUAAAAGAUAUUUUAGUCUUUUCAUAUAUUUGCCAAACGUUUUUAUAAAUUAAAUGGUGAAAUUGUUUAUAUAGAUUACAAAUAAACAGUAUAAUUAAUUAUAUUUUGUAUGUAUAAAGCAUUAAAUAAUCAGAUAUUUGUGGCUUUUAAAACUCAAGAAAACUCAAGAAAAUUAAAUGACAAGAUUAAGACAAACAAGAGAUAGUUUUUGUUGGACAUUAAGAAACAACUACUAUCAAGAUCAAAGAUUAGAAAUUAUGCUAUUGAAAGAAAUUAUUAAAGUAUUUAGAACAAACGCACCUCUUCAAUUAUCUAGGAUCACAGAGUUUAUGAGCUUCACUCUUGGCCUUCGAUUUAUAAGAAAAAUUUUAAUGAGCAAAAGAUCGCUGUUAACUGCAGAAGAAUGUGAGUAAAGAGUUUAUGGGAGUAAGCAAUACAAUUGAAUUGUAAAAGAACAAGACUUAAAGCGUGCACCCCGUGUUCAUAUAAACAGAACACAUGUUCAUUUUUAACAAAGUGAUCAAUAACUCUAUUCGUUAUUUAAUUGAUAUUGUAACCAAUUCUAAGAGAAUAUAACAAUUAUCAUUCAAUCCAUAAAUUUUGAAUUAGAUUUUUUUAACUCUUUAUUUAAAUAUAAACCUUAAUGGAAAAUUAUAAAAGUUUAGAGAUAAAAUUUUUCAAUCACCAAACGAAAAAAACAGGGGAAUGAAAACAGAGGAAUCUUGUUUUAACUAAUUUUUUUUCCUCAUUUCUUGGUCUUAUAUUAAUAAUCUUGUUUUGAUGAUAGUGCUCGUGACUGCGGGAAAAUUUCUACUGGAAACAACUCAAUUUCGGAAGAAAACUUAAUUUUGCAAGUGAUGAAUUUGAACUCGUUGGAUUGGUUGAUUUAUGAUUGACUGAAUUUCACUUUUGCCCAAAAGAUCUUUAACCAAAGUUUAAUAGCUAUCAUGUACUCCUUAAAAGCAAUUUUUUUUUUAUAGAUUUGACUGAAUUUGAACUUGUUGGAUUGGUUGUUUUUAGAUUAUUAAUAUGAGAUAUUACAACGUAAAUAUUUUCAUGGGGUUGAGCCCUAUUCUAAAAUCUGUAUAGUUAGCUUUAGAAAAAGGGCUUUUCCUGCUGAUCUGUAAUCUUCAAAUAAACUUAGAUACAAAUAAUGAAAUAAAAGACAACAAACAAGCAAUACUGAUACAAAGCCAACAGAUCAGAGUUUUUGGUACAAAGCCAAUAAAAGACAAUAAACUUAGGACCUUUUUUUCUUGCUUUCUUUUGUUGAAGGAUUAGAGUUUUUGGUAUUAUCAGUAAAGAUUUCAAGGGUCUGAGUAAAAGCCUAUAAUCUUUUUCUAAACUUUUUUUUUGGGGGUGGGGGGGGAGCAUGCAAAUUAACCAAAAGAAAUAAUAAGACCACAGGCUUUAACAAUGAAUGCUAACUUAAAACUCAUGCAAAAUAAGUUACAAUAUUAAAACAAACCAGAGAAAAUUUUUUCUUGGAAAGUAGAUGGAACUUAUGAAAGAGCAGAUGUCAAGGAUUUAGAAAACGUGCACCUCUUUAAUUAUCUGGGAUUAGAGAGUUGGUGAGCUUCUCUAUUUAAGAACAAGUUGAAAGAGGAAAAAGAUCACAGGUAACUGCUGAGGAAUGUGUGAGAAAAGAGUUGAUGAGAGCAAUAACAAUGACCUGCAAAAGAAACAGAAUUAGUCAUUCACCGCUUUUCUAUAUCAUGUAUUUGGUUAUUGUUGCCCUGUUGACGCAUGUUGAAGAAGAAAGCACUAGUUCACAACUCUACGUUUUCAUAUAUUCUAAAGAAAUAAUUAAGUUUUCAUAGAAUAAAAUGGUAAGACUUUUAAUUGAACAAUUGAGUGCAAUCAGUAACAAAGGCUUUACAAAUGCAAGUAAAAUUUGUACGUUGCUUCAGAAAAAAAGGGCAUUUCUCACUCAUCUUUAAUCUGCAAGUAAAAUUAGAUACAAAGCAAAUCUAAUAAAAUGACAAACAAACAAACAAAACAAAGAAAAGACAGGAGGCAAACAACAUUGAUCUUAAGCCAACUGAUAAUUAAACAGAGAAUUCUUUUUUUUUUUUUUAACCUGUUGCUAAAGGAUUAGAGUUUUUAUAUUAACAGAAAGGUUUCAGGGGUCUGAAUAAAAGCCCACAAUUUCUCUAUUUUAUUUUUAUUUUUAUUUUUUGAAAGGAGCUUCACCAUUGGCCUUGAACAUAUAAGAAUGAGCAAAAGAUCAAUGUCAACUGCCGAGGAAUGUGAGUAAAGAUUUCAUCAGAGUAAGAAAUACAAAUGAAUUGUAAAAGAACAAGACUUAAGCGUGCACCCCGUGUUUUGUUUUAUUGUACGUAUAAACAUAACAUGUUCAUUUUUAACAAAGUGGUCAAUAACUCUUUUUUUUUCGGUACAAAGACGUGCCUAGUAUAGACUAGGGCAAAACAAAACGGGGGUGUGAAACCCCAAUACAAUCAUGACGAAUCCAAAACCCAGCCCCUAAAGGAAGAGAAUUGAAAAUGUGCAAUCCAACAGGUAGUGAAAGAGUAGAGUUUGCAAGAAAGUCAGCUGCAAAAUUUGAUUCUCUGUAAACAUGCUUGACCCGCACUUGCCAGGUUCUGUUAAGCAAUUCCUUAAUACCCCUGACAAGAGAAGCAUGUGCAUUUGGCCUAAUCUCGUCAUCCGCCACCAAACGAGUAACACAAAGGCUGUCAACCUCCACCCGAAGCUGCCGAAUUCCAUUAUCCCAAGCCAGACAUAACCCUUGAUAAAGGCCCCGUAACUCAGCACCAGUGAUGGUACCCACACCAAUAUUCAUUCCAAAACCAAUUAUCCACUCUCCAUAACAGUUUCUAAUCAAACCACCCGCACUAGACAUACCAGAACUUUUACGAGCUCCAUCUGUGUUGAGUUUAAACCAAGGCCAAGUAGGUGCCACCCAUCCAAAAUAUUUCUCAAUCUUCAUGGCAGCAGGAACCAAACAACUCUGAUUAAACUUUUGAAUUUCUUCUGUACGGAUCUUAAUAUCCAUUACAACAGUACUCUUGCUGGUAAAAACACCAUUAUGUAGAUUUUGGUUACGCCAAAACCAAAGCCUCCAAACUGUGACCCCAAAAAGACAUGGCCAGUCAAACAUACCAUCAUACUUCCACAAGUUCCUCAAAUUAUAUAACAUCCAAUCUCGGAGAUUCAAACUAAAAAAUUGAUGACUAAUCCCAUGGGGUAUCAAUGACGACCAGAUUGCUUAGCACUGGGGCAAUCCCGCAGCACAUGAAGAGUAUUUUCAACAACACAGCCACACCUUGCACAGCUCAUAUCAUCAAAAAUAUGUCUCCAGAAAAGUUCUGCUUUAGUUUUAAGUCUAUUUUGACCCACCACCCACAGAAAGGUUUUGAUACGUUGGGGACCUCUCCACUGCCAAAGAAUGCGCCAAAAGGAUUCUUCAUUGUGAACCUCCAUUUUUGACAAAGCCCUAUAUGCUGAAUUAGUAGUGAAAUCUCCUGACUUAGAAUAUGCCCAGUACAUGUAAUCAUCCUCAUCAUUUACACUGGGAGGCUUGGUGGCUGCAAUUUUGAGAAGUAAAUGAUGGGGCAAUAAAUUCUCAAAAAGCCGCCAAUUCCAAGUACCCUCAACAGUGAUAAACCUCGCCACACACUCCUCAAGCUGCUCUAAAGGUAUCGGCUGCAAAGCGAAAGUAUACAAAGGGUAUUCCUCUAUUACCCAAUUAUCCCACCAAAAUCUAACUCGGUUGUCAUUUCCAAUGUCCCAUUUGAUCCCUUUUAAAACCUCAUGCCAAAUGCCUCCCACAGCCUUCCACAUGUAAGAGCCAUAUUUCGUAGGUAAUGUGCUGGGGAGAGCAUUAGGAGCCAGCCCAUACUUAGACAAGAGAACCUUCACCCAUAAACUAUUUGGAGAAGCAAUUAAACCCCACCCAAUCUUCAUGAGCAGAGAGCAUCAUUCAUUAAAUUAAGCUGCUUAAGACCAAGGCCUCCGCUAGGUUUCGGUUGACAUAUUGUAUCCCAUUUCACCAAACUGAUUUUCUUCUUGUCUGCUGCCCCGCUCCAAAUAAACCUCCUACAAGCCUGAUUAAUUUUCUCCCGAAUACCAAACGGAAUCCUCGUGGUCUGCAUUGCAUAAAUAGGAAUCGCCUGGAUUACCGAUUGAGUGAGAGUGAUCCUAUCCACCAAGGACAAAUGUAUCGCAUUCCACCCCGACAAACGUUGGUUCACUUUGUCCAAAAUUCCCUGAUAAGUCAGCUUAUUAACCCGUGAAUGAAUAAUUGGCACUCCUAAAUAUUUCCCUAGGUUUUUUGUGACAGAAAAACCCAAGGAAUCACCAAUUUCCUUAGCCUCAGCAGACUUUACGUUGUGGGAGAAAAAAACUUGUGUCUUUGUUUUACUAACUUUCUCUCUAGAGGUCAUAGAAAAAACAUUCAACACUUCAUUUAUAACCAUUGCUUGCCUACAGGAAGCCUCUGCAAGCAAGAUAAGAUCGUUAGCAAAAAAUUAGUGAGAUAAAGAGGUACCUCCACGAGAUAGUUUAAUAGGUUUCCAGUGCCCUCUCUUCACAGUGUCAUUUAUUCCAUGGCUUAACCUUUCUAUACAUAACACAAAGAUAUAUGGGGAAAUGGGGUCUCCCUGUCCAAUACCCCUAGAAGGGGUAAAACUCUCCGUAAUUUCUCCAUUCCAUAGAAGUUGCAUAGUCGCCGUUGGAAUACAUUCCAUAAUAAGCCGAACCAAAACAGUAGGCAAUCCAAACUCCCUCAAGGUUUCAUAAAUAAAAUCCCAGCUUAAACGAUCAUACGCCUUUUCCAAAUCCACCUUAAUGGCCAUCUGCCCAAUCCUCCCUUUCUUACGUCUCAUCGAAUGAAAAACUUCCUGAGCAACCACUAUGUUUUCCGUUAUGUGUCUCCCCGGGAUAAAACUAGUCUGGGUAGGUCCAAUGAGGUCAGGCAAGAUAGAUUUCAGCCGGUUAGCUAAUAACUUAGUGAUAGUUUUAUAGAUAACCGGGCAAAGACUAAUCGGACGAAAAAGCUUAAGGCUAAUAGGAUUAUCCGACUUAAGAACCAACACAAUCAGAGUUUUGUUCAGCUCCUUAGGGAUCUCGUUGCCAUUAAAAAUACCUUUUAUAAGACUACAGACAGAUUUUCCCACUACAUGCCAUUGGGUCUGGUAAAAGAGAGCAUGCAACCCGUCUAUUCCAAGGGCUUUCAAAGCCUUCAUGCUGAAGAUCACAUUCUUAAUUUCCUCAUCAUCCUCCACUGCUUGUCCCAAAGCUUGCAUUCGACUUUCCUCAAGGAUUGGGAAGGCGUUAACAACAUGGUAUGGAUGAUAGAUUGCAUCCUCUUUGGAAUAGAGCUUUGAAAAGAAGGACACAGCAUAAUCUCUAAUCUCAUCAUUAUUCAACAUUCAAUAACUCUAUUCGUUAUGAAAUUGAUAUUGUACCCAAUUUUAAGAGAGCAUAAUAAUAACCAUUCAAUGCAUAAAUUUAGAAUUAGGUUUUUUUGUAAUUCUUUAUUUAAAUAUAAACUUCAAUGGAAAAUUAUAAAAAUUUAGAUAUAAAAUUUUAAAUCACCAGACCAAAAAAAAAAUAGGGGAACGGAAAUAGAGGAAUCUUGCUUUACCUUUUUUUCCUUUAACUCUUGUUCUUAUAUAAAUAAUCUUGUUUUGAUGAUUGUAACUCGUGACUGCGGGAAAAUUUCUAAUGGAAACAACUCAAUUUCGGAAGAUAAGCUUAAUUCUGCAAGUGAUGAAUUUGUUCAAUUGACUCUGUACUUGAACUAGUUGGAUUGGUUGAUUGAUGAUUGACUAAAUUUGAAUUAAGUUUAAUAGCUUAGCUAUCAUGUACUCCUUAAAAGCAAACGUAAAUCUUUUUUAGAUUUGACUGAAUUUGGGAACCUGUUGGAUUGAUUAUUUUUAGAUCAUUAAUAUCAGAUACUACAACGUAAAUAUUUUCUUGUGGUUGAGUCCUAUUCUCAAAUCAGUAGGUUGCCAUAGAAAAAGGGCUUUUCUCACUGAUCUUUUUUUUUUUCUUUAAUUCACACGCACUUGAUUAUUGACUUCUUUCAUGAAGAAAUAAACUUGUAAUGACUUAAAGAUUUAAUUUCAAGUUAGAAUCAAUACCAAAAGACGGAGGUUUAACCAAGCAUGCAGUGUGAUAAAAGUACUUUAAAAAAUGUUGUUCGACCCAAUUAAGUUGAAGAAAUAACAAAGUUUUCAUGGAAUAAAUACCGGUUGUGCUUUAAUGAUUUUGGCAUAGACAUUGCUUGUGUACUGUGAAAUUGAAAUGAAUAUUAAGUGACAGCGCGAUGUAUAUGCCUAAUAAAAGAUCAGCAAAAGCUUGGAUGAAUGAUUGAAGACCAAAACUUUUAUAAAAGCAUUUUUGAGAGAAACUAAACACCAAAUUAUCAAAGUAAGAUCAACAGUAUAUGAUUUGAUUUAUACAUAUUCAAAAACAAAAUAAUGAUUAAUAAUAAAGUUUGAUUUUGUAUUGCCAACGAUGCUUUUUUGUUGUUUCAUUUGUUCGACGUGGCCUUAUUUACAAAUUGGUUGAUGUUAACAGAAACAUGAAAUUCACAUCACACAAAAUUGCACGAACAAAUAUUAAGAGAACGUAAUAAUAAUCAGUCAAUGCGUAAGGGUAAAUUUAGAAUUACAUAUUCUUUUUUAUUUAAUAAAAUCCCAACGGGAAGUCAUAAAAAUUUAGAUAUAAAAUUUUCAAUCACCAAACAAAAAAACAGGGGGAAUGAAAACACAGAAAACUUGUUUUACCUUUUUUUUUUCAUCUAAUUCCUGUUCUUAUAUAAUAUUUUCCCUAGUAUUUCAGGCAAGAAAAAAAAAUUCAAUAAAGAGCAAGAAAACUUCACAAGCUCAGAUUGAUUUAUCUUGUUUUUCAGGUUAGCUUGUGAAAUGAUGAUAAUGCUCAUGAAUGCUAGAAAACUUCUAAUAUAAACAACUCUAUUUGGGAUGAUAAGCCUAAUUUUAUAAGCGAUAAAUAUAAAUAACUUUUUGUGGUUAAUUGAAUUUGUAAUUACUCUUAGCCCUAUUCUAAAAUUUGUAGGCUGCUUCAGAAAAAAAGAAUAUUUCUCACUCAUCUUUAAUCUUCAAGUAGAAAGCAAAUCUAAUAAAAUGACGAACAAACAAACAAAUAAAAGACAGCAAACAAAGAGAAGGGUUUCUUUCUUCUUUUCUUCCUCUCCCACACCCCCCCCCCCAACCCCCGCCUCAUGGAUCAGAGUUUUUGCUAUUAACAGAAAGGUUUCAAGGGUCUGAAUAAAAUCGCAGACUUUUUUUAAAAAUUUUUUUUUUUGGGAAAAUGGAUUCAAAAUAACCAAAGCCAAUAAUAAGAUCACCGACUUUGACAAUGAACAAUAACUUUUUCUCGGAAAGUAGAUGGAAACUAAGUAAGAACUGCUAUUAGAGGAUAUUAUUAAAGGAUUUAGAACAUGUAUAACUCUGUAAUUAUAUGGGAUCAGAGAGUCGAUGACCCCCUCUAUUCGCUUCGGAUAUUAAGUAAGAACUGCAAUUAAAAGAAUGAAUUGAUGAGAGUAAUAACAAUGAAUUGCAAAAGAGGAAGACUUAAUCACGCACCCCUUUUAUACCCGAUUUUGAAGAUUUAAUUUCGAAGUUCACCAAUCAAGAACAAAGAAAAAACCUUAAUAAAGUAUGCAGUGAGAAUAAUUAAGUUAGAGAAAGUACUAGGUUAUGGCUCUGCGUUUCAGAUGCUGUAAUGAAAUAAUUAAGUUGAAGUUUUUAACGAUUAAAUACCUGUUGUGAUAGAAUGAUUUUAGAAGAAUAUUGGCUUAUAGAGCAUAUUAGUAGGGAUAAGAUUUGUAAGAUGCCAGAUAAAAGAUAAAGCGAAAGCUUGAAUGAAGAAUGGCGUUUAAUAAUUAUAGAAGAAUAUUGGCUUAUAGAGCAUUUUAGUAGGGAUAAGAUUUGUGGACAGAAUAAAUGAAAUAAUAAAAGGCAUAACUGAUCAAGUCAUUAUUGAUCUUACUUUGAUUAUUACAUUGCACAUUAGUUUCUUUCUAAAAAUGCCAUUCUUCAUUCAAGCCUUCGCUUUAUCUUUUAUCACGCAUCCUACAAAUCUUAUAUACAAACCUCCGCAUCUUUCAACGAUCUCAUCUGCUGAUUUUUUGUAUUCCUGUUCUUUCACUUCAAUAAUUUUUUGUAUUAUUCCAUAUCUUUCACUUUAAUAACCCAAAAGCUUUCCUCUGUUUCAACUAAGCGAAAAUUUACAUAUUAAAGCCUGGCUCAAAUUCCUUUUUUCAAUCGAAAUAAAACGUAGCCACAAAACCCUAAUUCACCACACCAAUUUAUCUCUGCCCGGUAUUCAUUUAAACCCUACCUCGCGGUUCAAUGUCAUUCUAUACGAUUGCAGAUGCCGUUUCAACUUGUCAUUUAGUUAGCGCCAUCCAGUUCUCUAUGGUAAGCCUUAACCCUAACAACUAAUCGACUGUGGUAGCACGUUGCUUGUUAGGAGUGGGGAUACAUUAUUUGAAUAUACGAAUUGGGUGAUGUUAGUGAUUCAUUCCCCUAUUUGUCGUGAAUUGAGAUUUGUGUAUAAUGCUCGUAAGAUUGCUAAAAAUUUCAUAUUUUGUAUUGUUCCAGUUGAAUUUCUUGCUUGUGGAAGAUAGAACAAAAGUUCAAUUUCAUGUUGAUUUAAUUCUUCUUUUUCAUCUUUUUUUUUUCUUCUUUAUAGUCACGCUCUGGCUGGUGCUAUGCUUAGUGCAGUCUAUGGUUUCAAGAUUAAGUCACGUUUAUUUGAUGGCGUCGACUCCAUCAUUAAGAAGCUCUUCUUAUUUUAUCUCAGUUUCAAUUUUCUUUUAUUAUCUGCCUCUACCUGAAAAUGGACGUGUUUUACUAGUAAGCAGACUUUUUUUAUUUAAUUGAUAUUUUAAUUUUAUGUAUAAGAAUGGAGGUUUAUUUUAAAAAAAAAAGAAAUAAAAAAAUAGACUCUGUUGAAGCUAAUUAGUACUGUUUUUUUUUGGUGGUGCGACCAGAGGUGGAAACCGGGUAUGACAAUGUGUUACUGGUGAGGUUGCUGCUUAAGAUGAGAAUGCAUUCUUUUCAAAAAUCCUUUGUAGGUGUUAUCUAAUUAUCUUUGAUGGAAUAUUAAAUGGCCAAAAAUCUGUCAUACGUUCAAACUUUGUUUGUGUUUAGAAGAAUGGUGUUGAUUGUAUAUUCAUUUGCUUAGCCUUUUGACAGAUGGAUUUGGAACUGACGAUAAAUGUGAUUCAAUUCACAAGGUUUUCAAGGGGCUCACCGUGGAAGGGAUAUUGAAGAGCUGGUCUAGGAUAAAGCCUAUGAUUGUGAAAGAUUGGAGUGAGAAUAUAGAUGCUCGUUUUCAUCUUUUUGGCAAGGUCAGAGAUGAAUGGAUAGAUAAGGAUUUAUUUGACUACCUGGAUUGGUGCUAAUAGGUAUUUUAAGCAAGCUUUUUGAGAUAACACUGAGCAAGUUGUACUACUAUUUUGCACAUGAUGAUCAAAACUCUCGAAAAGUAAAAUAAAAUAAAGUAUUAACUUUUACUUUCAUCUUUUGCAUAGCAAUCAAUGUGGUGCUUGUUCUGUAACAACUUUGAUAAUCUACUUUAUUGGUUAGCGUUUGGACCAAAAAGGUUCUUAUGAUUUACAUGUUUUGUAGAAAUGCAUGAACCUUAAAUGUGCUGAUCAGGGAGUUUAAUUAUUGCACCUUGAAAUUCAUUUAUUGUUAACUAAUUGGCUUUCCUUUGCAUAAAGCCGCUUAUAAGGCUUGAGUGGACGUCUUUAUGGGCAUAUUAUUCGUAUUUCUUUAUGCAUGCCUUUAUCAUUUAAUGUGCUGCUUGUAUUUCUUUAUGCAUGCCUUUAUCAUUUAAUGGCCAGCUCCCUUUCCUCAUUUGUAAUUUGAAUAGUAGUAUGGGCCUCCAUUUUACAAAUCUUUAACAUUUUUUGCUGUAAAUUAAUUUUUCUUUCAAAUAUUUUGGAGGUCAUUGGAAUUCCUGUAGGUCUAUUUACCAGAUUUUAGUAUGUUUAAGGUUUUAAUUUUUCUUAGACUUUAAUUUUUCUGAAAGAUUGUAGUAUUGAUCCUUAAAGUAAGAUCAUGCUACUUCAAAUUAUUUUGAAGCGUUGCUAGUUAUAGCCUUACAUAUCAAAUUCCAUUUGUCUGGAAAUUUAUUGAUAGCUGUUACAGCAGCAUAUUUUAUGACUCUACUUCUUAGUUAUGUAAGUUCAUUAUGUUUAGGUCAGAGGCAGUCAGCUAUGGGGAAUCGAUAUAUGCACAGAUGACUCUGAUCUUGUUGCUGGUAUGUGGUUCUAUGAAUAAUUGUUCACAAUAAUUGUGUUUGCCUCACUGUUUUUGUUUUAUGAGAUCUAUAAUUGAUCUUGGGAUAUUGCUUUCUAGUUCUCAUGCAAGCAAGUUACUACCUUCCCACUGCAUCUCCUCCUUUAUCUGCUAUUCAAGAGUUGCGUGCCAUAAUCUGGUAUUACCUCUGCAAGAUUGUGAAUCAAUAUAUUGCGUCUAAAUUUAUUUUAUACAUAAUGCUAAUGCUGAAUAAUAUAUUGUAGCUCCUGUCAUAUUCUACUUUGACUUUUUAUAUUCUGUUUCAUAUAAAAAUCUUAUUCAACUUUAGUUGUUCAUGAGCAAAUGUCACAUGUAUAAGCCCAAAUGAUGUUUAAAGGUAGCCCGGCUACCUUCAGUUUGAGCUUACAAUGGGUGAAAAAGAAUUUGAGACUGAUAUUUUGCUGUUUUUGUGAUUUUUCAAAGUAUUUUAGAUCUUGACUUUUGUUUGGACUUGAUGGUUAUAGAUUGUGUCUAGAUUUGUUAAGUUGUUUCCAACACCUCGUGCCAAAUCAAAGCACAAUCUUUCUGAUUCAGAUGUCUGGUUAAUUAUGCUUCAUUUUUUCGUUAAAGAUUGGAUGGUUGCAUGGAUUGAUGGAGUUGGAGUUCAACCAGUAAUUCUAAUUUUUUGGACUUAAAAUGCUCUGUAUAAAAACUUUAGUAAGUGUUAUUGAGUUGACAGAAGUUGAAUACUUACAGGUUGUUUCACACUUUCUAAAAGUUUUACAUAAAUGAAUUUCUGUUUUUUGAAUUGCAGAAAGGAGGUGGAACUAUUGAUUUGGAGCCUUAUCUUACUCACUCAUCGACAACGGAGCCUACCCUCGCUCCCAUGGCAGUGGAACGGACAAUGACUACUAGGGCUGCAGCAUCGGUUGGUUUGGGUCUGUUUUGAGUUUUAUUGUCAUUUAUUUGGCUAUGUUUUGAUAGCGAAUUUUGAUAUGUCAAUAUAAUGUGUAAUUGUUUUGGGUUGAGCUGGUAAUUAUGCUGGAUUAGAUUGGUUUGUUUUGGUGGUUCUCUGAUGGAACACUGCUUUCUUUUAGAAAUUUUGAAUAUAAUAUGAGACUACAUAUAGUUUAAUUGAACACUGCAUCUAGUCUAAUUACUAGAAGUGUGGCAUUUGGUUUGGUUUAUCCGAUAUUCUCUAGAAUUUCACUUGCAUCUGGUUUUGUUGCAUAUGUUUGCUUGCAUUUGAUGGUAGUAGCAGACUGUUUGGUUUUGUGGCAUUUGAUGGCAGUUUGAUCUGUUCUUGGUGCUGAUUUAAGAUUGUUCCUGUUGUGCUGAUGUUAAUUGCAGGUGCUUGAAUCAGCUAGGGUUGCUGGUUUAUUCAGACGACUGACUCAGGCGUUGUUAUUGGUUGAUUCAGGUGGUUCAUUUAAUGUUAGGAAGCAAAUUAAGAAAUAAUGAAGUAUUCAUUUAACUAUAAUUAUUGUAGUUAUUUUAUUUCAUAACUGAAUUAUAAUCUAUGAUACUUGUGAACAAAUUAGAGAAUUUUUAUAUAUGAAUUAUAUAUAUGUGUGUAUGUACAUUUUGCUAUUUAUAUAAUAAUUUAAAGAAUAUAUUUCAAUUCCCACAAAAAAUGGCUCCAAUUCCAAUAAUUCCUGCCAAAUAAUUAAAUUUUUUAAAUUUACCACCAAAAUAUAUCUUAAAGAAAUGUUAGUUAUUCUUGCUAGAUUUAACAAAAAUAAUUUGUAGGAUUAAUAUUUAAUUAAAAUGAUUAAAUAAUUUUAUUAUUCCAAUUAAAUAUGUCAUGUUUAUAUGACAGGCAAUAGUCAUGAAUGGGAAGUAUUAGUUACAUAUUUUUCCUUGGGAUUUCAGGCAAAUGAAAAAAAGAUUGAGAAUGAUUUCAAGAGGACAGGUGGAUGAUAAGUAUUCAUUUUUGCAUAUUUGGCUAAUGUCCUCAGCAGUGGAUUUUUAUGGUAUUGAUUUUAUAAUUUUCAAUUAGUUGCAGCCCUAGAGGAAGAGUAGGCUGAUCAAAUUGAUUUGUCUUGUUUUUGGGGCAAUUUGCGACACGAUGACCGUGAUAAUGCUCGUGACUGCUGGAAACUUUCUGAUGGAAAUAACUUUAGAGUUCGUAGCAAGCAUUUCUGUUAUGACAAAACAAAGGUUCCCCCAUAUUUUGGUUGUUUGUUAUGGUAUUUAUAUAUCCUGCAUAUGCUAGGUCGACAGGUUAUGAUGUAGUUUGGUUGGCUCUUCUUGUGCUUUGUGCAAUUUGUAACUGCAGAUACCUGCGAGAAAACAUUUAAUGGAUCUUGUUGCUGUUGAUUGGUUCAAAGACACAGAGAAUGGACCAUGUAGCUAGGCGUCAAGGCUGUGCUGCACAAGUAACUAUUCUUUUCUUUUUAUUUUUCCUUUUCCAUUGAUGCGUUAGGAGAAAAUACUGCCUGUGAGAUACUACAAUGUAAAUAACUUCUUAUGGUUCAUUGAAUCUAUAACACACUGAGCCCUAUUCUAAAAUAUGUAGGUUGCUUCUGAAAAAGGACUUUUCUCACUGAUCUUUAAUCGUCAAGUAAGUUUGUUUCAUUUCAGAAGGUAUAAGUUUCAAACUUAUUGUAUUGGGAGGUUGUAUAGUUGUAACCUAAGCAUCUGCAGCUUCCUGGUUCAACACAUUAUAGUAUGGUAUUUUAUUUUGUCACAAGGUAAUUGGUUACGGGAUCACUUUUGCGACGGUUUGUUGAUGGCGAUGAUGAAUUUCGCAAUAGUAGGUUGAAACUUAUUCCAUCUGUUCCUAAGGUAUCCAUCUUGGCCUUCAUGUAUUAGGACUAUAUUAAUGUAUACUUACCCUUUACUACACGGUACACUUCAAUUUGUACAAAGAAGGCAUGCAUUUAGGUGUAAAUGUACUGAUGGGUUGUAUCUUCAAUCUUCAUGUCCUUUUUACCCUCUUGAAUUUGUUUUGCACUUGUUCUUGAUUUGAAGCACUGAAUCAUGCAGGGGUCAUGGAUCGUGCGCCAUAGUGUUGGAAGCACCACUUGUUUAUUAGGGAAAGCGGUUGAUUGUAACUAUCUUCAUGGUCCCAAGUACUUAGAAGUAAAUGCUCUUGGAAUUUCUUUAGUACACGAGAUGUUCCCCUUUCAAAUAGUGUCCGAUAUCAUUAACAUGGUUUAACAUUGUUCAUCUUUCUGUAGAUUGAUGUUGACAUCGGUUCUUCUACUGUUGCUAAUGGAGUUUUGGGCCUUGUAAAUGGUGUAAUUACGACAUUGGUGGUUGACAUGGCUUUCCUUGUACAGGUAUGUAUGAUUGUUAUUUUAUUUUAUUUUAUUUUUUUACCCCCACUUCUAAAUGGACACAAGGGAAAAGACAUGAUUUUGAGAUAUUGCCCUACAAUUUGCAUUUUUGCAUACUUGAAUGUUCUCAGAAUGGUAUAAAUAAUGCUUCGAGUGUCUCUUCUUUAUCUUGCUUUUUUGUAUGCAGGCAAACACUACAGAUGAAUUACCAGAGCGACUGAUUGGAGUUGUACGUGUUUCUAGUCUGCUAUUGUCCCAAAGUUGGAACCAGAGACAUCAUCAUGACUGUGGUUUCAUUUCACCUCAACUGUUUUUUUUUUUAAUUGAAAAAAAAAAUCAUUUGUUUUAGGUAUACGUACAUGUAUUUUGAUCCCGUUUUCAUUGUAAUUUCUCAUUUACUUUGAAAGAAAGUCAUUGGUGUUUUCGAAUGGGAAUUUUGCAUUAAAAAAUGAAGAAUACUUAAUAGGAAAUUUCAUGAUUCUUUAGUUACUAUUUUUGGAAUGAGUGUAAUAGUAUUAAAGUUGGUUUCUACUCGCAAACAAGUGAACUACUCGAUCCCAACUGCGACCACGCUAAUUGUCAUUGUUUAAUAGCUACUACUUUUAAAACUCAACAACUAACAAAAAUACUAAAAAAAAAAUGAUUUUCUUAUGAUGCUGUGAAAACAUUUAUGGGUUCACUUAUUUCCACAAGAUCUAUAACAUGGUCUUGACUUCACGAAAUUCUUUUAAUUUAAAGGGUGCUGGUCUGAGAAAGUCAGUUUGACGGAUUAAUUCUUUUUAAUAAUGGUCGAGUUAAUUUUACUAGACUCAUAAAAUUAUUCUUAUUCUGAUAAUGCCACAAAUGUUAUGUUGUUUUCUUCAGCUAAUGAUCUUCUAUCAGGACUAGUUGGAAAUCAAAUGCUUAAAACACCAAUUGAAUGAAUAAUGCAGAAGUUUAAACAGUAUCUAAUUGAAAAUUGCAUGAAACUUGAAACAUCAAUUCAAGUCCUUCCUUAAACAGAGAAUGCAUCAAACAAAUCCAAAGUGUCUUUCAAGUCUGUAGCAUGACUAAAAAAUUGUAAAUGCCUUCAGAACCAAAUUAUUCAAGUACAGGAGAACGAGCAAGUUGAAUCAUGUACAAGAGGUUGGCUUGGUUCCAGAUAGCUUCUUCACUGUACCUGAAGGGUUGGCUCAAUCUUUUCUUUAGAAUUCUGCACAUUUUGUAAUUACUCAUGUAAGCAAGCAUACAUUACAACCAUAAUAAUAAUAAAGCAAGAGUAAUGAUACGACCACAACCUCUUGUGCACAAAUAAUAUUGUACAAACUAAUAUGACAUAAUAUGAUUGAGUAAUGAUACGACCACAAUCUUUUGUGCACAAAUAAUAUUGUACAAACUAAUAUGACGUAAUAUGAUUGAUUAAACAAAAACAUAACAUAACCCUCAUAAUUUAUUUAUUAUUAUUUUAUAUUUUCAAUCAAGCAAUCAUAUUAUGCCACGUUAAUAGCUAUAGAAAUAAUUUGCUAGAUAGUGCAACACUUCAUUGAUACUCACCAUUUCAUUGAACAAUUUUUUUAUGGUGUCAUUGAGGUUUCCUUCCCAACAUCCUUCGUCAUCACCAUCUUCUUCUUCGGUGGGUUUCACUUUGUUUAGCUUCGGUGCGUCUACGACUCCUUGAGAGAAAAUCUUCAUUGUUGGGCACUGUCUCACAACUACGUGUUCCAAGGACGGGAACUCAAGAGCGUAAUUACCCAAACAAAAGCUUGUUAGGCUUGGCAAACAAUCAAGUCCCAAGUACUCCAAUUUCCUGAAAACAAUGCAAUCUUCCGCUUCUUCUCCAACCUGCGAUUGUAUGAUUUCUUCUAUCAUUUUGCAAUCAGCUAUCUUCAUUCUUUCGAGAUUCACUAGAGUUUUAGAUGUUGAGAGCGUCAACACAUUUAUCAACCCGUGACACUUCGAUACUUCUAGUUCCCACAGAUUUUCCAAAUGCCACGAAGGUGGUACUAAUUUUUGCAACUUACUACAUUCCGAUAUUUCUAGACUUCCCAAGUUUGCAAACGCUUUGCUGGAUUCGUCAUUUUCCUUCCAGAGAUGCUGCACUUUGUGUAAUCCAGAUACUUUAACUCUAUCAAUUGAGGGAAUGCAACCUAAAAAUCAACAAAAUUAAGUUGUAAAUGAAAAUAUGUAUCCAAUCUCUGCAGUCUUCCCCUGCAUAUUUUAUGGACAAGAUUAAUCACAGCAUUUUAUAUUUUUUUUUCCAAAUUAGUAUGCUUUGCAGUAGGAUCCCAAAUAUAAGUAUCAAAUCGAUUACCCUUUGAAACACAUAAAUGAAAUCUGAUGCUAAAUCUAAUAUGAAUUAGCUAGGAAAACAGAGAUGUUACACACAUAAUUAAUAUAGUUCAUCACCUCGUGUUACCAGGCAUCCAAUUAAUUUCAGACACUUUUAUAAUUCAUACUAUAAAGUUAGUUAAUAAUUGCGGUUAUAUUGUUAAAUCAGAUAUAAAUUAAGACGACAUGUAAAAAGAUGAGUCAUUAAAUUUGAUUUGAUUCUAAUGAAAUUACAACUGUGCGAAAGAAAGUGAAGGGAAAAAUAAUAAUAAUGAUUACCUUUUCAUUGAAGAGAUGUUGUAUUUGAUCAGCUACCAAGAGGUUCUUUUCUGAUUUUAAUUUUUGAGCUUCCUUAUUAUCUGCUGUCAUGUGCAGUACAGAUGUAGAAUUGGAUAUGAAUGUUUCCAUAUCAGGGCAAUUCUCAAUAGUUAGAUAUCUCAACUUAGGCAGUUCAAUUAUAUUCCUAGUGAAGUUGAAAAAUCUUUUGAGUUUUGGAAGGUCAGUGAGCCCUAGCUUGAAAAGCUUAGGAAACAGGGGGCCUAUAUGUUCUUUGUCAGCAUUAAUUAGCUCUUCCAAAUGAAGCACCUCUUCAAGUGAAUCACAAUUCCUCACUUCCAGGUAUACCAAAUUGUUCAAGCACCGUAGCAGAUUAGCAGGAAUAGCACUCGACAUAUUCGUGCAGUCAUCCACCACCAGGUCGAAUAAAUUGUUGAAGAAGCUGACAGGCAGUGCUUGGCCAUGCCAUAUUUCUUUCAAACGUGGAAAAUGCGAGAGUUGCAAAUGUAUUAUGUCACGAAAUCCAAUCUGCACAAACCAAAACAAUUGCACUGGAUAUAUACAAUUUUUUCUUUUUGAAAGGCAUAGAUAUAUAUAUACAUUAAACUUAUAUGUUCAAAUGUGCAAGUGCAAGGGAGAUGCAUAAGUAAUUUCGACGAAUCGAUUUAACACAUACCAUUUCUUCGUAACACUUUUGUAUAGUGGAAUUAAGGUUGCCUUCCCAACGGCGCAAUUCACCCUCUUCCUGUUAAGAAUAGAAUUAGUUAGUUAAUGAGUAUGCUGACAUGGCAGCUGAGUCAGCUAAAGGUUGUUAUAGAGGUUGUUAGUAGUAACCUGUGCGUGUGUGCAAUGUGUGUAGAAUCUUCUAUGCACAUAUAAAAAGGCUUGUAAUUUCCAGAUUCAUUAGAUCAAUAAUAACAGAAUUCUCAGCUUACAGAAGUUUUCUUUCUUCCUAUUUUCUUAGUAACCUAACAACAUCACAGUUUCAUAUAAAACUUAAUACUUCCUUUUACUCACUUGCACUUUGCAUAGCUUUGGUGUGGAUAAGAUUCCCUGAGAAAAAGUCUUCAUGUUCAGACAAUGUGUCAUAGAAACUUGUUCCAAUGAUGGGAAUUCAAGAGUGUAAUUCUCCGAACAAAAGCUGGUAAGCCUUGGUAAAUAAUCAAGUUCCAAAAGUUUUAAUUCGCUGAAAGCAAUACGAUUCUCCUUCGCUUCUUCUCCAACAUGUCCUAUGAUUUCUUCUAUUUUUUCACAGAGUGAUACAUUAAGAUUCACUAGACUAUUGGGAAUUCCAACCUGAAAAUAAAGAGUAGCAUUCAACUAGAUUCAAAGUAUGUCAAAAUCAUACAAUUGUUUUAUGAAAAAUAACAAACCAUGAAUGUCUACUAGAUAUUUUUUGUUAAAGAAAAAAAGGAAAAAAUUAAAACAAAAAUAAAUAAAUAGAAGUCCAGAAAAACAAAGAUAAUGAAAAUGCAUUUACACUAUUUAGUAUUAGGAACGGAGAAAGAAUUUCAGCUAAUUUUUAAAUAUUAUAAAUUCAUUUUUCAUCUUGAUGCUAGUUUUUAAAAAAUUUUAAUUUUCAAACAUGCCUAUUUUUAAAAUAACUAAACUAAAACGCUGUAUUUCCCAUUUUUUUUUCCCGAUAUUCAUGCUUUUAAAAAUGGAAAACAUUUCUGGAAAACACUUCCCAACGCCAUCAACAUGGGACUGUUAUAGAGUGAAUAUUUGAGGAAUUUUUUUAAUCAACGGUCGAUUCAAAAUGACCAUCAUGAAUUUGUGCUUAAUCAAUGGCGUAAUCAAUUCAUAACUAAACUAGAGAUAUUAACUACAUUUGAACACUUUUUUUUUUUAAAUAGAAAUCUAAAGACCCAAGGAAAAGAGAAAUAUAUAUGAAUUUGUGAACUUAAAAGCUGAGUAAUUAAGUAUCUUUUAAUUUCUGAAAAUCUUAUUUAUUAGGAUUUAAGAAAAAAAAACAAUUAAAUUGAAUUAUAUUAUGCUGUUAAAUCGUGUUUAAAACAAUUAUAUUGUUGACUUUAAUGCAGGUGAACCUAUAAAUUAGAUUGAAAAUGCAGAGUUCAGAAUGGUGAUUUGAAGUUCAAUACUUUUGUUCCCUCCAGAAGUUUGAAGUACAAUACUUGCAAUAAAUAAUUUGUGAAUGAAAAUUAUUUGUAAACACAAAAAUGAUUAAAAUAAUUGUUGAAUGUUAUUUGAAAUAAAAAUUCAAAAUGAAUAUAGCAAUCUUACCAAUGGAGGAAAAAUAUUCAGUAGAUUAUCACACUCAGAUAUCUCCAAUUUUUUCAAUUUGCUAAAAGACUUCGAAGCAAGCUGGUGGUGCCAUAUUUUUCUCAACUUAUCCGCCUCACUAAUAUGUAAUACCUCCAGACUUGGGAGUCGUACCUGAAGUUAAAAAUUCAAUGCAAUUAGAGAUGUAUAUUAAUUAAAUUUGAAGACUCAACGAAAAGAGAAAUUAACUAUUGAGAAUAAAAUUAAUUUAAAAAAAAAAAACCUUUUCAUCAAAGAGGGGUUGAGGUUGCAUUUCAGUGUGAAUGACGUCUUCUGGUGAGGCAAAGCUACAUAGUUUUGGAAGACCAUCGAGCCGCAGGUAGUGUAGUUUGGGAAAAACCUUUAAUUCAUCUCUUCCUCCUAACCCCCCCGUGGUGUCGACUACCCCUUCCAUUGACUCACAAUCCCAUAUCUCAAGAUGUUGGAGUUGCCCAAGACUAUUAACCAUAGAACAUGAAAACAGAUACUUCACACAAUGACACCUUUCCACAGUCACUUUUGUUAAAUUUUGACAACAAUACAUUCCCUGAAAUUGAUCGAGCCAUAAUUUUUCGAUGUUUCGUAAAUCGAAAAGUUUCAGUUUCUCCAAACGUGGAAAAGAAACCUGCAAAGCAAAACCGUACAUUUUUGUUCCUUCAACUACAACUUCUAAUAUAAUAUUCUUUCGAUGAUUGAAGAUCAAUCGUAAUAAUAUAUUAAUUAAUUAAUUAUUAAACAGAAAAUUAUUACCUGUUGAACAGGAUCAUCCUCUGCAUUGAUUUCUGUGAAUCCCUGAGUAGUUGUUGGUUUCUCCAUGUCGGGCCCUAUAAAUGAACAAAAACAAUAUGUAAUAAACAUCCGUGUUUUUUUUCACCAAAAAAAGAAAAAGAAAAAGAAAAAAAGAAUGAGUCAAUGUCAAUAAUCCUACCAAUAAUUAAUUUCAAUACUUACCAAUAAUCAUUUUCAAAUCAUCGCAGUUUUCCACUUCUACUUUUUGAAGCCGCAAUAGGUUUUUGGCCAUAGAGAAUGAGAAGAGAUACUUCAAUUUUGGACAGCAAUCUACGUUUAUAAUCCUUAAGUUGCUGAAAGAUUGAUCUUCUCUGAGUUGGCUGUAGCAUAUCGUCUCCAAAUUAGUUAAAAACAUAAGAGACAAUGACUCCAGCAAGGGAAAGACUUUGCAACGAACCCGUCUAACUGAACCGACAAUAUGUAAAAUCUCAGAACAACUUUUUACAUGAAGAUGCUUCAAUCGUGGAAAACCUUCCCCAUCGUCUAAUUCAUGAACAACACUUUGAACACCCUCCAAUGUUUCUAGCCAGAGACCUUCAGUUCUCUGCAGCAACAUUUUUGUCCCAUCAUUCUCCUGAAGAAUGCUAACUUUUUCUAGCCCCUUGAGCAUCAUCAAUCUUGGUGCUUCAGAUUUGACGAGCAAUGGGUCAAACUCAUCUUCGGACUCAUCUCCUAUGCGUAUCCUAUAUCUUUGCAAUUCCACAGAGACAAAAUUCGGCGGCAGAAUUUCGGCAUCCGCAACUUCUAUCUCCAAAGUAGCUAGCUUUGUCAACCUCUCCAACUCGACAAGACUGGCAUUACUUCCUCCUUCAACCUUCUCCCACCCUGAAAAGCUGUUACCCAUAUACAAUUCUUCUAAUUGAGAUAAUUUUGAUAUGACAUUCGGUGCUAUCACCUCAAGCAACCAACAAUUGCUCAAAUCUAGCAACUGUAACCGCGUCAAUUGUCCAAUUUCAAGUGGUAACUGCUUGAUAGUGGAACGUGCAAGGAUGAGAAUCUCUAAUUUCUUUAGCUGUCCAACUAUUGCUAUAUCUUUUAGUCGGCAAUAGUCUAAACACAAUGUUUGGAGGUUAAUGAGGCAACCAAGUGAUGAAGGUAAUGAAGAGAAGUGAAUUCGAGUAAAAUUCAAAACUUUGAGUCCUUCCGUCCCUUUAAAGAAGUGAUCUGAAACUUGCAUAGAGCCAUCACCCUCCGUAUGCAAUAGCUCAAGACAGGGACAUUGCAACCUUUCAGGAAGCACUUGAAUACCUCCAUAAGUUAAAGAAAUAGCAAUUGGAUCUUUUCGUAUUGUCUCUUCCAUCUUUUUCUCCAAGUCGGCAACAUUUGGAAUAUUAAACAUGCGCUUCUCAAAUAACUGCAAUGCUUCUUUUCGUGGCAAAGCAUCGAUCGGAAAAUUUUUCUGACAACUCAUAUCAAUGCGCAAUAAAUCUUGCUUUCUAGACGUCAAUAUUAUUGUGCAUCUUCUCUGAUCAUCCUUUCUAUCUUUCUCAGCAACAUCCCCAGAAGGAAUUCCAACAACAUCCAACUCAAGUUCUGUCCAAAUAUUAUCCAAUAUAAUGAGGACCCGCUUCUCUUUCUUCAAUCUUUCACGUAAUCGAUCAGCUCUUUCGAAUUUAUUCUCAUCCGAGCCAAAUUUCAUGCCUAAGUCAAAAGCAAGUUUCUUUUGAAUUUCCUGAUGAUCUGGGGUCUGUGUUACCUCAGCCAUAACGACCUUAUCGAACAACUUAUCUUCCAUAACUUGCUUUGCAACUUGCUUGACUAGCGUGGUUUUACCCACGCCGCCCAUGCCGUAGACCCCAAUAAUGUUGAGCUUAUCAUCCUUCAACGCCUCCACAACAUCUUGAAAUACUUUCAUUCUUGAAUCAAAGGCCUCGUAAUCUUUCACUUGCAUAUGUUCUGCCCGCUUUGGAGCAGGACGGUAGGAAACAUUAGAGAAGUUUCCUUUUCCCAGGAGACUAGCGGCAGCUUCUGCGGCCUUUGCUGCUUGUUUACUAAGCUUGUAACGAGAAAUCAAGUUUGGGCACAAUCCUUUGAAGCAGGACUUCUUAGCUCUAUCUUCAUCAUCACUGAUGGAUUUUGCAACCCCUUCACUGAAUUCAUCAACUUGAUUUAGCCAGUCUGUGACACCCUCAUAAAUCUCAUCCCCUUGUAGUCUAGCAUGAUUAACAGGUUGUUGCACCGUUUCUCUUCUAUAUCCCAGCUGCUUCACUUGAUCUUUUAGGCCAUCUAUGUAGCUCUGGUACUUGAACACAUAAGAUAUCUGCCGUACAAUCGGUUUGAACAGUGACUUUGCACCUUCUGCUACGAUGCUGGAAAAAGCAGCCAGACCCACUUCUGCCAUCGCCUGCUGCUUAACAAAUCUAAUAAUAUGUCAAAGAAAGGAAUACAAAUAAACUAAAAUGAACUAGAGGGAAAGACAAAAAAUGGAAAAGACAGCAAACAGUAUCGCAACAUUGAUCUUGAAUCAACUGAAACAUGAACAAAGCAUUUUUUCUUCUUUCUUAAGGAUCAGAGUUUUUGCUAUUAACAGAAACGUACUUCAAGUGUCUAAAAAAAAUUAACUAUAAAUGAACAAUAACUACAAAACUCAAGCAAAACAAGCCAUAAAAUUUUUAUCUUGGAAAGUGGAUGGAAAUUAAGAAAGAAAUGGUAUAGAGAUCAAGCAUCAGAGAUUAUGCUAUUAAAAGAAAUUAAUUGAAGGUUUUAGAACAAGUGCACCUGUUUAAUUAUGUGGGAUCAGAAAGUUGAUGAGCUUAUGUAAUCGCCUUGAAUAUUUAAGAACAAUUUCAAUGAGCAAAAAAUUUCUGUUACCUGCAGAGGAAUGUGAUUAUAGAGAGCUUAUGAGAGUAAUGACAAUGAUUUGGAAAAGAAGAAGACUUAAUCAUGCAGCCCUUAAUAUUUAUUGAAUGACUUGUGAUCAUUUCUUUUAUGAAUAAAAUGCCAACAGCAAAAAGAGAAGAAAGGGCGAAAUUUACUAAGUCUUAUUUUAUUUUUAAUUUCUUUUAUUUUCAUUCGGCGAAGAGGGAAUCUCUCCCUCUUUUUGUUUUUUUACGGGGAAUCUCCUUACCUAAUGUGACAUAAUGAAAGCAAUCUGUAAAUAGUAAUAUAAUGUAAUAAUUAAAAAUACCCACAUAUUUAUAAUAUUAAUGAUGGGAUCCAUAUGUUUAUACUGAUUAAAUUGGUGGACCAGAAUUUAUUUGACCGUACUUGUUUUCUAUUUAAUUAAGAUUGAAACGAUAGAGAAAAAUUUGUCGUAUUGAUUUGUUUCGAUUGUGGAGUUCCAACACUGAAAGUGAAGAUUUCAUCAACUUUCUCACAUGGACACGUACCGUCAUGCAUAUUGCAUUAUUUUCCUAGAAAAGCAAGAUUAAUUCUUUUAAUAAGCAAACGCGUAGGUGGGAAUCCAUUCAUGAAACAAGUGGAACGACAAUAUCAAACCAAUGAUAAUUCAAAAUCUGAAUCCGCCUGAUGGACGGCAACUAAUCUGAACCAUUCUCCUUUAGUAACAGGGGAAUGAAAUUAUAUCGAUGAUAGAUAAUUUCAAAACAGGGGAAUGAAAACAGAGGAACCUGUUUUUCCUUCCUUUUCUUCUUUCCCCCAACUCUUCUUCUAUUUAUAUUUUCCUUGGAAUUUUCGGCAAACGAAAAAAAAUUGGGAAUGAUUUCAGGAAAACAGGUGGAUAAUAACUAAAAUAUUUAUUUUUAUAUUUUUGAUAAACACACUCACUAUUAAUAGAAUUCAUUAGAUAUCAUAACUUAAAUAACUUCUUGUGAUUAAUUGAGGGUACAUUUGGGAUUUCUUUUAUUUCCCAAUAAUUAGCUUCUAUGUUGAUUCUCAGAAAAUUAAUUUUACGAAUAAUUUAGUAGGGUGUUUGGUAAAUGAUGAUUAUUUGACAACCAGUUUUCAAAUAAUCUACUAUACAAAUUUGAUAAGUAAAAAUUAGAAGUGUAAUAUUCAAGUGCAAAUGUGCAAUGAUAAAAAUGUAAUUGUUUGUUUAUUUGUAGUUUAUUUAGAAUAUUAUUACUAACAUCAUUUUUUUAUUUACUGGAUUUUUAAAGAGUAUAUUCUAUUUUCUUUAUUACAUAUCUAUAUCAAUUUUUUAUUAACUAUUUUAAUUUGUAAUAAAACUAACUUUAAUUUUUUUUAACUAAAAAAUUUGUUAUGCAGUUUGUUAUAUUAAAAAAAAAAUUCGGACGGUGUCUAAACAUGGUCACCAGUGAUUGUUAUAUUAAAAAAAAAUCUAUUCAAUUUUUUCUCUGAUUUUGUGUCGAUAUCUUUCUUACGUAUGUUGAUAUCAUAUUAAAGUGAAUUCAAGACCCUAUAUUAUUUUGCAUAACAUCAAAAUUUAGCCGAAUGGUAAUUAAGAAUUUCCUUUUUUGUUUGUCCCACAAUUAUAUAGUCUCAUUUUUUACAAUAAGCUCACAAUAUGCACGGAAAUGAAGAUCUAUUAAAAACUUCCCUAUAAUAUUAAACACUAAACAAUAUCACCAUGUUAUGCAUAUGGUGCCUCGUCAACAAUUUGAUGUUUAUUUUGUUUCUCGGGUGAAUAUGACUACUUGCGUUGCGAGUCCAUGCUUUUGUCGUUUGGAUGGAGGACGUGCCAUCUUUUUAUUUUAGAUGGUUUGUAAGACUUCUGAUUUAAUGAUUGAAUGCAGUCAAUUAACAAAAGCUUACAUAUUAUGUAGGUGCUGAUAUGUCUGUUCUUGAUAAAGUAGAUUUAUUUACAUCCAAGCCAACGGAGCCAAAGACAUUUCGUUAAUAAAAUACACGAUAAUUAUUUUUGUUAAACUGAUUUCUGGUUAAUAAGACCUAUAACAGCAUUCAAGGAAGCCACCGAACUCAAAGGAAAGGCAUGGUUAAAUAUACUGCGAAGCAUGUGAGUUCGUUUUUUAAUCUCUUGAUCACUCAUAAGCUUUUCUAUACCACUCACUGUAUCAUCCUUUUGAAUCGAUUUUGAUUGAUCAUCAGAGAUCAUGUACCCCACCUUAAGAUGAUUGAUCACAAAUUUGGCAUUGUAAUGUUGGUCACCUCUAAUUGGCCAUGCUAAAAUUGGGACUCGACAACCAAUUGCUUUUACUGUUGAAUUCCAUCCACAAUGAGAUAAAAAUCCACCCGUGAUUGAUGACUCAAUAUCAAUAAUUGUGGCGCCCAUCCAUCUAUUAUCAAAUCCUUUUUACCGACUUUAUUAUCCAAACCACUACGAAAAUAACUGCCUUCAGCUGGUUUGUCCAAAUGACGUAGAGGAUCCAAUCUACCUGCACCACCUUGAAUUACCCAAAUAAACGAUCGAUUUGAUGCUUCUAAAGGAUUAGCUAGUACUAAGUACUCAUCUAAGGUCAGAUCCACUUCAGUACCAAAUGACACAUAUAACACAGAUCCGCGUGAUUUCAAAUUCAACCUUUGAACGAUCUCAUCUUCCGUCAUAUUAGAACUCCGCCGGUUGGUUCUCAUCUCAUGAUCAUCAAGCACUGAACCGGCCGAUUUGUAAAAUUGUUCAGGUAAUAGUGGGCCCACUCCCCACAUCGGCUUUCCCAAUUCAUUGGCUAAAUAAUUAAUAAAUGGUCCCUCAAGACCAUCACACGUGUUGAACAUCAACGCCAUUGAUCCCUCCACUUCCUUCAUCCAGUGUGGUUGAUCACCGGCUUCUGGUGGACCUAUUUUCUCGGAACCGGGUGCACCUCUCAGAGGUGGUGGACCACCAGGAGGGGGCCCAUGAGGCCUGUGUUUUAGGUCCGAUUCAAAUAAAGCCAUAUCCUCGGGUAACCGAGGAAGUAAACGGGCCUCUCCCGGUUUGACAUCUUGGAUGCGAGCCUGCCACAUGGCACACUCCGCAGCUGCCGAGCAAGCACCAGAAGUGAAGAACCCAACAAUGGGAACUUCAAAAAUCUUGAAAACAUCAGCCGUCCAGCCCAUCAUAACGUCGAUGACUGCACAAACGGGUCGGCUUUUGGGUUCCCGGGUUGAAAGGAGGUUUCGAACUUCGAAGGCCUUGAAGCAUUUGGCUGUGCAUGGCAACAUGAGGGUGAGGAGGCGAAGGAGGGUAUUUCAGUAACUUCAAAGAGAGGGUAUUGGUGAAACGAGGAAGGGAUGAUGCUGGGGGCGGAAAUGUGAGAGGGAAUGAUGAGGGUAGAUUUGUAAUUACGAGUAGCGAUUUGCUUGCAUAAUUCAAUGCAUGGAAACAGAUGUCCCUGACCGAAGAAUGGGACAAUCCAAACCUCGGCCUCAGCAGCAGUAGCAACAGAGCUUGACAUCUUUUUGAAUUAUUUGAUACUUAAUUGUUACUGUUUGCUUUUACAUCUUUCAUAAAACACUCUUUGUUAUAUAUAAAGAGAUGACUUAAUGGAGAAGUAAGUGUUUUAGUUUUACAGUUUUACUAGUAGGUGAGCUCUGAGUUUGAUAAUUUGAUUGUUAGUUUUAGUUGGUUAGUUAUGAGAAAGCAUCUUUUAGAAAAUUCAUUCCAGUUUCAACUAAAAUUAAUAAUAUUGUUCAAAUUAAUUACUCGAUAAAUAAAUAAUUAGAGAUAAAUCUAUCCCUAAUCUCACAUUUAUAAAAUAAGGAUUGAAAUAAGUUCUUGUGGAUUCGAACUCAAGCCCUCAAGCCGAGUGGCUGGAUCUUGACUACUUUGACUUAAUUAUUAUUAUUAUUAUUAUUAUUAUUAUUAUUAUUAUUAUUAUUAUUAUUAUUAUUAUUAUUAUAUAUAUAUAUAUAUUUCAUUCUUUCAUUGAACAUCUUUUGUUAUAUAAUAAAGAAGAUAAGUUGACGGAGAAGAGUUUUACUUUUACUAGUAGAUGAGCUUUGAGUUGAGAACGUUAGUUUUAGUUGAUUAAAUAUCUACCAUCCAAAUCAACAUUCCUUAAACUAUUAUUCAAGUGAGAUGUCUGAGUAACAUACGCUUGAGUUAGUUGGUGCCUAACAAUUCGUGUGAUACAUGAAACCAACCAAUAUGAAAACCAAAUCAAGUUGGUAGGAUUACAUUAAUUUAAAUUAACUUUCAAGUUCCAACAUUAUAAGAUAAAUAAAUAGCAUAAACUAAUUUUUUUUUUCAAGUAAAUAUGUUUAUCGUUUAAAAAUUAUUUUUUCUUGCGGUAAAUGCAACACUAAAUAAGGAGUGAAGAGGGUAUUUUGUAGGGUAUACCCCCACCUUUUAUUUCAUUUCAUUAUUAAAAAAUAAAGGCUUGAUUCAACAUUCAAGUAAAAUUAACAAUUCCAUGAUAAAAUUGCUUGAGAAUAAGAAUUAAAAUAAAAAAAGAAAACAGCAACUCAAAAACGACAUACAAAUACCGCAUAGAGGUUUUUCGUCACGAGAUAUUUUUGGGUUGAGACAACAGUUGUAUAACAGAGCAUACAGACUGAAUGACGGUGAGAAUAAGAAGGAAAACGGCGCCACACACCGAAAUGCCAGCCCAUGGAGUAUUGAAGUAAUUUUGUUUCAAGUUUGCCCUCCAUUUGUAGCACGUUCUUUUGCAGUGAUCAUUCAAUCCUUUGCAUAGCCCAGAAAAAUAGAAGCUAUUAGACAGCAGAGUAGUACCUCUAGAAAGGAACACAUAAUCAUUUAUGUAACACAUAAUCAUUUAUGUAAUUCUCUGAGUAAUGCCGUUGUUCAAAGGCAAUGAGAUUACGAAAUAAGGAUUCUGUUUCUAGCUGUAGCUUCAGUUUCGGAAUAUGCGAUGUCCUGUUUUUGAAUUCUAUGGCGAACAAAUCAUUGCUCUUGCUCAAACUGAAGUGGACUCCAGCUUGGUGGAGAUUAGUCACACUUGGUGCGGUUUUACCUUUGUGGUAUUGCUGACCUUCUUGUUUUUCCUGAUUCCUCGAUGAUGGGAGAUGGCAAAUCCUUAGAAAAUCAAGGAAAUGCUCUACCCUAGCCUUAGUGUAAGGAGGGAAUUUUUGCUGAUUACCUUGUACUACCUCUAAACCCUUGAAAUACUCGUAUGUGACUGUGAUGAUGGUUGGAUUUUCAUGUUGGUCGGGGAUUUCAAUUGCCGCUAGAGCAAAAAGAUCCUCAAGAAUGAAGAAAGGAAGCUGAUUCUCAAGCAACCACAUAUCAUACCGUAUAUCCUCUAUUAAAUAGGGUUUAUGAAAUAUAUGAUCAUCUUUUUUUUGAAGUUGACGGAAAUGAUACCUCAAUAAGAGUUCAAUGAUGAAGGCAGCAUCCAGCAGAAUCAUUUCAACAAAUUUAUCACUACUUAGUUCGACUUUUUCUGCAUAAGAACCUCGUAAUUCUGCUUCUCUGAACUUUAUAAUUUGAACAAACUCGUCAAAGCUUAUUUGGGUCCGUUGAAGAAAGUAAUGCAGGUACCGCUGUUUAUGUUCUUCCAUGAACUGUAAGUUUGCUUUGCCAUGCUGAAGAGGGCCAAUUGAGACUACCUGAGGUGUAUGUACCUUUUCAUUUAUCUGACGUAAUCGCUCUGGAACUCUGUAGAUGCAGCAGUUUGAGGGCAAUGGUGAUAAUUUUUUCAACUUAACUUGCAAGCAUUCUUCCAUGUUAUAAACUGAAAACAUGGCGCGAAAUUUAAUCAAUUCAACACUUAAUAAGGCAUAGUAAUUAAAAAAGAAUUAAAAAAAAAAACCAAAUACAAGAGCAUUCUUACACGUACAGAAGCACCUCAAUCCCUACUAUUUGCAGAGCUGUAGCCAGGAGUCAAUGAUAGACCAGACUGAACUAAAAGGAACAACUUUCUUAGGAAUAUGUUAUCGGUAUUUUCUCUGGCCUCAGGCCAUCAACAAAGCAGUUUCAGUGCUUCUUAUAUAAUUCCAUGGAUUAUUCCUUGCCUUUACAGAUGAUAUAAGUCACAAUUCAUAUAUUAAUUUCUCCAGAUUCCGUACAAGUGGACCAUAACUAUGGAAAAAUUCAAAGAAUGCAACAGCCAUUUGAUUGGUCCAUGUCAGAAGUUAAUCUGGGGAAAGAAGCUUGAUCUAGCAGUAAAAUUCUCUCCUUCAAUCAGUCAGUUUGGGGCAGCAACAAGAUCAAAGCCACCACGCAAACAUUUACUAAAGUUUAUAUAAUAUUCACUAGUUUAUAUAAUAUUCUUGAAACUCAUCUUAAGUAAAGCAACAAAAGCCUUCACUGUUUCUUAACAACUUUAUUGCUCUAACACGUAGCAUAACACUUUUAAAUUUGCAUAAAGCACAAUAGUACUUUAGUUUGUAACAACAGCACAGAUAAUAAAUCGCAUUUUAUAGCUUUAACAAAAGCAUACAAAAUUCUUAAACCUUGUUUCAAGCAAUUCAUUAAUGCCACAAGGAUGUCUUUUUGCUUCCUACAGUUUUUAUUGAAAUUCAUAUAUUCUUCUUUAUCAAAUUAAGUAAUUUUCCUUUUUCAAAAAAUCAAGAAGGUUUCGACUGCAUGGAAAUACAGCACACAAUUACUACUAUUCCCGGAGUAAGAAAUUCAUAAAUGCAAUAUAAACAUACAUUUUCAUAAGACAUCAGAAUCAAAGAAUCAUCAAUGCAUCAAAUCUGUACACCCAAAAAAGUUGAAAGCAUCAAGAGAAAAUUAUACCGCAUGGACCCUUUACAACCCUUAUAACGAGUUCAGACAGCCUAAUCCAAUUUAAUAGAUUUGAGGACAGCUACAAUGUGCAAUACAAAAUUUCCCAAUACUAUUUAGAACAAAGUCUAGAAAAUAAAACCUAUAUAUUGUACAAAAUCACGAAAACCAGAAAUGACGAAAAACCUGCGAAUGUAAUUUUUGGGUUUCUUCAACAUAUCUUCCAUCCAAAUCAAACAAGAAUCGAUAAAUCAACAACAUUCAUCUUUAAACGACAUAUUACCACAAUAAAAUUGUCAACCAAGCCUCAUAUAAACCUUUUUUGUGUUUUUUGGUAAAUAUAUUUGUUAUUCUCUAAGAAUACUAGGGAAAAAAGAAACCCACUUUCUUAAUCAAGAAUCAAAUAGUAUAUAUGAAUCUAAGCUGAAGUAAGUCUUGGGUUUGAUGAAAAAGCUUGCAUUGUGAUUUAGAUUGGAAAGGAAGUUGAUUUUUGCUGGUUGAGAGAGAGAGAUUUGAGACUUAAGGAGUGUUGCUAAUCUUCGAUCGUGUAAACAAGGGUAACUGGGUCAUAGUUCAAAAUAAGGGUCCAAAAUUUACUAAAGCUAUUAAGGAGCCCAAAACUCAUAAUGGCUUCCCCAAAAUAAAUAAAAUUUUCUAGCAUUAAGUUUUUGUUUCUUCUUGAGAUUUCCUUGUCGUACUUACCCAUAUUUCGAUAUUGCCUCCAAGUAAACUUAUAUAUAUUGAUUAACAAUAUAAACAAGCACUAUGAAGUUUUAGGCCUGAAAAAACAUUGAGGUUGAAAUGAAAACCAUCUAUUUAAGUAACAAAAUCUUCUGAUAAUUUGAUGCUUAAUAAAUAGAGCAGAGAUGACAUAUUAAUCACGCUAUGAUGUGGAAGUUAUGAUUAUAUUCAUCUUAAGAAUAAGAUCUUUCAAACACUGGCAGAUUAGUAUCAAAAUACUCAGCAUAAGACCUACAAACUAGAAAUCAUGAACCAAUUAUUGAACUCAGUACAUAAGUUGAUCUUUUAUAAGCUAUAAAACAAAUCUGCUAUAACAUAAGAAAGUGGGAUUUAUCACCAGACAAAUAUUUUGGUGAAACUCAAGAUGACGGAAGGAUAUCCAAAACAACCUCCUUAAGGGAAGGCAUCACUUCCUGCUGAUGCAAACAUAUAUAUUUAUUACUCACUUUCUUGAGGACCUUCCAGGAACCUGGGUAGCAUCUAACAGAAAGUGGAAAAGAAUAAAAUGUAAAAUAUAAGUUAAACAGCAGGAAAACAGUGAGUGAUACUAGGCAAGCAUUAAUAGGUUGCCGCAGGAAAAGUGUCAGUAACUAGCUAGCAAACCUGAAAAGGGUUCCUCCAUUGCGACCCUUAAAAUUGUGAAUGUAAUAUAUGGUCUCCAUCACAGGAAAAAGUGUAUUGGAUAGUGCAGCCAGCUUAGUGUUGCGGACCGCCCAAAUUCGUAGCCCAAUUUAUUCACCAAGAGCCCAACACAAGGCCAAGAGUGCUACCUUGGCCCGAUUCCGGAAAAUUCUAGGCAACUCUAGCACAUUGAGCUUGUAAAUACUCUAGAAUUCUCCAUAGAAUUCCAGCACAUGUAAAUAGCUAGGAAAUGGUAGAAUUCUCUAGAAUCUCUAGAGCUUGGCAAGCCUCCCCUAUAAAUAUGGGAUGGCAUUAGGCAUUUGUAUCCAACAAACACUACAACAAGCAUUGUAAGCAACUCAAGCAAUGUAAUUCUCUCUUUGUGCAAUACAAUUUCUCUUAUUCGGCUCUAUUGCUCUCUUCUCUAGUUCGAGAAGCUCUAAGCUUACUUAGCAACAUUCGGCAAAGUUGUCUAAGUGCCGCACGAGUUAGCUGCGCAAAAUACUCAUCCCGUGACAAGUGGUAUCAGAGCUAAAGUUUGCACGCACGCAAAUUAGCUCACGAGCAAUGGCCAACCUUUCAAACGUAGCACAAUAGGGUGUUGUUGGUGUGGAUGUUCCACUGGAACCAAGCCGCGACCAAGAGGGAGAACGCUCCCAAGGCAAGACUCGUGGCAAGUCCAAGGCCCCAUCCGUGGAUGCGUUGGAGCCUCGUGUGACUACUCUCGAAAUCACAUUGUCCGCCGCUCAAGAAAGUCUCGAGGGAUUGGAGGAACGAGUGGACGGUCUCGAGGGGGAAUACGCCGAGUUCACGGUGGCAACAAAAGCUCUCAUCCAAGAGCAAGCGAACACUCUCCGAGGUGAGUUUCGUUCUUUCCAUGAUGAGUUGCUCAAACUUCGUAGCUUUGUUCAGGAUGAACUACGAGCUGUCCGUGCAGAAGUGGAUGAAGUCCGCUCGGAUUGGGCAUGGCACAAGUGCACAGUCUCUGCUAGUCCAGCUUCCGCAAACUCGAGUGAUGCGCGCCGCAUUGACGUGCCAAAGCCCGACACCUACGAUGGCACACACAAUGCCACCAUCGUGGAUAAUUUCCUCUUUGGGCUCGAUCAAUACUUCGAUGCCAUGGGUGUCCGAGACGAGGCAUCGAAAGUGGGCACUGCACCCACCUAUCUUAGAGGCGCUGCACAACUAUGGUGGCGUCGCAAGUAUGGCGAGAUGGGCAAGGGCAUUUGCACCAUCGACACUUGGGCCAACUUCAAGCAAGAACGCCGAAAGCAGUUCGCCCCAAGCAAUGCGGAGAAGGAAGCACGAGCGUGCUUACGUCGCCUCAAGCAAACGGGUAGCAUAUGGGACUACAUCAACGAGUUCACUACCCUUAUGUUGGAGAUAAGCGACAUGUCCGACAAAGAUUCGCUCUUCUACUUCCAAGAUGGCCUCAAGGAUUGGGCCAAGACUGAGCUUGAUAGGCGUGGUGUUCAAACACUUGACGAUGCCAUGGCCGUUGCGGAGUCGCUCACCGAAUACUCUAUCCAAUCCAAGGACAAAAAGGCCAACCAAGGCAAAGGUGGGGGAGAGAGUCGCAAGGACAAGGGCAACAACCGCAAAGAUUGGGGGUAGAAAAAACUGCCUAGCAACAAGAGCGAGCAAGGAAAAUCGGAGGGUAAGAAGGAGGCGCCAAAGCCGCGAAGCCCAUGCUUCAUAUGCAAUGGUCCUGAUUGGGUACGCGACUAUCCGGAGAAGAGGUCGCUAAACGCUCUUGCUGCCCAACUCAAGAGCAACCCUACAAUGUCCACAGAGGAACCCCAACUCAGCAUGGGUUCUCUCCAACGCCUCGGCGCACUUAAUCACUAACAGCCUGCACUCGUCAAGAAAGGGCUCAUGUAUGUAAGCGCAAAGGUAAACGGUCAGUUCGUUCGCGCGCUGCUAGACACGGGAGCGACGCACAACUUUGUGUCCGUAGACGAGGCCAAGCGCUUAGGCCUCAAGGCCACCAAGGAAGGAGGCACGAUGAAAGCGGUGAACUCACCCGCCAAGCCAAUUGCGGGGAUCGCACAAGGCGUGCACAUUAUGCUUGGAACAUGGAGCGGAAAGCUUGAUUUCUCCAUCGUUCCCAUGGAUGACUUCAAGAUGGUCCUCGGCAUGGAAUUCUUCAACCAAGUCCAUGCCUUCUCGCUGCCCGCUCCGAACUUCCUAAGCAUCCUCGACGGGAGUAAGGCAUGCAUGGUUCCCACGGAACGAGGCAAGUCCGAGGAGAAGACACUCUCUACCAUGCAAUUUAAAAGGGCUUUCAAGAAGGACCCAAGUUUCUUGGUCUCCAUUCGGGAACUAAACGAGGUAGGAAAUAGCGGAAUCUCGCCAAACCAAGUCCCUCCGCGAAUUCAAGCCGUCCUUAAUGAGUACAAGGACGUGAUGCCUCCAGAACUUCCGAAGAAACUCCUACCUCGACGAGAGGUUGACCAUGCAAUUGAGCUGGAACAAGGCACGAAGCCACCAGCCUUGGCGCCCUACCGCAUGGCGCCACCCGAAUUAGAGGAGUUGCGGAGACAACUCAAAGACUUACUGGACGCAUGCUACAUUCGCCCCUCAAAGGCCCCAUUCGGUGCACCUGUGCUCUUCCAAAAGAAAAAUGAUGGAUUGCUGCGGAUGUGCAUCGAUUAUAGAGCGCUCAACAAGAUCACCAUCAAGAACAAGUAUCCGAUUCCCUUGAUCGCGGACUUGUUCGACCAGCUUGGCAAAGCGCGGUACUUCACCAAACUCGACUUGCGCUCCGGGUACUACCAAGUGCGCAUCGCCAAGGGAGACGAACCAAAGACAGCGUGCACAACAAGGUACGGGUCUUUCGAAUUCCUUGUGAUGCCUUUUGGCCUUACUAAUGCACCCGCCACAUUUUGUACGCUCAUGAACAAGGUGCUCCAACCAUUUCUCGACCGCUUCGUGGUCGUGUACUUGGAUGACAUAGUGGUGUAUAGCACCACGCUCGAGGAUCAUGCCCAACACUUGCGACAAGCCCUCCAAGUACUUCGAGACAAUGAGCUAUUCCUCAAAUUGGAGAAGUGCUCGUUUGCCCAACGAGAAGUGGAGUUCCUUGGCCACAAGAUUGCGGGCGGGAAGCUCAUGAUGGAAAAUGCCAAAGUGAAGGCCAUUCUCAAAUGGGAACCUCCCUCGAAAGUGCCCGAGCUUCGCUCAUUCCUUGGGCUGGUGAACUACUACUGCCACUUCAUCAAAGGCUAUUCGGCCAAGGCAGCACCCUUGACGGAUAUCAGAACGUGGCAUUAGUUCGAAGAGUGCCAACGCGCAUUCGAGGAGUUGAAGAAGGCAAUUUCAGAAGAACCUGUCCUCGCUCUACCGGACCACACAAAGCCCUUCGAAGUCCAAACAGAUGCCUCAGAUUUUGCCAUAGGUGGAGUCCUUAUGCAAGAAGGCCACCCCAUAGCGUUCGAGAGUCGAAAGCUAAAUGAUACGGAGCGUCGCUACACGGUGUAAGAGAAGGAGAUGACAGCCAUCAUACAUUGCUUGCGUGUGUGGCGACAUUACUUGCUAGGCUCACACUUCACGAUUAUGACGGACAACGUGGUGACAAGCUACUUUCAAACUCUAAAGAAGUUGAGUCCGAAGCAAGCACGGUGGCAAGACUUCCUUGCGGAAUUCGACUAUUGGCUCGAGUACAAACCGGGGAAAGCCAAUGUCGUUGCGGACGCUCUAAGCCGCAAGGUGGAAUUGGCAACACUUAGCAUGAGCCAACCGAAGUUCGACCUUAUCUCACGCAUCAAGGAAGGCCUCCAACAAGAUCCGCUAGCAAAGGAUUUGCUGGAGAAGGUGCUCGAGGGAAAGACAAGGCGUUUUUGGCAAGAGGAAGGCAUCCUCCUCACCAAGGGAGAUAGGCUGUUCGUGCCAAGGUGAGGAAACUUGUGGAAGGAAGUUAUCAAGGAGUGCCACGACUUCAAGUGGGCUAGUCACCUAGGAAUCGAGCGCACCACCGCACUAGUUCAAGCCUCGUAUUUUUUGCCACACAUGAGGGACGACAUCGAGGCAUAUGUGCGAACUUGUCUUGUGUGCCAACAAGACAAGGUGGAUCAUCAACUUCCAGCGGGAUUAUUAGAGCCGCUAUCGCUAGCAACAAGACCAUGGGAAAGUGUCUCCAUGGACUUCAUCACAUCGCUGCCUAAGUCCGAAGGAUGCGGAAGUAUCAUGGUCGUUGUCGACCGAUACAACAAGUAUGCCACAUUUAUUGCCGUACCAAUCGAUUGCAAAGCGGAUGAGGCAUCUCGCCUAUUCGUCAAGCACAUUAUGAAGCUUUGGGGAGUUCCAAAGAACAUUGUGAGCGACCGAGACCCUUGGUUCACUGGGCGUUUCUGGACGGAGCUCUUCAAGAUGUUAGGGACCGAUCUCAAGUUCUCGACAAGCUUUCACUCACAAACGGAUGGGCAGACCGAGCGCAUUAAUGGCCUCCUCGAGAUGUACUUGAGGCAUUAUGUGAGCGCUCAUCAGCGAGAUUGGGCGAAGCUAAUCGACAUCGCCCAAUUUUCUUAUAACUUACAGCGAAGCAAGGCUACGGGCAAGAGUCCGUUCGAGAUCAUCAUGGGAUUUCAGCCCAUGACCCCCAACGCCAUAGCCUCGACUUACGGAAGGAAAAGCCCCGCGGCACACAAGCUCACCCGCGAAUGGCAUGAGGAAGCGAACACCACGCAAGCCUAUCUCGACAAAGCCGUGAGGAAAAUGAAGAAAUGGGCGGAUACAAGGAGACGACAUGUUGAGUAUAAGGAAGGUGAUCAAGUUAUGAUCAAGCUCCUACCCCAACAAUUCAAGAUGUUGCGGAAAGUCCACAAGGGGUUAGUGAGGCGCUACGAGGGACCCUUCCGAGUUGUUCGACGUGUGGGCAACGUCUCGUAUCAACUCCAACUUCCGCCAAGACUCAAGAUCCAUCCGGUCUUCCAUGUGAGUCUUCUCAAGCCAUAUCACGAAGACAUGGGAGACCCAAGUCGCGGAGAAUCGAGGCGCGCACCAACUGCCGUUGUCACCGCGUUCGACAAAGAUGUGGACUACAUCAUUGCGAACCGCGUGGUUUCGAGGAGGGGCGUGCCAGCACAUAGCGAGUACUUGGUGAAGUGGAAAAACCUCCCCGAGAGCGAAGCCACUUGGGAACGUGAAGACAAUUUGUGGCAAUUCGUUGAGCACAUCCAGAGGUUCAAGCACGAGAGCGCGAUGAGGACGCCGCGAGGUUAGGUGGGGGAGGAUGUUGCGGACAGCCCAAAUUCGUAGCCCAAUUUGCUCGCCAAGAGCCCAACACAAGGCCAAGAGUGCUAGCUUGGCCCGAUUCCGGAAAAUUCUAGGCAACUCUAGCACAUUGAGCUUUUAAAUACUCUAGAAUUCUCCAUAGAAUUCCAGCACAUGUAAAUAUCUAGGAAAUGGUAGAAUUCUCUAGAAUCUCUAGAGCUUGGCAAGCCUCCCCUAUAAAUAUGGGAUGGCAUUAGGCAUUUGUAUCCAACAAACACUACAACAAGCAUUGUAAGCAACUCAAGCAUUGUAAUUCUCUCUUUGUGCAAUACAAUUUCUCUUAUUCGGCUCCAUUGCUCUCUUCUCUAGUUCGAGAAGCUCUAGGCUUACUUAGCAACAUUCGGCAAAGUUGUCUAAGUGUCGCACGGGUUAGCUGCGCAAAAUACUCAUCUCGUGACAUUAGGGUAGAAGAAUGACGGAUAAUCUUUAGCUCAUUUAAGGAAAUCCUCUCUGAUCCUUUCAUUGCACAUUCCAAAACAACUCUACUACAACCAAGUUACCAAUUCUUUUUGUUAAGUCAUUGUUAUUUGUUAAAAAAAAAAAAAGUCUUCCUUGCAACAUUUUAUUGAAAGAUAUAACAUGAUCAUCCCUAUUAAUUCCCUUUUAGAUUUCUGUGAGUGAAUUUCAAAUUAUUGUAUUCAAAAAUAGAAGCAAAAGACCCACUUUACUUUCAAUUUCUGCAACAAGAUACCAAUUGAAGGACCAAAAAGUUGUAAACAAGCAAUUCAAUGGGUGGGCAUCUAGAAACUGCUAAAUAGCAUCAAAAUCAUACUAAAUUUACAGAAAGUACAAUAAUAAUGAAAGAAUGGUGAAGGAUACACCCAGACCUUAUCCGGUCAAGUUCUCUAUUGAAUAUAAUCAGUUUCUGGGCAGUAUUGAAGACAGCUUCUUUGUAAAGCUCUUCAACGACAAGCAUUUCUACAAGACGAAAGAAAAGCAAAAUUAAUUACCUUAAGGAAUGAAUAUCAAUAAGAAGACAAGGUGUAAGACUACCAUUGACAUUAAAAUAUGGAUAGGCGACUAGAAACAAUUCAUCUUCUGGCUUCACACGGUCUGCCAUUUUAACCUUCUCAGUGAAUCCAAAAUCCUCAAAGAAUGAAGGUUUUGUUAGAUAGUCCAACUUAAAUAAUGAUCCUUCAAAGACCGAUUUUCUUGCAUAUUUGACUUCAUUUGCCUCUGGGAAAAACUAAAAACCAAAUGACAGACCAAGAUCACGAAACGAAUCAUGAACAUAGAUAUCAGAUAAUCAGAAAUGGGCAUUAAACAGACUACUAACAAGUAGGAAAUGCAUACAGAAAACAUUAUUCAUACACCUUAUGCACAUGAAAUAUAUAUGCAGAGGGAUCCUCUUGUGAAUUUAGUUUAUAUCCUAAUAUGAGACAAUGAACAAUUGGAUGGCAUCUAAGGGCUAACAUUUGUUUGAUUAUUAUAUGAAAAAAAAAAACAAAACAGAGUUGAUUGAUGGCCUUUGAUGGAUUGCCUACACUCUUAAAGUGCAGAGAGCCUGAUUAAUUGCUUUACCUGCCCCCCCCCCCCACACACACUUGGUUUUAUUAUCUCUCUUUUCAAAUAUAUAAUCAUUGGCUGUCUUUCAUCCUGAUCCGGCUCUCCUUCCAGGCCCCAGCUGUGUUUUCUUCAAUUCAGUGAAACAUUCACAUUCAGGUAAGAAUAAACUUGUCCUUCCUCAAAAAUCAGCUUCUCACCAUGAAGCUUUCUUUUUUAAACCAAUUACUAGUCUAGCAUAACGCAUCUAAUUGAAGACAACUCAGAAUUGAAAAAGCCAUACUUUAAUGUCUGUUGUUGGGACCUCAAGACCAGGAACAAAAAGCUUCUUUCUAACAGUUGGAUUAACAAGUAGAAAUAGCUUUUUUUCUGAAGGACCCAACAUUGCAUUGAAAAAUUCAACAAAAGGAAUGGCAUCAUAUUUAGUCCUGCUAGAAUUUUGUGCACUUAACACAAUGGUUAAUAAUUGGCCCAGCGGACACUUUGUCGAACUAUUGGCAACCUUGACUGUGGAAAUGCAUAUUUCAAAUGUUGGCAGGCUCUAGCUUCUUGAUGUACUGUUGAUAGAAAUGCCUAUUUCAAAAGUUGGCAGGCUCAAACUGCCGAGACUUUGGUUUCUUGCAUUUCAAACCCACAAAUAAAACUUUGGCAGAACCCCAGAAAGAGCUACACCUCCCAAAUUUGAUGACAAAUGAAGAGACCAUGCCUAGUGCUUAGUUCGGCAAAUGAGUAAGUUUGAAAGAAAUUAAGGGAAACCUUUCCCACAGAGAGUCAUAUUGAAGGUUACAAUUUGAAGACUUUGUCCCCUGUCGCCCACAACCUUCUUUGAUCUCUUUGCUUAGUCAUAAAUAAUCAAACAUAUGUUAGUCGUUGGAUGCAAUCCACUCACUGACAUCUCAUGUCCACAAUCAAUCAACCAUAUUUUAAUAGAAAUGAAAACAUUUUAAUUAAAAAAGAAUGAGAUAGGAACAAAAUGAAACUUGGCAGACAUGGGUCUAUGAGAUUUUAAAGAUGCUUGGUGAAAGUCGUAUUCAAGAGUUCAACAGUCAGUUCUAUCACCUAUGGCAAAGUAACCACCAUAACUAAAGCAAUUACAAAACAUCAAGAAGCUUGAACUUGGCAAGAGGUCUCAUUAACAGUAUACCUCAGAAAUUAAGACAGACUUAAAGUACAAGCUUUUGGAUUUAUUUAAACACUGAAAAUAAUAUGGGUAGAAGCUCCUAUGGUCACAGCAAACAAUUACAAAGCACAAAACCCAAAAAAUAGAUAUGCAAAAAGCUGCAAAAGAACAUUAUUAGCAAUUGACAUCUGCUUUGCUCAGACAAAGGUUCUCAUAACAAAGGACUUAGUGAUUAUCUUUCAUAUGUUUAUGUUAAGGGGAAAAAGGAAGUUUGUUUUAGUCAAUCUCAUGUCUAAUGGCAUUCAUAAGGAGCCCAAAAAUAAAAGAAAAAAUAAAGAGUUAGUAGGUGUUUCUCGCAGUAUAAAGAAAAUUUAUCAUCCAUGAAAAACUUAGUAUGGAAAAAGCUAACUCAUUUAUCUGCCAAUGGAGAAAAACUUGUUGUCCACCCACUAAGGACCCACCAUUGGGAGAUGGAUCCCAUGGAUGGGAACCACAAAUAUUUUAUUCUAAAUGAAAUGGGUAUUGUACCAUAUCAUUUAAUUUGUAGAUUCCACUGAUGGAACUCAUCAAACUUUUCAAAUGGUAGGUCCUUCAUGGGUAGGCGCAUCACUUCAGCAUCCUUCUCCACCGAUGACUAAAUCUGGACUCAUUUAAAAAGAAUACAAAGCAAAACUAAUUGACACAAAUUGCAUAGAGGUCUAGGAGCCAAAUCAAUGUUGUUAACUCAUCCAAUUAAUACAUUCUCUUAGAGGUCAUACCUUGGUAACUCAUUUCAAAAGAAAUUAAAAGAAAAACGACUGCACAAAUUGUACUGAGCUCAAGAAGACCUGUUCAAGGUGUUCACUUGUCCAACUAAUAAAAGUCAUCAAGGAUUGUAUCGGGGACUUGGGACCAAUCCUGCCUUAACUAGAGAAAGGGAAUUUAGGAUGAAGAAGAUAACCUCUUCUCCUAGAGCCCUUUUGGACAAAAAUGAAUUCCUACUAAUUCUGAGAAUAAAACCAUAGACAUCUAACUUCUGAUAUCUAGUCAAUCUGGUAAAAUCUUGUCAGUUGCACUUGGGGCAGAAAUUAGUUCCACCUUGGUUUACAGGACAGAAAUUCGUCAUAUGCAUGUAUUUAUUUAUGUUUUAUACACAAACGCAUACAUGUACACACAAACACUACCUUCACUUUGAAGAAAAGAUUAAAAUAACACUGCUCACAUACACAAUACUUACUAUUCUAGUUCGUGUAACUUUCUCUGGAGUCACAAACAGGUCACAGAAUUCACGUAUUAACCGCAUACUUCCAGUCAUUUCUAUUCCUCCUUCACCAUCACCUGUCCCACAAUUACAAAAAGUGAGAGGUAAUAACCAACAUAUUUGGGUUGCUCUUCGGUAAGGGGUGGGAGGUAAGGGUUAGUUGUGGAGGGCACCUGGUACAGAAUCAAGGCCAGCUGUUGGGAAUUCGAUCUCUUGUAACAUAUACUUGUUCAUCAUAAACUAUAUACUUAUUCUGCAGUCGAUGUGUGCAUAUAGCUCUUCAAUUAUCCAGUAAUAACUCACCAUCAACUUCCUACCAUCCUUCAUGGCUAAUUCAGCAGCCAUUUUUGCCUGUUUAAAGGUCAAAAGCCCAAACUAAGCAGAUGCUCCUACUCCGAUACUUAUUAUCUAACUACUACAGAACAGAUGAUACACAUCAAGUUGUAUCAAGAGAGACACCAAGUUGUGUUUUCCAAGAGGUUCCAAAGAGGAUCUGUUUCUUUGUGUAAUUUUUAGACUGCUUUGACAACUCAUCUUAAAGGUGCCACUCAUCCAAUAUGAUGUGGUGACAGUAGUUUAGAGUUUUAAACUAAAUGCAGAGCUAAUAGUAUUUUGGAAAUAUAAUCAUCCUAAGAUACUAUAACACAAGGAUUCUUACACAAAAACAACAACUUCGAUGUAGAGAGAAGAUGAUUUCACAAAAGCAGAUGUUUUGAUUUAAGUCUCCAAAACCCCCACCAAGAAAAUGUUCAACGGAUAUAGAAAUAUGAUCCACAUAUCUGUAACUUAAACUGUAAAAGUUGUUGAUGUUGUUCUAAAAUUGCCACAAUCUAUCUACCCCAUGAAUGUUUUUGGAUAAAACAAGAAGCAGGACCCAAUGCCUGUUUUCUAAUAGCUUCAAAAAGGCCAAAUUGGUUUUGAAAUGUCUCCAGCUUUUCAUUUAACAAGUUUAAGGAUCCCUUCGGCAUUGCAAUUGGGGAGCUCAGAUAUAUAAAAGUGCCUGGUAAACUCUUACAGCCGCAGCUUUUGAGCAAAAAUAAUUUUAUCUCAUAAUUGUUUGACUAAAAACAUAUAUCACCUUUUAUCAGUUUUGUAAAAAAUAUUAUUUAUAAGUCAUAUUUACCAAACACAGUCAACUUUUACAUCACAACUAUAGCUUUUUUUUUUUUUUCACCACACAUAUAUAGUUAAAAACUACAAGAACUCGAUAUCAAACAGAUCCUAAAGCGUAAUCUAAUAAAAAGGUAAAUAAACAAAUGCAGAAGCCAGCGUACUUGAUCAAGAAGCUCUGAAUAGUCACUGGGAAAGGGAAUAUCGACGUUAAUGGGGUUAUUGCCAUCGCUUGAAACCGAAUUGGUGAGACAAUUGCGUUUUCUUCUGUACGGCGAAAAUGUGACGAUUGAGUAACAACUUAUAUCGAACUUUAGGUUAAAAUAAUUACUAUGGAAUAUUGGAAUACGAGAUUAUUAGCAUUUGAGUGCUUGAGUGGGAAUCAAGAAAACUUAAAAUAGUUCAGUUAACCCAAAAAGAAAAAGGGGGGAAAAAACCCAUGGAAAGUGCGAUGAAUGUAAAUCCACUUUAAAACUUUAAUCAUAAAUGGUUAACUAAUUUUAAGUAAUUUGGAUUAACUUGACAAAUUGAAAAACCAUGCACUAGAGGAAAAUGUUCAUAUUUGGAGGUCCGAAUUUAUCUACCAUUCAACCCUAUUUUCAGCUCCUGCAUGGAGGAUAAGUUAGUUUGGUGAAUCUACCACUAGCUAAUUAGCUAAUUUUUUUUUUUGAAGAUAGCUAAUUAGCUAAUUAAGAGAGCAUUAACGUUGAUAAUUUGUCCUAUCUAAAAUGAAAAGUAAGAAAUUUACACUAGUAAAUUUUACACAAUCACAGUUGGAAUUUCAAAGAAACAAAAACGGAUCAAUAGUGCAAUUGUAAUUCAAAUUUGCACUUUAGGCCACACGUUCGGCCCAGUUCUUGUAUUAACACUUCAAUACUUGACAUGUGGCCAUUUUUUUAUUCGUCCACGUUCUUUGCAUUCUCAUGGUAGUACUCGAACAAGACAAAAUUUCACGAAUAUUCAGUUGAAUUGUUGUUGAAACAUGUAUAAGAAAUCAAAUCUCGUUAGUUUUGAAUAUUACCAGCAACUCAAAUUAUUUUAACCUAAAGUUCAAUAUAAGUUGUUGUUGGGGGUUAACGGCAUUUUGAACCACAAAGUAAAGAGAGAGAGAGAAGAAACGCUCCCCUUUCAAAUACCGUGCUCUUUUGUACCUGGGAAUUUAAUAAUUCAUGCGAAUAAAAAAAUUAUAAAUUUAGUAAAUUAUUUAUUAAAAAAUAUUGAGAGGUUGUGCAUUAUUUUAUUAGUAAUGACAUAGUAAUCAUCAAAUUAGUUGAAUUAAAAUAGUUGUUGACUCACGUAAUUUAUUUUUAUUAUUUUUAAAAAAAAUGGUCUGCGUUAAUAAGGUUAAGGGUGACAACUGGGAUCAAUAUACAGUUUAUUCGGGUGCUUAAAACCUAAUAAAUAUCCACUAACUCAUAUAUAGUUAAAAUAUAAUUAUUUUUAAAUAAAAAAUUUAAUAUAAACUAAACAAAUUGAUCGGAUUUUGUUUCUCAAGGUACAUCAUUAGAACGUUACUUUUAAUUGAACAAAAGCACACAUAACUAGCACAUUCGCCACAAAAGCCUCGGCUUAGUGGUCGGCUUAUUAAUUAUCCUAAUAAAAUCAUGGUCAUAAAUUUGAGUCCCCGUAGGUUAGGUAGCUUUUUUAGACUACACUAUAAAUACAUGUAUUUUACUUCUCGCGGGUAUUGCUUCUAGUAGUUAUCCAUCCGAGUAUAGAGCUUUGUAGCUUUCUUCAUGACCUUCCCCAAUUUCAAUGCUUGUUAAACAAUCUCCACAGAAAAUGUGAUAGAAAUGUCCCGCUGCCACUUGUUGUGCAUAGUCCAAAUCUGCAAUUUAAGGUCAUCAUUUCAUUUAAUUUUCCGUUAUAUAUAUUCAUCUUUCUUAGAGGCCAAGAAGUCUUCGACAGAAAUGUGAUCUUUUUCUAGUAGCCUCCCGGUGAUGAGCUUCUCCCAAGUUUCAAUUAAUUCGCUUUGAGUGAGGAUAUUUUCUGGUGGCCUCAAAUACAAUGUUUUGUUCAGCACUCGAGGAGCAUCUAUUCUCUUAAUAGUAUAUAUGGCAACAUCAUCGAUAUGCACCAUAGAAAAAAAGAUAAUCAUUUUGUUUAAUAUGAACAUAAAUUCUUACAGUCUAACUCAUAUUAUAGUGAACGAUGUUGUUGUGUGGUGCGUGCAUGCACUAUCUAUAGUUUUAAUAUUAUUAAUAAAGAGUUAAAAGUCUUGAUUUAAUUUUAAAUUGUCAUUCCUCUAACUUCACCGUCUUCAUAGAUCCAGACUUUAUCUUUUGAAGGGCGAGGGUAGCUAUAUUUGAGAGAGGUGUCCGGGGAACCAACCAGCAAAAAACAGCUAGCAGAAACAUAAAUGACAGGGAUUUGAGCAGCCUUGAUUGCCCUUCUCACACAUGUGCUCUGCGUUCUCCCUCUCGCUCUCACUCACUCACGCCCAAAUCUCACCUCACUCACGCCCAAAUCUCACCUCACUCACGCAUCUCUCCUUCUGACCGGUGGUUUUCUCUCUCUCGCCGUGGGUCUCUAGGCUGGCAGGGAUUUCUCGACUUGACUACUAAAACAUAAUCCAAAAACUACUAAGAGAUGUAUAUAUUACUCUGAUAUACACAAUAUGAAGAAACUGCAGUUAUAUUUCAAAUAUUAUAUGAAGGAAGAGGCUGUAUGGAUUAUCCAAAGGUGCUGAAAUUAAGAGACCCACACCAACCGACAGACCCCCGGUGAUAGAGAGAAAGUCGACCGUGAGAUGCAUUCAAGACGGGGGAAGAGUGAGAGAGAAAACUGCCCGGUCAGAAAGAGAGAUGCAUGAUUGAGGUGAGAGAUUUGGGCGUGAAUGAGUGAGGAGUGAGGGAGAGGGUGCCGCGUGUGUGGGAUGCGUACAGUGACAAUUUAUACUUACAUCAAAACGCCGAGUUCGGUGCCAUGUGUAGGGCUAACUGUGGUUUGAAUCUCACUUUGGUAACGGAAAUGACUUUGCAAUUGACAGUUUUUGUCAAAAGUUCGCACUGCAUGAAACUAGUGUUAAUAUAAUUUAAAAAAUUAAUUUCAGUAUUAAUUUUUAAAAUGUUAAUUAUUAUAUUUAUUUUAAUAAUAUAUUUAUAUUUAUAAUAAAAAUUUUAGUUAAAUAUUUGUGUUAAAUAGAAUUUAUAAUUAAUAUAAUAUAUCUUAGGUAUUAAUUAUUAUAAUUAUUCUAUAUGCUAUUGAAAAUCAUUUAAAUUUUUAGAUGUUUAUUUUCAUACUAAGUUUCUAUUUAUUUUAAAAUUUAGUUUAAUAUAAUAUAAGCAAGUAAAGUAUUAAAAUAUUUUUUAGUAUUUUUAAAAUAUUAAAAUUAUUUUAAAAUAUAAGUCAAUUUUUUAAGUUAAUAGAACUAAUAUUUACAGUUUAUUUGAUGGCCUCAACAAGCUAAAGCAGCAUCAAAAUUAUGUGGCUCCUUAUUUUAUUUUUUCCCUUUCAAAAAGGGAAAAGGAUAAGUUUGGGAGAAUGUUUAUAUUUUUAAUAAAUUCUUUUUUAUUAUAAUACUUUUUGUCUUUAUUAAUUUAAAAAUAUUGACUCUUAUAUUUUAAAAAAUAUAAAUAUAAUAUUAUAAUAAAAUAUAACAAUAUAUAUCAAAUAUUUAAAAAAAAUUUAUAAUUUUAUAUUAUAUUAAAAUAAAUUUUUAAUAAAUAAAAAUAAUCUAUUAAAAUAAAGUACAAAAAUUUAAAUUAUUUUCAUUAUCAUCUAAAAUAAAUUUACUAUUAUUAAUGCAUGAAAUAUAUUAUAGUAAUUGUAAAUUUCAUUUAACUCAAAGAUUUAUUUAGAAUGUUUAUAAUAAGUCCAAAUAUAUUAUUAAAAUAAUUAUAAUAAUUUACAUUUUAAAAAUUAAUACUGAUAUUAAUUUUUAAAUUAUAUUACUCUACCAGAAAAAUUAAACUAUUAAAUUAUAUCAAUAUUUAUUAAAAAAAUUGAAAUUAAUUCUUGUUAUAUUUUUAAUUGGAAUUUUUUCAUGUGAUAUAACCACAAUUGCUACAUUUUUUCCCCUGAAUAAAGAUGGAGUUAUAAAUUAUUUGUAUAAGUGUCUGUGUGGAAACUAAUGUGACAUGAAAGUAAUAGUUGAAUAACAAUAAUGGGGCUUUAGGCAAUUUUUUCAUGAGAUUUUCUUGCGAUUUCAACACUUAAACAGACUUGUCCUUCAUCCCAAUUUAUUUACCCCAUUUGGGCCCGUUAUGACAUAGACAUAUUCUUGUGGAAUGAAAAACUUCAUGAGAAGAAAUUGUUUUAUUAUAAUAGAAAAAAGUGGUCCAUAAGUCUAUUCAUUACUUUUUUUAUUCAAUAUAAAUGGCUAACUUUAAAAAUGGUAAAAAUCACAUAACGCGCAAGCGAAAUCUAAGAUUUAUAUUUUUUAAUACUCUCCAAGUCUCUCUUUCUCUUUUUCUUUUUUUAAAUAAAUGUCAAUAUAAAAUUAGAAAAAUUUUAGAUAUAAAAUUUGGCGAUGACCAAACAAAAAUUGUAGAGGAAACCUUGAUAUCAUUGAAAUACUGAUCAUAGACACUACAGUAUAAAUAACUUAUUGUGAUCCACUCAACUUGUAACACUUUAAUCCAUAUUCUAAAAUUUUCAUGUUUGUUAGGAUUUUUAUUAUUGAUACUACUGUAUCAAUAAAAUUAUAAUUUAUUCAUAUGGAAUGAAAACAUCAAGAAAGGACCUCUGAUUUUUAUUAUAACAGAAAAAAAUGGUCCAUAAGUCUAUUAAUUAUUUUAUUUAUUCAAUACAAAUGUCCAACUUUAAAAAUGGUAAAAAUCACACAAUGCACAAGUAAAAUAUUACAAUUACAUUUUUUAACUCUCUUUGAGUCUCUCUCUCUCUCUUUAAAAAAUAAACCUCACUAUAAAAUUAGAAAAAUUUUAGACAUAAAAUUUGACAAUCACCAAACAGAAAACAUAGGGAAAUGAAAAUGGAGGAGCCCUAUUUUCAUUAGAAUAUUGAUCAUAGAUACUAUAAUGUAAAUGAUUUGUUGUGGUUCAUUCAACUUGUCACACUCUAAGCCAUUUUCUAAAAUUUGUAAGGUUUAUAGUAUUUUUAUUAUUGCCAUCAUUGUAUCAAUAAUAUUAUAAAUUAUAUAUUCUAUUGUAAUGAAAAUUUGUGUAAUCUUAGGUAUUUAUUAUAUUAAAUUGUGUGGAUUAAUUAAGAAUAUUUUUGGAGACAAAAGAAGUGUGUGUACGUAGGAUUAAUGAUAAAAAAUUUCUAAAUAAAGAUGAUUGCUUCAUUGACAAGCACAUAUUUAUAUUCCUCUAUUAAUAUUUGGGUUGUAAACUCUAUAAUAAAGUUGGUUGGUGUGAGUGGUUCGGCACUCUCACUCCUUAAGAAAGAUCAGGGGUUCAAGCCUCGCUCUCGUAUGGAGUCACCACUUUGGCCAGCACUUUACCUCUUACGGGCCGACCCGAUGCGAGCAUGAAUUAGUAUGAGUUGUGGUACGGGCUUAAAGGUGCCUCCCAUAGUUUGGGCCCACUUAGGAUCACCUCGUGGUUCAAACAAAAAAAAAGUGAAUAUAUUGUGGUAAGCGAUGUGGGCAAUAUCGGUUGCGAAAUAUUGAGAGAUCAUUAAUGCAUAUAAUUAUUGAAGAUGCAUAUAGAGGGAAGAGUGUAGAUCUGGCUGUAACAAUUAUGAAGCUUUCCCCAAGUAUACUCAUGCUUCCUUAAUUGUUCCGAAGUAUUUUUCAUAGUGUGCAGAUUUACUUUAUGGUGUCUUAAUUCGUCUUAAAUGAUUACUUUAGUUGUUUUGGGAUUUAAUGUCAUUUAUUGUGUUAAUUUUAAACAAUAGAAAAAAUAAGUAAUGGUAACGAAAGACUAAUUUGUGAUAUUGAAGCAUACGGGCUUAACUCAAUCCAAAAAUUAGUAAGUUAGCUCAAGAGUUAAGAGUUGUCCAAAUCUUAUAUGCUGAAUCCAAGUUUAAUACACAAUUGAUGCGGGAUGUUAUUCCUAACACCUUCCAUCAUGCGUAGGAUUGGCAAAAAAAUUCGGGUCAGUCCCACCUAAACCUGCAGGCUUUAUGCAUGGCUCGCAUGAUGAAGUUACGGAUAUUAACCUAAAAAUUUGAAACUUACUAUGAAUGGCCUUGCUUAAAGACUUUUGCAACUUUAAUUUAUAACAAGUAUGUAUAUAUACACACACAUAAGCUUAGAUUGCAUUUGGAUGGCUUUUUUAAUCAAUUCAAACAAUUUGAAAUUUAUCGGAUUAAUCUGAAUCUUAUCUGUAUCCGAUUUUGUCCGCCCCUACUAUUUAUAAGCCCAGGUGACUCUCUUUUACUAAUUAAUAAGAGAAUUUUUGACCUUAUAUCCUUGCUGUGGUGUUAGACUGUUGGUCAUUUUGAUUGUUUCCUACCUUCCAUUUACGCCAGCUAUAACAUUGUAUUAUCACCAUUUUAGCCAUUUAAAUGAAAUUUUAUUUUUGUCAAAAAUAAAAUGACACCCUUAAAAUUAAAAAAGAAAUAGUUAUGUAGACCUCAAAUUUUUAAUAAAGAAUGCCAAUACCCCUUUUAACUACAAGAUUCUUAGUAGAUGAUAACUAAAAAAAUUAACUUCAAAAAUUUUCACUAAAUGUAAAUCUGAUUGAAAUAGUUUAAAUUUUUCUAGUAGACUAAUAUAUAUAACUUAAAUAAUUAAUUUCAUUAUUAAUUUUUAAAAUGUUAACUAAUAUAUUUUUAAUUUAUUAUAAAAAUUUUAAAUAAAUUCUUGGAUUAGAUAGAUUUUACAAUUAAUGUAAUACUGUUGAUUUAUUAAUAAUAUUAAAAUUAUUUUAUAUGAUAUUCAAAAUAAUUUAAACUUUGAUAUAUUUAUUUUAAUAGUAUGUCUAUUUAUUAUAAUUUGGUUUAAUAUAAUACGGGAUUGCAAAAUAUUAAAAUAUUUUUCAAUAUCAAAUUAUUUUAAUAUGUAUAUAUCAUUACAUUUAUUUCAAUAUCGCAUUUAUAUUUAUUAUAAGAUAUAAAAUUAAAGAGUAUUGCAAUAAAGUAAAAAAAGAAAAAAAAAAGUCUUAUUAUCCCUUAUUCACGAUAUGAGGUUCUAUAAAAUUAUUUCCCCAAACGGGUGUCCUUUUCUUAUUUUCAAAAGAAAAACUAAAGUAAGAAUAAGUCCAUGGGUUUCAAAAGACUUAUAGUCCUAUCCCGGAACCUACAUUAUCUGCCACUAUGACUAAUGACAAAUUUUUGGUGGGAUAUAGGAAAAUUGUCAAAAGUUCAUGCUGCGUGAGAGUCUUUGGUGGGAUGUGGAAGGAUUGUCAAAAGAUCACACCACGUGACAUAACCACAAUUGCUACAGUUUUUUUUUUUUAAAAUAUUGAUGGGAGUUAUAAAUUAUUUAUAUAAAUUUGCGUAGACUGAUGUAACAUAAAAGAAGUAGCUGAAUAACAAUAUUUGGUGCUUUAGGUAAUUUUCAGAUGGGCCUUUCUUUUAUUUAGCGACUUUAGUGCUUAAACAAACUUGUGCUCGAUCUUAAUUUAAGCCUAUGAUGACAUAAACAUAUUCUUUUGUGACGAAAACAUCAAGAGAAGACAUCUCAUGUUUUAUUAUAACAGAAAAGAAGUGGUCCAAACGUCUAUUCAUUAUUUUAUUUAUUCAAUAUAAAUGGCCAACUUUAAAAAUCACACAACGCUCAAGUGAAAAUUUAGAAUUACAUUUUUUAAUACUCUCGGAGUCUUUCUCUCGUGCCCCCUUUUUUUCUAAAAAAAUAAACCUUAGUGUAAAAUUAGAAGAAUUUUAGAUAUAAAAUUUAACAAUCGCUAAACAGAAAAGCAGCGGAUUGAAAAUAGAGGAGCUCUGUUAUCAUUGGAAUAUUGAUUAUAGAUAAUAGGGUAUUUUUUAAUUGAGUCCUCAUUAUUUCUAGAAAAAAAUUCAGAGACCAGAAAUUUACUAAAUGAAUUAAUUAAAUCCUUUCAAGUACAAAUUAAUAUCAUUCAAGUCCAUAACUUAACUCUUCAGUUAGAAAUAUUAACAACGUUGAGGACAUUUUAGUAAAAGAACAAUUGAACCCUUCCUCAUUCUUUUAUUUUUGACAGGUGGCAAUAGUUUGCUUACAGGUGGCAAUAGUUUAAAGCAAAGUCAAUUCACCUAACCAAGUUAAAGUUCUUUCAAGCGGAAAAAAAAAAAACCUCUAGAAGAAACUGCCGUAUUCUUCGUGUGAGAGGAGGGAUUGAGAGAACGUGGGAUGGCGUCAAAAAUGUUAUAUAAAUAUACUGUAAUUUUGACCAAAGCUUUGUUAGCAUUGGUUGAGUUCAAGUAUUGGAGAGAAGCCGAGCUUAAAGGUUAGUAACUCUAAUUUUUAAGUGAUUUUUGCAAGUAUUUUCUGAUAAAAUUGUUUCCAUAUUUAGUGAUCUUUGUGAAAAAUUAUGUUUUUCAAGUCUAUUUUUCUAAAUGACAAACUAUGUUUAAUUAUUGGUGGAUUUUUUUAUUGAAUGUUGUAUUUUGUUAAUAUACUUUUUUUAAUUUGCUCUUUAUAUAAUAAUUAGACCAAAUACACCAUAUUUAUAUAUGUAUUUAUUGAACUUAUUUUGCCUAUUUUAUAGGCUUUCUUGAGUUGUUGUAUAUGUACAAUAUUUCAUUUCAACCAAUUGGUAUCGUUAUAUUAAUAAGAUUGAAUUCAUUGUAUUUGCUUUUUUGUUCAUGUAAAAUUGAAUUCUAUGUGUUAUUAUGAGUGGUAAUUUUUAUAUAUAUUAGACUAAAUUCUCUAUAGUUGUUGGGUUAUUUUUUCUUUUCAGUUUUUAUUUUUAUAUGUAUUAGAUUGAAUUUUCUUUUAUACUUUUUUUAAUCGAAUUACAUGUAUAUUUCAUUUAGGUUGAGUUUUUUAUUCUUUGCUAAAUAAAAUUGUAUUAGUUUAGCCAUUUUUUGAUGCAAUACUUUUUUGUUUUAAAAUUGAUGCAGGUAGUCAUGUUACCUUUUUUUUUGUUGGUUAAAAUUAAUGGGGCGGUGUAUGAGAUAGGAUAUAGGGACCCAGAGGAAUAUAAGAUUAUUAGGUUGUUUCAUGAAAUUCUAGAAGUCAUGGUUAAGUAUGGACACAAUGAAAUGGAUUUGAUUGAAAUUUUUGUUGUGUUGCCAUGGACUACAAGUAGGCAGAGGAAGCUAAUUUCAAAUGAUAGUGAAUUGUAUUCGGUUUUUGAGGAGUUUUUUUACUAAUAGUUGUCAUGUUAUUGAGUUUGAGGUGCACACUGGGUUAGGUGGUCAAUCAUGUCAUGAAAGUGUUGUAAUAGGAUCUGAAAAUCCUGUCAAUAUAGGUGUUAGUAUGGGUAGUGAUAAGUUUGAAAAACUUAGUGAGGAUGGCUUUAUCGGAGGGCACUUAUCUGAUGAAGAGAAUGGUCUCUUACAUAUGUAUGAAUCCAUUGUUGAUAAUGAGUGGAAACCAAAUCUAAAUGGUUCAGUUAGUCUAAAAGUAGGAAAUACCUUUGAAUCUGUUGCAUUAUUAAAAGAGGUUAUGGUGAAAUAUGCAAUCCAAGAGGGUUUUGAGUUAAAUAGGAUUAAAAAUGAUGGUGUUAGGUAUACUUGUUGUUGUGUUAAUCCAAAAUGCACUUGGAAACUUCAUGCUUCAUCGAUGGUUGAUGGGAUAACUUUUAAAAUUAGGUAUAUUAAAGGGAAACAUGAUUGCCAGAUUAAAUCAAUUAACAAAGAUGCAACAGCACCUUGGAUAGCUAAAGUUUGUGCUGGACUUAUUCAAACUAACCCAGGAGUUGGUGUAAAUGUCAUAAGAAGUGAGUUAAAAGAUAAACAUGGGAUUGAAUGUGACAAACAAAAACUAUACAGGGCAAAAAAAAUUGCAUUAGAAAACCUAGGUGCUGACCACAUUGCUUGCUAUGGAAAGCUUUUGAAAUAUGCUCACAUUCUAAUGAAAAUGAAUAGAGGUGCUUGUGUUAAGGUAAAGGUUAAAAGGCCAUUGUCAAAUAGCCCAGUUUUUCAAAGGUUUUUUUUGUCAUUUCCUGCACUUAAAGUGGGGUACCUAACUGGGUGUAGACCUUUCAUAGGAUUGGAUGGGUGUCACUUGAAGGGGCCAUACAGGGGAGUAUUGUUAUCUGCUGUUGCAUUAGAUGAUGAUAGUGGAAUUUUUCCAUUGGCUUUUUGCAUAUGUGAGGUAGAGAACUAUGAUAGUUGGAGUUAUUUUUUAUCUUUGCUGUAUGAAUUCAUUGGGGCUGAUGAUCAUAGGUCUGUAACUAUUAUUAGUGAUAGACAAAAAGGUCUUUUAUGGGGAUUGGAAAAAUAUUGGCCUAAUGCUAGUACUAGAUAUUGUGCUAGGCAUAUCUUUGCCAAUUUGAAGUGUAAGUUUCCUGGUUUGAAUGUCAUGGGGUUAUUUUGGAAAGCUUGUAGGGCUGCAAAUCAGUAUGACUUUGAGAGGGCAAUGAGUCAAAUUAGGGCUAAAGACCAAAAUUGUUAUGAAUGGUUGAGAAAAAUACCACCUGCACAGUGGUCUAGAAGCGGGUUUGAUCAUCAUGUGAAAUCUGACCAUGUUACAAACAACAUGACUGAAUCUUUUAAUAAGUGGGUGGAUGAGGUUAGGGAUAAGCCUGUCCUAACCAUUCUUGAGCAUAUUCGUAGACAACUAAUGGUGAGAAUGUUGAAAAAAUAUCAGCUAGGUGAAACUUGGCAAGACCAUUUGACCCCAUAUGCUAGAGAAAGACUAAAUCAAUCCUCAAAUGAGGCAAGGAGAAUUAAGGUCUUUGGAGGUAGAGGGGAGCUGUUUGAAUGUUGUCAAGCUGGCUAUAGAAACAUCCUGGUACAUAUUACAGAUGGUACAUGUGAAUGUGGGAUGUGGCAAGUUAGUGGAGUGCCUUGCAAACAUGCAGUAGCUGCUAUUCUUCAUAAAGGAGGGCAACCUGAAAAUUAUGUGCAUCAUUAUCUGACCAAGGAAUCUUUUAUGAUGACAUACAUGGGGACUAUAAAUCCUAUUCCUGAUGAGUGUGCUUGGCCUGAAGUGGAAGCUGAACCUUCCCCUGAUGUUGUGGUGCCUGUGAAGGUUGGACCACCUGACAUAAAGGCUCCAGUUGGUAGACCGAAAAAGAAAAGAACAAAAGAACCUGGUGAGACCAAACUAACUAGUAAAAGGUUUACUAUCAAAUGUAGUGCUUGCAGAUGUCUUGGGCACAACAAAAGGGGUUGCCCUAAUUUUCCAAAAACCACAAGAACUAUAGAGGUAUAACAUAAGAGUCAUUUUUGUUUUUUAAAUUUCAUUUGGUGAAGCUAACAAAUAUUGAUCUUGAUGUUGUGCAGGGAAGCAAUAGGACUUCAUCAAGUGCACAGGUUUAAUUUAAUUAUACAAUUUUAAUUCAAAAGGAUUUUUUUUUCUUUUGCACUAGAUAUUGCUUAAAACUUGGUGAUAUUGGUUGUGUGCAACGAAGAAAUAAGGCUUAAUCAAGUGGACAUGUUUAAUCUAGUUCUGAAAAUUUAAUUCUAAAGGAUUUUUUUCGUUCUUUUUCAUUAAAUUGCUUAAAACUUGGUGAUUUUUUUUGUGCGCAGGCAAGCGAUAUCACUUCAUCAACUGCACAGGUCUGAUUUUGUAAUUGAAUCUCCUUAUAUAUGUUUUGUUAUGUUAUCAAAUGGAUUAAUAACUUGGUACUAUAUAUGUUUGAUUUGAUCAUGGAAUUAUAUUGAAUAGAUUGAUUCUUUUUUUUUUAUUAAAUGAAAUUGAUGUCUUUUUUUUUUUCUUUUUGGACAGCAUGGAACUAACCCACAAUCUCAAGAAGUAGAUGUCAAUGAUCAAUCAAUUGGCAAUAGUUCUGAACAAGCUAGUUAGGCUUCAAUCAAUGUCACUCAACCAGUGGGGCUGUAUACACAACUAUUGUGGACUGUACUUCAACCUCAAAAUGAAGAAAUUAUCACUGUUAACAAGGAGUAGGAUAAUACAAUUUCACCUUGGGUUGACAUUUAAUUCUCCAUUAUAGAAUUUAGAAGACAAUUAACUAUUUUUUGUGUUUAAAUUUCAGUUUACCUUAGUAUUGUUAAGGUAUUUGUUAGUUUGAAUUUAAUUGACUUUCAUACUUUUAAUUUCAUUUUUAGACCGAAUGUUAUUGUGAUUUUUUUAAUAUUAUAUUCAAUACAUAUGUUAUUUAGUUUAACAAUUAUUAUAUUUUUAUAGAUGUGAUGAAAUUAUAUGGAUAGCAAAUUACAUUUUCAUGUAUAAUUCACUCAAAUUGAUAAAUAGGCUGUUAGAUUGAAAAAAAAAAGUCCAAGGUUAAAAUUGUACUUUAAAUCACUAAUAUGAUUAUAGGGGUAUACCUGUCUUUUAUGUUUAACUUAACAUUUUCACUAAUUUUUUUAACGGAAGAAUUGGGUUAAGGGCUUGAAUGACAUAAAUUUACAGUUGAAAGGAUUUAAUUGAUUCAUUUAGUAAACUUCUGGUCUCUGAAUUUUUUUCUAGAAAUAAUGAGGACUCAAUUAAAAAUUACCCUAGAUAAUAUAAUAACUUGUUGUGGUUCAUUGUAGCACUCUGAGCCAUAUUUUAAAAUUUACUGGUUUGUUAAUGCUUUUAUUAUUGACAUUAUUGUGUCAAUAUUAUUAUAAUUAAUUUAUUCAUUUUAUUGUAAUGAUAAUUUGUCUAGUCUUAGGUACUUAUUAUAUUAAAUUAUGUAAAUUAAUUGAGAAUACUUUUAGAGACAAAAGAAACACGUGUAUGUAGGAUUAAUAAGCGAAGAGUUGUAAAUGAUGGUGAUUGCUUCAUUCAGAGGCAUAUUAAAUAAUUAUGGAGAGUUGCUCUAUUUCGGAAGCAUAUAUUUAUACUUCCCUACCAGGAUUUGGGGUAAGCGAAGUGCUUUAUGUAUUGCAGUAAGGAAAUGUGGGCAAUAUCAGAGCCGAAAUAUUAAAAGAUCAUAACGCAUAUAAACAAUUAGUAUAUUCAAGACACAUAUAGAGGAAAGAGUGCAGAUCCGGCCGUAACUAUUAUGAGGAUUUCCUCAAGUAUUCUCAUGCUUCCUCAACUGUUCUGAACUAUAUAUUCUUCAUUGUGGGCUGUUUUGCUUAAAUACCAACACAAUGAUUCAAUACUUCAAAGGUCAAGGAAAUGUCAAAAUAUGAAAUGAAAAUACUUAAAUAGCCUUCUACCUAACAAAACUUAGUACUUCUAACUGCCUUCGCAGAGAAUCUAUAAAAUAAAAAAAAAAUCAUCCAGGAAAAGUUUCGUAACAGAAAAACCGUCUUUCAAAAAAUAAAAAUAGAAAAACCGACUCAUUUAUCUGCCAAUGAACCAGUCGGGACUCAUUUAAAAAAGAUUAAAAAGCAAAAGUAAAUGACACAAAUUGCAUAGAUAUCUCGGAGCCGCAUCAAAGGACAAAGGUGUUAAUUUGUCCAAGUAAUAAAUUCUCCUAGGUCAAAAGCAAUUAACGAUGAAAACUUUCUUCAUUAAGGGUCUGGCCUACGUAAAAAAAAAACAGAAAAACCACCCCAAGGUCAAAGCACAACCAUAAGUUUUGAGUUGCAGUUUUUAAAUUUUUUUUAUAAUAAAUCAACGUGUAUAAAAAAUAGAUAAUGAUUUUGAAUAAUCUUUUUGAUAAAUAUAGACAUAAAAUUUUAAAAUCACCAAACAGAAAAACAGGGAAUUAAAAGAGAGCCCUUGUUUCUCCUCUAUUUUGUUUGUUUGUCCUCUAUUUUAGCAGGGCAGCUAAAAGGGUUUGGAAGUUGACUGAAUUUUAUGAGGAUGUAAAGCAAUUAGCUCGGCAAGACAUGUUGAGUGUGCUGCAGGAUUUAACUGUGAAGAGAAAAAAGAAUGAGCUGGAGCUUGUUGUUGCGGUGUGCUGGGCCAUCUGGUACUCUAGGAAUCGUUUGGUGUUUGAAGGAAAGGAUGAAGAUCCAAAAAAUUCAGUGGCCAGAGCAAUUGCUAUGGUGGAAUCAUACAGGCGAAUAAAAGUUCCAAAUGAACAAAAUUCUCCAGGCCAUAGCAGAAUCAGUCAACUAGAAUGGGCAAAUCCUCCAAAGGGGUGUUAUAAAGUCAACGUUGAUGCUCCAAUCAAUGUUUCAAACCAAAAGGCAGGGUUGGGGGUAGUCAUUAGAAACUCUGUGGGUAAGGUUGUUGCUGCAGCAGUCCAAGGAACUCCAUAUAGGGGAGAUGUGGCGUGUAUGGAGGCUGAAGCUGUUCUGUUUGGUCUUCAGAGUGCCCAACAAGCAGCUGUUUCCCCAAUAAUUAUUGAGUCAGAUUCAAAGGAAGUGGUGGACCUAUCCUUAAAGAAAAAGAUCAGCAAGACUGAAAUUGAGUGGAAAAUUGCAGAAAUCCAAGCAAAUCUGGAAAAUCAGAAUGUGUCCUCGCUGUCAUAUGUCCCUAGAAACUGUAACUCUAUUGCUCAUUCUAUUGCAAAGAUAGCUCUAGGUUUUGAAAGUCAAGUCUUUUGGCUGGAAAACUUUCCAGAACAUAUCAGGUGUACUCUUGCUAAGUUCAUCAAUUGAAAAGCUUUACUUUUCUCAUCAAAAAAAAAAAAAUAGGGAAAUGAAAAGAUCGUAGGUGGAAAUUUUUUUUCUGCGUUGUAUCUUCUCAAUGCUGCAUGCAUUCAAAUUGUCAUAUUGCGAAAAUCCCUUUUCAAUGUUUCAAUUGCAAUGUCAUUGCCAUUAUUCAUAGUGGCAGACAAUGGACAUCACGGGACAUGGCUAGAAGUCUAUGUUACGGCUUCUGUAAGUAACAGCAGCCAAUGGGGAACUUCCACGGGUGCUAGAGGAGAGAGAAAGAGGUCCCAAUGCAAGGUGAUGGAAAUAGGGAUGGCAAUUGUACCCGCAAACCCGCAAACCCGCCCAAACCCACCCGCCAAAACCCGCCCGUUGCGGGUAAUUUUACCCGUUGCGGGCGGGUUUAGUAUUAUAAAUUAAAACCCGCACAUGGAUGCGGGUGGGUUUGGUAUUAACCUUAUAUCCGGUGGAUACCCGCAUGGAUAUCCACCAAACCCGCAAUAUUUUUUUUCAAAUAUUUUUAAUUUAAUUUAAAUAUAAAAAUGUAUAAAGAAAAUAAUGUCAUUAAUCAAAUUACCAAAUAGACAAAUGCUCAAAGUUGUGUAUGUGUGUAUGUGACCCAUCUCUUAUUCUAAAGUCAUAAGCUAAAGAAAACUAAAGGCAUUACCCUUCGAAUUAGUAUUUGAAAAUAUUAAUCUUAAUUAUUAUUAUAGGCAUUGUGUUGGAUGGGUGCUUAUGGUGGUGAAUGAAAUGAAUAUAUUCUCUUGGAUCUUGUUUUAAAUGAUAAUAUGAAAUGUAAUUAUUAUUUUUAGAUACUAGUUUGUGUUUUUUAAAUAGAUUUGUGUAAUUUAUACUUAAAUUUGAGAAUUUGUAUUGAAUUGAUGUGGAAAUUUUAAUUUUUCAUUGACAUUGUUUAAAUAUAAAAUUGAGUAUGCUAUAUGGAAUUUGAGGUUAUUAUUAUAAAUUUAUAUAUUAAAUAUUUGUGAUUUUAAAUACGGAAACCCGCAAAAAAUCCGCCGGAUACCAUUGCGGGUUUGGUAAUUGUUAAAACCCGCUGCGGGUGGGUUUUUUUAAAAAAAUUAAAACCCGCUGCGGAUUGCGGGUGGAUUUGGUGAUUUAAAUUUUGUGCGGGUUUGGGUUUGAUAAUGGCAAACCCGCUGCGGGCGGUGCCCAUUGCCAUCCCUAGAUGGAAAUGGGAAAGUUCAAAGCUGUUACUUUCAGCUUCUGCACCGUAGCCAUGUCCCACGGGACAAGGCUAGAAGUUAUCAUGACCAUAGACUUUUCUAAUUUAUUUUUUCCUUUCAAAAAGGGACAAGGAUAAGUUUGGGAGAAUGAUUAUAUUUUUAAUAAAAGAAUUCUUUUUUAUUAUAAUACUUUUUGUCUUUAUUAAUUUAAAAAUAUUAACUCUUAUAUUUUAAUAAAUAUAAUUAUAAUAUUAUAAUAACAUAUAACAAUAUAUACAAAUAUUUAAAAAAAAUUAAGAUUUUAUUAAAAUAAUUUUAUAAUAAAUACAAAUAUAUUAUUAAUAUAAUUAUAAUAAUUUUCAUUUUAAAAAGUAAUACUGAUAUUAAUUUUUUAAAUUAUAUUACUCUACUCAAAAAAUUAAACUAUUAAAUUAUAUUGAUAUUUCUUAAAAAAGUUGCAAUUAAUUCUUAUUAUAUUUUUAAUUGGAUUUUUUUCCCGAGAUAUAACAACAAUUGCUACAGUUUUUUCCCAAAUAAAGAUGGAGUUAUAAAUUAUUUGUAUAAGUGUCUGUGUGGAAACUAAUGUGACAUGAAAGUAAUGGUUGAAUAACAAUAAUGGGGCUUUAGGCAAUUUUUUUAUGAGGUCCUCUUGCAAUUUCAACACUUAAACAGACUUGUCCUUGAUCCCAAUUUAUUUACCCAUUUAGGCCCACGAUGAGAUAAAUAUAUUCCUGUGAGAUGAAAAACAUCAGGAGAAGAAAAUGUUUUAUUAUAAUAAAAAAAACAAGUGGUCCAUAAGUCUAUUUAUUACUUUUUUUAUUCAAUACAAAUGGCCAACUUAAAAAAUGAUAAAAAUCACAUAACGCACAAGCGAAAAUUUAGAUUUACAUUUUUUAGUUCUCUCCGUGUCUCUCUUUCUCUUUUUUUUUUAAAAAAAUAAAUAAAUGUCAGUGUAAAAUUAGAAAAAUUUUAGAUAUAAACUUUGGCGAUGACCAAACAAAAAUUGAAAUACUGAUCAUAGACACUACAAUAUAAAUAACUUGUUGUGAUCCACUCAACUUGUAACACUUUAAUCCAUACUCUAAAAUUUGUAUGUUUGUUAGGAAUUUUAUUAUUGACAUUAUUGUACCAAUAAAAUUAUACUUUAUUCAUAUGGAAAGAAAACAUCAAGAAAGGACCUCUGAUUUUUAUUAUAACAGAAAAAAGUGGUCCAUAAGCCUAUUUAUUAUUUUAUUUAUUCAAUACAAAUUGCCAACUUAAAAAAUGGUAAAAAUCACAAAAUGCACAAGUAAAAUUUUAGAAUUACAUUUUUUUAAUUCUCUUUGAGUCUCUGUUUCUCUCUUUAAAAAAUAAACCUCACUGUAAAAUUAGAAUAAUUUUAGACAUAAAAUUUGGCAAUCACCAAACAAAAAAUGUAGGGAAAUGAAAAUGGAGGAGCCCUAUUAUCAUUAGAAUAUUGAUCAUAGAUACUAUAAUGUAAAUGAUUUUUUGUGGUUCAUUCAACCUGUCACACUCUAAGCCAUUUUCUAAAAUUUGUAAGGUUUAUAGGAUUUUUAUUAUUGGCAUCAUUGUAUCAAUAAUAUUAUAAAUUAUAUAUUCUAUUGUAAUGAAAAUUUGUGUAAUCUUAGGUAUUUAUUGUAUUAAAUUGUGUGGAUUAAUUAAGAAUAUUUUUGGAGACAAAAGAAGUGUGUGUACGUAGGAUUAAUGAUAAAAAAUUUCUAAAUAAAGGUGAUUGCUUCAUUGACAAGUACAUAUUUAUAUUCUCUAUUAGUAUUUGGGUUGUAAACUUUGUUUAUAAAGUGAAUAUAUUGUGGUAAGCGAUGUGGGCAAUAUCGGAUGCAAAAUAUUGAGAGAUCAUUAACGCAUAUAUUUAUUGAAGACGCAUAUAGAGGAAAGAGUGUAGAUCCGGCUGUAACAAUUAUGAAGCUUUCCCCAAGUAUUCUCACGCUUCCUUAACUGUUCCAAAGUAUUUUUCAUAGUGUGCAGAUUUACUUUAUGGUGUCUUAAUCCGUCUAAAAUGAUUACUUUAGUUCUUUUGGGAUGAAAGGUCAUUUAUUGUGUUAGUAUUAAACAAUAGAAAAAAUAAGUAAUGGUAACGAAAGACUAAUUUGUGAUAUUGAAGUAUACAUGCUUAACUCAAUCCAAACUUAGUAAGUUAGCUCAAGAGUUAAGAGUUGUCCAAAUCUUAUAUACUGAACCCAAGUUCAAUACUCAAUUGAUGUAGGAUGUUAUUCAUAACACCGCCCGUCAUGCGUAGGAUUGGCAAAAAAACUCGAGUCAAUCCCACCUAGACCUGCAAGCUUUAUUUAUGGCCAGCAUAAUGAAGUUACAGAUAUUAACCUAAAAAUUUGAAACUUACUAUGAGUGGCCUUGGUUAAAGACUUUUGCAACUUUAAUUUAUAACAAGUAUGUACACACACACACACACACACACACACACAUGUUUAGAUUGCAUUUGGAUGACUUUUUUUUAUCAAUGCAAACAAUAUCAAAUUUAUCGGAUUAAUUUGAAUCUGAUCUAUAUCCGAUUUUGCCUACCCCUACUAUUUAUAAGCCCAAGUGACUCUCUUUUACUAAUUAAUAAGGGAAUUUUUUGACCUCAUGUCCUUGCUGUGGCAUUAGACUGUUGGUCAUUUUGAUUGUUUCCUACCUUCCAUUUACGCCAGCUGUAACAUUGUAUUAUUCACCAUUUUAGCCAUUUAAAUGAAAUUUUAUUUUUGUCAAAAAUAAAAUGACACCCUUAAAAUUAAAAAAAAAAUAGUUAUGUAGACCUCAAAUUUUUAAUAAAGAAUGUCAAUACCUCUUUUAACUACAAGAUUCGUAGUAGAUGAUAAAAAGAAAAUUAACCUCAAAUUUUUUCAUUAAAUGUAAAUCUGAUUGAAGUAGUUUAAAUUUUUCUAGUAGACUAAUAUAUAUAACUUAAAUAAUUAAUUUCAUUAUUAAUUUUUAAAAUGUUAACUAAUAUAUUUUUAAUUUAUUAUAAAAUUUUUAAAUAUUAUCCUUGGAUUAAAUAGAUUUUACAAUUAAUGUAAUACUUCUUAUUUUUUAAUAAUAUUAAAAUUAUUUUAUAUGAUAUUCAAAAUAAUUUAAACUUAUAUAUAUUAAUAUUAUGUCUAUUUAUUAUAAUAUGGUUUAAUAUUAUACGGGAUUGUAAAAUAUUAAAAUAUUCUUCAAUAUCAAAUUAUUUUAAUAUGUACAUAUCAUUACUUUUAUUUUAGUAUCGCAUUUAUAUUUAUUAUAAAUAUAAAAUUAAUAAAAUUAAAGAGUAUUGCAGUAAAGUAAAAAAAAAAAGUCUUAUUAUCCCUUAUUCAUGAUAUGAGAUUCUACAAAAUUAUUUCCCGAAACGGGUGUCCUUUUCUCAUUUUCAAAAGAAAAAAUAAAGUAAGAAUAAGUCCAUGGGUUUCAAAAACUUCUAGUCCUAUCCCGGGACUACAUUGCUGCCACUAUAACUAAUGGAAAUGACAUUUCAAUUGACAUUGCCUUUCGCAACAUGAAAAAUUUUUGGUGGGAUAUGGAAGAAUUGUCAAAAGUUCACGCCGUGUGAGAGUUUUUGGUAGGAUGUAGGAGGAUUGUCAAAAGAUCACACCAUGUGAUAAAACCACAAUUGCUAUGGUUUUUAUUUUUUAAAUAAUGAUGGGAGUUAUAAAUUAUUUAUAUAAAUUUGCGUAGAAACUAAUGUAACAUAAAAGAAAUAGCUGAAUAACAAUAUUUGGUGCUUUAAGUAAUUUUUAUAUGAGCCUUUCUUUUAUUUAGCGGCUUUAGUGUUUAAACAAACUUGUUCUCGAUCUUAAUUUACUGACCCCAUUUAAGCCCAUAAUUAAACAUAUUCUUUUGUGACGAAAACAUCAAGAGAAGACAUCUCAUGUUUUAUUAUAACAGAAAAAGAAGUAGUCCAAACAUCUAUUCGUUAUUUUAUUUAUUCAAUAUAAAUGGCCAACUUUAAAAAAAUGAUAAAAAUCACACAACGCUCAAGUAAAAAUUUAGAAUUACAUUUUGUAAUACUCUCUGAGUCUCUCUCUCCUGCCCCCCCCCCCCCUUCCUUUUAAAAAAAAUAAACCUUAGUGUAAAAUUAGAAGAAUUUUAGAUAUAAAAUUUGGCAAUAGCUAAACAGAAAAGCGGCGGAUUGAAAAUAAAAAAGCUCUAUUACCAUUGGAAUAUUGAUUAUAGAUAAUAUAAUAACUUGUUGUGGUUCAUUGUAGCACUGUGAGCCAUAUUCUAAAAUUUAUAGGUUUGUUAAGGCAUUUAUUAUUGACAUUAUUGUGUCAAUACUAUUAUAAUUUAUUCAUUUUAUUGUAAUGAUAAUUUGUCUAGUCUUAGGUACUUAUUAUAUUAAAUUAUGUAAAUUAAUUGAGGAUACUUUUAGAGACAAAAGAAACACGUGUAUGUAGGAUUAAUAAUCGAAGAAUUGUAAAUGAAGGUGAUUGCUUCAUUGAGAGGCAUAUUAAAUAAUUAUGGAGAGUUGCACUAUUUCGGAAGCACAUAUUUAUACUUCCCUAUCAGGAUUUGGGAUAAACGAAGUGCUUUAUCUAUUGCAGUAAGCAAUGUGGGCAAUAUCAGAGGCGAAAUAUUAAAAGAUCAUCCAUGAAAAGCUUCGUAACAGAAAAACCGUCUUUCAAAAAAAAAUAAAAUAAAAUAAAAAUAAAAACAGAAAAACCGACUCAUUUAUCUGCCAAUGAACCAAUCAGGACUCAUUUAAAAAAGAAUACAAAGCAAAAGUAAAUGACACAAAUUGCAUAGAUAUCUAGUAGCCGCAUCAAAGGACAAAGGUGUUAAUUUGUCCAAGAAUAAAUUCUCCUAGGUCAAAAGCAAUUAACGAUGAAAACUUUCUUCAUUAAGGUUCUGGCCUACGUAAAAAAACAGAAAAAAUCACCCCAAGGUCAAAGCACAACGAUAAGUUUAGAAUUGGAAUUUUUAAUUUUUUUUAAUAAAUCAACGUGUAUCAAAAAUAGAUAAUAAUUUUGGAUAACUUUUUUUGAUAAAUAUAGACAUAAAAUUUUAAAAUCGCCAAACAGAAAAACAGGGGAAUUAAAACAAAGUCCCUGUUUAUCCUCUAUUUUGCUUGUUAUUAAAAAGGGAAAUGAAAAGAUUGCAAGCCGAAAUUUUGUUUCUGCGUUGUCUCUUCUCAAUGCUGCAUGCAUUCAAAUUAAACCUUACAUAUGCUAGCAAACUAGCUACUCUGCAUGUAAGUUCUCGAUAAGUCCAAAUAAUAGAAUAAUUGUAAAAUGUUCAAAUUCAGUAAUUAAUUAUACAUAUUUAUUUAUUCAAAAAUUAUUAUUAUUACUAAUUAUUGUCAAUAAUAUAUUAAUAUACUAAUUAAUUGUAAAAAAAUUUAUCAUUCAUAACAAUAAUGAUGAUGAUGAUAAUAAUAAAAAUUCAAAAUAUAUUAAUUAAUUAUAAUAAUAUAUUAAUUAUUUAAUAAUAAUAUAUUUAAAAUAUAUAAAUUGAUUAGAAUAGUUAUAUUAAUAAAUUAUAAACAUAUAUUAAUUAAUCAUAAUAAUUUUUUAAUUGAUGACAAAAUAGAUAUUUUAUAGUUUGUGAGAGGGGGCAAAAUGAUCAAUCUUGGGAAUGGGGGAUUGAUUCCCACCACCUUCCUUAGGAAUCAAUCUUCCAUUCCUCAUUCCUAAUUUGGGUGGUCCCCAUAGUUCUUAUUCGGAUCCCAGCCUCUAUUUUGUGAAGUAAACAUCAUUAAUGAUUUCGAUUUCGGAUUCCGAUUCUCCAAUCCAAGAAGUAAAGGCACCAUUAUUGUUAAUUGGUUCAAACACACAAAGAGAAUGUACCAUGUAGCUAGGCGUCAAGGUUGUGUGGCACAAGGUUGUGUGGCACAAGUAGGGAUGGCAAUUCAACCCGCACCCGGCCCGGACCCGGAUGAAACCCGGAUUUUCCAGUCCGGGUUUAACCCGUACCGGAUUAAAUAAAAUCCGGAUCCGGAUGUCAUUUUAAAAACCCGCAUGUACCCGGGUCCGGUUCCGGGUUUAAGUAAACCCGUACAUCCGGAACCCGGACCCGGAUAUAUAUUAAUUUUAAAAAAUUAUUUUUAAUAUAAAUAGAAAGCAAAAAAAACCCAAAUGGUGCCCUAGAAGCUCAUUACACUUUCCCAGCCGCACAAACAUUUCCUCUCUUAUUCCCUCUUCAGCUCAUCUUCAUCUUCAUCAAAUCAUCGUCGCAUCACUUGCCCAUCUUCGCGGCUGUUCAACUUCAACAUCAUCAUCAUCAUCAUCAUCAGCCGUCGUUUCCUUUCUUUUUCUGCGGCGACCGGUAACUAGCUGUGAUACGGGUUGAACGCCGCCUUUGCCAAUCGCAACCGCGGCUGUGUUCAUCAUCAUCAACCGCCGUCACUUUCAAGAACGAUACUCGAAAAUAUUUUGAUGGGAAUCUUGUUUUUGGUCAUUUUAGUAACAGUGUGUGCAAGUGCGAGUGAGAGAGAGAGAGAACGUGGCUUACUCGAUGCCACUUAUCAUGCUUUCAUCUUUUUUCAUCCAGUGCGGGGUCUGUCUUUGUUGGCUUUUUGGAAAACUUGUUGCUUUUAAUGGUGUAUUACUUCUUUUGAAUAUCCAAUCAAUGUAAACUUAUUUACAUUACCCCUCCAGUUUUCCCAUCACCAUUAAAAGUGCUUUGGUUGCUCCUUGACUGUGCUUUGGUUGCUCCUUGACUCCUGACUUCCUGCUCGCAACAAAAGCUAGUUCUUUAGCUCUCUUUACUAAUUGAACGAGUCACCACAUUGGGUUGCUGAUUCUGGGCAGCCAAACAAAAUUGUUGUUUUUGUUAAUUAGUUUCCAGAUGAAAUAAUUUUUCUUUGAUUUGCUGAAAUCCUGGAUAUGUAUUUCUAUUUGAUUUUUUUAGUCGAAUUUAGUUUUUUUUUUUAAAUUGGAUUCAUCAAUCCGGGUUGGAAACCCGCAGUCCGGAAACCCGGAUUUUUCCGGGUUGAACCCGUACCGGACCCGGAGUGGAAAAAUGCGGGUUUAUUUCCGGGUCCGGUACAGAAAAUAUUCGUCCGGGUCCGGAUCCAGAAUGACUAAACCCGGACCCGGACCCGGAUUUUGCCAUCCCUAGGCACAAGUAACCUUUUUCUUUUCUUUUUAUUUUUUUUUGUUUUCCUUAACGGAUCAGAAGAAAUCGGUGCCUUUGAGAUACUACAAUGUAAAUAAGUACUUGUGGUUCAUUAAAUCUGUAACACUCGGUACCCUAAGGUUUCUUUUGAAAAAGGGCUUUUCUCACUGAUCACCAAUAUCCAAGUAAGUUUGUUUCAUUUCAGAAGGUGCAAAGUUUCAAACUUUUUGUAUUGGGAUGUAACAAACUUUGGCCUUAUAUGCCUGCUGUGACGUUAGACUGUUCAUUUUGAUUGUUUCAUACCUUUCACUUGCGCGCACUGUAGCACUGUAUUAUUCAUCAUUUUAGCUGUUUAAAUGAAAUUUUAUUUUUGUCAAAAAUAAAAUGACACCAUAAAAAUUUAGAAAAAUAAUCAUGUAGAUCCCAAAUUUUUAAUAAAGAAUACCAAUAUUCCCCUUGACUACAAUACCCUUAGUAGGUGGUAAUCAAACAAAUUGACUUAAACUUUUUUACGAAAUGUAAAUAUGAUUUAAAUAAUUUAAAUUUUCCAGUAGACUAAUAUAUAAUUUAAAUAAUUAAUUUCAAUAUUAAUUUUUAAAAUGUAAAUUAAUUUAUUUGUAUUUAUAAAAUAUUUGUAAUUAUUUUAAAAUUUUAACUAAAUCCUUAGGUUAAAUAGAUUUUACAAUUAAUAUAAUAUUUCUCAUGUAUUAAUAAUAUUAAAACUAUUUUAUAUGAUAUUGAAAAUAACCUAAAUUUUUAUAUAUUUAUUUGAAUAUUAUGUCUCUAUUUAUUAUAAUUUGGUUUAAUAGAAUACGAGAUUGUAAAUUAUUAAAAUUUUUAGAUAUUGAAAUUAUUUUAAUAUGUACAUAUUAUUAUAUUUAUUUUAAUAUCCUACUUAUAUUUAUUAUAAAAUAUUAAAAUUAAUUUUUUUAGUUAAUAAAUUUAAAAAAUAUUAUAAUUAAAAAAAAGAGUCUUAUUGCCUGUUAUUCACGAUAUGAGGUUCUACAAAAUUAUUUUCAAAAGGAAAAAUAAGUCCAGGGGUUUCAAUAAAUUCUAGUCCUAUCUGCCACUAUAACUAAUGGAAACGACAUUGCAAUUGACAUUGCUUUUCGCAAUAUGACAAUUUUUUGGAGGGAUAUGGGAGAAUCGUCAAAUGUUCACACUAUGCGGGAGUUUUGAAUGGGAUCGGGGAGAAUUGUCAAGAGUUCACACCACGAGAAACCAAUGAUAGCCAUAAUUACGCUGUCAGUUCUUUGUUUAUUUAUUUUGUUUAUUUCAUACAUUGUUGUCUUGUUGGCAUUGUUUUGUAAAUAUAUAAAAGUAAAGUAAACUAUUAGGGUGCUGCUAAGUUAAACUGUUGUAACUUACAAUCCCUUAAAAAAUAAUGUAAAAAAUUUAACACGUGGUGGGAUCGACAUAUGUUUGAAGAGGCUUUAAGUUACAGUAGUUGUGACUUAGAAAAAUCCAAAUAUUAGACAAUAACACACAUUAACAAUGCAUAUAAUUUGGGUUUGAUUUUUUUAAAAAUUAUUUGAGUAUUAACUAUCCUUAAGAUAUUAAUGUGAAUAUAAUUUAAUAUUAAAUAAUCAAAAUCUGUAUAAUUAUAAUAUAUAUUUCAUACAUUGCAUGUUUAAUCAAAAUCGGAUUGCUUUUUACCUUCCAUUUACGCCCACUGUAGCAUUGUACUAUUCACCAUUUUAGCUGUUUAAAUGAAAUUUUUAUUUUUUUUCAAAAAUAAAAUGACACCCUUAAAAUUUUAGAAAAUAGUCAUGUAAACCCCAAAAUUUUAAUAAAAAACACCAAUACCCUUUUUUACUAUAGUACUCUUAUGGUAGCCACAAAAAAAAAUGACUUCAAAAUUUUUUACUAAAUGUAAAUAUGAUUUAAAUAGUUUAAAUUUUCUAGUAGACUAGUAUGUAUAAUUUAAAUAAUUAAUUUUUAAAAUGUAAUUUAAUAUAUUUAUUUUAAUAAUAUAUUUAUUAUAAAAUUUUAAACAAAUCCUUGGGUUAAAUAGUUUUUAUAAUUAAUAUAAUAUUUCUCACGUUUUAAUAAUAUUAAAGUUAUUUUCUAUGAUAUUGAAAAUAAUUUAAAAUUUUAUAUAUUUAUUUUAAUAUUAUGUCUCUAUUUAUUAUAAUUUGGUUUAAUAGAAUACGAGAUUGUAAACUAUUAAAAUAUUUUUAGGUAUUGAAAUUAUUUUAAUAUGUAUAUAUUAUUAUAUUUAUUUUAAUAUCCUACUUAUAUUUAUUAUAAAAUAUUAAAAUUAAUUUUUUUAGUUAAUAAUUUAAAAAAAUAUUAUGGUUAAAAAAAAGAGUCUCAUUGUCCGUUAUUCACGAUAUGAGAUUCUACAAAAUUAUUUUCAAAAGGAAAAAUAAGUUCAGGGGUUUCAACAAAUUCUAGUCCUAUAUGCCAUUAUGACUAAUGGAAACGAUAUUGAAUUGACAUUGUUUUUUGCAAUAUGACAAAUUUUUGGAGGGAUAUGGGAGAAUCGUCAAGCGUUCACACCAUGCAAGAGCUUUAUGUCACGGGAUGAGUGUUUUGCGCAGCUAACCCGUGCGGCACUUAGACAACUUUGCCGAAUGUUGCUAAGUAAGCCUAGAGCUUCUCGAACAAGAGAAGAGAGCAAUUGAGCCAAAGAAGAAACUUGUAUUGCACAAAGAGAGAUUACAAUGCUUGUUGCUUACAAAGCUUGUUAGAUACAAAUGCCUAAUGCCAUUCCAUAUUUAUAGGGGAGGCUUGCCAAGCUCUAGAGAUUCUAGAGAAUUCUACCAACUAUCUAGAAUUUACAUGUGCUGGAAAGUCAUAGAGAAUUCUAGAGUAUUUACAAGCUCACAUGUGCUAGAGUUUCCUAGAACUUUCCGGAAUAAGGUCAAGCUAGCACUCUUGACCUUGUGUUGGCUCUCUACCCCGAAAUUGUGGGCAAUUGGGCUAGUGAAUUGGGAGGUCCGUAACAUCCUCCCCCACCUAAGCUCGCGGCGUCCUCGUCGUGCUCUCAUGCUUGAAGCGUUGGAUGUGCUCAGCGAAUUGCCACAAAUCAUCUUCACAUUCCCAAGUGGCUUCACUCUCGGGGAGGUUUUUCCACUUCACUAAGUACUCGCUAUGUGCUGGCACGCCUCUCCUCGAAACCGUGCGGUCCGCAAUGAUGUAGUCCACAUCUUUGUCGAACGCGUUGACAACGGCAGUUGGUGCACGCCUUGAUUCUCCAAGACUUGGUUCUCCCACGUCUUCGUGAUAUGGCUUGAGAAGGCUCACAUGGAAGACCAGAUGGAUCUUGAGUCUUGGUGGAAGUUGGAGUUGAUACGAGACGUUGCCCACAUGUCGAACAACUCGGAAGGGUCCCUCGUAGCGCCUCACUAACCCCUUGUGAACUUUCCGCAAAGUCUUGAAUUGUUGGGGUAGGAGCUUGAUCAUGACUUGAUCACCUUCCUUGUACUCAACAUGCCGUCUCCUUGUAUCCUCCCAUUUCUUCAUUUUCCUCGCGGCUUUGUCGAGAUAGGCUCGCGUGAUAUCCGCUUCCUCAUGCCAUUCGUGGGCGAGCUUGUGUGCCGCGGGAUUUUCCCUCCGUAAGUCGAGGCUAUGGCAUUGGGGGUCAUGGGCUGGAAUCCCAUGAUGAUCUCGAAUGGACUCUUGCCCGUAGCCUCACUUCGCUGCAAGUUAUAAGAAAAUUAGGCGAUGUCAAGUAGUUUCGCCCAAUCCCUCUGAUGAGCGCUCACAUAAUGCCUCAAGUACAUCUCGAGGAGGCCAUUGAUGCGCUCGGUCUGCCCAUCCGUUUGUGGGUGGAAGCUUGUCGAGAACUCGAGAUUGGUCCCCAACAUCUUGAAGAGCUCCGUCCAAAAAUACCCAGUGAACCGAGGGUCUCGGUCGCUCACAAUGCUUUUUGGAACUCCCCAAAGCUUCACAAUGUGCUUGACGAAUAGGCGGGCUGCCUCGUCCGCUUUACAGUCGACGGGUGCGGCAAUGAAUGUGACAUACUUGUUGUAUCGGUCGACAACAACGAUGAUGCUUCCGCAACCUUCAGACUUGGGGCAGCGAUGUGAUGAAGUCCAUGGAGACACUUUCUCAUGGCCUUGUUGCUAGCAGUAGCAGCUCCAACAAUCCCGCUGGAAGUUAAUGAUCCACCUUGUCUUGUUGGCACACAAGACAAGUUCGCACAUAUGCCUCGAUGCUGUCCCUCAUGUGCGGCCAAAAAUAUGAGGCUUGAACUAGUGCGGUGGUGCGCUCAAUUCCUGGGUGACCAGCCCACUUGGAGUCGUGGCACUCCUUGAUAACUUCCUUCCGCAAGUUUCCCCACCUUGGCACGAACAGCCGAUCUCCCUUGGUGAGGAGGAUGCCUUCCUCUUGCCAAAAUCACCUUGUCUUUCCCUCGAGCACCUUCUCUAGCAAAUCCUUGGCUAGCGGAUCUUGUUGGAAGCCUUCCUUGAUGCGUGAGACAAGGUCGGACUUCGGUUGGCUCAUGCUAAGUGUCGCCAAUUCGGCCUUGCGGCUUAGAGCGUCCGCAACGACAUUGGUCUUGCCUGGUUUGUACUCAAGCCGAUAGUCAAAUUCCGCUAGGAAAUCUUGCCACCGCGCUUGCUUCGGACUCAACUUCUUCUGAGUUUGGAAGUAGCUUGUCGCUACGUUGUCCGUCAUAAUCGUGAAGUGAGAGCCUAGCAAGUAAUGUCGCCACACGCGCAAGCAAUGUAUGAUGGCUGUCAUCUCCUUUUCUUGCACUGUGUAGCGGCGUUCCGUAUCAUUAAGCUUUCAACUCUCGAACGCUAUAGGGUGGCCUUCUUGCAUGAGGACUUCUCCUAUGGCAAAAUCCAAGGCAUCCGUUUGGACUUCAAAGGGCUUUGUGUGGUCCGGGAGAGUAAGGACAGGUUCCUCCGAAAUUGCCUUCUUCAAAUCCUCGAAUGCGCGUUGGCACUCUUUAGACCAAUGCCACGUUCUGUUUUUCUUGAGCAUAUCCGUCAAGGGUGCUGCCUUGGCCGAAUAGCCCUUGAUGAAGCGGCGGUAGUAGUUCACCAAACCAAGGAAUAAGCGAAGCUCGGGCACUUUCGAGGGAAGUUCCCAUUCAAGGAUGGCCUUCACUUUAGCAUUCUCCAUCAUAAUCUUCCCGUCCGCAAUCUUGUGGCCAAAGAACUCCACCUCUUGUUGGGCAAACGAGCACUUCUCUAGUUUGAGGAAGAGCUCAUUGUCUCGAAGUACUUGGAGGACUUGUCGCAAGUGUUGGGCAUGAUCCUAGAGCGUGGUGCUAUACACCACUAUGUCAUCCAAGUACACGACCACGAAGCGGUUGAGGAAUGGUUGGAGCACCUUGUUCAUGAGCGUACAAAAUGUGGCGGGUGCAUUAGUAAGGCCAAAAGGCAUUACAAGGAAUUUGAAAAACCCGUACCUUGUUGUGCACGCUGUCUUUGGUUCGUCUCCCUUGGCGAUGCGUUCUUGGUAGUACCCUGAGCGCAAGUCGAGUUUGGUGAAGUACCGCACUUUGCCAAGCUGGUCGAACUAGUCUGCGAUCAAGGAAAUCGGAUACUUGUUCUUGAUAGUGAUCUUGUUGAGUGCUCUAUAGUCGAUGCACAUCCGCAGCGAUCCAUCCUUUUUCUUUUGGAAGAGGACCGGUGCACCGAAUGGGGCCUUUGAGGGGCGAAUAUAGCCUGCGUUCAGCAAGUCUUUGAGUUGUCUCCACAACUCUUAUAAUUUUGGUGGCGCCAUGCGGUAGGGCGCCAGGGCUGGUGGCUUCGCGCCUUGUUCCAGCUCGAUGGCAUGAUCUACCUCUUGUCGAGGUGGGAGCUUCUUCGGAAGUUCUGGAGGCAUCACGUCCUUGUACUCAUUGAGGACGACUUGAAUUCGCGGAGGGACUUGGCUUGGCGAAGUUCCGCUAUGUCCUUCCUCAUUUAGUUCUCGAAUAGAGACCAAGAAGCUUGGGUCCUUCUUGAAAGCCCUUUUGAAUUGCAUGGCGGAGAGUGUCUUCUCCUCGGACUUGCCUCGCUCCGUGGGUACCAUGCAUGCUUUGCUCCCGUCGAGAAUGCUUAGGGAGUUUGUAGCGGGCAGCGGGAAGGCAUGGACUUGGUCAAAGAAUUUCAUGCUGAGGACCAUCUUGAAGUCGUCCAUGGGCACAAUGGAGAAGUCAAGCUUUCCGCUCCACGUACCGAGUGUGAUGUGCACGCCUUGUACGAUUCCCGCAAUUGGCUUGGCGGGUGAGUUUACUACCUUCAUUGUGCCUCCUUCCUUCGUGGCCUUGAGGCCUAAGCGCUUGGCCUCAUCUACGGACACGAAGUUGUGCGUUGCUCCCGUGUCUAGCAGCGUGCGAACGGACUGGCCGUUUACCUUUGCGCUAACAUACAUGAGCCAUUUCUUGACGAGUGCGGGCUGUUGGCGAUUGAGUGCGCCGAGGCGUUGGAGAGAACCCAUGCUGAGUUGGGGUUCCUCCGUGGACAUUGUAGGGUUGCUCUUGAGUUGGGCAGCAAGAGCGUUAAGCGACCUCUUCUCCGGACAGUCGCGCACCCAAUGGGGACCAUUGCAUAUGAAGCAUGGGUUUCGCAGUUUUGGCGCCUCCUUCUUGCCCUCCGAUUUUCCUUGCCCGCUCUUGUUAUUAGGCGGCUUUUUAUGCCCCCAAUCUUUACGGUUGUUGCCCUUGUCCUUGUGACUCUCUCCCCUACCUUUGCCUUGACUAGACUUCUUGUCUUUGGAUUGGGUAGAGUAUUCGGUGAGCGAUUCCGCAACGGCGAUGGCGUCGUCAAGUGUUUGAACACCACACCUAUCAAGCUCGGUCUUGGCCCAAUCCUUGAGGCCAUCUUGGAAGUAGAAGAGUGAAUCUUUGUCAGACAUGUCGCUUAUCUCCAACAUAAGGGUAGUGAACUCAUUGAUGUAGUCCCGAAUGCUACCCGAUUGCUUGAGGCGACGUAAGCGCGCUCGCGCUUCCUUCUCCGCAUUGCUUGGGGCGAACUGUUUUCAGAGUUCUUGCUUGAAGUCGGCCCAAGUGUCGAUGGUGCAAAUGCCCUUGCCCAUCUCGCCAUGCUUGCGACACCACCAUAGUUGUGCAGCACUUCGAAGAUAAGUGGGUGCAGUGCCCACUUUCGAUGCCUCAUCUCGUACACCCAUGGCAUCGAAGUAUUGAUCCAGCCCGAAUAAGAAGUUGUCCACGAUUGUGGCAUUGCGUGUUGUUGUGCAAAUUUUAAUGUACUCGCAAGCGCACGAAUCUAUUAUAGUAUAGAUCAAUGGUGACGAGUGUCGAUCCCACGAGAAGGUGGAUUUUAAUUGUGUAUAGAAUUAAUUUUGCAAAUGGUUGAUUGGAUUUGUGGUGGAAAUGAUUUGGAAUAUGCUAAAACUUAAAUUAAAAUGGCGAGAAUAAAUUCUGAAAUUGGAAUUGAAAUGACGAGAAUAAAUUGAAGAGAAUUCUAUUGAAAUGACGUACUUGGGUAUCUGGAUCCGUAUCAACAUGCAUCAUGGGCUAAAUAAUCCGUAUUAAUGCCAAUUAAAUCAUGAGGGGGGAAUCCACACCUCAUGAACCACGCUCUAAUCAAUAUGGUGCUAAGGGCUUAUCGUGCCAAAUAAUAAUAACCUUGUACUAGAGAGCCGGUGUAACCAAGGCGGUAUCUAGACAAGAUCAGUAUUAUUUGUCGACGAUAAGUCAAAUCAUCCACAAAAACUAGAGGGGAAAAGAAAAUAAAUUUACCAAAUAAAGCCCAUGACACAUGUUGAGACUUCACCUUCAACCCAAGCUUGAAAGAAAAUUAGCCACUCAUAAUUGAACUAAGGGCAAAAUGGGAAUUUAUUAAAAUACAAAGAAAAUACAAGAUGGAGAAGGAAUUACAGAAAAUGGAUCCCAAAAAUGGAUUCAGAGAUAUCAAAUUAGGGGGGGGAGGCCCCCUUUUUAUAGAUACAUGGAGUAAAUCAUGGCCAUCGGAUUAAAAACAGUUUGGACGCUCAGGAUUGCGCCACGUCAUCAGUCAACAGUCCACGGUUUGACCACGCGGAUGAACAGUAACACGGUUUGACCUGGAUGAACAGUAACGCGGUUUGGUUGACAAUAAUCCUGUGUGAUGCAUGCACCGUACGCGAGAUUUUUCGUCCACUGAUAUGCUGCCACGUCACCAUCAACAGUACAUAAGAUUUUAGUCCAACAGGAUCGUGACACCUCAUCAGUCAAUGCCACAUCAUCGGUCAAUGCCACAUCAUCGGUCAAUGCCACGUCAUCGAUCAAUGCCACGUCAUCGAUCCGUCUAUGUGAACAGUGUCGUGAACAGUAACGUAGACAGUACCGUAUACGUGAAUAGUACCGUACAUGUGAAUAGUGCCAUUUUUCCUUUUAUGCUCCUCCUAAGGUUUUCGACCGUCCUGAGUUCAAAAGUGAUGUCCGUUUUGCCAUCUGAUCUCUCCUUUAUUGUGAAAUGACUAUAAUGCCCCUAAAAUACAUAAAAUACUUAAUUAAAAUAACACACACGUAAUUACAUCACAAGAAGGUUAAAUACAUAAAAGUAAGGGUUGUUAGUAAGACUUGAAAUGUAAAAUGACGGUUUUCUCCUUUAUAAAUAUGCAUUUUCUAACACUCAACACACCCCCCAACCAGCUUAUUGCUAGUCCCUAGCAAAUAAAGCGAAAACAAAAUUCAAAUUCAAAUUUUUUUUUUUUUUUUUAGAAACACUCGUGUUUAUUCAAUCAGAUUAAUGAUAGCAAUCAAAUAAAAGUAUAAGCAUUAUCUCCAGUCUAAAGCAAUAUCACACCCACAUCAACCAUCCACAUGAAUCGGCCCAGUAGAUUUUGUUAUAGGUACUUUCAAGAAUGACAUGUCAAACCCCAAAAUCUCACUGGAAGUAAUGACACUCUCACAAAUAAAUUAAACCCAAUAAAAAUAGUCACUCCAAUGAAUGGUAAUUGAGAGAGAAAAUAAUAAAGAAGUGAUAUCACAUGCUCUCACCAAGAUGAAAUAAAUAUGCCCUUAGCUUAGAAAUAAUACGAUCUCAAGUCAAAUAAAAUGUUAGUCAACCCACUUUAUAUAUCUUUUUUUUUUUUUAUUAUGCAUCACUACAUCUUUUUAGCCCAUAUAACUAGCUUCUACUUCAAACUAUAGUUCCCUAAAAUCAAGAAGGACUUUUAUUAGGACGUAACGUAGGCUAGGGAUAUGGCUAAUAAAGAAAGGAAAUAAGGAAAACAAAGUGUAUGUUUGAGAAAAAUGCAGAAAUAAUUUUUUUUUUUUUUUGAAGUUGCAAGGUAGAUUUCACCUAUUAUUGUUAUUUUAUUCUUUUGAAACAACAACUUUUGUUUUUAUUUUAAUUUUUUUUUUUACUUUUAUUUGGCAUAACUUCACUGAACAACAUAAUUAUUUACAUUUUCUCAAACAUAAAUAGGUGAUGGAACUUAAAAGACAUUGGGUAAUACUCCAAAUCGGAGUGGGUCAAGAUGAUAAGUUGACAAAGAAAAUGUUUUUUUUUUUUUUUUUUUAAAGGCUCAAAAGGGGUAACUAUGGAUAUUUAAUAACAGGGAUGGCUAGAAAGGCUCAAACGGAUCAAAGAUGGUCUUUCCAUCGUUUUUUAGGGCUCUAAAUAAUUAUCCAUAUCUACUAGUUAAAUGGGCAUCCCAAUAUAGCAACACACAUUUUUUUCUUUUUUCUUUUUUUUUUUACCAUUUUUUUUUAAAGGGUUAACUCAAAAGAAAUCUAGAGAUCGUGUAUAAAAUAAUAAACUGCUAAGUUGUAUAGAGAAUGGGCAAAAGGGUUACUCUCCAAGAAAAUGAUAGGCUCAACUACUCACUUGGCACUUAUUUAUGACAUGUUCAUUCCUUCAAGCAACUCAUAUUUGUCUCCGACAUCAACAUGUAAAGUAGCAAACAUAGCGUAACAUCACUUAAGACCAAAGAUAAUACAAAUACUAAAAUUUGAAAUUAAUCAUGUCAUCCAAUGUUAAAACAAAUAACACAAUUUUUUUUUUUUAAACAACAUUCUACCCCCCAACCUAUUCUAAACAUGAAAGGAAAAUAUGCAUGCAGAAAUGUGAAAAUGAUGUAGAAAAAUUAAUUAGAAAAAGAAAUUUUUUUUUUUUAAACUAAGAAGAUGCGUUUCUAGAGGCACUACACUCCAUAUUCAGCCAUCUUCGACUCAAAAAUUUGAAACUACAUAUUUAUAAAGGAGAAAGAGGAAGAAAACAGGUUUUUUUUUUUUUUUUUUUUUUUUUAAACGAUGAAGAUGCGUUUCUAGAGGCACUACACUCCAUAUUCAGCCAUCUUCAACAUAAAAUGUUAGCAACAGUUAGUUUCUACAACAAAAAAUCAGUAAAAACUUAACCAAGAUUCCACAAUUGUCGACUAUUCCCUCCCCCCAACCAGAACGAAACAUUGUCCUCAAUGUUUUAAAGGAAAGAAGUAGAGUUUAGAAGACAUCACCUGGGUGGUGCAACACAGAAGAAAAUAUUUACAGGCGGAGAGUUAAAUCUAAUUUGUACUUCUUACUGCGGCUACUGUUACCAUCAUUAUUUGGUCGCUCCAACACAAAGGUCCAGGGGUCUGGCUCCGGUUUAUAAGCUUGUAACAUAUCAAGUAGCUCAUUAGCAGUGUGAGCACAAAUAAAGAGUUUUUUCACAUUAGAAGGAAUGAAAUAGUUUUUUAUUGCAUGGUUAAGAAAUGCGAUAAAGCCAUCAUAAAAGUUAUUGACAUUUAACAAACCGAUGGGUUUCUGGUGGAUGUGCAGAUGGGCCCAAGAUGCUAGUGUCAUAAGUGCCUCUAGUGUUGCAAGAUCUCCUGGAAGGAAAAUAAAAGCAUCAGCAUGAUUAAGCAUUUCAGUUAUUCUUUCUUGCAUACCUGAGACGACUAACUCUUCUCCAGUUGAUGAGUCAGACGAACUGCCCAAUGGUUUUAGGAUUCUUGGGAUGAUGCCUAACACUUGACUUCCUCUGAUAAAAGCUGCUUCUGAGACCAUUUUUGAUAACCCUCGGUUACCUCCUCCAUACACCAAAUGUAAUUUUCUCGCUGCUAUGCUUCGACCAAGAUCUAUGGCUGCCUCCACGAACUCUUUAUGUUUGCCAUAGGUAAAUCCAGAAAGCACACAAAUGUUCUUGAAUUGUCUAUUAGGAGUAGCUGCCAUUGUGAUACUUCUCAAAAAUAAUUUGUGAGUGCUUGACAAAAGAUAAAUCACAUUUAAGAAUCUUGGUGACAGUGGAUCACAGCUGUGAAUAAGGUAACAUGUCAGUGUCAAAUAACGCGUAAAGCACGUGGCUCGCGAGUCAAAAAGGAAACAGUAAAAAGGAAAAAGCAAACAGUAACAAAAUUAUUAAAGACAAUAAUGCAAACAAUAAAACAACAGUGAAAUGAAAUAAAAUAACAGUAAAGUAAAAGGAUAUUUACACGUAGUUGCGACUGUGGCUCACAUCUUCCUCUGGUUUUACGUCCAGAAACGGCUUGAACGCCCUCUAUGGGUCGAGGAUAGGCUUCCUAUCCAGUUUUCUUAUAAACUGGCAAACAGGGUCGUUUAUAGUCAGAUUCCCAAGACUAUAUUGUGUAUGCUCUUUCUGGAAUAAUGGCCAUAACUGGAGAAUCGCUCCUUGCACAUAUCCACUGGGAUGCGUUUCAAGAGACAAAAGGAUAUCAUCCAAUGACUCCUUAUUCAAGCCAUCCCUAAUGAAUUGAAUCUUAUCUUCUCUGUUAUCAGACACCAUUCCUAAAGAACAUGGGUUUCUAUCGCAACUCAUUCUGGCACACUUGUGACAAGCAACAGAAAUUCUUCGAGCUCGUCGUUUUCUUGCGUAAUUUCCUUUACCACAACCAGGCAUGUAUGCAAUAAAUUUAGGAGGUAACUCACCUGCCAAUCGUACUUUAGCCUCGAUUAACCAACGGAUGUCUGCAGGUAUGUUAUUCCUCAUGAGCAAUCGCAUGCGUUCAGACCGGGCUUUAUAGAUUGUAAGGAGGGCAUUCUGAGGAAGUGAAGGGAAUCGCUUGUGAAGCUUUGCUAGAAUCUCGUUUCUAUCCAUACCUUCGCCUCAGAAUAUCAGUUAUUAUGGGAAACUGAAGUAACCGACUUGAUUGUCACGGAGUACCGUUAUCCGCCACUUCACCGGGGUAACAAACUAAAGCACACAAAUAGAAAAACAAAUCAAAACACACAAAGAAAAUUAAAAUCGUCCUCUUAUUGAAUUUACCUCAAGCUCCAACUGGAUGUCGUAAACACUUCUCUCAAUGUCUCUGAGUUGGCGUUCUAAACCCUCAACAUAGGCUACUAACUCUGGUGGUUGUAGAGCCCAAAUGCGUUGUGUUUUACAAAAUNNNNNNNNNNNNNNNNNNNNNNNNNNNNNNNNNNNNNNNNNNNNNNNNNNNNNNNNNNNNNNNNNNNNNNNNNNNNNNNNNNNNNNNNNNNNNNNNNNNNNNNNNNNNNNNNNNNNNNNNNNNNNNNNNNNNNNNNNNNNNNNNNNNNNNNNNNNNNNNNNNNNNNNNNNNNNNNNNNNNNNNNNNNNNNNNNNNNNNNNNNNNNNNNNNNNNNNNNNNNNNNNNNNNNNNNNNNNNNNNNNNNNNNNNNNNNNNNNNNNNNNNNNNNNNNNNNNNNNNNNNNNNNNNNNNNNNNNNNNNNNNNNNNNNNNNNNNNNNNNNNNNNNNNNNNNNNNNNNNNNNNNNNNNNNNNNNNNNNNNNNNNNNNNNNNNNNNNNNNNNNNNNNNNNNNNNNNNNNNNNNNNNNNNNNNNNNNNNNNNNNNNNNNNNNNNNNNNNNNNNNNNNNNNNNNNNNNNNNNNNNNNNNNNNNNNNNNNNNNNNNNNNNNNNNNNNNNNNNNNNNNNNNNNNNNNNNNNNNNNNNNNNNNNNNNNNNNNNNNNNNNNNNNNNNNNNNNNNNNNNNNNNNNNNNNNNNNNNNNNNNNNNNNNNNNNNNNNNNNNNNNNNNNNNNNNNNNNNNNNNNNNNNNNNNNNNNNNNNNNNNNNNNNNNNNNNNNNNNNNNNNNNNNNNNNNNNNNNNNNNNNNNNNNNNNNNNNNNNNNNNNNNNNNNNNNNNNNNNNNNNNNNNNNNNNNNNNNNNNNNNNNNNNNNNNNNNNNNNNNNNNNNNNNNNNNNNNNNNNNNNNNNNNNNNNNNNNNNNNNNNNNNNNNNNNNNNNNNNNNNNNNNNNNNNNNNNNNNNNNNNNNNNNNNNNNNNNNNNNNNNNNNNNNNNNNNNNNNNNNNNNNNNNNNNNNNNNNNNNNNNNNNNNNNNNNNNNNNNNNNNNNNNNNNNNNNNNNNNNNNNNNNNNNNNNNNNNNNNNNNNNNNNNNNNNNNNNNNNNNNNNNNNNNNNNNNNNNNNNNNNNNNNNNNNNNNNNNNNNNNNNNNNNNNNNNNNNNNNNNNNNNNNNNNNNNNNNNNNNNNNNNNNNNNNNNNNNNNNNNNNNNNNNNNNNNNNNNNNNNNNNNNNNNNNNNNNNNNNNNNNNNNNNNNNNNNNNNNNNNNNNNNNNNNNNNNNNNNNNNNNNNNNNNNNNNNNNNNNNNNNNNNNNNNNNNNNNNNNNNNNNNNNNNNNNNNNNNNNNNNNNNNNNNNNNNNNNNNNNNNNNNNNNNNNNNNNNNNNNNNNNNNNNNNNNNNNNNNNNNNNNNNNNNNNNNNNNNNNNNNNNNNNNNNNNNNNNNNNNNNNNNNNNNNNNNNNNNNNNNNNNNNNNNNNNNNNNNNNNNNNNNNNNNNNNNNNNNNNNNNNNNNNNNNNNNNNNNNNNNNNNNNNNNNNNNNNNNNNNNNNNNNNNNNNNNNNNNNNNNNNNNNNNNNNNNNNNNNNNNNNNNNNNNNNNNNNNNNNNNNNNNNNNNNNNNNNNNNNNNNNNNNNNNNNNNNNNNNNNNNNNNNNNNNNNNNNNNNNNNNNNNNNNNNNNNNNNNNNNNNNNNNNNNNNNNNNNNNNNNNNNNNNNNNNNNNNNNNNNNNNNNNNNNNNNNNNNNNNNNNNNNNNNNNNNNNNNNNNNNNNNNNNNNNNNNNNNNNNNNNNNNNNNNNNNNNNNNNNNNNNNNNNNNNNNNNNNNNNNNNNNNNNNNNNNNNNNNNNNNNNNNNNNNNNNNNNNNNNNNNNNNNNNNNNNNNNNNNNNNNNNNNNNNNNNNNNNNNNNNNNNNNNNNNNNNNNNNNNNNNNNNNNNNNNNNNNNNNNNNNNNNNNNNNNNNNNNNNNNNNNNNNNNNNNNNNNNNNNNNNNNNNNNNNNNNNNNNNNNNNNNNNNNNNNNNNNNNNNNNNNNNNNNNNNNNNNNNNNNNNNNNNNNNNNNNNNNNNNNNNNNNNNNNNNNNNNNNNNNNNNNNNNNNNNNNNNNNNNNNNNNNNNNNNNNNNNNNNNNNNNNNNNNNNNNNNNNNNNNNNNNNNNNNNNNNNNNNNNNNNNNNNNNNNNNNNNNNNNNNNNNNNNNNNNNNNNNNNNNNNNNNNNNNNNNNNNNNNNNNNNNNNNNNNNNNNNNNNNNNNNNNNNNNNNNNNNNNNNNNNNNNNNNNNNNNNNNNNNNNNNNNNNNNNNNNNNNNNNNNNNNNNNNNNNNNNNNNNNNNNNNNNNNNNNNNNNNNNNNNNNNNNNNNNNNNNNNNNNNNNNNNNNNNNNNNNNNNNNNNNNNNNNNNNNNNNNNNNNNNNNNNNNNNNNNNNNNNNNNNNNNNNNNNNNNNNNNNNNNNNNNNNNNNNNNNNNNNNNNNNNNNNNNNNNNNNNNNNNNNNNNNNNNNNNNNNNNNNNNNNNNNNNNNNNNNNNNNNNNNNNNNNNNNNNNNNNNNNNNNNNNNNNNNNNNNNNNNNNNNNNNNNNNNNNNNNNNNNNNNNNNNNNNNNNNNNNNNNNNNNNNNNNNNNNNNNNNNNNNNNNNNNNNNNNNNNNNNNNNNNNNNNNNNNNNNNNNNNNNNNNNNNNNNNNNNNNNNNNNNNNNNNNNNNNNNNNNNNNNNNNNNNNNNNNNNNNNNNNNNNNNNNNNNNNNNNNNNNNNNNNNNNNNNNNNNNNNNNNNNNNNNNNNNNNNNNNNNNNNNNNNNNNNNNNNNNNNNNNNNNNNNNNNNNNNNNNNNNNNNNNNNNNNNNNNNNNNNNNNNNNNNNNNNNNNNNNNNNNNNNNNNNNNNNNNNNNNNNNNNNNNNNNNNNNNNNNNNNNNNNNNNNNNNNNNNNNNNNNNNNNNNNNNNNNNNNNNNNNNNNNNNNNNNNNNNNNNNNNNNNNNNNNNNNNNNNNNNNNNNNNNNNNNNNNNNNNNNNNNNNNNNNNNNNNNNNNNNNNNNNNNNNNNNNNNNNNNNNNNNNNNNNNNNNNNNNNNNNNNNNNNNNNNNNNNNNNNNNNNNNNNNNNNNNNNNNNNNNNNNNNNNNNNNNNNNNNNNNNNNNNNNNNNNNNNNNNNNNNNNNNNNNNNNNNNNNNNNNNNNNNNNNNNNNNNNNNNNNNNNNNNNNNNNNNNNNNNNNNNNNNNNNNNNNNNNNNNNNNNNNNNNNNNNNNNNNNNNNNNNNNNNNNNNNNNNNNNNNNNNNNNNNNNNNNNNNNNNNNNNNNNNNNNNNNNNNNNNNNNNNNNNNNNNNNNNNNNNNNNNNNNNNNNNNNNNNNNNNNNNNNNNNNNNNNNNNNNNNNNNNNNNNNNNNNNNNNNNNNNNNNNNNNNNNNNNNNNNNNNNNNNNNNNNNNNNNNNNNNNNNNNNNNNNNNNNNNNNNNNNNNNNNNNNNNNNNNNNNNNNNNNNNNNNNNNNNNNNNNNNNNNNNNNNNNNNNNNNNNNNNNNNNNNNNNNNNNNNNNNNNNNNNNNNNNNNNNNNNNNNNNNNNNNNNNNNNNNNNNNNNNNNNNNNNNNNNNNNNNNNNNNNNNNNNNNNNNNNNNNNNNNNNNNNNNNNNNNNNNNNNNNNNNNNNNNNNNNNNNNNNNNNNNNNNNNNNNNNNNNNNNNNNNNNNNNNNNNNNNNNNNNNNNNNNNNNNNNNNNNNNNNNNNNNNNNNNNNNNNNNNNNNNNNNNNNNNNNNNNNNNNNNNNNNNNNNNNNNNNNNNNNNNNNNNNNNNNNNNNNNNNNNNNNNNNNNNNNNNNNNNNNNNNNNNNNNNNNNNNNNNNNNNNNNNNNNNNNNNNNNNNNNNNNNNNNNNNNNNNNNNNNNNNNNNNNNNNNNNNNNNNNNNNNNNNNNNNNNNNNNNNNNNNNNNNNNNNNNNNNNNNNNNNNNNNNNNNNNNNNNNNNNNNNNNNNNNNNNNNNNNNNNNNNNNNNNNNNNNNNNNNNNNNNNNNNNNNNNNNNNNNNNNNNNNNNNNNNNNNNNNNNNNNNNNNNNNNNNNNNNNNNNNNNNNNNNNNNNNNNNNNNNNNNNNNNNNNNNNNNNNNNNNNNNNNNNNNNNNNNNNNNNNNNNNNNNNNNNNNNNNNNNNNNNNNNNNNNNNNNNNNNNNNNNNNNNNNNNNNNNNNNNNNNNNNNNNNNNNNNNNNNNNNNNNNNNNNNNNNNNNNNNNNNNNNNNNNNNNNNNNNNNNNNNNNNNNNNNNNNNNNNNNNNNNNNNNNNNNNNNNNNNNNNNNNNNNNNNNNNNNNNNNNNNNNNNNNNNNNNNNNNNNNNNNNNNNNNNNNNNNNNNNNNNNNNNNNNNNNNNNNNNNNNNNNNNNNNNNNNNNNNNNNNNNNNNNNNNNNNNNNNNNNNNNNNNNNNNNNNNNNNNNNNNNNNNNNNNNNNNNNNNNNNNNNNNNNNNNNNNNNNNNNNNNNNNNNNNNNNNNNNNNNNNNNNNNNNNNNNNNNNNNNNNNNNNNNNNNNNNNNNNNNNNNNNNNNNNNNNNNNNNNNNNNNNNNNNNNNNNNNNNNNNNNNNNNNNNNNNNNNNNNNNNNNNNNNNNNNNNNNNNNNNNNNNNNNNNNNNNNNNNNNNNNNNNNNNNNNNNNNNNNNNNNNNNNNNNNNNNNNNNNNNNNNNNNNNNNNNNNNNNNNNNNNNNNNNNNNNNNNNNNNNNNNNNNNNNNNNNNNNNNNNNNNNNNNNNNNNNNNNNNNNNNNNNNNNNNNNNNNNNNNNNNNNNNNNNNNNNNNNNNNNNNNNNNNNNNNNNNNNNNNNNNNNNNNNNNNNNNNNNNNNNNNNNNNNNNNNNNNNNNNNNNNNNNNNNNNNNNNNNNNNNNNNNNNNNNNNNNNNNNNNNNNNNNNNNNNNNNNNNNNNNNNNNNNNNNNNNNNNNNNNNNNNNNNNNNNNNNNNNNNNNNNNNNNNNNNNNNNNNNNNNNNNNNNNNNNNNNNNNNNNNNNNNNNNNNNNNNNNNNNNNNNNNNNNNNNNNNNNNNNNNNNNNNNNNNNNNNNNNNNNNNNNNNNNNNNNNNNNNNNNNNNNNNNNNNNNNNNNNNNNNNNNNNNNNNNNNNNNNNNNNNNNNNNNNNNNNNNNNNNNNNNNNNNNNNNNNNNNNNNNNNNNNNNNNNNNNNNNNNNNNNNNNNNNNNNNNNNNNNNNNNNNNNNNNNNNNNNNNNNNNNNNNNNNNNNNNNNNNNNNNNNNNNNNNNNNNNNNNNNNNNNNNNNNNNNNNNNNNNNNNNNNNNNNNNNNNNNNNNNNNNNNNNNNNNNNNNNNNNNNNNNNNNNNNNNNNNNNNNNNNNNNNNNNNNNNNNNNNNNNNNNNNNNNNNNNNNNNNNNNNNNNNNNNNNNNNNNNNNNNNNNNNNNNNNNNNNNNNNNNNNNNNNNNNNNNNNNNNNNNNNNNNNNNNNNNNNNNNNNNNNNNNNNNNNNNNNNNNNAUGAACUAUCAGAAAUUGGGUAAAUGAUACCUGCGUCUAAUAGCUUAAGGACUUCUGUUCUAACAACUUCUUUCAUAUUAGGAUUUAACCGACGUUGCAUUUCCCUAGUAGAUUUAGCAUUUUCAUCAAGGUGAAUGUAAUGCAUGCAGUCUACUGGAUUUAUACCUUUGAUGUCUGCUAUGGUCCAUCCUAAUGCCCCUUUGUGCUCUUUUAAAACAUCCAACAACUUACCUUUUUGUUCGUCAUUUAGGGAUGAUGAGAUGAUUACCGGCAGAGUACUUUCUUCUCCCAAAAAUGCAUAUUCCAGAGUGUUGGGUAAUGGUUUGAGCUCGAGUUUCGGUGGUGAUUCUGAUGAUGGAAUGAGUUUCUUCUCUGAUGGUGCUAGUUGUUCAACUCUUGACUUCCAUUUAUUAGUGUCCAUGGAUGGUGCUGAGUCAAGUAGGGCGUUGACCUCUUCGACCGAUCUGUCAAUAUCAAAAUCCAAACCAAAGUGAGUUAAACAUGUUUGUAAAGGAUCAUCACUAAGGUUUGAAAGAAAAGUAUUAUCAACUAUUGUUUCUAUUAAAUCCACAUCAACAAUUCCAUCAUCUGCACUGUGAGGUUGUUUGGCAAUGUUGAAGAUGUUUAGCUCCAUAGUCAUGUUGCCGAAGGACAAUUGCAUAUUUCCGGUCCUACAUUGAAUAUGAGCAUCUGCAGUUGCCAAGAAAGGUCGGCCUAGAAUAAUGGGGAUGUGCUUCCUUGAGUCCUGUAUUGGUUGAGUGUCAAUUACAAUGAAAUCAACAGGAAAAUAAAACUUGUCUACCUGGAUAAGCACGUCCUCCACAAAACCACGAGGUAUUUUUGUGGACCGAUCUGCAAGUUGUAACACCACUGGAGUUGGGUGUAAUUCUCCCAGUCCAAGUUUCACGAAUACAGAGUAAGGCAACAAAUUUACACUAGCUCCUAAAUCCAACAAAGCAUUCUCAAUUGUGUGGUUCCCUAUACUACAUGAGAUAGUGGGGGAGCCUGGGUCUUUGCAUUUUAAAGGAAUUUUAUGUUGGAGUAUAGAACUAACGUUUUCUGUUAAAAAUGCCUUCUUUUGAACAUGCAUAUUUCUCUUUUUAGUACAAAGGUCUUUAAGAAACUUGGCAUAAGAUGGAACUUGCUUUAUAGCAUCAAGUAAAGGGAUGUUAACACUUACCUGUUUGAAGAUUUCGAGAAUCUCACCUGUGGAUUUUCCUUUCUUGCCUUUCGCUAACCUCUGAGGAAAUGGAGCUUUCGGAACGUAUUCUCGUGGGUUGGUUUCUUCUUUCUCCUCCGGUGGUGAGUCUUCAACAUUCACAGGUACAAUUUGAUUUUCUUUUGUCACCGGCAUCUCCACUUUGUUGUCGACUUCCUUUCCUUUUCGCAAGGUCAUGACUGCUUUGACCUCUCCAUGCUGUUGUGGUGAACUGGUACUUGCUUCAUGUACUCCUUUAGGAUUAGGCACUGGUUGACUUGGAAAUUUUCCUUUCUCAACAGUCAUUGCCAAGGUCUGAACUGAAGAAGCAAGUUGUCCCACCAUCUUCUCGAGGCUUGAAACUGAUUGAGCUUGUGAGUUGAAGCCUGCUCUCAACUCAUUUCGUAGUCCAUCAAUGGUGCGGUUCUGUUGCUCAAUCGUAGAGUGAGUAGCAUUCUUGAAAUUCUGGAAUGAAUCCUCCCAUGGUCUGGGUUGAGAGUAGUUUUGGUUCUGAUUGAAUGGUCUAAAUGGGGGCUGAGAGGCUUGAGGAUUUUGAGGAAUUUGUUGCAUUGGUGGAGCUGCUGGUCCAUUCUGUUGGAAUCCUUGAGACCAUGAAAAAUUGGGGUGGUCUCUCCAUCCAGGAUUAUAUGUGUUGGAGUAUGGGUUGUAAUUCGAUGGUUUUCUCAUUACACCUAUGGCAUUGGCUUGAUCUGAGUAUGAGUCAUGGUCAUGUGAUUCUGUUGAUUUAGCAGUCGAUAACGAUGCUAUUUGUCGAGCAAGACCUUCAACCAUCUCCUUGACUUCUUUGAUUUCCGAAGUUGACUCGCCAAUUUGAACCUCAUUUACUCCCUUAAUUCUUCUAGUAUUCCUGAGUGAUCGACUCCGUUGUUGGGAAUUAUCCGCUUGUCGCUGGAAGAAUUCCCAAAUCUCUGAUGCACUUUUUGACAUUAGCUCUCCUCCACUUGUUGCCAUUAGCCAUUCUUGCACAUUUGGUAGUAAUCCCUCCAAAAAGUAUUGACAUUGGUGCCAUUUUUCGUACCCAUGAUGUGGACACUUCAAGAGUAGCCCAUUGAAUCGCUCCCAUGUUUCGAAAAACUGCUCGUCCUCUCUCUGUGUAAACUCUGAAAUUUCCCUGCGAAUAGCAUUGGUUUUAUGCACUGGGAAAUAUUUAUUCAAAAAUUUUGUAACCAUUUGUUCCCAUGAUGCAAUGCUAUUAGCAGGCAAUGUAUUAAGCCAUGAACGAGCUCUAUCCUUUAAAGAAAAUGGGAAUAAUCUGAGUUUAACAUCAUCGUCUGAAAAAUUCUCAUAUUUGAAUGUUUGACAAAUGGCAUGAAAAUCAUUCAAAUGAUUAUAUGGGUCCUCAUUUUCUAAGCCAUAGAAUGUGGGGAGACAAUUUAGCACACUAGGUUUUAAUUCAAAACUCCUAGCAGCUACAUUUGGGUAUCUUAUGCAUGACGUGCUCAAAUUAGCUAAGGGACUAAAAUAGUCCUUAAAUGGCCUCUCCUGUGGUGCUUGUAAAUCUAUUUUAUUUUUAACGUGUUUGUGUGUGCGAAGUGUUUUUUCUAAUUCAAGGUCUAUAGGUUCAAGAUUUGGUAAUAAUGACCUACGACCAUGCAUGCAAAAUAAAUAAAAUAAAAAUAAAGAUGGGAACAAAAACAAAUAAAAAUAAAGAAGAGGGAGAAAUUACGAUACUAACCUUAUUGCGCUAUUACAACCUUUCUAUAAAAAUACACAAAAACAAAUACGUGAAAUAAAUUAACUAAAAAUUAAAUUAAUAAAAUAAACAAAAAUUACAAAGAAAAAAAAUUAAAAAUUAAAUUACAGAAUUUUAAAGAAGAGAAAAAGAAAAGAAAUAAUAACCUUUAAAUGUAGAUUUACUUUUUUUUUUAAUAAAAAAUACAAGAAAACAAAUAAAAGAAAUUAUUCACAAAAAUUAAUUCUAUGAAUUAAAAUUACUUACCUCCCCAGCAACGGCGCCAAAAACUUGUUGUGCAAAUUUUAAUGUACUCGCAAGCGCACGAAUCUAUUAUAGUAUAGAUCAAUGGUGACGAGUGUCGAUCCCACGAGGAGGUGGAUUUUAAUUGUGUAUAGAAUUAAUUUUGCAAAUGGUUGAUUGGAUCUGUGGUGGAAAUGAUUUGGAAUAUGCUAAAACUUAAAUUAAAAUGGCGAGAAUAAAUUCUGAAAUUGGAAUUGAAAUGACGAGAAUAAAUUGAAGAGAAUUCUAUUGAAAUGACGUACUUGGGUAUCUGGAUCCGUAUCAACAUGCAUCAUGGGCUAAAUAAUCCGUAUUAAUGCCAAUUAAAUCAUGAGGGGGGAAUCCACACCUCAUGAACCACGCUCUAAUCAAUAUGGUGCUAAGGGCUUAUCGUGCCAAAUAAUAAUAACCUUGUACUAGAGAGCCGGUGUAACCAAGGCGGUAUCUAGACAAGAUCAGUAUUAUUUGUCGACGAUAAGUCAAAUCAUCCACAAAAACUAGAGGGGAAAAGAAAAUAAAUUUACCAAAUAAAGCUCAUGACACAUGUUGAGACUUCACCUUCAACCCAAGCUUGAAAGAAAAUUAGCCACUCAUAAUUGAACUAAGGGCAAAAUGGGAAUUUAUUAAAAUACAAAGAAAAUACAAGAUGGAGAAGGAAUUACAGAAAAUGGAUCCCAAAAAUGGAUUCAAAGAUAUCAAAUUAGGGGGGGAGGCCCCCUUUUUAUAGAUACAUGGAGUAAAUCAUGGCCAUCGGAUUAAAAACAGUUUGGACGCUCAGGAUUGCGCCACGUCAUCAGUCAACAGUCCACGGUUUGACCACGCGGAUGAACAGUAACACGGUUUGACCCGGAUGAACAGUAACACGGUUUGGUUGACAAUAAUCCUGUGUGAUGCAUGCACCGUACGCGAGAUUUUUCGUCCACUGAUAUGCUGCCACGUCACCAUCAACAGUACAUAAGAUUUUAGUCCAACAGGAUCGUGACACCUCAUCAGUCAAUGCCACAUCAUCGGUCAAUGCCACAUCAUCGGUCAAUGCCACGUCAUCGAUCAAUGCCACGUCAUCGAUCCGUCUAUGUGAACAGUGUCGUGAACAGUAACGUAGACAGUACCGUAUACGUGAAUAGUACCGUACAUGUGAAUAGUGCCAUUUUUCCUUUUAUGCUCCUCCUAAGGUUUUCGACCGUCCUGAGUUCAAAAGUGAUGUCCGUUUUGCCAUCUGAUCUCUCCUUUAUUGUGAAAUGACUAUAAUGCCCCUAAAAUACAUAAAAUACUUAAUUAAAAUAACACACACGUAAUUACAUCACAAGAAGGUUAAAUACAUAAAAGUAAGGGUUGUUAGUAAGACUUGAAAUGUAAAAUGACGGUUUUCUCCUUUAUAAAUAUGCAUUUUCUAACACUCAACNNNNNNNNNNNNNNNNNNNNNNNNNNNNNNNNNNNNNNNNNNNNNNNNNNNNNNNNNNNNNNNNNNNNNNNNNNNNNNNNNNNNNNNNNNNNNNNNNNNNCACUGGAGUUUGCGGAAGCUGGACUUGCGGAGAGUGUGCGAUUGUUCCAUGCCCAAUCCGAGCGGACUUCAUCCACUUCCGCACGGACAACGUGUAGUUCGUCCUGAACAAAACUACGAAGUUUUAGCAACUCAUCAUGGAAAGAUCAAAACUCACCUCAGAGAGUGUUCGCUUACUCAUGGAUGAGAGCUUUUGUGGCCACCGUGAACUCGGCGUAUUCUCCCUUGAGACCGUCCACUCUUCCUUCCAAUCCCUCGAGGCUUUCUUGAGCGGCGGACAAUGCGAUUUCGAGAGUGCCUACACGAGGCUCCAACGCAUCCACGGAUGGGGCCUUGGACUUGCCGCGAAUCUUGCCUUGGGCGCGUUCUCCCUCUCGGCCGCGGCUUGGUUCCGGUGGAACAUCCACACCAACAACACCCUCUUAUGCUACGUUCGAAGGGUUGGCCAUUGCUUCGUGAGCUAACUUGUGUGCGUGCAAACCUUAGCUCUGAUACCACUUGUCACGGGAUGAGUGUUUUGCGCAGCUAACCCGUGCGGCACUUAGACAACUUUGCCGAUUGUUGCUAAGUAAGCCUAGAGCUUCUCGAACAAGAGAAGAGAGCAAUUGAGCCAAAGAAGAAACUUGUAUUGCACAAAGAGAGAUUACAAUGCUUGUUGCUUACAAAGCUUGUUAGAUACAAAUGCCUAAUGCCAUCCCAUAUUUAUAAGGGAGACUUGCCAAGCUCUAGAGAUUCUAGAGAAUUCUACCCACUAUCUAGAAUUUACAUGUGCUGGAAAGUCAUAGAGAAUUCUAGAGUAUUUACAAGCUCACAUGUGCUAGAGUUUCCUAGAACUUUCCGGAAUUGGGUCAAGCUAGCACUCUUGGCCUUGUGUUGGCUCUCUAGCCCGAAAUUGUGGGCAAUUGGGCUAGUGAAUUGGGCGGUCCGCAACAUUUAGGUGGGAUAUGGGAGAAUUGUCAAGAGUUCACACCAAGAGAAAUUAAUGAUAGGCCUAAUUUCGUUGUCAAUUCUUUAUUUAUUUAUUUUAUUUUUUUAUACAUUAUUGUCUUGUUGGCAUUGUUUUGUAAAGAUAUAAAAGUACAAGUAAAAUAUUAGGGGAAGUAAAGUAAAAUAUUGGAGGUGUUGCUAAGUUACAGCUGCCGUAACUUACAGUUCCUUAAAAAAUAAUGUAAAAAAUUUAACACGUGGUGGGACCCACAUUAUGUUUGAAGAGGCCGUAAGUUAUAGCAGUUGUAAAUUAGUAAAAUCCAAAUAUUAGACAAUAAUACACAUUAACAAUGCAUAUAAUUUGAGUUUGAUUUUUAAAAAAAUUAUGUGAGUAUUACCUAUCCUUAAGACAUUAAUGAGAAUAUAUUUUAAUUUUAAAUAAUCAAAAUCUGUUUAAUCAUAAUAUGUAAUUCAUACAUUGCAUGUUAGAUUUGUUUGGAUUUUAAGUUGUUGCUAAUAAAUAUUUAUGUUGUGAAAGUCGAAUUCAAUAGCUACAAAAGCAGAGAUAAUGGUAUUUUAUGUAGUUUUUAAGAAUACAAGGAUAAGACCAUAACGCAUGAGAUAGUGUUAUUUUAUAUUAAAAGACCAUAACACAUGUAUUUGAGCCAUUUAUAUUGAGGACACAUAUAGAGCGAAAAGUGCAGAUCCGGCCGUAACUAUUGUGAAGCUUUCCUCAAGUAUUCUCAUGCACGCAGACCUUAGCUGGUCAAGUUUUCUGAUUUAAUAUAAUCAAUUUCCGCGCAGUACUAACGACAGCUUCUUUGUAAAGCUCUUCAACCACAAGCAUUUCUACAAGGCAAAAGACUAGGACGUGUCGGAAUGAAUAUCAAUAAGGGAAUGUCUUAUGAAUUUAGUUUAUAUCCUAAUAUAAGACAAUCAAUAAAUAUUAGAUGCAAUCUAAGGGCUAACAUUUGAUUGAUCAUUAUACGAAAAAAAGGUACAAAAAUACAAAACAGAGCUGAUUGAUGGCCUCUCACAGUCAGUUAUAUGACAAAGUAGCCACCACAACAAACUUGAACUUGGCUGGAGGUCUCAUUAGCAGUAUACCUCCGAACUUAAGACAAAGACUUUAAAAUGCAAACUUAUGGAGCAAUUUAAGCACUGAAACUAAUAACAGUACGGUAUUAGCAAUUGACCUCUGCUUUUGCUUAGACAAAGGUUCUCAUCACAAUGGAUUCAUUAGUUGCCCUUGCCUCACACGUUUGGAUGCUAAGGGGAAAAAGGAAGUUUGAAUUAGUCAAUCUCAUUUCUAAUGGCAUUCACAGAGAACCUAUAAAGCAAAAAAAUAAAUAAAAAUUUUCAUGUUGCAAGUGAGCUCGUUUUCAAUCGAUUUUUAUUGAUCAUAAGAGAUCAUGUGGCCCACCUUAUUUUUAUUUUGGAUCCAUAACCCAAAGCUGGCCCAAGUUCUGAUUCCAGAAUCAUUUGUCUACAAAGUGACCUCAUUCCGGCAAUUGGUUUAUGCUAAUAGCACGUGCAAUUUUCAUUUUCUUCUUUUUAUUAAUUAAUUUCAUCAUUAUUAUUUGCUUAUUAGUUUAAAUUAAUUAAUUAUAUUGUAUUAAUGAAAUUAGUCUUUCAUUUUCUUUUCUCUUUCAAUGCACAAAGCCAAACAACCAUUCUUUCUUCAAAUACCGAAGAGCUCCUGACUACGGCUGUCAAUGCUUCUAUAUUUAUGUGCUGUGCUGCAGCACUCUUAGCGAAAGCUUGAAUGAAUGAUUAAAGACAAAAGCUUAUAUAAAAGCAGAUGCCGGAGGCACUCAAAAAGCAUUUGAGAGAGAAGCUAAACAGCAAAUCAUCAAACGCACUUCAAUGACUUUGAUUUUGAUUUUUGUUUCAAAAGAAGUAGAAAAGUCCAUGGGUCACGAUAACUGCUUGUCCUCUGCCGUGACCUCAUUGUCCGCUGCUAGUGUCAAAUAGAUUAAUCUUUCUAGUAGAUUAAUAUAAUUUAUAAUUUUAAUUUCAGUAUUAAUUUUUAAAAUGUUAGUUGUUAUAUUUAUUUUAAUGAUAUAUCUAUUUUUAGUAUAAAAAUUUAAAUAAAUAUUUAGAUUAAAUAGAAUUUAUAAUUGAUAUAAUAUAUCUCAUGUAUUAAUGAUAUUUAAAUUAUUUUAAAUAAUAUUAAUCCUAACUUAAAAUUUUAUAUAUUUAUUUUAAUGUUAUGUUUCUAUAUAUUAUAAAAUUUAGUUUAAUAUAAUAUAAGAUUGUAAAGUAUUCAAAUAUUUUUUAAAUAUUAAAAUUAUUAUAAAAUGUAUAUACUGUUACAUUUUUAACAUUGAAGUCAAUCUUUUUUAAGUUAAUAGAGUGAAAAGAUAUAAUAAUAAAAGGCUAUGUAAUCUUUCACUUGCACAUAUUCUGUACUCUCUGGAGCACGACGGUAGGAAACAUGAUUACAGAUGUUAAAUUCGCCUUUUUUCACAAGUUUAUCAGCUUCGUUUGCGGCCUCUGCUGCUUGUUUACCAAGCUUGUAACGAGAAAUCAAAUUUGGGCACAACCCUUUGAAGCAGAAUAUCUUAGCUCUAUCUUUAUCAUCAAUGAUGGAUUUUGCAACCCCUUCACUGAAUUCAGCAACUCUAUUUAGCCAGUCUCUGACACCCUUAUAAAUCUCAUCUCCUUGUAGAGUAGCCUCUCUAACCAGUGUUUGCACCCUUUCUCUUAUAUAUUCCAGCUCCUUCACUCAAUCUUUUAGCCCAUUUAUGUAGCUCUGGUACUCGAACACAUAAGAUAUGUGCCGCAUAAUCAGUUCGAAUAAUGCUUUUGAACAUUGUGAUACAAUGCUGGAAAAAGCAGGGAGACACCCUUCUGCAGCCAUUGCUUGUUGCUUAACAAUAUAUAUAUAUAUAUAUAUAUACAAGUGUCAAAGAAAGGAAUACAAAUAAAUUAAUAUGAACUAGAGAGAAAGAUAGAGAAUGAAAAGACCGCCAACAAUAUCGCUAUAUUGAUCUUGAACCAACUAAUAAUUAAAUAGAGAAUUUCUUUUUCUUUCUUAAGGAUCAGAGGUUUUGCUAUUAGCAAAAAGGUACUUCAAGGGUCUGAAUAAAAAACCAACCAUAAAUUAUCAAAAGCUAGUAAGAACACAGACGUAAACAAUGAACAAUUACUUAAGCCAAACAGACCAUGAUACAAAGCAAAUCUAAUAAAAUGACAAAGAAAGAAAGAAAGAAAAUACAACAAACAGUAUUGAAGUGUUGAUCAUGAGCCAACUGAUAUUUAAACAGAUUUUUUUUUUAAUUUUUAGUCUUUUCUAAAAGGAUUAGAGUUCUUGCUAUUAAUAGAAAGGUUUCAAAGAUCUGACACUAUUAGAAAAGUAUUAAAUAAUGACAAAAAUUUUAUGACAUAUAUGGUUGUAUCUCGAAUGUGUCAUAAAAUUAUGAUAGAUUCAUAAUAUGUAUUCAUAUGCCCAGAAUAUAUGAUAUAUUCAUGACUUAUAACUUAACCGUAGUAAAUAAAUGAUACAUAUAAGUCAUGAUUAAGUUUUGUGACCUUAUAAGAUUGUAAAACAGUGUCGUUUAAAUUAACGACACCGUUCUGUAUAACUUAAAACACAUCAACACUUCAGCCAAAUUUUGGCGGGUAAAAACCCAUUUAGUCCCUAUAUUUUAAGAUUAGUAUACAUUUAGUCCCUAUAUUUUUAAAAAUGCCUCGAAACGUUCCUGCCGUUAAAGUAUUGAUACCCCUACUGUUACUUUUUAUUUCUUUUGGCUUACUUUUACAAUAUUAUAAAAGUGUAAUAUUGUAAAAGUAAGCCAAAAGAAAUAAAAAGUAACAGUAGGGGUAUCAAUACUUUAACGACAGGGACGUUUCGAGGUAUUUUUAAAAAUAUAGGGACUAAACAGACACUAAUAUUAAAAUAGAGGGACUAAAUGAAUUUUUACCCAAUUUUGACUAAGCGUUGAAUAAAUCCCUCUCUCUCCACUGGCGACUACAACCUAAAAUGAAUCAACUCUGAGCCUCUCUCUAUAACACUAUAUAGAACCCUAAACCUAAGAGCAUCUCCAAAAGGCUUUAUAAAUUUUACUCUUUAAAUAUUUAUUUGCUUACCUAUGUGGCUAAUAGAAGAGUGAAAAAAUAUAUUAUCUCUAAAAGACUUUUCAAAUAUAAAUGAGUUAAUAUUAUUUUAAUUAAAUAAUUAUUUUUUAAAAUGAAAAGUCAAUAAUAAUUAAAUCAUCUCUCUCUUUUUCCAACAAAAAUAAUAAAAUAUAAAUUAAAAAGAAAGAAAUCAACUCUCUAAAUUUAAAGAGAUAGAAUAAUUUUUUAUUUAAAAAAUUUUAAUUAAAAUAUUUUAUAAAACUUUAAAUGUUGACUUAACUUUUCAGACAGCUAAUAAAAUAAGAAAUAAAAUCUUAUUUGAAAAGUGUUUUCCUUAUAUUUUAAGUCUCACAUUCGCAACCGACGAAGCUGAAAAAGUUCCCCACAUAUCAAAACCACAGCGAACUGCCUCCGACCCUACGGACCCAAAAAAAUUUAUUGUAUUCCUGCUCUUUCACAUCAAUAAUUUUUUGUAUUAUUCCAUAACCCAAAAGCUUUCCUCUGUUUCAACUAAGCGAAAAUUUACAUAUUAAAGCCUAGCUCAAAUUCCUUUUUUCAAUCGAAAUAAAACGUAGCCCCAAAACCCUAAUUCACCACACCAAUUUAUCUCUGCCCGGUAUUCAUUUAAACCCUACCUCGCGGUUCAAUGUCAUUCAAUACGAUUGCAGAUGCCGUUUCAACUUGUCAUUUAGUUAUUGCCAUCCAGUUCUCUAUGGUAAGCCUUAACCCUAACAACUAAUCGACUGUGGUAGCACGUUGCUUGUUAGGAGUGGGGAUACAUUAUUUAACUAUAUGAAUUGGGUGAUGUUAGUGAUUCAUUCCCCUAUUUGUCAUGAAUUAAGAUUUGUGUAUAAUGCUAGUCAGAUUGCUAAAAAUUUCAUAUUUUGUAUUGUUCCAGUUGAAUUUCUUGCUUGUGGAAGAUAAAACAAAAGUUCAAUUUCAUGUUGAUUUAAUUCUUCUUUUUCUUCUUUUUUUUUUUCUUCUUUAUAGUCACGCUCUGGCUUUGGUGCUAUGCUUAGUGCAGUUUAUGGUUUCAAGAUUAAGUCACGUUUAUUUGAUGGCAUCGAUUCCAUCGUUGAGGAUUGGAUUGUUGAUCAAAUGCACAUAGUAAGCUCUUCUUAUUUUAUCUCAGUUUUAAUUUUCUUUUAUUAUCUGCCUCUACCUGAAAAUGGACGUGUUUUACUAGUAAGCAUAGACUUUGUUUAUUUAAUUGAUAUUUUAAUUUUAUGUAUAAGAAUAGAGGUUUAUUUUGGAAAAAAAAGCAAUAAAAAAACAGACUCUGUUGAAGCUAAUUAGUACUGAAUGUUUUUGGUGGUGCGACCAGAGGUGGAAACAGGGUAUGAAAAUGUGUUACUAGUGAGGUUGCUGCUUAAGAUGAGAAUGCAUUCUUUUCAAAAAUCCUUGGUAGGUGUGAUCUAAUUAUAUUUGAUGGAAUAUUAAAUGGCUAAAAAUCUGUCAUACGUUCAAACUUUGUUUGUGUUUGGAAGAAUGGUGUUGACUGUAUAUUCGUUUGGAAGAAUGGUGUUGAUUGUAUAUUCAUUUGCUUAGCCUUUUGACAGAUGGAUUUGAAACUGACGACAAAUGUGAUUCAAUUUACAAGGUUUUCGAGGGGCUCACAGUGGAAGGGAUAUUGAAGAACUGGUCUAAGAUAAAGCCUAUGAUUGUGAAAGAUUGGAGUGAGAAUAUAAAUGCUCGUUUAAAUCUCUUUGGCAAGGUCAGAGAUGAAUGGAUAGAUAAGGAUUUAUUUGACUACUUGGACUGGUGCUAAUAGGUAUUUUAGGCAAGCUUUUUGAGAUAACACUGAGCAAGUUAUACUACUAGUUUGCACAUGAUGAUCAAAACUCUCAAAAAGUAAAAUAAAAUAAAUUAUUAACUUUUACUUAUCUUUUGCAUAGCAAUCAAUGUGGUGCUUGUUCUGUGACAACUUUGAUAAUCUACUUAAUUAUUGGUUAGCAUUUGGACCAAAAAAGUUCUUAUGAUUUACAUGUUUUGUAGAAAUGCAUGAACCUUAAAUGUGCUGAUCAGGGAGUUUAAUUAUUGCACCUUGAAAUUCAUUUAUUGUUAACUAAUUGGCUUUCCUUUGCAUAAAGCCGCUUAUAAGGCUUGAGUGGACGUCUUUAUGGGCAUAUUAUUUGUAUUUCUAUAUGCAUGCCUUUAUCACUUAAUGUGCUGCUUUUAUUUCUUUAUGCAUGCCUUUAUCAUUUAAUGGCCAGCUCCCUCUCCUCUUUUGUAAUUUGAAUAGUAGUAUGGGCCUCCAUUUUACAAAUCUUUAACAUUUUUUGCUGUAAAUUAAUUUUUCUUUCAAAUAUUUUGGAGGUCAUUGGAAUUCCUGUAGGUCUAUUUACCAGAUUUUAGUAUGUUUAAGGUUUUAAUUUUGCUUAAACUUUAAUUUUUCUGAAAGAUUGUAGUAUUGAUCCUUAAAGAAAGAUCAUGCUACUUCAAAUUAUUUUGAAGUGUUGCCAGUUAUAGCCUUACAUAACAAAUUCCAUUUGUCUGGAAAUUUAUUGAUAGCUGUUACAGCAGCAUAUUUUAUGACUCUACUUCUUAGUUAUGUAAGUUCAUUAUGUUUAGGUCAGAGGCAGUCAGCUGUGGGGAAUCGAUAUAUACACAGAUGACUUUGAUCUUGUUGCUGGUAUGUGGUUCUAUGAAUAAUUGUGUUUGCCUCACUGUUUUUGUUUUAUGAGAUCUAUAAUUGAUCUUGGGAUAUUACUUUCUAGUCCUCAUGCAAGCAAGUUACUACCUUCCCACUGCAUCUCCUCCUUUAUCUGCUAUUCAAGAGUUGCGUGCCAUAAUCUGGUGUUACCUCUGCAAGAUUGUGAAUGAAUAUAAUGCCUCUAAAUUUAUUUUAUACAUAAUGCUGAUGCUGAAUAAUAUAUUGUAGCUCCUGUCAUAUUCUACUUUGACUUUUUAUAUUCUGUUUCAUAUAAAAAUCUUAUUCAACUUUAGUUGUUCAUGAGCAAAUGUCACAUGUAUAAGCCCAAAUGAUGUUUAAAGGUAGCGCGGCUACCUUUAGUUUGAGCUUACAAUGGAUGAAAAAGAAAUUGAAACUGAUAUUUUGCUGUUUUUCUGAUUUUUCAAAGUAUUUUAGAUCCUGAGUUUUGUUUGGACUUGAUGGUUAUAGAUUGUGUCUAGAUUUGUUAAGUUGUUUCCAACACCUCGUGCCAAAUGAAAGCACAAUCUUUCUGAUUCAGAUGUCUUGUUAAUUAUGCUUCAUUUUUUCGUUAAAGAUUGGAUGGUUGCAUGGAUUGAUGGAGUUGGAGUUCAACCAAUAAUUCUAAUUUUUUGGACUUAAAAUGCCUUUUUCUUCUGUAUAAAAACUUUAGUAAGUGCUAUUGAGUUGACGGAGGUUGAAUACUUACAGGUUGUUUCACACUUUUUAAUAGUUUUACAUAUAUGAAUUUCUGUUUUUUGAAUUGCAGAAAGGAGGUGGAACUAUUGAUUUGGAGCCUUAUCUUACUCACUCAUCGACAAUGGAGCCUAUCCUCGCUCCCAUGGCAGUGGAACGGACAACAACUACUAGGGCUGCAACAUCAGUUGGUUUGGGUCUGUUUUGAGUUUAUUUUCAUUUAUUUGGCUAUGUUUUGAUAGCGAAUUUUGAUAUGUCAAUAUAAUGUGUAAUUGUUUUGGGUUGAGCUGGUAAUUAUGCUGGAUUAGAUUGGUUUGGUUUUGGUGCUUCUCUGAUGGAACUCUGCUUUUUUUAGAAAUUUUGAAUGUAAUAUGAGACUACAUUUAGUUUAAUUUAACACUGCAUCUAGUCUAAUUACUAGAAGUGUGGCAUUUGGUUUGGUUUAUCCGAUAUUCUCCAGAAUUUCACUUGCAUCUGGUUUUGUUGCAUAUGUUUGCUUGCAUUUGAUGGCAGUAGCAGACUGUUUGGUUUUGUGACAUUUGAUGGCAGUUUGGUCUGUUCUUGGUGUUGAUUUAAGAUUGUUCCUGUUGUGCUGAUGUUAAUUGCAGGUGCUUGAAUCAGCUAGGGUUGCUGGUUUAUUCAGAUGGUUGACUCAGGCGUUGUUACUGGUUAAUUCAGGUGGCUGACUCAAGUUGUUCAUUUAAUGUUAGGAAGCAAACUAAGAAUUAAUGAAGUAUUCAUUUAACUAUAAUUAUUGUAGUUAUUUUAUUUCAUAACUGAAUUAUAAUCUAUGAUACUUGUGAACAAAUUAGAGAAUUUUUAUAUAUGAAUUAUAUAUGUGUGUGUAUGUACAUUUUGCUAUUUAUAUAAUAAUUUAAAGAAUAUAUUUCAAUUCCCACAAAAAAAAAUGGCUCCAAUUUCAAUAAUUCCCGCCAAAUAAUUAAAUUUUUUUAAUUUACUGCCAAAAUAUAUCUUAAAGAAAUGUUAGUUAUUCUUGCUAGAUUUAACAAAAAUAAUUUGUAGGAUUAACAUUUAAUUAAAAUAAUUAAAUAAUUUUAUUAUUCCAAUUAAAUAUGUCAUGUUUAUACGUCAUACAAUAGUCAUGAAUGGGAAGUAUUAGUUACAUAUUUUUCCUUGGGAUUUCAGGCAAAUGAAAAAAAGAUUGAGAAUGGUUUCAAGAGGACAGGUGGAUGAUAAGUAUUCAUUUUUGUAUAUUUGGUUAGGGGAUUUUUAUGGUAUUGAUCUUUUUUUUUUUUUAAAUUUUCAAUUAGUUGCAGCCUUAGAGGAAGAGCAGGCUGAUCAAAUUGAUUUGUCUUGUUUUUCGGGCAAUCUACGACACGAUGAUCGUGAUAAUGCUCGUGACUGCUGGAAACUUUGUGAUGGAAAUAACUUUAGAGUUCGUAGCAAGCAUUUUUGUUAUGACAAAACAAAGGUUCCCCCAUAUUUUGUUUGUUUGUUAUGGUAUUUAUAUAUCCUGCAUAGGCUAGGUAGACAGGUUAUGAUGUAGUUUGGUUGGCUCUUCUUGUGCUUUGUGCAAUUUGUAACUGCAGAUACCUGCGGGAAAACAUUUAAUGGACCUUGUUGCUGUUGAUUGGUUCAAAGACACAAAGAGAAUUGACCAUGUAGCUAGGCGUCAAGGCUGUGCUGCACAAGUAACUAUUCUUUUCUUUUUAUUUUUCCUUUUCCAUUGAUGCAUUAGGAGAAAAUAUUGCCUGUGAGAUACUUCAAUGUAAAUAACUUCUCAUGGUUCAUUGAAUCUAUAACACACUGACCCUCUUCUAAAAAACGUAGGUUGCUUCUGAAAAAGGGCUUUUCUCACUGAUCUUUAAUCUUCAAGUAAGUUUGUUUCAUUUCAGAAGGUAUUAAGUUUCAAACUUAUUGUAUUGGGAGGUUGUAUAGUUGUAACCUAAGCAUCUGCAGGUUCCUGGUUCGACACAUUAAAGUAUGGUAUUUUAUUUUGUCACAAGGCAAUUGGUUAUGGGAUCACUUUUGCAACGGUUUGUUGAUGGCGAUGAUGAGUUUCGCAAUAGUAGGUUGAAACUUAUUCCAUCUGUUCCUAAGGUAUCCAUCUUGGCCUUCAUGUAUUAGGACUAUAUUAACGUAUACUUACCCUUUUCUGCAUGGUACACUUCAAUUUGUCCAAAGAAGGCAUGCAUUUAGGUGUAAAUGUAUUGAUGGGUAGUACCUUCAAACUUCAUGUCCUUUUUACCCUCUUGAAUUUGUUUUGCACUUGUUCUUGAUUUUAAGCACUGAAUCAUGCAGGGGUCAUGGAUCGUGCGCCAGAGUGUUGGAAGCACCCCUUGUUCAUUAGGGAAAGCGGUUAAUUGUAACUAUAUUCGCGGUUCCAAGUACUUAGAAGUAAAUGCUCUUGGAAUUUCUAUAGUACAUGAGAUGUUCAUCUUUCAAAUAGCGUCCGAUACCAUUAACAUGGUUUAACAUUGUUCAUCUUUUUGUAGAUUGAUGUUGACAUUGGUUCUUCUACUGUUGCUAAUGGAGUUUUGGGCCUUGUAAUUGGUGUAAUUACGACAUUGGUGGUUGACAUGGCUUUCCUUGUACAGGUAUGUAUGAUUGUUUUUUUCCCCCACUUCUAAAUGGACACAAGGGAAAAGACAUGAUUUUGAGAUAUUGCACUGCAAUUUGCAUUUUUGCAUACUUGAAUGUUCUCAGAAUAGUAUAAUGCUUCGUGUGUGUCUUCUUUAUCUUGCUCUUCUGUAUGCAGGCAAAUACUACAGAUGAAUUACCGGAGCGGCUGAUUGGUGCUGUACAUGUUUCUCAUAUAGAACUCAAGUCUGCUGUUGUCCCAAAGUUGGAACCAGAGAUAUCAUGACUCUGGUUUCAUUUCACCUCAACUGUGUUUUUUUUUUUUUUAAAUUAAAAAAACAUUUGUUUUAGGUAUACAUACAUGUAUUUUGAUCCCAUUUUCAUGGGAAUUUUGCAUUAAAAAAUGAAGAAUAGUGAAUAGGAAAUUUCUUGAUUCUUUAGUUACUAUUUUUGGUAUGAGUGUAAAUAGUAGUAAAGUUGGUUUCUACUCGCAAACAAGUGAACUGCUCGAUUCCUGAGUGGUAUCAACCAGUUUCCAACUUUUUAAUAUACACUAAUUGUUAUUGUUUAAUAGCUACUACUAUUAAAACUCAACAGCUGACAAAAAUACUUAAAAAAAAUGAUUUUACUUCUUUCCACGAGAUCUAUAACAUGGUCUUGACUUCACGAAAUUCUUUUAAUUUAAAACGUGCUGGUGUGAGAAGGUCAGUUUGACGGAUUAAUUCUUUUUUAACAGUGGUCGAGAUAAUUUUACUAUACUCAAAAAUAUUCUUAUUCUGAUAGUGCCAUAAAUGUUAUGCUGUUUUCUUCGGCUAAUGGUCUUCUAUCAAGAGAGGGUAGAAAUCAAAUGCUUAAAAGACCAAUUGAAGGAAUAAUACAGAAAUUUAGGCAGAAUCUAAUCGAAUAUUGCAUGAAACAGGAAACAUCAAUUCAAGUCCUUUCUUAAACGGAGAAUGCAUCAAACAAAAUCCAAAGUGUCUUGCAAGUCUGUAGCAUGAGCAAAAAAUUAUUCAAGUACAGAAGAAUGAGCAAGCUAAAUCAUGUAUAAGAGAUUGGUCUGGUUCGGGAUAGCUUCUUCACUGUACCUAAAGGGUUGGCUCAAUCUCUUCUUUAGAAUUCUGCAGAUUUUGUAAUUACUCGUGUAAGCAAGCAUACAUUGCCACCAUAAGAAUAAUAAAGCUAGAGUAAUGAUAUGACCACCACCUCUCGUGCACAAACAAUAUUGUAUAAACUAAUGAGACAUAAUAUGAUUGGUUAAACAAAAACAUUACAUGGCCCUCAUAAUAAUAAUAAUAAUAAUAAUAAUAAUAAUAAUAAUAAUUAUUAUUAUUAUUAUUAUUAUUAUAUAUUUUCAGUCAACCAAUCAUAUUAUAUCACAUUAGUUUCUAUAAAAUAAUUAGCUAAAUAGCACCAAAACUUAAUUGAUACUCACCAUUUCAUUGAACAAUUUUUUUAUGGUGUCAUUGAGGUUGCCUUCCCAACAUCCUUCAUCAUCAUCAUCUUCUUCUUCGGUGACGUUCACUUUGUUUAGCAUUGGUGUGUCUAAGAGUCCUUGAGAGAAGAUCUUCAUUUUUGGACACUGUCUCACAACUACUUGUUUCAAGGACGGGAAUUCAAGAGCGUAAUUACCUAAACAAAAGCUUGUUAGGCUUGGCAAACAAUCAAGUCCCAAGUACUCCAAUUCCUUGAAAACAUUGCAAUCUUUCGCUUCUUCUCCAACCUGCAAUUGUAUGAUUUGUUCUAUCAUUUUGCAAUCAGCUAUCAUCAUUCUUCCGAGAUUCACUAGAUUUUUAGAUGCUGAGAGCGUCAACACAUUUAUCAACUCGUGACACUUCGAUACUUUCAAAGCCUCAAGAUUUUCCAAAUGCCACGAAGGUGGUACUAAUUUUUGCAACUUACUACAUUCCGAUAUUUCCAGCCUUUCCAAGUUUGCAAACGCUUUGUUGGAUUCGUCAUUUUCCUUCCAGAGAUGCUGCACUUUGUGUAAUCCAGACAGUCUUAAAUUCCCCAAUUGAGGGAAAGCAACCUGAAAAUCAACAAAAUUAAGUUGUAAAUGAAAAUAUGUAUCCAAUCUCUGCAGUCUUCCCCUGCAUAUUUUAUGGACAAGAUUAAUCACGGCAUUUUAUAUUUUAUUUCCAAAUUAGUAUGCUUUGCACUAGGAUCCCAAAUAUAAGUAUCAAAUCGAUUACCCUUUGAAACACAUAAAUGAAAACUGAUACUAAAUCCAAUAUGAAUUGAUAAUCAAUACUAUAAAGUUACCAGUUCAUCACCUCAUGUUACCAGUCAUCAAAAUAAUUUAGGACUUUUUUAAUUUAUACUAUAAAGUUAGUUAAUAACUGCGGUUAUAUUGUUAAAUCAUAUAUAAAUUAAGACGACGUGCAAAAAGAUGUCAUUAAAUUUGAUUUGAUUAUAAUGAAAUUACAUAUGUGCGAACGAAAGUGAAGGGAAAAUAAUAAUAAUGAUUACCUUUUCAUCGAAGAGAUGUUGUAUUUGAUUAGCUACCAAGAGGUUCUCUUCUGAUUUUAAUUUUUGAGGUUCCUUAUUAUCUGCUGUCAUGUGCAGUACAAAUGUAGAAUUGGAUGUGAAUGUUUCCAUAUCAGGGCAAUUCUCAAUAAUUAGAUAUUCCAACUUAGGCAGUUCAAUUAUAUUCCCAGUGAAGUUGCAGAAUCUUUUGAGUUUUGGAAGAUCAAUGAGCUUUAGGCUUAAAAGCCUAGGAAACAGGGGGCCUAUAUGUUCUUCCUUAGCACUUAGCUCUUCCAAAUGAAGCACCUCUUCUAGUGAAUCACAAUUCCUCACUGCCAGCCAUUCCAAAUUGUUCAAGCACCGUAGCAGAUUGGCAGGAAUAGCACUCGACAUAUUCGUGCUGUCAUCCACCACCAGCUCCGCUAAAUUGUUGAAGAAUCUGACAGGCAGUGCUUGGCCAUGCCAUAUUUCUUGCAAGCGUGGAAAAUGCGAGAGUUGCAAACGGUUUAUAUCAAGGAAUCCAAUCUGCACAAACCAAAACAAUUGCACCAGAAAUAUACAAUUUUUUUUUUUGAAAGGCAUUAUAUAUAUACACAUUAAACUUACAUUUUUUGUGUUUUAACUUCUAAAAAUAUAUAUACAAGGGAGGUGUAUAUGCUUAAAUGUGCAAGUGAAGGGAGAUGCAUGAUGAACAAUUUGGGUGAAUUGAUUAACACAUACCUUUUCGUCAUAACACUUUUGUAUAGUGGAAUUAAGGUUAUUGCCUUCCCAAUGGUGUAGUUCACCCUCUUCCUUUUCAGUCACUUGCACUUUGCAUGGCUUUGGAAUGGAUAAUAUUCCCUGAGAAAAAGUCUUCAUGUUCGGACAACGUAUCAUAGAAACUCGUUCCAAUGAUGGGAAUUCAAGAGUGUAAUUCUCCAAACAAAAGCCGGUAAGUGUUGGUAAAUAAUCAAGUAUCAAAACUUUUAAUUUGCUAAAAGCAAUACGAUUCUCCUUCACUUCUUCUCCAACAUGUCUUAUGAUUUCUUCUAUCUUAUCACACCACGAUACAUUAAGAUUCACCAGACUACUAGGAAUUCCAACCUGAAAAUAAGCAGAGAGUGUGUGUGUGUGUACGUUAAAAAAGUAAAAAUGUAAGAAUAUCAUUCAACAAGGUUCAAAGUAUGUUUAAAUCAUACAAUUAUACAUUUUAUAAACAUAACAAACCAUGAAAUGUCUACUAGAUAAUUUUUUGUUAAACAAAAAAGGCAACAAGAUAAAUAAAUAAAUAAAAGCCAAAUAAACAAAAGAUAAUAAAAAUGAAUUUACACUAUUUAGUAUUAGGAACAUAGAAAGAAUUUAAUGCAAUUUCUAAAUAUUUUAGACUUAUUUUGCAUCUUGACGCCAGUUUUUAAACAAAAUUUGCAAAUUUCAACUAUUCCUUUUGGGAAAAAAAAAAUCAACCAAAAUGCCGCUUUUUCCCUUUUUCCUUGGUCCCUUUUUUUUUAUGUAUAUUUAAUUUUGGAAACAAAAUUAAAGUGGAUCUUUAUUAAGUACUUCUAGACUCGAGGAAAUUUCUUUACAAUCAAGGAUCAGUUGUAAAUAAUCAUGAAUUUGUGGUUAAUUAAUGGCAUAAUCAGUUCGUAACUAAACAAGAGAUAUUAAUUAAAUUUGAAGACUUUUCUUUUCUUUUUUUCUUUUUCCAAUCGAAAUGUGAAGAAUUAAGGACAAGAGAAAUAUAUAGAUGAAUUUGUGAACCUAUAAGAUGAGUGACUAUCCUUUAAUUUUUGAAAAUUGUACUUAUUAAGAUAUGAGCAUAAACAAUUAAAUUGAAUUAUAUUAUGCUGUUGAAUCGUGAUUAAAAAAAUUACAUUGUUGAUUCUAAUGCUGGCGAACCUAAGAACUGGACUUAAAAUGUAGAUUUGAGAGUGGUGGUUCGAAGUACAAUACUUGAAAUAAAUAAUCAGUGGCUGAAUAUCAUUUGUAAACCCAAAAAUGGUUAAAAUAUUGUUGGAUGUAAUUUGAAAAAAAAAAAAAAAGAUUCGAAAUGAAUACAGCAACCUUACCAAUGGAGGAAAAAUAUUCAUUAGGUUAUCACACCCAAUUAUCUCCAAAUUCUUCAAUUUGCUGAAAGACUCCGAAGCAAGUUGGUGGUGCCAUAUUCUUCUCAAAUUAUCGAUCGACCUAAUAUGUAAUACCUCCAACCUAGGAAGUCGUACCUGGCAGUUAAAGAUUAAAUAACUAAUUAAUCAAUUAAUGGCAUAAUCAAUUGAUAACUAAAUUAGAGGCGGAUAUUAACUAAAUUUGAAGACUUAAGGAAGAGACAAAUAAAAUAUUGUGACUAAAAUAAAUUUAAAAAAAAAAAAAACCUUUUCGUCAAAGAGAGGAGGUUGCAUUUCAAAAUGAAUGGUGUCUUCUGGUGAGCUCGUGGAGAUGAAUCUUAACAUAUUACUGCAACUCUGAAUCUCGAGCUUUAGCAAAGAAGGGAAUUCAACAACUAAAUCUGAAUGAAUAUGUCCCGUAUUGGCAAAGCUUGUUAGCUCUGGAAGCCAAUAGAGCCGCAGGAAGUGUAGUUUAGGAAAAACCUUUAAUUCAAUCAACUUUCCUUCAUCUCUUCCUAACCACCCCGUCGUGUCGACUACCCCUUCCAUUGACUUACAAUCCCAUAUUUGAAGACGUUGGAGUUGCAAAAGACUAUUAACCAUAGAAUACGAAAACAGAUACUUCAUACGAUCACAACCGAACACGUGCAGCUUUGUUAAAUUUUGACAACAGUACAUUCCUUGAUUAUGAUCGGCCCAUAAUUUUUUUAUGUUUCUUAAUCUCGUGAGAUUCAAUUUUUCUAAGCUCGGAAGAAUAACCUGCAAAGAAAACCCGUACAUUUUUGUUCCUUCAAGUACAACCGUCUAGUAUAAUAUUCUUUUCAUGAUCGAAGAUUAAUCGUGAUAAUAAAUUAAUCAAUUAAUUAUUGAACGGAAAAUUAUCACCUUUGGAGCAGGAUCAUCAUCAGCAAUGAUUUCGUUGAAUCCCAAAGAAGUUGUUGGUUUCUCCCUGUCGGGUCCUAUAAACAAACAAAAACAAUACACAUAAUUAAUCUUUGUCGGUUUUUUUUUUUCAAAAUAAUUGAGGCGAAGUCCAUAAAUCCACCAACACUUAAUUUCAACACUUACCAAAAAUCAUUUCCAGAUCAUCGCAAAGACUUAUUAAUACUUUUUGAAGCCGCAGUAGGUUUUUUGCCAUGGAGAAUGAGAAAAGAUGCUUCAAUUUGUGACAGGAUUGUACUCCUAUAAUCCUUAAGUUGCUGAAAGAUUGAUCUUCUGUGAGUUGGCUGUCACAUAUUGUCUCCAAAUUGUUCAAAUAGCUAAGAAACAAUGACUCCAGCAAGGGAAAGACUGUACAAUGAACCCGUCCAACUGAACCGACAAUAUGCAAAAUCUCAGAACAACUUUCUACACGAAGAUGCUUCAAUCGUGGAAAACCUUCCCCAUCAUCUAAUUCAUGAACAACAUUCUGAACACCCUUAAGUUCGUAUAGAUUGAUAUCUUCAGUUUCCUUCAGUAACAUUUUCAUCCCAUAAUUCUCCAAAAGACUGCUAACAUUUUCUAGCCCAUGGAGCUUCAUCAAUCUUGAUGUUUCAGAAUUAACGGGCCAGAUGUCCCACACUUCUCCUAUGCAUAUCCUGUAUCUUGACAAUUCCACAAAGACCAAAUCCUGCAGCAGAAUUUGGGCAUCCCGAACUUGUAUCUCCAAAGUAGUUAGCUUUGACAACCCCUUCAACUCAGCAAGACUGGCGUUACUUCCUCCUUCAACCUUAUCCCACUGCGAAAAGCUGUCACCCAUAUAUAGUUCUUCCAAUCGAGAAAAUUUUGAUAUGACAUUUGGUGCUAUCACCAUAAGGCUGCUACAAUUGCUCAAAUCUAGCAACAAUAACCUCGUCAAUUGUCCAAUUUCAAGGGGUAACUGCUUAAUGUCGGAAUCUCGAAGGCUGAGAAUCUCUAAUUUCUUUAGCUGUCCAACUAUUGCUAUAUCUUCUAGUCCGCAACUAUCUAAACACAAUGUUUGAAGGUUAAUGAGGCGACCAAGUGAUGAAGGUAAUGAAGAGAAAGGAAUUCUAGUAAGACUUAAAACUUUGAGUUCUUCUGUCCCUUCAAAAAAGAGGUCAGAAAUUUGCAUAGAGACGGGCGCCAUGCCCCUUGCUAUUAACAAAAAUAACUUGAGUUGGGGACAUUCCAACCUUUCGGGAAGCUCUUGAAUAUCUUCGUAAGGUAAAGAANNNNNNNNNNNNNNNNNNNNNNNNNNNNNNNNNNNNNNNNNNNNNNNNNNNNNNNNNNNNNNNNNNNNNNNNNNNNNNNNNNNNNNNNNNNNNNNNNNNNGCAUUGAUACAGCAACAUCAUGAAUGAUGUCAUGCAUUUUAACUUCAUCUUCAGUAUCGCCAUCUAACAAUAAGCAUGAAGCUUUGAGAUUGUCGAUCAAUGCAUCCACUCUAUUCCUUGCAUCUUCCAAUGUGUGAACAUUUUUAAACAAACCCAAACCCAUACCAUAUCUCAACAGGGAAACAACUUCUACAGGAUUACCUUCACCAAACAGAGUACAAAGAAGGAACAAAGAUUUUGCUUCAUCACUUUCCAAGAAAUCGUAACUCAAUUUUAUGGAAGAAUACACAUAUGCAUCCAUACCACGAAUUUCUCUUAGAUUGGAACUUCUUAGCUGAUUCAAUGCAUCCUUCCAAAUGUUAAGACUCUUAUUUUUCAGAGCACUUGCAACUGUUCUCAGUGCAACAGGCAAUCCCCCGCAUUUUUCAACGAUCUCAUCUGCAGUGGGUUGAAAAUCAUAUGUUUUUUUUGAAUCACCCACAAUCUUCUCAAAUAACUGCAAUGCUUCAUCUUUGGAUAAAGCAUCGAUCCAGAAAUUUUUCUGAGAAUUCAUAUCAUUGCACAAUAAAUCUCGACUUCGAGACGUCAAUAUUAUUGUGCGUCUACUCCGAUCGUCCUCUCUAUCAUAAGGAAUUCCAACUUUAUCGAACUCAAGUUUUGUCCAAAUAUUAUCCAGUAUAAUGAGGAGCAGCUUCUCUUGCUUCAACCUUUGACACAGUCGAGAAGCUCUUUGAAAUUCAUUCUCAUUCAAGUCAAAUUCCAUGCCUAAAUCAAAAGCAAGUUUGUCUUGAAUUUUAUGAUGAUCUGGUGUCUGUGUUACCUCAGCCAUAACGACCUUAUCGAACAACUUAUCUUCCAUCACUUGCUUUCUAACUUGCUUGACUAGCGUGGUUUUACCCACGCCGCCCAUCCCGUAGACCCCAAUUAUUUUGAAACUAUCAUCCUUCAACGCAUCCAAAACAUCUUGAAAUACUUUCGUUCUUGAAUCGAACUCCUCGUAAUCUUUCACUGGCAUAUAUUCUGUACUCUUUGGAGCAGGACGGUAGGAAACACUAGAGAAGUUGCCUUUUCCCACGAGACUAGCGGCAGCUUCUGCGGCCUUUGCUGCUUGUUUACUAAGCUGGUAACGAGAAAUCAAGUUGGGGAACAACCCUUUGAAGCAGGACUUCUUAGCUCUAUCUUCAUCAUCAAUGAUGGAUUUUGCAACCCCUUCACUGAUGAAUUCAUCAACUUUAUUUAGCCAGUCUAUGACACCCUCAUAAAUCUCAUCCCCUUGUAGUCUAGCAUGAUUAACAGGUUGUUGCACCGUUUCUCUUCUAUAUCCCAGCUGCUUCACUUGAUCUUUCAGGCCAUCUAUGUAGUUCUGGUGCUUGAACACAUAAGAUAUCUGCCGUAUAAUCGGUUUGAACAGUGACUUUGAACCUUCUGAUACAAUGCUGGAAAAAGCAGCCAGACCCACUUCUGCCAUUGCCUGCUGCUUAACAAAUCUAAUAAUAUGUCAAAGAAAGGGGAAAGGAAUAGAAAUAAAUUAAAAUAAACUAGAGAGUGACAAAAAAGGAAAAGACAGCAAACAGAAUCGCAAAAUUGAUCUUGAAUCAACUGAAACAUGAACAGAGCAUUUUUUCUUCUUUCUUAAGGAUCAGAGUUUUUGCUAUUAACAGAAACGUGCUUCAAGUGUCCCAAAAAAAAAAUGAUAAAUGAACAAGCCAUAGAAAUUUUAUCUUGGAAAGUGGAUGGAAAUUAAGAAAGAAAUGGUAUAGAGAUCAAGCAUCAGAGAUUAUAUUAUUAAAAGAAAUUAAUUGAAGGUUGUGGAAAACCUGUUUAAUUAUGGAAAGUUGAUGAGCUUCUGUAAUCGCCUUGAGUAUUUAAGUGCAAUUUUGAUGAGCAAAAAGUUACUGUUACCUGCAGAGGAAUGUAAUUAUAGAGAGCUUAUGAGAGUAAUGACAAUGAUUUGCAAAAGAAGAAGACUCAAUCAUGGAGCCCUUAAUAUUUCUUUUAUGAAUAAACUGCCAGCAGGAAAAAUAAAAAAAAGUGGUAAAUUUACCAAGUCUUAUUUUAUUUUUAAUUUCUUUUAUUUUCAUUCGCCGAAGAGGGAAUCUCUUUUUUUUUCGUAAGGGAAAUAUCCUUUCCUAAUAUGUCAUGAUUAAAGCAAUCUAUAAAUAAUACAAUAAUCAUAUAAUGUAAUAAUUAAAAAGACCCACAUAUUUAUAAUAUUAAUGAUGGGAUCCAUACGUUCCUACUGAUUAAAUUGGUGGACCAGAAUUUAUUUGACCUUACUUGUUUUAUAUUUAAUUAAAAAUUGAAACGACAGAGAAAAAUUGUCGUAAUGAUGGUUUCGAUUGUGGAGUUCAGCUGUGGAUAGCACUUGCAAUACUGAAAAAGAAGCUUUCGUCAACUUUCUCACAUGGACGCGCACCAUCACGCAUAAUUGCAUAUUGCAUUAUUUCUCUAGAAAAGCAAAAGCAAGAUUUAUUCUUUUAAUAAGCAAACGCGUAGGUGGGAAUCCAUUCAUUAAACAAGUGGAACAGCAAUAUAUUAAACCAAUGAUAAGCAUUCUUAAGUGGGAAACCAAUUAUGACGGAUAGUUCAAAAUCUGAAUCCGCCUGAUGGACGGGUUUGACCGCAGAGCUCAAGAUAAUCUGAACCAUUCUCCUUUCGUAACUUAUAGAUAAUUUGAAAACAGGGGAAUGAAAACAGAGGAGCCCUGUUUUUCCUUCCUUUUUUUUUUUUUUUUUUCUUACCCAACUCUUCUUCUUUUGUAUAUUUUCCUUGGAAUUUUAGGUAAACCAAAAAACUUUGAGAAUGAUUUCAAGAGAAUAGGUGGGUAAUAACUAAAAUAUUUAUCUAUAUAUUUAUAUAAAGUUGGGACUACAAGAGAUGAUGUGGCAUCACCAUUUCUAAUUUUUGUAUAUUCUCUAUUAUCUAACAAAUAGAGAAAUUUUCUUUCAGAUUUUAUUUUUCAUCUUUUCAUAAUUAAUUUGACUGUUAUUAUACAAUCAAUAUGUAACAGUUCAUCAAAAGACCCACUAUCUUCUUUAAUUGAAACCUUCUUGAUCAGGACUACAAGAAGUAAUGUGGCACUACCAUUUCUCAUCUUUGUAUAUUCUCUAUUAUCUAACAAAUAGAGAAAAUUUCUUUUAGAUUUGGCUUUUUAUCUUCUCACAAUUAAUUUGACUGUUAUCAUACAAUUAAUAUGUAACAGUUCAUAAAAAAACUCACUAUCUUCUCUAAUUGAAGCCUUCUUGAUCAUAAAUUAAGCAAUAAUUUAUAAAUAUUUUUAAUCACUCUUCUCCUCUGACUCACCUAAAUUUAUAAAUAACAACAAAAAAUAUGAUAUCUCAUGUAAAUAUAAAAGAAUAGAAAAUAGCAAUAGCUCUAAAACAUUUUUUUUUUCAUUUUGGCCCUCACUUGCCUGAUCAUGGCAAAUAUUACAAAUGCAACCAGUAGGAAUGAUUGCCUCAACAACAAUAUGAAACCAGGCUACAAUCUUGCAACAAGACUUGAAGUUAGUGGAGGCCAAAUGGAGUGUUGGAACGUGUUAAUGGAGCUGAAAUCAUGCUCAAAUGAGAUUGUUAUAUUCUUCAUUAAUAGUCAGGCUGAUAUUGGCCCUGACUGUUGUCGCACUGGCCUGCAAUGCUCACCUCUCUCGGAUUCACGGCUGAAGAAGGGAACAUACUGAGAGACUACUGUGAUGCAUCUUCUGCUCCUUCUCCAGGUGGCCUCGCGGUGAUAUAUCAGCUUCAGGUUUCCAAGGUUUUUUGGCUUAGACAGGGUGCAUCUAUGGUACUUCAUAAUUAAAAAAAGUCUUUUUGGUUUUAUCUUUUCUUUAUUUUUUUAUUUUUUUUUUGGAAGUCUUGCCUCUUAAUCGAAUAGAAUAAAUUGUUAAAAUUAGAAUAAGAAAAAAAGGAUAAUAUUAUUUUUUUUCAAAGCCGCGCAAAGGGCGGUUCUAUUUCCUAGUUUUUAUAUAUUUGAUAAGCACGCUCACUAUUAAUAAAACCCAUUAAAUGCUAUAACUUAAAUAACUUCUUGUAGUUGAUUGAGAGUAUGUUUGGAAUUUCUUUUACUUCCCAAUAAUUAAUUUUUACCUUGAUUAUCAGAAAAUUAAUUUUAUGAAUAAUUUAGCCGGGUGUUUGGUAAAUGAUGAUUAUUUGACAAUCAGUUUUUAAAUAAUCUAUUAUAUAAAUAUAGUAAGUGAAAAUUAGAAGUAUAAUGUUCAUGUAGAAAUGACAAAAAUGUACUCAUUUACUUAUUUGUAAUUUAUUUAGAAUAUUAUUAUUUAAAUAAUUUUUCUUAUUCAUUGGAUUUUUUAAGAGCAUAUUCUAUUUUCUUGAUUACACAUUUAAAUAACUUUUUAUUAACUAUUUUAAUCUGCAAUAAAAAUUAACUAUAUUAUAUUUAACUAAAAAAUUUGUUAUGUAGUCCGUAAUAUACACAAAUACUUGAAUUUAUUAAUAAACUUAACUGCAAAAAAGAAAAUGCAUUACAUAUAUCUAAUUUCUUAUUUUCAACGAUUGAAAGAUGUUAUUUAGGAAACUUGUACGAGAUAAUUUAAUUUUGGACUAUUGACAUUAUAUUUACUUAGAAGUGGAAAUAGUGGGUGGAUAAAUUUAAUUUUUCAUUAAUUGCUCAAGAAGCAAGAGGAUUAGUGAUGGAUGGAGAGUUAGUGUAGAAUUGUGAGGCCAUUUGAUUACUGCAAGCAUUAUAAAUUUCUUGUUGCUGAGAUUAAUCUAAUUGAAUUAAUGACUCCAUGAUAGACUUAACAAAGGAUUCUUGUGGCAAGAUUUCUAUUUAUGAGGCCAUUUGAUUACUGUAAGCAUUAUAAAUUUCUUGUGGCAAGAUUUCUAUUUAUGACUCCAUGAUAGACUUAAGUUUUAGUGAGACAAUUGCUGCCUGUUGCAGACAUGAUACCUCUAGUACUUCAGAAGAUAGCAUAUCACGAAACACAUCCAGACUAUACUGAGGUUACAUCGAAAAUUCCUUGGCCCAUCGUGCGAGUGUGUGACAUCCCGCAACAAAAAUUAGGGUAUGUACUAUAUAUAUAAUGUGUUUUGAACAUAAUAAUAAGAAUGCUGAUUUUUAACAAUUAAUUUAUUUUACUUUUUUUAGUGGUGAUUGUGGAGAAUUUUUGUUGCGGUACUUGGAGGUCCUAACCCAUGGACUUGAUGUCAAUUCAUAUUGCAAACAAGAUCAUGUUAUACAAUUUCGAAAAGCCUUGGUUGUCAAAUUAUUUGGGCAUAGGUCAUGGAAAAAAACUUUGUAGUGUACUACCCUUAAAAACUUUGUUGGUGUGUCAUUUUUGGACCAUGAGAUGUGAUAGUUAUAAUGAGGAUGUUGUUGAUAUUUGAUGUCAUUAAAGAUAACUUGACAUCAUUAAUAUGUUUUAUUUCUUUGUUAACUAUAUUAAUGAUAGUGAAGAUAGUUUGUACAAUCUAUGUAAUGUAACAGGAUUGCCAUAUAUGCUCAGGGAAUACUCUGUAAGAAAAUACACGACUGCUGUUAGCUAUUUGCACGGAUACAUGACUGCAGUCGAGUAUUUACAAAUAUACAUGACUAGCUCUCUGUAAGAAAAUACUCGACUGCAAUUGGGUAUUUACACAGAUACACGACUGCAGUCAAGUAUUUAUAAUUGUACAUAACCAGCUCUCUAUAAGAAAAUACUCGACUGCAUUCGGGUAUUUACACAGAUACACGACUGCAAUCGAGUAUUUAUAAUUAUAUUUGACCAGCUCUCUGUAAGAAAAUACUCGACUGUAGUCGGGUAUUUGCACAGAUACACGACUACAGCCGAGUAUUUACAAUUAAAUAUGACUAGCUCUCUAUAAGAAAAUACACGACUGCAGUCGGGUAUUUGCACAGAUACACGACUGCAGUCGAGUAUUUGUAAAUAAACAUGACCAGUUCUGUAACAGCCAAAAUACACGAUUGUACUCGGGUAUGUGGACACGGAAUAAAAAAUCAACUAAAACAUUCAUUAUAUUGAUGACACAAUCAAUAUAAACUUUAACAUAUUAAAUUUCAAAUAAAUGAAACUAACUGUAGUCUGGUUGCCUAUCAAACAACAUAAAUCCAAUACUUAUUCGAAUCGUAAAUAAGUCAUAAUACAAUAAAAGUUGUUUAACAAUCAUCAUAAUUUUUUUGCAUUUUCAACCCAAACACUCGGUCCAUAUUUUAUAAGCCUCUAGUAAUUUGGUUGCCUAUUAAAUAACCCGAGAUACUAUUUCUAUCAAUUGUGCAUACGUUGUAGAAUAGGGCACUAUGAUCCCUCUUGCCUUUGUACCAUUAAAUCUAUAAUGGCCGUUUUGCUCAAUCCAUUCACCACAAAACAUAAUUGGCACACGUACUGAAGUCAUUUCCUGUAAUAAUACAACGGUUGAUUAUACAACAAAUACAAAAAUAAAAAUCAAGCAAUGUAUAUAACGAAGUGUGGAUCUGUCUGCCUAUUUACAUGACUCACGUCGUGUAAUUGGUAGUUUACACGACAAUAGUUAUGUAACUUGCUAAAAUACACAACUAUAGUUCUAUAAACAGUCAGAUGAUAUAUUUAGUAAAAAAAGCUGUAAUCUUUGUACUAAUCGAAUGGUAGGUGUCAUAACAGCUACUAUAUCUUCCAAACUUGCACGAUUGUUGUCGUGUAAAUUCAUACAUACAUGACAAAAGUCGUGUAAGUUGCAAAAAUAUAUGACUCAAUAAAUAAUCAGAGGACAUAUUUCUUCUUAAAAAAAUAUUGGGAUCUGAUAACAAUUGGAACAUUUUACAUAUAUACACAAUUAUAGUAUGUAAGUUCAUACGUACACGAUAGUAGUCGUGUAACUUAUUAACACACACGACUAUAGUCCAGUAAUAGUAAAAGGAUAUAUAUAGUGAAAAAAAAAAUAUUUUUUGCACCAAUAGAAUGAUAAAGUGUCAUGAUAAUUGGAAUCUUUUGCACAUUUGCACGACUACAGUUAUGUAAAUCCAUACAUACAAGACUGAUGUCGUGUAUGUCGGGUGCAGAAAAAAAUUUUGGCAACAACUUCAGGUUUUAACGAAUGUAGUUAUAAAAUCCAUCAAAUAACAGUCAUAUGAUGCAAAUGUAAUGAAAUAUGAGUUGCUUUAGUGUUUAUCACAAACCAAACAAAACCCUAAAAAUAAUAUAAUGUCAAUUAAAUGAAUAAAUAACACAAAAUAAAAAAAAAUUUCAAAUACCUUAUUCAUGGGAUGAAUAAUGCACCCAGCUGCAAAUUAAAAUCUCAAUGCAUUAGCUGUUUGUGAGUGAUUUUGAGUAUGGAGUGAGUUUUCGUUGUGUGGAGUUAAAAAAAGUGAGAAGUAAAGAGUGUUAGAGACGAGUUGUGUGUGUUUUAUAUAUUUUUUUAAGGAUAUUUUAAACAAUGUAUCACAUAAAAAGGUAUAUCUAGAUAAUUUUCAAGCAUGUGAUAUAUUUAACUAAAUACCCUACUUUUAAGGUAUCUUUAAUUAAAAACCCUCUUAUAGUUGAUUGAGGGUAUGUUUGGAAUUUCUUUUACUUCCCAAUUAUUAAUUUUUACCUUGAUUAUCAGAAAAUUAAUUUUAUGAAUAAUUUAGCCGGGUGUUUGGUAAAUGAUGAUUAUUUGACAAUCAGUUUUUAAAUAAUCUACUAUAUAAAUCUGGUAAGUGAAAAUUAAAAGUAUAAUGUUCAUGUGCAAAUGACAAAAAUGUACUCAUUUACUUAUUUGUAAUUUAUUUAGAAUAUUAUUAUUAAAUAAUUUUUCUUAUUCAUUGGAUUUUUGAAGAGCAUAUUCUAUUUUCUUGAUUACAUAUUUAAAUAAUUUUUUAUUAACUAUUUUAAUUUGCAAUAAAAAUUAACUAUAAUAUAUUUAACUAAAAAAUUUGUUAUGUAGUCCGUAAUAUACACAAAUACUUGAAUUGAUUAAUAAGCUUAACUGCAAAAAAGAAAAUGCAAAAAUUUAAUCUCUAUAUAAACUUUUAUGUACACAAAACUAUUGUAAUAAAGUAAUUCAUAGAAAUAUAAUAUUAUAUACAUGUGUAAAGAAAUAUAUAACUAUAAUAUUAUCCACUUGUAGCACUAUUAUUUUUCAAUCUCUCCAUCUCUUGAUCUUCAAGAACGUUAGUACCAUGAUCUGCUUCUUGAGUUCGACCUCCAUUUCCACAGCAUCAACAAGGCAAUCAAUUUGCCGUGAAAGCCUUACAGCUCCUCCCACUUUCCUCCUUUUUGUAGCCACUCUUUUUCCCUUUCUUUAUUUAGUAGCUUCUAUGGAAAUGUUGUGAAAAUUUUAAUAUACUCGCAAGCGCACGAAUCUAGAAAUAGAAUAGUAGUAACGAGGUCGAUCCCACAGGGAUUGUUAUAAAUUAAAAAGUCUAAUUUAAAUCUAAAAUUAAUAUUAAUUCUAACCUAGUUGAGCAAAUUGAGUUUUUAAGAAAAUUAAACCAAUAAAACUAAGGAAGCAAUUAAAAUAAAGGAGAAUUCAAUAAGAUAAGAAUUACCAAGGUUUUAGAAUCCACCACUAUUCAACUAGUAAUUAUCUAAUUAUUAAUUAAUCCCCAAUUUUGGAGUGACAACUCGAAAUCAAUCUAUGUCAUCUCAUGGAUAUAACAAUUAAGCCCAAGUAAUUAAAUCUAAUGUAAGUUCUUUUUCUGCUUAAUAAUAUGACAUCUAAGAAUCUCAUGUAAACAUAUUGAAUAACAAAGAGUCAAAGUUUUCCUAAGCACUCUAUGUAAACAAUUUAAUGAAAGACAUAGAAUCAAAGAUAAUCAUGUAUAAACUUUAUAAAUUCAAGCAUAGAUUUAAUUGAAUAUUAAUCCUAACAAUCAAUAAUGCAUGACAGAAUUGAUGAAAAGAUUUUAUUAAUAUCUAAUUAAUCAUGUGAAAUAAAAACCAUAAUCAUCAAAGAACAUAUAUAGGGAAUUAAUUAAAUAAAAAGAUAAUUAUUUCAUUGAAUAGGGUUUCAUCCUUAACCUCAGUAUAAGAAAAUUAGUUAGACAUACUUGAAUUGAGAGCAACAAAAUAAAUAAAUUCAGCCAUGGGGAAGCCGAAUUGCUGCAGAUUUUCUUCUCUGUCUUGAAUCCUUGCGUCUCCAGUUCUCCCUUCUGACGGCUCUCUUGCCUUUAUAUAAUGUUACUAACUUGCUUAAUCCUUAUUGGAUUCUAAUUGCAUUAAUUCUUCUCCACCGACUUAUAAAGCCCACUCACCAAGGCCUUUUAAAAUUAUUUCCUUACUAAACUUUGAAAGCAAAGCACACGUUUGACCACAAAAGCAAAAGGCCAAUUAAUGAUUUCUUCUUUUAAUGCCCAGCACAUGCAUUCCAAAUUGCCAAAUCUUUGCUUUCCAAAUGCAUGCCCACCGUUCAUCCUUUGAAGAGAUUGACUUCCAAUUUUGGUCUUCUUGACUUCCAUUAAUUCUUGGUUGCAUUUUUGUCUUCCAAUUUAAUCUUUAUUCCUUCUCAAUUUGAAGUGUUUUCAUGCCCUUUUUAUCAACAAUCUCCAAUUAAUUCCCUAUUCAAUAAAACAAUUCAAUUAAUUAAAAAUAACAAAUAAAUAUAACUAGCAAUUAUAUUAUUAAGGGUAAAAUAUGUAUAUAAAUUAUGCUCAUCAGGAAACAAACUCAUCGAACUACCAGUACAUUUUUCAAUUAGAUAGGACUGAUAGUAGAUAUUCAGUACUCUCAGAUGGUGUGCAAACAUGAUCAUCAGUGAUUGUUGUCUUAAAAAGCAUUCUAUUUAAUUGUUCCUCUGACUCUGGCAUGCAAAAUUUCUUGAUUCACGAAUUUCCUACGUAUGUUGAUAUCAUAUUAAAAUGAAUUCAAUAUCACAUNNNNNNNNNNNNNNNNNNNNNNNNNNNNNNNNNNNNNNNNNNNNNNNNNNNNNNNNNNNNNNNNNNNNNNNNNNNNNNNNNNNNNNNNNNNNNNNNNNNNGCAUGUUGUGAGCUUAUUACCAAAAAUGAGACUAUAUAUUUAAGCCGAAUGGUAAAAAACUUCGGAUGGAGGAUGUGCCAUCUUUUUAUUUUAGAUGCUUUCGGAUGGAGGAUGUGCCAUUUUUUUAUUUUACAUGCUUUGUAAGACUUUUAAUGAUCGAGUGCAGUCAAUUAACAAAAGCUUACAUAUUAUUUGUUGAAAAUUGAUUUUAAAAAAAGAAGUCAAAAUGAUGGGUGGUUGAGCCUGUUGGGGAAAAAUCAGGUUUUUAAAUUUUUAUAAAACCUUUUGAAGAUCGCUCUCAUAUAAUAUAUAAGAAUUCGUAUUCUAGAAAUCGUACCUUGUAAAUCUGAGUUUGCUUUUUCCGCUGAAGUGAUUUAGGCUCCUAGAUCACGAUCCGCCACCACCACUCCUGUUAGAUCACGAUCCGUCACCACCACGCUUGUUAGAUCACGAACUGUCUCCAAUGAUCUUCCAGGUUAUGACUCAGGUUCGAUCUGCACUUGACGUGUGGGCGCCUUUAUCACUACCAAAGCAACUAGCACGAGAAAAUUUUUCUCUCAAAAAUGGAGAGAAAAAUCUUAUUCUCUGAUUUGUAUAAAGUGGCUUCUCCACUUUUUCUUUAGAGAAAAAUAAGCCUUUUAUAUCACUCUUUAGUGAAAACCCUAGGCUCCAAAUAAAAUAAAAUCAAAACCCACGUUAUUUACUUUUUCAAUAGGGGACCCACCUUGUAAAAUAACAUAAGGCCCGUUAUACAAAAGCUAAUUAAAUGGAGCCUCCCACUAAAUGAUAUAUUUAGGCUUUUGACCCAAAUUGCUAGUUAUCUUACUUAUUAGUCCAGUAGUGGUGCAAUCAAUUAAAUGAGCUAACCCGGGGAUCAUUUGGGAACAUACAAUAGUGGCUACAAUAAUUAGGCAUGUAAUUAAACUAGCCCAAUUAUUUAAUUCCAAAUCUACUCCACUAAAAGAUUGGAACUGACUUCCAUAAUUGUAUGCUCGAAUAAUAAUUCGUCCCAAGCCACAUUGAUUUCUUUACUGCACAAUCCUUUGUACCACAUCGUUAAUUAAAUUGAUAUCUCAACUGUCCAAUCAAUUUAAUAACAUCUUAUUCCUUGAUCCUUACUGGUUUUCUCUAAUGAUCAUUUUCAACAUACUAAAUAUGUUGACACACUCUGGCCAGAGAAUUCUAUGAUCAAGUACCGAAAACCUAUCAAGAGAUGUGUUGUACAAAUUCUAUAUUGUUAAUCCAUAACUCCAAUACUCAUAAUUGCUCCCACCAAGAUACCGGGUAAUCUUGACCACAAGGAUGUGUCGUGCCCAUUGGUAACUCAAAUGGAAUAACAAUCACAAUCAUGAAAUCAUAAUUAACUCAAGAUUAAGAUUACAGUAAAAUCAAUGCCUAUGAGAUUUAAUAAGUCUGACAGUUAUUACAAAGUUAAUUAAAUCUCAUAUGUGAUCCUGUUCAAUGUAGUCGUACUACAUCAAUAAAUUCAUACAUGAUUAAGACAAAUCAUUCAAUGAAUUUAUUACAGUCUAUACCUAAAUAAAGUGCCCAACUUUAUUUAUCAACUGCGAACUAAAUUUAUUUAAUCAUAAGAUAACUUGUAUUUAUGUCUUCUGUGAAUCCACAUGGUGAUCACAUAAAUACAUAUAAUAUGAUUAAAUGGACUUUAAUACAAAUAUUAAUGCAAUUAAGAUAUUUGAAUAAAAUACCUCAUUAAUUUUAUUAAUCAGAAAAAAUGUUUAUUACAAUUAAAUAAACACAUAUGCUUUUAAAGAGCAUAUUUUCCCAACAGAGCCAUCAUCUUUGAAUUCAAAGAUGGUGGGUGGCCAAGUUAGCCACCAUCAUUGAACAAGAAAAAAUGGGUGGGUGCCGCCCAUGCAAUGAAGAAAAGGGAGAAAAUGAAGCCAAAGUUUGGCUAUAAAUAGAGGGGUUCUCCCUCUCAUUUUUGUAUCCCAGAGAAGAAAUCCCAAAAUUUGAGAAGCAAGAAUAUGUAAGAGAAGCAUUGAGAGCUUCCAACAUGGGAGAGAAAUAUUCUUAAGCAUGUAUUUAUAUUGAAAGAGCAUUUGGCUCCUCAAUAUGGGUAUUACGGGUUUGAUUUGUUAAGGAAUAUUUCUCGCAAUUAUGUAUUUGGGGCUUGGGUGAGAGAAAAUUAUUUAUGAGAGUGUGGUUGUAAUAAUUUUCCACAUAGUGAAAUUUUUUUUUUCUGGUUGUCUCUUGACAACGGCUAUGGUUUUUCUCCGGAUUUGGAGUUUUCCACGUAAAUCUUGUGUUGUGUGAUUGUUGUAUUCUCCAUUUAAAUUUUUUGUUAAUUUGUUGCUUGACAAAUUGCUUGGAGUGAUCUUGGAAGGAAACUCAAUUUCCUAACAGUGGUAUCAGAGCCAUUGAUUGAAGUUUUGAUGUCGAGGUACUGUUCACGUAGACAUUACUAUUUCACGUAUACGAUAUUGUUCAUGUAUACGGUAUUGUUCAUGUGAAGCAGUGGGAGCCAAUCUAAAUUGUCCGUGGUGAAGAGUAUAGGGUCAUUAUAAAGCAAAUAUGUCAGUAGCUGGUAUUUUUCAAACUUGGUGGAGUUUGAUGUUGUUCAAAAAUUAAUGGGAGAAUGAUUUUUUGUUGGCUUGUGGAGAAUUCAAGUCAAAGGUGUAUCCAAUCUGGUAUGCACAAAGAUUUGAAGGUGUGGACAAUUUUGGCACCUCAAGAAAAUUGUCAAGAAGGUGGAGCGGGCUCGACAAAUUACUCCAGAAUCAGUAAAAGAAAUACUGAUAUUUCUCGCAGAUGGUGAAUUUGUUUUUGAUAAGAGAUUGGAUUAGUUCUUUUGGCAUGUAGAUCUCCAAGUUACCAUAAAAGAGAACAUGUUAUUAUCAGUGGGGUCCACAAGUUUGCACGAGGGCAUUGGCUUGGUAUAAAUGCAAGGUGUGUGGUGGAAAAGUUAUGUCAUGGCUGAAGAAUUCUCAGUGAAACCAAGCAUGAGAAUUGCACUAUAAAUUUCAGCAGGAUAUUUUGAUAUGUGCCGAGAAAAAUCUUAGAAUAGUUGAUUCUAAGUGGUAUACUCAUUAUGGUGUAGUGUGAUAAUUCUUUAUAUUGAGAAUUAUAACUAUUGGUGAAGACAAUGUUUUGUAGUAGUGACUAUGAAAUUCUUUUUUUUAAUCAUGGUAGAGAUUGUUGAAAAUUGAUUUUAAAAAAAGAAGUCAAAAGGAUGGGUGGUUGAGCCAUCAUCUUUGAAUUCAAAGAUGGUGGGUGGCCAAGUUAGCCACCAUCAUUGAACAAGAAAAAAUGGGUGGGUGCCGCCCAUGCAAAGAAGAAAAGGGAGAAAAUGAAGCCAAAGUUUGGCUAUAAAUAGAGGGGUUCUCCCUCUCAUUUUUGUAUCCCAUAGAAGAAAUCCCAAAAUUUGAGAAGCAAGAAUAUGUAAGAGAAGCAUUGAGAGCUUCCAACAUGGGAGAGAAAUAUUCUUAAGCAUGUAUUUAUAUUGAAGGAGCAUUUGGCUCCUCAAUAUGGGUAUUACGGGUUUGCUUUGUUAAGGAAUAUUUCUCGCAAUUAUGUAUUUGGGGCUUGGGUGAGAGAAAAUUAUUUAUGAGAGUGUGGUUGUAAUAAUUUUCCAAAUAGUGAAUAUUUUUUCUUUGGUUGUCUCUUGACAACGACUGUGGUUUUUCUCCGGAUUUAGAGUUUUCCAUGUAAAUCUUGUGUUGUGUGAUUGUUGUAUUCUCCAUUUAAAUUUUUUGUUAAUUUGUUGCUUGACAAAUUGCUUGAAGUGAUCUUGGGGUGAAACUUAAUUUCCUAACAUUAUUUAGGUGCUGAGAUGUCUGUUCUUGAUAAAGUAGAUUUAUUUACACCCAAGCCAACGUAACAAAAGCCUAAUAUACACAAUAAUUAUUUUUGUUAGACUGAUUUCUAGCUAAUGAGAUCUUUGAAAGCAUUCAAAGAAGCCACAGAACUCAUAGGAAAGCCCUGAUAAAAUAUACGGCGAAGCAUGUGAGCUCGUUUUUUAAUCUCUUGAUCACUCAUAAGCUUUUCUAUACCAAUGACUAUAUCAUUCUUUUGAAUCGAUUUUGAUUGAUCAUUAGAAAUCAUGUACCCCACCUUUAGAUGAUUGAUCACCAAUUUGGCAUUGUAAUGUUGAUCAUCUCUAAUUGGCCAUGCUAAAAUUGGAACCCCACACCAAUGGCUUCUACCAUUGAAUUCCAUCCACAAUGAGAUAAAAAUUCACCCAUUGAUUGAUGAUUCAAUAUCAAUAAUUGUGGCGCCCAUCCAUCUAUUAUCAAUCCCUUUUUACUGGCUUUACUACCCAAACCACUAUGAAAAUAAUUGCCUUCUGCUGGUCUGUCUAAACCAGUUAAAUGACACGGAGGAUCCAAUCUACCAGCACCAGUUUGAAUUACCCAAAUAAAUGGUUCAUUUGAUACUUCUAAAGCAUUGGCUAGUACUAAAUACUCAUCUAACUUGGACCCACUUCGAUACCAAAUGACACAUAUAACACAGAUCCUCAUGAUUUCAAAUCCAACCAUUGAAUGAUCUCAUCUUCGUUCAUGUUAGAACUCCACCGAUUGGUUCUCAUCUCACGAUCACGAAGCACUGAACCCGCCCCAUUUGUAAAAUUGUUCAAGUAAUAAUGGGCCUACUCCCCACAUUGGCUUUCCCAUUCGAUUGACUAAAUAAUGGGAGAUUGCCAAUUUUCCCCUACUAUAAUCAAUAUAUAUCAUUUAUUCAUUUACUAUUUUUAUAAUGGUCAAAAAUCCCCUUGACAGUAUAAGUUUAUAAUAUUACUUUUAUUUUUAAUUGCUCUUUUAUUUAUAUUUAUUAUAAAUAAAAUAAAUCACAUGAAUAAAAAAUAAAUAAAUAAUUAAGUAUUAAAAACAAGAAAUAUAUGUUUUAAUAUGAGCAAAAAAUUUAAUAAUAAAUUUUUCUUGUAAUUAUUUAUUUUGUGAAUAUUUUCUUAUAAUAAACAUUUAUAAUAUUUUAAAAUUAAAUGUAAAAAGAAUAGGCAAAAUAUUUUAUUAUUUAUCUUAUAAUAAAUUUUUAUUUGUCAUUCAAGUUUUCUUAUAAUAGUUUUUUAUCAUUUUAUAAUAAUUUUCUUAUAUAUUUAUUAUAAGAAAAUUUUCAAAAAAUAAAUAAGUACAAGAAAAAAUUACAUUAUUGAUUUUUUUGCUCAUAUCAAAACAUAUAUUUGUUAUUUUUAAUGCUUAAUUUUUUAUUUAAUUUAUAUUCAUGUGAUUUAUUUAAUUUAUAAUAAAUAUAAAUAAAAGAGUAGUUGAAAAUAAGGAUAAUAUUAUAAACUUAUGUUAUCAGGAAGAGUUUUUGGUCAUUAUAAAAACAGGAAGGAGGUAAAUGGUAUAUAUUGAUUACAAUAGGGGGAAAAUUGGUAAUCUCCCCUAAAUGAUUAAUAAAUGGUCCCUCAAGAUCAUCACAGGUGUUGAACAUCAAAGCCAUCCAUUCCUCCACUUCCUUCAUCCAGUGUGGUUGAUCACGGGGUUCGAUGGACUCAUUUUCUCUGAACCGGGCGCACCUCGCAAAGGUAGUGGACCACGAGGAAGGGGCCCGUGAGGCCCGUAUUUAAGCUACGAUUCGAAUAAAGCCAUAUCCUUGGGUAACCCAGGAAGUAAAUGGGCCUCUCCCGGUUUGACAUCUUGGAUGCGAGCCUGCUACAUGGCACACUCCACGCUGCUGAGCAAGCACCAGAAGUGAAGAACCCAACAAUGGGACCUUCAAAAUUCUUGAAAACAUCAGCCGUCCAGCCCAUCAUAACGUCGAUGACUGCACAAAUGGGUCGGGUUUCGGGUUCCCGGGUUGAAAGGGGUUUUGAAGGCCUUGAAGCAUUUGACUGUGCAUGACAACAUGGUGGUGGUGGUGGCAGUGGUGGAGAUGAGGAGAGUAUUUCAGUAAUUUCGAAUAGAGGGUAUUGGUGAAGAGGGGAAGGGAUGAUGCCGGUGCCGGAAAUGUGAGAGGGAACGAAUAUUUUAACAGGGACGGAGCCAGCGUGGGACGAGGUGGGGCACAGGCCCCAGCUGGCUUUUAAUUUUUUUUUAUAAUUAUACUAAAAUAUGUAUUUUAUUUGUUAUUUAUGAAAAAUGUCUCAGCUGAAUUGUAAAAUUUAAAAUUGACUCCAGUAAUUUUAAAAUAUUUCAUACUGUCCCUAAUUUAUAUUUUUAAUUAUAAAUUAUUUAAUUAGUUAUUAACAUUUCAUGAAACUUUAUUAAAGACACGAGAACAAAUAUUAAAAUAAAAAAUAAUCAUAACAAAAUGUUAGUAUAAUGGUUAAUGGACUAGUUUUUAAUCUUUUUAUUUUUUAUUCAAGUAAAAUUAAUUAUUUAGUCUUUCAACACUGACCAUAAGUUGUAAGUCUUCCUAAUUCUAAUUUAUAAUUUUCUAAUUAAUCUUUUAUCUAGUUUUAAAAUUUAUAAUUUUAUCAUGCAUUUCAUAUUUGUUCUGUGUGUUGCAAUAUUUGAAUAUUUUUGUUAUUAUUAAAAGAUUUUAAGAGCAAAUUAAGUAAUAACCUAGUCUUGUAUAUUGAAAAAUAUAUUUUUGCUUAUAUUGAUAAUUCAUUAUUUUCAACUCAUAAAAUCCCAUUGAGGAGAUUUCGCGGAGAACCAUUGUAAUAAGUAAAUUUAUUAUCAAUGAAUAUUAUAGUUGUAAUGCUAUUUAUUGAUAUCUAAAUUUUUAAAAAUGUAUUAUACUUUAAAUAUGCUUUCAAUUAGAUGCAUACAGACGCACUCUAUAAGAAGUACAAUUGUACAUGUAGCAAGCUCCCAUUUAGAGUUUAUAGGGCCCACAAUACAGUUUCUCAAAUGACGACUUAUCACACGAGCAAUCGUACAUUCGAGUCAUCUUUAAUUUUAAAUGUGCCCCAGCUCUAUCAAAAUCCUGGCUACGUCCCUGGGAACGAUGAGGGUAGAUUUGUAAUUACGUGAAGCGAUUUACUUGCAUAAUUCAAUGCAUGGAAAUAGAUGUCCCUGACCGAAGAAUGAGACAAUCCAAAUCUCAGCCUCAGCAGCAUUAACGACAGAGCUUGACAUAUUUUAUUAAUCAUUUGAUACUUAAUUAUUACUGACUGCUUUUGCCACCUUUCGUAAAACAUUCUUGGUUAUAUAUAAAAGAGAUGAUUUGAUGGCGAAGUGUGUGUUUUACUUUUACAGUUUUACUAGUCGGUGAGCUAUGAUUUUGAUAAUUUGAUUGUUAGUUUCAGUUGGUUAGUUAUGAGAAAGCAUCUUUCAAAAAAUUCAUUACAGUUUCAACUAAAAUUAACAAUACUAUUCAAAUUAAUUACUCGAUAAAUAAAUAGUCACAGAUAAAUCUAUCCCUAAUCACACAUUUAUAAAAUAAGGAUUGAAAUGAGUUUCUGUGGCUUCGAACCCACGCCCUCAAGCCCAGCGGCUGGAUCUUGACUACUUUGACAUAAUUAUUAUUAGUUUUUGUCCAUCUUUCACCAGGCAUCUUUUGUUAUAUAAUGAAGAAGAUAAGUUGACGGAGAAGAGUUCUACUUUUACUAGUAGAUGAGCAUUGAAGGUUAGUUUUAGUUAGUUAAAUAUCUACCAUCCAAACCAAAGUUCCUUAGACUAUUAUUCAAGUGAGAUGUUUGAGUAACAUAUGCUUGAGUUAGUCGGUGCCUAACAAUUCAUGUGAUACAUGAAACCAACCAAAUGAAGUUGGUAGGAUUAGAUUAAUUUAAAUGAAAAUAAAAAUUAGUUUAUGCUAUUUAUUUAUCUUAUAAUGUUGAAACUUGAAAGUUAACUCUUCAACCUGUCAAUUGGUUCAUGACAUGAUCAAAUAUUCAAGUAAAUAAAUUUAUCGGUUAAAAUUAAUUUUUCAUGUGGUAAAAGCAAUACUAAAUAUGGAGUGGAGAGAAUCAUUUGUAGGUUAUACCCCCACCUUUUAUUUCAUUUCAUUUAAAAAAAAAAACAACAACAACAACAAAGGCUUGGUCAACAUCCAAGUAAAAUUAACAAUUCCAUGAUAAAAUUGCCUGAGAAUAAAAAUUAAAAAAAAAAAAAAACAGCAACUCGAAAACGAGAUACAAAUACCGCACAGAAGUUUUUCGUCACGAGAUAUUUUUGGGUUGAGACAACGCUUGUAUAACAGAGCAUACAGCUUGGAUGACGGUGAGAAUAAGAAGGAAAACGGCACCGCAGACCGAAAUUCCAGCCCAUGGAGUAUUGAAGUAAUUUUGUUUCAAGUUUGCCCUCCAUUUGUAGCACGUUCUUUUGCAGUGAUCAUUCAAUCCUUUGCAUAGCCCAGAAAAAUAGAAGCUAUCAGACAGCAGAGUAGUACCUCUAGAAAGGUUAUUUAUAAGCGUUGACGCUGCCUCUUUAUCCGGCAACCAGUUCUCAAUGAUUCCGUUCUGAACAAGCAACUCGACGUCCUUCGCUGUGUUCACGAGAUUAUGAAUAAGGAACACGUAAUCAUUUAUGUAAUUCUCUGAGUAAUGCCGUUGUUCAAAGGCAAUGAGAUUACGAAAUAAGGAUUCCGUUUCCAGCUGUAGCUUCAGUUUCGGAAUAUGCAAUGUCCUGUUUUUGAAUUCUAUGGCGAACAAAUCAUUGCUCUUGCUCAAACUGAAGUGGACUCCAGCUUGGUGGAGAUCAGUCACACUUGGUGCGGUUUUACCUUUGUGGUAUUGCUGACCUUCUUGUUUUUCCUGAUUCCUUGAUGAUGGUAGAUGACAAAUCCUUAGAAAAUCAAGGAAAUGCUCUACCCUAGCCUCAGUGUAAGGAGGGAAUUUUUGCCGAUUACCUUGUACUGCCUCUAAACCCUUGAAAUACUCGUAUGUGACUGUGAUGAUGGUUGGAUUUUCAUGUUGGUCGGGGAUUUCAAUUGCCGCUAGAGCAAAAAGAUCCUCAAGAGUGAAGAAAGGAAGCUGAUUCUCAAGCAACCACAUAUCAUACCAUAUAUCCUCUAUUAAAUAGGGUUUUAUGAAAUAUAUGAUCAUCCUUUUUUUGAAGUUGACGGAAAUGAUACCUCAAUAAGAGUUCAAUGAUGAAGGCAGCAUCCAGCAGAAUCAUUUCAACAAAUUUAUCACUACUUAGUUCGACUUUUCUGCAUAAGAACCUCGUAAUUCUGCUUCUCUGAACUUUAUAAUUUGAACAAACUCGUCAAAGCUUAUUUUGGUCCGUUGAAGAAAGUAAUGCAGGUACCGCUGUUUAUGUUCUUCCAUUAACUGUAAGUUUGCUUUGCCAUGGUGAAGAGGGCCAAUUGAGACUACCUGAGGUGUGUAUACCUUUUCAUUUAUCUGACGUAAUCGCUCUGGAACUCUGUAGAUGCAGCAGUUUGAGGGCAAUGGUGAUAAUUUUUUCAACUUAACUUGCAAGCAUUCUUCCAUGUUAUAAACUGAAAACAUGGCGCGAAAUUUAAUCAAUUCAACGCUUAAUAAGGCAUAGUAAUUAAAAAAGAAUUAAAAAAAAAAAAUACAAGAGCAUUCUUACAAGUACAGAAGCACCUCAAUCCCUACUAUUUGCAGAGCUGUAGCCAGGAUUCAAUGAUAGACCGGACUGAACUAAAAGGAACAACUUUCUUAGGAAUAUGUUAUCGGCAUUUUCUCUGGCCUCAGGCCAUCAACAAAGCAGUUUCAGUGCUUCUUAUAUAAUUCCAUGGAUUAUUCCUUGCCUUUACAGAUGAUAUAAGUCACAAUUCAUAUAUUAAUUUCUCCAGAUUCCGUACAAGUGGACCAUAACUAUGGAAAAAUUCAAAGAAUGCAACAGCCAUUUGAUUGGUCCAUGUCAGAAGUUAAUCUGGGGAAAGAAGCUUGAUCUAGCUGUAAAAUUCUCUCCUUCAAUCAGUCAGUUUGGGGCAGCAACAAGAUCAAAGCCACCACGCAAACAUUUACUAAAGUUUAUAUAAUAUUCUUGAACCUCAUCUUAAGUAAAGCAACAAAAGCCUUCACUGUUUCUUAACAACUUUAUUGCUCUAACACAUAGCAUAACAUUUUUAAAUUUGCAUAAAGCACAAUAGUACUUCAGUUUGUAACAACAGCACGGAUAAUAAAUAGCAUUUUAUAGCUUUAACAAAAGCAUACAAAAUUCUUAAACCUUGUUUCAAGCAAUCCAUUAAUGCCACAAGGAUAUCUUUUUGCUUCCUACAGUUUUUAUUGAAAUUCAUAUAUUCUUCUUUAUCAAAUUAAGUAAUUUUCCUUUUUCAAAAAAUCAAGAAGGUUUCGACUGCAUGGAAAUACAGCACACAAUUACUACUAUUCCCGGAGUAAGAAAUUCAUAAAUGCAAUAUAAACAUACAUUUUCAUAAGACAUCAGAAUCAAAGAAUCAUCAAUGCAUCAAAUCUGUACACCCAAAAAAGUUGAAAGCAUCAAGAGAAAAUUAUACCGCAUGGACCCUUUACAACCCUUAUAACGAGUUCAGACAGCCUAAUCCAAUUUGAUAGAUUUGAGGACAGCUACAAUGUGCAAUACAAAAUUUCCCAAUACUAUUUAGAACAAAGUCUAGAAAACAAAACUUAUAUAUUGUACAAAAUCAUGAAAACCAGAAAUGACGAAAAACCUGCAAAUGUAAUUUUUGGGUUUCUUCAACAUAUCUUCCAUCCAAAUCAAACAAGAAUCGAUAAAUCAACAACAUUCAUCUUUAAACGACAUAUUACCACAAUAAAAUUGUCAACCAAGCCUCAUAUAAACCUUUUUUGUGUUUUUUGGUAAAUAUGUUUGUUUUUCUCUAAGAAUACUAGGGAAAAAAGAAACCCACUUUCUUAAUCAAGAAUCAAAUAAUAUAUAUGAAUCUAAGCUGAAGUAAGUCUUGGGUUUGAUGAAAUAGCUUGCAUUGCGAUUUAGAUUGGAAAGGAAGUUGAUUUUUACUGGUUGAGAGAGAGAGAUUUGAGACUUAAGAGAGUGUUGCUAAUCUUCAAUCGUGUAAACAAGGGUAACUGGGUCAUAGUUCAAAAUAAGGGUCCAAAAUUUACUAAAGCUAUUAAGGAGCCCAAAACUCAUAAUGGCUUCCCCAAAAUAAAUAAAAUUUUCUAGCAUUAAGUUUUUGUUUCUUCUUGAGAUUUCCUUGUCGUACUUACCCAUAUUUCGAUAUUGCCUCCAAGUAAACUUAUAUAUAUUGAUUAACAAUAUAAACAAGCACUAUGAAGUUUUAGGCCUGAAAGAACAUUAGGAUUGAAAUGAAAACCAUCUAUUUAAGUAACAAAUUCUUCUGAUAAUCUGAUGCUUAAUUUAGAGAAGAGAUGACAUAUCAAUCACGUUAUGAUGUGGAAGUUAUGAUUAUAUUCAUCUUAGAAUAAGAUCUUUCAGGCACUGGCAGAUUAGUAUAAAAAAUACUCAGCAUAAGACCUACAAACUAGAAAUCACGCACCAAUUAUUGAACUCAGCACAUAAGUUGAUCUUUUAUAAGCUAUAAAACAAAUCUGCUAUAACAUAAGAAAGUGGGAUUUAUCACCAGACAAGUAUUUUGGUGAAACUCAAGCUGACGGAAGGAUAUCCAAAGCAACCUCCUUAAGGGAAGGCAUCACUUCCUGCUGAUGCAAACAUAUAUAUUUAUUACUCACUUUCUUGAGGACCUUCUAGGAACCUGGGUAGCACCUAACAGAAAGUGGAAAAGAAUAAAAUGUAAAAUAUAAGUUAAACAGCAGGAAAACAGUGAGUGAUACUAGGCAAGCAUUAAUAUGUUGCCGCAAGAAAAGUGUCAGUAACUAGCUAGCAAACCUGAAAAGGGUUCCUCCAUUACGACCCUUAAAAUUGUGAAUGUAAUAUAUGGUCUCCAUCACAGGAAAAAGUGUUUUGGAUAGUGCAGCCAGCUUAGGGUAGAAGAAUGACGGAUAAUCUUAGCUCAUUUAAGGAAAUCCUCUCUGAUCCUUUCAUUGCACAUUCCAAAACAACUCUACUACAACCAAGUUACCAAUUCUUUUUGUUAAGUCAUUGUUAUUUGUUAAAAAAAAAAAAAAGUCUUCCUUGUAACAUUUUAUUGAAAGAUAUAACAUGAUCAUCCCUAUUAAUUCCCUUUUAGAUUUCUGUGAGUGAAUUUCAAAUUAUUGUAUUAAAAAAUAGAAGCAAAAGACCCACUUUACUUUCAAUUUCUGCAACAAGAUACCAAUUGAAGGACCAAAAAGUUGUAAACAAGCAAUUCAAUGAGUGGACAUCUAGAAACUGCUAUAUAGCAUCAAAAUCAUACUAAAUUUACAGAAAGCACGAUAAGAAUGAAAGAAUGGUGAAGGAUACACCCAGACCUUAUCCGGUCAAGUUCUCCAUUGAAUAUAAUCAGUUUCCGGGCAGUAUUGAAGACAGCUUCUUUGUAAAGCUCUUCAACGACAAGCAUUUCUACAAGACAAAAGAAAAGCAAAAUUAAUUACCUUAAGGAAUGAAUAUCAAUGAGAAGACAAGGUGUAAGACUACCAUUGACAUUAAAAUAUGGAUAGGCGACUAGAAACAAUUCAUCUUCCGGCUUCACACGGUCUGCCAUUUUAACCUUCUCAGUGAAUCCAAAAUCCUCAAAGAAUGAAGGUUUUGUUAGAUAGUCCAACUUAAAUGAUGAUCCUUCAAAGACCGAUUUUCUUGCAAAUUUGACUUCAUUUGCCUCUGGGAAAAACUAAAAACCAAAUGACAGACCAAGAUCACGAAACGAAUCAUGAACGUAGAUAUCAGAUAAUCAGAAAUGGGCAUUAAACAGACUACUAACAAGUAGGAAAUGCAUACAGAAAACAUUAUUCAUACACCUUAUGCACAUGAAAUAUAUAUGCAGAGGGAUCCUCUUGUGAAUUUAGUUUAUAUCCUAAUAUGAGACGAUGAACAAUUGGAUGCCAUCUAAGGGCUAACAUUUGUUUGAUUAUUAUAUGAAAAAAAAAAAAAACAGAGUUGAUUGAUGGCCUUUGAUGGAUUGCCUACACUCCUAAAGUGCAGAGAGCCUGAUUGAUUGCUUUACCUGCCCCCCACACACACUUGAUUUUAUUAUCUCUCUUUUCAAAUAUAUAAUCAUUGCCUGUCUUUCAUCCUGAUCCAGCUCUCCUUCCAGGCACCAGCUGUGUUUUCUUCAAUUCAGUGAAACAUUCACUUUCAGGUAAGAAUAAACUUGUCCUUCCUCAAAAACCAACUUCUCACCAUGAAGCUUUCUUUUUUAAAACAAUUACUAGUCUAGCAUAAUUGAAGACAACUCAGAAUUGAAAAAGCCAUACUUUAAUGUCUGCUGUUGGGACCUCAAGACCAGGAACAAAAAGCUUCUUUCUAACCGUUGGAUUAACAAGUAGAAAUAGCUUUUUUCUGAAGGACCCAACAUUGCAUUGAAAAAUUCAACAAAAUGACUGGCGUCAUAUUUAGUCCUGCUAGAAUUUUGUGCACUUAACACAAUGGCUAAUAAUUGGCCCAGCGGACACUUUGUCGAACUACUGGCAACCUUGACUGUGGAAAUGCAUAUUUCAAAUGUUGGCAGGCUCUAGCUUCUUGAUGUACUGUUGAUAGAAAUGCCUAUUUCAAAAGUUGGCAGGCUCAAACUGCCGAGACUUUGGUUUCUUACAUUUCAAACCCACAAAUAAAACUUUGGCAGAACCCCAGAAAGAGCUACACCUCCCAAAUUUGAUGACAUAUGAGGAGACCAUGCCUAGUGCUUGGUUCGGCAAAUGAGUAAGUUUGAAAGAAAUUGAGGGAAACCUUUCCCACAGAGAGUCAUAUUGAAGGUUACAAUUUGAAGACUUUGUCCCCUGUCGCCCGUAACCUUCUUUGAUCUCUUUUCUUAGUCAUAAAUAAUCAAACAUGUGUUAGUCGUUGGAUGCAAUCCACUCACUGACAUCUCAUGUCCACAAUCAAUCAACCAUAUUUUAAUAGAAAUGAAAACAUUUUAAUUAAAAAAAAUGAGAUAGGAACAAAAUCAAACUUGGCAGACAUGGUCUAUGAGAUUUUAAAGAUGCUUGGUGAAAGUUGUAUUCAAGAGUUCAACAGUCAGUUCUAUCACCUAUGGCAAAGUAACCACCGCAACUAAAGCAAUUACAAAACAUCAAGAAGCUUGAACUUGGCAAGAGGUCUCAUUAACAGUAUACCUCAGAAAUUAAGACAGACUUAAAGUGCAAGCUUUUGGAUUUAUUUAAACACUGAAAAUAAUAUGGGUAGAAGCUCCUAUGGUCACAGCAAACAAUUACAAAGCACAAAACCCAAAAAACAGAUAUGCAAAAAGCUGCAAAAGAACAUUAUUAGCAAUUGACAUCUGCUUUUGCUCAGACAAAGGUUCUCAUAACAAAGGACUUAGUGAUUAUCUGUCAUAUGUUUAUGUUAAGGGGAAAAAGGAAGUUUGUUUUAGUCAAUCUCACGUCUAAUGGCAUUUAUAAGGAGCCCAAAAAUAAAAGAAAAAAUAAAGAGUUAGUAGGUGUUUCUUGCAGCACAAAGAAAAUUUAUCAUUCAUGAAAAACUUAGUAUGGAAAAAGCUAACUCAUUUAUCUGCCAAUGGAGAAAAACUUGUUGUCCACCCACUAAGGACCCACCAUUGGCAGGUCUGAUGGAUCCCAUGGAUGGGAACCGCAAAUAUUUUAUUCUAAAUGACAUGUGUAUUGUACCCAUAUCAUUUAAUUUGUAGAUUCCACUGAUGGAACUCAUCAAACUUGCCAAAUGGCAGGUCCUCCGUGGGUAGGCGCAUCACUUCAGCAUCCUUCUCCACCGAUGACCAAAUUUGGACUCAUUUAAAAAGAAUACAAAGCAAAACUAACUGACAUAAAUUGCAUAGAGAUCUAGGAGCCAAAUCAAUGUUGUUAACUCAUCCAAUUAAUACAUUCUCUUAGAGGCAGGGACGGAGCCAGCGUGGGACGAGGUGGGGCACAGGCCCCAGCUGGCUUUUAAUUUUUUUUUAUAAUUAUACUAAAAUAUGUAUUUUAUUUGUUAUUUAUGAAAAAUGUCUCAGCUGAAUUGUAAAAUUUAAAAUUGACUCCAGUAAUUUUAAAAUAUUUCAUACUGUCCCUAAUUUAUAUUUUUAAUUAUAAAUUAUUUAAUUAGUUAUUAACAUUUCAUGAAACUUUAUUAAAGACACAAGAACAAAUAUUAAAAUAAAAAAUAAUCAUAACAAAAUGUUAGUAUAAUGGUUAAUGGACUAGUUUUUAAUCUUUUUAUUUUUUAUUCAAGUAAAAUUAAUUAUUUAGUCUUUCAACACUGACCAUAAGUUGUAAGUCUUCCUAAUUCUAAUUUAUAAUUUUCUAAUUAAUCUUUUAUCUAGUUUUAAAAUUUAUAAUUUUAUCAUGCAUUUCAUAUUUGUUCUGUGUGUUGCAAUAUAUGAAUAUUUUUGUUAUUAUUAAAAGAUUUUAAGAGCAAAUUAAGUAAUAACCUAGUCUUGUAUAUUGAAAAAUAUAUUUUUGCUUAUAUUGAUAAUUCAUUAUUUUCAACUCAUAAAAUCCCAUUGAGGAGAUUUCGCGGAGAACCAUUGUAAUAAGUAAAUUUAUUAUCAAUGAAUAUUAUAGUUGUAAUGCUAUUUAUUGAUAUCUAAAUUUUUAAAAAUGUAUUAUACUUUAAGUAUGCUUUCAAUUAGAUGCAUACAGACGCACUCUAUAAGAAGUACAAUUGUACAUGUAGCAAGCUCCCAUUUAGAGUUUAUAGGGCCCACAAUACAGUUUCUCAAAUGACGACUUAUCACACGAGCAAUCGUACAUUCGAGUCAUCUUUAAUUUUAAAUGUGCCCCGGCUCUAUCAAAAUCCUGGCUACGUCCCUGCUUAGAGGUCAUACCUUGGUAACUCAUUUGAAAAGAAAUUAAAAGAAAAACGACUGCACAAAUUGUACUGAGCUCAAGAAAACCUGUUCAAGGUGUUCACUUGUCCAACUAAUAAAAGUCAUCAAGGAUUGUAUCGGGGACUUGGGACCAAUCCUGCCUUAACGAGAGAAAGGGAAUUUAGGAGGAAGAAGAUAACCUCUUUUCCUAGAACCCUUGAGAAAAUUAUUGAAGAAAUAUGUAUCUCCUUUUCUUAUUUUUACAAUAGGGUUACACAAUACAUAUAUAUAUAUUCUAAACUACAUAAUGUGCUAGAGUAGGAAAGUAAACAACUAACUGCAGACCAAGAAACUAGGAAACAAACUCUAUCUAAAAAACUGAAAUUCUAUCCCUAUCUUUUUUCUUUUCUAUCCCUAUCUUUUUUCCUUAAAAACAGGAUAGAAAACAAGUGACUUUUCCACACUCCCCCUCAAGCUAGUUCGAAGAUAUCAAUCAUUCCCAGCUUGCUAGUUAGUGACUCAAAGCUUGAUUUAUGAAGUCCUUUAGUAAGAAUAUCAGCUAGCUGCUUUGUUGUUGGAACAAAGGUCAUGCAUAUCAAACCACUUUCUAUUUUCUCCUUGAUAAAAUGACGAUCCACUUUGUUGAGUGUUAGAAAAUGCAUAUUUAUAAAGGAGAAAACCAUCAUUUUACAUUUCAAGUCGUACUAACAACUCUUACUUUUAUGUAUUUAACCUUCUUGUGAUAUAAUUACGUGUGUUUUAUUUUAAUUAAGUAUUUUAUGUAUUUUAGGGGCAUUAUAGUCAUUUCACAAUAAAGGAGAGAUUAGACGGCAAAACGGACAUCACUUUUGAACUCAGGACGGUCGAAAACCUUAGGAGGAGCAUAAAAGGAAAAAUGGCACUAUUCAUAUGUACGGUACUAUUCGCGUGUACGGUAUUAACUACGUUACUGUUCACAACACUGUUCACAACACUGUUCACAUAGACGGAUCGAUGACGUGGCAUUGACCGAUGAUGUGGCAUUGACUGAUGAGGUGUCACGAUCCUGUUGGGCUAAAAUUCUUAUGUACUGUUGAUGGUGACGUGGCAGCAUAUCAGUGGAUGAAAAAUCUCGCGUACGGUACAUGCAUCACACAUGAUUAUUCUCAACCAAACCGUGUUACUGUUUAUCCGAGUCAAACCGUGUUACUGUUCAUCCACGUGGUCAAACCGUGGACUGUUGACUUAUGACGUGGCGCAAUCCUGAGCGUCCAAACUGUUUUUAAUCUGAUGGCCAUGAUUUACUCCAUGUAUCUAUAAAAAGGGGGCCUUCCCCCCCUAAUUUGAUAGCUCUGAAUCCAUUUUUGGGAUCCAUUUUCUGUAAUUCCUUCUCCAUCUUGUAUUUUCUUUGUAUUUUAAUAAAUUCCCAUUUUGCCCCUAGUUCAAUUAUGAGUGGCUAAUUUUCUUUCAAGCUUGGGUUGAAGGUGAAGUCUCAACAUGUGUCAUGGGCUUAAUUUGGUAAAUUUAUUUUCUCUUCCCCUCUAGUUUUUGUGGAUGUUUUGACUUCUCGUCGACAAAUAAUAAUAAUCUUGUCUAGAUACCGCCUUGGUUACACCGGCUCUCUAGUAUAAGGUUAUUAUUAUUUGGCACGAUAAGCCCUUAGCACCAUAUUGAUUAUAGCGUGGUUCAUGAGGUGUGGAUUCCCCCCUCAUGAUUUAAUUGGCAUUAAUAAAGAUUAUUUAGCCCAUGAUGCAUGUUGAUACGGAUCCAGAUACCCAAGUACGUCAUUUUAAUAGAAUUCUCUUCAAUUUAUUCUCGCCAUUUCAAUUCCAAUUUUAGAAUUUAUUCUCGCCAUUUUAAUUUAAGUUUUAGCAUAUCCCAAAUCAUUUCCACCACAAAUCCAAUCACCCAUUUACAAAAUUAAUUCUACACAAUUAAAAUCCACCUCCUCGUGGGAUCGACACUCGUCACCAUUAGUCUAUACUACAAUAGAUUCGUGCGCUUGCGAGUACAUUAAAAUUUGCACAACAAGUUUUUGGCGCCGUUGCCGGGGAGGUAAGUAAUUUUAAUUCAUAGAAUUAAUUUUUGUGAAUAAUUUCUUUUAUUUAUUUUCUUGUAUUUUUUUUUAUUAUUAAAAAAAAAAGUAAAUCUACAUUUAAAGGUUAGUAUUUCUUUUCUUUUUCUCUUCUUUAAAAUUCUGUAAUUUAAUUUUCAAUUUAUUUUUCUUUGUAAUUUUUUUUUGUUUAUUUUAUUAAUUUAUUUUUAGUUAAUUUAUUUCACGUAUUUAUUUUUGUGUAUUUUUAUAGUAAGGUUGUAAUAGCGCAAUAAGGUUAGUAUUGUAAUUUCUCUCUCUUCUUUAUUUUUAUUUGUUUUGUUCCAUCUUUAUUUUUAUUUUAUUUAUUUUGUAUGCAUGGUCGUAGGUCUUUAUUACCUAAUCUUGAACCUAUAGACCUUGAACUUGAGAAAACACUUCGCACACACAAGAACGUUAAAAAUAAAUUUGAAAUGGAUUUACAAGCACCACAGGAGAGGCCAUUUAAGGACUAUUUUAGUCCCUUAGCUAAUUUGAGCACAUCAUGCAUAAGAUACCCAAAUGUAGCUGCUAGGAGUUUUGAAUUAAAACCUAGUGUGCUAAAUUGUCUCCCCACAUUCUAUGGCCUAGAAAAUGAGGACCCAUAUAAUCAUCUGAAUGAUUUUCAUGCCAUUUGUCAAACUUUUAAAUAUGAAAAUUUUUCAGACGAUGAUGUUAAACUUAGAUUAUUCCCAUUUUCUUUAAAGGAUAGAGCUCGUUCAUGGUUAAAUACUUUGCCUGCUAAUAGCAUUGCAUCAUGGGAACAAAUGGUUACAAAAUUUCUAAAUAAAUAUUUCCCAGUGCAUAAAACCAAUUCUAUUCGCAGGGAAAUUUCAGAGUUUACACAAAGAGAGGACGAGCAGUUUUUCGAAACUUUGGGAGUGAUUCAAUGGGCUACUCUUGAAGUGUCCACAUCAUGGGUAUGAGAAAUGGCACCAAUGCCAAUACUUUUUGGAGGGAUUAUUGCCAAAUGUGCAAGAAUGGCUAAUGGCAACAAGUGGAGGAGAGCUAAUGUCAAAAAGCGCAACAGAGAUUUGGGAAUUCUUCCAGCGACAAGCGGAUAAUUCCCAACAACGGAGUCGAUCACUCAGGAAUACUAGAAGAAUUAAGGGAGUAAAUGAGGUUCAAAUUGGCGAGUCAACUUCGGGAAUCAAAGAAGUCAAGGAGAUAGUUGAAGGUCUUGCUCGACAAAUAGCAUCGUUGUCGACUGCUAAAUCAACAGAACCACAUGACCAUGACUCAUACUCCGAUCAAGCCAAUGCCAUAGGUGUAAUGAGAAAACCAUCGAAUUACAACCCAUACUCCAACACAUAUAACCCUGGAUAGAGAGACCACCCCAAUUUUUCAUGGUCUCAAGGAUUCCAACAGAAUGGACCAGCAGCUCCAGCUCCACAAAUUCCUCAAGUUCCUCAAGCCUCUCAGCCCCCAUUUAGACCAUUUAAUCAGAACCAGAACUACUCUCAACCCAGACCAUGGGAGGAUUCAUUCCAGAAUCUCAAGAAUCUUACUCACUCCACGAUUGAGCAGCAGAACCGCACCGUUGAUGGACUACGAAAUGAGUUGAGAGCAGGCUUCAACUCACAAGAUCAAUCAGUUUCAAACCUCGAGAAAAUGGUGGGACAACUUGCUUCUUCAGUUCAGACCUUGGCAAUGACUGUUGAGAAAGGAAAAUUUCCAAGUCAACCAGUGCCUAAUCCUAAAGGAGUGCAUGAAGCAAGUACCAGUUCACCACAGCAGCAUGGGGAGGUCAAAGCAGUCAUGACCUUGCGAAAAGGAAAGGAAGUCGACAACAAAGUGGAGAUGCCGGUGACAAAAGAAAAUCAAAUUGUACCUGUGAAUGUUGAGGACUCACCACCGGAGGAAAAAGAAGAAACCAACCCACGAGAAUAUGUUCCUAAAGCUCCAUUUCCUCAGAGGUUAGCGAAAGGAAAGAAGGGAAAUUCCACAGGUGAGAUUCUCGAAAUCUUCAAACAGGUAAGUGUUAACAUCCCUUUACUUGAUGCUAUAAAGCAAGUUCCAUCUUAUGCUAAGUUUCUUAAAGACCUUUGUACUAAAAAGAGAAAUAUGCAUGUUCAAAAGAAGGCAUUUUUAACAGAAAACGUUAGUUCUAUACUCCAACAUAAAAUUCCUUUAAAAUGCAAAGACCCAGGCUCCCCCACUAUCUCAUGUAGUAUAGGGAACCACACAAUUGAGAAUGCUUUGUUGGAUUUAGGAGCUAGUGUAAAUCUUUUGCCUUACUCUGUAUUCGUGAAACUUGGACUGGGAGAAUUACACCCAACUCCAGUGGUGUUACAGCUUGCAGAUCGGUCCACGAAAAUACCUCGUGGUAUUGUGGAGGACGUGCUUAUCCAGGUAGACAAGUUUUAUUUUCCUGUUGAUUUCAUUGUAAUUGACACUCAACCAAUACAGGAUUCAAGGAAGCACAUCCCCAUUAUUCUAGGCCAACCUUUCUUGGCAACUGCGGAUGCUCACAUUCAAUGCAGGACUGGAAAUAUGCAAUUGUCCCUCGGCAACAUGACUAUGGAGCUGAACAUCUUCAAUAUUGCCAAACAACCUCAUAAUGCAGAUGAUAGAAUUGUAGACGUGGAUUUAAUUGAAGCAUUAGUUGAUGAUACUUUUGUUUCAAACCUUAGUGAUGAUCCUUUACAAACAUGUUUAACUCACUUUGGUUUGGAUUUUGAUAUUGACAGAUCGGUCGAAGAGGUCAACGCCCUGCUUGACUCAGCACCAUACAUGGACACUAAUAAAUGGAAGUUAAGAGUUGAACAACUAGCACCAUCAGAGAAGAAACUCAUCCCAUCAUCAGAAUCACCACCGAAACUCGAGGUCAAACCAUUGCCCAACACAUUGGAAUAUGCAUUUUUGGGAGAAGAAAUUACUUUGCCGGUAAUCAUCUCAUCAUCCCUAAAUGACGAACAAAAAGGUAAGUUGUUGGAUGUUUUAAAAGAGCACAAAGGAGCAUUAUGAUGGACCAUAGCAGACAUAAAAGGUAUAAACCCAGUAGACUGCAUGCAUUACAUUCACCUUGAUGAAAAUGCUAAAUCUACUAGGAAAAUGCAACGUCGGUUAAAUCCUAAUAUGAAAGAAGUUGUUAGAACAGAAGUCCUUAAGCUAUUAGACGCAGGUAUCAUUUACCCAAUUUCUGAUAGUUCAUGGGUCAGUCCUGUACAAGUUGUCCCCAAAAAGUCAGGAGUCACAGUAGUUACGAAUGCUGAUAAUGAAUUGAUACCCACUAGAGUAACUACAGGAUGGCGUGUAUGCAUUGAUUAUAGAAAGUUGAAUUCUGUCACACGUAAAGACCAUUUUCCUUUACCAUUUAUUGAUCAAAUGCUUGAUAGAUUAGUAGGCCAUGAAUUUUAUUGCUUUCUAGAUGGCUACUCAGGAUAUAAUCAGAUUCCCAUAGCACCAAAAGAUCAGGAGAAAACUACUUUCACUUGCCCUUUUGGCACAUUUGCAUAUAGGAGAAUGCCAUUUGGAUUAUGUAAUGCACCUGCUACAUUUCAACGAUGCAUGUUGAGCAUUUUUUCUGAUAUGGUUGAACAAUUCCUUGAAGUCUUUAUGGAUGACUUUUCUGUUUUUGGUAACUCGUUUGAUCAAUGUUUACAUCAUCUAACGCUAGUUCUGCAGAGAUGUAUCGAGAAGAAUUUAGUCUUAAAUUGGGAGAAAUGCCAUUUUAUGGUAAAACAAGGUAUUGUUCUCGGUCACAUCAUUUCGAGCAAAGGUAUUGAGGUUGACAAAGCCAAGGUGGAUCUCAUUUCUAAUCUUCCUCCACCUAAAACAGUCAGAGAAGUACGAUCUUUCCUUGGACAUGCUGGUUUCUAUAGACGUUUCAUUAAAGAUUUUAGCAAAGUUUCUAGACCCUUAUGCAAUUUACUUGCUAAGGAUGUACCUUUUAUCUUUAAUGAUUCAUGUCUCAUGGCGUUUGAAAAAUUAAAGCAAUUGUUGACAUCAUCACCCAUCAUUCAGGCCCCAAACUGGAGCUUACCAUUCGAGCUCAUGUGUGAUGCAUCUGAUUAUGCAGUAGGAGCAGUAUUAGGACAAAGAGUUGAUCGAAUUCCCCAUGUUAUUUACUAUGCUAGUAUGACAUUCAAUGAUGCACAGUUGAAUUAUUCAACUACUGAAAAAGAAAUGCUAGCAGUAGUGUUUGCAUUAGAAAAAUUUCGAUCUUAUCUCAUUGGUUGUAAAAUAAUUAUAUUCACAGAUCAUGCUGCUCUUAAAUAUCUUCUCACAAAGAAAGAUGCAAAAGCUAGACUAAUUCGUUGGGUAUUACUUUUGCAGGAAUUUGACUUGGAAUUCAAAGAUAAGAAAGGCACAGAAAAUGUCGUGGCGGACCAUCUCUCUCGUCUCCAUUUUGACACAAUUACAGAGCCAUUAAUAUUAAAUGAGUCAUUUCCAGAUGAACAAUUAAUGAGUGUGGAAGUAUUACCUUGGUAUGCUGAUAUAGUUAAUUAUCUUGUUACAGGUAAACUUCCAGAGCAUUGGACCAAGCAAGACAAGGCUAAAUUCUUUGCGGAAAUAAAGAAUUUCUUUUGGGAUGACCCAUAUUUGUUCAAGUAUUGUGCAGACCAAAUUGUUAGACGAUGUGUCCCUGAAAAUGAAAUUCAGAAUAUUCUUUCAUUCUGCCAUGAACAAGCUUGUGGAGGCCAUUUCAGUGCUAAGAAAACAACGACUAAAGUUUUACAAUGUGGUUUCUAUUGGCCAACUAUAUUUCGAGACGCUUACACUUUCUGUUCUUCAUGUGAUAGGUGUCAACGAAUGGGGAGCAUUACACGAAGGAACAUGAUGCCACUAAAUCCAAUUUUAGUGGUUGAGAUUUUUGAUGUAUGGGGUAUCGACUUCAUGGGACCCUUUCCCUCUUCUUUUGGCCAUCAAUACAUAUUGGUUGGUGUUGACUACGUCUCAAAAUGGGUAGAAGCAAUUCCAUGUAGAACCAAUGAUCACAAAGUGGUGAUAGGAUUUUUGAAAAGCAACAUUGUCUCACGCUUUGGAUUCCCUCGAGCAAUAAUCAGUGAUGGUGGUGCCCACUUUUGUAACAAAGCAUUCAAAGCUCUUUUGACAAAGUAUUCAAUCACACACAAAGUGGCAACCCCUUAUCAUCCGCAAACCAGUGGCCAAGUUGAGAUCUCCAAUCGAGAAAUAAAGCAUAUAUUAGAAAAGACGGUGAGGCCAGACAGAAAAGAUUGGUCAUUAAGACUUGAUGAUGCAUUAUGGGCAUAUAGAACGGCUUUCAAGACCCCGAUUGGGAUGUCACCCUACAGGCUAGUGUAUGGAAAAGCUUGCCACCUACCUGUGGAACUCGAGCAUCGUGCAUAUUGGGCCAUCAAGAAAUUCAACUUUGACAUGCAGCAAGCCAGCUCAGAAAGAAGAUUACAACUGGCAGAACUUGAAGAAAUUCGCAAUGAUGCAUACGAAAAUGCCAAAAUUUACAAGCAACGAAUGAAAGUCUUUCAUGACAAGCACAUUAUGAGAAAAUCGUUCACUCCAGGUCAGAAAGUGCUUUUAUUCAAUUCUCGCUUGCACCUAUUCCCAGGUAAGUUACGCUCUCGAUGGUCUGGUCCAUUUAUUGUUCAUACUAUUUUUCCACAUGGGGCAAUUGAAAUUAAGGACCCAAAGAACGGUGUCACGUUUAAAGUUAAUGGUCAAAGAUUAAAGCCAUAUCUUGAGUACCAACCACAUGGAGAAGACACCGAAAUAAAUUUGAGUGACCCACCAGAUUUGAAUUGAUUUUUUUUCUUUUUGUUGAUUUGAUUUUUCUUUCUUUUUAUUAUUCUUUUGCUAAUUGAAAUUAUUUUUGCAUAAGUGUGUUUGUUUUACCAUUAAGUUUUCUUUUCUCUUAUCAUUGUUAAUCAUGAGUACCAUACUUAGACCGUUCCUCCUGAACAUUCUUAAACCACUUCAACGUGUCAAAACUCAUCUCAAAAAGCAGAUUCAAUUUUGUAAAACACAACGCAUUUGGGCUCUACAACCACCAGAGUUAGUAGCCUAUGUUGAGGGUUUAGAAUGCCAACUCAGAGACAUUGAGAGAAGUGUUUACGACAUCCAGUUAGAGCUUGAGGUAAAUUCAAUAAGAGGACGAUUUUAAUUUUCUUUGUGUGUUUUAAUUUGUUUUUCUGUUUGUGUGUUUUAGUUUGUUACCCCGGUGAAAUGGCGGAUAACGGUACUCCGUGACAAUCAAGUCGGUUACUUCAGUUUCCCAUAAUAACUGACAUUCUGAGGCGAAAGUAUGGACAGAAAAGAGAUUCUAGCAAAGCUUCACAAGCGAUUCCCUUCACUUCCUCAGAAUGCCCUCCUUACGAUCUAUAAAGCUCGGUCCGAACGCAUGCGAUUACUCAUGAAGAAUAACAUACCUGCUGACAUCCGUUGGUUAAUCGAGGCUAAAGUACGAUCGGCAGGUGAGUUUCCUCCAAAAUUUAUUGCAUACAUGCCUGGUUGUGGUAAAGGAAAUUAUGCAAGAAAACGACGAGCUCGAAGAAUUUCUGUUGCUUGUCAUAAGUGUGCUAGAAUGAGUUGCGAUAGAAACCCAUGUUCUUUAGGAAUGGUGUCUGAUAACAGGGAAGAUAAGAUUUAAUUCAUUAGGGAUGGCUUGAAUAAGGAGUCAUUGGAUGAUAUCCUUUUGUCUCUUGAAACGCAUCCUAGUGGAUAUGUGCAAGGAGCGAUUCUCCAGUUAUGGCCAUUAUUCCAGAAAGAGCAUGCACGAUAUAGUCUCGGGAAUCUGACUAUAAACGACCCUGUUUGCCAGUUUAUAAGAAAACUGGAUAGGAAGCCUAUCCUCGACCCAUAGAGGGCGUUCAAGCCGUUUCUGGACGUAAAACCAGAGGAAGAUGUGAGCCACAGUCGCAACUACGUGUAAAUAUCCUUUUACUUUACUGUUAUUUUAUUUCAUUUCACUGUUGUUUUAUUGUUUGCAUUAUUGUCUUUAAUAAUUUUGUUACUGUUUGCUUUUUCCUUUUUACUGUUUCCUUUUUGACUCACGAGCCACGUGCUUAACGCGUUAUUUGACACUGACAUGCCACCCCAUACACAGUUGUGACCCACUGUCACCAAGAUUCUUAAAUAUGACUUUUUGUUAAGCACUCACAAAUUGUUUCUGAGAAAUAUUCCAAUGGCAGCUACUCCUAAUAGACAAUUCAAGAACAUUUGUGUGCUUUCUGGAUUUACCUAUGGCAAACAUAAAGAGUUCGUGGAGGCAGCCAUAGAUCUUGGUCGAAGCAUAGCAGCGAGAAAAUUACACUUGGUGUAUGGAGGAGGUAACCGAGGGUUAUCAAAAAUGGUCUCAGAAGCAGCUUUUAUCAGAGGAAGUCAAGUGUUAGGCAUCAUCCCAAGAGUCCUAAAACCAUUGGGCAGUUCGUCUGACUCAUCAACUGGAGAAGAGUUAGUCGUCUCAGGUAUGCAAGAAAGAAUAACUGAAAUGCUUAAUCAUGCUGAUGCUUUUAUUUUCCUUCCAGGAGAUCUUGCAACACUAGAGGCACUUAUGACACUAGCAUCUUGAGCCCAUCUACACAUUCACCAGAAACCCAUCGGUUUGUUAAAUGUCAAUAACUUUUAUGAUGGCUUUAUCGCAUUUCUUAACCAUGCAAUAAAAAACUAUUUCAUUCCUUCUAAUGUGAAAAAACUCUUUAUUUGUGCUCACACUGCUAAUGAGCUACUUGAUAUGUUACAAGCUUAUAAACCGGAGCCAGACCCCUGGACCUUUGUGUUGGAGCGACCAAAUAAUGAUGGUAACAGUAGCCGCAGUAAGAAGUACAAAUUAGAUUUAACUCUCCGCCUGUAAAUAUUUUCUUCUGUGUUGCACCACCCAGGUGAUGUCUUCUAAACUCUACUUCUUUCAUUUCAAACAUUGAGGACAAUGUUUCGUUCUGGUUGGGGGGAGGGAAUAGUCGACAGUUGUGGAAUCUUGGUUAAAUUUUUACUGAUUUUUUGUUGUAGAAACUAACUGUUGCUAACUUUUUAUGUUGAAGAUGGCUGAAUAUGGAGUGUAGUGACUCUAGAAACGCAUUUUCAUCGUUUAAAAAAAAUUAAAAAAAAACUAAAAAAAAAUUUCAGACAGUUUCUUUUUUUUUUCUUUCUUUAUUCUGUUUUUAUGUUUAUUUUUCUUCUUUUUAAUUUCUCCUCUAUAAAUAUACAUUUUCCAACUUGUGAGUCGAAGAUGGCUGAAUAUGGAGUGUAGUGCCUCUAGAAACGCAUCUUCUUAAAAAAAAAAAAAAAAAAAACCCAUUUUCUUUUUCUAUCAUUUUACGUGUAACUUUUCUAAUUAGUUUUUAUGCAUCAUUUUCACAUUUCUGCAUGCAUAUUUUCCUUUCAUGUUUAGAAUAGGUUGGGGGGUAGAAUGUUGUUUAAAAAAAAAAAAAUUGUGUUAUUUGUUUUAACAUUGGAUGACAUGAUUAAUUUCAAAUUUUAGUAUUUGUAUUAUCUUUGGUCUUAAGUGAUGUUACGCUAUGUUUGCUACUUUACAUGUUGAUGUCGGAGACAAAUAUGAGUUGCUUGAAGGAAUGAACAUGUCAUAAAUAAGUGCCAAGUGAGUUGUUGAGCCUAUCAUUUUCUUGGAGAGUAACACUUUUGCCCAUUCUCUAUACAGCUUAGCAGUUUAUUAGUUUAUACACGAUCUCUAGAUUUCUUUUGAGUUAACCCUUUAAAAAAAAAUGUGUGUUGCUACAUUGGGAGACCCAUCUAACUAGUAGAUAUGGAUAAUUAUUUAGAGCCCUAAAAGACGAUGGAAAGGCCAUAUUUGAUCCGUUUGAGCCUUUCUAGCCAUCCCUUUUAUUAAAUAUCCAUAGUUACCCCUUUUGAGCCUUUUUUUAAAAAAAAAAGAGAACAAAAACAUUUUCUUUGUCAACUUAUCAUCUUGACCCACUCCGAUUUGGAGUAUUACCCAAUGUCUUUUAAGUUCCAUCACCUAUUUAUGUUUGAGAAAAUGUAAAUAAUGAUGUUGUUCAGUGAAGUUAUGCCAAAUAAAAGCAAAAAAAAAAAAAAAAAAACAAAAGUUGUUGUUUCAAAAGAAUAAAAAUAACAAUAAUAGGUGAAAUCCACCUUGCAACUUCAAAAAAAAAUAUAUAUAUUUCUGCAUUUUUCUCAAACAUACACUUUGUUUUCCUUAUUUCCUUUCUUUGUUAGCCAUAUCCCUAGCCUACGUUAUGUCCUAAUAAAAGUCCUUCUUGAUUUUAGGGAACUAUAGUUUGAAGUAGAAGCUAGUUAUAUGGGCUAAAAAGAUGUAGUGAUGCAUAAUAAAAAAAAAAAAGAUAAAUAAAGUGGGUUGACUAACAUUUUAUUUGACUUGAGAUCGUAUUAUUUCUAAGCUAAGGGCAUAUUUAUUUCAUCUUGGUGAGAGCAUGUGAUAUCACUUCUUCAUUAUUUUCUCUCAAUUACCAUUCAUUGGAGUGACUAUUUUUUUAGGUUUAAUUUCUUUGUGAGAGUGUCACUACUUCCAGUGAGAUUUUGGGUUUUGACAUGUCAUUCUUGAAAGUAGUUAUAACAAAGUCUACUGGCCGAUUCAUGUGGAUGGUUGAUGUGGGUGUGAUGUUGUUUUAGACUGGAGAUAAUACUUAUACUUUUAUUUGAUUGCUAUCAUUAAUCUGAUUGAAUAAACACGAGUGUUUCUAAAAAAAAAAAAAAAAAUUAUUUUGAAUUUGAAUUUUGUUUUCGCUUUAUUUGCUAGGGACUAACAUUAAGCUGGUUGGGGGGUGUGUUGAGUGUUAGAAAAUGCAUAUUUAUAAAGGAGAAAACCAUCAUUUUACAUUUCAAGUCUUACUAACAACUCUUACUUUUAUGUAUUUAACCUUCUUGUAAUAUAAUUACGUGUGUUUUAUUUUAAUUAAGUAUUUUAUGUAUUUUAGGGGCAUUAUAGUCAUUUCACAAUAAAGGAGAGAUCAGGCGGCAAAACGGACAUCACUUUUGAACUCAGGACGGUCGAAAACCUUAGGAGGAGCAUAAAAGGAAAAAUGGCACUAUUCAUAUGUACGGUACUAUUCACGUGUACGGUAUUAACUACGUUACUGUUCACAACACUGUUCACAUAGACGGAUCGAUGACGUGGCAUUGACCGAUGAUGUGGCAUUGACUGAUGAGGUGUCACGAUCCUGUUGAGCUAAAAUUCUUAUGUACUGUUGAUGGUGACGUGGCAGUAUAUCAGUGGAUGAAAAAUCUCGCGUACGGUACAUGCAUCACACAGGAUUAUUUUCAACCAAACCGCGUUACUGUUCAUCCGAGUCAAACCGUGUUACUGUUUAUCCGAGUCAAACCGUGUUACUGUUCAUCCGCGUGGUCAAACCGUGGACUGUUGACUUAUGACGUGGCGCAAUCCUGAGCGUCCAAACUGUUUUUAAUCCGAUGGCCAUGAUUUACUCCAUGUAUCUAUAAAAAGGGGGCCUUCCCCCCCUAAUUUGAUAGCUCUGAAUCCAUUUUUGGGAUCCAUUUUCUGUAAUUCCUUCUCCAUCUUGUAUUUUCUUUGUAUUUUAAUAAAUUCCCAUUUUGCCCCUAGUUCAAUUAUGAGUGGCUAAUUUUCUUUCAAGCUUGGGUUGAAGGUGAAGUCUCAACAUGUGUCAUGGGCUUAAUUUGGUAAAUUUAUUUUCUCUUCCCCUCUAGUUUUUGUGGAUGUUUUGACUUCUCGUCGACAAAUAAUAAUAAUCUUGUCUAGAUACCGCCUUGGUUACACCGGCUCUCUAGUAUAAGGUUAUUAUUAUUUGGCACGAUAAGCCCUUAGCACCAUAUUGAUUAGAGCGUGGUUCAUGAGGUGUGGAUUCCCCCCUCAUGAUUUAAUUGGCAUUAAUAAAGAUUAUUUAGCCCAUGAUGCAUGUUGAUACGGAUCCAGAUACCCAAGUACGUCAUUUUAAUAGAAUUCUCUUCAAUUUAUUCUCGCCAUUUCAAUUCCAAUUUUAGAAUUUAUUCUCGCCAUUUUAAUUUAAGUUUUAGCAUAUCCCAAAUCAUUUCCACCACAAAUCCAAUCACCCAUUUACAAAAUUAAUUCUACACAAUUAAAAUCCACCUCCUCGUGGGAUCGACACUCGUCACCAUUAGUCUAUACUACAAUAGAUUCGUGCGCUUGCGAGUACAUUAAAAUUUGCACAACACACUUCAACAUGUUUAGUUCUGUCAUGAUGAAUAGGGUUAUGAGCAAUGUUUAUUGCUGCCUUGUUGUCACAAUACAACUUCAUAGGAACAUCAAUGAUAAUCUUCAAUUCUUCAAGUAGCUUCUUUAACCACAAAAGUUCACAAAUACCAUAUGCUACUGCUCUAAAUUCAGCUUCAGCACUGCUUCUUGCAACCACUGAUUGCUUCUUACUCCUCCAAGUUACCAAGUUUCCUCCCACAAAUGUGCAAUACCCUGAAGUUGACCUUCUAUCAAUAAUAGAUCCAGCCCAAUCUGCAUCAGUAUAUACUUCAACUUGCAUAUUGUUAUUUUUCUUGAAUAGCAGGCCUUUUCCUGGAGUUUUUUUCAGGUACUUGAGAACCUUGUAAACAGCUUCUAAGUGCUCUUUACAUGGAGAGUGCAUAAAUUGACUAAUAACACUUACUGCAAAGGCUAUGUCUGGCCUAGUAUGAGACAAGUAUAUCAACUUACCAACCAACCUUUGGUAACUUUCUCUAUCCACUGAUUUUCCUUCAAUUGCAUAUCCCAAUUUGUGAUAAGGAUCAAUAGGAGUGUCUCCAGGUUUGCAUCCCAACAUGCCAGUUUCCUUGAGUAAGUCUAAAGUAUAUUUCCUUUGAGAAACAAAAAUGCCUUUACUGGAUCUUGCAAUUUCCAUGCCCAAAAAAUAUCUUAAGGGGCCAAGGUCCUUCAUCUCAAAUUCUCUAGCAAGAACCUUCUUGAGAUUUUCCAUUUCUAUUACAUUGCUUCCAGUCAAGAUGAUAUCGUCUACAUAUACAAUGAGGAUCACAACACUACCAUCAGUGAAGUGUUUAAAAAACAUUGUAUGAUCUGCUUGACUCUGUAAAUAUCCAAAGCUAUGAACAGAUUUGGUAAAUCUGUCAAACCAAGCUCGAGGAGAUUGUUUUAAGCCGUAAAGUGAUCUCUUCAGCUUGCACACUUUUUCAAUACCAUAUUCAUUCUCAAAACCUGGUGGCAGAUCCAUAUAUACCUCUUCUUCAAGCUCUCCAUUAAGAAACGCAUUCUUAACAUCUAAUUGUUGUAGUUGCCAUCCUAAGCUUGCUGCAAGAGACAACAAAACCCGAAUGGAAUUCAUUUUUGCCACGGGAGCAAAUGUUUCUUGGUAGUCAAUGCUAUAUGUUUGUGUAAAACCUUUCGCGACAAGCCUAGCUUUGUACCUCUCAAGUGACCCAUCUGCUCUGUAUUUAACUGUAAAAAUCCACUUGCAACCCACUGGUUUUUUUCCUUCUGGUAAUUUAACUAGUUCCCAAGUUUUGCUUUUUUCUAGAGCUCUCAUCUCUGCAUACCCAGCAUCUCUCCAUUCUGGAAUAGAAAGAGCAUCUUGUACAGAUUUUGGAAUUGCUAUGACAGACAGGUUAGCUGCAAAAGCUCUAAAAGAUGGAGAUAAUCUAUGAUAUGACACAUACUUAGAAAUUGGAUGAAGAGUACAAGACCUAGUUCCUUUUCGUAGUGCAAUUGGAACAUCUAGAUCAUUUGUAGUUUCUAAAACAGAUUCUGAAAUAGGAUUAGAAUGAAUGUUACCUGCAAGUUCCAAGUUGCCUGUGUUUGGAUCCGAGUCUUGGCAGUGAGGAGAGGAAUGAUGAUUUGACCUUUUCGAAUUCCGUCGUGUGUAGACUUGAAGCUAUGGUUCUGGAACUCUCUCUAAUGAUUUUUCAUUAUUCAUAAUUGAUGGCAUUGUAGAAGGAACAUGAGGUACACAAGACAUAAUAGGCAUUGGAAGAGAUAAUUCCCAAAAAUGAUCUUCCGGAGUAUGAUUCUCCCCCUGAAGAGAAGUUUUGGGAAAGAAAGAUCUAUUUUCAAAAAAUGUGACAUCCAUUGUGAUGAAGAAUUUUUUAGACAAUGGAUCAUAACAUUUGUAGCCUUUUUGAGUAGGAGAAUAGCUAAGAAAUACACAUUUUAAAGCUCUAGGAUCAAGUUUGCUCAUGUUCUAUGUAUGAAUGUGAACAAAAGCAAUGCACCCAAAAAUCUUGGGUGGUAAAGAUGUGAAAAACUUAGCGGUAGGAUAGAAUUUUGUGAAAACAUUUAAUGGAGACUGAAAAUUAAAGAUUCGGGUAGGCAUGCGAUUUAUCAAGUAUGAUGCUGUGAGAAUGGCUUCACCCCAAAACUGUUUUGGCACCCUAUUUGUGAACAUAAGAGAGCGUGCAACUUCUAACAAGUGUUGAUUUUUCCGUUCAGCAAUACCAUUUUGCUGAGGAGUAUCUACACAAGAGGAUUGGUGCACAAUGCCAUUUUCCAUGAAAUAAUGACCAAGGGCAGUAGAAAAAUAUGCUCUCCCAUUGUCAGUUCUAAAGACUUGGAUUUUUGCUUGAAAUUGUGUUUGAAUCAUGGUAUGAAAGGUUUUAAAAACUGUUGCAGUUUCUGAUUUUUCUUUAAGCAAGUACACCCAACAAACACGAGUGUGGUCAUCAAUAAAAGUUAUGAACCAUUUAGCCCCCGAAAUGUUUGUAACAUGAGAGGGUCCCCAAAUAUCACUGUGUAUGAGAGAAAAAUGUUCAGAUUUUUUAUACGGCUGUGAAGGAAAAGAUACACGAUGAUGUUUGGACAAUACACAAAUUUCACACUGAAACAAAGAAGGAUUUUUAUUCUUGAACAACAAAGAAAACAAGUGUUGUAAAUAAGAAAAACUAGGAUGACCUAAUCGGAGAUGCCACAACAUUAUUUUAUCUUUAAUAGAGAAAGUUAGUUCAUUAUUUGUUGCCUGAGCUUCUCCACACAAACUAACAUCCUCCUCGAAGUAGUACAAACCAUCUACCUCUCUAGCACUGCCAAUUUUCUUCCCUGAACACAGGUCCUGAAAUUCACAAUAGGAAGGAGAGAAUUUAGCAAUGCAAUGAAGAUCCUUGGUAAUUUUGCUAACAGAUAAAAGAUUACAAGACAAAUUAGGAACAUGAAGAACAGAUGUUAACACCAAAUUUGUAGAGAUAGGAAUAGAUCCUUUUCCUGCUGCAGAAGAUAGUGAACCAUCAGCAAUUUUAAUUUUUUGACUACCAGGACAUGGAAUAUAUGAAUAAAAUAAUUUAGAAUGGCUAGUCAUAUGAUCGGUUGCUCCUGAAUCGAUGAUCCAUGGAUCUUUUUUCUCAUAAACAACUCCUAAAGCACUGAAAUCAUUACCUUUCUGGGCUAAAGAACUAGAAGAUGAAGGAUUUGGGAGAGAUUGUGACUGAUUAAGAAACUUGUACAGUUGCUCUAACUGUUCUUUAGUGAAGAGUUGAGAUUCGGAUUCUCCAGUGUUGAUUGUCGGCUGAUUCUCCCCAAAAACUUGAAAACCUCGACUAUGUUUACCAGAGAAUUUAUUGUUUUUCAAAUUUGGAGGUUUUCCAUGAAGCUUCCAACAUGCAUCUCUGGUAUGUCUUGGCUUGUGACAAUAAUCACACCAAACUCUGUCCUUCUCAUCACUCUUCUUCAGGUUUUUUGUUCCCCCAAUCAGUGGAGCUUCUGGUGUAACAGAGAUCAAGGCUGAGUUCUCUGCUGAAGAACCUCCCAUCAUCACAUUCUUUCUACUUUCCUCUCUUUUUACAUAAGAAAACACUUCCCUGGUAGAAGGAAGAGGUUCCUUGCCAAGUACUCGCCCACGGACUUCAUCAAGGUCUGAACUCAAACCUGCUAAGAAUUCAAAUACACGCUCUUUUUCUAACAUCUUCUUGUAUUUAGCACUAUCAGCAGCACAUUCCCACUCGCCAUCAUAGUACUGAUCUAACUCUUGCCAUAAGCCCUUCAAAAUAUUGUAGUAUUUAGUCACUCCUUGACUACCUUGUUUGGUUUCUCGAAUUCUGGUUUUCAGAUCAUAAAUCUGAGCAGAAUUUCCCAAAUCAGAAUAGGUCUCGGUGACAGCAUCCCACAAAUCCUUUGCUGUUGGCAGAAACAAGUAAGUUUGACCUAUCUCCGAUUCCAUUGAAUUCACUAACCAUGACAUGAUCAUUGAGUUGUCAGCAGCCCAAGUAUGAAACUUUGGGUCUUCUUCAGUUGGUUCUUUAAUUGAACCAGUAAGGUAACCAAUCUUCCCUUUACCUCUGAUAAACAUCUUCACAGAUUGGGACCACUGAAGAAAAUUUUGACCAUUCAAUUUAUGGAUUGUGAUCUAAAGUGAUGGACUAUCAUUAGAAACAUAACUUGAUAGUUGUAGAUGUCGUUGCAAUUGCUCUGAAGAUAACUCAGAAGUUUCUUGCUCGCUAUACUUUGAUAUUGGUAUUCAAAUAGAAUUGAAAACUAAAUCCAAGAAUCAAAGAGCGACUCUGAUACCAUGAGAAAAUUAUUGAAGAAAUAUGUAUCUCCUUUUCUUAUUUUUACAAUAGGGUUACACAAUACAUAUAUAUAUAUUCUAAACUACAUAAUGUGCUAGAGUAGGAAAGUAAACAACUAACUGCAGACCAAGAAACUAGGAAACAAACUCUAUCUAAAAAACUGAAAUUCUAUCCCUAUUUUUUUUCCUUUCUAUCCCUAUCUUUUUUCCUUAAAAAUAGGAUAGAAAACAAGUGACUUUUCCACAGCCCUUUUGGACAAAAAUGAUUUCCUGCUAAUUUUGAGAAUAAAACCAUAGACAUCUAACUUCUGAUAUCUAGUCAAUCUGGUAAAAUCUUGGCAGUUGCACUUGGGGCAUAAAUUAGUUCCACCUUGGUUUAAGGACAGAAAUUCGUCAUAUGCAUGUAUUUAUUUAUGUUUUAUACACACACACAUGCAUGUACACACAAACACUACCUUCACUUUGAAGAAAAGAUUAAAAUAACACUGCUCACAUACACAAUACUUACUAUUCUAGUUCGUGUAACUUUCUCCGGAGUCACAAACAGGUCACAGAAUUCACGUAUUAACCGCAUACUUCUAGUCAUUUCUAUUCCUCCUUCACCAUCACUUGUCCCACAAUUACAAAAAGUGAGAGGUAAUAACCAACAUAUUUGGGUUGCUCUUCGGUAAGGGGUGGGAGGUAAGGGUUAGUUGUGGAGGGCACCUAGUACAGAAUCAAGGCCAGCUGUUGGGAAUUUGAUCUCCUGUAACAUAUACUUGUUCAUCAUAAACUAUAUACUUAUUCUGCAGUCGAUGUGUGCAUAUAGCUCUUCAAUUAUCCAGUAAUAACUCACCAUCAACUUCCUGCCAUCUUUCACGGCUAAUUCAGCAGCCAUUUUUGCCUGCUUAAAGGUCAAAAGCCCAAACUAAGCAGAUGCUCCUACUCCGAUACUUAUUAUCUAACUACUACAGAACAGAUGAUACGCAUCAAGUUGUAUCAAGAGAGACACCAAGUUGUGUUUUCCAAGAGGUUCCAAAGAGGUUUUGUUUCUUUGUGUAAUUUUUAGACUGCUUUGACAACUCAUCUUAAAGGUGCCACUCAUCCAAUAUGAUGUGGUGACAGUAGUUUAGAGUUUUAAACUAAAUGCAGAGCUAAUAGUAUUUUGGAAUAUAAUCAUCCUAAGAUACUAUAACACAGGGAUUCUUACACAAAAACAACAACUUCGAUGUAGAGAGAAGAUGAUUUCACAAAAGCAGAUGUUUUGAUUUAAGUCUCCAAAACCCCCACCAAAGAAAUGUUCAACAGAUAUAGAAAUAUGAUCCACAUAUCUGUAACUUAAACUGUGAAAGUUGUUGAUGUUGUUCUAAAAUUGCCACAAUCUAUCUACCCCAUGAAUGUUUUUGGAUAAAACAACAAGCAGGACCCAAUGCCUGUUUUCUAAUAGCUUCAAAAAGGCCAAAUUGGUUUUGAAAUGUCUCCAGCUUUUCAUUUAAUAAGAGAGAGAGAGAGAGAGAAGAAUCGCUCCCCUUUCAAAUACCGUGCUCUUUUGUACCUGGGAAUUUAACUAAUUCUUGCGAAUAAAAAAAUUUAUAAAUUUGGUAAAUUAUUUAUUAAAAAAUAUUGAGAGGCUGUGCAUUAUUUUAUUAGUAAAGAUAUAGUUAUCAUCAAAUUAGUUAUAUUAAAAUAGUUUUUGACUCACGUAAUUUAUUUUUAUUAUUUUUAUAUAUAUAUUUAAUUAAUAAAUUUAUGUUAUAUUCAUUUGUAUAAAAAUGUACAGUUCUAUCCUCACUCUUAUUUUAUUUUUAUUAUUUUUUCAGAAAAUGGUAUGCGUUAUUAAGGUUAAGGGUGACAACUGGGAUCAAUAUACGGUUUAUUCGAGUGCUUAAAACCUAAUAAAUAUCCACUAACUCAUAUUUAAUUAAAAUAUAAUUAUUUUUAAAUAAAAAAAUUUAAUAUAAACUAAACAAAUUGAUUGGAUUUUGUUUCUAAAGGUACAUCAUUAGAACGUUACCUUUAAUUGAACAAAAGCACACAUAACUAGCACAUUCGCCACAAAAGCCUCAGCUUAGUGGUCGGCUUAUUAAUUAUCUUAAUAAAAUCAUGGUCAUAAAUUUGAGUCCCCGUAGGAAUUAUUAGGUUAGGUAGCUUUUUUAGACUACAAAAGCUUUUUUAGACUACUCAUUCAUUUAAUUUUCCGUUAUAUAUAUUCAUCUUUUUUAGAGGCCAAGAAGUCUUCGACAGAAAUGUGAUCUUUUUCUAGUUGCCUCCCGGUGAUGAGCUUCUCCCAAGUUUCAAUUAAUUCGCUUUGAGUGAGGAUAUUUUCUGGUGGCCUCAAAUACAAUGUCUUGUUCAGCACUCAAGGGUCAUCUAUUGUCUUAAUAGUAUAUGUGGCAACAUCAUCAAGAUGCACUAUAGAAAAAAAGAUAAUCAUUUUGUUUAAUAUGAACAUAAAUUCUUACAGUCUAACUCAUAUUAUAGUGAACGAUGCUGUUAUGUGGUGCGUGCAUGCACUAUCUAUAGUUUUAAUAUUAUUAAUAAAGAGUUAAAAGUCUUGAUUUAAUUUUAAAUUGUCAUUCCUCUAACUUCACCGUCUUCAUAGAUGCAGACUUUAUCUUUUGAAGGGUGAGGGUAGCUAUAUUUGAGAGAGGUGUCUAGGGAACCAACCAGCAAAAAACAGCUAGCAGAAACAUAAAUGACAGGGAUUUGAGCAGCCUUGAUUGCCCUUCUCACACAUGCGCUCUGCGUUCUCCCUCCCGCUCUCACUCACUCACGCCCAAAUCUCACCUCACUCACGCAUCUCUCCUUCUGACCGGUGGUUUUCUCUCUCUCGCCGUGGGUCUCAAGGCUGGCAGGGAUUUCUCGACUUGACUACUAAAACAUAAUCCAAAAACUACUAAGAGAUGUAUAUAUUACUCUGAUAUACACAAUAUGAAGAAACUGCAGUUAUAUUUCAAAUAUUAUAUGAAGGAAGAGGCUGUAUGGAUUAUCUAAAGGUGCUGAAAUUAAGAGACCUAUUGAAAAGUCAUGCAUGUGGUAAUUUUUCAAAGAGCUACCAAACAUUUGAAGAAAAAAUGGAAAGUUGGCAAAUUUGUCAAAUUUGCCAAAUGGACACCAUUGACUAUUGGCUUAGGUUAGGUGGAAUGGUAAAGGGGUUGGUGCAAUAGUGCCAUUAUUUUUCCUAUAAAUAGAUGGCACUUUUUCCAUUCUUUUGCAUCCCAAAAUUGUUAAGCUUAUAAGUUUCUAAGCUUUUGAGAGAAGUGAGAGAAGUGUGUCUGGGGAAUUUAUCUUUCCUGCAGAGUGUGAGAGUACUGGGUAUAUUUUGGGUUUCUGGGAAGUGAGAUUCGUUACUCAAAUAUUGUACUCUAUUAAUUGUUAAAUAAACAAUUAUUCUUUCUUGCCUCCGUGGAUGUAGGUUUAAUUACCGAACCACAUAAUUCUUGUGUCCUUUAUUUUUUCUAUAAUUAUUUGGUGCGCUUGAUUCCGCAUUCCAAGCACAACAAGUGGUAUCAGAGCCGAAGGUUCGUACUUGGGGGGAUACGGUACUGUUCACGUAUACGGUACUAUUCCCAUAUACGGUACUGUUCACGAAUACGGUGGAGACGGCCAUUUGUACUUGGGAGACAGUCUAUUGUAAGUAGUGUGUAUUUUUGCAUGUUUAGGAAAGUUCUGUCAACAAAGGCGAUAAGAGUCUAAGGAUUCUGGUUUUUAAUUGGGACCGAGUUCCCGUCCAGUUUCUUGGGAACUUUCCUGGUGCAUUUAUUCAUGCGAAAUUAACAUCAUAGAGACUGUUUUUCAAGUGGAAAUAGUUCGUUGAGAAAAUGGUAGAAGGUGAAACUUCCAGAAUUGGGGAGAGAUCUACCGAGACUAUUUCAGGAGACACUUCAGGUGGGAGACGAGAUUUGUCAAAUCGCUAUUCAGCACCUGUUAUAGGAGGUCAGAAGAUCGAUGUUGAAAAGUUUGAUGGGAAAAUCAACUUCGGCAUGUGGUGGCGCGAAGUUAUGGAUGCCCUUAUUCAAAUCGAUCUCGAUGUUGUUCUGAAAAAUAAAAGACACUUGUAUGAUGAAGAAAUUUGGGAUCGUAUGAAUGAAAAAGCUUGUGGUUAGAUCAGAUCUUGUUUGACCAAGGAGGUGAAAUACUUGGUGAAAGAUGAGGAGUGUGCGGUAACUUUGUGGCGUACAUUAGAGGAAAAGUACUUGGUGAAAAGUCCUGAAAAUCGCCUUCAUGCAAUGAGCCAAGUAUAUGGUUUUCGAAUGAAGCCUGGGGUGUCAAUGCACGAUCAUGUUUCAAGAUUUGAAAAGUUACUUGCUGAUUUGAAGAAUCUUGAUGAAGAUAUUAAGGAUGAAGUCAAGGCUAUGAUUCUGUUACACUCACUACCAGAGGAAUAUAGCCAUUUUGUGACUACUUUGAUAUAUGGGAAGAGUGUGAUCGUCUUCAAAGAUGUUUGCACAACAUUGACUAGCUUAGAGAUUCGGAAUAAUGAUAAAAAUUCUGAACGAGCAUCGUCUGAAGCUUUAGUGAGCAGAGAUUGGGCGAUGGAGAAACAGAAGAAGCGUGGUGGAAAGAACUCUCGAUCCAAAUCGAGAAGCAGAAAUAUAGCUCGAGAUGAGUGUGCCUUUUGUCAUGAAAAGGGCCAUUAGAAGAAAGAUUAUCCAAAUGCUCAAAAGAGAGAUGGGAAGAAACCAGCAGCAGCAAACAUGGCACGGAAAGAUGAGGGAUCUGAUUAUUCACUAAGUAUUACUCCUGCAGCAUACGUGGCUAGUUCGAGCGAGUGGAUACUUGAUACUGGAGCAACCUAUCAUUUGUGUCCCAUUAAGGAAUGGUUUACGGAUUUCAACGUAUUGGAAUCUGGUGCAGUUGUGAUGGGGAAUGAUCAACCUUGUCGCACAAUGGGGAUAGUAACAAUUCGGCUCAAAAUGUUUGAUGGAAUGGUCAGAGAACUCAAAAAGGUUAGAUUUGUUUCAGCUUUAAAGAAAAAUCUAAUUUCUGUGGGUGCUUUAGAAGCUAAAGGCUACAAGGUUACCAUUGAAGAUGGUAUAAUGAAGUUUACACAUGGGGCUAUGGUGAUUCUGCAAGGGGUUCGGCGUCACAAUCUGUACUAUUUGAAGAGAGGUACAACUGAUGAAGCAAAUGUUGUUGAGGCACACAGUGACACCACCAAGCUAUGGCAUGUACGACUAGGACAUGCUAGAGAGAAGUCUUUGCAAACUCUGAUAAGGCAUGGACUCUUAAAAGGUACCAAAACCUGUAAAUUAAAUUUUUGUGAGCAUUGUGUAGUAGGCAAGAAAACAAGGGUUAAGUUUGGUACAGCUAAUCACGAUACUCGUGAGAUCCUUGAAUAUGUUCAUAGUGAUGUAUGGGGACCAACCAAGACUGCAUCAAUUGGUGGAAGCCAUUAUUUUGUUACAUUUGUUGAUGAUUUCUCUAGAAGUGUGUGGGUGUACACCAUGCGAGCAAAUGAUGAGGUUCUAGAGAUUUUCGUGAAAUGGAAGAAAUUGGUGGAGACUCAAACUGGAAGAAAGAUCAAAGUAUUACGAUAUGAUAAUGGGGGUGAAUAUACUUCUGAUCCAUUCUUGCAAGUAUGCCAGAACGAGGGUAUUAAAAGACAUUUCACAGUGAGACAUACUCCGCAACAGAACGGUGUGGCUGAGCGUAUGAAUCGUACUUUACUGGAGAAGGUAUGGUGUAUGUUAUCUAAUGCUGGUUUAGAUAAAAAGUUUUGGGCUGAAGUUGUGAGCUACGCAAGUCACUUGGUAAACCGGUUGCCUUCUGCUGCAAUUGGAGGUAAAACUCCUAUGGAAAUGUGGUCUGGAAAGCAUGCACAAGACUAUGAUUCCCUUCGUAUAUUCGGGUGUCCAGCUUAUUAUCAUGUCAAAGAUGGUAAACUAGAUCCUCGUGCUAGAAAAGCUAUCUUUGUGGGAUUCAAAGGUGGAGUAAAGGACUUCAAGCUUUGGGAUCUCGAAGAUAAAAAGUUUGUGUGUAGCAGAAAUGUCACAUUUGAUGAAGCUUCAAUGAUGAAAGCUUCAAGUUCUCAGCAGGUGGAGAACAAGACCAAAGAGGUAUUGCUGCGGGUGGAGUUUGAUGCAACUCCAUAUGUACCAGUUAGUUCUACAUCAAAGAAGAGUUCAACUAUAGAGGUGACACCUAGAGUUGAAGAAGAGGUUGUUUCUUCUGAUGUCCCACAAAAUGAAGAAACAAUUGAUAAUGUAGAUAAUGAUGAUUUUAUAGCAACAAGGAGGCUAAGAAGAGAGAUAAAGAAACCCGGAUGGCUUACUAAAGAUAUGGUGGUAGCCUAUGCACUUCCAGUUAUUGAUGAUGACAUCCCCAACACUUUCGGUGAAGCAUUACGCAGCAGUGAAAGUGAUCAGUGGAAGUUAGCCAUGGAGGAAGAGAUGAAAUCUCUCCAUCAAAACCAGACUUGGGAACUUGUAAAGUUACCAAAAGGGAAAAAGGCUAUUGGCAAUAAAUGGGUCUACACCAAAAAGCAAGGAUCUCCGAAUAAAAUAACUCCUCGAUACAAGGCAAGGCUCGUGGCAAAAGGUUUUGCUCAAAAGGAAGGUAUUGACUACAAUUAAGUUUUCUCUCCAGUUGUAAAACAUACUUCCAUUCGUAUCCUACUUGCCUUAGUUGCAGAAUAUGAGUUAGAGUUGGCUCAAUUGGAUGUUAAGACCGCGUUCAUACAUGGAGAUUUGGAGGAGGAAAUCUAUAUGAUUCAGCCUUGUGGUUUCAAAGUUGCUGGAAAAGAGAAUCAUGUGUGUAGGUUGAUUAAAUUUUUGUACGGACUGAAGCAAUCGCCAAGGCAGUGGUAUAAAAGAUUUGAUCAAUUUAUACAAGGGCAGAAAUUCACCAGAAGUGAACACGAUCAUUGUGUUUACUUUAGAAGACUACCAGAUAGAGCUUUCAUCUAUUUGUUACUCUAUGUCGAUGAUAUGCUUAUAGCUUCGAAGAAUAGAGAUGAGAUCGAAAGAUUAAAAAAGCAACUGGCUUCUGAGUUUAAGAUGAAAGACUUGGGUGAUGCACAGAGAAUACUUGGGAUGGAGAUUCGUAGAGACAAGAAGAAUGGGAGCGUAUGGUUGACUCAAAAGUCUUAUUUGAAGAAAGUGCUAGAAAGAUUCGGUAUGGAUGACAAAACUAAACCAGUAUGUACACCUCUAGCUUCUCAUUUCAAAUUAAGCUUUUCUUCAUGUCCUAGAUCUCAAGAGGAGCGUGAUUAUAUGGCUCGUGUUCCAUAUGCUAGUGCUGUGGGUAGUCUUAUGUAUGCUAUGGUAUGCACAAGGCCCGAUAUAUCUCAAGCAGUGAGCAUGGUUAGUAGAUACAUGCAAAAUCCGGGUAAAAAUUAAUGGCUUGCGGUAAAGUGGAUUCUCCGAUAUCUGUAUGGGACAGUUGAUGUUGGGUUAUUGUUCAAGAAGGAUUGUGGUCAACAAUGUGUUGGGUAUUGUGAUUCUGAUUUCGCUGGAGACCUUGACAAGCGAAGAUCAACAACGUGCUACGUAUUCACAUUGGGUGGAGGUCCGGUUAGCUGGAGGUCGAUUCUACAAUCGACAAUUGCUCUGUCCACUGCGGAAGCAGAGUAUAUGGCAGCAACUGAAGCUAUAAAAGAAGCUAUCUGGUUGAAAGGUUUAUUAGGUGAUUUGGGAGUAAUCCAGGAGAACAUUGCGGUCUUAUGUGAUAAUCAAAGUGUGAUAUUCCUUGCGAAGAAUCAAACAUAUCACGCUCGGACGAAGCACAUAGAUGUGAAAUAUCAUUAUGUGAGAGAGAUUAUCGAGAGCGGUGUUGUGUUGUUGAGAAAGAUCGAUACCAAAGAUAAUCCAUUAGAUAUGUUGACGAAGGUAGUUUCUGGAGUUAAGUUUCAACAUUGCUUGAAAUUAAUUCAAAUCCUUCGAUUGUGUUAAGAUAUGUCCUUCGGGAAUUUUGAACUACGGUUGGCUUGAUCCCAAAUUUUGGGUACGUAGGCAGUCAUAGAGAUGCAGCCACUUUGGGGAUGAUGAUUGGUUGGUAGUCGGCUCAGAUUUGGACAAAUUUUCACCGAGGUGGAGAAUUGUUGAAAAGUCAUGCAUGUGGCAAUUUUUCAAAGAGCUACCAAACAUUUGAAGAAAAAAUGGAAAGUUGGCAAAUUUUUCAAAUUUGCCAAAUGGACCCCAUUGACUAUUGGUUUUAUGUUAGGUGGAAUAGUAAAGGGGUUGGUGCAAUAGUGCUAUUAUUUUUCCUAUAAAUAGAUGGCACUUCUUCCAUUCUUUUGCAUCCCAAAAUUGUUAAGCUUAUAAGUUUCUAAGCUUUUGAGAGAAGUGAGAGAAGUGUCUGGGGAAUUUAUCUUUCCUGCAGAGUGUGAAGUACUGGGUAUAUUUUGGGUUUAUGGGAAGUGAGAUUUGUUACUCAAAUAUUGUACUCUAUUAAUUGUUAAAUAAACAAUUAUUCUUUCUUGCCUCCGUGGAUGUAGGUUUAAUUACCGAACCACGUAAUUCUUGUGUCCUUUAUUUUUUCUAUAAUUAUUUGGUGCGCUUGAUUCCGCAUUCCGCGCACAACAAGACCCACACCAACCGACAGACCCCCGGUGAUAGAGAGAAAGUCGACUGUGAGAUGCAUUCAAGACGGGGGAAGAGUGAGAGAGAAAACUGCCCGGUCAGAAGGAGAGAUGCAUGAUUGAGGUGAGAGAUUUGGGCGUGAGUGAGUGAGGAGUGAGGGAGAGGGUGCCGCGUGUGUGGGAUGCGUACAAUGACAAUUUAUACUUACAUCAAAACGCCGCGUUCGGUGCCAUGUGUAGGGCUAACUGUGGUUUGAAUCUCACUUUGGUAAUGGAAAUGACUUUGCAAUUGACAGUUUUUGUCAAAAGUUCGCACUGCAUGAAACUAGUGUUAAUAUAAUUUAAAAAAUUAAUUUCAGUAUUAAUUUUUAAAGUUUUAAUUAUUAUAUUUAUUUUAAUAAUAGAUUUAUAUUUAUUAUAAAAAUUUUAGUUAAAUAUUUGUGUUAAAUGGAAUUUAUAAUUAAUAUAAUAGAUCUUAGGUAUUAAUAUAUUAUAAUUAUUCUAUAUGCUAUUGAAAAUCAUUUAUAUUUUUAGACGUUUAUUUUCAUAUUAAGUUUCUAUUUAUUUUAAAAUUUAGUUUAAUAUAAUAUAAGCAAGUAAAGUAUUAAAAUAUUUUUUAGUAUUAUUUAAAAUAUUAAAAUAAUUUUAAAAUAUAAGUCAAAUUUUUAAGUGAAUAUAACUAAUAUUUACAGCUAUUUGAUGGCCUCAACAAGCUAAAGCAGCAUCAAAAUUUGUGGCUCGUUAAUUUAUUUUUUCCCUUUCAAAAAGGGAAGAGGAUAAGUUUGGAAGAAUGAUUAUAUUUUUAAUAAAUUCUUUUUUAUUAUAAUACUUUUUGUCUUUAUUAAUUUAAAAAUAUUGACUCUUAUAUUUUAAAAAAUAUAAAUAUAAUAUUAUAAUAAAAUAUAACAAUAUAUAUCAAAUAUUUAAAAAAUUUAAUAUUUUAAUAUUUUAUAUUAUAUUAAAAUAAAUUUUUAAUAAAUAAAAAUAAUCUAUUAAAAUAAAGUACAAAAAUUUAAAUUAUUUUCAAUAUCAUCUAAAAUAAUUUUACUAUUAUUAAUGCAUGAAAUAUAUUAUAGUAAUUGUAAAUUUCAUUUAACUCAAAGAUUUAUUUAGAAUGUUCAUAAUAAGUCCAAAUAUAUUAUUAAAAUAAUUAUAAUAAUUUACAUUUUAAAAAUUAAUACUGAUAUUAAUUUUUAAAUUAUAUUACUCUACCAGAAAAAUUAAACUAUUAAAUUAUAUCAAUAUUUAUUAAAAAAUUUUGAAAUUAAUUCUUGUUAUAUUUUUAAUUGGAAUUUUUUCAUGUGAUAUAACCAGAAUUGCUACAAUUUUUUUCCCUAAUUAAAGAUGGAGUUAUAAAUUAUUUGUAUAAGUGUCUGUGUGGAAACUAAUGUGACAUGAAAGUAAUAGCUGAAUAACAAUAAUGGGCCGAUUUCAAUUCUUAAACAGACUUGUCCUUCAUCCCAAUUUAUUUACCCCAUUUGGGCCGGUUAUGACAUAAACAUAUUCUUGUGGAAUGAAAAACAUCAUGAGAAGAAAAUGUUUUAUUAUAAUAGAAAAAAGUGGUCCAUAAGUCUAUUCAUUACUUUUUUUAUUCAAUAUAAAUGGCUAACUUUAAAAAUGGUAAAAAUCACAUAACGCGCAAACAUAUUUUAGAUUUAUAUUUUUUAAUACUCUCCGAGUCUCUCUUUCUCUUUUUCUUUUUUUAAAUAAAUGUCAGUAUAAAAUUUAAAAAAAAUUUAGAUAUAAAAUUUGGCAAUGACCAAACAAAAAUUGCAGAGGAAACCUUGAUAUCAUUGAAAUACUGAUAAUAGACACUACAGUAUAAAUAACUUGUUGUGAUCCACUCAACUUGUAACACUUUAAUCCAUAUUCUAAAAUUUUCAUGUUUGUUAGGAUUUUUAUUAUUGAUACUACUGUAUCAAUAAAAUUAUAAUUUAUUCAUAUGGAAUGAAAACAUCAAGAAAGGACCUCUGAUGUUUAUUGUCAUAGAAAAAAGUGGUCCAUAAGUCUAUUAAUUAUUUUAUUUAUUCAAUACAAAUGGCCAACUUAAAAAAUGGUAAAAAUCACACAAUGCACAAGUAAAAUUUUACAAUUACAUUUUUUAAUUCUCUUUGAGUCUCUCUCUCUCUUUAAAAAAUAAACCUCACUGUAAAAUUAGAAAAAUUUUAGACGUAAAAUUUGACAAUCACCAAAUAGAAAACAUAGGGAAAUGAAAAUGGAGGAGCCCUAUUUUCAUUAGAAUAUUGAUCAUAGAUACUAUAAUGUAAAUGAUUUGUUGCGAUUCCUUCAACUUGUCACACUCUAAGCUAUUUUCUAAAAUUUGUAAGGUUUAUAGGAUUUUUAUUACUGCCAUCAUUGUAUCAAUAAUAUUAUAAAUUAUAUAUUCUAUUGUAAUGAAAAUUUGUGUAAUCUUAGGUAUUUAUUGUAUUAAAUUGUGUGGAUUAAUUAAGAAUAUUUUUGGAGACAAAAGAAGUGUGUGUACGUAGGAUUAAUGAUAAAAAAUUUCUAAAUAAAGGUGAUUGCUUCAUUGACAAGUACAUAUUUAUAUUCCUCUAUUAAUAUUUGGGUUGUAAACUCUAUAAUAAAGUUGGUUGGUGUGAGUGGUUCGGCACUCUCACUCUUUAAGAGAGGUCGGGAGUUCAAGCCUCGCUCUCGUAUGGAGUCACCACUUUGGCCAGCACUUUACCUCUUAUGGGCCGACCCGGUGCGAGUGGGAAUUAGUAUGGGUUGUGGUAUGGGCUUAAAGGUGUCUCCCACAGUUGGGGCCCACUCAGGACCACCUCGUGAUUCAAACAAAAAAAAAAAGUGAAUAUAUUGUGGCAAGUGAUGUGGGCAAUAUCGGAUGCGAAAUAUUGAGAGAUCAUUAACGCAUAUAUUUAUUGAAGAUGCGUAUAGAGGAAAGAGUGUAGAUCCGGCCGUAACAAUUACGAAGCUUUCCCCAAGUAUACUCAUGCUUCCUUAACUGUUUCGAAGUAUUUUUCAUAGUGUGCAGAUUUACUUUAUGGUGUCUUUAAUUCAUCUUAAAUGAUUACUUUAUUGUUUUAGGAUGCAAUGUCAUUUAUUGUGUUAAUUUAAACAAUAGAAAAAAUAAGUAACAGUAACGAAAGACUAAUUUGUGAUAUUGAAGCGUACGGGCUUAACUCAAUCCAAAAAUUAGUAAAUUAGCUCAAGAGUUAAGAGUUGUCCAAAUCUUAUAUGAUGAACCCAAGUUUAAUACACAAUUGAUGCGGGAUGUUAUUCCUAACACCUCCCGUCAUGUGUAGGAUUGGCAAAAAAACUCGGGUCAGUCCCGCCUAAACCUACGAGCUUUAUGCAUGGCUCGCAUGAUGAAGUUACGGAUAUUAACCUAAAAAUUUGAAACUUACUAUGAAUGGCCUUGCUUAAAGACUUUUGCAACUUUAAUUUAUAACAAGUAUGUAUAUCUACACACACAUAAGCUUAGAUUGCAUUUGGAUGGCUUUUUUAAUCAAUUCAAACAAUCUGAAAUUUAUCAGAUUAAUCCAAAUCUUAUAUGUAUCCAAUUUUGCCCGCCCCUACUAUAUAUAAGCCCAAGUGACUCUCUUUUACUAAUUAAUAAGAGAAUUUUUGACCUUAUAUCCUUGUUGUGGCGUUAGACUGUUGGUUAUUUUGAUUGUUUCCUACCUUCCAUUUACGCCAGCUAUAACAUUGUAUUAUCACCAUUUUAGCCAUUUAAAUGAAAUUUUAUUUUUCAUUUUAUUGUGUCAAUACUAUCAUAAUUUAUUCAUUUUAUUGUAAUGAUAAUUUGUCUAGUCUUAGGUACUUACUAUAUUAAAUUAUGUAAAUUAAUUGAGAAUACUUUUAGAGACAAAAGAAACACGUGUAUGUAGGAUUAAUAAGCGAAGAGUUGUAAAUGAAGGUGAUUGCUUCAUUGAGAGGCAUAUUAAAUAAUUAUGGAGAGUUGCUCUAUUUCGGAAGCAUAUAUUUAUACUUCCCUAUCAGGAUUUGGGGUAAGCGAGGUGCUUUAUGUAUUGCAGUAACCAAAUGUGGGCAAUAUCAGAGCCGAAAUAUUGAAAGAUCAUAACGCAUAUAAACGAUUAGUAUAUUGAAGACACAUAUAGAGGAAAGAGUGCAGAUCCGGCCGUAACUAUUAUGAGGAUUUCCUCAAGUAUUCUCAUGCUUCCUCAACUGUUCUGAACUAUAUAUUCCUCAUUGUGGGCAGAUUUACUUAAAUACCAACACAAUGAUUCAAUACUUCAAAGGUCAAGGAAAUGUCAAAAUAUGAAAUGAAAAUACUUAAAUACCCUUCUACCUAACAAAACUUAGUACUUCUAACUGCCUUAGCAGAGAAUCUAUAAAAUUAAAAAAAAAAAUUCAUCCAUGAAAAGCUUCGUAACAGAAAAACCGUCUUUCAAAAAAUAAAAAAUAAAAAAUAAAAACAGAAAAACCGACUCAUUUAUCUGCCAAUGAACCAGUCAGGACUCAUUUAAAAAAGAUUACAAAGCAAAAGUAAAUGACACAAAUUGCAUAGAUAUCUCGGAGCCGCAUCAAAGGACAAUGGUGUUAAUUUGUCCGAGUAAUAAAUUCUCCUUGGUCAAAAGCAAUUAACGAUGAAAACUUUCUUCAUUAAGGUUCUGGCCUACGUAAAAAAAAAAAAAAAAAACCACCCCAAGGUCAAAGCACAACGAUAAGUUUAGAAUUGCAGUUUUUAAUUUUUUUUAAUAAAUCAACGUGUAUAAAAAAUAGAUAAUAAUUUUAAAUAAAUUUUAUUUGAUAAAUAUAGGCAUAAAAUUUUAAAAUCACCAAACAGAAAAACAGGGGAAUUAAAACAGAGUCCCUGUUUAUCCUCUAUUUUGCUUGUUAUUAAACAGGGAAAUGAAAAGAUCACAAGCGGAAAUUUUGUUUCUGCGUUGUCUCUUCUCAAUGCUACAUGCAUUCAAAUUAAACCUUACAUAUGCUAGCAAACUAGCUACCUGCGUUUAAGUGUUAGAGUGCAAUUUAUGCACUAAUUUUGCAUUGUUUACUUCUUUUAAUAUCGAUAUUUUGCACUUAAUAAUAGUGAUUUACUUGUAUUUUAUUUUUGUAAGUGCAAUUCUAUUUAUUGGUGCUAAAAUUGGGCUACAAGAUGAUGUUUGAAGAUGAUUGUUUUCUUGGAAAAAUUAUGAGUUUCAGAAGAACUUUGUUGAUAAGGCGUGGGCGCUGGCUGUCAACUACGGACCUGUAGUUUUUAGUUUAACGUGUUUUGUCUUUUUGGUUAUUUUUGUAAUCACGAAUUUAAUAUUUAGAUAAUAUUUUAGAUAUUAGUAUUUUAUUUUAAAAAGAACUCUAGAAGAGAAUUUAAGAGGGGAAUCUAUGGUCAAAGGAAAAAAAAGAAAGGAAACCCUAGAUCUAAAUUUUUCUCUUCUCUCUAUGAAGAACUAAACCUAUUAUUCUGGUUAAAGGUUAAUGGAGCUUUGAUUCAUCAUUACUGUGAGAUCUUUCUUAUGCUUUAAUUGUUUUAUUGAUUUUUGGGUAUUUGUUUAUUCUCUAAAUUAUUGUCAUGAUUAUGUUUGUUAAUUAGAUAAUUAGCCAUUAUUUAAUUAUCAACUUAAUCUAUUGUCAAUUAAAGGAUUCAUCGUAUGAAGAUUUUAAUGUUUGUGACAAAUAGCAUAGCAGUUCGUUAUGUUAUGAGAAUAAACAAUCUAAUUUAAAUGAACCAUCGUAUGCGUUUGUUGAUUAGGAUUUGGGUCUCUCUGGUUUUUCAGGUUGUCAAUUGAUUAAAUCCUAUGAUCGUAUCUAGGGUUGUCUAUUGAUUAGGGAAAUAACCAAUGGUCGUACCUUGGUUAUCGACUAGUUAAGGAGAGAUUGGCUAUUAGAGGGUCUCAGUAGCUAUAACCGGUCUAUUCAUAAGUAGUAAUGAUUUAUAUUUGAAUCAAUGAUCAAUAGUCGAAUCAAGCUGAGUUAAUUCCUUCAACCAGAGCUUUCCCCAAUUUUAAUUUGCAUUCUUGUUAUUUUAAUUUGAUUUUUAUUAUUGUCAACAAUUCCCCCAUUUUGCAUUUUGCAUUUUAAAAGGAUUUAAAUAAUUACUAAUCUCUGUGGACACAACCCUACUCAAUCACUAUACACAAUUUAUUUAGAGUAUGUAUUUAUUUUUGCUGGCUUCGACAACCAUCAAUAAGUUCUCGAUAAGUCCAAAUAAUAGAAUAAUUGUAAAAUGUUCAAAUUCAGUAAUUAAUUAUACAUAUUUAUUUAUUCAAAAUUAUUAUUAUUAUUAAUUAUUGUCAAUAAUAUAUUAAUAUACUAAUUAAUUGUAAACUUUUUUAUCAUUCAUAACAAUGAUGAUGAUGAUGAUGAUGAUGAUGAUGAUAAAAAAUUCAAAACAUAUUAAUUAAUUAUAAUAAUAUAUUAAAUAUUUAAUUAUUUAAUAAUAAUAAUAAUAAAUGCACAAUGUAUAAAUUGAUUAGAAUAAUUAUAUUAAUUAAUCAUAAUAAUUUUUUAAUUGAGGACAAAAUAGAUAUUUUAUAGUUUGUGAGAGGGGGCAAAAUGGUCAAUCUUGGGAAUGGGGGAUUGAUUCCCACCACCUUCCUUAGGAAUCAAUCUUCCAUUCCUCAUUCCUAAUUUGGGUGGUCCCCAUAGUUCUGAUUCGGAUCCCAGCCUCCAUUUUAUGAAGUAAACAUCAUUAAGAUUUCGAUUCCGGAUUCCGAUUCCCCAAUCCAAGAAGUACAGGCACCAUUAUUGUUGAUUGGUUCAAAUGCACAAAGAGAAUGUACCAUGUAGCUAGGCGUCAAGGUUGUGCUGCACAAGUAACCUUUUUCUUUUCUUUUCUUUUUAUUUUUCUUAUUUUCCUUAAUGUAUCGGAAGAAACUGGUGCCUUUGAGAUACUACCAUGUAAAUAAGUACUUAUGGUUCAUUGAAUCUGUAACACUCGGUACCCUACAAUUGCUUUUGAAAAAGGGCUUUACUCACUUAUCGCUAAUAUUCAAGUAAGUUUGUUUCAUUUCAGAAGGUGCAAAGUUUCAAACUUGUUGUAUUGAGAUGUAACAAACUUUGGCCUUAUAUGCUUGUUGUGACGUUUGACUGUUCAUUUUGACUGUUUCCUACCUUCCACUUACGCCUGUAGCACUGUAUUAUUCACCAUUUUAGUUGUUUAAAUGAAAUUUUAUUUUGUCAAAAAUGAAAUGACACCAUUAAAAUUUAAAAAAAUAGUCAUGGAGAUCCCAAAUUUUUACUAAAGAACACCAAUAUUCCCCUUGACUAUAAUACCCUUAGCAGGUGGUAAUAAAAAAUUGACUUAAAAUUUUUUGCGAAAUGUAAAUAUGAUUUAAAUAAUUUAAAUUUUCCAAUAGACUAAUAUAUAUAAUUUAAAUAAUUAAUUUCAAUAUUAAUUUUUUAAAUGUAAAUUAAUAUAUUUGUAUUUAUAAAAUAUUUGCAAUUAUUAUAAAAAUUUUAAAUAAAUCCUUAGGUUAAUAGAUUUUACAAUAAAUAUAAUAUUUCUCAUGUAUUAAUAAUAUUAAAAUUAUUUUAUAUGAUAUUGAAAAUAACUUAAUUUAUAUAUUUAUUUGAAUAUUAUGUCUCUAUUUAUUAUAAUUUGGUUUAAUAGAAUACGAGAUUGUAAAAUAUUAAAAUAUUUUAGAUAUUGAAAUUUUAAUAUGUAUAUAUUAUUAUAUUUAUUUUAAUAUAUUUAUAUUUAUUAUAAAUUAUUAGAGUCAAUUUUUAGUUAAUAAAUUUAAAAAUAUUAUAAUUAAAAAAAAGAAUUCUUAUUGUCUGUUAUUCACAAUAUGAGGUUCUACAAAAUUAUUUCUCCAGACGGGUGUCCUUUUCUUAUUUGUAAAAGGAAAAAUAAGUUCAGGGAUCUUAAAAAAUUCUAGUCCUAUCGACCACUAUGACUAAUGGGAAACGACAUUGCAAUUGACAUUACUUUUCGCAAUAUGACAAAUUUUUGGAGGGAUACGGGAGAAUCGUCAAACGUUCACACCACACGAGAGCUUUAGGUGGGAUCGGGGAGGAUUGUCAAGAGUUCACACCACGAGAAAUUAAUGAUAGGCCUAAUUUCGCUGUCAGUUCUUUAUUUAUUUAUUUUAUUUAUUUCAUACAUUAUUAUCUUGUUGGUAUUGUUUUGUAAAGGUAUAAAAGUAAAGUAAAAUACUAGGGGUACCAUUAAGUUACAGCUGAUGUAACUUACAGUGUUUUAAAAAAUAAUAUAAAAAAUUUAAUAGCUGGUGGGAUCCACAUAUUUUUGAAGAGACUUAAGUUACAACAGUUGUAACUUAACAAAAUCCAAAUAUUUGACAAUAAUGCAUAUAAUUUGGAUUUGAUUUUUAAAAGAUUAUUUGAGCACCACCUAUCCUUAUGAUAUUAAUGUGAAUAUAUCUUAAUAUUAAAUAAUCAAAAUUUGUUUAAUUAUUAUUUGUAUUUCAUACAUUACCUAUUAGAUUUGUUUGAAUUUUACGUUCUUGCUAAUAAAUAUUUAUGUUGUCAAAGUCAAAUUCUAAUGAUUAAAAGAGCAACUAUCCCUUAAAUUUUAAUGGUGAAUUGUAUAUAGUUUUUAAGAAAGUAAGGAUAAGUUGGAUAAUUGACUUAAAUUCUAAUGAUUAAAAGAGCAACUAUCCUUUAAAUUAAAAUGUCAAUUUCUUUAAUUAUAAUUUUUUUUUCAUGUGAUAUAACCACAAUUGCUAUAGUUUUUUUAAAUAAUAAUGGGAGUUAUAAAUUAUUUAUAUAAAAUUUGUGUAGAAUCUAAUGUAACCUAAAAGUAGUUGCUGAAUAAUAAUAUUUGAAACUCUAGGUAAUUUUCAUAUGAGCCCUUUUUAUAUUCAGCAUCUUGAAUCGGGGGAAAUCCGACUUGAAUUGGCGGCUGAUUUUGGUGAUGUAGCUUUCGGUUUAUGGUUGCCUUACAGUGGCGGACGACUGAUUUACGGUCGCCGACUGCUAGGGAUUAUGGUGGUGGUGUAAAUUGACGGAAAAAGUAGAAGGUUUGGUGGCGGCGCGUGUAGGAACCACUCGUGGGUUGUCGUUUCGUGUGGUGACUGCGGGUGGCGAUCAAGGGCUGACGUUGGUCGGUUUUUGGUCAACGGAGGGCGGCCAGUUUGUUGGUGGAGGUGGCUGGCGGUGAAAGUGGCUGAAUGGUGGUGGAUAUCUUGGUGGAGCUACGGGUUUGGGUUGGUGAUUUGCGGCUGUUCAGGCGGCGGUUGAGGCAGCGAUAGCUGCGGCUUGGUCGGCGGUGGCUAGCGAGGUUUGUUGUGGUGUUGGCUGGCUGAUCGGUGGUGGUGGGCGGCGGCGGUGGAGGUUGAUGCGGCGGGUAGGGUUUUCAAAUCGGUUUUUGAUAUUUUUUUUUUUUUUUAUGAAUUUGGUGUGGAUGGGUAUAGGGUAAGAAACACUAGAUAUCAUUCUAGUACUGGACCAAGCCAACGCAAUUAAUUUACCAUCUAGUCGAAGGGUGAUUAGAUAUCGUUCUAACCCAAACGAUAAAAUGAGAUUUUUAACAACGCGUAAUACAAGAUUAGAUGAUGCUCUAAUCCAAACGACUCUACAACGACUCUAUAAGAGAGAUUUUGAUAGAUAAAUCUAGGGAAAAUUAUAAAAGAUGGGUUUUAUUUAAUAAUUAAACCUAAAGUUUUGAAAACAAUGACAAGAUAUUUUUAUUUAUAAUACAGGAAAUCUGCUUCCCUAAGAUAACCUAAAAAAGAAAAGUAAAUCAUAAUUAUAAUAGAAAUGAAAGAUUAAGAUACACACCAUAAUUGACUCAAACUAAAAUAGAAAAUCUUAAAGUAAUAAAUAUUCUAAAAUUGUAAAUUAUCUAAAAUAACAAUAAUUAACUUCCUAAAUCAUUUCUUUGGUGUAAAUCAUUUUACAUCCAACCUCGCUUUAAAGGUUUGAACCAGCGUUACCAACAACAAUGUAUCAAGUUCCAAUCUAGCUUAAGAUCAUGCUGAUACAUCUACUGAUAUCUUUAUUUGAUUAGACAAUAAUGAGUCUAUCUCAUCACUUGUUACCUCUUUCUUGAAGGCUGCAUCUGUUGAGCGAUAACCUCGUUGAAAGUUUAAAGAUCUUCCUCCAUGUUAAAUUAAAUGGGCAUUUGAUUAAGAACUUUAUCUCUAUCUCCUUCUAUCAAAUAACAACCAUCCAAAGGGAAAAAAAAAUUAAAAAAAUCCAUGGGUCACAAUAAUUUCUGGUCAGCCCACAAACCCCCCAUUAUCUGCCACUAUCAAUCAUGAAAAUGAAAAUAAAUGGCAUAUUCCCAAAAUGACGAAAGAUUUUGGGGGAUAUGGGGGAAUUGUCAAAAGUUCACACAACGCGAAACAAGUGUUACAUCCAAUUUUAUUUCGUCAUAUAAUGAUAAUAUCAAAUAAUGACAACCAUCCAAAAGUAUGAUGGGUCUUCCAAAAUUUUAAAAAUGUCGUCAACAUUUAAUUUUCAAUGCUAAAGAAAAUGAAAUGCCCAAAAAUGACACGCAAGACCCACUCACAAACUAAAUGGCCCUUGACCAUAUGUAACAAACUUUGACCUUAUGUCCCUGCUAUGGCGUUAGACUGUUGGUCAUUUUGAUUGCUUUUUACCUUCCAUUUACACCCACUGAAGCAUUGUACGAUUAACCAUUUUAGCUGUUUAAAUGAAAUUUUUAUUUUUUUCAAAAGUAAAAUGACACGCUUAAAAUUUUAGAAAAUAGCCAUGUAGACCCUAAAAUUUUAAUAAAGAACACCAAUACCCUUUUUGACUAUAGUACUUUUAGUCGAUGGUAACAAAAAAAAAAAAUGACUUCAAAAUUUUUUACUAAAUGUAAAUAUGAUUUAAAUAGUUUAAAUUUUCUAGUAGACUAGUAGGUAUAAUUUAAAUAAUUAAUUUAAAUAUUAAUUUUUAAAAUGUAAUUUAAUAUAUUUAUUUUAAUAAUAUAUUUUUAUUUAUUAUAAAAUUUUAAAUAAAUCCUUAGGUUAAAUAGAUUAUAUAAUUAAUAUAAUAUUUCUCAUGUUUUAAUAAUAUUAAAAUUAUUUUACAUGCUAUUGAAAAUAAUUUAAAGUUUUAUAUAUUUAUUUGAAUAUUAUGUCUCUAUUUAUUAUAACUUGGUUUAAUAGAAUAUGAGAUUGUAAAAUAUUAAAAUAUUUUUAGGUACUGAAAUUAUUUUAAUAGGUAUAUAUUAUUAUAUUUACUUUAAUAUCCUACUUAUAUUUAUUAUAAAAUAUUAAAAUUAAUUUUUUUAGUUAAUGAAUUUAAAAAAUAAUAUAAUUAAAAAAAGAGUCUUAUUGUCCGUUAUUCACGAUAUGAGGUUUUACAAAAUUAUUUUCAAAAGGAAAAAUAAGUUCAGGGGUUUCAAAAAAUUCUAGUCCAAUCGACCACUAUGACUAAUGGGAAACGACAUUGCAAUUGACAUUGUUUUUCGCAAUAUGACAAAAUUUUGGAGGGAUAUGGGAGAAUCGUCAAAAGUUAACACCACACAAGAGUUUUAUUUAUUUAUUUAAUUUAUUUCACACAUAUAUUGUCUUGUUGGUAUUGUUUUGUAAAGAUAUAAAAGCACAAGUAAAAUAUUAGGGGAAGUAAAGUAAAAUAUUGGGGGUGCUGCUAAGUUACAACUGCUAUAACUUACAGUUCCUUCAAAAAUAAUGUAAAACAUUUAACACGUGGUGGGACCCACAUUAUGUUUGAAUAGUCCGUAAGUUAUAGCAGUUAUAAAUUAGUAAAAUCCAAAUAUUAGACAAUAAUACACAUUAACAAUGCAUAUAAUUUGGGUUUAAUUUUUUUUAAAUUAUUUGAGUAUUACCUAUCCUUAAGAUAUUAAUGAGAAUAUAUUUUAAUAUUGUGAAGCUUUCCUCAAUUAUUCUCAUGCACCCAGACCUUAUCUGGUCAAGUUUUCUGAUUCAAUACUGACGACAGCUUCUUUGUAAAGCUCUUCAACCACAAGCAUUUCUACAAGGCAAAGGACAAGGACGUGUUGGAAUGAAUAUCAACAUGGGAAUGUCUUAUGAAUUUAGUUUAUAUUCUAAUAUAAGACAAUCAAUAAAUAUUGGAUGCAAUCUAAGGGCUAACAUUUGAUUGAUUAAUAUAAGAAAAAAAAAGGGUACAAAAAUGCAAAACAGAGCUGAUUGAUGGCCUUUAACAGUCAGUUCUAUGACAAAGUAACCACCAUAACCAAUGGAAUUAUAAGACAUCAAGAAACUUGAACUUGGCAGGAGGUCUCAUUAGCAGUAUACCUCAGAAAUUAAGACAGAGACUUUAAAAUGCAAGCUUAUGGAGCAAUUUAAGCACUGAAACUAAUAACAGUGAUGCCAAAAAAGGUGCAGGAGUACGGUAUUAGCAAUUGACCUCUGCUUUUGCUUGGACAAAGGUUCUCAUCACAAGGGACUCAUUAGUUGCCCUUGCCUCACACGAUUGGAUGCUAAGGGGGAAAAGGAAGUUUGAAUUAGUCAAUCUCAUUUCUAAUGGCAUUCACAGAGAACCUAUAAAACAAAAAAGUAAAUAAAAAUUUUCAUCCAUGAAAAGCUUAGUAACGGAAAAACCGACUCUUUUAUCUGCCACUGACCUAAUCCGGACUCAUUUAAUUAAAAAAGAAUUCAAAGCAAAACUAAAAGACACAAAUUGCAUACAAGUCUAGGAGCCAUAUCAAAGGCGUUAUAUAACUUGUCCAAUUAAUAAAUUCUCUUAGGGACCAUGCCGUGCUCACUCAUUUCCAAAGCAAUUAAUGAUAAGAACUUUCAUCAUUAAUUGAUAUGGCCAGUGUAGAAAAAAAUGAAAAACCCCUCCAAGAUUAAAGCACAAGGAUAAGUUUAGAAUUACACUUCUUAAAUUUUGGUUAAUAAAUAAACGUCUAUAUGAAAAUAGAAAAUCUUUUUGGAAUAAAUAAACGUCAAAUUUUUGUUUCUAUCUUACUACCUUCUAAAUCCGCAAUCCCAAGUACUUAGAAGUAAAUGCUACAUAGUACAUGAGAUGUUUCCCGUUCAAAUAGCUCGUCCGAUACCAUUAACAUGUUCAUCUCUCUGUAAUUGGUGUAAUUACGAGAUUGGUGGUUGACAUGGCUUUCCUUGUACAGGUAUGUAUGAUUGUUUUUUUUUUUUUUGGCACUUCUAAAUGGAUACUGUUGAAAAGCUUAAAAUUGAACUGAUAAUUUUGUUUGGAAGCUCAGAAAAUUCAUGAGAAAGUGAAAUAGAAUAUGCUGGAUUUCUUUUCUUUCCAUAACAUACAAAUGACAAACGUAGCAGUAUUUAUACUCGUUGCUUACAUCAUAAAAACAGAAUUAAAGCAAGGUACACAACUAUAACAGCAUCAAAAGCGUGCUUAACUAAUUGGCUGAGCUGGCAUAUACUUCUUUAACUAACAAUGCUGCUGACUGGACUUUAGCUCACACAUGCUUAUCGUGCAGCUACUCUUAGUUCACACGUGCUCAGUGUGCUUCCUUAACAGACACAAGGGAAAAGACAUGAUUUUGAGAUAUAACGCUUGAAUGUUCUCGGAAUGGCAUAACGCUUCGUGUGUCUCGGAGCGGCUGAUUGGUGCUGUACGUGUUUCUCAUAUAGAACUCAAGUCUGCUGUUGUCCCAAAGUUGGAACCAGAGAUAUCAUGACUCUGGUUUCAUUUCACCUCAACUGUGUUUUUUUUUUUAAUUAAAAAAAUAAUUUUUUUAGGUAUACAUACAUGUAUUUUGAUCCCAUUUUCAUGGGAAUUUUGCAUUAAAAAAUGAAGAAUAGCUAAUAGGGAAUUUCCUGAUUCUUUAGUUACUAUUUUUGGAAUGAGGGUAAUUAGUAGUAAAGUUGGUUUCUACUCGCAAACAAGUGAGCUGCUCGAUUCCCAAGUGGUAUCAACCAGUUUUCAACUUUUUAAUAUACACAAAUUGUUAUUGUUUAAUAGCUACUACUAUUAAAACUCAACAUCUUACAAAAAUACUUAAAAAAAAUGAUUUUUUCUUAUGAUGCUGUAAAAAAAAUUACGGGUUUACUUAUUUCCACGAGAUCUUGUAUAGUGUUCUUGUAUAGUGGAAUUAAGAUUGUCUUCCCGAUGGUGCAAUUCACCCUCUUCCUUUACAGUCACUUGCACUUUGUGCAGCUUUGGUGUGGAUACGAUUCCCAGGGAAAAAGUCUUCAUGUUCGGACAAUGUGUCACAAAUACUCGUUCCAAUGAUGGGAAUUCAAGAGUGUAAUUCUCCAAACAAAAGCUGGUAAGCCUUGGUAAAUCAUCAAGUUCCAAAAGUUUUAAUUCACUGAAAGCAAUACGAUUCUCCUUCACUUCUUCUCCAGCAUGUCCUACGAUUUCUUCUAAUUUUUUGCAGUUCCAUACAUAAAGAUUCACCAGACUAGUAGGAAUUCCAACCUGAAAAUAAGCAGAGAGAGUGUGUGUGUAUAAAUAUUAAAAAAGUAAAAAUGUAAGAGUAUCAUUCAACUAGGCUCAAAGUAUGUUUGAUCAUACAAUUAUACGUUUUAUGAACAUAACAAACUGUGAAAUGUCUACUAGAUAUUUUUUGUUAAACAAAAAAGGUAACAAGAUAAAUAAAUAAAUAAAUAAAAGCCAGAUAAACAAAGAUGAUAAAAAUGUAUUUACACAAUUAGUAUUAGGGACGUAGAAAGAAUUUAAGGCAAUUUCUAAAUAUUUUAGACUUAUUUUGCAUCUUGAUAUAAGUUUUUAAGCAUAAAUUUGCACAUUUCAACUAUUCCUUUAAAAAAAAACUCAACUAAAAUGCCUCUUUUUCCCUUUUCCUUGGUCCCCUUUUUUUUAUGUAUAUAUAAAAAUGGAAAAAAAAAUUUGGAAAAGACUUCCUAGUACUGUCAACAAGGGAUUGCUGUAAAGUGGAUCUUUAUUAAGUACUUCCAGACUCGAGGAAAUUUCUUUACAAUCAAGGGUCAGUUGUAAACAAUCAUGAAUUUAUGGUUAAGUAAUGGCAUAAUCAAUUCUUAACUAAACUGGAGAUAUUAAUUAAAUUUGAAGACUUUUUUUUUUUCCCAAUCGAAAUGUGAAGAACUAAGGAAAAGAGAAAUAUAUAGAUGAAUUUGUGAACUUAUAAGAUGAGUGACUAUCCUUUAAUUUUUGAAAAUCGUACUUAUUAAGAUAUGAGCAAAAACAAUUAAAUUGAAUUAUAUUAUGCUGUUGAAUCUGUUUAAAAAAAUUAUAUUGUUGAUUCUAAUGCUGGUGAACCUAAAAACUAGACUUAAAACGUAGAUUUCAGAGUGGUGGUUUGAAGUACAAUAUUUGAAAUAAAUAAUUAGUGGCUGAAUAUCAUUUGUAAACACAGAAAUGAUUAAAAAAUUGUUGAAUGUUAUUUGAAAAAAAAAAUCGAAAUGAAUACAGAAACCUUACCAAUGGAGGAAAAAUAUUCAUUAGCUUAUCACACUCUUCUAUCUCCAAAUUCUUCAAUUUCCUGAAAGACUCCGAAGCAAGCUGGUGGUGCCAUAUUGUUCUUAGGUUAUCCAUCCACACAAUAUAUAAUACCUCCAACCUAGGAAGUCGUACCUGGCAAUUAAAGAUUAAAUAACUAAUUAAUCAAUUAAUGGCAUAAUCAAUUGAUAACUAAAUUAGAGGCGGAUAUUAACUAAAUUUGAAGACUCAAGGAAAAGACAAAUCAAGUAUUGUGACUAAAAUUAUUUUUUUAAUUAAAAAAAAAAAACUUUUCAUCAAAGAGAGGAGGAGGUUGCAUUUCAGAAUGAAUAGUGUCUUCUGGUGAGCUCGUAGAGAUGAAUCUUAACAUAUUACUGCAACAACCAAUCAUGAGGUUUAGCAAAGAAGGGAAUUCAACAACUAAAUCUGAAUGAAUAUGUCCCAUAUUGGCAAAACCUUUAAUUCAAUCAACUUUCCUUCAUCUCUUUCUGACCAUCCCGUGGUGUCGACUACCCCUUCCAUUGACUCACAAUAGCUUAUCUCAAGAUGUUGGAGUUGCAAAAGGCUAUUAACCAUAGAAUAUGAAAACAGAUACUUUAGACGAUAACACCUUUCCACAGUCACUUUUGUUAAAUUUUGACGAAAGUACAUUCCUUGAUUAUGAUCGGCCCAUAAUUUUUUCAUGUUUCUUAAGUCCCUGAGAUUCAAUUCCUCUAAGCUCGGAAGAAUAACCUGCAAAGAAAACCCGUACAUUUUUGUUCCUUCAAGUACAACCGUCUAGUAUAAUAUUCUUUUGAUGAUCAAAGAUUAAUUGUGAUAAUAAAUUAAUCAAUUAAUUAUUGAACAGAAAAUUAUCACCUUUGGAGCAGGAUCAUCAUCAGCAAUGAUUUCGUUGAAUCCCAAAGAAGUUGUUGGUUUGCUAAUUGUUGCACCAAAGAAGUAAGAUUUGAAACUUGUUUUUCUAGAGAAGUAGUACUUACCUCAUUGACUCGCUUAGGUGGCGGCAGUAGAUCGUUCCUAGUGUUGAACUGUUGGGAAUUAGCAGCCAUGUUAGCAAUGAGAUUUCGGGCUGCUUCUGGUGUCUUAUCCACGAGUGCUCCUCCACUAGCGGCAUCAAUCAUACUCCUAUCCAUAGGUAGUAGAACCUCAUAAAAGUAUUGAAUAAGAAGUUGAUCACUUAUCUGAUGGUGAGGGCAACUAGCACAUAGCUUUUUGAAUCGUUCCCAAUAGUCGUAGAGCGACUCUCCAUUAUACUGUCGGAUUCCACAAAUUUCUUUUCGAAUGCUGCCAGCUUUUGAUGCUGGGAAAUAUUUCUCCAAAAAUAGCUGACGCAUCUCAUUCCAUGUAGUGACAGUACCGGAGGGAAGAUAGUACAACCAUUCCUUGGCUGAAUCCGCCAAAGAGAAUGGGAAGGCCAUUAGCUUAACUUGCUCUUCAGAAACUCCGGCUGGUUUCAUUGUGGAGCAGACCACAUGGAACUCCUUCAAGUGGUUAUUUGGAUCCUCUCCUGCAAGACCAUGAAAAGUAGGAAGAAGAUGAAUCAUCCCAGAUUUGAGUUCAAAGUUUACUUGAGGGUUUGGAUUCUCAAUGCAUAAGGGUUGUUGGUCCAAGUUAGGAGCUGCCAACUCUUUAAGUGUUCGGUUGUUAUUCUGAGCCAUUGGUUGGGGUUCUGGGCUGCUUGGNNNNNNNNNNNNNNNNNNNNNNNNNNNNNNNNNNNNNNNNNNNNNNNNNNNNNNNNNNNNNNNNNNNNNNNNNNNNNNNNNNNNNNNNNNNNNNNNNNNNNNNNNNNNNNNNNNNNNNNNNNNNNNNNNNNNNNNNNNNNNNNNNNNNNNNNNNNNNNNNNNNNNNNNNNNNNNNNNNNNNNNNNNNNNNNNNNNNNNNNNNNNNNNNNNNNNNNNNNNNNNNNNNNNNNNNNNNNNNNNNNNNNNNNNNNNNNNNNNNNNNNNNNNNNNNNNNNNNNNNNNNNNNNNNNNNNNNNNNNNNNNNNNNNNNNNNNNNNNNNNNNNNNNNNNNNNNNNNNNNNNNNNNNNNNNNNNNNNNNNNNNNNNNNNNNNNNNNNNNNNNNNNNNNNNNNNNNNNNNNNNNNNNNNNNNNNNNNNNNNGCUAGUCCCCGGCAACGGCGCCAAAAAUUUGGUAGUGUCGUUAAGGUGCACCAAAUUUAAAACCUUACCACUAAUAUAAAUAAUUAGUACAGAGCGAGUAAGGAUCGAUCCCAUAGAGACUAUGCUAGUUAUAUUUAUUAUUAACUCCAAAGCAAGAUUUAAAAUAAAAUAAUAGUAAUAGUAAUAAUAAUAUAAAUUAAUCUAACUAAAGAAAAUGCCAAUUAAAAAUAAAAGGGGGGUUUAUGAAUUUUUAACUAAAUAGUAAGAAAUAAAGAAAUUAAAAUUACGAACAAGAAUUUAAUAAAAACUCUAAUUAAAGGAGAAAGAAAUAAUAAUGAUGAAAACUUUGGUUAAAGGAUCAUUCGCCACCACCAAACAUGCACAUAAUAAAUCAAUUCUAUUAUCAAUUUAUAUUGAAACUAUCAACCAUAGACAACAAUAAGCUCUGUUAGUCUCAAUCUUUCCUUAGUGUGUCGUUAGGUAAAAUAAGCUCUUCACCUAAUCUAUAACCAUUAAAUAAUUUAAAACAAGCUCUUUAAAUUUAAGAUAAUGGAAGCAUUAAACAAAGAAAGAAAUUAGGUUGAUCUAGGCAAUAAACACACAAGCUCAGAUUAUUUAACCUAGGUUAUGUUCUCCAAUUGAAAUCAUUAAUUCCAACCUGCUACUAAUGAUUAAAAUAUCAAGACAAUUACGGAUCAAGAAUUUUAAUCUAGCAAUAAAAUUUAUUCAAGUCCUAUCUAAUUGGCCACUCAAACAAAACAAGAAUAAACCAUGAACAUUAAUUAUAGAAGAACAUAAACAAUCUCAAUUAAAUAAAUUGAAUGAUAGAAUUUAAAUUUAAUUGCAUAGCAUGUUUAGGGUUUUGAAUUCACCCUCAACCAAAUAAAAAUCUAGCCUAACAUAAUUGAAUUGGGAAUAAGAGAAUUGACAAAACCAAUCAUAGAGAUUAAUUCAAGCGGCUGCCUUUUUCUUCAAUUGAAUUCCGGCUGCUGAUUUUUUCUUCUUCUUGCGGCUAUUGAUUUUCCUCUUGCUGCCGAAUUGGAUUUGCCCUCCCAAAGUCUCUUGCUGCCCGAAUUCUUUUCCCUCUAUUGCUUCCGCUUGAUCCUAUUUAUAAUGCUUCAAUUGUGGCUUUUUUUAAAUCCUUGCCUGGAAAGAAUUAAAUUCAAAGCUCAAAACCGCCACCUCAUGCUUCAAUUAAUAAGCCAAUAAUGAUUUCCUAAAGCCAAAAGGCUUUAUUCUCUUUCCUUUCACGUGGCAACUUUUGGUUUGCAUCUUUGUUUUCCAAUUUUGCUUUCAUGUGAUGGCUUGGCUUGUUAAUUGGCUUGGCUUCCUUUUUGACUUCCAUUUUCUAAUUUUAGCUCCAUGUGCAACAUUAAUUUUGCUCGGCCCAUACAAGCUUUAAUUAAAUUUAUUUUCUAAUUCCUUCCAAUUCUUGAUCUCUUGUGCACUUUUGUCUCUCAAUCUUCAAUCAAAUUUUUUUUCUUGAAUGCUCCGAUUUAAUUUCUCUUUAAUUCCAGAAUAUACCUAAAAUAACAAAAUAAAUAAAACUAAGAUAAAAAUUAACAAAAUAAAAUAUAAUUUACUAAAUUAAAAAUUAACUAAAAUAACUAGAAUAUUUAAGACCAAAACAAGAAAAAGAUAGAGAAAUUAAUAGCAAAAUAUAUGAAAAAUAUGCACUUAUCACAAGCCUCUCAUUUUUCAAAGCUUUUGCAAGGGUAAUAAGUGCAACAGGCAAUCCUCCGCAUUUUUCAACGAUCUCAUCUGCUAAAGGUUGAAAAGCAGAUGCUUUUGCAGAAUUACACACUAUCUUUCCAAACAAUUGCAAUGCUUCUUCCUUUGAUAAAACUUCAAUUGAGAAAUCCUUCUGAGAUUUCAUAUCAUUGCGCAAUAAAUCUCGACUUCUAGACGUCAAUAUUAUUGUGCGUCUUCUCCGAUCGUCCUCUCUAUCUUUCUCAUCAACAUCCCCAUAAGGAAUUCCAACUGUAUCGAACUCAAGUUUUGUCCAAAUAUUAUCCAGUAUAAUGAGGAGCCGCUUCUCUUGCUUCAACCUUUGACACAGUCGAGAAGCUCUUUGAAAUUCAUUCUCAUUCAAGUCAAAUUCCAUGCCUAAAUCAAAAGCAAGUUUGUCUUGAAUUUUAUGAUGAUCUGGGGUCUGUGUUAUCUCAGCCAUAACGAACUUAUCGAACAACUUAUCUUCCAUCACUUGGUUUGCAACUUGUUUGACCAGCGUGGUUUUGCCCACGCCGCCCAUCCCAUAGACCCCAAUUAUGUUGACCUUGUCAUCCUUCACCGCCUCCAUAACAUCUUGAAAUACUUUCAUUCUUGAAUCAAACGCCUCGAAAUCUUUCACUUGCAUAUGUUCUGCCCGCUUUGGAGCAGGACUGUAGGAAACAUUGGAGAAGUUGCCUUUUCCCACGAGACUAGCGGCAGCUUCUGCCGCCUUUGCUGCUUGUUUACUAAGCUUGUAACGAGAAAUCAAGUUUGGGCAUAAUCCUUUGAAGCAGGACUUCUUAGCUCUAUCUUCAUCAUCAAUGAUGGAUUUUGCAACCCCUUCACUGAUGAAUUCAUCAACGCUAUGUAGCCAGUCUGUGACACCCUCAUAAAGCUCAUCCCCUUGUAGCCUAGCAUGAUUAACUGGUUGCUGCACCAUUUCUCUCUUAUAUCCCAGCUGCUUCACUUGAUCUUUUAGCUCAUCUAUGUAGCUCUGGUACUUGAACACAUAAGAUAUCUGCCGUGUAAUCGGGUUGAACAGUGACUUUGCACCUUCUGAUACACAGUUGGUUAAAAAAGCCAGACACGCUUCUAUAGCCAUUGCCGGUUGCUUAACAAUAUAUAUCUAGUUUUUGGCUGUUGAAAAAAAAAAUGGAUUCAAAUAAAUUAAAUGAACUAGCGGGGAAGAAAAAGAAAGAAACGACAACAAACAACUUUUUAGAAAAAGGUUUCAGGGGCCUGAAUGGAAAACCAACAAUUUUUUGAAGAAAGAAAACUUUUUUGGAAGAUGGAUGCAAAUUAACCAUUAAUAAUACUGCAUAAGAACACAGAAGUUAACAAUAAACAGUAACUUAAAACUCAAGAAAAUUAAAUGACAAGAUUAAGACAAACAAGAGAUAGUUUUUGUUGGACAUUAAGAAACAUCUGCUAUCAAGAUCAAAGAUUAGAAAUUAUGCUAUUGAAAGAAAUUAUUAAAGUAUUUAGAACAAACGCACCUCUUCAAUUAUCGAGGAUCACAGAGUUUAUGAGCUUCACUCUUGGCCUUCGAUUUAUAAGAAAAAUUUUAAUGAGCAAAAGAUCACUGUUAACUGCAGAAGAAUGUGAGUAAAGAGUUUAUGGGAGUAAGCAAUACAAUUGAAUUGUAAAAGAACAAGACUUAAAGCGUGCACCCCGUGUUCAUAUAAACAGAACACAUGUUCAUUUUUAACAAAGUGAUCAAUAACUCUAUUCGUUAUUUAAUUGAUAUUGUAACCAAUUCUAAGAGAAUAUAAUAAUAAUCAUUCAAUCCAUAAAUUUAGAAUUAGAUUUUUUUAACUCUUUAUUUAAAUAUAAACCUUAAUGGAAAAUUAUAAAAGUUUAGAGAUAAAAUUUUUCAAUCACCAAACGAAAAAAACAGGGGAAUGAAAACAGAGGAAUCUUGUUUUAACUAUUUUUUUCCUCAACUCUCGUUCUUAUAUUAAUAAUCUUGUUUUGAUGAUAGUGCUCGUGACUGCGGGAAAAUUUCUACUGGAAACAACUCAAUUUCGGAAGAAAACUUAAUUUUGCAAGUGAUGAAUUUGAACUCGUUGGAUUGGUUGAUUUAUGAUUGACUGAAUUUCACUUUUGCCCAAAAGAUCUUUAACCAAAGUUUAAUAGCCAUCAUGUACUCCUUAAAAGCAAUUUUUUUUUUUAGAUUUGACUGAAUUUGAACUUGUUGGAUUGGUUGUUUUUAGAUUAUUAAUAUGAGAUAUUACAACGUAAAUAUUUUCAUGUGGUUGAGCCCUAUUCUAAAAUCUGUAUAGUUAGCUUUAGAAAAAGGGCUUUUCCUGCUGAUCUGUAAUCUUCAAAUAAACUUAGAUACAAAUAAUGAAAUAAAAGACAACAAACAAGCAAUACUGAUACAAAGCCAACAGAUCAGAGUUUUUUCUUGCCUUCUUUUGUUGAAGGAUUAGAGUUUUUGGUAUUAUCAGUAAAGGUUUCAAGGAGUAAAGCCUAUAAACUUUUUUUUUGGGGGGGGCGCCGCCGCGGGGAGGGGGGGGGGGGGGAGAGCAUGCAAAUUAACCAAAAGAAAUAAUAAGAGCACAGGCUUUAACAAUGAAUACUGACUUAAAACUCAUGCAAAAUAAGUUACAAUAUUAAAACAAACCAGAGAAAAUUUUUUCUUGGAAAGUAGAUGGAACUUAUGAAAGAGCAGAUGUCAAGGAUUUAGAAAACGCGCACCUCUUUAAUUAUCUGGGAUUAGAGAGUUGGUGAGCUUCUCUAUUUAAGAACAAGUUGAAAGAGGAAAAAGAUCACUGGUAACUGCUGAGGAAUGUGUGAGAAAAGAGUUGAUGAGAGCAAUAACAAAGACCUGCAAAAGAAAAAGAAUUAGUCAUGCACCGCUUUUCUAUAUCAUGUAUUUGGUUAUUGUUGCCCUGUUGACGCAUGUUGAAGAAGAAAGCACUAGUUCACAACUCUACGUUUUCAUAUAUUCUAAAGAAAUAAUUAAGUUUUCAUAGAAUGAUACCUGUUGUGUUUGAGUAAUUUUGGUAUAUACAUUGCUUGUGUACUGUGAAAUUGAAAUGAAUAUUGAUGGAAUGACUGAAUUUCACUUUUGCCCAAAAGAUCUUUAACCAAAGUUUAAUAGCUAUCAUGUACUCCUUAAAAGCAAUUUUUUUUUUUAGAUUUGACUGAAUUUGAACUUGUUGGAUUGGUUGUUUUUAGAUUAUUAAUAUGAGAUAUUACAACGUAAAUAUUUUCAUGUGGUUGAGCCCUAUUCUAAAAUCUGUAUAGUUAGCUUUAGAAAAAGGGCUUUUCCUGCUGAUCUGUAAUCUUCAAAUAAACUUAGAUACAAAUAAUGAAAUAAAAGACAACAAACAAGCAAUACUGAUGCAAAGCCAACAGAUCAGAGUUUUUGGUACAAAGCCAAUAAAAGACAAUAAACUUAGGACCUUUUUUUCUUGCUUUCUUUUGUUGCAGGAUUAGAGUUUUUGGUAUUAUCAGUAAAGGUUUCAAGGGUCUGAGUAAAAGCCUAUAAUCUUUUUAUAAACUUUUUUUUUUGGGGGGGGGGGGGGGGGGGGAGCAUGCAAAUUAACCAAAAGAAAUAAUAAGAGCACAGGCUUUAACAAUGAAUAGUAACUUAAAACUCAUGCAAAAUAAGUUACAAUAUUAAAACAAACCAGAGAAAAUUUUUUCUUGGAAAGUAGAUGGAACUUAAGAAAGAGCAGAUGUCAAGAUCAAGGAUCAGGGAUUCUACUAUCAAAAAAAAAAAAAUUAUUCAAGGAUUUAGAAAUCGUGCACCUCUUUAAUUAUCUGGGAUUAGAGAGUUGGUGAGCUUCUCUAUUUGGCCUUCAAUAUUUAAGAACAAGUUGAAAGAGGAAAAAGAUCACAGGUAACUGCUGAGGAAUGUGUGAGAAAAGAGUUGAUGAGAGCAAUAACAAAGACCUGCAAAAGAAAAAGAAUUAGUCAUGCACCGCUUUUCUAUAUCAUGUAUUUGGUUAUUGUUGCCCUGUUGACGCAUGUUGAAGAAGAAAGCACUAGUUCACAACUCUACGUUUUCAUAUAUUCUAAAGAAAUAAUUAAGUUUUCAUAGAAUAAUUUUGGUAUAUACAUUGCUUGUGUACUGUGAAAUUGAAAUGAAUAUUGAUGGACAGAGCAAUGCAUAUGCCUAAAAAAACAUAAAGCAAAUCCUUGAACGAAUGAUUCAGGACUAAAACUUUUAUAAAAGCAAAUACCGGAAACACACAAAAAGCAUUUAAGAGAGAAACUAAACCGCAAAUAAUCGAAGUAAGAUCAAUAAUAUAUGAUUUGAUUUAUGCAUAUUCAAAAACCAAAAUAUAAAAUAAAAUACAAAAUUAAAGUUUGGUUUAUUCUUUCCACAAAAAACAGGGGAAUGAAAACAGAGGCAACUUGUUUUACCAAUUUUUUCUUCUUAAUUUCCGGCAAAAAAAAUCAAUAAACAGGGGAAUGAAAACAAAGGAACGAAAACAGAGGAAACUUGCUUUUCAGGCUAUCUUGUGACAUGAUGAUAUUGCUCGUGAAUGCAUGAAAAUUUCUAAUGCAAACAGCUCAAUUUGGGAUGAUAAGCUUAAGUUUGCAAGUGAUGCAUGAUAAUCAGAUAUUUGUGGCUUUUAAAACUCAAGAAAACUCAAGAAAAUUAAAUGACAAGAUUAAGACAAACAAGAGAUAGUUUUUGUUGGACAUUAAGAAACAACUACUAUCAAGAUCAAAGAUUAGAAAUUAUGCUAUUGAAAGAAAUUAUUAAAGUAUUUAGAACAAACGCACCUCUUCAAUUAUCGAGGAUCACAGAGUUUAUGAGCUUCACUCUUGGCCUUCGAUUUAUAAGAAAAAUUUUAAUGAGCAAAAGAUCGCUGUUAACUGCAGAAGAAUGUGAGUAAAGAGUUUAUGGGAGUAAGCAAUACAAUUGAAUUGUAAAAGAACAAGACUUAAAGCGUGCACCCCGUGUUCAUAUAAACAGAACACAUGUUCAUUUUUAACAAAGUGAUCAAUAACUCUAUUCGUUAUUUAAUUGAUAUUGUAACCAAGAUCAAGGAUCAGGGAUUCUUAUGCCUACUGAUAUUUAAACAGAGAAUUCUUUCUUCUUUUUCUCUUCAUGGAUUAGAGUUUUUGCUAGUAACAGAAAGGUUUCAAGGGUCUGAAUAAAAUCCCAGAUUUUUUUUUAACUUUGUUUUUUGUGGGAAAAUGGAUUCAAAUUAACCAAAGCCAAUAAUAAGAUCACAGACUUUAACAAUGAACAAUAACUUAAGCAAAACCAAUGACAAGAUUAAAACAAACCACAGAAAUUUUUUCUCGGAAAGUAGAUGAAAAGCAAGUAAGAACUGCUAUUAAAGGAUAUUAUUAAAGGAUUUAGAACAUGUAUACCUCUUUAUUUAUAUGGGAUCAGAGAAUCGAUGACCUCCUCUAUUCGCUUCAGAUAUUAAGUAAGAACUGCUAUUAAAAGAAUGAAUUGAUGAGAGUAAUAACAAUGAUUGCAAAAUAGGAAGACUCAAUCAUGCACCCCUUUUAUACCUGAUCAUAUUAAGAAGUCGUUAAAGAAUAACGACUAAAUUAGGAAUUAAUUCUGAAGUUCAGAAUCAAGAACAAAGACGAAGCUUUAAUAACGCAUGCAGUGAGAUACAAGAAAUGGAUCUGGUAAAAUACAUUAAAAAAAUUUGUUCAACUUCAACCUAGUUAAGCUGAUGAAAGCACUAGUUGUUGGCUCUACGUUUCAUAUGUUCUAAUGAAAUAAUUAAGUUGAAGUUUUCAACGAAUAAAUACCUGUUUCGCUUGAAUAGCUUUGGCAUAUACAUUACUUGUGUCCUGUGAAAUUGAAAAGGUUAUUGAUUUACAAAGCUUAUUAGUAGAGAAAAGCUACGUAAGAUGCCUGAUAAAAGAUAAAGCAAGAGCUUGAAUGAAGAAUGACAUUUUAGAAAGAAACUAAAGUGUAAUCAUCAAAGUAGGAUCAAUAAUGUACCACUUUCCUUGCAAAUCUGGUGGGUUUUCUGAAUAGAUUUUUACAUUAUUCUAUUUAACCAUUUUGGGUUUACCCUAAGCAUUCUUGGUUGGCAUUGUCCUGUAAUCUGCGUGCCCUGGAUACGUGUGAGGGAAAGAUGAGGGUAGAUAUGCAAUUUCAAGAAGCGAUUUGCUUGCAUAAUUCAAUGCAUGGAAAGAGAUGUACCUGACCAGAAAAAAAAGGGCACCAUCCAUAUCUGAGCUUGACUUUUUAGAUGGAUAAAUAUUCUUAUUACUGUUGAUAAUGGAGAAGGGUUCUACUUUUACUUUGCCAUCUUUGAUAUAAAACAGCAUGAUUCCUUUUUAUCAAACACUUGCCUAAGUCUAUUUUUUAUUUUUCUUAUUUUCAGAAAGAGAUUAGCUUAAUUUAAAUUAUAUUCAAGUACAAAGUGUUAUACACUCAUAAAACGAGAAAUAGGCAUGUAUUGAUCACGCGCAAUCUAGUUUUUUUUUUUUUUCUUUUUUUUUAAUCCAGUCUUCUUAUUAAAAAAAAAAGAAUUUAUUUGCUUUAUUUUAAAUUAUUUUUUCAUGCGGUAAAUGCAAUACUGAGUAAUGGGUGAGCAAAAUAUUUACAGGCACACCCCCUUUUAAUGAUUUCGUACUAAAAUUAAAAAUUGACGAUUCCAUGAUAAAGUUCAAAGAGUAAAUGAAGACCCAUAAAUGUUUUUUGGUCAUGAGCAAUUUUUGAGUUGGGACAGCACUCGUAUGAAAAAAAAUAGUUUUUUUUUUUCUUUAAGCAUGAGGAUAUUAAUUCUUUUUUUAUAAAUCAGCGUGAAUAUAAAAUUAAAAAAAUAGUUUUGAAUAACUUCUUUUCUUUUUUCAUAAAUAUAGAUAAAAAAUUUUAAAGUCACCAAACACAAAACCAGGAAAAUGGAAAGGAAGCCCCUGUUUCUCCGCUGCUGCAAGCACAAAUUCGGUUUCUACAGGAGUACCUUCUAAAUGCACCAUUUGUAUUGCUUUGUUUCCACGUAAGCUAACGGAAUUUGAUGAAGACAAAAUAGAUAUGAGUCGUGCUAUUCACACCCCUCGAUAAUUCUCUCAAAAUCCCCUUUCUAAUUAUACCGCCUUGAAUAAUUUCAAAACUGACUUUUCCUCUUAUAAUACCACCUUCAAUUCCCUUAAUACCCUUGUUCGCUAUGAAAAUAAGGAAAAUGCCUACAUAAAAAGCUGGCUCUGAUAAUCUACCUGAAUUUACAUUAGAAAAGAGUGGACUUUGAGAAAUAAGAAGACAAUAUAGGGAAUUUUACCAAAAUAAUCCAUUUUUAUAUACAGGGAAUGGUAUUUUCUAAUAUAAGGAGGAGUGGAGAAAUUAAAUUUAGCAAAAUAAAGAACCUCCAUCGAGAAGCAAAAAUGAUGAUAUCUUUGUCGUGAAGAGAUUUCAAUUCAAUUGCAUACAUUGACGAAACAUUAAAUACGGAAAAAACAAAAAAGAAAUAAUAGAACAUGGGGAUUUCGAGAACUUCUAAAGAGAGAAAUGUAUUUAUAAGCAUUGAAAAUUAGCUCAUUAAAUUUGACAGAAUAAUAUACAAUCUCACUGUUGGCCAGAAAAUAAUAGUAAGAACUUGUGAACAUAUAUAAUCAAUUGCUUAUUACUUAAGCUUUUUCUCCGUUAUUUUGAAUGGGUGCAAAGAGGAGAAGUUUUGUACCCAAAUUCCAACUCGAAUUGUGUAGGCUGCUUGCAAGAGCUUCAUUAGAUUUUUAUUUGUCUUUUAAUAGUGCUACUCGAUAAAUACAGCUAGCUAUCUGUCCUUUUUGUUACUGGACUAUAGAUCAAUUGACAGUUGAAGUUAUAUUAAUUUGUUGUACUGGAAUUGAAGCUUGUAUCUUAGCCAUUUCGUGAAGUGUCAAAUAUAUUUUUAAUUUCCUUAAAAUUGUUCAAAAUAUGUUUACACUUUUAAAGUCACUAUUAUACAUGAGUGCCCUAAAAUCAUUUCCUUAAAAUUGUUCAAGUGGGAUCCUAGUUCUCUAUGGCAGUUGAAGAGGUAAAUGCGCAUAGAGCUAUGCUCUAUCAUAGGCCUCGGCCACUAUAAGAAAUUUGAUUUUUUAAGACGAUAUUUUUUACAACAACUUUAAAUUUGGUCACAAAAUGGUAUUUAUUGUGACAAAUUUUUUAAAUCGUAGCUAAUAAUCUUGUCCUAACUUAUAUUUUUUUUUGUAACCAAUUAUUUUUAUUUUGAGACUUGUUCAUUGGUCAUUAAUUAAAUUUUUUUAUACCAAAAAUUAUUUUAGUCACCAAAAGAUAUAUUUUUUUGGCGCAAAAUCUUCCCUCCAAAAGUGAUUAUUUUGAGACAAUAUUUCACUAUUUAUGACAAAAUAAAUAGUCAUGAAAUAUAAUUAUAGGCGACCAAAUUAUUUGGUAACUAAAAGAGGGGUGUAAAAUUAACUAAACAAUCUAUGACACAAAAUAUUAGUAGCCAAAAUUAUUGUUCUUUUGGCAUAUUUUAAGACCAUUUUUUUGGUCAUAUAUAAUUACCUACAGUGACAAAAUUAAAAAAUAGUCGUUGAAUGUUUUAUCUUGAAUAAUUUUAUAUUUGAUAACCAAUUUUUUUUUCUUUUUGAGACAUAUUACUUGGUCCCUAUUUCAACUUCUUUUUGACUAACUUUAUAAUAGUCACAAAAGACAUUUUUUUUUUUUUUGGCAUAAAAAGUCUGUCCAAAGUUAGCUCUUUUGGGACAAUAUAUAAUCUUUUAUGACAAAAUAUAUAGUGGCGAAAUAUAAUUAUUUUUUACAAAGUUAUUUCGUAGCUGAAAAAGAGGUGUAAAUUUAGUUAACCUAUUUGUGACAUAAAAUAUUAGUCUCCAAAACUAUUAUGCUUUUAGCCAAUUUUAAGACCCGAUUUUGUUGUCAUGGAUAAUUACCUAUUUUCAAAAAACUAAGAGAUAGUAAUCAAAAGUUUGUCUUGAUUGACAUUGUAUUUUAUGAGCAAAAUAUUUUGUUUCAGUGACACUUUACUUGGUCUCUGAUUAGACUUGUUUGUGAUGAUCAAUAGAAAUAUAUAAUAACCACUAAAUUUUUUUGGAUUAAAUUUUAUAGAUACUAUUAAUUAAGUUGUUGACGAAAAUGAUCGAACCAAUACUAAUAUGGGAUACCAUCAACAGCCGUAAUACUUAUGAACCGAGAAAUUAUAAUAUGUAGUGAAAAAGUUUUAACAGUAGUCCCUAGUAUUUAGAAUUAUUUUGACUACUUUAUUUAUUUCCAAAACAUAAAAUUCUCAACCCAAAAUUCCCCGCAUUGUGUUUUAUUUUGUCUCCUCACUCAGUUACUCUUAUUAACUCACGGCUUGACAAAAAAAAGAAAAAAAUUCUCACAGCUUGAUGUUCUCCUCUCUUUAAAAAUAAAAAUCCCCAGUUACUCUGCUCAAACUCGUUAAUAUUUGUUUCCACCACCAAAGCAGCCACUCGUAUCUUUUAUUAAGCAUAACGUUUUUCUUAAAACCUAAUUGAUCAUUCUUUAACGUCUCCAGGAUUAUAUUUGGCACGCUAUUUUUCUCCUUCAAUUGAAUAGAAGUCUAGAACCUUUUUUUUUUCGCAAUUCACUUUUGCUGUGUUUCGUGGUUUGGACUAAGAUCAUGACAAUUAUUGAACGAUGGGGAUAAAUAUCAAAGAAGGAGCUUACAUGCCCUAUAUAUCUCUCUUUGGAUGAAUAACGAAUGUGAGCUUUCAAAGUACAGAGAUUUACAUGUUUUAAUUGUCAUUUACAUUGCUGCAUGCCAAUUGCUUGAUAAAAUACUGCAACAAAUACGCAUUCUCGAUUUUCUUAUAAAUUUAUUUUCUUAAUCUGAAAAAAAUUGAAUGUUCAGAGAAUUUUGAAGGUUUUGGUGUAUGCAUUAAUAUUUCGAUUCUAUUUAUGUUGUUUAACUAAUGAAGAUGAUACAUCUAGCCUCUUUUUGCCCCUUGUUGUUUUUAUUCUUGUGCUUUAUAUACGGUUCAAGUGUGAUACACUUUAGUUUUUCUCAAGUGUUUGUUAGUAUUUCCCGAAGCAAAAUUUGUCACAGACUUUGAGUUCAAAAGUUGAAAUCAUAACUAACAUACUUCGAUUUUUUAUUUUCCUUUUUUCUUCGGUAUCCUUCUAUAUGGCAUUGGUUGAGAAAUUGGUGUACUUAGAUCGUAAUAUUCUGUAGAAAUAAGCCAAUAUUUCAUUACGUACAUUGUUUAAUAUGAUGAGUAUUGUAUAGAAGUUUUACAUAUAAGCUCCUUAUAUAUUAUGCAUUAUGUUUUUAUCAUAUUGUUGCUUGGAACUUUGAAGGAUUGGCCACAGGGCUUUAGUCCUACAUGGACAUUUUAUAUUUAAUAGCUGGUUAGGCAUUUUAUUUGAUGUUAUUUGGACUUGUAGGUGUUAAAAGUUUUGUUCAGUAAUUUUAUAAUUCAGAUUCCCAUUGUGAUAAGAUAGCAAUUUUUUGUGUGUCAGAUUCUGUCAACUGAUAUUUAGCUAAAAUAUCUCACUAACCCCUAUUGGUUAGGUAUUAUUUUAAAUCACAUACUUGAUUUUUAUUUUCUUUUUAUCUGUGGAAUCCCAUGUAUCAUUCAUAAGAAACAAGCUAUUAUAUAAUCUAUUCUUUAGAUCCAUUUAUAUGUAGUGAGCACUCUGAUUUCUAUUAUUUGAAUUUUUUGCUACUGUUACUACUCUUUCGGCCCUUCAAAUAGGGGUUAACAGAAAUGGUGAGUAUAUUAAUACAAAUUCAAACUUUCUUUUUCUAAUUUUAUCCAAAAUAACCUACUAUUUUAUUUUAAUUUCAAACUUUUGUCAUAGUCUAAUGGGCAGUUGUCUUGUCAUUAUUUGGUUUCAAGUAAGAAGAGAGAAAGUUAGUGAGAGGAUGAAAAUUUUGCAAAAACUUGUUCAUAGCUAUGGUAAUUAAGUAGUUUGAGUUCUUUUUUUUGUUGUUUUCUAUGUUGGUUUUGGAUCAUUGUAGUUGCUGAUUGUGAUUUAUUGUCGCCUAUGGUUGCUGACUUUUGUUUACUGUGGCUACUUUAUUAAAGCAAUUUUGGAUAUUGAAGUUUAUGGCCAACUUUUAUUAGACACUUCUGACCUUUAUCGAUAUAUUUUCUGAACCUUUACACUUAAGAUGUGUGUGUGUGUUUUUAAAAAAUACAUGUGAAUGAAAUAGUACUUGAAAUAAUAUAUUUUCUCAACUUUUAUUAGAUAUAGUGAAAUAGUACUUGAAAUAAUAUAUUUUCUCAACUUUUAUUAGAUAAUUCAAAGUAUAUCCCACUUAUUAUCGAUAUAUUUGCUCAAGUCUCAUGUGCAACAUGUGAAUGAAAUAGUACUUGAAAUAAUAGAGACUUUGUUUUAUGACUCAUAUUUUUACAUUUCUUUGCAAGGAACCAUACUUAAUUGUACCUAAUAGAAGAGAUAUCUUUUCACUAUAUAGUCUUAGUAUAAAAAGAUACAUCUUCUAUAUAAGGCACAAUUGAUGGGACAUAUCUUUAUACUAAGACAUCAUUCAUAUUUAUCACACAAUAAUAGAAACUGCAAUGGUAGGUGGAAUAUUAUGAAGUCAAAAUUGAGAACGACAUUAAAUCAUGAAUUCUUUAUGUGUUUACUCGAAUGCCUGACAGUAUUUAGUUCAAUUAACACAGAUUGGAAAUCCAAAUGAUUGAAGAGUUGUAUGAGUUCAAGUUCAGUAUUUAAUUACUAUAUAAUUAUACAUAAAUGUGGAUUUUGCAAGCUUGAACCCAUGUGUGUUAGCCCAUUUCGGCCCAAUAAACAUAUUGUUCUGGAUAAAAAAUAUCAGGGGAUCUCUGAUGUUUCUUUGGUUUAACAUAAAUUUAUUCCUAACUCUAUAACCAUGCAUUAUUUAGACAAAAAUUUUUGCAAUCACCAAACAGUAAAACAGAGAAAUAAAAACGGAGGAGCUCUUUUCUAAAACAGAAGUAGGUGUUUUGUCUGAACGUACCACUUUCUGUUUAAUUAUUAUGUUUACGGAAUAGAUUUUUUUUUAUUAUUCUGUUUUAUGUUUCCGUCUUUACCCUAAGCAUUCUUGGUUGGCAUCGCUGCAUUGUCCUGUAAUCUGUGUGCCUUGGUGAGGAGGGGAAUGGAUAACUGUGGUGCUGGAUACGUGAGAGACAAUGAUGAGGGUAGAUUUGUAAUUGCCAGAAGCGAUUUGCUUGCAAUAAUUCAAUGCAUGGAAAGAGAUGCCUCUAACAAAAAAUGGGACUAUCCAUAUCUGAGCAUUAGAGCUCUACGUCUUAGAUAAAUAAAUAUACUUAUUAGUAUUGUUUUUGCAUAUAUCUUUCACAAAAUUAUUGUAUUCGCUUAUAUAGAGAGGACGAUUUAGAUAAGUUUCAACUAAAAAUUGACAAUUCCAUGAUAAAGUUAAAAAUCACCGAAUAAAAAACUGGAAAAUCCCCUGUUUCUCCUCUGCUUUCUUUUGAUUAUUAUUAAAAAGGGGAAUUAAAAAAUGAGUUGCAAGCACAAAUUUUAUUUCUACAGUAGUACCUUCUAAAUGCACCAUUGUUUGAUACAUUAAAAUUAAACAUUACUUAUGCUAGUAUAUCGGUACUUCACAUGUCCGUUCUUCAUUAAUGUAUAUUCAUUUACACCCAAGCUACCUGUCAGUUUUGCGAAAACUGAAUUUAAAGGUGUGGCUUAAAUUAAAAUAAUAAUCAGCCUCAUAGAAUACAGAGAAAAAAGAUAAUUUAUCACAAUCAUAUCCUAAUGCAUCAUAAAUUUAGAUUAUUUAAUUACUGUUAGGAAAUCUGCUUAGAUAAGGCGCACACUACAAAUUCUAAAUUAAAUUCCUAAUUAACAAUAAAAGAUAGACCCUAUUAAUCGUCCACCAGGUACCUUGUAGCCUGCAUCAUAAGUUUAGAUUUAAAUUUUUGCAAUUACCAAACGGAGAAACAGGGGAAUGAAAACAAAGGAGCCCUAUUUUUUCCAUUUUUGUCCCCCUUAACUCUUGUCCUUAUACAAAUAUUUUUCCUUGGAAUUUCAGGCAUACGAAAAAAUAUUGAAAAUUAUUUAAAGCAAACAGGUGGAUGAUAACAAAAAUAUAUUUAAUUAACCAAAUCAAGACACUAUAUUGGUCGUCAAUGUUUCGGCAUCACUGUCUUCUUCAGAUGUUACUUGUUUUUCACAUUUAUUUUGCGCUGUUGUGGAUUAAUAUGGUUCUGCUGGGUGCACAUUUUUACGUGCUACUGUAUUUUCUCUCAGUCCUUUUUAAAAGAACAUACACCCACAUACUAUGUAGAGUGACCUUUUUUAAUGAGGAAUCUGUCAUUUUAAUAAAAUGAAGAAUAAACUAAAAGGUAGAAGUACACGAACUCUAAUGCAAUAUACCUUUUCUUUUCUUUUACCUUUACUAUAAGAUAGGGAAUGAUAUAAUUGAUAAUGGAACUUGGGGUCAGAGCAGCGGUGUAAUUUUGAGAGGAUUUACAAGAUGGUAAGUGCAAUAAUUAACAGGCUCAUUUAAUAUAUCAAACUGCUAGAUAAUUGUACUAGUUAAACAUAAUUUUCAGAGAAUCUUUUUAAGGGUUUAUUUAUUAAUAUUUUGUUUCUUUCCAGCAUGAACACUUUGUUUUGACACGUGCUUAACAACCUUCAACGAACUGGAACAACCUUCAUCACAUGCUUCCUCACGUGAUUACUUAAAUUGAUAUGUAAAACGUGCUCCAUCCAUGUCGUUUCCACUAAAUCGUUUUUUGUUAAGAAUCAGCUGAGCAGCACGUGAGCUAAUGAAGCUUUUACGGCUUCAAAACGCAGCCGUUUCUGGGAACCAAACUUGAUUCAUCAUCUCACAACUACAGAUGAAUUAUCGAAGUGGCUGAUUGGUGCUGUACGUGUUUUUCGUAUUGAACUCAACUCUGCUAUAAUACAUGCGUGCAUCUGAUACAUGCACAAAAACCACCACUCCCACUCCCACUCCCACUCCCACGCCCUCGCGUCACGCGCCUUACCACUCCCUCGCCUCACCUCACCUCUCUUCUUGUUCCACGGCCAUCAACGGCGGCACGAGUCGGCAACGAUCAACUGCGGCUGUAAAUUGACCACAAUCAUCUCUCUCUCUCGGCUUUGCUCAAAUUUGGCCGAUCUAUGCGCUUGCUUAAGCUUGGCCGAUCUAUGCUUGCUCAAUUACUCUUCCUAUAUUCAGUCGGAGUCAACUGUUUGACAAGAGUCGAAGUCCAAGGUUCUUUUUUACAGGAUUUGAGCUACUUCUUUUAUUCUUCUUCCAUGUUCACUGAUACGAAGCUUUGAUGUGGUGUUCUGAGAGCGGGUGGAAUUUGAGAUUCUCCUUUCUUCUCUAUAUGAAGGUGCUUGUCAUGUGUCAAGAAAAAUAAAAUUAUUUACAAAAGAUUAUUUUAAGGAGAUUUAUUAUUAUUCGUGGAUCGGGAAGCUCAAAAAAUUUUCUUAUGUAGACUCAAAUCAUUUCUAUAGGGCGAAGCAUAUGAAUGAUACAUAUUAUCUUUUUUUGGCCUUAUGUAUUGUUAUUUGCAGUGUGAUUUGGUCUAGCUUAAGAGCUUAAGCUUGCAGGCUGGAUUUGUCUGACAUGGAACAAUUUAAUUUGUUCAUCGUGAUGUUUAUAUCCAUUUUGUACUACUAUCAAUUUCAAUCAUGGCUAAUUUUUAUAUGUAUUUCUCGUGGACUCUCAGGUUCAGUGCACAAGAGGAUGAAGACGAUGGACACCCAAAUUUGAUGUGGAGAACAACUAUUGCAAAUGGUCCUUGAUUUACUUCUCCAAUUGACUUGAAUUGGUUUGACGCAAUUUAUAGUGUAUUUUUGUCAUCUUUGUAUGACUGGCAGGUCGUCCUGAUUUGGUACAUGACUGGACACAGGAAUUGGACUCAUAUUUUUCAAACCAGAAUGCCAACAAUCAAGCAUUUUCUUUUGAAAGCACUGGCGUCUUCUUCAGUGCCAAAAAGGUUAGAGAUUUUCUGUAUCCUGUUUUGUAUUUGAUCAGUUUAGCAUGUGGGUGGCAAUCAAGAAAAGUUAUUAUAACAUUUUUGUGUUCCCGAAAAACUGCUGCUGAUGUGUAGUGCAGGAAAUGAAUUGUUUGUGACUUCUUUUUAUUUGUAUUCUUUCUUUUUUCUUUUCUCCCCAACAGAAUUACGUAUUUCUGAAGAGCUUCUUGAAGUUGAUUACCAUGUAUGCCACUUUCUUUACUCUAUGCUCAGGAUGUGAUUUUGUUUAGGUCAGAACCAUCAUCUAAAGUUUACUUAAUGCUGCCGAGAAGCUGUAGUAGAGCAAUGAAGGCUGUUGGUGUUAUGAAGGCCAGCUGUGAAGAAAUAUUUGAACUUGUAAUGAGCAUGGAUGGGACACGAUACGAGUAUGCUUCUUUUCUAUUUUUUAUUUUUAGUUACUUUAACAUAAUCAAGACUAUAUUGGCUGUCUGUGUAAGCUGAGUAUUAUAUUUCCUCUUGUAUGCUGUGAAAUUCACAUUGUCUCCAGUCCCGAUUCUGUAUGUGCCUUUUUGAAUAUAUUUAAUUAAUCUGCAUGGUGCUUUCUAAAGAUUAUUACAAACUUUUGUUGCUUAAGUAUAUGAAGAAUGUGGAAAUGAAAAUAGCUUUUGAAGUUUGAUGGAUUGCUUCAUUAAUAAAGAAAGACUAGGACUCAUUUUUAUAACUUUUCUCCACUUAGCUAAUGGUAUUUGAUGAAGACAAAAUAGAUGUAGCUAUCUAUAUUUUUUGUUGCUGAACUAUAGAUCAAUUGAUGGUUGAAGUUAGUUAUAUUAAUUUGUUGUACUAGAUUAAAGCUUGUAUCUUAGCCAUUUCAUGAAGUGUCAAAUACGUUCUUUCCUCUUUUUUUUUUUUUUCGAAACAUGUUACACUUUUGAAGUCACUAUUACAUAAAAGAGUGUUCUAAAACAGGAGAAGGCGUGCUGCCUGAAAUUACCUGUUUCCUAGCAAAUCUAGCUGGUUUGCGAAUUAGAUUUUAACAAGUCUCUUGGCAAGGUUUGCUAGUAAUGUGUUCAAAUUAUUCUAUUUAAUUUUACUGUCUGUACCCUAAUAAUUCUUGGUUUGCACCAUUGCAUUGUUCCAUAAUCUCUGUGCGUUGGCUUAUAAAGGCCAGCAAGGCUGAUCAUUUGUCGAAUAGUUAUUUCCAUGAAAUUCCUAUCAAUUUGACUCAGUAUUUAGAGGUCUUGAAGAGGGCAGUGUACUAGACAUGGAUUUCUACCUCUUUUGGUUGUACAAUUGUUGUAUUUCUUGGCCAUCAGAUCUUUUUUAUGUACCUUUCUCAAAGUUCUUGCCGCACGUACACCGUUUUUCAUGUUUUGUGCAGGUGGGAUUGUAGUCUUCUGUAUCGCAGCUUAGUUGAAGAGGUAGAUGGUCAUACGGCUAUUCUCUAUCAUAGGCUUCAGCUGGACUGGCUUCCAAUGUAAUAGUCUCUUGAUUCAAUCAUCUCAUUUAUGCUUUGGUCAGAAUAGAACAUUUAUUGUUCUUCUUUCCCCUUUCCUCUCUUCUGAUGUAAUAUGUGAGGAAAUUACCUAAAAUUUCUGUAUCCCAAUGUAAUUGUUGGCAUUCAGAAAUAAAAUAAAUACACCGUCUUGUUUUUCCCUCGGUUCAGUCCUAAGUUCUCUUUGGGCCUUCUGCAAGUUUUUAAACAUACUGUGACAGUAAAAAAUCUAGUGAUUGAGAUCAUUUUGAUGAAUUUAAUUUUAAUUCUUAGCUGAUACUUUUUCUGGAAUUUUUUUCUUAUGUUUCCUCAAUAUGACUUAAAUAUAGGGCUUAGUCAUGGAUCAUGCACCAGAGUGAUGGAAGCACCCCUUGUUUAUUAGGAAAAGCAGUUGAUUGUAACUAUAUCCGCGGUCCUAAGUAGUUAGAAGUAAAUGCUCUUCGAAUUCCUAUAGUACAUGGGAUGUGUUCCCUUUCAAAUAGCUUGUUCAAUACCAUUAACAUGGUUUAACAUUGUUCAUCUUUCUGUAGAUUGAUGUUGACGUGUUCUUCUAGAGUUGCUAAUGGAGUUUUGGGCCUUGUAAUUGGUGUAAUUACGGCAUUGGUGGUUGACAUGGCUUUCCUUGUGCAGGUAUGUAUGAUUGUUUUUUUCCCCCACUUCUAAAUGACACGAGGGAAGAGACAUGAUUUUGAGAUAUUGUACUGCAAUUUGCAUAUUUGCAUACUUGAAUAGUAACUCAAGAAUCAUUUUCAGAAUGGUAUAAUGCUUCGUGUAUGCAGGCAAAUACUACAGAUGAAUUACCGGAGCGGCUGAUUGGAGCUGUACGUGUUUCUUAUAUAGAACUCAAGUCUGCUAUUGUCCCAAAGUUGGAACCAGAGACAUCAUGACUCUGGUUUCAUUUCACCUCAACUGUUUUUUUUUUAAUUGAAAAAAAAAAUCAUUUGUUUUAGGUAUGCAUACAUGUAUUUUGAUCCCGUUUUCAUUGUAAUUUCUCAUUUACUUUGAAAGAAAGUCACUGGUGUUUUCGAAUAGGAAUUUUGCAUUAAAAAAUAAAGAAUACUUAAUAGGAAACUUAAUAAUUCUUUAGUUACUAUUUUUGGAAUGAGUGUAAUAGUAUUGAAGUUGGUUUCUACUCGCAAUCAAGUGAACUACUCGAUCCCCAACUGCGACCGCACUAAUUGUCAUUGUUUAAUAGCCUACUACUUUUAAAACUCAACAACUAAAAAAAUGAUUUUCUUAUGAUGCUGUGAAAACAUUUAUGGGUUCACUUAUUUCCACAAGAUCUAUAACAUGGUCUUGACUUCACGAAAUUCUUUUAACUUAAAGGGUUCUGGUCUGAGAAAGUUAAUUUGACGGAUUAAUUCCUUUUAAUAAUGGUCGAGUUAAUUUUACUAUACUCGUAAAACUAUUAUUAUUCUGAUAAUGCCACAAAUGUUAUGAUGUUUUCUUCAGCCAAUAAUCUUCUAUUAGGACUAGUUAGAAAUCAAAUGCUUAAAACACCAAUUGAAUGAAUAAUGCAGAAGUUUAAACAGUAUCUAAUUGAAAAUUACAUGAAGCAUGAAACAUCAAUUCAAGUCCUUCCUUAAACAGAGAAUGCAUCAAACAAAUCCAAAGUGUCUUGCAUGUCUGUAAAUAAUUGUAAAUGCGUUUAGAUUAUUCAAGUACAGGAGAACAAGCAAGUUGAAUCAUGUACAAGAGGUUGGCCUGGUUCGAGAUAGCUUCUUCACAGUACCUGAAGGGUUGGCUCAAUCUUUUCUUUAGAAUUCUGCACAUUUUGUAAUUACUCGUGUAAGCAAGCAUACAUUACAACCAUAAUAAUAAUAAGGCAAGAGUAAUGAUACGACCACAGCCUCUUGUGCACAAAUAAUAUUGUACAAACUAAUAUGACAUAAUAUGAUUGAUUAAACAAAAACAUAACAUGACCCUCAUAAUUUAUUUAUUAUUAUUUUAUAUUUUCAGUCAAGCAAUCAUAUUAUGCCACAUUAAAUAGAAAUAAUUUACUAGAUAGUGCCAACACUUCAUUGAUACUCACCAUUUCAUUGAACAAUUUUUUUAUAGUGUCAUUGAGGUUGCCUUCCCAACAUCCUUCAUCAUCACCAUCUUCAUCUUCGGUGGGUUUCACUUUGUUUAGCUUUGGUGCGUCUACGACUCCUGGAGAGAAAAUCUUCAUCGUUGGGCAUUGUCUCACAACUACGUGUGCCAAGGACGGGAACUCAAGAGCGUAAUUACCCAAACUAAAGCUUGUUAGGCUUGGCAAACAAUCAAUUCCCAAGUACUCCAAUUUCCUGAAAACAAUGCAAUCUUCCGCUUCUUCUCCAACCUGCGACUGUAUAAUUUCUUCCAUCAUUUUGCAAUCAGUUAUCUUCAUUCUUUCAAGAUUCACUAGACUUUCAGAUGUUGAGAGUGUCAAUAAAUUUAUCAACCCAUGACACUUCGAUACUUCCAGAGUCGCAAGAUUUUCCAAAUGCCACAAAGCUGGUACUAAUUUCUGCAACUUACUACAUUCAAAUAUUUCUAGACUUUUCAAGUUUGCAAACACUUUGUUGGAUUCGGCAUUUUCCUUCCAGAGAUGCUGCACUUUGUGUAAUCCAGAUAGCUUUAACUUCAUCAAUUGAGGGAAUGCAACCUGAAAAUCAACAAAAUUAAGUUGUAAAUGAAAAUAUGUAUCCAAUCUCUACAGUCUUCCCCUACAUAUUUUAUGGACAAGAUUAAUCACGGCAUUUUAUAUUUUAUUUCCAAAUUAGUAUGCUUUGCAGUAGGAUCCCAAAUAUAAGUAUCAAAUCGAUUACCCUUUGAAACACAUAAAUGAAAUCUGAUCAUAAAUCCAAUAUGAAUUAGCUAGGAAAACAAAGAUCUAACACGCAUAAUUUAUGCGAUAUAGUUCAUCACCUCCUGUCACUAGGCAUCUAAUUAAUUUGAGACAUUUUUUUAAUUCAUACUAUAAAGUUAGUUAAUAACUACAAUUAUAUUGUUAAAUCAGAUAUAAAUUAAGACGACGUGCAAAAAGAUAAGUCAUUAAAUUUGAUUUGAUUCUAAUGAAAUUACAUCUAUGCGAAUGAAAGUGAAGGGAAAAAUAAUAAUAAUGAUUACCUUUUUAUCGAAGAGAUGUUGUAUUUGAUUAGCUACCAAGAGGUUCUCUUCUGAUUUUAAUUUUUGAGCUUCCUUAUUAUCUGCUGUCAUGUGCAAUACAGAUGUAGAAUUGGAUAUGAAUGUUUCCAUGUCAGGGCAAUUCUCAAUAGUUAGAUAUCUCAACUCAGGCAGUUCAAUUAUAUUCCCAGUGAAGUUGCAGAAUCUUUUGAGUUUUGGAAGAUCAAUGAGCCUUAGAUUGGAAAGCUUAGGAAACAUGGGGCCUAUAUGUUCUUUGUCAGCAUUUAGCUCUUCCAAACGAAGCACCUCUUCUAGUGAAUCACAAUUCCUCACUUCCAGCCGUCGCAAAUUGUUCAAGCAUCGUAGCAGAUUGGCAGGAAUAGCACUCGACAUAUUCGUGCAGUCAUCCACCACCAGCCGUGCUAAAUUGUUGAAGAAGCUGACAGGCAGUGCUUGGCCAUGCCAUAUUUCUUUCAAACGUGGAAAAUGUGAGAGUUGCAAAUACCAUAUGUCACGGAAUCCAAUCUGCACAAACCAAAACAAUUGCACCGGAUAUAUACAAUUUUUUUUUUGAAAGGCAUUAUAUAUAUACACAUUAAACUUACAUGUUUUGUGUUUUAACUUCUAAAAAUAUAUAUACAAGACCGGGGUAUAUGCUUAAAUGUGCAAUUGCAGGGGAGAUGCAUAAACAAUUUGGGUGAAUCGAUUAACACAUACCAUUUCUUUGUAAUACUUUUGCAUAAUGGAAUUAAGGUUAUUGCCUUCCCAAUGGUGCAGUUCACCCUCUUCCUUUUCAGUCACUUGCACUUUGCAUGGCUUUGGAAUGGAUAAGAUUCCCUGAGAAAAAGUCUUCAUAUUUGGACAACGUAUCAUAGAAACUCGUUCCAGUGAUGGGAAUUCAAGAGUGUAAUUCUCCAAACAAAAGCUGGUAAGCCUUGAUAAAUAAUUAAGUAUCAAAACUUUUAAUUCGCUGAAAGCAAUACGAUUCUCCUUCACUUCUUCUCCAACAUGUCCUACGAUUUCUUCUAUUUUUUGGCACUUCGAUACUUUAAGAUUCACCAAACUACUAGGAAUUCCAACCUGAAAAUAAGCAAAAGUGUGUGUAUAUUAAAAAAGUAAAAAUGUAAGAAUAUCAUUCAACUAGGUUCAAAGUAUGUUUAAUCAUACAAUUAUACGUUUUAUAAAGAUAACAAACCAUGAAAUGUCUACAAGAUAAUUUUUUGUUAAACAAAAAAAGCAACAAGAUAAAUAAAUAAAUAAAAGCCAGAUAAACAAAGAUAUUAAAUGCAUUUACACUAUUUAGUAUUAGGAACGUACGAAGAAUUUAAGGCAAUUUCUAAAUAUUUUAGACUUAUUUUGCAUCUUGAUGCCAGUUUUUAAACAAAAUUUGCAAAUUUCAACUAUUCCUUUUGGGAAAAAAAAAUCAACCAAAAUGCCGCUUUUUCCCUUUUCCCUUGGUCCCUUUUUUUUAUGUAUAUUUAAUUUUGGAAACAAAAUUAAAGUGGAUCUUUAUUAAGUACUUCCAGACUCGAGGAAAUUUCUUUACAAUCAAGGAUCAGUUGUAAAUAAUCGUGAAUUUGUGGUUAAUUAAUGGCAUAAUCAGUUCGUAACUAAACAAGAGAUAUUAAUUAAAUUUGAAGACUUUUCUUUUCUUUUUUUCUUUUUCCAAUCGAAAUGUGAAGAAUUAAGGAAAAGAGAAAUAUAUAGAUGAAUUUGUGAACCUAUAAGAUGAGUGACUAUCCUUUAAUUUUUGAAAAUUGUACUUAUUAAGAUAUGAGCAGAAACAAUUAAAUUGAAUUAUAUUAUGAUGUUGAAUCGUGAUUAAAAAAAUUAUAUUGUUGAUUCUAAUGCUGGCGAACCUAAAAAAUGGACUUAAAAUGUAGAUUUGAGAGUGGUGGUUCGAAAUACAAUACUUGAAAUAAAUAAUCAGUGGCUGAAUAUCAUUUGUAAACCCAAAAAUGGUUAAAAUAUUGUUGGAUGUAAUUUAAAAAAAAAAAGAUUCGAAAUGAAUACAACGACCUUACCAAUGGAGGAAAAAUAUUCAUUAGGUUAUGACACUUAUAUAUCUCCAAAUUCUUCAAUUUGCUGAAAGACUCCGAAGGAAGCUGGUGGUGCCAUAUUUUUCUCAAAUUAUUCAUCCAGCUAAUAUCUAAUACCUCCAACCUAGGAAGUCGUACCUGGAAGUUAAAGAUUAAAUAACUAAUUAAUCAAUUAAUGGCAUAAUCAAUUGAUAACUAAAUUAGAGGCGGAUAUUAACUAAAUUUGAAGACUCAAGGAAAAGACAAAUUAAGUAUUGUGACUAAAAUUAAUUUUAUUUAUUAAAAAAAAAACCUUUUCGUCAAAGAGAGGAGGAGGUUGCAUUUCAGAAUGAUUGGUGUCUUCUGGUGAGCUCGUAGAGAUGAAUCUUAACAUAUUACUGCAAUUACCAAUCUCGAGGUUUAGCAAAGAAGGGAAUUCAACAACUAAAUCUGAAUGAAUAUGUCCUGUAUUGGCGAAGCUUGUCAGUUCUGUAAGCCAAUAGAGCUGCAGGGAGUGUAGUUUAGGAAAAACCUUUAAUUCAAUCAACUUUCCUUCAUCUCUUUCUGACCACCCCGUGGUGUCGACUACCCCUUCCAUUGACUCACAAGACCAUAUUUCAAGAUGUUGGAGUUGCAAAAGACUAUUAACCAUAGAAUACGAAAACAGAUACUUCAUACGAUCACAACUUCUCACGUACAGCUUUGUUAAAUUUUGACAACAGUACAUUCCUUGAUUAUGAUCGGCCCAUAAUUUUUUGAUGUUUCUUAAUUCCGUGAGAUUCAAUUCCUCUAAGCUCGGAAGAAGAACCUGCAAAGAAAAGCCGUACAUUUUUGUUCCUUCAAGUACAACCGUCUAGUAUAAUAUUCUGUUGAUGAUCGAAGAUUAAUCGUGAUAAUAAAUUAAUCAAUUAAUUAUUGAACAGAAAAUUAUCACCUUUGGAGCAGUAUCAUCAUCAGCAAUGAUUUCGUUGAAUCCCAAAGAAGUUGUUGGUUUCUCCCUGUCGGGUCCUGUAAACAAACAAAAACAAUAUACAUAAUUAAUCUUUGUCGUUGUCUUUUUUUUUUCAAAAUAAUUGAGGCGAAGUCCAUAAAUCCACCAACACUUAAUUUCAACACUUACCAACAGUCAUUUCCAGUUUAUUGCAGGAAGCCACUUUGACCUUUUGAAGCCGCAGUAGGUUUCUGGCUAUGGAAAAUGAGAAAAGAUGCUUCAAUUUAUCACAGGAUUCUACUUCUAUAAUCUUUAAGUUGCUGAAAAAUUGAUCUUCUCUGAGUUGGCUGUGGCAUAUGGCCUCCAAAUUGAUCAAUUUAUAGAGAGACAAUGACUCCAGCAAGGGGAAGACUUUGCGAUGAACCCGUCCAACUGAACCGACAAUGUGUAAAAUCUCAGAACACCUUUCUACCCAAAGAUGCUUCAAUCGUGGAAAACCUUCCCCAUCAUCUAAUUCAUGAACAACAUUCUGAACACCCGUCAGUUCCUCUAGACGGAUAUCUUCAGUUAACUUCAGCAACAUUUUCAUCCCAUAAUUCUCCAAAAGAGUGCUAACAUUUUCUAACCCAUGGAGCUGCACCAAUCUUGAUGUUUCAGAAUUAGCGCGCCAGAUGCCCCACGCUUCUCCUAUACAUAUCCUAUAUCUUGGCAAUUCGACAAAGACCAAAUCCUGCGGCAGCAUUUGGGCAUCCUGAACUUGUAUCUCCAAAGUAGUUAGCUUUGACAGCCCCUUCAAUUCAGCAAGACUGGCGUUACUUCCUCCUUCAACCUUAUCCCACUGCGGAAAGCUGUCACCCAUAUAUAGUUCUUCCAAUCGAGAAAAUUUUGAUAUGACAUUUGGUGCUAUCACUACAAGGCUGCUACAAUUGCUCAAAUCUAGCAAUUGUAACUGCGCCAAUUGACCAAUUUCAAGUGGCAACUGCUUAAUGUCGGAAUAUCGAAAGCUAAGAAUCUCUAAUUUCUUUAGCUGUCCAAUUGCCGCUACAUCUUCUAGUUGGCACCAGUCUAAACACAAUGUUUGAAGGUUAAUGAGGUGACCAAGUGAUGAAGAUAAUGAAGAGAAAUGAAUUCCGCUAAGACUUAAAACUUUGAGAUCUUCCGUCCCUUCAAAAAAGAGGUGUGAAAUUUCCAAAUAGCUAUCACCAUUUGCAAGCAACAGUAAUAACUUGAGUUGGGGACAUUCCAACCUUUCGGGAAGCUCUUGAAUAUCUCCAUAAGGUAUAGAAAUAGCAAUUGCACCUUUCUGUAUGAUCUUUUCUAUCUCUUCCUUCAAGUUGGUAACAUUUGGGAUACUAAACAUGAGCUUCUCUGAGGCAAUUGAUACGGCAACAACAUGAAUGACGUCAUGCAUUUUAACUUCAUCUUCAGCAUCGCCGUCCAACAAUAAGCAUGAAGCUUUGAGAUUGUCGAUCAAUGCGUCCACUCUAUUCCUUGCAUUUUCCAAUGUGCGAACAUUUUUAAACAAACCCUUACCAUAUCUCAACAAGGAAGCAACUUGUAUAGGAGUACCUUCACCAAAUAGAGUACAAAGAAGGAACAAAGAUUUUGCUUCAUCACUUUCCAAGAAGUUGUAACUCAAUUCUAUGGAAGAGCAGACAUUUGCAUCCAUUCCAUGAAUUUCUCUUGGAUUAGAAUUUCGCAGCUGAGUCAACGCAUCCUUCCAAACGGGAAGCUUCUUAUUUUUCAGAGCAUUUGCAACUGUACUCAGUGCAACAGGCAAUCCUCCACAUUUUCCAACAAUCUCAUCUGCUAAAGGUUGAAAAGCAGAUGCUUUUGCGGAAUUGCCCACGAUCUUUUCAAAAAAUUGCAAUGCUUCUUCCUUUGAUAAAACUUCAAUUAGGAAAAUCUUCUGAGAAUUCAUAUCAUUGGUCAAUAAAUGUUUACUUCUAGACGUCAAUAUUAUCGUGCGUCUCCUUAGAUCUUGCUUUCUAUCUUUCUCAUCAACAUCCCCAAAAGGAAUUCCAAUUUCUUCCAACCCAAGUUUUUUCCAAAUAUUAUCUAAUAUAAUGAGGACUCGCUUCUCUUUCGUCAAUCUUUGACAAAGUUGUUUUGCUCUGUGGGGUUUGCUAUCAUUCAAGUCAAAGUUCAAGUCUAAAUCGGAAGCGAGCUUGUCUUGAAUUUUCUGAACAUCUGGGUUCUCUGUUACCUCAGCCAUAACGACCUUAUCGAACACCUUAUCUUCCAUAACUUGCUUUGCAAUUUGCUUGACUAGCGUGGUUUUACCCACGCCGCCCAUACCGUGGACCCCAAUUAUGUUGAGCUUAUCAUUCCUCAAUGCCUCCACAACAUCUUGAAAUAAUUUCAUUCUUGAAUCAAAGGCCUCGAAAUCUUUCGCUUGCAUAUGUUCUGUACUCUCUGGAGCAGGACGGUGGGAAACACUAGAGAAGUUGCCUUUUCCCACGAGACUAGCGGCAGCUUCUGCGGCCUUUGCUGCUUGUUUACUAAGUUUAUAACGAGAAAUCAAGUUGGGGCAAAAUCCUUUGAAGCAGGACUUCUUAGCUCUAUCUUCAUCAUCAAUGAUGGAUUUUGCAACCCCUUCACUGAUGAAUUCAUCAACGUUAUUAAGCCAGUCUGCAACAUCCUUGUAAAUCUCAUCUCUUUGUUGAGUAGCCUCACGAACGGGUAUUCCCACCCUUUCUCUUUUAUAUUCUAGCUCCUUCACUUGAACUUUUAGCUCAGCUAUGUAGCUCUGGUACUUGAACACAUAAGAGAUCUGCCGCAUAAUCGGUUCGAACAAUGCCUUUGCACCUUCUGUUACAAUGCCGGAAAAAGUAGUGGAAACCAGGUCUGCAGCCAUUGCCUAGCCUGUUGCUUUCAUACAUACAUACAUACAUAUAUAUAUAUAUAUAUUAGCUGUUGGAAAAAUUAGAUUCAAAUAAAUUAAAAUGAACUAGGGGAAAGACGGAGAAAGAAAUGACAACCAACAACUUUUUAAAAAAAGGUUUCAAGGGCCUGAAUGGAAAACCAACAAUUUAAAAAAAAAAUUGUAAGAUGGAUGCAGAUUAACCAUUGCUAAUAUUACAUAAGAACACAGAAGUUAACAAUGAACAGUACGUAGAAAAUUAAAUGACAAGAUUAAAACAAACAAGGGCUAUUUUUUCUUGGACAAUUGUACCUAUUUAAUUAUUAAAGAGUUAAUGACCUUCACUGCUGGCCUUGAAUAUAUAAGAACGACCAGAAGAUGAAUAUUAACUGCAGACGAAUGUAAGUAAAGAGUUCAUGAGAGUGAGUAAUACAAAUGAAUUGUAAAAGAACAAGACUUAAGUGUGACCCCAUCUUUUGUUUUAUUAUAUAAAUAGAACACAUGAUCAUUUUUAACAAAGUGAUCAAUAACUCUAUGCGUUAUUUAAUUGAUAUUGUAACCAAUUUUAAGGGAAUUUAAUAAUAAUCAUUCAAUGCAUAAAUUUAAAAUUAGAUUUUUUUAAUUCUUUAUUUAAAUAUAAAUCUUAAUGGAAAAUUAUAAAAAUUUAGAGAUAAAAUUUUUCAAUCACCAAGGAAAAAAAAUGGGAAUGAAAACAGAGGAAUCUUGUUUUACCUUUUUUUUUUUUUCCUUAACUCUUGUUCCUAUACAAAUAAUCUUGUUUUGAUGAUAGUGCUCGUGACUAUGGGAAAAUUUCUAAUGGAAACAACUCAAUUUCGGAAGAUAAGCUUAAUUCUGCAAGUGAUGAAUUUGUUCAAUUGACUCUGUACUUGAACUCGUUGGAUUGGUUGAUUUACGAUUGACUGCAUUUCAAUUCUGCCUAAAAGAUCUUUUUAAUAGCUAUCAUGUACUCCUUAAAAGCAAUCAUUUUUAGAUUUGACUGAAUUUGAACUUGUUGGAUUGGCUGUUUUUAGAUUAUUGAUAUGAGAUACUACAAUGUAAACAUUUUCAUGUGGCUGAGCCCUAUUCUAAAAUCUGUAUGUUGCUUUAGAAAAAGGGCUUUUCCUACUGAUAUUUAAUCUUCAAGUAAACUUAGAUAUAAAGUAAAUCAAAUAAAAUGACAAACAAGCAAUAUAAUAAAAGACAACAAACUGGCAAUAUUGAUACAAAGGCAACAGAUAUUAAACUUUAGGACAUUUUUUUCCUAGCUUUCAUUUGUUGGAGGAUUAGAGAUUUUGGUAUUACCGGAAAGCUAAAAGGUUUCAAGGGUCUGAGUAGAAACCUAUAAUCUUUUUAAAAACUUUCUUUUUCUUUUUUCUUUUUUCUUUUUUUGGGGGGGGGGGGGGGGGGGGGGGGGGAAGAAUGCAAGUUAACCAAACGAAAUAAUAAGAGCACAGGCUUUAACAAUGAACAAUAACUUAAAACUCAUGCAAAGUAAAUUCAAUAUUAAAACAAACCAGAGAAAUUUUUUUUCUUGGAAAAUAGAUGGAAAUUAUGAAAGAACAGAUGUCAAGAUCAAAGAUCUACUAUACACAAACACACACAUUAGAGGAUUUGGAAAAUGUGCACCUCUUUAAUUAUCUGGGAUUAGAGAGUUGGUGAGAUUCUCCAUUUGGCCUUGAAUAUUUAAGAACAACCUCAAAGAGCAAAAAGAUCACCGGUAACUGCCGAGGAAUGUGUAAGAAAAGGGUUGAUGAGAAUAAUAACAUUGACUUGCAGAAGAAAAAGCAUUAAUCAAGCACCCCUUUUUUAUAUCAUGUAUUUGGUUAUUGUUGCCCUGUUUACGCACGUAUAGGAUAAUUAUAUGCAAUCUUUUUUUAAAAAUCCACAUGCACUUUAGGGCUUCUUUCAUAAAAGCAGAUACCGGAAACACACAAAAAUCAUUUGAGAGAGAAACCGAACAGCAAAUCAUCAAAGUAAGAUCAACAAUAUAUGAUUUGAUUAAUGCAUAUUCAAGAACAAAACAAAAAUAAAUAAAUNNNNNNNNNNNNNNNNNNNNNNNNNNNNNNNNNNNNNNNNNNNNNNNNNNNNNNNNNNNNNNNNNNNNNNNNNNNNNNNNNNNNNNNNNNNNNNNNNNNNNNNNNNNNNNNNNNNNNNNNNNNNNNNNNNNNNNNNNNNNNNNNNNNNNNNNNNNNNNNNNNNNNNNNNNNNNNNNNNNNNNNNNNNNNNNNNNNNNNNNNNNNNNNNNNNNNNNNNNNNNNNNNNNNNNNNNNNNNNNNNNNNNNNNNNNNNNNNNNNNNNNNNNNNNNNNNNNNNNNNNNNNNNNNNNNNNNNNNNNNNNNNNNNNNNNNNNNNNNNNNNNNNNNNNNNNNNNNNNNNNNNNNNNNNNNNNNNNNNNNNNNNNNNNNNNNNNNNNNNNNNNNNNNNNNNNNNNNNNNNNNNNNNNNNNNNNNNNNNNNNNNNNNNNNNNNNNNNNNNNNNNNNNNNNNNNNNNNNNNNNNNNNNNNCCCCAGGGGAAAAUCUGGAAUUCCUUUUUUUAAUUUUUUUUUUUUUAAAAAAACCCCACCGGAAAUUCUUAAAAUUUGGAAAAAAAAAUUUUGAGUCCCUUAUUCUGGGGGGGGGGGGGGGGGGGACGAAAACAGAGGAAACUUGUUUUACAUUUUUUUGAUCUUAACUCUUGUUCUUAUAUAAUAUUUUCCCUGGGAUUUCAGGCAAACCAAACAAAAAAAAAAAAAUUCAAUAAAGAGCAAGUUGCUCUAAUUGAUUUAUCUUGUUUUUCAGGCUAUUUUGUGACAUGAUGAUAUGUAAUGCUCUUGAAUGCUAGAAAAAUUCUAAUGCAAACAUUUUUGCAAAUGACGAAUGUAAAUAACUUUUUUUGAUUAAUUGAAUCUCUAAUACUCUUACCCUAUUCUAAAAUUUGUAGGUUGCUUCAGAAAAAAAGGGUAUUUCUCACUCAUCUUCAAUCCUCAAGCACAAUUAGAUUAAAAGCAAAUCUAAUAAAAUAACAAACAAAUUAACAAAAAAAAGAAAAAGAAAAAAAACAAUGUUGAUCUUGAGACAAUUGAUACUUAAACAGAGAAUUCUUUGUUCUUUUUUUACUCCCCCUGGCUCGAGGAUUAGAGUCUUUCUUUGCUAUUAACAGAGAGGUUUUAAGGGUCCGAAUAAAAACCCGCGCUUUUUUUAAAAACUUCUUUUUUUUUUUUUAUUGGGGAAGAUAGAUUCAAAUUAACCAAAGCUAGUAAUAAGAACACAGGCCUUACAAAUGAACAAUAACUUACAACUCAAGCAACAUAAAUAAUAAGAUUAAGACAAACAUGAGAUUUUUUUCUUCGAAAGUAGAUGGAAAUCAAGUAAGAACAGCUAUUAAAAGAAAUUACUAGAGAAUUUAGAACAUGUGUACCUCUUUAAUUAUUUGGGAUCAGAGAGUUGAUGAGCUCUCUAUUCGCCUUGAAUAUUAAGAACUGGUAUUAAAAGAAAUUAUGAAGAACAAUUUUAGUGAGCGAUAGAUCACUGUUAACUUCAGAGGAAUUUGUGAGUAAAAAGCUGAAAAGAGCCGUAAUAAUGAAUUACAAAAGAAGAAGACUUAAUCAAGCACCCCUUUUAUACCCGAUUUUUAAGAUUUAGUCUUGAAGUUCACAAUCAAGAACAAAGACGAAGCUUUAAUAAAGCAUGCAGUGAGAUACAAGAAAUGGAUCGGGCAAAAUACCUUACGAAGCGUUUCAUAUUUUCUAAUGAAAUAAUUAAGUUGAAGUUUUCGACGAAUAAAUACUUGUUGUGCUUGAAUAAUUUUGGCAUAUACGUUACUUGUAUCCUGCGAAAUUGAAAAGCACAUUGGUUUAUUAGAGCUUAUUAGGAGGGAAAAGCUUUGUAAGAUACCUGAUAAAAGAUAAAGUAAAAGCUUGAAUGAAGAAUGACAUUUUAGAAAGAAACUAAAGUGCAAUCAUCAAAGUGGGAUCAAUAGUGACUUGAUAUUUCAAUUGUUCUGUCCACAAAUGAUGCUUCGUUAUUACUAAUUCCAGAUGGACAUUAUUAGAAAAUGAUCUUAUGUUUAACAGAAAAAUAAAAACUCGUCAUCAUACAAAACAGCGUGAAGAAAUCUUCAAUUUGAUUAUUAUAAAAUAAUAAGUUUCAUUACUAGAUUAUGCGGACAUUAAUGUUAGAGAUUUGAUCAGAUUAUCAUAUAAUUUACUAAACGCUUUGAGAAGAACAAUAAUUAAUUUUUAAAAAAUUGAAAAAUAAAUUAAAUAAAGAGUACACGCAAAUAAUGUUACUUCCAAUCACCAAACUGAAAAACAGGGGAAUGAUAACAGACGAGUCCCUGAUUAUCCUCUCUCUCUCUCUCUCUUUUUCAAUCUCUCUCUUUGAUAUCCAUAUCUGAGCAUCAGAGCUUGACAUCUUUGAUAAAUAAAUAUGCUUACUGGUACUGUUUUUGCAUAUGUCUUUCACAAAAUCAUUGUAUACGCUUACAUAGAGAAGAAGAUUCAGAUAACUUUCAAAAUCUGAAUCCGCCUGAUGGACAGGCUUGACCACACAGCCCCGAGACAAGGAAGUCCAAGCAACUAAUCUAAACCGUUCUCCUUUAUUAGCUAGAUUUAGUAUUUGGGUUCUUUAUGUAAAACGACACUAUGAUCUUGAAAUUUUGAUUUAAUUAAUAAAUAGUUAAAUUCUUAAUGUUUCAGGAGUAGAUACAUAGACUCUCUUCUAAUUUUAGUCAUUACAAACAAUGCCAUUGUGCGGUUAUACUAUUGCUUCUUUUAUGAAACCAUUCUCACCAUCACAUAGAUCUUGGCAUAUAGAGUCUCAUAAUGUCAUCAAAUAAUUUUUUUUUUUUUUAAAAACAUAAAAUAUGAUACAUGUAUUCAUUUUUUUUCAAAUUAGGGUGUAUUAUUCUUAAAACUUAAGUGUUCUACUUAUAAAUAUCUUGAAGGUGUGAGUGUUUUCUUUUCGUAAACAAACCGUAAAAGAAAAAGAGGAACAAUAAUUUUUUACUUAUCCUUAGAGAUAAGAUUCAAUCGGGAUGUGAGUAAGUGUGUUUUUCUUUUUUUAUUAUGCUAAAUUAUCGAGUCACAAAGCAUAUUGAUUCAAAAGUAUAACUUUAUACUGAUGAUAGAUAAUUUCAAAACAAUGGAAUGAAAACAGAGGAGCUCCCCCCUCCCCCACCCCAAUCCCCGCCCCCCCCCCCCCCCCCCCCCAAAAAAAAGUUCUUCUUCUUUUAUAUAUUUUUCUUGGAAUUUUAGGUAAAAGAAAAAAAAAACUGAGAUUGAUUUCAAGGGAACAGGUGGAUAAUAACUAAAAUACUUAUUUUUAUAUAUUUGAUAUGUGCGCUCACUAUUAAUAGAACUUAUUAGAUACUACAACUUAAAUAACUUCCCAUGGUUGAUUGAGGGUAUGUUUGAGAUUUCCUUUACUUUCCAAGAAUUAAUUUCUACCUUGAUUCUGAACAAAAAAAUAAUUUUACAAAUAAUCUAUUAGGGUGUUUGGUAAAUGAUGAUUAUUUGACAAUCAAUUUUUAAACGGUUUACUAUACAAAUCUGGUAAAUGAAAAUUAAAAGUGUAAAAUGUUCAUGUACAAUGACAAAAAUGUACUUGUUUACUUGUUUGUAAUUUAUUUAGAAUAUUAUUAUUUAAAUCUUUUUUUAUUUACAAGAUUUUUUAAGAGCAUAUUCUAUUUUCUUUAUUACAUAUUUAAAUAAUUUUUUAUUAACUAUUUUAAUUUGCAAUAAAAUUAACUUCAAUAUCUUUUUAACUAAAAAAUUUGUUAUGUAGUUCGUGAUAUAACAAAUACUAACAUAUCAUUAGUUUGAUUAAUAAAUUAAGUGCAAAAAAGAAAAUGCAAAAAUUUAAUCUUUAUAUAAACUUUUAUGUACAUAAAAUCAUUGUAAUCAAACUAGUUCAUAGAAAUAUAAUAUUAUAUACAUGUGUGUAAAAAAAAAAAACAUAUGACCAUAAUAUUAUCCACUCAUUAAACUUGCUGCACUAUUAUUUCUCAAUCUCUCCAUCUCUCGACCUUCAAGAACAUUACUACCAUAAUCUUCUUCUUCUUGAAUCCAACCUCUAUUUCCUCAUCAUCAACAAUGCGACCAAUUUGCCUUGAUAGCCUUUCAACUAGAAUAGAGUUGGCAGUAGAUAUUUUAGUACUCUCAAACUAUGCCCAAACAGGGUCACCAGUGAUUGUUGUAUUAAAAGACAUUCUAUUUAAUUUUCCUCUGACUCUGGGUCGAUACCUUUUAUGCAAAAUCUAUUUACUUAAGGAAUUUUCUACACAUGUCGAUAUCAUAUUAAAGUGAAUUCAGAUCCUAUAUUAUUGACAUUAAAAUUUAGCCGAAUAGUAAAAAAUUUCCCUUUUUGUUUGUCACACAACCAUAUAGUCCCAUUUUUGGUUAUAAGCUCACAAUAUGUAAGGGAAAUGAAGAUCUAUUAAAACUUUCCCAUAAUAUUAAACAUUAAACAAUAUCAACAUUUUGUGCAUAUGGUGCCUCAUCAACAAUUUGAUGUUCAUUUUGUUGCUCGGAGGAAUAUGACUACCUAUUAAUUAAUUAGCAAGAAUUGCGUUGCGAGUCCAUGUUUUUGUCGUUUGGAUGGAGGAUGUGCCAUCUUUUUAUUGUAGAUGCUUUGUAAGGCUUUUGAUUUAAUGAUUUAAUGCAGUCAAUUAACAAAAGCUUACAUAUAUUAUUAUGUAGUUGCUGAGAUGUCUGUUCUUGAUAAAGUCGAUUUAUUUACACCCAAGCCAACGGAAUCAAAGCCUUUUCGUUAAUAAUAUACACGGUAAUUGUUUUUGUUAAAUUGAUUUCUGGCUAACAAGAUAUUUGAAAGCAUUUAGGUAGCGUUUACAUUUUGCGUUGGAGUGAGAAUCGUGAGAAAUGAGAAUCCUGGGAUUAGGAGUGUGGAGUGGGAGUCGAAGUAUGUUGUUUACUUACACUGAAAUGGAAGUAUGGAAUUGAAAUCAGAAUCCAAUUUAUUUGUUUACAUUGUCUUAGAUUGUGAGUAAUGAUUUUAAAUUACAGCUUUACUCUUAAAGAAUUAUAGUUAUUAAUUACAAAAUUAAUAAAAAUUAUAUUUUUAAAUUAAUAAUAAUUAUUAAUAUUCUUAACUAUGUAAAUCACAAUUAUUUUAUUAAUUUUAAUUUUAAUUAUAUAAAUAAAAAAUUAUUAAUAACAACAAUACAAAUGAAACAUUAUUAUUGAUAAUAUAGUACAAAAUUAAUUUUUUUAGAAUAAAAUAUUUAUUAUUAUUAAUUACUAAUAUUAAAUAAAUAUAAUAGUAUUAUUUUUAAAUAAGUAUAAUAAUAUUAUAUUUUCAAAUAAAAAUAGAAUAUAGUAAUAUUAUUAAUUCUUUAUGAAUAUAAUGAUAUUAUUUUUAAGUAAUUUUAACUUAGAAUCAAUGUAAAUUAUUAUUUUUAACCAAAAAAUUAAUAUUAUUUUAAAUAUGUUUAAUAUUAUUAUUUUUAAUAAAUUUAAUUUAUAAAAUAAUAAAAUAUUAUUAUUUAAAUAAAUAUGAUUUUACUUAUUUUAUUAAAUUUAAUAAAAUAAAUAUGUUUAAUAUUAUUAUUUUUAAUAAAUGUAAUUUAUAAAAUAAAAUAAUAAUAUAAGUUAAAUAAAUAUGAUAUUAUUUAUUUUAUUUUAUUAAAUAUAAGGGUGAAAAAGGAAGAGAGGCGAGUGAAUUUCCACUCCCACCUUCCUCCAUGGGAGUGGGAAUCUCACUCCCCCACUCCAAAAUUAGGUGGGAUCCACGGAGUGGAAUUCUCACUUCCCCUUUGAAAAUUGUAAGUAAACACUGGAGUAAGAGGAAUCCACACUCCUCACUCUCACUCCAAAAAGUAAACACUAUAUUAAAGAAGUCAUUGACUUAUAAGAAAGCCAUGAUUAAAUACACGGCGAAGCAUGUGAGCUCGUUUUUCAAUUUCUUUGAUCACUCAUAAGUAGGGGUGGGCAAAAUCGGAUUCGGAUUGGGUUCGGGUUGAUUUGAUCAAUUUCGGAUCAAUCGGGUUGGGGAAAAAAUCAUCCGAACUCAAUCCGAAUUAUUAACCCGAUCCAAUCCGAUCCGAAUAUAAUUCGGAUCGGAUUGGAUCGAAAAUUCGGAUUAAUUCGGAUUAGAUUCAGAUUUAAAAGCAUUCGGGUUAUAUAUCCAUUCUAUAUUUCUGGGUUAAUUUCAGAAGCAAUCAAGUAAAACAAUCAACCUUUUCUCAAGAUAUAGUUUUGUUUUAAGCUUUUUAAAUUAAAUUAUUUAAAACAAUAUAGUCAAUACCACCAAAAACUUGGUGACAGUGAAUGUGGAGGUGAAUUUAGUUGUAGCAGUUGUGGUAACCGGUGAAGCUAGUGGCAGCAAGCGGUAGCAGUCGAGGUGUAGUAGAUUCCAUCGGCACGUUGCGGUUGCAGCGAUGGCUUAGCUUUGAACGAUCGCGUCGGUGACUGAUGGCUGCUGGUUCACGCAGUUGCAUCUCCGAUUUGCUGGCUGCUGCUUCUUGCGGUUGCAUCUCCGAUCUGCUCGCCGCUGCUUCGCUGACAUCUCCGAUCUCCGAUGGUUUGGCUUCGCACGAUCACAUCGGUGAUUGCUGGCUGCUGGUUCGCGGCUUCGCGCGGCCGCAUCUCCGGUCUGCUGGUUGCUGCUUCUUGCGGUUGUAUCUCCAAUCUGUUGGCUGCUGCUUCGUUGUUUGGCAUCUCAACAUUUCCGAUCUCCGAGGCCAAACCUCUAUUUGUGUGUGACCGUGUGUGAUGUGAGUGUGUGUGUGUGCACUUACAGAUUAUUUUAAUUUAGAUCUAAGAUUUGCUUUUUGUGUGGUGUGAAUCCGAUUUUGUUGUGUUUGCCACUUUGUUAGUUUGUUACACAGUUUUUUUUUUAAGCCAACCCGAUCGGGUUUUCGGAUCGGAUCGGGUUUCAUCCGAUCCGAUCAUGAUCCGAUCGGGUUGGCAAAGUUACAUCCGAUUGGAUUUUGUUAACAAUCCGAUCCGAUCUGAACCCGAUAUUUUUUGGGUCAGAUCGGAUCGGAUCGGGUCGGAUAUUUUGCCCAACCCUACUCAUAAGCUUUUCUAUACCACUCACUAUAUCAUCCUUUUAAGUCAAUUUCGACUGAUCAUCAGAGAUCAUGCACCCCACCUUGAGAUGAUUGAUCACCAAUUUGGCAUUGUAACGUUGAUCACCUCUAAUUGCCCAUGCUAAAAUUGAGACCCCACAGCCAAUUGCUUCUACAGUUGAAUUUUAUCCACAGUGAGAUAAAAAUCCACCUAUUAAUUGAUAACUCGGCAUCAAUAAUUGUGGUGCCAUUCCAUCUAUUAUCAAACCCUUUUUACCGGCUUUACUAUCUAAACCACUAUGAAAAUAAGCUGGUUAAAUGACGUGGAGGAUCCAAUCUAUUUACAUCAGUUUGAAUUACCUAAAUAAUCGGUGGAUUUGAUGCUUCUAAAUCAUUGGCUAAUGUUGAAUAAUCAUUUAAGGUGGGACCCAUUUCGGUACCAAAUGACAUGUAUAACACUGAUCCACAUGAUUUCAAAUCUAACCAUUGAAUGAUCUCAUCUUUGGUCAUGUUAGAACUCCGCCGGUUGGUUCUCAUCUCACAAUCACGAAGCACUGAACCGGUCGAUUUGUAAAAUUGUUCAGGUAACAAUGGGCCCACUCCCCACACUAGCAUCAACACCAUCGAUCCCUCCACUUGCUUCAUCCAGUGUGGUUGAUCACUCGGUUCUGAUGGACCUAUUUUCUCUGAACCGGGUGCACCUCACAAAGGUUGUGGGCCACCAGGAAGGGACCCGUGAGGCCUGCGUUUAAGAUCUGAUUGGAAUAAAGCAACAUCCUUGGGUAACCCAAGAAGUAAAUGGGCCUCUCCCGGUUUGGCAUCCUGGAUGCGAGCCUGCCACAUGGCACACUCCACAGCUGCUGAGCAAGCAUCAGAAGUGAAGAACCCAACAAUGGGAACUUCAAAAUUCUUGAAAACAUCAGCCGUCCAGCCCAUCAUAACGCCGAUGACUACGCAAACAGGUCGGCUUUCGGGUUCCGGGUUGAAAGGAGGUUUCGAAGACCCUGAAGCAUUUGGUUGUGCAUGACAACAUGGAGGUAAGAAGGAGGCGAUGGUAGUAGUGGAGAUGAGGAGGGUAUUUCGGUAAUUUCACAUAGAGGGUAUUGGUGAAGAGAGGAAGGGGUGAUGCUGGUGGUGGAAACGUGAGAGGGAAUAAUGAGGGUAGAUUUGUAAUUACGAGAAGCAAUUUGCUUGCAUAAUUCAAUGCAUGGAAACAGAUGUCCCUGACCGAAGAACGGGACAAUCCAAAUCUCAGCCUCAGCAGCAUUCGCAACAGAGCUUGACAUCUUUUAUGAAUUAUUUGAGACUUAAUUGUUAUUGACUGCUUUUGCCAUCUUUCAUAAAACAUUCUUUGUUAUAUAUUCAAGUAAAUAAAUUUAUCGUUUAAAAUUAAUUUUUCAUGUGGUAAAAGCAAUACUAA
rnacentral:lncRNA from 1 species